ACUGCAGUAACCUUCAUUGCCGACAUCACGGUGCGGUACGGCAUACCGCACAACAUCAUCACCGACAACGGCACAAACUUUGCCAAGGGCCCCUUGGCUCGUUUCUGCGUGACGCAGGGCAUCCGAGUGGACUUAGCGUCCGUUGCCCAUCCGCAGUCAAACGGCCAGGUGGAACGAACCAAUGGCCUCAUCCUGUCCGGCAUCAAGCCUCGGUUGGUCGAACCACUCGAGCGUUCGGCCGGCUGUUGGGUCGAGGAGCUGCCUGCCGUCCUCUGGAGUCUGCGCACAACCCCAAACAAGUCAACCGGCUUCACACCUUUCUUCCUCGUCUACGGUGCCGAAGCCGUCAUCCCGACGGAUAUAGAGUUCGACUCUCCGCGAGUGUCCAUGUACACCGAGGAGGAAGCCGAAGAAGCACGUCAAGACAGCGUCGAUCUGCUGGAAGAGGGCCGACUGUUGGCACUCAGUCGGUCCGGCAUCUACCAGCAGAGUCUGCGCCGAUACUACAACCGCAAGGUCAAGCCAAGAUCGUUCCAAGAGGGCGACCUUGUGCUCCGGCUGAUUCAGAGAACAGCCGUCCAGCACAAGUUGUCAGCGCCUUGGGAAGGUCCCUUCAUCAUCAGCAAGGUGCUAGGGAACGACGCCUACUAUUUGAGAUGCUCAGAAGCCUCGAGCGCGCAAGAGGGACGACUCCGGCAAAGAAACAGAGCGCCCAUGGAACGCAAAUCUUCUUCGAAGAUUUUACAGUUGAUGCAGUAUGUAUCGCACUACCCUCUUUGUAUUAAAGUACUAAGACCUUAGGCCCCCCGGGGCGAGCUCGGGGACUGCCUUUUUGAUUAUCUGUAUGAUAAGAACUACGCUUCCGAAUAUGCUGCUCCUUUUUAUCAUACUGUCUGGCACCAGGUCCGACUAGUCGGCCCGGGGACUCGCCGUCUUGCGCUAUGAAAUGCUUCCUGCGGUCAGACAAGUAAUGUGUGAAGGAAAUAUGCCCUAGAGGCAAUAAUAAAGUUAUUAUUUAUUUCCUCAUAAUCAUGAUAAAUGUUUAUUAUUCAUGCUAGAAUUGUAUUUACCGGAAACAUAAUACAUGUGUGAAUACAUAGACAAACAGAGUGUCACUAGUAUGCCUCUACUUGACUAGCUCGUUAAUCAAAGAUGGUUAUGUUUCCUAACCAUGAACAAUGAGUUGUUAUUUGAUUAACGAGGUCACAUCAUUAGUAGAAUGAUCUGAUUGACAUGACCCAUUCCAUUAGCUUAGCACCCGAUCGUUUAGUAUGUUGCUAUUGCUUUCUUCAUGACUUAUACAUGUUCCUAUGACUAUGAGAUUAUGCAACUCCCGUUUACCGGAGGAACACUUUGGGUACUACCAAACGUCACAACGUAACUGGGUGAUUAUAAAGGAGUACUACAGGUGUCUCCAAUGGUCGAUGUUGGGUUGGCGUAUUUCGAGAUUAGGAUUUGUCACUCCGAUUGUCGGAGAGGUAUCUCUGGGCCCUCUCGGUAAUACACAUCACAUAAGCCUUGCAAGCAUUACAACUAAUAUGUUAGUUGUGAGAUGAUGUAUUACGGAACGAGUAAAGAGACUUGCCGGUAACGAGAUUGAACUAGGUAUUGGAUAUCGACGAUCGAAUCUCGGGCAAGUAACAUACCGAUGACAAAGGGAACAACGUAUGUUGUUAUGCGGUCUGGCCGAUAAAGAUCUUCGUAGAAUAUGUAGGAGCCAAUAUGGGCAUCCAGGUCCCGCUAUUGGUUAUUGACCAGAGACGUGUCUCGGUCAUGUCUACAUUGUUCUCGAACCCGUAGGGUCCGCACGCUUAAGGUUACGAUGACAGUUAUAUUAUGAGUUUAUGCAUUUUGAUGUACCUAAGGUUGUUCGGAGUCCCGGAUGUGAUCACGGACAUGACGAGGAGUCUCGAAAUGGUCGAGACAUAAAGAUUGAUAUAUUGGAAGCCUAUGUUUGGACAUCGGAAGUGUUCCGGGUGAAAUCGGGAUUUUACCGGGUUACCGGGAGGUUACCGGAACCCCCCGGGAACCAUAUGGGCCAUCAUGGGCCUUAGUGGAAAGGAGAAAGGGGCAGCCCAAGGGGGCUGCGCGCCUCCCCCCUUCCCCUAGUCCUAUUAGGACUAGGAGAGGUGGCCGGCCACCCCUCUCCCUCUUUCCCCCUUGGGAAUCCUAGUUGGAAUAGGAUUGGGGGGGGGGAGUCCUACUCCCGGUAGGAGUAGGACUCCUCCUGCGCCCUCCUCCCUGGCCGGCGCCCCUCUCCCCCCUUGGCUCCUUUAUAUCCUGAGGUAGAGGCACCCCAAAACACAUAAGUUGACACAAGUUGAUCCACGUGAUCGAUUCCUUAGCCGUGUGCGGUGCCCCCUGCCACCAUAUUCCUCGAUAAUACUGUAGCGGAGUUUAGGCGAAGCCCUGCUGCUGUAGUUCAUCAAGAUCGUCACCACGCCGUCGUGCUGACGAAACUCUUCCCCGACACUUUGCUGGAUCGGAGUCCAGGGAUCGUCAUCGAGCUGAACGUGUGCUCGAACUCGGAGGUGCCGUAGUUUCGGUGCUUGAUCGGUUGGAUCGAGAAGACGUACGACUACUUCCUCUACGUCGUGUCAUCGCUUCCGCAGUCGGUCUGCGUUGGGUACGUAGACAAUACUCUCCCCUCAUUGCUAUGCAUCACAUGAUCUUGCGUGUGCGUAGGAAAUUUUUUGAAAUUACUACGAAACCCAACAGUGGCAUCAGAGCCUAGGUUAUUGAUGUUGAUGUUAUCUGCACGAGUAGAACACAAGUAAGUUGUGGACGAUACAAGUCAUACUGCCUACCAGCAUGUCAUAUUUUGGUUCGGCGGUAUUGUUGGACGAGACGACCCAGACCAACCUUACGCGUACGCUUACGCGAGACCGGUUCCCUCGACGUGCUUUGCACAGAGAUGGCUUGCGGGCGACUGUCUCUCCAACUUUAGUUGAACCAAGUAUGGCUACGCCCGGUGCUUGCGAAGGUUAAAACGGAGUCUAUUUGACAAAAUAUCGUUGUGGUUUUGAUGCGUAGGUGAGAUUGGUUCUUACUUAAGCCCGUAGCAGCCACGUAAAAACAUGCAACAACAAAGUAGAGGACGUCUAACUUGUUUUUGCAGGGCAUGUUGUGAUGUGAUAUGGUCAAUGCAUGAUGCUGAAUUUUAUUGUAUGAGAUGAUCAUGUUUUGUAACCAAGUUAUCGGCAACUGGCAGGAGCCAUAUGGUUGUCGCUUUAUUGUAUGCAAUGCAAUCGCGAUGUAAUGCUUUACUUUAUUGCUAAACGGUAGUGAUAGUCGUGAAAGCAUAAGAUUGGCGAGACGACAACGAUGCUACGAUGGAGAUCAAGGUGUCGCGCCGGUGACGAUGGUGAUCAUGACGGUGCUUCGGAGAUGGAGAUCACAAGCACGAGAUGAUGAUGGCCAUAUCAUAUCACUUAUAUUGAUUGCAUGUGAUGUUUAUCUUUUUAUGCAUCUUAUCUUGCUUUGAUUGACGGUAGCAUUAUAAGAUGAUCUCUCACUAAAUUAUCAAGAAGUGUUCUCCCUGAGUAUGCACCGUUGCCAAAGUUCGUCGUGCCCAGACACCACGUGAUGAUCAGGUGUGAUAAGCUCUACGUCCAUCGACAACGGGUGCAAGCCAGUUUUUGCACACGCAGAAUACUCAGGUUAAACUUGACGAGCCUAGCAUAUGCAGAUAUGGCCUCGGAACACGGAGACCGAAAGGUCGAGCGUGAAUCAUAUAGUAGAUAUGAUCAACAUAAACGAUGUUCACCAUUGAAAACUACUCCAUCUCACGUGAUGAUCGGUCAUGGUUUAGUUGAUUUGGAUCACGUAAUCACUUAGAAGAUUAGAGGGAUGUCUAUCUAAGUGGGAGUUCUUAAGUAAUAUGAUUAAUUGAACUUAAAUUUAUCAUGAACUUAGUACCUGAUAGUAUCUUGCUUGUUUAUGUUGAUUGUAGAUAGAUGGCUCGUGCUGUUGUUCCGUUGAAUUUUAAUGCGUUCCUUGAGAAAGCAAAGUUGAAAGAUGAUGGUAGCAAUUACACGGACUGGGUCCGUAACUUGAGGAUUAUCCUCAUUGCUGCACAGAAGAAUUACGUCCUGGAAGCACCGCUGGGUGCCAGGCCUGCUGCUGGAGCAACGCCAGAUGUUAUGAACAUCUGGCAGAGCAAAGCUGAUGACUACUCAAUAGUUCAGUGUGCCAUGCUUUACGGCUUAGAAUCGGGACUUCAACGAUGUUUUGAACGUCAUGGAGCAUAUGAGAUGUUCCAGGAGUUGAAGUUAAUAUUUCAAGCAAAUGCCCGGAUUGAGAGAUAUGAAGUCUCCAAUAAGUUCUAUAGCUGCAAGAUGGAGGAGAACAAUUCUGUCAGUGAGCAUAUACUCAAAAUGUCUGGGUAUAAUAAUCACUUGAUUCAAUUGGGAGUUAAUCUUCCGGAUGAUUGCGUCAUCGACAGAAUUCUCCAAUCAUUGCCACCAAGCUACAAGAGCUUCGUGAUGAACUAUAAUAUGCAAGGGAUGAACAAGACUAUUCCCGAGCUCUUCGCAAUGCUGAAAGCUGCGGAGGUAGAAAUCAAGAAGGAGCAUCAAGUGUUGAUGGUUAACAAAACCACUAGUUUCAAGAAAAAGGGAAAAGGGAAGAAGAAGGGGAACUUCAAGAAGAACGGCAAGCAAGUUGCUGCUCAAGAGAAGAAACCCAAGUCUGGACCUAAGCCUGAAACUGAGUGCUUCUACUGCAAGCAGACUGGUCACUGGAAGCGGAACUGCCCCAAGUAUUUGGCGGAUAAGAAGGAUGGCAAGGUGAACAAAGGUAUAUGUGAUAUACAUGUUAUUGAUGUGUACCUUACUAGAGCUCGCAGUAGCACCUGGGUAUUUGAUACUGGUUCUGUUGCUAAUAUUUGCAACUCGAAAUAGGGACUACAGAAUAAGCGGGCACUAGCAAAGGACGAGGUGACGAUGCGCGUGGGAAACGGUUCCAAAGUCGAUGUGAUCGCAGUCGGCACGCUACCUCUACAUCUACCUUCGGGAUUAAUAUUAGACCUAAGUAAUUGUUAUUUGGUGCCAGCGUUGAGCAUGAACAUUAUAUCUGGAUCUUGUUUAAUGCGAGACGGUUAUUCAUUUAAAUCAGAGAAUAAUGGUUGUUCUAUUUAUAUGAGUAAUAUCUUUUAUGGUCAUGCACCCUUGAAGAGUGGUCUAUUCUUAUUGAAUCUCGAUAGUAGUAAUACACAUAUUCAUAAUGUUGAAACCAAAAGAUGCAGAGUUGAUAAUGAAAGUGCAACUUAUUUGUGGCACUGUCGUUUAGGUCAUAUCGGUAUAAAGCGCAUGAAGAAACUCCAUGCUGAUGGACUUUUAGAACCACUUGAUUAUGAAUCACUUGGUACUUGUGAAUCGUGCCUCAUGGGCAAGAUGACUAAAACACCGUUCUCCGGUUCUAUGGAGAGAGCAACAGAUUUGUUGGAAAUCAUACAUACCGAUGUAUGUGGUCCAAUGAAUAUUGAGGCUCGUGGCGGAUAUCGUUAUUUUCUCACCUUCACAGAUGAUUUAAGCAGAUAUGGGUAUGUCUACUUAAUGAAACAUAAGUCUGAAACAUUUGAAAAGUUCAAAGAAUUUCAGAGUGAAGUUGAAAAUCAUCGUAACAAGAAAAUAAAGUUUCUACGAUCUGAUCGUGGAGGACAAUAUUUGAGUUACGAGUUUGGUGUACAUUUGAAAAACUGUGGAAUAGUUUCGCAACUCACGCCACCCGGAACACCACAGCGUAAUGGUGUGUCCGAACGUCGUAAUCGUACUUUACUAGAUAUGGUGCGAUCUAUGAUGUCUCUUACCGAUAUACCGCUAUCGUUUUGGGGUUAUGCUAUAGAGACGGCCGCAUUCACGUUAAAUAGGGCACCAUCAAAAUCCGUUGAGACGACGCCUUAUGAACUGUGGUUUGGCAAGAAACCAAAGUUGUCGUUUCUUAAAGUUUGGGGCUGCGAUGCUUAUGUGAAAAAACUUCAACCUGAUAAGCUCGAACCCAAAUCGGAGAAAUGUGUCUUCAUAGGAUACCCAAAGGAAACUGUUGGGUACACCUUCUAUCACAGAUCCGAAGGCAAGACAUUCGUUGCUAAGAAUGGAUCAUUUCUAGAGAAGGAGUUUCUCUCGAAAGAAGUGAGUGGGAGGAAAGUAGAACUUGACGAGGUAACUGUACCUGCUCCCUUACUGGAAAGUAGUUCAUCACAGAAAACUGUUUCAGUGACACCUACACCAGUUAGUGAGGAAGCCAAUGAUAAUGAUCAUGAAACUUCAGAUCAAGAUACUACUGAACUUCGUAGAUCAACCAGAGUAAGAUCCGCGCCAGAGUGGUACGGUAAUCCUGUUCUGGAAGUCAUGCUACUAGAUCAUGAUGAACCUACGAACUAUGAAGAAGCGAUGGUGAGCCCAGAUUCCGCAAAGUGGCUUGAAGCCAUGAAAUCUGAGAUGGGAUCCAUGUAUGAGAACAAAGUAUGGACUUUGGUUGACUUGCCCGAUGAUCGGCAAGCAAUUGAGAAUAAAUGGAUCUUUAAGAAGAAGACUGACGCUGAUGGUAAUGUUACUGUCUACAAAGCUCGACUUGUCGCAAAAGGUUUUCGGCAAGUUCAAGGGAUUGACUACGAUGAGACCUUCUCACCCGUAGCGAUGCUUAAGUCCGUCCGAAUCAUGUUAGCGAUUGCCGCAUUUUAUGAUUAUGAAAUUUGGCAGAUGGAUGUCAAAACUGCAUUCCUGAAUGGAUUUCUGGAAGAAGAGUUAUAUAUGAUGCAACCGGAAGGUUUUGUCGAUCCAAAGGAAGCUAACAAAGUGUGCAAACUCCAGCGAUCCAUUUAUGGACUGGUGCAAGCCUCUCGGAGUUGGAAUAAACGUUUUGAUAGUGUGAUCAAAGCAUUUGGUUUUAUACAGACUUUCGGAGAAGCCUGUAUUUACAAGAAAGUGAGUGGGAGCUCUGUAGCAUUUCUGAUAUUAUAUGUGGAUGACAUAUUACUGAUUGGAAAUGAUAUAAAAUUUCUGGAUAGCAUAAAGGGAUACUUGAAUAAAAGUUUUUCAAUGAAAGACCUCGGUGAAGCUGCUUAGAUAUUAGGCAUUAAGAUCUAUAGAGAUAGAUCAAAACGCUUAAUUGGACUUUCACAAAGCACAUACCUUGACAAAAUUUUGAAGAAGUUCAAAAUGGAUCAAGCAAAGAAAGGGUUCUUGCCUGUGUUACAAGGUGUGAAAUUGAGUAAGACUCAAUGCCCGACCACUGCAGAAGAUAGAGAGAAUAUGAAAGAUGUUCCCUAUGCAUCAGCCAUAGGAUCUAUCAUGUAUGCAAUGCUGUGUACCAGACCUGAUGUAUGCCUUGCUAUAAGUUUAGCAGGGAGGUACCAAAGUAAUCCAGGAGUGGAUCACUGGAUAGCGGUCAAGAACAUCCUGAAAUACCUGAAAAGGACUAAGGAUAUGUUUCUCAUAUAUGGAGGUGACAAAGAGCUCAUCGUAAAAGGUUACGUUGAUGCAAGCUUUGACACUGAUCCGGACGAUUCUAAAUCGCAAACCGGAUACGUGUUUACAUUAAACGGUGGAGCUGUCAGUUGGUGCAGUUCUAAACAAAGCAUCGUAGCGGGAUCUACAUGUGAAGCGGAAUACAUAGCUGCUUCGGAAGCAGCAAAUGAAGGAGUCAGGAUGAAGGAGUUCAUAUCCGAUCUAGGUGUCAUACCUAGUGCAUCGGGUCCAAUGAAAAUCUUUUGUGACAAUACUGGUGCAAUUGCCUUGGCAAAGGAAUCCAGAUUUCACAAAAGGACCAAACACAUCAAGAGACGCUUCAACUCCAUCCGGGAUCUAGUCCAGGUGGGAGACAUAGAGAUUUGCAAGAUACAUACGGAUCUGAAUGUUGCAGACCCGUUGACUAAGCCUCUUCCACGAGCAAAACAUGAUCAACACCAAAGCUCCAUGGGUGUUAGAAUCAUUACAGUGUAAUCUAGAUUAUUGACUCUAGUGCAAGUGGGAGACUGAAGGAAAUAUGCCCUAGAGGCAAUAAUAAAGUUAUUAUUUAUUUCCUCAUAAUCAUGAUAAAUGUUUAUUAUUCAUGCUAGAAUUGUAUUUACCGGAAACAUAAUACAUGUGUGAAUACAUAGACAAACAGAGUGUCACUAGUAUGCCUCUACUUGACUAGCUCGUUAAUCAAAGAUGGUUAUGUUACCUAACCAUGAACAAUGAGUUGUUAUUUGAUUAACGAGGUCACAUCAUUAGUAGGAUGAUCUGAUUGACAUGACCCAUUCCAUUAGCUUAGCACCCGAUUGUUUAGUAUGUUGCUAUUGCUUUCUUCAUGACUUAUACAUGUUCCUAUGACUAUGAGAUUAUGCAACUCCCGUUUACCGGAGGAACACUUUGGGUACUACCAAACGUCACAACGUAACUGGGUGAUUAUAAAGGAGUACUACAGGUGUCUCCAAUGGUCGAUGUUGGGUUGGCGUAUUUCGAGAUUAGGAUUUGUCACUCCGAUUGUCGGAGAGGUAUCUCUGGGCCCUCUCGGUAAUACACAUCACAUAAGCCUUGCAAGCAUUACAACUAAUAUGUUAGUUGUGAGAUGAUGUAUUACGGAACGAGUAAAGAGACUUGCCGGUAACGAGAUUGAACUAGGUAUUGGAUACCGACGAUCGAAUCUCGGGCAAGUAACAUACCGAUGACAAAGGGAACAACGUAUGUUGUUAUGCGGUCUGACCGAUAAAGAUCUUCGUAGAAUAUGUAGGAGCCAAUAUGGGCAUCCAGGUCCCGCUAUUGGUUAUUGACCGGAGACGUGUCUCGGUCAUGUCCACAUUGUUCUCGAACCCGUAGGGUCCGCACGCUUAAGGUUACGAUGACAGUUAUAUUAUGAGUUUAUGCAUUUUGAUGUACCGAAGGUUGUUCGGAGUCCCGGAUGUGAUCACGGACAUGACGAGGAGUCUCGAAAUGGUCGAGACAUAAAGAUUGAUAUAUUGGAAGCCUAUGUUUGGACAUCGGAAGUGUUCCGGGUGAAAUCGGGAUUUUACCGGGUUACCGUGAGGUUACCGGAACCCCCCGGGAACCAUAUGGGCCAUCAUGGGCCUUAGUGGAAAGGAGAAAGGGGCAGCCCAAGGGGGCUGCGCGCCUCCCCCCUUCCCCUAGUCCUAUUAGGACUAGGAGAGGUGGCCGGCCACCCCUCUCCCUCUUUCCCCCUUGGGAAUCCUAGUUGGAAUAGGAUUGGGGGGGGAGUCCUACUCCCGGUAGGAGUAGGACUCCUCCUGCGCCCUCCUCCCUGGCCGGCGCCCCUCUCCCCCCUUGGCUCCUUUAUAUGCUGAGGUAGAGGCACCCCAAAACACAUAAGUUGACACAAGUUGAUCCACGUGAUCGAUUCCUUAGCCGUGUGCGGUGCCCCCUGCCACCAUAUUCCUCGAUAAUACUGUAGCGGAGUUUAGGCGAAGCCCUGCUGCUGUAGUUCAUCAAGAUCGUCACCACGCCGUCGUGCUGACGAAACUCUUCCCCGACACUUUGCUGGAUCGGAGUCCGGGGAUCGUCAUCGAGCUGAACGUGUGCUCGAACUCGGAGGUGCCGUAGUUUCGGUGCUUGAUCGGUUGGAUCGAGAAGACGUACGACUACUUCCUCUACGUCGUGUCAUCGCUUCCGCAGUCGGUCUGCGUUGGGUACGUAGACAAUACUCUCCCCUCGUUGCUAUGCAUCACAUGAUCUUGCGUGUGCGUAGGAAAAUUUUUGAAAUUACUACGAAACCCAACAAUGUGUUGCGCUCAAGCCGUCUCCUAUCGAAAGCCGCAGCUCGCAGAGCGACUGUCGGUAGGCAGGGGACAAGCAAGAACGAGCGCACGCAUGAAAAAUGGCUAAGGACCUAAAAGCUUACGCAUAGCCCAAGGCGGCUACCAGCCUCCCCCCACCGAGCCGACUCAUGAGCAGUCGGCUCGCUGUCUCGACUUUUAUCAAGGAUAGCCGACUCUCGAAUAGUCGGCCUGUCGCUUCCUCGCCGAUUUGCUAGAAAAACUCUAAAUGGCUAAGUACUUGCCUCCCUGAAGUAGCCAAGCACUUGACCCGGCGACAGUCCGCGAAGCGGCUGCCCAGCCGGCAAGGCGGCAACUAAAUGAAGGCGGAAAAGGAAAAAGCCCAAGGAGCAAUAAGCAAGGAAAGGCGGAAAUUAGAUAAAUAUUUACAUAGGCCCUCGGCCGAAUCUCCGAAUAAGAAUUCAGGAUACACCCCGGGGGUGGAAUUGUUCGAAUCUAACAAGUCUUGCAAAAAGUUAAUAAAGAUAGAUAAACAGAAGAAAUCUAGGAGGCGGCCUCCGGGGCCGGAGGAUCGGAGGUGACGGCGGUGUCGGAUGCCGGGGCAGUCGGCUGGGCGGUCUUGGCCUGGUCGCCUCCGGCGGCGGUCGCCUUAUCCCCACGCGGCUCGUUGCUGGAGGCGCGAUCGGGCUGAGGCUGGCCGCCUGCUUCGUCUUCUGGCGCCCCCUCCUCGCCUCCGUCCUCCGACUCGUCCUCCUCCUCGGCGCUGGAGUCAAUCACUUCCGCCGAGUCUUCCUCGUACUCCGGGUUCAUCCCGAACCAGUCCGGCGGUGCCUCCUCGCCGCCUUCAGUCCGCUCGGGCACGAAGACGCUGGUGUCCGUGUACUCGGCGAUGGCCGCCGCGCGCUCGACAAGGGCGCCUUCUACGGCCUCCAGCUCGGCCUGGGCCUCUGACCGGAAUGCGGCCAGACGGUCCAGGUCCAGCCCCGGAUACCACCCCUUGACGAACUCCAAGGUCCGGCGUGCUCCGGCCCGAGCCGAGAAGCCCUUCCAAGCCUCAAGGCGGCCGGCGGUGACUUCCAGCCAGUCGGCAGUCCGACUGGCGGUGCGAAGAGCCGGCACGUCCGGCCACAGGGCGGCAACCACUUGGGCACCGGCACGCUGAAGACGGCGUAGCAGCCGAUGAGCAGGACGAAGACGAGCCCCGAUGCUCAGAAGCUGCUCGUCGAUGGUUCGGGGGGCGUUGGCAGCAAUCACCUCACCCUUCGCCCUUCGCGCCUCCCGAGCCGCCUCGAUGGCCAGAGGGACGGCUUGGGAAUGGCCGGGAAAGAAGUCUGCCAAGACAGAAAAGAAGAUAGUCGGGAAAUCAGAAAUCAGCCCGACACAGAGUCGGAAGACCAAAGAAGCGAAAAAGACUUACCGUCGACAAUAUCCUCAAGCUCGUGGUAGCCGGAGGUCAGCAUCGCCUCCCGAUCAGUCCAGGCGGAGCGUUCGACCUCGAACUUGGCCAUGAGGGCAUCCUCCCGUGACUUGGCGUCAUCCUGCGCCUUCCGGAGCAACUCCUUCUGCUCGGCCAGCUGCGCCGCCAGCAGAUCGCGCUCUUUGGCGAGCCUGUCGCACUCCUCUUUCUUGGCGCGACGAGCAGUGUUGGCCUCGCCCAGCUGCUCCUGGAGGGCGGCGUUGGCGCCUGAAGAGCGAAGAGGAAGACAAGAAAGUCAUCAGUAAGGUAGAUCGCCGGGGAGAUCCGGCCCGACUGCUCAGCAGUCGGCCCGAAUCUCGGGGACUACAGCCCGCGGGCGCGCCAGCGCGCCCCCGCGGAGAAGAAGGAGGAUAGAUCGCCGGGGAGAUCCGGCCCGACUGCUCAGCAGUCGGCCCGAAUCUCGGGGACUACAGCCCGCGGGUGCGCCACCGCGCCCCCGCGAAGAAGGAAGAAAUAACUCACCUCGGCUUUCCGUCAGGUCGGCGGUCCGCUUCUUCAGCUCCUCGACGUUGCGGUUGAAGACAGUGGCGCGGAGAUUAUGAUAUUCCUGCAAAAAGCCGGCAAAGGCAAAAGUUAGUACUCGGAGCUCACUAGAGGGAGUUCCGAACCGCCUGCUCAGCAGCCGGCCCGGAACUCGGGGACUACACCUAGUGGGUGCGCUGGCGCGCCCCCACAGAGAAAGACAAGAAUUAAAAAAGAGAAGGAAGCUUACUCGGACGGAUGUCCUCACGGCCAGAUGCGCUCUGGUGCUGACUUGGAGGGCGUCGCUUUCCGCGCGCAGCUUUGCCUGGACGUCCAGGAGGGCCUGGUUCAGCGGGCCGGUGCCGCCUCCGCGCAACCAGCCGGUGGGCGCGGCACUGGAGGCCUCGACGUCCAGACUCGCCGAGCUGGCCGCGCCAGUCUCCCGAGCUCGCGGCGCCGAGCUCGUCCUCUCAAGCCGGCGGCGCGCCGGCACGGCGACUUGAAGAAGCAGCCGCGCCUCGGCGUCGUCCGUGGUCGGUGGAUCCUGCGGGCCCACCGGCUGCUUGCCGUGCGGCCUCCCAGACGGUGGCGGAGGCGGCGGAGGCGGCGCGUGGGUGUCCGAGCCUGAAGCAUCGCCGCCCUCCUCCGCGAGAGGGUUCACGGUGCCGACCUCCCCGGUCUGCCCCGUGAACUCAAGAGCCGGUGGCGCCGACGACAACGGAGGGACGAGCAUCGCCGAGCGGCGACGCGCGGCCUCCUCAGCACGCCGUUUCGCCGCGGCGGUGUUUUCGGCCUCCUCCAGUUUCCUCUGAGCGUUGGCGGCCGCCUUCUCAGCCUCCGCCUUCUCCAGGCGGUCGGCCUCCUCUUCAUCGCGCUUCUCCCGCGCGUUCCGUUCCGUCGCCUCCCAAAGGUCGACGACGGGAUCGACCCGCCGAGUGUUGGCGGAUGUCUCCACCGACCCCAUGACAGAGGGGACGGCGGCUCUCUCAAGGGAGAGGGGAGCUCUGGAGAAGACCGGAGGGGAAAAUCAAAGAAGACUCGGAUAAGAUCCAACAAAGAAAACGAAAGAGUGAAAAAGACUUACGCGGAAACUAGCGGGGGCCUUCUCACUUCCCUUUGGAAGUGGUUGGCCUUCGCGGCCGCCUCCUCCCGCUUGGUCGCGGCGGCCGCCCCCUUGAACUUCUUCUGUUUGCCGCCGGGCGCGCUCGGCCCGGCGUGACGCCUCUUCGCACCGACUUGGCCGGAGGGGCCGGCCCUCGGCUGGCGGCGCAGCACGACUUCCACGUCGACGUCGUCCUCGGGCCAGUCGGCGAAGGUGGCCGACGGCCUGAGGCCGCCGUCCGCCCUCUCUCCGCCGCCUUCGGCGUCGGCCUCCAGCGCCGCCGCCCCCAAGUCGGGGUCGUCGACAUCGCUGUCCUCGCGAUCUGGGACGUAGUCGCGGGGCUCUCUCAUGGCGCCGGCUGCGGGCGCCGUGAGGGGACUCUGAAGAAACCAGCGAUGAUUAGAGGCCGGGAGUCGGCUGCAAAGAGAAUCAAGCUACAGAAGGAUGCGACUUACCAUUGGAGGGGGGUUGUCGCGCGAGUACGGCUCCUUGCUGAACUGCCAGUUCUCCGUGAACUCUUAGUGCGCGAUGUGGUUCACCAAGUUCGCCACCUCCCCGCGGGGCAUUUCCUUGGUGCACAGCCGUCUCGGAUCGUGGCGGCCGCUCAUCUGACAGAUGAGGUGAGGCCGGCCCUGGAGUGGGAGGACUCGGCGCGCCACGAAGGCGGCCAGAAGAUCGGAGCCGACGAGGCCCUCCGACUGCAGCAGAACUCGGAGUCGCGCCACGGAGCCGGCUCCGGAGGGGGACAGUGACUUGGACCGGUGGGACCAACUGGCAAGCCUGCCAGUCAGAGGCUCGGGGUCGAAGGGCGGCAAGUUGACCCAGUCGCCGUCGGUGGAGGUGUUCUUCACGUAGAAGUAAGAUUUCUGCCACAUCUUCACCGACUUCACCAAUGAGAUGGGUGGGAAAGGGUUGUCGGCCGUUGAGCGCCGCACCGCGAUGUAGGUGCCGCACUGAGCCGGCGUGCCGGCGGCUUGAGUACCGAGCUUCGAAGAUAAAAACUCCCCCCACAGCUCGAGGGUGGGGAGAACGCCGAGGUAGCCUUCGCACAGAGUGGCGAAGGCGGAAAGAAGCACCACCGUGUUUGGGGUGAGGUGGUGCGGCUGAAGCUUGUGGAACUCCAGAAACGAGCGGAAGAACCCGCUCGCCGGCAGCUCCAGCCCGUGCAUUAGGUGCGAGCGGAAGAUGACCCGCUCGCCCUCCUCCGGCGCGGGCCGGAGCUCUCCCGCCGGCGCGGGACAGGCGUGCACCAGGUCUGCGCCGGGGAGGCGGCGGGUCCGGCGGAGAAAAUCAAUGUGCUCCACCUCCACGUCCGAGCCGUCCCACACGCCGGAGCGCGAGGCGGGGGGCGCGGCAGAGGAAGAGCUCAUCGCCGACGAGAGAGGAUGCUUUGGCUCGCGGCAGAGGAAGAAGAGAAGGCAAGAGAGCGGGGGAGAGGGUGUGCGCACAGUGCCGCCCCGCUCCUCCCCGCCUAUUUAUAGCCCUACGGGCUGAGGAGCCGAGGGGGCGGACGUGGGAUUAACUGCGCCCGAGGCCCCACGCCGCCCACGAUUUACCCCACGAAGUUACUGUGUGCAGUAACAACGUGGGGAUGCCAACCGUCCGCGGCCGCAGCGGAUCCGCUCGGAAGCCGAGGCGUGGUAAUGGCGGGCCCCACCUGGCGGCCCGUCCCGUCACGCGCGUGGGUGGGCAGACUAUCCUCCCCACGUGGCGCCGCGCGAUAGGACCGUCUCAAUGGCGGCAGGGAAGCGUAUCCGAUACGCCGCCUAUGUUCCCACCACGACUUACGAAUAAUGGCCCCUCGCUGAACAAGUCCGACUUGGGCGAGUCGGCCCGAAGAAACAGCGGCCGAGUCUCAGAAUCGGCGCUGGGAAGAUUGAAACUGUUGAAGCCCCACGAGGCAACGCCCACUGGGAUUCACCAGCUUCGGGGACUACUGUCGGAGUAAUGGGCCACGGGUAGGCCGACCCGGGACCCAGGAUCUUUCAAGACAUCGGGGCAGGCCGCGCCCCUCUGGCCGAGUCCCAGCCGGCGACCUUCGGAGAGGCCGAGUCUCAGAGGGCGAUCCCCCGAGAAGCCGAGUCCCUAACGAUGACUUCAAAGUAAGCCGACUCCCGGCCUGCGACCUCCAGGAGUGCCGACUACGGGAGUCGGCCCGCGACGUUUCACGAAGACCGAUGCAGGGCACGGCCCCGACGUGGCCGUUCCUUCCUACCUACGAGGGGUGGGCAUGGCUACAGUGAGCCGUAUCGCCGGGAGAUCUCUGGUGAGGCGCGGCACUGUUGCCAUGCCUCCCCUGACCUCAGCCACAGUGCAUGAAGCACUGUGCCCACGACGCCGGCUUGUACGGCCCAGAGAUCGCAGGGCCACCCGUCAGUGGGUGAAUCAGAGACGGCCAGAACGCCCGAAGACGGCCCUGAGGGAGUCGGCCUCCACGAAGUCGGCCGCCUCCCUGCCAGGGCCCCACCAACCAUAAACCAGAUUGGAUGGGGAGUGGCGACAGUGAUCGCCUGACAGACGGCGGCACUGUUGCCAUGACCCCAUGACCAAGCUUGCGUCAUCCAGAGUGCUGCACAGUGUGCGGCCUGUCCGCGGGACCCACCAGUCGGCGGGCCCCAGAAGCCGGCAGGAAGGACGGCGGCAUGAGAGACAGACGGCUGGGGGCCACGUCCAGUCAAAUUACUAUUGUACCCCCGGGGGGUAGGCCUAUAUAACUCCCCCGGGACACCCAUGCAAAGGGUUCGGCCCUUGAUAGAGUUAGACACAUAAACAGGGGAGGAGAGAGCCAGCCUAGCUCCCUCCCGCCUCCCGAUACAGCUCUAGGAGCACCCUUGUAACCAUUUCGCCAUAGUGACCAUGCGGAGACCCCGCAGAGCAGCAGUAGGGGUGUUAUCUCCCCGGAGAGCCCCGAAGCUGGGUAAGAUUCGCCGGCGUGCAUGUCUGCGCCUCAUCCCGUUUCCAGGCACCGGCGACGUUCUACUCGCCCCCACCAUGAUAAGCCAUCCUUUGGCAUAUGGCGCACCCAACCCCCGACACAGGCGGACUAAGAAUAAGGCUGCAUGCAACAUACUCAUUUUACUUCGUAUGUAGAUUCACUUAUUUUGCUUCAUAUGUAGCCUAUAUUGAAACCUCUGAAAAGACAUAUGUUUAGGAACGGAGGAAUAUAUUCUGCCUGGAAAUGCAUGGACUUAAUUUUCCUUUUUGUAAGGAUUGAAAUGCAUGAACUUCACAUGAAGAUGAAGCAACCAAGUUUCUACAAACUGUGUGCAAUCAGCACAAAAUCCUCGCCUCACCUUUGUAAUCUUGCUAGGUGCUUGAUUAGUCUUAGUCAUGGCUCCGUGUUGAGCUCGUGACACGCGUUUGAUUGAUCUUAGUUUCUAAUGCCAGCUGAACUAACAAGCUGAGGUUGACUUGGAUCAUUUGGCGGUUAUUUUGUUGGGUGUCGCUAGGUCUCAGUCGACUGAGAUUUAACCAACUCUUAGUCCAAUGACAUAACAUGUAGAGAGAAAAAGAAAAAAAACCAUUUUUUUUUCACCUGUCUCAUUAUAAGAUCUCACGGAUAUAGUAUCGAAUGAGACUUAGCAAGACUACAUUUUGUUUGCGAUCGGGCAUGCUAAUCUGCAUCGUCUCACCCUGCACAAAGAUCAUCAGAAUCCGAUCUAGUACCUUUCUUUGGCCGGUCACACACUCUAGCUAGGGUUCUUCAAUGCAGGUUGCUUGCAUAGUUUUCCUUUCUUUUUUGGAGAAACAACAUUGACGUACACGCACACAAUCACACCACCACGCACACUUAAAACAAAUGCCUACUGAAGGCCGGAUCGAAGUCGCGGGGUUUAAAAUUGAUGGAACCGCCACAUGUGUCUCGCUAUUUGAUACUCUCUCCGUCUUAAAAUAAGUGUCUCAACUUUGUACUAGCUCUAGUAUAAAUUUGUAUACUAAGUUUGAGACAGUUAUUUUGAGACGGAGGGAGUAUUUAUUUAUGAGUUAUGACUAAAUCAUAUGAAAAAAAAUCUUCAUAUUUUUUGAAACCACAUUUAACAGGAGAUGUUCCAUUCGGUGCAAACAUUUUAAAACCUUAAUUUAUUUGUUUAUCUUUGUGGUAUAAUCUAGACUUGGGUCAACUUAAUCAAUCCCAUGACAGUCCAAUAUCCGGGGUGGGCCCCGCCUGUCAUCGUGCAAGGUUACCACCGUCUCCGUCCCCCUCUUUCUUCGCAGCCCACCUCCGCUAUAAAUACCACUCACUCAAAAUAAAAUAUUGAGCUCCACCGCCGACAGAAGCAGCUCGCGGUCGGCUCUCAGUCUACUCUCCGUCGUCGUCGUCGACCGGCGCCGCGGCGGCAGCAGCCGCCAGCGUCCGUCGGGAGGCCGACAUUUCCUCUUGGCGGGGGCCGAAUCCAACCCGUAAGUCGAAUCUCUCUCUGUGCUUGCUCUCGAAUCCCCGCCCGCCCCCUACAGUCCUACAGUACUUCUCUGCUGCGGUGCUGCCAGCCAAUGCCGCCAUUCCCGACGUUUCUUGGGAUCUCAUUGAGGAAUCCGAGGGCACUGGUUGUGGAUUGACCCCCCGGUAAUGGCGGCCCUGCCGGCUGUUGCCCUGGGUCUACUCCUGCGUGCCCGUCCUCAAGGUGUUCGAUGGAUUGUGCAGGGUGUACCUCUGUCCGGCUGGUCUCGUAUCAGUUCUUCCAGGUUUCAGUCCGUUUACAGUCAGUUGCUGAAAAUGUGCACGAAAUGCAGGGAUUUGUGCUCAGGUUGUUUGCUUGCUUGCAAUUCCAAGCAUUGCUUCCUCUUUGCAGGAAGCAUCCCAUCUUAAUUCUUAAGCAUAUAGUACUACAAGGUUGUAUGUUCCCACUUGGAAAGAAAAAGUUGUAUGUUCUGUUUGUUUGCUUGCUGUCUGCUUGAAUGUUUGUUCCAUCUUAAGCAUAGCACAAGUAUAGUCGUCUGUUUCGUGGGCGUAAUCCAAAGUUUGUGCGGAUACAGCUUUUGUUCUCUAUGCUCUUGCAUAGCAAAAGUGUGUGGAAACUGGAAUCUGUUGAGAGUAGCAUUUGCCACGCCAAACGUUUUGUCUUUCACUUACGGACCACAUAUUGCUUCUUGACUUUCUUGGAUGCUUGUCGGUCCAGCCUUGGAACUGUACCUUCCUAGUAAUGGUAUAGAUAGAUGGUUAAUAUAAAUGAGGCACAGACCAAACUUUUGUGUUGCUUACUAGAAAUGGGUGCAUUUCCUUAAAGUUUUUUUGUCAAAUCGUCUGUCAUUGUUCUCUCAAGUCGCUUUCUUUGCCGUAUUCAAUCCAUUUUUUAUCACUGCAAUUGCUUCAUUCAAAUUGAGAUUUCAGUCCGUUUACCGUCAGUUGCUGAAGCUGUGCAUGAAGCGGACGAAAAUGCCGGGGCGUGCGCUCUUUGUUUACCGUUUACCGUCAUUUGUUUGGUUGCAGGAAGCACCCGGUCUUAAGCAUAGUAUAUAUAAAGUUGUAUGCUCUGUUUUGUUUGUCUGUUUGUUGUCUGAUUGAGACAAGGGCAUAAUCCAAAGUUUGGUACCUGCUCCUGCACAUUUAUGUGCUGGAAACUGGAAUCUGUUGAGAGUAGUAUGGCCACGCCACAUGUUUUGGCUUUAGCUCAAGGACCACAUUGCUUCUUGACUUUCUUGGAUGCUUGUUGGCCCAACUUUGCAACUGUACCUUCCUAAUAGUAGUAUAAAUCAGUCACAUACAAUUCUUUUUGUGUUGCUUGAGAUUUGGUGUAUUUACUUAAUGUGUUUAGUCGAAUCAUCUGUCAUUUUUCUCCCAAGUUGCUUUUCCUCGCGAUAUUCAAUCCGUCGGGUUUUUAAUUACUGUAACUGCUUCAUUCAAAAUUGAUAUUUGCUUCUUUGUUGUUGUUUUCCUUUCAACGUUUGGGCUGAGGCUUCAAAUAAUGGUGCUCUUUAACAUGGACUUUGUUACUUUAAAGAAUGCAAGAAUUAUGCAUUGGUACCACGAUAACAUCUGCUCUAUGUUUUUUUUUUCUACAGGGGGUUUCUAACACAUAAGUAUUUUGCUAACAUGAAGACAAGCAUCCAGUAGACUUUGCACCAUUUGAGGCACAAUGGAGAUAUCUUUUCUCAUGUUGUUGGUUCUCUCUCUGCUUCUGUUUCCUAAUGGCAUCUGCAAGAGUUUAGCUGCGAGGCCUCUUGUUGUGAAUAUUGGGUCUAUUCUUCAAUUUAACUCCACCACUGGAGGUGUUGCCGUGGUUGCCAUCCAUGCAGCCCUGGAAGAUAUCAACUCUGAUCCAACAGUUCUAAAUGGAACUACACUAAAGGUUCAAAUCAAGGAUACAAAUUGCUUUGAUGGUUUCCUUGGCAUGGUUCAAGGUACGUUAGCUUUAAUACCACACAUUCAUUUGGUAUUGUUGAUAUAGUUUUUGCUUCUCUUGUGGAGUUGUGACAAUAAUACCGCGUAUUCCUUGUAUCAGCUUUGCAGUUCAUGGAGACUGAUGUUAUUGCACUCAUUGGCCCUCAGUGCUCUACAAUUUCUCAUAUCAUUUCAUAUGUAGCAAAUGAGCUUCGAGUCCCUUUGAUGUCCUUUGCUUCUGAUGCAACUCUUUCAUCGAUACAGUUCCCGUUCUUUGUCAGGACUGGUCCCAAUGACCUCUAUCAAAUGGCGGCUGUGGCAGAAGUUGUUGACUACAACCACUGGAAGAUAGUGACCGCCAUAUACAUUGACAAUGUUUAUGGUCGAAAUGGCGUUGCUGCUUUGGAUGAUGCACUCGCUUUAAAGCGCUGCAAAAUCUCCCACAAGGUUGGGUUUCCUUCCAAUGCUAAAAGAAGUGAGCUCAUAAAUUUGUUGGUUAGUGUUAGUUAUAUGGAGUCUCGUGUUAUCAUUCUCCAUACUGGAGCUGAACCUGGACUCAAGCUUUUCUCUAUGGCAAAACAACUGAACAUGAUGGGCAACGGCUAUGUGUGGAUUGCAACUGACUGGCUGUCUGCAUAUCUUGAUACUAAUUCAUCAGUUCCUGCUGAGACUAUAUCUGGCCUGCAAGGUGUUCUUACUUUACGGCCACAUAUCCCCAACUCAAAGAUGAAGAGUAAUUUGGUCUCCAAAUGGAGCACUCAAAGUAAAAAGUACAACUAUAGUGAUCUUCGUGUAAAUACUUAUGGUUUUUAUGUUUAUGAUAGUGUCUGGGCAGUAGCUCGGGCUCUGGAUGCCUUCUUUGAUGAUGGUGGUAGGAUUUCCUUUUCAAAUGACUCGAUGUUACAUGAUGAAACUGGAGGAACUCUUCACCUUGAAGCAAUGAGCAUUUCUGACAUGGGAAAUAAAUUAUUGGAGAAGAUUAGAAAGGUAAACUUCACUGGGGUGUCUGGGCAAGUGCAAUUCGAUGCUGGAGGCAACCUAAUUCAUCCUGCAUAUGACAUCAUAAGCAUCAUCGGAAAUGGCGUGCGGACCAUUGGUUUUUGGUCAAAUUAUUCUGGCUUGUUGUCGACUGUCUCUCCAGAGGCUCUAUAUUCAAAGCCUCCUAAUAUUUCUCUCGCUGAUCAGCAUCUCUAUGAUGUUAUUUGGCCUGGGGAGACUGCACAGAGGCCUCGAGGAUGGGUUUUUCCUUCUAAUGCCAAGCAGUUGAAAAUUGGUGUUCCGAACAGAUUUAGUUUCAAAGAGUUUGUCACGAAAGACAAUUCUACUGGGUCAAUGAAGGGUUAUUGCAUCGAUGUCUUUACUCAGGCAUUGGCUUUGCUUCCUUAUCCUGUUAGUUACAAGUUUGUACCUUUUGGGAAUGGUACUGAAAAUCCUAAUUAUGACAAACUCGUACAGAUGAUUGAAUCAAAUGUAAGUAUGGAAUGCCUUUUUUCUUCCUCUAACCAUUUCAUCAUCUUUAUCGAAGAAACCAUUUCAUCAUACCAUGCUGACCAGGGGGGGGGGGUCUUAUCCUGCAGGAAUUCGAUGCAGCUAUAGGGGAUAUCGCAAUUACAAUGAGGCGGACAGUAACUUUUGAUUUCACCCAGCCAUUCAUUGAAACAGGCUUAGUUAUCUUGGCUCCGGUUAAACAGCAUAUAACAUCGUCCUGGGCAUUCUUGCAGCCAUUUACUUUGGAGACGUGGUGUGUUACAGGGUUGUACUUCCUUAUUGUGGGUGUGGUUGUUUGGGUUCUUGAACAUCGGAUCAAUGAUGAUUUCCGUGGUUCAGUACGUCAACAAAUAAUAACUAUUUUCUGGUAAGGAGCUGACUUGCACCUAUUGUAUCGUCUUCUUGUAGUAUAUCAUUCCUGUUUUGUUAGAAAUGUUGAUGUUUCAACAAGUCUUGUGCAAUAUGUUUGCAUACAGCAAGCACCUCAGAACAGUUGCCAGUUAACAUACCCAAAUGAAGCAUCUAGUGAUUACCAAUGAACUAUUAUCUUAAUGAUCUAGUGAUUACUAUAUAUGCACAGUAUAUAUAUUCGCUUGAUGAUAUUUAUAAUGCAUUGCUCUAUUUUUUCUGUUUUCACAUACUUCUCCAUAUGUGUAUUACAAAUGUUCUUAUCAUGGCGUGAUUCCUUGCUCUCAGAUGUGAUUAUAAUUUCUAUUUUGAUUGCCUGCAGGUUCAGUUUUUCGACGUUGUUCUUCGCACACAGUGAGUAAACCAACCUUCUCUAUUAUGUGUAUUUUUGGCCAUAGGUAACAUUUUGUUCUGAGGCAUGGCUCGUGAUUUCAUCUGUAUCUGCCCGCAGGAGAAAAUACUAUGAGCGCCUCAGGGCGUGGUGUCCUGAUCAUAUGGCUAUUUGUUGUUCUGAUAAUUGUAUCCAGCUAUACCGCGAGUCUUACUUCCAUCCUGACCGUGCAACAACUUGAUACUUCUAUAAAAGGAAUCGAUGACCUGAAAAAUAGCAAUGAUCCUAUUGGUUUCCAAGUUGGUUCUUUUGCACAAGACUACAUGGUUAAGGAGCUCAACAUCUCACGUUCAAGGCUAAGAGCUCUCGGUUCACCACAAGAAUACGCUGAAGCCCUCAAGCUAGGCCCUAAGGAAGGAGGUGUUAUGGCCAUUGUUGACGAGCACCCCUAUGUUGAACUGUUUUUGUCAACCUACUGCAAGAUUGCGGUAGCUGGUACAGAUUUCACCAGCAGAGGAUGGGGCUUUGUAAGUACAUUUGAACCAUAUUCUUUAAUGUAGAUUAGAAUGUAAGAACAAAAUAUUUUGAAGUUAAUAUCCUGGAAUAGCAGUUUUAACUUUGAAUAGUUGUGUCAACUAUCUAGUUUAUUAUGCAACAUUAUCUGCACUUAUCUGCGGCUGCAAGUCUAAAAUCUACACCUACUUUGUUUCACAAAUCAAAAUGUAGUGCCUUACAAGUUCAUUCCACCAGGCAUUUCCAAGGGACUCCCCUUUGCAAGUAGACCUCUCCACCGCAAUCCUGUCAUUGUCAGAGAAUGGGGAGCUGCAGCGGAUCCAUGACAAGUGGCUCAAGACAGGGGAGUGCGCAACUGACAACAGCGAGUUUGUUGACUCAGACCAGCUCCGCCUUGAGAGCUUCCUUGGUCUGUUCCUAAUCUGUGGCGUGGCAUGUGUCCUCGCGUUGCUAAUCUACUUUGGUAUCAUGCUACGCAAAUACCUGAGGCAUGAGCAGAGGAAGAGCCUGAGAAGAUUCAUCUCAUUCGUCCAUGGCAAGGAUCCACCAAAGAACGACGAGAGGCGGUCCAUGAGCCUGCUUGGAAGCUCGACGCCGGCAACGCCGAUGAGCAGCCUUACUACCCUUGAGAUAGAAAGGCCGGCCAUGGAAGUCAGAAACACCAGCGUUAUUGAAAUGGAAAGCUAGUUCAUGUGUACAAAGCUAGUUCGUGCUUUAUCUCCCAAAGCAGCGGGGCAACUGUUUUGUGUGAAGCAACAAUGCGGCCGACUAACCUAGGUCCCGGUAACCUAGGUUGGAAAGCCAAACACCAGGGAUGUAUAGAGGGGGUUCAAAUACUUCUUAAAGGAAGGGUUGAUAAUAAAAAUUAAAAAUAUCGAAAUGCUCCUCUCUCCCACAUAGAUCACUUUAUUCUUUGCAUGACUGUAUUUUUUUGGGUAUCUUGCCACUUCAGAGUUGGCGUUUGGCGGUGUGAUCUGUUCAUGUGUUCAAUUGCGCGUAGUGUGGUUAUUCCACGUCAGUAGGAUUGUGUCACUUCAGUUUGAUAGUAUGCAGCGGACUGAUCCUGCCGGCUGGAGUUAGUACCGUUUGAUGUGUGACGAUGCCUGUAGAUUGUAGUACUAAGCUUUUGAUGCUUGUUCAUAAACUAGUUUAGAUGGAGCCACCCGAAAGAUAUGUUAGUUUUCUUUUUAUUGGCUUAUAUACUCUGUUUUGUCUGAGUUUUGUUCAGGGCAGCUUUGAAGCUUAUCUUAGGGUGGUCGGUAGAAAAAUGUUUAGCACCUUCCACAACUCAUAAAGAAGAUAAUUAAAAAGAGCAUAGGAAUAAAUAGUUAUGAUCCUAUUAGGAAAGUUAAGAAGAAAGCCAACACUAGGUUUUUGUUUUUCUAACUCUAUGGCUACACUGUAAAAUUAUUUAUUGAUUAGCUCCAAUUGAUGCAAAUCUUUUUGGUGGUUCUGGGAUGCAACUGAAUCAGAUCAAUCCCAAGCUACUCCCUCCGUCACAUAUUAGAUAUAAUAACGUCUUAUAUUAUGGGAAGGAGGGAGUAGCUUUUUGUUUCUCUCAAAUCUUACUGGAACAACGAGCCACUGUUCUCAAAAGUGGAAAUUCUUGCAGGUUUGUAAUGCAUCUGUUUUGGUUCUUGGCUUCUUGCGUGCACCUCCGAGAAAUAUACCAUACCAAUCACAAGUGUUGUUAGUAGUGGGUGGUAGGUAGAUGCAAACCAAGCCAUCAUUUUCCUUUUAAAUACACUUGUAAAAGCAUCAUGGGUGUCUAUUCUAAUGGAGCGGUAUACAGACAUAUAAUUGUUGCAGGGAUGCUGCACUUGCUGGAGCAAGGCCUUAAUUAGUGGUACCAGGUUUGUCUAUUUUAGUGAUACUGGGUUUCUUUUCUGAUUUCUUCUAAUUCAAUAGUUAUGCCAGCUAUAUUAUGAGUGCCAGCUUUGCUGUAACUUUUUUUGCGAGGCAUAACAACUGGAUUAUUGUUGAUACAGCGAAAACAGAAAUGGGUAUCAGUGCCUUUUUAUUUAAUUUAGUCAUAAUAGUUGACUUAACAUAUUGUAUGUUAAAUGUGGACAGGAGAUUCCUGUGUUUUUCUUGAAAACAGAAGAGCAACAAUAGGAAGAGUUUUUUUACACGAUGGAGCGAUUAUUUUCCUAAGAAGAAUGUAUAAUGUAUAUAUAUUUCUCAUUCUGUUCAAUACCUGGUUUAGGAAGAGCUCUUUUCCCUAUGCAAACAUAUAUGUUUAUAAUUCUGAUUGCAGGCAUAUUCGUCGCACUCGCCCACGAGGGACCAAGUGGGAUACGCCACGGGUUCUGACAGUAAAGAUACCAAUGAAAAACUGGUUUCAAGCCACGCAGGGCAGUUUUGCUGUUACUAAGAUACUGCGGCAUCUUGUCUCUCUCGGUCGAUGUCCUGUCAUCUCUUUAAAUAUCAGUAGCACCUGUUCUAUUUACCUGUCUUUUGUGUUUUGAGUUUUGACGCACAGCCUGCUCUGUUAUACAUCGUUCCUGGCAUGACUGGUUUCAUCACCGUUCGCUCUGUGUGGAAUGGAGAAGUAAAGCCAAUAAGUAAGCCUGCUUACCCGGUCCCUUUUGUUUAGUCCUGGGAUGAGAGAAAAUAACUGACAGUCUGGACCAGCCUGUCUUUGAAGUGCGAAACUUAUUUUGGGACGGAGGGAGUACAUGAUAUCUUUAGCGUAGCUUUAUUUAUCUGAAUUUUUUCCUGAUUGGCAAAUUUGAUAAUUAAAAAUCUCUUUUUCAUCAGGUCACCAUGGAAGAUUAUAAUUGUUUCUAAUCCCACUCUCUAUAUACUCCCAAGGUAUGACCUUUUGAACUAUUGUGUAGUUUCGUUUCAGCAGUAAAAGUUCAGACACCCCAAUUUAGUUAAAAAAAAGUUCUAAACUCUCAAAUAGCCUUUGUGUUGGAGCUAACAUCACUGCAUCUGUCGGCGACAGCACACAUCACUUGCAGUUGCUACCUUCUCUCUUUCAAGCUCGGCAUCAGUAGUGUGCCUUCCUGAUCCAACAACUGGUGUUUUCUCUCUGAUGACUCUCCAAUCUGCAUAUUGAUUUUUGUUCCCUGCUCAUGCUAAACAAAGGGUGGCACUUGGACCAUUGCCUGCCUGACAUGGAUGUACUCCCAUUUUAGUCUGAAGAAUUCAGUAUUGGUAUUUAAUUCUAUACAAUUCUAUUUUACAUUUUUUUGAUCCAAACUUGCUAGGUUUCCUGACGAUGUGUGGUAAGACGUCUUCUAUGAAGCAAUUUUGGAAUUCUUAAGAAGGUAAGGAUGUUUCUCUCUUUUGUAACAUUUAGAAUAUUUUUCAGCUAGCUGUAGCUAUUUUUACUUGCUUUGUCCAGUUAUUUUUCUGCAAUGAUUGGCCAUAUUAAUUCCCUCUAUUUAAUUCUAUCAACUAGAUCAUGUGCGGGUUCGAACAUAUUUAUGAAAUUGCUAUUUUUUGCUGAUAGUAACUUGAGUAUAGCACCUAUUGUAGUACUGUUAUGUUAUACUAGUACAUAUAAGGAGAAGUUGUUUNNNNNNNNNNNNNNNNNNNNNNNNNNNNNNNNNNNNNNNNNNNNNNNNNNNNNNNNNNNNNNNNNNNNNNNNNNNNNNNNNNNNNNNNNNNNNNNNNNNNNNNNNNNNNNNNNNNNNNNNNNNNNNNNNNNNNNNNNNNNNNNNNNNNNNNNNNNNNNNNNNNNNNNNNNNNNNNNNNNNNNNNNNNNNNNNNNNNNNNNNNNNNNNNNNNNNNNNNNNNNNGUUUUUUGUUUGUUUCAUAUGGCAUCAUUCUAAUAUUUCCGGCAGCAUUUAGACUAAAUUGGAGAGGGAGAACAAACUUUAUACACUAAGCAAGCAAUGUCGGUCAUCUGAGGGCUUGGGCGCCUGUUGUUCCAAGUUUGCGAGGUACUAACUGUACUUGAGGAAUAUCAUUUAGUGUCUGCCAAAGUCUAUUGAUGCGUGUACAGAAUAUCAACAAAUGUAACAUACUCAUUCAUUGUAAUGUAAUACAAGAAUAUUGGAAUCUAUUGUAUCAAAAUGAGAUCUAUACUGUAGCAAGUUGUGCGAAAAUCUAAAUGGUCGAGAUUUUUUUUUUUGCGAGUAAUCUAAAUGAUCGAGAUGAUUGCUGUAUCUAUCUUUUUCACGGGCUGAGACUGCUAUGCCAGCUGGACUUUGUCUCAUCCCAAUGCUUGAGCGGACGACCAUGAUUUAGGGUGCAACUGAGCCUGGGCACCAAAACGCCCCUCCCCUUAAAAUUAUGCUAUUUAUAUCACCUUCCGUAAUGUUGUCUGUGAUAUUGGGUUGUUCUCAUCAAACACAAUUUUUCAGCAUAUCAUUGUGGUUCAUUAAUUCUCGAUAUUUCUAUGAAAAACCUUUUCUAAAUGAUGCAAAAAAACAUGUCUUUAUAUUAAUCAUGUGUACUUGGUAACAGGGUUUAGUUGUUCGUAUUCUCAUGGACUUUCAACGAUUAUCUAUAGUUUUCCAACUGAGGUUUCAAGCAUUUUCUUAUGAUUUAACAUGUGUUCCUGCAGCAAUGCGCGGGGUGUCAUCUAGUUAACUUGAAUGGCAGGUAGCGUUUUCUAGUGCAGUCCAUUCACGGUUUGCCGGUGCAGAGUAUUCACGAAUGAUUAACUCAUGUAACUUUUUAUUUGAAAUAGGCAGACAACAUUUUUGAUGAUAUUUUUACUUGACACGGAAGGGGGCAUGUGUCAGUGAGCAUUACUGUAGUGCAUGUCUCACAGAACAAACCUACAUUUUAAGUCAAAUUCUGAAGAAAAAAAUCUGCACACAAACAUAGAAACGUAUAUUACACGUGUGAAGUUUAAUGACGAAAUACCUUAUGAUGUGCGCUACACAAAAAAAAAUACAAAUUACUCAAAGUUGUGCAACAAAGAACAAAAAAGUCAACCAUCGCCUUAUAUUUUGGGAAGGAGCGAGAAUACUCCUUGGAGGACGAGCUCCAUGUAGGACUCAUUAUCUGGUGCGUGUGUCUUUCUCGGAACCACGCUCAAGACCUUAUUCAUCGAACGUAUCUCACGUGCCAACCAUUUUACACACCAUCAUAUUCUUGUUUUAUGAAUAGUACUACCCCUUGUUCAUUAAGAAAAAGAACUGUAGCAUCCCCAUGUUAACAGGUUGGGCCUACCAGUGCAUGCACACGUGCAACCAUUGCACCAUAUCCAUUCAAAAAAAGAAGUCUGCCCCGGGAGCUCCUAGCUGCCGCUCGCUGCGGCAAGGAGUCGAGCAAACGCACAGACCCAGUCGAUGCAGUGUAUCGCGUAAUUAAAAAUACAAAAUGGAAAAACGCGCGCUUACCAGGAAUAACGCUGGAUCUCCCGGUAUUGUGGGCGCAAUGAUAGCCAACAGACCAAUCGAACUUUGGUAACAGACAUGCUGUAGGUACUGUAGGAGUACUGUAGCUAGUGCCUUUUUUAAAGACAAACAUGAAAUAUUAAUUUGAAAUCCAUAAAAAAAAUUGAAAUCGUGAAUAUAUUUUGAAAACUAUAGCAUUUUUCAAAUACUGGACAUUUUAAAAUUCCAGAACAUUUUUUCAAAUAUUGAACAUGAGAACAUUUUCUAAUAUUGAGAACAAAUAUUUGAAAAUUUCAAACAAAAGAAACAUGAAAAAUGACAACAAAAAAGGAAAGAAAAAUAAAAACGAAAAAGAAACAGAAAACAUAUUUUCAAAACUCGACUAGUUUUUCGAAAUUACGAACAAAUUUUGAAAACGAGAAAUUUUAUAAAAUUCUACGAACAUUUUUUGAAUCUUGAGAACAAAUUUUGAAACAGAAAACAAAUUUGGAAGCAUGAACAUUUUUUUAAAUCUUGAGAACAAAUUUUGAAAAGGAGAACAAAUUUGGGAGCACGAACAAUUUUCAAAAGCACGAGCAUUUUUUGAAUAUUGAGAACAAAUUUGGAAGCACGAACAAUUUUUAAAAGCACGAACAUUUUUUGAAUAUUGAGAACAAAUUUUGAAACGGAGAAAAAAAUUGAAAAAUCCUGAACAAAUUUGAAACCGCGAACAUAUUUUGAAAAUUUGAACAAAAAAUUGAAUCUGGUACAUUCUCAGAAUUUCAAAAGUUUUGAACUUUUUUGUGUGACAAGAACAAUUUUGAAUUUUGAGAACAUUUUUUCAAAAACUAAACAUUUUAUGGAAAUGCAAACAAAAUUUGAAUAUUUUGAAUUUAUUUUGAAAAAAAGAGGAGAAAAGAAAAUGAAAAUAAAAUAAAAAACCAAGGAAAGAAAACAAACAGAAAAACGAAAAAAGAAAAAAGAAACAGAAAUAACUAAAAACGAAAAGAAGAAGAAAAAAGCAAUAAGAGACAAAAGAAGAAAAACAACAAAGAAAAACGAAAAAACGAAAAAAGAAACAGAAAAUAAAAAAAGAUUCAGGAACCUGCUGAAAGGUUCGUAAAAUCAAAAAGAAUCGGCUAGAACAUCCUAGAAGUUUCCUAAAACAGGCAAUACUGAAAACACUUAACGGGCCGGCCCACCUGGAACGACCGCUCAAUCCCCUGUGCGUUCUCCCGACAUUUGCCGCAAGGAGCGGUAAAUAGGGUUUCCCGUCUGCCCCCCCCCCCUCCCCCCUGCCCCCAAGGGCUCAUUUGGUAGCCAGGGGAUCCCCCGGAGGAUCCCGACCCAUUCCCUAGGUGGAAAGCCCACGCGCAAAAUCAGCCCCGGGCCAGGUGCCUGGACAUUUGGACACUGGAAUACAGGAGGUUUUCUCGGCUCGUUCCCCAUGAUUUCCCCGGGAUAGGAUCCACGACCCAUGACAUCGGGAUGGAAUCCCCUGUAUCGCUCGCUCUCGUCGCCCGUCUUGGGCAGAGCGGCGGCCGCCUCCCUCCCCUGGCACACCGUUGGUUCUGAGGUUGUGCUACCUCUCUUCUCAUCCUCGGUUUCUAGCUGCUUCUCGUACUUGUGCCUCUCCCUCUGUAGUGCUCACCAGCCGCAGCAGCAGCCGCAUCAUUAGAUCUCCUCCCACCGGAGUUCUGUGUCAUGUCUACUAGGUCGCGCCGCCAGCAGGCUGUCGGCUGCGGCGACUGCUGCUGCUGGUGGACGUCAAGAUAAUGAUGAAGGCGGGGAUAUAUGUCAGGCUCACUCGCCGCAAGAUCCGAUGGGGCAUGGUAUUUGCUUGAGUUCAUCAUAUUUUGAUUUUGCUUCAGUUCUAUGUCUUUUCCCUGUAGCGGGGAUUUGCCCCUUUGAGCCAAAUGACGGUGCCAAUUUUCCACGGGGCUUCUAGUUGGCCAAAGAAUUUUUCAACCCUGGCAUCUAUUCCCUAGAAAUAUCCCUCGUAGCAUCCAAACGAAGCCCAAAUGUGCCUUAGUGGACAAAUCCCCUCCCCCCCAAAGUUUUAUUCGGUACAAUUUUGACCCUGAAAUCUCCAAAACCGGACAAAUUUACCCCUCAAGUGGUUUUGCUAUGAUUUGGGUGGUUUUGGAUUGUGUUGCAGGGUGGACAUGGCGAUGUAGCUCAAGGUGGCGGUCACCGCAACACGGGUGCAUGCGGGGCGCGCGAUUCCCGCUGGAGUGGGUGAAACAAGGGGGAGGGAAGGGGAAGGAGGGGCUAGGGUGUCGGAGGCGAAGCUGUAGCACCUCAGCGAGGAGCAUCGGGCGUCCAUGGCAGUUGGAUGAAUGACACAGAGGAGAGAGGUGGAGAGAGGAGGAAGAUGACAUCAAAUCCAAAACCGCUUUAGGGGCACAUUUGUCUGGUUUUGAAAAUUUUAGGGNNNNNNNNNNNNNNNNNNNNNNNNNNNNNNNNNNNNNNNNNNNNNNNNNNNNNNNNNNNNNNNNNNNNNNNNNNNNNNNNNNNNNNNNNNNNNNNNNNNNNNNNNNNNNNNNNNNNNNNNNNNNNNNNNNNNNNNNNNNNNNNNNNNNNNNNNNNNNNNNNNNNNNNNNNNNNNNNNNNNNNNNNNNNNNNNNNNNNNNNNNNNNNNNNNNNNNNNNNNNNNNNNNNNNNGGGGGGUAUUUGUCCAUUGAACCACAUUUGAGGGUGAAAAAUGAACUUCUUUCUAUCCAUUAUGUUGCAUUAUGCACCUUGAGAAUGGAACAUGGGCAUGAAUCUGGCUGGAUGUGCCUCUUUGAAGUCACUGCCAUUUGGUCGAACUGGUUUGCAAUCUACUACUCCCCUUGUCCAAGGUACUCUUUCGCUUUCUUGGGCAUAUGAUUUUUGCACCAACCGUGAAUGGUACCCGGCAUCACUUCUUCUAUGGCAACGACCUCCAUCCCGAGCUUGGUCUAUUUUACACAAAAUAGAAUACAAAAAGCCAUUAAAGAUUUGUUGGUACCCCAUGGGAAACAAACGAGGUUGAUUUCUCUCUCUCUCUCUCUCUCUCUCUCUCUCUCUCUCUCUCUCAAUUCGGCCUGGGGGGGCUCCUAUCAUUUUGAAGAAUUCAGUGAAAAUCCAUAGAAACAAAUAUUUUUCAAAUACCUGAGCACUUUUUAAUUUGUAAAUAUUUUUCAAAUUCCUGAGCAUUUUUUAACUCGUAUUUUUUUUAAAAAAAUUAACAAAUACUCUUUUUGGUUCGUGAACAUUUUCGCAAUAGGCAAACAUUUUGGUAUGUUCAAGAACAUUACUCAAAUUCACCAACAUUUUCCAAUUGCACAGAAAAUUUUCAAGUUUGUGAACAUUUUAUUAAAUACAUGAACAAUUUUUCAUAUCCAUGAACAUUCUUCCAACUUCAUGAACAUGUUUUCAAAUAUGCGAACAUAUUUCCUUAUUCACGAACAUUUCUCAAAUUUGUGAAUAUUUUUCAAAUAUGUGAACAUUUUUUUAAGUUUGGAAACUUUCUCUCAAGUUUGCAAACAAUUUUAUAAAUACAUAAACGUUUUUUCGUAUUGGGGAACAUUUUCAAAAUACACUCCUCGAAGAUGAAUACCAGGCAUCCUCGGCCAGUAUUUUUGUUUCUGAAACUGGGCCGAAACCAGGGCAGUAAAUGCAAAGUGAUAAACUUUUUGUUGAUGGACUGAUCGAUUGUUCCACGGGCGUAACUACCUCCACACGGUGCAAAUUCAAAGUCUGCGAGCGCUAUGUCUCGCAGUACGCGAGACGGUAGCAGCUCAAGCUGACGUUUUUUCCUCUCCUCAUGUCGUAUUGGACCGGCCCAUCCGCGCGCGCAUAUGGUUAGAAAAAGAGCUGAGGAAUGGCGGAACCAGGAUCGAUUCUUGGUCUCAAAGGUGACCACGGGUGCUGCUACCAGUCCGACCAAGUCCCGUUCAUGAUAAGUUGUAGGUGCAUGUCGUACUUGAGGCGAUUCAAGCCGGUUUUCUUUGAGUUUUUUUUCUUCUUCAUUUUUUCAUUCUUUUUUGCACCCCUUUCUUCAUUUUUUCAUUUCUUUUUUCUUUUGUUUAUUUUUUGUAUACGUCAACAACAUUUUUCUAAUACAUGUCUAACAUUUUUCAAAUACAAACCAACCAUUUUUGCAAUACAUGUUCAACAUUUUUGUAUACACAUUUUUUAAAUGCUUGAUUAUCAUUUUUCAAAUACAAGAUUAACAAUUUUUCAAUAUCUGGUCAACAUUUUUUCCAUUUUUACAAAACAUUUAAACGCUUGAUUAACAUUUUCUUAAUACAUGGUCAACAUUUCUUUCAUACACAUUUAACAUUUUCCAAACACUUGAUUAACAUUUUCAAACCCUUGUUCGACAUUUCUUUCAAAUGCUGGAUUAACAUUUCUAUAUACAUGAUCAAACAUUUUUACCAUUUUUAAUACAUGGUCAACAUUAUUACCGUACAAAUUUAACAAUUUCCCAAUUCUUGAUUAAUAUUUUUAAAUACUCGUUUAACAUUUCCCAAUUUUAGCUAGCUAUGGUGCAAACUAAGUGUUGUGCCUCGUCUUAAUAUAUCUACUAGCAAAUAUGCCCGUGCGUUGCACCGGAAGAUAAAAUAGUAUGCAUUUAAAGGCAGUGAAAAUUAUAUGUGGGCACACGAAAAAAACAUUUAGUUUAUUGGUUUCUCCGCGUGUGAAGGAAUCAAUCCACUAUUUUUCCAUUCAUUGAUCGAGGGCAUUUAAGAGUUUUGUUACAUCAUUGUACGCCAGACAAGGCCCAUGAGUUAUUCAAUAUACUCUUUUUUCCCAUCCUUUCAGUCGAGGAGAUUUUAAGGUAUGAAGUUUCUAAAUAUUUUAGGAAACAUGAAUAAUUUUGUAAAUCCUAAACAGUUUAUAAAGUAUUAUGUACACGUUCAAAAGACGCAAACAAAAAUAUGAAAGGAAAUAUCUUUCAAAAUUCACAAACAUUUUCAGAAAACACCAAAUUUAUAAAAACAUGAACAUUAUUUGAAUUUGUGAACAUUUUUAUAAAAUGGGAACAUGUGUUGAGAAUUUAUAAGAUUUUUAGAAAAUGUUUAUCUUUUAUACACGAACAUUAUUUUUAAUUUUGAAAUUUCACUAAAACAUGAAUAUUUUUAAAAUUUGGAGCAUUUUUUCAAAUGCCAUUUUAUUUUUUGAAAUCCCGAACAAUUUAUAGAAACAAUAAAAAAAUAAAAAAUGGGCAACUUUUUGCAAGUUCCAAAUAUUUUUAAAAAUAACAACAAAAUUUUGGAAUUCUGAACAUUUUUCAAAAUUUCCUUUUUUUAUUCUGAAUAUUUUUUGAGAAUUUUUAGUUUACAAAAUAAAUUCGAAAAAGAAAAAAACUUGGAAGUGAAAAAAGAUAUAGGAAAGGAGAAUAAAAAUAUUAGUAAAACACAGAAAAAAUAAAAACGGGCCAGCCCAUUAUUGGUUGUCGGGUGCGAAACUCUGACUAUUUGUCGCCCAAACCCUUGGGUUUGUAACUCAAUCAAACGGCUAUGGGGAGCUGAACACUUUUCCCAGUCCCCCGGCUUGGAGCGAGGAGAGCGAGCAGAGGAGCUGCGAUGACCAACCAUGUUGGAAUGGUUUUUUCGGAGCGCUCUGUUGGAUGCUUGCUCGAAGGGGGAGAGUGAGGUUUGGAUCUGAGAAUCCCCGUCUCUUCAAAUAGACGGUUAGCCCGAAGGACUGGGGCUGGCAAAUGCAAAAAUGCAUCGGCUCCUCGCAUUCGCUCGACAUGUGAAGAUGGUUAUUAUUGAGGCACUAAAGCCGAGGAGUACAACAUUGAUGGAAUGCCGGACACUAUUCGUCGUAACAGGUACUUUGGAGUAUUCGGAGAUGGAACCCGCUCUGCAAUGCCGAAGACAAGAGUGCGCGCCGGACUCAUCGUCAUUGAAGCCUGGUUCAGGGGCUAUUGAGGGAGUCCUGGAUUAGGGGGUAUUCGGACAGCCGGACUAUAUACUUCGUCCGGACUAUUGAAGCAUGAAGAUACAAGACUCAAGACUCCGUCCCGUGUCCGGAUGGAACUCUCCUUUGCGUGGAAGACAAGCUUGGCGAUCCGGAUAUUGUAUUUCCUUCCUUGUAACCGACUCCGUGUAAACCCUAGCCCUCUCCGUGUCUAUAUAAACCGGAGAGGUUGGUCCUUAGAAGGCCGAUCACAACUACAAUCAUAAUAAUCAUAGGCUAGCUUCUAGGGUUUAGCCUCUACGAUCUCGUGGUAAAUCUACUCUUGUAUUACCCAUAUCAUCAAUAUUAAUCAAGCAGGAAGUACGAUUUUACCUCCAUCGAGAGGGCCCGAACCUGGGUAAACAUUGUGUCCCUUGCUUCCUGUUACCAUCAGCCUAAGACGCACAGACCGGGACCCCCUACCCGAGAUCCGCCGGUUUUGACACCGAUACCCGGCGCGAGGCGAGCAGCCCCGCCAUGGCGCUCGGCCUAGAGCGCGGCACACCGGCAUCCUCUAGAGCGACUUCCCGAUAGCGGAAGUGGCUCCCAGCCCGAAGUGCGCCCACGGUGGUUGGCCUCGGCGAGGACGUCGGCUUCGAGACGGCUCCCAGCGUGCACUGCCGCCUUUGGCCCUGACGUCGCCUAUCGGCGCGUCCCUCCGCGGCGAAGCACGCGGCGACGUUGGCCUGCGGCCAAUCGCGUGGUGACGCGGCCGCUGGCCUGCGAGCCAGAGUGCCGCACAAGGCCACAACGAUGGUGGUCUGCUGCGGUCCCACGCUCCCGGUAGCACGGACCGCGCAGGCUGCAGCGGUGCCCUCCUGUCGACAGCGAAUGGUAGCGCGUAGCCAGGCAGCCCUCGCCUCCGCUGUCCCUCCUUGACGGGCAGUGUGGUGCUCAGCAUCCAGCGAGCGUGGCCAUCCAUCGGGAGAUGCGAUGCAUGGCCUCGAAGACAUGGAGUCGCACACGGGAUUGCUGCAGCGUGGAAAGCCAAAGGAAUCCUUAGUUUGGUAACCACACAUAUGAAAAACGUGGAUGGAGCCUUAUCUCUUCGUCGUUUUUCAUUUAGCCAUCAACAUUUUACUGAUUCAUGAAUCAGUCUGCACUUUUCUGUUGGGCCCUCCCCAUUCUCUGUUGAGUUUUAAAAUUACAGAGAUGCAUGGUUGUUAAUGCUCGAUAUUGUUUUUGCGAUUGAGAUUCAAUUUUCUCGUACAAUAAUAUUGGUUUGCGAUUGAAAAUAUCAUUAAUAUUUUCUCGUAAAACCGCAGAUUAAUUCACUUGGAUGAAUUAUAUUGUAAAUUUGAGGCAUGACGACGUGGGAUGCUCAAUAUUUUGAGAUGUACACAAUUCAAGUUUUUCACUUGAGCAUCAAAUUUGCAUUUAUUAUUUGCAAUUGAGAAUUUUCUUUUAUCUCUUGCAAAGAUAAAUUCAGUACCCCUUCAGUAUUGAUUUGCGAUUGAGAAUUUCUUCUCUCGCAAAACAAUCUCAUUGCGAUUGAGAUUAAUUUUCUCUCGCAAAAUAUUAAUUCACCUUGCUGAAUUAUCUUGCAACUUGAUACAAGAACAUCUCAUUUAAUUUGAGGUGUAUAAUUCAAGUUUUUUUCACUUGAACGUCAAGUUUGCAACAUCAUUACUAUUCAUUAUAAUAGUGGUGUAUUUCUGUUGAGUAUGAUGUAUUCCGGAAUAUAUGUAUCUCCAUGUUCGCUACAUGUCGAGAUUAAUACGUUUAUUUGCAAUUGAGAUUUUUAAUUUCUUGCAAAUACAGAUGCAAAAUUCUUAGUGAUUUCUUCAAAUCGAUGUAUUGGGAUCCCGAGGUAGUGUGUAGAACUGCUUUGCAGAUUAUCACCACUAUUGUUUAAGCCUACAUUUUGUCAAAUUUGACAUUAUGAUUGCACAACAUUGUGCACUCCCAUGCAUUUUACUAAGUCAUGACAUAAGGCAUUAGGAGUGAGUAUCUACUGAUUUCAUCAGAUUAUACUCCCUAGUGCUGCGAGAUCUACUUCAUUUUGGAGAUUAUCUUCAAGGUGUCAUUCUUAGCAAUUUGAGAUUCACAUUAAUGGUUUCAAGAUAACUUCUUGAAAUAUCCAUUAAUGUUACAAUAUUACCAUGAUGGUCUUUAGUUUCUAAUUGUAAAUUAAUUAUCUCUGGUAAUCGAUGGCUUGAGAAUUUGAGGCAUUCGCCCUCAAACGCCACCACUACCAUACCUGGGCAUGGACAUCAUGAUCACUCUUGUGUCUUGUGGAAUAGUGUGUGCAAUCCAAGACCACAUGAUUAACCUUUGGUCGUAAUCACACCACUAACAGAAAAAUAUUGUCUUAUACAUCAUAAGGCAUUAUAUCGAUUCACAUCUCUGCAUCUGGUUAUUCUGUAUCAGCAAUUCCUAGGACACAACAGACCUCAAGGGCAAAGGUUUGAAUCUUACUUCAACCUUCAAUCCGACAUCACCAGCUGUGACGGGACCCUAUGGGCAUGGAGAAUAAUGUGAUGGUUGAAUAUGCCUCAACCGACAUGUUUGGAGACUAUGAAUAGUCUUUCAAUCUCCUGAGUGGUCAAUAUAAUUAAUGUCCAUUUACGAUGUUGUAACAACAUAAGUAUUGUUGUCAUCAUAUAUUGCAUAUCAGAAUAUAUUGUAUCAGCACUUUGGUACAAAUACAUUUGUAUGUAUUCUAUAUAUUUGACAGUGAUUUUCAUAUUGAGAGUCUUCAUGUCUAUAUAUAGAUUUCUAUGGGAGUCAAUCCGAUGAAAAAUGAUAUGUGCCUUGUGUGGACAUAUGCACCACAAACUCUAUACAUAGGGAAGUCCAAUGUCUCCACUCUCAUUGAGAGAAAGGAGAUAUUUUAAAAUCGCUAGAUGCGAUGAGGUAUUUGUUGGCUCAACUCGAGUCAUAUUUACUAUCCCUGUGGGUACUCGAGUAACAUCGGGAUGCUUUAUUGCUUCCCAGGUUUAACUCGUACCCUAGUAAGCUAUGGAGGUAUCCGUCAAAAUAGUUUCCAUAACGAAACUUAUGAUGACAACAAAGAGAAAUAACUUCUCUUUACCACAUGCAACAGAUAUGGCAAGAACAUUCUCUGUGUAUCAUCUGGAUUGUACUACACAUACGACACAGCCCGUAGAACAUGUUGCAUACGAGGUAGUUUUCAAGAAUGUCUUGUACAUGACAAGCUUGGUAUACUAAUGACCCACAAGUAUAGGGGAUCUAUCGUAGUCCUUUCGAUAAGUAAGAGUGUCGAACCCAACGAGAAGCAGAAGGAAAUGAUAAGUGGUUUUCAGUAAGGUUUUCUCUGCAAGCACUGAAAUAGUAGGUGAUAGAUAGUUUUGUGAUAAGAUAAAUAGUAACGAGCAAAAAGUAAAUAAAGUAAAUAAAGUGCAGCAAGGUGGCCCAAUCCUCUAUGUAGCAAAGGAUAAGCCUGGACAAAUUCUAAGAAUGAAGAAGGAGCUCCCGAGGACACAUUGGGAAUUAUCGUCAAGCUAGUUUUCAUCACAUUCGUAAGAUUCGUGUUCGGUACUUUGAUAAUUUGAUAUGUGGGUGGACCGGCACUUGGGUACUUCCCUAACAUGGACAAGCAUCCCACUUAUGAUUAACCCAUAUUGCAAGCGUCCGCAACUACAAAAAGGAGUAUCAAGGUAAACCUAACCACAUCAUUAAACAUAUGGGUCCAUAUCAACCCCUAACGAAGCAAUGCAUAAACUAGGGUUUAAGCUUCUAUCACUCUAGCAACCCAUCAUCUACUUAUUACUUCCCUAUGCCUUCCUCUAGGCCCAAAUAAUGGUGAAGUGUCAUGUAGUCGACGUUCACAUAACACCACUAGAGGAAAGACAAUAUACAUCUCAUCAAAAUAUCGAACGAAUACCAAAUUCACAUGACUACUAAUAGCAAGACUUCACCCAUGUCCUCAGGAAUAAACGUAACUACUCACAAAGCAUAUUCAUGUUCAUAAUCAGAGGGGUAAUAAUAUGCAUAAAGGAUCUGAACAUAUGAUCUUCCACCAAGUAAACCAAAUAGCAUCAACUACAAGGAGUAAUCAACACUACUAGCAACCCACAGGUACCAAUUUGUGGUUUUGAUACAAGAUUGGAUACAAGAGAUGAACUAGGGUUUUGAGAGGAGAUGGUGCUGGUGAAGAUGUUGACGGAGAUUGACCCCCUCUCGAUGAGAGGAUCGUUGGUGAUGACGUUGGUGAUGAUUUCCCCCUCCCGAAGGGAAGUGUCCCCGGCAGAACAGCUCCGCCAGAGCCCUAGAUUGAUUCCGCCAAGGUUCCGCCUCGUGGCGGCGGAGUUUCGUCCCGUAAGCUUGCCCACGAUUUUUUCCAAAGGGAAAGUGAUGAUAUAGCAGAAGAUGGACGCCGGAGGCCCACCAGGGGCCCAGGAGAUAGGGGGCCGCGCCCUGGGGGGGGGGGGGGCGCCCCCUGUCUCCUGGACAGGGUGUGGGCCCCCUGGCCUAUUUCUUUUGCCCAUAAAUUCUUAUUAAAUCCAAAAAGUUGUUUCGUGGAGUCUCAGGUCUUUUGGAGUUGAGCAGAAUAGGUUUCCAACGUUUGCUCCUUUUCCAGCCAGAAUUCCAGCUGCUGGCAUCCUCCCUCUUCAUGGUAAAGCUUAUAAAAUAAGAGAGAAUAGCCAUAAGUAUUGAGAUAUAAUGUGUAAUAACAGCCCAUAAUGCAAUAAAUAUUGAUAUAAAAGCAUGAUGCAAAAUGGACGUAUCAACUCCCCCAAGCUUAGACCUCGCUUGUCCUCAAGCGAAAGCCGAAAUCGAAAAAUAUGUCCACAUGUUUAGAGAUAGAGGUGUCGAUAAAAAUAAAAUACGGACAUGAGGGCAUCAUGAUCAUUCUAAUAACAGCAACAUAUAUGGAUUUUGUCAUAUGAUUUCCUAUGUUCAAGUAAUAAGCAAUUCACAAUGUCAAGUAUGGUUCAAAAAUUUCAUUGGGAACUAACAAACUAUAAUCUCAGUCAUUGAAGCAAUUGCAAUUUAUCAUAACAUCAGAAAGAGUCAAUAAUAGAGCUUUUCAGCAAGCUCACAUACUCAACUAUCUCGUAGUCCCCUAUAAUUGUUAACACUCACGCAAUACUUGUGGUUAUAGAGUUUUAGCCGGACACUGAGAAAGAUAGGGCCUUAUUGUGUUGCCUCCCAACAUAUUCACCUUUAGGUGAUGUCAACAAUAAUAGCCUAUGCCAACUUACAUCCAAUUGGAUAUAUGUAUCAUGAUCUUUCAAACACGAGGAGCUUGCCAAAGGAUAAAAAUAAAAAGGGAAAGGUGAGUAUCACCUUGACUCAAGCAUAAAGUAAAAACAUAAAGUAAAAGAUAGGUCCUUCGCAGAGGGAAGCAGAGGUUGUCAUGCGUGUUUAGGGUUGAUGCACGAAAUCUUAAUGCAAAAGAAUGUCACUUUAUAUUGCCCCUUGUAUGUGGACCUUUAUUAUGCAAUCCGUCGCUUUUAUUACUUCCACAACAAGUUUGUACAAAGCUUAUUUUCUCUGCACUAUUAAGUCAUACAUAUUUAGAGAGCAAUUUUUAUUGCUUGCACCGAUGACAACUUACUUGAAGGAUCUUACUCAAUCCAUAGGUAGGUAUGGUGGACUCUCAUGGCAAAACUGGGUUUAAGGAUAUUUGGAAGCACAAGUAGUAUUUCUACUUGGUGGAAGAAAUUUGGCUAGCAUGAGGGGGAAAGGCAAGCUCAACAUGUUUGGAAAGUCAAUGACAAUAUACUUUAACUGAGAUGUCGGAAAACAUAAACCAUUACGUUGUCUUCCUUGUCCAACGUCAACUCUUUUAGCAUGUCAUACUUAAUGAGUGCUUCACAAUCAUAAAAGAUGUCCAAGAUAAUAUAUUUAUAUGUGAACCCCUCUUUCCUUAUCACUUCCUAUUAAUUGCAAUGAUGACCAAGGCUACGUUCAUCAACUCUCAACAUUUUUUAUGCCUCAUACUUUCUAUGUGUGAAGUUAUCACUAUCCAUAGGAUCAAUAUGAACUCUUUUGUUCUUUCUACUUUCUCAAGAUCAUAGCAACAUUGCAAAGCCCUUGACUCAACACUAAUCUUUAUUAUAGAUAGCACACGGACUCGAUUACAUAAAGAGAUCACAAUGAAAAACUCAAACUACUUGAUAUCAAAACUUUGAACUAAUAGAUCAAGAUACUACUAAAAGGAUCGAACUAAAUAAAGCGGUAAAAAUAGGAGUGUGAUGGUGAUACGAUACCGAGGCACCUCCCCCAAGCUUGGCAGUUGCCAAGGGGAGUGCCCAUACCCAUGUGAUUAUUUCUUCGGAGAUGGUGAAGUAGGAGUUGUUGCACUUUUCUUCUCUAGCUUGAGUCUGAGGCUAAAAUUUUCCUCCCUCAGAUCCUCAUUCUCGAGCUCAAGUUUCAUUGUCUUUUUGCAUAGUGUUGCCUUGCUGUCCUGCAAAAAACGUGGUGGGAUAGAUUGGACCUUAGGGAGGCUUGACUUCUUGAACUCCACAUGCAUAUCACCAGGUUGAGGCAGUGGAUCGUCCUCUUCAUCAGAGCUUGUCUCCUGCUUCCUCUUUGGAUCAUAGUCUUCUUCUUCCUCUAUGGUCCAGCCAUAAUGUUCCACAUCCCCAUAUACUUUUGGGUUUGCAAUAUAAUCAGCCAUGUAGUUCUCUCCCUCCGAAUCUUGGGACGACAUCUUGUUCCAAAUCUGCAACAGGAACAGCUCGAAACGAAAAUAGAGGAUAUUUGCGCGAUACGGUGGUCAAAAACUUCGGGAGUAAAUAUAGUGAAUUUUUACCGACCAAAAUACGUAACAUACAAGAAAACGGAGUCCAGGAGGCACACGAGGUGCCCACGAGACAGGGGCGCGCCCUAUAGGGGGCCCCUCCUCUCUCGUGGGAGCCUUGUGCCCCUUUCGGACUACUUCUUUCUUCCUAAAAUCUUUAAAUAAUCCAAAACUGAUAAAAAUUGCCAUUAGAGUUGUUUUGGAGUCGGUUUACUUAGCGUACCACGUACCUCUGCCUUUUCAGAGUCUGGAACGUUCUGGAAAGUGUCUCUUAUGUAUUCCUCAGGGGUUAUGGUUUCAAUAAUAUUAGUUUCAACAUUUAUAGGAUUACGUGAAAUAUAAUGUUUAAUUCUUUAACCGUUUACCACCCUCGGAUUUGCGCCUUCGACGUUGUUGAUUUUUAUAGCACCAGAACGAUAGACCUCCUCGAUAACGUAGGGACCUUCCCAUUUUGAGAGAAGUUUUCCUGCAAAAAAUCUUAAACGAGAGUUGAACAAUAACACACAAUCUCCUACGUUAAACUCACGCUUCUGUAUCCUCUUAUCAUGCUAGCAUUUGACUUUUUCUUUGAAAAGCUUGGCAUUCUCAUAUGCUUGGGUUCUCCAUUCAUCAAGUGAGCUAAUAUCAAACAACCUCUUCUCACCGGCAAGUUUGAAGUCAUAAUUGAGCUCUUUAAUAGCCCAAUAUGCUUUAUGUUCAAGUUCAAGAGGUAAAUGACAUGCUUUUCCAUAAACCAUCUUAUAUGGAGACAUACCCAUAGGAUUUUUGUAUGCAGUUCUAUAGGCCCAUGAUGCAUCAUCAAGUUUUUUGGACCGAUUCUUUCUAUAUCUAUUCACAGUCUUUUGCAAAAUUAAUUUGAGCUCUCUAUUGCUCAACUCUACUUGACCACUAGACUGCGGGUGAUAAGGAGAUGCGAUUCUAUGAUUGACAUCAUACUUAGCGAGCAUCUUACGGAAAGCACCAUGAAUAAAGUGUGAACCACCAUCAGUCAUAAGAUAUCUAGGGACUCCAAACCUCGGAAAAAUAACUUCUUUAAGCAUUUUAAUAGAAAUGUUAUGAUCAGCACUACUAGUUGGAAUAGCUUCUACCCACUUAGUAACAUAAUCAACAGCAACUAAAAUAUGUGUAUAACCAUUGGAGGCAGGAAAAGGUCCCAUAUAAUCAAAGCCCCAAACAUCAAAUGGUUCAAUAACAAGAGAAUAAUUCAUAGGCAUUUCUUGACGUCUACUGAUGUUACAUAUUCUUUGACAUUCAUCACAAGAUAAGACAAACUUACAAGCAUCUUUGAAAAGAGUAGGCCAAUAAAAACCAGAUUGUAGUACCUUGUGUGCAGUUCUAUCUCCAGCGUGGUAUCCUCCGUAGGAUUCAGAGUGACACUUGCGUAGGAUUUGUUCCUGUUCAUGCUCAGGCACACAACGUCUAAUAAUACCAUCUACUCCUUCUUUAUAAAGGUGUGGAUCAUCCCAGAAGUAAUGUCUUAAAUCAUAAAAGAACUUUUUCUUUUGCUGGUAUGUGAAACUAGGCGGUAUAUAUUUAGCAACAAUGUAAUUAGCAUAAUCCGCAUACCAAGGAGCAGUACGAGAAGCAUUGAUGACUGCUAAUUGUUCAUCAAGAAAACUAUCAUUAAUAGGCAGUGGGUCAUCAAGAACAUUCUCUAACCUAGACAAGUUGUGUGCAACGGGGUUCUCAGCUCCCUUUCUGUCAAUAAUAUGCAAGUCAAAUUCUUGGAGCAAGAGAACCCAUCUAAUGAGUCUAGGCUUAGCAUCUUUCUUUUCCAUAAGAUAUUUAAUAGCAACAUGAUCAGUGUGGAUAGUAACUUUGGAAUCAACAAUAUAAGGUCUAAACUUAUCACACGCAAACACAACUGCUAAGAAUUCUUUUUCAGUGGUAGCAUAAUUUCUCUGGGCAGUAUCAAGAGUCUUGCUAGCAUAAUGGAUAACAUUCAAUUUCUUAUCGACUCUUUGCCCUAAAACAGCCCCUACAGCAUAAUCACUAGCAUCGCACAUAAUUUCAAAAGGUAAAUUCCAAUCAGGUGGCUGAACAAUAGGUGCAGUGAUCAAAGCUUUCUUAAGUGUUUCGAAUGCUUCUACACAAUCAUCAUCAAAGACAAAAGGAAUAUCUUUUUGCAAUAAAUUAGUCAGGGGCCUAGAGAUUUUAGAGAAGUCCUUAAUGAACCUCCUAUAAAAGCCGGCAUGACCAAGGAAACUUCUUAUACCUUUUAUGUCCUUGGGACAUGGCAUCUUUUCAAUAGCAUCAACUUUGGCUUUAUCAACUUCAAUACCUAUCUCGGAGAUCUUGUGCCCCAAGACAAUGCCUUCAUUAACCAUAAAGUGACACUUUUCCCAAUUCAGGACGAGACUAGUGUCUUCGCAUCUCUGCAAAACUCGAUCAAGGUUGCUCAAACAAUCAUCAAAAGAGGAUCCAUAGACGGAGAAGUCAUCAAUGAAUACUUCACAAAUCUUUUCACAAAAAUCAGAAAAUAUAGCCAUCAUGCAUCUUUGAAAGGUAGCAGGUGCAUUACAUAAACCAAAAGGCAUACAUCUAUAAUCAAAAGUACCAAAAGGGCAAGUAAAAGUAGUUUUAGAUUGAUCCCCCGUUGAUACAGGUAUCUAAGAGAAGCCAGAAUAACCAUCUAGAAAGCAAAAAUGUGUGUGUUUGGAUAGCCUCUCUAGCAUUUGAUCAAUAAAAGGUAAAGGGUAAUGACCUUUCUUAGUAGCUUUAUUUAACUUACAAAAAUCAAUUACCAUCCUAUAGCCUGUAAUAAUUCUUUACGGGAUCAAUUCAUCUUUAUCAUUAGGAACAACAGUAAUACCUCCCUUUUUAGGGACACAAUGGACAGGGCUUACCCAUUCACUAUCAGCAACGGGAUAAAUAAUACCUGCCUCAAGGAGCUUUAGUAUCUCCUUUCUUACCACUUCCUUCAUUUUGGGAUUUAAUCGUCUUUGAGGAUCUCUAACUGGUUUGGCAUCUUUCUCCACUGAGAUUUUGUGUUGACAUAAUGUGGGAGUAAUGCCCUUAAGAUCAUGCAGAGUAUAUCUAAUAGCAGCUCAGUGCUUCUUCAAAGUUUUCAAUAAUCUUUCUUCUUCUUUCUCUGAAAGGUUAGCACUAAUAAUAACAGGAUAUAUUUCUUUUUCAUCAAGAUAAGCAUACUUAAGAUUAUCAGGUAAAGGUUUGAGUUCAAACACGGGGUCACCCUUGGGUGGAGGGGUAUCCCCAAGAAUUUCAACGGGAAGGUUAUGUUUCAGCAUAGGUUCUUGUUUAAGGAACACUUCAUCUAUUUCUUCCCUUUCCUUCAUAAACAUAUCAUUUUCAUGAUCUAGCAAAUAUUGUUCUAACGGAUCAGUUGGUGGAACAGCAAUGGAAGCAAGACCAAUAAUUUCAUCCUUACUAGGUGGUUCCCUUUCACGAGGUUGUCUACUAAACUUGGCAAAAUUAAACUCAUGAGACAUACCAUCUAUGCCAACAGUGACAAUAUUCUUUUCACAAUUAAUCUUAGCACUAGCAGUAUUCAAGAAGGGUCUACUAAAAAUAAUGGGACAAAAAUCAUCUUGUGGGGAACCAAGAACAAGAAAAUCAGCAGGGAAUUUAAUCUUCCCACACAAGACUUCAACAUCUCUAACAAUCCCAAUAGGUUUAAUGGUGUCCCUAUUAGCAAGCUUAAUAUUAACAUCAAUGUCUUCUAAUUCAACAGGUGCAAUAUCGUGCAUAAUUUCUUUAUAAAGAUCAUAAGGUAUCGCAUUAGCACUAGCAUCCAUAUCACAUAAACCAUGGUAUAAUGAUCUCCUAUUUUAAUAGAAAUAACAGGCGUGCCUACGACAGGUCUACGUGUCUUAGUAUCGGGUCUAGCAAUAUUAGCAGUUUCACCCAAGAAAGAGAUAACAUGCCCAUCUAAGUCCUCAUCCAAAAGAUCUUUAAUCAUAGCAAUACCGGGUUCAACAUUAAUUUGCUCAGGAGGUGUAUAGGUCCUAGUAUUACUCUUACGGACAACAGUCGAAGCUUUAACAUGAUCUUUUAUCCUAACAGGAAAAGGAGGUUUUUCAACAUAAGCAGUAGGAAUAAUGGGAUCACUAUAUGUAAUAGUCUUUUCUUCGACUGUAAUGGGUGCAACUACUUUAACUUCAACAUGAGGAUUAUAUCUAAACCACUUCUCUUUAGGGAGAUCAACGUGAGUAGCAAAAGUUUCACAAAAAGUAGCUACUAUCUCAGAGUCAACUCCAUACUUAGAGCUAAAUCCACGGAAAGCAUCGGUAUCCAUAAAAGAUUUAACACAAUCAAACUUAGGUGUCAUACCUGACUCCUUACCAUCGUCGGAACCCCAAUCUUCAGAGUUGAGUUUAAUUCUUUCCAAUAAGUCCCAUUUGAAAUCAAUAGUCUUCAGCAUAUAGGAACCAGCACAGGAAGUAUCGAGCAAGUUGCGAUUAUCAAGAGAAAGCCGAGCAUAAAAAUUCUGAAUAAUCAUUUCCCGAGAGAGCUCAUGAUUGGGGCAUGAAUACAACAUUGACUUAAGCCUCCCCCAAGCUUGAGAGAUGCUUUCUCCUUCGCGAGGCCAAAAAUUAUAUAUGUAAUUACAAUCACGAUGAACAAGAUGCAUAGGAUAGAAGUUCUGGUGAAAUUCCAACUUCAAUCGCUUAUAAUUCCAAUAUCUCGUAUCAUCACAUAGCCUAUACCAUGUCAUUGCACCUCCCUUCAAAGAUAAAGGGAAUACCUUCCUUUUGACAACAUCAUCAGGAAUACCUGCAAGCUUAAAUAAUCCACAAACUUCAUCCACAAAGAUAAGGUGUAAAUCGGGAUGCAAUGUUCCAUCUCCUGCAAAAGGAUUAGCUAGCAGUUUUUCUAUCAUACCCGAAGGAAUCUCAAAGUGAAUAUUUUCAUAAGGUUUGGUAGGUUGAGGAGCAUCUCUUUGCUCUUCUGGUUGGGGUGAAGAUACCCCAAACAAGCCCCUCAGAGGAUUAGUUUCCAUAGUGACAAGUAACAGAAAAUUUCAGCACACUAUAUAAAUGUUUCCUUACCAAGUUCCACUCACCAAGAGCACUACACUCCCCGACAACGGCGCCAGAAAAGAGUCUUGAUGACCCAAAAGUAUAGGGGAUCUAUCAUAGUCCUUUCGAUAAGUAAGAGUAUCGAACCCAACAAGGAGCAGAAGGAAAUGAUAAGCGGUUUUCAGUAAGGUUCUCUCUGCAAGCACUGAAAUAGUAGGUGAUAGAUAGUUUUGUGAUAAGAUAAAUAAUAACGAGCAAAAAGUAAAUAAAGUAAAUAAAGUGCAGCAAGGUGGCCCAAUCCUCUAUGUAGCAAAGGAUAAACCUGGACAAAUUCUAAUAAUGAAGAAGGAGCUCCCGAGGACACAUUGGGAAUUAUCGUCAAGCUAGUUUUCAUCACAUUCGUAAGAUUCGCGUUUGGUACUUUGAUAAUUUGAUAUGUGGGUGGACCGGCACUUGGGUACUUCCCUAACAUGGAAAAGCAUCAAACUUAUGAUUAACCCCUAUUGCAAGCAUCCUCAACUACAAAAAGGAGUAUUAAGGUAAACCUAACCACAACAUUAAACAUAUGGGUCCAUAUCAACCCCUAACGAAGCAACGCAUAAACUAGGGUUUAAGCUUCUGUCACUCUAGCAACCCAUCAUCUACUUAUUACUUCCCUAUGCCUUCCUCUAGGCCGAAAUAAUGGUGAAGUGUCAUGUAGUCGACGUUCACAUAACACCACUAGAGGAAAGACAACAUACAUCUCAUCAAAAUAUCGAACGAAUACCAAAUUCACAUGACUACUAAUAGCAAGACUUCACCCAUGUCCUCAGGAACAAACGUAACUACUCACAAAGCAUAUUCAUGUUCAUAAUCAAAGGGGUAAUAAUAUGCAUAAAAGAUCUGAACAUAUGAUCUUCCACCAAGUAAACCAAAUAGCAUCAGCUACAAGGACUAAUCAACACUUCUAGCAACCCACAGGUACCAAUUUGUGGUUUUGAUACAAGAUUGGAUACAAGAGAUGAACUAGGGUUUUGAGAGGAGAUGGUGCUGGUGAAGAUGUUGAUGGAGAUUGACCCCCUCUCGAUGAGAGGAUCGUUGGUGAUGACGUUGGUGAUGAUUUCCCCCUCCCGGAGGGAAGUGUCCCCGGCAGAACAGCUCCGCCAGAGCCCUAGAUUGAUUCCGCCAAGGUUCCGCUUCGUGGUGGCGGAGUUUCGUCCCGUAAGCUUGCCCACGAUUUUUUCCAGAGGGAAAGUGAUGAUAUAGCAGAAGAUGGACGCCGGUGGCCCACCAGGGGGCCCAGGAGAUAGGGGGCCGCGCCCUAGGGGGGCCCCUGUCUCCUGGACAGGGUGUGGGCCCCCUGGCCUAUUUCUUUUUCCCAUAAAUUCUUAUUAAAUCCAAAAAGUUGUUUCGUGGAGUCUCAAGUCUUUUGGAGUUGUGCAUAAUAGGUUUCCAACGUUUGCUCCUUUUCCAGCCAGAAUUCCAGCUGCCAGCAUCCCCCCUCUUCAUGGUAAACCUUGUAAAAUAAGAGAGAAUAGCCAUAAGUAUUGAGAUAUAAUGUGUAAUAACAGCCCGUAAUGCAAUAAAUAUUGAUAUAAAAGCAUGAUGUAAAAUGGACGUAUCACAUACUCGCCUUGGUCAUCAAGACAUUGGGUUGAAUCUGAAACUAUCAGCAAUUCCAAUAGUUUAUGAUUAUUGUGAUGCUAAAUUCUAACAACAUGUGGAUGUUAUGUGCACUACAAGUGACACAGGAAAGCUAAUUUUAAGGCUCGCACACCUUAAAGUCUACGCUGAGCCAUUCAGAUUCCUGGAAUGCAUCAAGUUGAGGUAAGUGGCUCUUCCCAUCCAUUGACUAGACUAUUCAGGUAUUUCAUGGUUCUAAAAGACAUAUCUACAUGAUGGUCUUAAGUGUGUGCUUUAUUCACACGAAACCAUUGUCUCAUUAUCCUGACAUCGAUUUCAAGCAAAUCGAAUGGAUAACAUUGCAGAAUUCUCCUUGAGUGCCUUCUCUAUGGCCGUUGGAUUGAAGUUUAGCAAUUUGUCCUAAUGUCUAGACUCAAAAUGGUUUGGUAGAAUCCUAUCCAAAGAGUUAAGCUCAUUGCAUUAUCUUUACUUUGGAAUUGCAACUUACCAACUUUACGUUGGAGUCAUGCAGUUUUACACGCUCAUGACAGAACUGCAUAAUAUUAUUCCCCUCUAUCUUUGAUAUGUGGUUAUCUACCAAGUAUUUCCUAUCUGUGGUAAUUCGGUUUCAUACCGAUAUCACCACCCGGCAUACAUCAUUGGCCCCUCAACAUAUAGUUGGGAUCUAUGUGAGGAAUAACUGUAUUUCCGUCAAUACCUCAAGCCCCCCCCCCCCCCCCCAUGGGGGGGAGUUAUUUAAGGCUAGUAUGCUAAUUCAAUGAGGAACAUUUCCAGGCAUUAGGGGGAGAUUUCAAGUACCAUAAAGAAUGCCAGGAAAUUAGUGGAAUGUUCAACACAUUUCUGCCUCAAGUCCACAUACUCAAAGAUCUGAACCAUGCGUUCAGAAGAUUUGCAACACAUUGCAAAUAACCUGCCAGAUUCAUUUACUGACUAUAAAGGUGUCAUACAAUCCUACAAUCCUGAAAAAUAUGUCGGAAAGAGUGGAGGUACCAACUAAAAUCACCCAACUCCCCGUUCAAAGCAACAGGGGGAGAAGUACGACAAUAGUACAUCAGGAUUCAGCUUCUCACAAGCAAGGAUAUCAAGGCCUGUGAAUCAGUAAAUGCAAGUCAACUUCACAUUGACAGACACCUGAUGGGUAGUAUACACCCAGUGGACGGGAAACCUCCACCAACCCAGGUCAUAGUGCACAAAAUCGCGAGCAGUCACUAUGGGUAACGAUAUUUCCAUCAACUAUAUAUUGAUAUAUAGAUUCUAGAGAAACAUAUAACCGAAAGUCUACAAUUGUCGACAUACAUUUCUCAACUAGAUUGAAAAAACCUUUCAAGUGAUUUAGAUCCAAAGACCAUGGCCAUGGCAAAGUGUGAACAACACUCGGACUGAACUCAAGCAAAGGGUAUAAUCUAGGUAGAAAUGAUCUUGCUCAAUAAUGCAAAGGUAUUCAUAAGCAAUACCGAAACCAGUUUUCUUCUGGAAACAGAAUUGAGAACAAGGAGGUGGUGAAACAAAGAGCAAGUAUUGUAGCACAAGGGUUCACGCAGAUACCCAACUAUUCUCCAGAGGUGGAAUCUCUUUUCGAUAUUUAUAUCAUUGGCAGUUCAAAAUCAUUUAUCUCUGCAGUUGAUAGAUGUAGUGAUUACAUAUCCAUGUAGACCACUAGAUUCAGAUAUUGAUGGUUCCCGGCGGAACCUCAAUUUUGAAUCGAAGCACAAAAUGCAACAUACAUCGUGUAAAAUCAAUAAGUCACGAUAUGACUUAUUAUUAUUACCGGUACAUUUGGUACAACCGACGUAGUGAGUUCCUUAUUCACAAGGAUUACUCUUACAAUGAUGAUUAUCUAUGUUUGUGUGUCUGCAAUGACGACACAUGUAAUCAUCUAAAUGACGGAGUUUAAAAUGAAGGAUUUGGGUGAACCAAAAUACCGCUCAUUACUACAACUUGAGCACCUUCAUACAUUAUGGUAUACUAUGUUGUCUAUAUCCAAAAUAUAUUGGAGAAAUUCAUUGUGGACAAAUCUUAUCCAUCCAUAACACUCAUGGUAGUUCAUUCUCUAGAUAUAGAGAAAGAUCUAUUUAGACCAAGCGAUGAUGGAAAUAAGAUACUGAGACUCAACGUUCCAUAAUGCCAUUGGAUCCACCAAACACAACUGGUUGGUACUCAAGAAUAUCUUUUGAUAUCUCUAAGGCAUUAAACAUCUUGUCCUAGUUUUUCAGUUUCACAGAAAUGUGAACACCGAUAUCAUUGGAUACAUCAAUCAGAUCCCCACUAUGUCAGAUUGUAGACAAGUUUAGUCUUCCUACUAGGUGUGGUAGCCCUCUCAUGAAGAGUAUUCGAAACAGACCUCAUGGCUACAUCCACCAACCAUUAUCUUAAUGUUGCUUCUGUUGCCCAGAUGCAAACAGGUUACGUAAUAAGCAAUAUCACUAUAUUGCAUAUCUUGCAAGUCAAAUCAUGUGACUGAGUUGUUUACCAAGUCUCUACCAACUUCUACAUGCCAUAAAUAUGUUCAUGGAAUUGGUAUGUGAUGGCUUUGGAAUUUGCAAGAAUCAAGGGGAGUAUCUUCCUGAAUUGUUCCUGUUCAAUGCAUCAUAUUAUACUUUUUUUCCUUCAUGAGUUUACUAUAUAGGUUCUCAUAAAGGUUUUUAAUGAGGUAAUAUCAACAUGAGAUCAUAUGUCGUACUUUUCGUUUUCCCCACCGAGGUUUUUAGGAAAGUAUAUACGCCAUAUUUAUUGUCCUCCAAACUCUAUGGGUUUUCUCGUAUUGAGUUAAAAGAGACAAUAACCAUUAUAUGUUGCAUCGUUUUCUCCUUAUUUUUCCCCACUGGGUUUGAAGGAGUUUUAGCAACAUAUCAAACACUAUACUCCUCACAUUUUUCCCACAGGGUUUUUGGAGGAGAACUUAAUCAAGAUGAUGGAUCCUUAUGCAGUCAAGCGGUGAUUAGGAGGAGUGUUAAGAAUAACUAAUCCUAGAUUAAUUAAGGGAUAAUCCCCACUUGUCAGACACAUGUAAUCCCACCCCGUGGGAACCGUCGUUGCGGUUAUUCCUGGAGCGUCGCCUCCGGAACCGACAUAUGUAUCGCGUCCGCUCCUGUUGUAUAUAAGGAUCCGCUUCCAUCAAUAAAGACAAGAGUUGAUUCGCUUUAACCUUCUAACAGUACAACCAUAAUUUUCUUAUCCCUCUCGUUCCCCUAAAUGCUCCUAGUCACUGAAUUAUAUACACCAAAUAAAUCCCUUUGCACGUCGUUAAUGACCAAAAAAAAGUUGAUGCUGGCUAUGUUCUCUGAUGUCAGCAUGAUAUCAUAUAUAGUGAUUAGCAUGAACCAAUCCCUUUGACUCAUGCGUACUCCCUUGGGAAAGAAAUAUAAGAGCGUUUAGAUAACUAAAGUUGUGAUCUAAACACUCUUAUAUUUCUUUAAAGAGGGAGUAUAAAUUAAGAAGUGCAAGAUAAAGAAAUGCUGGUCCUUGAUUUGUUGUUGACUCUUAUAUUCUUUAGAGAGGAAGUAUAAAUUAAGAAGUGCAAGAUAAAGAAUGAUGAUCCUUGAUUUGUUUUUGACGUCAGCAUGCCAUCAUUACCUUGUAGUUAUGAUACAAAUUGGAUCUUUCAUACAGAGUUGGAGGCUUGCUCCUUUGAUCCGCACACGCUUAAACACAAAGAGCAUGUAUAUGUUUUGUCUCCGGAUUUCAACUCGUGCUUGGCCAACAAAUAUGGUCUGAUCGGGACAUCGGGUAGAGCAAAAGGCAAGUUUGCUAAUACGCGUGGAGGAAAUGCCUUUGAUUAGGGCAUCUACAACAGUGACCAGUAAAUUUCCACCCGCAAUUUGUUGGAAUUCCGCCUUCAGAAUCGAUUACAUCAAAUACGAGGAACACACGCGCACAAAAAAGUGACAGCCAAAGGCCCUUGUCGUGCCCUCUUUUCUCUUUAUUUUCUUGUUUCUCAACUCACGGUAUUACAAAUCCGAUGCACCGGUGUGCAUAUAUAUAAACGACCUCACGAGCUAUAGCUAUCUAACCUAAACCGACUUAAACAACUACUCCUGGCCAGACACACGUUGGAACAUAACUAGGACACGGGCAGUAUGCAUGCUAAUUCGUAAUACUACAUGGCUUGCAAACCGGCCACCCCAUGUACAUCUCAACUUACCUAGUUAAUUAUCCGUCCAGCUUGAUCACGAUUACACCAAACUAACUCAGGCAUUGUUUGGAUUAUCCCAACAAUCACCCCUAAUCCAAACAUCCGUCUCUUUAUCCGACGACAUACGAGACACGCAGACAACCACCUGUUCAUCUUGUCAGGCUGGCUGCCUCCGGUGACGCAACUUACCAGACUGCAACUUCGCUCUCCUUGCAAUGAUGAUCACUACUUCAUCUCACCGCAACUUCAUUUGCAUACCAACUCAUAGAUUUUAACCAAUGAAUACCCGGACUAUUAGCCACGCUGUCACAUCUUAGCGUGCUACAUGCAGACUAAACACAUAGCCUCAUGCAUGAACUCAACUUAACUGGUGCGCGUCCAUCUUCACGUUGAUCUUCAUCUUCUCAUCGGUUGAAUGCACGCGGGGAGGCACAACUCUUCACCCACCACAUCUCCACUUUCCCAUCAUCGUUGGUGACACAACUUACCAAACAACGCUCCCUGUCGAGCGGCAACGCAACUCGCCAUAUACGUGCAACUCAACUUCACCGUAUAUGAACUCGCCGGAACUCCAUGAUCACGAACGGAAACGCAAGGCACAAUUUACUUUUUCCAUCCACUCUAACUCUUAAUUCUCAUCAGCCAGUGACGCGUCUCAACUACAGCAGAUGACUCACACCCCCGAAUUCUUGGACGCACCAUACAAGAACUCAUGCACACCUCGACGACAGCCCGCAUGUUUGCCGUCACCACCUUGCUCUCAUUUGCAAUGAUAUCGAUGGUUUCCCUGGUGUCGCAACUUCGGCACCUCCAUAACCAUCACCAAUCACCAAUGCCUUGUCGACGACAGCAUGUCGCCCUCCUCCAGGUCGUUCCGCCGAACGACAAUCACGAGCCGCCUCGCUUACGACAGUGUCCUCGCCACCUUCUCACCGUCGCUACGCCGAGCAAAGAUCACCCGAUCCUCCUCGUACGUCGCUCCCCGAACGACUAUUGCCUGCUCCACCUCGUCGCUGCACCACCCAGCGACUAUAUCGCCCGCUCUUCCUCGUCGCUGUACCACCGAACGACUAUAUGGCCCGCCCCGAGGCGCUAGUAGAUCGCCACCCCGGGGCAAGCGCAGCUGUACUGGAACCUUGCUCUAGAGACCAAUUGUUGGAAUUUCGCCCUCAGGAUCGAUUACAUCAGAUACGAGGAACACACGCACACAAAAAAAAUGAUAGCCAAGGGCCCUUGUCGUGCCCUUUUUUCUCUUUAUUUUUUUGUUUCUCAACUCAAGGUGUUACAAAUCGGAUGGACCGGUGUGCAUAUAUAUAAAUGACCUCACGAGCUAUAGCUAGCUAACCUAAACCGACUCAAACAACUAAUCCUGGCUGGACACACGUUGAAACAUAACUAGGACAUGGGCAGCAUGCAUGCUAAUUCCUAAUACUACACGGCUUGCAAACCGGCCACCCCACGUACAUCUCAACUUACCUAGUUAAUUAUCCGGCCAGCUUGAUCACGAUUACACCAAACUAACUCAGGCAUUGUUUGGAUUAUCCCAACACAAUCGUCCACGGACAGAGGACCAGUCCGUGGACAUCUAUACAUGAAACCGCCAUCCAACCCAGUUUGCAUACCUUUCAAACACUUUUUUAACAAACCAGAUGAAAUUCAUGCAAAGACAGUGAAAUUCAUACAAAUCGCACGAAAACGUUUACAUUUUGGACAUAUCUUUUAACUAAAAAUGAUACUAGAGUAACAUGAAACUACUCAGCGUCGGCGAAUAGCCACUCCGGCGACAUGGAUAGCCUUGACUAGUCUACUGCCGGCCGCAAUGGAUCUCCAUUGCCGUCCCCAUGUCCCGUAGCUGUGAGCCCUGGAGGUAUAUGCUUUAGCACAAAGAGCGGCUCGCUUCCCUACCGCUCAUCGGAGUGGAACAACCGGUUGAUGCUUUUGCCGGUGGGGAAGGGUCCCUACACUGCAUGGAUAGGAGUUGGUUUUGGGUAGGGGACGACGGUGGCUUGCCAGAGGGCAAGACAUCGGGUGUGUACUCCGGCGUCACCUUGGCGUGGCAUUCAUGGGACCCAAGCGGCAGCGGCUCCUCGAUGAUGGCGGCGAGUGUGGACGUGCUGGCCACCACCUAGUCGAUGUCUGCGCAGCCCGUUUCUUUCUCUGCAGGCAGGGAGUGGCUACGCGCACGUUGACAUCAUAUGACGCGGCCGCAGGCAUGGGAGGGGCGGUACGACAUGGCACCGUCGACGGCAGCCACGAUGCCCAUGCAGCCGUGCUCCCCGCCGGUGCCGACCUGUAACAACUCGCCACUCCUCAGUUCGUGACCGCCGGGCUCGAUGGGCCACCCAGCCGUUUUUAUGCCGGAAUACUCUUCUUCCUACUCGUCGGAUGCCAUGAAGAAAACUUCUCAAGGAGGAUAAUGGUGAGUGGAGGUAUGGUACGGUUCUUGCCCGACGUCUGACAUUGUUUAAAUAGCGGGCGAACACGAGAAGCCAACCAAUGUUCUGUUUAUUGCCGGCCGACUCGCAAACGGACAUGUGGUUGGAGUAGGUAUCUUGGCACACACACGGGUUUAAUGAAGGAAGGCGGGCAGUCUGCAACCGUUUGAAUGGGGGCGAGCAUGCAUGUUCAGCAUGGCGUGCAGCGCCCUCAGCCAGUGUGCCGCUUCCAUUGCGGAGGCAGUAAGGGAUGCGUACGCUCUGCAGUGGAGUGAAUACGGGCAGCUGGUGCAGGGCGGGAACAUGUGCGGGCAUGGGAGGAGGCGGUUUGGAUGGGCACGUGUGAUAAGAAGCAGUCAUGGGUGCUGUCUGGACACCCGCAAAGCCCGCCUCCCCCACGUUUGUCUCCGGUUUGUGGGAGAAAGUAUGUCCGGACCGUCCUAUGGACCAAUACAGGCCCGCAUUGGAUGGCACAACACGUAUGGACCACGUAGUCCGGAUGGUUGCAGAUGAUUUGAUGGUCGACGUUGGAUAUGCCCUUAGCGCUUAUGAAUCCAUUGUGUUUUUCUAAUCAUAAAAAGCACUUAUGACAAGUUAUAAUGAAAGACACGUAUAUAUGUUAGGUUCGGACUCCAACUUUCCCAUUGCAUAUGAAUUUUUCUGAUCCGACCCAUACCAAUAGAAUGAGGCUAGCGUCGUUUUUCUAGAAACUCGCGGGAUAAGAAGACAUGCAUACAUAUUAUUUCAAGGAAAUCACAUCCACUAUUUUUAACUUAAUUUUUCUUAUUUUAAUAAUAUAAUAGAUCAUUUGUAUUUGCUAAUCAAAAUAUAAUUUCUAUCUUAAUACAAUCCAUUAUUUAACUACUCUAUUGAUUUGUAUUUAAAAACAUAUAUUUUUAGCACGCAUAAAAAACAUAACAUGUAUCUUUCCACACAAACUAUAGGUUGUCAUGAAAACUCAUGCCAUGCCAUAGCCUCCCUCCGACCCUGCCAACAUUGUUGCAGCUGCACUCGCAAGCCUUAGCGUGGAUGAUCAUUUAUAUGAUUUGCGUAAAACAAACUAAGAUCUACAAACGAAUAGAAGCUAGAACAUACCUUGGUAUGCACACACAUUGCAAGCCAUACUAAGCUGAUAAGUGUCAAUAACUUGUACAACAUAUACAACACCGAAGACAAGUAAAAGCAAUUUGAUGAGUCAUGGUCUAUCAAAGCAAGCUACAUUACUACUCUAAUCUAUCUUAACAGGUCACACAUGAUUACAAUCUUUUUUGUGUGCAAGUCAAGCUUAUCUAUUUUACAGGUAACAACUUGUAGAACAUUACAAAAUUGAUGUUUGCUAAUAACUUCUAGAACACUACAACACUUGACAUGUAAAAGGAAUUUGAUGAGUCAUGACCUACUAAAGCAAGUUACAUUACUAGUCUCAUCUAUCUUAACAGGCCACACAAGAUUACAAACUAAGUUCUGUGCAAGCAAUGCUUAUCUAGUUUACACAUAAACUUGCAUAACAUUACAAACUUAGUUUCAGAAAAUUAGGCAACCUAGAUUAGUGUUUAUUUGUAAAGUGAAUAAGAUGAGUCAUGUGUGUUAUCACACCUUUUUUGUGGUGGAAUGAUAGUGCCACAAAACACAACAUACCAAAAAUUGAUUUCGGGAAGUAUCCAAGCACUUUCCAGGAAAGCAAAUGCCAAUUGUGAAAGAGAUCAUGCCAUGGCAGCUAUAAAUAGGCCUGUAGCAUGAUGACCAUCCUUCCUCAUUCAUCAUUCUCAUAAGUAGAGUGUACCAUUCAAGCCAAGCAAGCAGUGGUCAAUACAAAUCCACCAUGAAGACCUUUCUCAUCUUUUCCCUCCUUGCUAUCGUGGCGACCACUGCAACAACUGCAGUUAGAGUUCCAGUGCCACAAUUGCAGCCGCAAAAUCCAUCUCAGCAACAACCACAAGAGCAAGUUCCGUUGGUGCAACAACAACAAUAUCCAGGGCAGCAACAACCAUUUCCACCACAACAACCAUAUCCGCAGCCGCAACCAUUUCCAUCACAACAACCAUUUCUGCAGCCGCAACCAUUUCUGCUACAACUACCAUAUCCGCAGCCACAACCAUUUCCACCACAACAACCAUAUCCACAACCGCAACCACAGUAUCCGCAACCACAACAACCAAUUUCACAGCAACAAGCGCAACAAGCACAACAACAACAACAACAACAACAACAACAAUAACAAUAACAACAACAACAAAUCCUUCAACAAAUUCUGCAACAACAACAACUGAUUCCAUGCAGGGAUGUCGUCUUGCAACAACACAACAUAGCGCAUGCAAGCUCACAAGUAUUGCAACAAAGUAGUUACCAACUGUUGCAACAAUUAUGUUGUCAACGGUUGUGGCAGAUCCCCGAGCAGUCGCGGUGCCAAGCCAUCCACAAUGUCGUUCAUGCUAUUAUUCUGCAACAACAACAACAACAACAACAACAACAACAACAACAACAACAACAACAACCGUCGAGCCAGGUCUCCUACCAGCAGCCUCAGCAACAAUAUCCAUCGGGCCAGGGCUCCUUCCAGCCAUCUCAGCAGAACCCAUAGGCCCAGGGCUCUGUCCAGUCUCAACAACUUCCCCAGUUCGAGGAAAUAAGGAACCUAGUGCUGCAGACGCUACCGGCAAUGUGCAAUGUCUACAUCCCUCCAUAUUGCUCGACCACCAUUGCGCCAUCUGGCAUCUUCGGUACUAACUGAGAAGAGAAGAACUUGUACUAGAUAUAUGAAACACCGUUUCCUUAGUCCAUGGUUUGGUCGUUGUAGCGGUGACAAAAUAAAGUGACAUGCACUAUCAUGUAAGAACCCGAACUAUACUAGUUCAAACUUGGGAAUAAAAGACAAACACAUGUCUUGUCUGCAUAUGAUUGUUUGUUUGAGUUCCAUUCAUGUGCCCGUUCACAAGUUCACCCCUAAUUAUAUAUAUUACACAAUAAGUAGAUAUUUAUGUUUCAUUAAUCUAAAUAUAACAAAAUGAGUCUGAAACUUGAAUUAAAUUGAAGUAUUUUCUUGGACUUUCAAAUUAAGUAUUAUUAAAGUAGUAAGGACUAUCCACAUCCUUGGCUUGCCCUUGAUCAAUUAUUUCCAGAGAAGCAUUCAAUUCAUCAAUCAAUUACAUUGGUUUUUGUGACUGGUACUUCUCCUCAUCAUGAGUAUCAUUGCGACUACUCCAAAUCGCCCACAUAACCGAAGCAUUAAUAGCGCUCUUCUUGCAUCAAGGAAAUAUGGAUCGAAGAUAUCACUUGACCAUGUUUCCGGGUGCAACCUUGGGAGUUUUAUGUCAGAAUAUUCUCAAGGAGAAUCCAAGAAUAAACUUGCAUGCUCAUGUGUGAUAAGGGCAUAUGAAGUAACAUUUCCUCCCCAUGGCCACACAUAGGGCACACACAUAACCCCAUCACAUGCCUUUUUAGUUAUGCAUAUGAAGGUAGGAUGUUUUUAAUUACUCUCCACCAAAAUACUCUUAACUUGGCUUGUACCCUAAGCUUUCGUUGCCUUUUCAAUUUCUCUUCCCCACUAGACAAACUAGACAGUCCAUCUACCACACCAUACCUUGUGUCCAUCAUGGCUCUGUACAACAAUUGAACAGGACAAAUGUCAUUUCUUUACGAUACCCACGACCAAGUGUCCUCUGCUGGGUUGUUUGGUCGUGGCAUAUUAAGGAUGGACACCUCAUCUGAUGGGACAAACACCUAACGAAUGAAAGGAGUGUUCCAGCCGCCCAUGUUUUUCUUCUCGAUAAGAUGAGCUACAAGUUGGACUGGAGUUUCUCAUGCACCAUAGUGGUUUCAUCAGCGGCAUGCCCUGCACACAUUUAUCAUGCCAUAUCUUUGUAGUGUGCAUUCCCAAUUUAUCACAACAUACCCUCCUUCAAACCUUUUUGCCUUUCAGAAUAGCACGCCAAGCUAGCGAUGCACUAUGCAGUAACCCACAUUUGAAAAAAAAAGAAUCUCAUUUCAUGGUAUCUUCCACGAAGGACCCUCGCACAUGAGUUAUCUAGAUAGAAAUAGCCAUGUAUGUUUAGCAAACUUUGCAUAAGUGAAUAGAUCAAGGUCGUGGAAACCCAAGCCUCCAAUUACACCCAGCCUCUCUACCAACAAGAUGUCCAAAGACAUCAAGGAUACACAAAGCCAAAAAAGAAAAUAAAAAGAGCAGAAGAAAAAAAAUACCCUGCCAUGGUGAUCAAUCACUAGAAUCAACAGCACUCUAACCACCACCGAAGACAAUGCCCGAAUUACAAAAAAGGUUCUCCAAAAGCAACGCCCCCAAGAAGGAAACAAUGCACAAGCAUUGUCGUUGCCCGAUCGAAGAUCAUGGGUUUUCACCCUGGAAAAAUUUCGAGUUCACUAAAAAAUAAUGCCUUCAACAAGGCCAUUGCCAAGUACAACCAAUAAGGGCCAGACCUUGGGUUUCCACCAUAGGAAUUGAGACUCGAUACUCGAGGAGUACCACCAAAAAUGCAGUCCGCAAGUGUUGCCGCCCCCGCUUGCUGAGGCCGCUGUUGCAAGUCACCAACCACCUGUCAUACAUUUGUCGUCGCAUCCAAUACACCCUUCCGCUGAAGCUUCAAGACCUCCAACCGCAGCCGCCAUGACUUUCUCCUAGUCUAUCAAUGCCUUGAGAAUCUUGAGUUAGACAUGUCCAAUGACAUAAAUAAGAAAUCGAAGCUUCGUGCCACGUCCUCUUGAGGCCGUGUUGGCUGAUAAUAUUAGCGUGCAUGACCGGAGCCUUUCCGAUCUAGAUAUCCAGGGGCGACAUACACCAAUCCAUAUAGAUCUCCGCUCGGUAAGACCGAAACUCAUCAACGGCCAGAUCCAAGAGGUCGACAUCCGGUAGAAAGAUGACUUGGCGGAAGAAGAGCAUCAGGGCCAAACCGCCAUUAUUAGUCCGAAGCUAAUAGCCUCCACGCCACCCUCCUCUCGAUCCAGACCUGCAGAAAAUGAUCAACAACGCCGCGCCGUGCCACUCGCAUCCAUGGAGGCUUGAACUUGGCAAGACGCGAACCAUGGCUGGAGACGGGGACCAGCCACUCCUGGCCGGAUCCGGUGACUCCUAGUCCCACCACUGCCACUACGGCGGCACCGCGUGUAGCCUACAAGCCCAUCCAUGAUGAUGUCUGAUUAGAUGGAUACAUGGAUAUACAGAUGAAAUGGCCCUCGUUAUCCCUCCAACAAUAUAUAUAAAGCUUAUUGGGACAUGAGAAAGCUCGCACAAUUUUAUAGUGGCUAUGGAAAUGUGUUGCCAGACAGAGAUAUAAGAUUUUCGUUUGGCAUCCAGACCGCUUGUGUCAUCCUUAAUCGAUGACCACUCUAAUUUUUCCGGCGGGCCUUCCCUGUGGUACUGCAGCCUUACAUGUGUAUGGAUUUCAUAUAGCUAUUCUGUCCAGUCGGAAAAGGAGACAACCAAAAUUACUUGGAGUUGAUAACUAAUAUGUUUCCUUUAACUACCACGUGCACGACGAGGAUUUACGGCACGCAAGUGCAGGGGCAGGUACUGGUGCCGCCUUUUUAUUCUAGCCUCCAAUUUUCAAAUUUCUAUAUCUUUCAAACAAACAAAAUCAACUUAAGUUAUGUUUUCAUAUUCGUAUUUCUUGCCGCCAGCGCUUUGAAAUAAUAUUCAUUUUGAAUAUAUUUUGGCAAUUUUUAAACACAAUGUUAAUUUCCAUUGUUUAAAACUUAGUACGAGCGACCGAUAAUAUUCAAUUAUUUUGUGUCUCUGACCAACAGAAAAAAAUGCUUGAAAUUGCAUCUUUGAAACUUGUUGAAACUGGGCAUUUUCUAAUGCAAAAGCGGUAAGUUUUCAUCGUUGAAACUUAAAGGUUUUUGAUGGAUUUUCUUCUUUACUGUGCCCUACUUCAUGAAUCGUGAGACAAAUCGAGCAGGUGGCAGGGCUUGGCCAGUGAGUGCCCUUGCACUUAGGUGCCCCAGCGAAUUUCCACUUGCAUCGUAGCAUUCUUUUUCCGAGUCCUGCGAACGAACGAUGGUGCAUACAAAAAGUCUAUCCUAUAUGCGUACAUGUGCAUGAUCAAAACAUGUUUGUACGUGCAUCUGCUAUAAAUCUCGACCAUUUUGAACACAAAUCAUGACCAUUAAAAUACAUGAUUAGUGGAUCAUACUAUCGUAACCUAUGUGAGAUCAUGUGGAGUAAUAUAUUAUAGUAUAUAGAUAGAUCUAUGUUGUAUUUUUUUUGUUAGAAAAAUAUCUGUCAUUACAUAUUUAGAUUUAUGCAUCUGUUCUUGCCAAAAAAAUCACUAACAUUUCACAGUGGAAAGUUUGUAAUUAUAUCAUAUUGAACACCAAUGUUUUCCCGCAAAAGAAAAUAAUGCCUAUGCAUAUGCUUUUAUAUUAUUAUUAUUGUUUCAAAUAUAUCCAUAUAUUAUUUUUGGUUGUACAACCAUAAUUUUCUUAUCCCUCUCGUUCCACUAAAUGCUCCUAGUCACUGAAUUAUAUACACCAAAUAAACCCCUUUGCACGUCGUUAAUGACCAAAAAAAGUUGAUGCUGGCUAUGUUCUCUGAUGUCAGCAUGAUAUCAUAUAUAGUGAUUAGCAUGAACGAAUCCCUUUGACUCAUGCGUACUCCCUUUGGAAAGAAAUAUAAGAGUGUUUACAUAACUAAAGUUGUGAUCUAAACACUUAUAUUUCUUUAAAGAGGGAGUAUAAAUUAAGAAGUGCAAGAUAAAGAAAUGCUGGUCCUUGAUUUGUUGUUGACUCUUAUAUUCUUUAGGGAGGAAGUAUAAAUUAAGAGCUAUAGCUAUCUAACCUAAACCGACUCAAACAACUACUCCUGGCCACACACACGUUGGAACAUAACUAGGACACGGGCAGCAUGCAUGCUAAUUCCUAAUACUACACGGCUUGCAAAACGGUCACCCCACGUACAUCUCAACUUACCUAGUUAAUUAUCCGGCCAGCUUGAUCACAAUUACACCAAACUAACUCAGGCAUUGUUUGGAUUAUCCCAACAAUCACCCCUAAUCCAAACAUCCGUCUCUUUAUCCGACGACACACGAGACACGCAGACGACCACCUGUUCAUCUUGUCAGGCUGGCUGCCUCCGGUGACGCAACUUACCGGACUGCAACUUCGCUCUCCUUGCAAUGAUGAUCACAACUUCAUCUCACCGCAACUUCGUUUGCAUACCAACUCAUAGAUUUUAACCAAUGAAUACCCGGACUACCAGCCACGCUGUCACAUCUUAGCGUGCUACAUGCAGACUAAACACAUAGCCUCAUGCAUGAACUCAACUUAACUGGUGCGUGUCCAUCUUCACGUUGAUCUUCAUCUUCUCAUCGGUUGAAUGCACGCGGGGAGGCACAACUCUUCACCCACCACAUCUCCACUUUCCCAUCAUCGUUGGUGACACAACUUACCAAACAACGCUCCCUGUCGAGCGGCAAUACAACUCGCCAUAUACGUGCAAUCACUAGUAAAAAACCACCCAUUAGUCCCGGUUCGUAAGGGCCUUUAGUCCCGGUUCAGGAACUGGGACUAAUGGGCCGUUACUAAUACCUCAACCCAUUAGUCCCGGAUCAAACACGAACCGGGACCAAUGUGCCUCCACGUGGCCCUGUUCAUCUUCGCUCUCCUUGCAAUGAUGAUCACUACUUCAUCUCACCGCAACUUCGUUUGCAUACCAACUCAUAGAUUUUAACCAAUGAAUACCCGGACUACCAGCCACGCUGUCACAUCUUAGCGUGCUACAUGCAGACUAAACACAUAGCCUCAUGCAUGAACUCAACUUAACUGGUGCGUGUCCAUCUUCACGUUGAUCUUCAUCUUCUCAUCGGUUGAAUGCACGCGGGGAGGCACAACUCUUCACCCACCACAUCUCCACUUUCCCAUCAUCGUUGGUGACACAACUUACCAAACAACGCUCCCUGUCGAGCGGCAAUACAACUCGCCAUAUACGUGCAACCACUAGUAAAAAACCACCCAUUAGUCCCAGUUCGUAAGGGCCUUUAGUCCCGGUUCAGGAACUGGGACUAAUGGGUCGUUACUAAUACCUCAACCCAUUAGUCCCGGAUCAAACACGAACCGGGACCAAUGUGCCUCCACGUGGCCCUGUGCGCCGAGCCCAGUCAGGGGGCCUUUGGUCCCGGUUGGUGGCUCCAACCGGGACCAAAAGGCAUCCACGCGUCUGCAUUCCAGUGGCUGGGGUUUUUUUUUUGAAAGGAGGGGGGUUGGGGGUUUUGGGGGGUUAAUUUAGGUGUUUCGUAUAUUGUGUUAGCUAGCUAAUCAAUAAAGAGAAGUGUCCUCUCUUAUGUCCGUGCUUGGUCGACGCUACGUAGUAUAUAUACAUAAGUGAUCGAGAGAACCAUUUAGUACAGAAGUUCGUCAUGCAUACCGAGAGAAGUGAUCGAUCGACCUCUCCUUCUCCGAGAGAUUGGUCGAACAACAAGUUUUUUACUGGCUACAUACAUGUACAAUCUAUAUAAGAUCUCUUAAUUACAAACCCCUAGCAUUUGAAAUCAACUUCCACAUGGUAUUCUCCGGCUUUACUGAUGACGUGUUCAAGAAAAAAUCCCGCCAAUUCCUCUUGAAUUGCUUUCAUGCGAUCUGGUGGUAGGAGUUCAUCCCGCAUCUGCCACGUCUAAUUAAUUUGAAGAAGGGGGUUAAUUAAUACAUAUAUAUGAAUGAAACUCAACAGAAAUGAUGGUGUAAUAAAAUGAAAUUGUGAAUAUUAUUGCUUACGCACUUCAUAUUGUCUUCUAGAGUAGCCCCGCUUGUUUUUCAAAGUCGCGUUGUGGAUGAACUCGCACACAUAGUAUCCACAGAAAUCAUUCCCUUCCUCCUGCCACAAGCACUUUACGAGAAAUAGAGGUCAAUCAAACUGAUAAUGAAGCAUUAUAAAUGGCAUUGAUGAAAGUAUAGCUAUAAAAUCAACGGGAGAUGCGCGCAACUAGCUAGCCAGUAGUACUUACUUUCGGGUAUAAAUAUCGCAGCUCCUUCGGCAGUCCCGGAGCUUGUGCGGUGAACUGUUUCCAAACCCUGCAAGACAAAGACAAUAAUUAUUAUUACUUGAGAUAUCAGGAAAUGAACAAAAAGUUGCCGAUAUGGUGCGAUAAUGAUCGAUUGAACUUACUUGCUGAGCAUUUCAGUCAUGUCCGCAUAGGUGCUGGGAUCUUUCCGUCUGGAGUCUAAGACGGUUACUAGUCCACGCUCAAGCUUAAUCUCCAGAAGAAUAUAGUGGUACCUGCACACACAUGCAUAACUCAUCAAUUACAUUAACCUCGCUUGAGUAAUAAGGGAAACCAAAUAUGCACAUGACAGUAACACUCACGGGCCGUUGUAAGGAAAGAGUAUGGUAUCUUUGUUUUGAUUUUUGAUUAACGAUUGUAGCAAGUUGUCCUCGGCCUCUUCGACGUUCUUUUCAACCAGAAAUACAUCUAUGAUAUUUGUGUUAAUGAACCCAAUAUCAUAGAUUUCAUUUUUUUGCACUCGACGAUCUUCAAUCUGCAUAAUAUAUUGAGGAUAAUUAAUUAUAAAUACAUGCAAUGAAAGAGCCGAGCUAUAUAUAGAGACUAAUGACAGAAAUAGUACUUACAGGCAGUAGCAAAAGACCAUUAAUUUAUCGAGGGCCUUUUGAUUGAAGAACUCAAAGAACUCCUCAAAUGGAACAGACAACACAUCAUUUGAAACGAGGUCGUGCUCCUCUUUAAUUUUCAGAUACAAACUGUUCGUCCCCUCAGACUCUCUGCAAGUUUUCAUGUACCAGUUAUGGAAUCUUCGCAUCAUUGUUGUCAGAGAUUUUUCAUCUUUGACGAGAGGCUUCCCGUACUCGUAUCUGAAUACGUCCACCUUCAUGAAAUCAGGAAGUGCAUCGUCAGGCAGGUAAUCUUCAAGAUUGCCAUAACCGGCCACCGUCCCCGGAGGAUUAGACACAUUGAGCGGGGGGCACGAUUGAUGUGCUUGUUCGCCGAGCCGGGCAAUUUUUUCCCCUUUGCUCGUUGUUCUUUUGACCUUUUAUCACUAACAGUAGUUCCCGACCGCUUGGCUUGGAGAUAUGUCUGUUCAGUAAUGCGCUCAUAGUUGGUUCUCGGCGGAGACUUUGGUGGUUUCCUCAGGGCAUCGAGAGUGCGCUUUGCUUUCACCGGAUCUACCUUCUCCUUCGGAGGUGGAUGUAUCUUUGCUUUCACCCCUUCAAAGAACUCCUUCACGUGGGCCUGCACGAUCGUAUUGUUUUCCUCGGUCCUCUCGUACGGUAACUUCUCUAGAGGCUUUAGAGGUGGACCGUAUCUGUAUUGCCUCUCUCUUCUUGUGCUGCUAGACGCCGGAGCAGACGGAGCGGCUGCGGCGUCUGUCUUCUUUCAUGCUUGCUUACGAGGCGGAGGAGAAGGACUACGACGCGCCGGGGCAGCGGCAGGUCUCUUCCGCCCUUGCUGGCGAGGCGGAGAAGGAGGAGGCGGAGUGCCGCCACGCGCCGGAGAAGGAGGCGGAGUGCCGCCACGUGUGCCCUGAUCGUCACUCGCCGGAGGAGGAGGCGGUGGAGGAGGCGGAGUGUGUCAGGACCCCGACUCAAUGCCACAUCGAUCUAGCAUGUAACACAUCAUAUGACUUUGCGGCCUCACGCACGGUAUUCCCACGGGUGUCGCCUUACCUUUGCCCGGGACCGUUUGCGCCUUUUGGCACACGUAUAUGACAGUGUCGCUAGCAUCCAUAUGAUAAGGAGCCCGGGCUGACAUGGCUAGUCGUAAACCCAAAGCGGCACAGACUUACAGGGACAGGCAUCCAUGACCCAGCAUCGAACGUGUCGGUCAUCAGCGAGUGAAUCCAGGCUGUAGCACUGGGCUAGCAGGACUCCGGUGAACCGGGCUGUAGCGGGCUAACAGGACUCCGGUAUUCAUCGCGUGACAUUUCCCCGAAGGGACAGACACAGGAACGAAGAAGGACACAUGCCGGCCAGCCUAAGCGUUCCGGAGCAGUAGCAAGCUACCAUGGCUCGGUGGAAACACUAGGAGACAUUUCCCCGUAAGAGAGGCUACUAAAGAUAAACAACUAGAUGGUCAGAUCCCACACAUACCAAGCAUUUCGAUAACAUACACACAAUAUGCUCGAUAUGUGCAAAUACAACAUGGCAUCACAACAUGACUCUAUGACUCAAGUAGUUUAUUCAGUAGGCUCCGAGGAGCGAGAUAUUACAAACAUGGGUCUCAUGACCCAACACUCAGAGCAUACAAGUCAAAACACAAGCGGAAGCUAUCAUGUCUGAGUACAGACAACUAUAAAUGAAAAAGGCUGAGAAGCCUGACUAUCUAUCAGAUCCUGCCGAGGGCACAAGAUCGUAGCUGAGGUAUCAAGCUAAACGUCGAAGACCACGCGGAAUUACUAGUGAGACUGAAGUCUCUCUGCAAAAACAUAAAAUAGGCAAACGUGAGUACAAAUGUACCCAGCAAGACUUACAUCAGAACUAUCUACAUAUGCAUCAUUAUCAACAAAGGGGGUGGUGGGGUUUAACUGCAGCAAGCCAGCUUUGACUCGGUGGCUAUCCUAAACUACGACUGCGAGUAACUCUUUUGAGGUGGCGCACACGAGUCCACAUAUUCACCAUAUCAAUACACCACUAUGGAUCCGCUCCCGUCUCCCUACGAGAACGCCAUCCAUAGCACUCACGCUUAUCUUGCGUAUUUUAGAGUAUCCACUUUCACUUGUCUAUGAACUGAUAUAAGCAACCCAGAAGUCCUUUUCCGUGGACACGGCUAUUCGAAUAGAUUAGGUUAACCCUGCAGGGGUGUACUUCUUCAUACAUGUUUCCACCACUUAGCGUCUGCACACGACAUGUGCUCGGCAGACUUCAAGCGAAAGCCGACGUGGGUGUAGACCACGACCUACCUAAACACUCAAGUCUCUAGUCCAGGUUUAUCGCCUAUUCGGGUUCCAUCCAUGAGGAGAUCCGGCCGGAGUUUUGCUCACAGCCCCAAACGAUGUGAACAGGGUUCCCGAGAUACCAAACGGGCAUCCGGUACACCGUGCCACGUACCUACCGCAUCACAGCCCACCCCUACGGUCAGCGCUGUCCACGGCCUCCAGUAAGCUACAAACACCAGAAACUACUUGCAACUCCUGGACAGAGGACAAGGGUGAAUAAGAAGUCGAGCGGGGUCAUAUUUCAGGGCCCAAUGUAUGGUAGUAGCUGAAUCAUGGAUCACAAACACAGAACUCAGUUCCUAAGGACGGCUUCAAUGAGACAACCCACCAUGUACUCCUACAUGGCCUCUCACCGCUACCUUUACCAAAUCGUGUUCACACACUUAGCUCACACACAGUAGGACAUGUUCACACACCUCUGAUUCAUCCCCGAUGAAUCAGACCUGACUCAACUCUAAGCAGUAGCAGGCAUGACAAACAAACAUGAAUGAGUAGGCACAUCAGGGCUCAAACAACUCCUACUCAUGCUAGUGGGUUUCAUCUAUUUACUGUGGCAAUGACAGGUCAUGCAGAGGAUAAAGGGGUUCAGCUACCGCAGCAAGUAACAGAUGAAUCGGUGUUGUCCUAAUGCAGUAAAAGAGAGCAGGAGCGAGAGAGUAGGAUUGUAUCGGAAUGAACAAGGGGGUUUUGCUUGCCUGGCACUUCUGAAGAUAACAUUGAGUCUUCAUCAGUGUCAACGAUCACAUCAUCGGUACACGUCUAUCGAGAGGGGACAAAUACCGGCAAAUACAGAAAAGACACGAUCAAUGCAAUGCACAAUAUGAUGCAUGCUAUGACAUGGCAAUAUGAAUGUGUUUUGGGCUAAUGCACCUAAAACCAGAUUAAAUGAAGUUGGUUUGAAUACAAGAUUCAAAUUCAAACUCCGUAUGUGAUUAUUCAAAUGUCAUUCACUUCAUUUGCCCUAAACAGUAGUGAUAAGUUGUUCUAACAUGCAUGAAAAUGGUACAGAUGGAUUCCUUGAAUUUUUCUGAUAAUUUUUCAUAUAUAAUUUAUUUCAUUUGGAGUUACGGUUAAUUUUCUAUGAUUUUUGGAAGUUUUAGGCAUUUUCUGGAAUUUAUAAAUCAUUUAAGAAUUAUCUAAAUUCCAGAAAAUACUUAUCGCGUCAGCCUGACAUCAUCAUGACGUCAGCAGGUCAACGGGGCGCCUCCAGGUCAAACCUGACCAGUGGGGUCCACUGGUCAGUGACUAACUAACUAACCUAAUUUAAUUAGAGCCGGGGCCCGCAUGUCAGUGUCAGCAGAGGGGGUAAUUAGUUAAAAUAGGCUAAACUAAUUAGCAGGGGGGCUGGCCCCACCUGUCAUCGACCCAGGGGGGGUCAAACCCCUGGUCAGCGGGGCCUAACCCGCCGGCGUCUAGCCGCCGGCAACGACCAGACGCGGCGGAGGCUCGGGAAUCGCCCACAGAGCACGAUUCGAGUUGCGGCUAGGCGCGCUAGAAAGCCCGCGAUGCGGCGCAUCCAGUGGUGACCGCGGUGUGUGCUGGGGCAGCGUGUAGGGGCGGUGGUGACGGGCCGGGCGGCUGCCGGAGCUACGGCUGCACGGGCGCGAGGGCUGCAGCGCAUUAGCCAGUAAGCAGAGAGGCGCAUCGGGAUCCUAGGGACUGGGCGAGCACGCGGGAGCUACUGGAGCGAGCGGAAGAGCGCCGGGACGUGAGGUCCACCGGCAAUGGCGAUGGCUGGAGCUCGGUGCUUGCGGGGAAGGCGGCUACGGCACGGGAACGAGCAGAAAAGGAGGGGGAAAACGAAGAAGAUCUUACGGCGGUCCUGGAGAUCAGCACGGGAGGCUCGGGGACGGCCUGGCUGCAGCCAAUCGACGACGGAGGGGUCCGGCGACCGGCGGUGAAGAAGAUGGCAAUUGCGUUGCUUCGGUGCCUCCGGGCUCGCGAGAUUCACCGGAGAGGAGCCGCUCGAGGUAGCAGAGGCGAUGGACGACUCGAGGAGGCGAGGCGUGCGCGGUGGCUACAGAUACGGUUGACAGCGGCGAGAGGCGUGCUCGGGGCUGCGAGAGAGAGGGCAGCAGGGGAGAGAGGAGCCGACAGGGAGGGAGUGAGAGGGGGUCGGGGGUGUCGUGGCGUCGCGGAAAGCGACCAGGGCGACGAGGGGGUAGCCAGGCAGGCAAGGAGGAGCUGGCGCGGCUCGCCUGCGCGCCGGGCACGCAGCUGCUUCGGGGCGAGGGGAGGAAGACGACGGAGGGUAGCGGUGGCGGGCUGGGCCGGCCAGGUGGGGGAGCUGGGCCGGUCCCGAUGGACCACCAGGUAAGCGCCAGGUAAGAUGCUUUGCUCUUUUUAUUUUAUUUCUAUUUUAGUUACUGUUUUCUAUUUUCUGUAAUUGUGUUUGGAUUUAUUAAAAAUGCCAGAGCAUUUCCAAAAAUCAUGCAACUGACUGUGGCCACUGUUUGGAAUAUUUCCAGCAGUAAACAUUUCAGUUUGUGAUUAUUUGAGCAUUUAAAAUAUUAUUAGCAAUUAAAUGCCCAAAUGCAAAUACUAUAUAAUUUAAUUCAGAAAUCCAGGAAUAGCCUAUAAUUAUGUUCAUCAUUUUUUUGGAAGAGGUUUUCACCUCUAAUAGAAAUUAUGAACAUUUCCAAAGGGCAUUCUGGGUUAUUGAAAAUAUUUUUAUUGAACCUAGUUAAAUUUCAUUUGGUACUAGGGUUUCAACAAUCCCCAUUUCAAAUUUCUUUGGAAUUUAAACAUGAUGGCAUGAUGAACAAGCAAAGUCAAGCAAGGGCUGAACUGGGGCUGUGACAACUCACCCCCACUAAACAAGAAUCUCGUCUCGAGAUUCAAGCGUAGGGUAAGGUGAAGGGUAACGCGGACUAGUAUAAUCUUCACGAUCCAGGGUGCACUUCAUAGGAACGUUGAUUAGAACACCAUCUUUGUCUUGUCGUCUUGCUCUGAGAACUCCAGCUAAUCAUGAAAAGAAGAGGAAAGGAAAACUCUAGAAGGAUCGGUCUUCUCGAAGGUCGAACAACUCAGGAUUAACUCACGGAAUGAGACAUAGAACCAUCUCUCGGUUGAGACACGAGAUACACAUCAAGAGGGGGGGGGGGAAAGAAACGGAUGACGAAGGUUCACUAGGUAGACAACAAUUCCACACCUAAGAAAGUGGUAAACGAUUGUCAACGUAGCGAGGAGUUGAGUUGCCAUGAUACCACGACGAAACAUCCUGGAGGAGGGUGAUUCGUAGAUUAUUAUCUUAAGUGGCAAAAGAAUUACUUUUGAUUCAGAGAUCAUUGGAACUCUUUAUACCAGCCUAAGGUAAUCACAAGCGAUCAUUUGAAGGGGGUCGGUAGAAUGGCAUACUCGGACUUGGAUGAUGUGGAUUACCUUGUUGAAGACAACGUAAUGGAUGAAUUUGCUUAUCACCGGAGAUGGAAGAGACCCGUGGUAGAAUGGCACAUUGGCGGUGCAAGCUGGGAACAAAAUGCAAAUGCUGGGAAUGAUUCUGGUAACUGGGGAAGAACCCAACAAUAAAGAGUGAAUUCACUGUUGGAGUGGUUAUAGCAUAACCGAAGAAUCUGGGGCAAUCCCAGCUAGUGCCGAUGAUAAGACGUAGCGCUUGUGCGUGCUCUCAAGAACUUAAGCAUUUCCACAUUCAUCAAGGUUUUACCAACAUCCGUGUCAAGGGUCCGGUAGCACAACUUACUACCAUGAUGAAUGGUGAUGGAGGAUGCAGAUGCAAAGGAAGAUAACACUUUCUCAGUUUUCACCUUAGCGAGGCCAAGGAAACAAAAUCUGGAUGAUGGACCGAGAGACAUUUAGCACUCCGCUUCUAAUGUUCUCCUUGACGUGCUAGUGUAUCCCAUUCAUAGAUAUGGUUUGAUAACUAGAACAUCAAGUAAAAGGUCGAACUUCGGGAACACAAUAAUCAUAAGGCACAACUAGGAAGUAAAUCCUACGAAGUCCUUAUGGGAAGGUGGCCAACUGCUUCAAUCAAGAUACCACAAUAAUAGGUCCUUCGGCUGGGUGGUGCUGGCCACGACAUCCACUUUACCGGUUAUCGAGGGACCAAUAUUAUAGUUCUUGGGAAAUGUUCCAAACCAUCAUAUCUGCCUGAGAUUCAGAUCUGGUUGGUGUCAGGAUAUUCCAGACUCAUCGAGUCUAGGAAGAAAAUGAAAGUUUGCAACACAAAUCGACGAGAUGACGUUGCGGGAUUCUCGGGAGAUGAACUACGAUAGCAAGCUCCAAAACAUGAGCUGGUUCUGCUACAAACAUGUGAACAUGUUGUCCAAGACAAGCAUGAUCACAAGGUAGUCUUAUAAUAAAACACUACCGAGUUCAGGAGGGGGAACCAUCAUUAAUGACAUCGAAGUCUCCACGCGUGGAAGUCCAAAGAGUUCACCUUGGACAGACUCCUUUAUCUUUGAACAACUCAAUCAGUGGCUUGGUGUGCUAGGAUAUACAUAUAGAAUGGAGGUUGCAAAUCUCCAGACCACAGAAUACUUCGCACGUAUGCAUGACUGACUUGGGAUGAUUCCAGAGGAAGCAAAACCAACUUUCCCAAAUUCACGGCGGCAUCUUUCACCAAAUGCACGUGUAUAAAAGGAAGUCACUCCUUUCAUCAACAAAUACUUCAUGAGCUAGCAUGAAGAAAAUGCUUUCAAAAGUUUCCAACACUAGCUUAAUGUCCAACAAAAUUAUGGAGGAGAUAAGGAUGUUGUCAAUGGGCUCAACAACAAUUCAUCUGGGUUUCCUUUUAAAAGGAAUUCCAUAGUUAAGUGAACAAGUGAUAGCAUUGGUCAGGCCAAAGAUGUAAUGGUGUAUGCUCGAGGGAUCAACCACGAACAAGACAACAUUACGAGCAUCAUUGGUAUUGAUUUGAUUUGACGAUAGCCCACACUCAAAUCAAAGGAUUGAUAAGGCAAUAGGUCCAGCAACUGAUCACAGGGACCAACCGAUGAAGAUAUCAUAUUUCUUCAACACACACUACACAAGAAUAUCCCUUUGGAACGAACUAAGUCAGGCAAGCUUUUACCUUCCAACUCUCCAAGUUGUUGUCUAGCUUAACCAACUAGCUCAGGGAUAUCCAUCACAGAUUCUUGGAGAAAGGGUGGUUUACAAUAAACCAACUUGAUCACGAGCUCAACAUAGCGGUCAGGUGACAACCUGGUAGUACUUCCGAGAAGAUCUUCAGAAAAUCACGAACCACUGAUAUGUUACUAAGCUCGAGAACAAUCUUGCUUUUCGGGGCAAGAUGAUAUGAUCAAGUGAGCGAGGGCUUGACAAGAUCCUAAUUCAUCAAUCGAAGGGUGCACCGAAAUAAGGACUAGGUAGCACGAUCAGUCUUAGAAGGAUGAUUCAAAAACCAACAUACUAAGAAUGAAAUUAUUAUCCUUUAACUACCAAGCAACGAGGUUGCUGGGAGUAUUGAUCUCACACAUCACAACUCAUUUGUCGGUAUUCCGGUUGCAUCAACACGAGGGCCGAGGAAUGACUAAUGAUGGUGAGAAGUAUCACUGUACCAAGAGUUCAUAGGAUGGUGUGCAAUUCCUAUAACAAUCUCGAUAUAGAAUAAGGUAAUACUCCAAGGUAGAACAGAACCAAAAGCUGGAUUAGCAAUUAGAUCUGCGGAGCACAACUUCUUUGACCCAAUCCUGGAUAUGGAAGAGGUACUGGAGUUUGUUUCUCCAAGUCAUUCAAGACAGAAUGGCUUGACGGACCACAAGAGUAAUAGGCAUCGAUAAACGAACGCACGCAUACUCUUGACUAUCAAUUGAUAGACGAGGGUCAGAAUGCAACUACGGAGAACAACUCAAAGGAACAUAUAAUUUUCUGAGUUGUGGAUGCAUAGAUUAGUAUGUCGAACCAAGUUCAACAUAUUUUUUCCGGAUAACCCAUGCAGAAAGGUAGAACUGGCAGAGUCACGAUUUAUGAAUGGAGAACUCCUCAAGAGUACUCUAAUUGUGAUCUUUUGAUCCAAUAAACAUCUGCCAUAAGCGGUUCAUAGUAUUUGGAAGAAGGAAAUACCACGGACCUCGAGGACUAUCGCAAAGUUACUAAUAUCCUGAAGGAACUAGCAAACACUAUCAACAUGAAGUAAGUAGAGUGAAUCUCGGGUUCAAAGCCCAAGGAAUAGAAUACCUACUACUAAGUGGCAUCACGGGAUGCUUUCGAGAAUAAAAGCCAGAAUCAUCACACUGGGGAUCACAAAACAUUGCUAGAUUACUAGGUGACUCCCUAAACACCUAGGGCCAUAAUAGUAUCUCCAACAUAUAUGUCAAGGUAACGGAGUACCUCAACUCACUGAUUAGUGUGGUUAAUCUGGCCCAUGGGAACAUUGAAACAGGAAGAAAGGAUUUGCAAUUGCAUCAGACUACUUAAAAACCUGGGAUGACUCGGACAGCAUAACGGCUGUAAAUGCUCAGAAAAGAUUUGAGACAUUCACAAAAAUGGUGGCAUAACCACUCAGAAGCACAAUAUCAAGGUCUCGAGAUCAAUAAUUAACAUACAGAAGUAGUAGGAACUGAAACGAGGCUUAAGUCCAACAAUCUUAUAAGUCUACUGAUUAGUAACACGUGAUCCUGAUGGAAAGAAGAGAUAGCCUAGUUCUUAAUCCCCGCAGGAAAGAUAAGAUGACUCAGAUCAGAAGGCAUAAGGUAUAAGGAGUAAAAAGAGCCUUACGUUCCAUCCCACAAUCAAUUCCCUUAUAUAACUAAAGAAUUUCUAGACUCAACUUCGACCAGUUUGGCUUGGUAAUCCUACAGGCAGUCAAGCUCUGAUACCAACGCUGUCAGGACCCCGACUCAAUGCCACAUCGAUCUAGCAUGUAACACAUCAUAUGACUUUGCGGCCUCACGCACGGUAUUCCCACGGGUGUCGCCUUACCUUUGCCCGGGACCGUUUGCGCCUUUUGGCACACGUAUAUGACAGUGUCGCUAGCAUCCAUAUGAUAAGGAGCCCGGGCUGACAUGGCUAGUCGUAAACCCAAAGCGGCACAGACUUACAGGGACAGGCAUCCAUGACCCAGCAUCGAACGUGUCGGUCAUCAGCGAGUGAAUCCAGGCUGUAGCACUGGGCUAGCAGGACUCCGGUGAACCGGGCUGUAGCGGGCUAACAGGACUCCGGUAAUCACCGCGUGACAUUUCCCCGAAGGGACAGACACAGGAACGAAGAAGGACACAUGCCGGCCAGCCUAAGUGUUCCGGAGCAGUAGCAAGCUACCAUGGCUCGGUGGAAACACUAGGAGACAUUUCCCGGUAAGAGGGGCUACCAAGGAUAAACAACUAGGUUGUCAGAUCCCACACAUACCAAGCAUUUCAAUAACAUACACACAAUAUGCUCGAUAUGUGCAAAUACAACAUGGCAUCACAACAUGACUCUACAAUUCAAGUAUUUUAAUCAAUAGGCUCCGAGGAGCGAGAUAUUACAAACAUGGGUCUCAUGACCCAACAAUCAGAGCAUACAAGUCAAGGCACAAGCGGAAGCUUUCAUGUCUGAGUACAGACAUCUAUAAAUGAAAAAGGCUGAGAAGCCUGACUAUCUACCAGAUCCUGCCGAGGGCACAAGAUCGUAGCUGAGGUAUCAAGCUAAACGUCGAAGUCCAAACAGAACUACUAAUGAGACUGAAGUCUCUCUGCAAAAACAUAAAAUAGGCAAACGUGAGUACAAAUGUACCCAGCAAGACUUACAUCAGAUCUAUCUACACAUGCAUCAUUAUCAACAAGGGGGGGUGGUGGAGUUUAACUGCAGCAAGCCAGCUUUGACCCGGUGGCUAUCCUAAACUACGACUGCAAGCAACUCUUUUGAGGUGGCGCACACGAGUCCACAUAAUCACCAUAUCAAUACACCACUAUGGAUCCGCUCCCGUCUCCCUACGAGAACGCCAUCCAUAGCACUCACGCUUAUCUUGCGUAUUUUAGAGUAUCCACUUUCACUUGUCUAUGAACUGAUAUAAGCAACCCAGAAGUCCUUUUCCGCGGACACGGCUAUUCGAAUAGAUGAUGAUAACCCUGCAGGGGUGUACUUCUUCAUACAUGUUUCCACCACUUAGCGUCUGCACACGACAUGUGCUCGGCAGACUUCAAGCGAAAGCCGACGUGGGUGUAGACCACGACCUACCUAAACACUCAAGUCUCUAGUCCAGGUUUAUCGCCUAUUCGGGUUCCAUCCAUGAGGAGAUCCGGCCGGAGUUUCGCUCACAGCCCCAAACGAUGUGAACAGGAUUCCGUGACACCAAACGGGCGCCCGGUUUACCCGGCCACGUGCCUACCGCAUCACAGCCCACCCCUACGGUCAGCGCUGUCCACGGCCUCCAGCAUACUACAAACACCAGAAACUACUUGCAACUCCUGGACAGAGGACAAGGGUGAAUAAGAAGUCGAGCGGGGUCAUAUUUCAGGGCCCAAUGUAUGGUAGUAGCUGAAUCAUGGAUCACAAACACAGAACUCAGUUCCUGAGGACGGCUACAAUGAGACAACCCACCAUGUACUCCUACAUGGCCUCUCACCGCUACCUUUACCAAAUCGUGUUCACACACUUAGCUCACACACAGUAGGACAUGUUCACACACCUCUGAUUCAUCCCCGAUGAAUCAGACCUGACUCAACUCUAAGCAGUAGCAGGCAUGACAAACAAACAUGAAUGAGUAGGCACAUCAGGGCUCAAACAACUCCUACUCAUGCUAGUGGGUUUCAUCUAUUUACUGUGGCAAUGACAGGUCAUGCAGAGGAUAAAGGGGUUCAGCUACCGCAGCAAGUAACAGAUGAAUCGGUGUUGUCCUAAUGCAGUAAAAGAGAGCAGGAGCGAGAGAGUAGGAUUGUAUCGGAAUGAACAAGGGGGUUUUGCUUGCCUGGCACUUCUGAAGAUAACAUUGAGUCUUCAUCAGUGUCAACGAUCACAUCAUCGGUACACGUCUAUCGAGAGGGGACAAAUACCGGCAAAUACAGAAAAGACACGAUCAAUGCAAUGCACAAUAUGAUGCAUGCUAUGACAUGGCAAUAUGAAUGUGUUUUGGGCUAAUGCACCUAAAACCAGAUUAAAUGAAGUUGGUUUGAAUACAAGAUUCAAAUUCAAACUCCGUAUGUGAUUAUUCAAAUGUCAUUCACUUCAUUUGCCCUAAACAGUAGUGAUAAGUUGUUCUAACAUGCAUGAAAAUGGUACAGAUGGAUUCCUUGAAUUUUUCUGAUAAUUUUUCAUAUAUAAUUUAUUUCAUUUGGAGUUACGGUUAAUUUUCUAUGAUUUUUGGAAGUUUUAGGCAUUUUCUGGAAUUUAUAAAUCAUUUAAGAAUUAUCUAAAUUCCAGAAAAUACUUAUCGCGUCAGCCUGACAUCAUCAUGACGUCAGCAGGUCAACGGGGCGCCUCCAGGUCAAACCUGACCAGUGGGGUCCACUGGUCAGUGACUAACUAACUAACCUAAUUUAAUUAGAGCCGGGGCCCGCAUGUCAGUGUCAGCAGAGGGGGUAAUUAGUUAAAAUAGGCUAAACUAAUUAGCAGGGGGGCUGGCCCCACCUGUCAUCGACCCAGGGGGGUCAAACCCCUGGUCAGCGGGGCCUAACCCGCCGGCGUCUAGCCGCCGGCAACGACCAGACGCGGCGGAGGCUCGGGAAUCGCCCACAGAGCACGAUUCGAGUUGCGGCUAGGCGCGCUAGAAAGCCCGCGAUGCGGCGCAUCCAGUGGUGACCGCGGUGUGUGCUGGGGCAGCGUGUAGGGGCGGUGGUGACGGGCCGGGCGGCUGCCGGAGCUACGGCUGCACGGGCGCGAGGGCUGCAGCGCAUUAGCCAGUAAGAAGAGAGGCGCAUCGGGAUCCUAGGGACUGGGCGAGCACGCGGGAGCUACUGGAGCGAGCGGAAGAGCGCCGGGACGCGAGGUCCACCGGCAAUGGCGAUGGCCGGAGCUCGGUGCUUGCGGGGAAGGCGGCUACGGCACGGGAACGAGCAGAAAAGGAGGGGGAAAACGAAGAAGAUCUUACGGCGGUCCUGGAGAUCAGCACGGGAGGCUCAGGGACGGCCUGGCUGCAGCCAAUCGACGACGGAGGGGUCCGGCGACCGGCGGUGAAGAAGAUGGCAAUUGCGUUGCUUCGGUGCCUCCGGGCUCGCGAGAUUCACCGGAGAGGAGCCGCUCGAGGUAGCAGAGGCGAUGGACGACUCGAGGAGGCGAGGCGUGCGCGGUGGCUACAGAUACGGUUGACGGCGGCGAGAGGCGUGCUCGGGGCUGCGAGAGAGAGGGCAGCAGGGGAGAGAGGAGCCGACAGGGAGGGAGUGAGAGGGGGUCGGGGGUGUCGUGGCGUCGCGGAAAGCGACCAGGGCGACGAGGGGGUAGCCAGGCAGGCAAGGAGGAGCUGGCGCGGCUCGCCUGCGCGCCGGGCACGCAGCUGCUUCGGGGCGAGGGGAGGAAGACGACGGAGGGUAGCGGUGGCAGGCUGGGCCGGCCAGGUGGGGGAGCUGGGCCGGUCCUGAUGGACCACCAGGUAAGCGCCAGGUAAGAUGCUUUGCUCUUUUUAUUUUAUUUCUAUUUUAGUUACUGUUUUCUAUUUUCUGUAAUUGUGUUUGGAUUUAUUAAAAAUGCCAGAGCAUUUCCAAAAAUCAUGCAACUGACUGUGGCCACUGUUUGGAAUAUUUCCAGCAGUAAACAUUUCAGUUUGUGAUUAUUUGAGCAUUUAAAAUAUUAUUAGCAAUUAAAUGCCCAAAUGCAAAUACUAUAUAAUUUAAUUCAGAAAUCCAGGAAUAGCCUAUAAUUAUGUUCAUCAUUUUUUUGGAAGAGGUUUUCACCUCUAAUAGAAAUUAUGAACAUUUCCAAAGGGCAUUCUGGGUUAUUGAAAAUAUUUUUAUUGAACCUAGUUAAAUUUCAUUUGGUACUAGGGUUUCAACAAUCCCCAUUUCAAAUUUCUUUGGAAUUUAAACAUGAUGGCAUGAUGAACAAGCAAAGUCAAGCAAGGGCUGAACUGGGGCUGUGACAGAGUGCCGCCACGCAUGCCCUGAUCGUCACUCGCCGGAGGAGGAGGCGGUGGAGGAGGCGGAGUGCCCUGACUCGCCGGAGGAGGAGGAGGAGGCCGAGGCGUCCAUUUCAGAAGGUUGAUGAGCUCCUUCCGCCAUAGGCAUGGAGUCUUCAGAGCAGAACCCAGCCUAGUCUCCCCUUCACCGGUAGGGUGCUCAAGCGCGAGGUCCUCAAAUCCCUCCGUUAUUUCAUCCACCAUCACCUUAGCAAAUCCUUCUGGAAUCGGUUGGCAGUGAUAAGUUGUGCCGGGUCCACUAGGAUAAACUUGGCCAAUAGCCGCCUUGACCUUCAAAUUCAUCCAUCGCGCCAUAAUGUGGCAAUUUUGAGACUCUGUGAUACCAUCCACGGGAUAGCUGGCAGGAGCCGUCAAGACAUGCUCCGGCUGAAGCAUCUCGGUGGAAGCAACACUGCUUCUCCGCUGAGAUGGCGGGGUAGCUUCAGGGGAAGCUUCGGCAUGUUGUUUGUUGCGAUCUGCUGCUUCUCGUUCCUCUUCUUGAUCCUCUAGCCCCAUUACCCUUCCAAGCAGCGCCUGCAUUUGGUCCUGCUCCAAUUUCUUCCUCGUCUCGUGGGUUUUGUAACCCCCUGCGUCUGGAAAACCAACCUUCCACGGAAUGGAGCCUGGCGUGCCUCGUGUCCGUCUAGGGUGCUCGGGAUUCCCAAGGGCCAUUGUGAGCUCGUCCUUCUCCCUGUUUGGAAGGAACAUCCCUCGCUGCGCUGCAUCGAUAUAGUGAAGAAGGUUCUUGACUGGUGUUUGCAGUUGCUCGUCCGUCCACUGACACUUCCCUGUUACAGGGUCCAAGGUUCCGCCAGCCCCGAAGAACCAAGUCCGACAACGGUCUGGCCAGCGCAUUGUCUCUGGUUCGAUCCCUUUUUCAAGCAGAUCAUGCUCAGCCUUGGACCACUUAGGCCGGGCUUUGAGGUAGCCACCUGACCCCGUGCGAUGGUGAAGCUUCUUCUUCGCAGCAUUUUUCUUGUUUGUCUCCGACAUCUUCUUACUCUUUUCCGAUGUCUUGUGGGCCACAAAUGCGGGCCAGUGAUCUUUGAUCUUCUCAUAUUUAACGAUGAAUUCUGGUGUCUUUUUUUUUCUCGACAAACUGGUUCAGCUCUUUCCUCCACCUCCUCAUUAGGCUUGCCAUCUUCUUAAGAGCACAAGACCUGAUUAAUUGCUCUUUAACUGGCUUCUCCGGAUCCUCUGUCACGCCCAAGAUGUGGCCCUAUCCUAAAGGAACUCGAAGGUCCCACCAAGGAUAGAAGCGCAUCUUGAAGACGCUUUUGCAAGGUGGAUAUCAUUACAUCAACAUUACAUAAUAGAUGGGGAUACAUACAAGAGGCAUACAAUGCCACACGAAUACAACAUCAUACAUAAGAGAUCAACAUCCGACUACGGAUGGAACACAAAUAGAAACUCAAACAACAUCCACCCUGCUAGCCCAGGCUGCCGACCUGGAACCUAUCCCCUGAUCAAAGAAGAAGCAGAAGAAGAACUCCAAUACAAGCAAACAUCGCUCUCGCGUCAUGAUCAUCGCAUAACCUGUACCUGCAACUGUUGUUGUAGUAAUCUGUGAGCCACGAGGACUCAGCAAUCCCAUUACCAUGGGUAUCAAGACUAGAAAGGCUUAAUGGGAAAGGAAGGGGUAAAGUGGUGAGGUUGCAGCAGCGGCUAAGCAUAUAUGGUGGCUAACAUACGCAAAUGAGAGCGAGAAGAGAAACAAAGGAAUGGUCGUCAACUAGUAAUGAUCUAGAAGUGAUCCUGAGCUCCUACUUACGUCAAUCAUAACCCAGAAACCGUGUUCACUUCCCGGACUCCGCCGAUAAGAGACCAUCACGGCUGCACACACGGUUGAUGCGUUUUAAUUCGGAUCUGGUGUCAAGUUAUCUACAACCGAAAAUUAACAAAUUCCCAUCUGCCACAUAACCGCGGGCAUGGCUUUCGAAAUAUAAUACCCUGCAGGGGUGUCCCAACUUAGCCCAUGAUAAGCUUUCGCGAUCAACGAAGGAUAUACCUUCUCCCAGGAAGACCCGAUCAGUCUCGGAAUCCCGGUUUACAAGACAUUUCGACAAUGGUAAAACAAAACCAGCAAGACCGCCCGAUGCACCGACAUCCCGAUAGGAGCUGCACAUAUCUCGUUCUCAGGGCAACACCGGAUGAACACUACGUACAACUAAAACCAGACCUCAAGUUUCCCCGAGGUGGCGCUGCAAGUGGCUCUAGUUCGGACCAACACUUAGACAAGCAUUGGCCCGGGGGGGCUGAAUAAAGAUGACCCUCGAGAGAGCGACUCCCAAGGGAAAAGUAGGUGGUGGUGAGGCAAAUGGUAAAACCAAGGUUGGGCCUUGCUGGAGGAGUUUUAUUCAAAGCGAACUGUCAAGGGGGUCCCAUAAAUCACUCGACCGCGUAAGGAACGCAAAAUCCGGGAACAUAACACCGAUAUGACGGAAACUAGGGCGGCAAGAGUGGAACAAAACAUCAGGCAUAAGGCCGAGCCUUCCACCCUUUACCAAAUAUAUAGAUGCAUUAAUUAGAUAAGAGAUAUUGUGAUAUCCCAACAUAAUCCUGUCCAUCAUGGAGCAAUCUUCAACUUCACCUGCAACUAACAACGCUAUAAGAGGGGCUGAGCAAAGCGGUAACAUAGCCAAACAACGGUUUGCUAGGAAGGGUGUCAAAGGUUAGAGGUUCAUGGCAAUUCGGGAGGCUUGAAGAGCAAAUGAUAGGUAACGCAGCAUAGCGAUAGAACGAAGCAACUAGCAUAGCAAUGAUAGUAGUGAGAUCCAGGGUAGCGGUCAUCUUGCCUGAAAUCCCGCUAGGAAGAAGAACGAGUCCAUGAAGAAGACAAGCGGACGUAGUCGAACGAAUCCUCACAAUCGCAACAUUACCGGAACUAAGAAGCAACACCGGAAAGAAACAAACAACAUGGUAAAUGCACAAGCAUAAACAUGGCAUGAUGCACAAACAAGUAUGAUGCAUGUCCGGUUUAAUGAGGCAUGGCAAAAUGCAACAAACAAUACUACAAGUUAAGUGGAGCUCAAUAUGCAACGAGUUGCAUAUUGACAAAACACCACAUCAAUUAUUUAGUUCUCUCUCGGUUAUGCUACUCAUCAAUAUUAAAUUUUGUUAAACAUGGCAAGGGGUGAAGCAUAAUGAAACUACCUAACUAGGCAAGUUUAAAUGAGGCCGGAAAUAAGAAAGAACAAUUCCGGAAAAUCCUCAUGUGCAUAUUUUGAUUUGGUACUGUUCUGCCCUAAACCAUAUUUUAAGGUUGUUAAACAGGAAAAUAAAGUGCACCAUGUUAAACUAGGCAUUUUUCCACCCCAUUUACAUAUAAAGUUUAUUAAAAUUGGAGCUACGGUUAUUUAGUUAUGAAAUAAACCAUUUUAAUAUGGCAUUUGAGCAAAUUUAAACAAACAACAUUUUAAACAUUUUAAACAUGGAUGAAAAUAGCAUAUUAUUAAUCUACACAAAAUUCUAAGCAUUUUACAUGUUUAAAUCAUUUUAAUCCAAUGCACGGUUCAUGAGUUAUUAUAUGCAUGAUGCUUAGGGGUUUUUCUGUAAAACAGUAAACUCCUGGAUAAAUAGCAAAAUCGUUCCGCGGAAAAAAACAUGGAUAGGGCCGAAUCUGGACGGCCCAAAAGUGCAUAGGAGAGGGGGCGGGGGCUGCUCACCCUGGGCCAAGGCCCGGUUGGUGCAGCAGGCCGGUUGAGGAGGCGCUGGGGAAAGAGGCUGCUGGGCUGAUGCGGGUGAAGGGCGACGCGGUGGCCCAGGCACGCUGGCGGCGCGGUCAACGCGAGGCACGAGGGAGCGGGCGCCUCGUCCUCUGCUCGUCAGGAAGCAGAGCAGCGGCGGCGGGGUGCUCUCCAGCGAGGGCGCAACUUGGGAAGGCGGAGAGGAAGGUCGGCGAGAGGCGCAUGCGUCAGUUUCAACGACAACGCAGAUGAGGCACGGGAGGUCGACGCGGUCGUGCGUGGCUGCUGGAGCUUCUCGAGCAGAGAAGAAGUCAGCGAUGGCUGGGUCGUCGAGGACCUCGUCGGCGGCACGAGCAGGAGGGAAACGGCCAGGAUCCAAGGGGGAGGACGCACGGGCUCGUCUGUUUCUUGUCCCGGGCAAAGAGAGACAGAGAGAGGUGAGACAGGGAGAGGGAAAGGAAGAGAGGGCGCGAGGGAGGCCCGACGGCAUGACCUGGAGGAGCUGGUGAUCAUCGACGGUGAGACGAGGCGGGGGUCGCGAGGAAGACAGCGGAGCUCUGGAUCGGGAGGAGCUCGGCUCUCCUCGGGCGUUGCACAACGCGGAAGGGAUGCAGGGAGCAGCGGGAGGAGGAGGCGCGCACGGGAGGGGCGCCAUGGGUCUUGGGUGCGUGCUCGAGCUUGAGCAGCGAGCUCCUCUUGCUCGGACGCGGGCGUCGCAAGGACGAAGGACGGCGAGGUGGCGGCUCGGGCUUCGGUGGCAUGGUGAGGAGCUUAGGCAGGGAGGUGGAUCGAGGAGGGGAUGGAUUUGGGUUGGUUGGUGUUGAACGAGGGGGGAUUUGGAUCAGGGAGGAUCCCGAUGUAGAUGGUGGCGACGCUAGGGUAGGAUCCCUAGAAAUUAGGUGGUUUUUCUAGGUUAGUUAGGUGGGGUCUAUAUAUAUCAAAUGGAUUUUUGACAGGGGCAUUAGGUCCCUCCGAUCGUAAUCGGACGGCCGAAAAAAUAGGCUAGAGAGUCCAAAUAAGAAAACGGAGAUAUUUGAUAGACGUUUGGGGAUGAUCCGGAUCCAUCGGUAACGACAGACCUGUUCGGGUUCGGGUAAGAUUCGGACACGCACACGAGGGGUCUGAGAGAGGUCAACGAGGGCAAGGGCCUGCCAAAAUAACAACGGAGGCAAAGAGAGAAAGGGCAACUGCGAACGGCUACGAGUUUUUAUAAAAACAUGUGGAUGCAAUGCACAUGAUGCCAUGAGAUGAAAUGCAUGACAUGAACAAAAUGCAAAAACAAAAUACAAAAACCCAACCACGAAGGAAAAUAAAAUAUCACAUCUACGGAAAAGGCAAGAGUUGGAGUUAUGAAUGUGGAAAGUUGUAUCCGGUGCGUUACAACACUCCACCACUACGAGAGGAUCUCGUCCCGAGAUCUGGGAUGGCGCCGGAGAGAAAAACGGAAGAGCAAGAGAGAAGGUAAACCAAGUCGCUUCUUUGACGAACGAGUGAAACCACAAACCUUGAGAGGUUGAGCAAUUUAAAAGAAAGGGUACAACAGAGAUGAACGAGAUUGCAAACAACCCGGUAGAAAAGAGGAACAAGGAGUAUUACGAGAACAUGAAGGUUGAAAGACAUGGAAAUAAGAGCUUCAUGAACGAAAAGAAUAUGACAACCUCGGUAUAAUGAGAUAGCCAAGGAACAAGAAUGACCGAAUUUGGACAGCACUCCGGUAGAAAAGAGAAGAAAACUUGAUGAGAUGAAAAGACAUUGAAGAGAUGAUACAACACUCCGGUUAAAUGGAUAAGCAAGAAAAGAACACGAUCCUCACAAAACGAGGUGAUGUGUGAAGGGCGCAACAUCACAAUACCUCCGGAACGAAAGAAUAGAAGCUAGACCGUUGGGAUAAAGGGAUGGAGAAGAAAAUGACAACUUCUACCACAAUUGAAUUUGGAAGGCAUCCUUGAAAGAAGGUUAGAAUAGAGUUGUUGGAAGACCAACAACGAAAAGAAUAAGUUUGUAGUGGGCUUAUGGAAACAUCUCAACAUUAUGAGGUGACAACCGACCACUAAAGGAAACAAUUGCUAGCUUUAGAUCGACGAAGAGAUGAACACUUCUUCCACCAAGAUGAUAAAGAGAUAACUUGGAUCAUUGAUAAGCACCACAAAAGCAACAUUCCUUAGGGAAGGCUUUAGGUGAAAUAUGACACAAGAUAACUCCAACAACGAGGUUGAUGGUUGAAAAGAUCUCUUGAACAAAGAGAAAAUGAUGGAUUUAAAUAUCUCAUUCUUAACAACUUGCGAAUCAUGAAACACGAAGUGAAAUUGUCAAGAAUGACAUAAGACCACCCCAAAAGGUAGAAAGAAUUGCACUUUGGGAUGCACGAUGAAGAAUGCUUGAACUCCUCAAAACAAAACAUGUGUUGAGCACCAUGUUUAAUUUUGAGUAUAGCUUGGCUGAUCUUAACUUCAAGAGAAAUCUUGAAGAACAAUUGAAGAAUGAAAAGAAUCCUUGACGAACCACCAUGUAGAGCCUCCAUGAAGAACUCCGGUAAAAAAAGGAUGAUAAAAAAGAAAGGGAAGUUGAAAACACAAGGUGAAGCCUUGCCAUGAUUUAGAUGGAGCUUCGCGAUGAUAUAACCGAGAGAACUUGGAACUCCGAAAAGAAAAGAUGAUCUUAGAACCGAGAAUUUAUUCCUCAAGAACAAACUCCAAAGGAAACAAUUAAUCACUUGGAUGAAACAAUAAUAAGAAUUACGUUAUGCCUAUCCUUCACCAAUUUAAAUUGAUGACAAGCAACGGAUUUGGCAUACUACUUAUUCCUAUAGAAAGAAUUAAAAGAGAUAUAGCGCAAGCUUGAGAAGGUAUUGAUGGUUUCCACCGGUGGGAUUUGGAAACAACGAAUGAAUUGAUAUGAUAACGAAGGAAGUGAAAUCUUGAACGAACCACCGUAAGAAUUCAAAAUGAAAGUAGCAAAGGCACAAUUCACUGGGAAGAGUUGGAAAACGAAUGAAGAUACUUGAGGGGAUUUAGAUACCUGAGAACAAAGAGAUCAUGAACUGAUUAGAGGAUAUCUGAACGAUUCAUUGAUAAGAUUUGGAGAACGAUAGCUACACACUGAGAAUAAAGAAUUAUGGCAUGAUGGCCUUCGGAGGGAAGAAAUGGAAACAACUCAUGAAAUGCUCCGGAUGGUAAGAAAAGAAUUGUCACAAUCAAAACAAUUAUGAGGAUAGCAUGAAGCUAGAACCAUGAAUCUUCAAGAGAAUGGACCAAGAUUUAAGAGAAACUCUUCUUCGGUCUUCACAUGUUGAGAAUGAUCAUGAGAACCACCAUGACAAUUGUUGAGGCACUCCGGAAUGAAAAUUGGAAAGGUUGAACCAAUGAUGAAAAGAAUUUGAAAGAUCUUGGAGAAAGACAUAUGACUGAUGAUAACCCAUUCUUACGUCAAACUUUGAAAAGAAUUUUAGAAGCUCCGGGAAAAUUAGAAGAGUCAGGUAAGAUCCUGGGAAAAGACCUGUGCGUUAGGGCCCACUGAAAAGAAACACACCGUUGAACAAUUUUAAAGAGAGGUUGCACCGGUUGAAUUAAAUGACUUGAAUGAGAUAAUAAUCUCCAAAUAGCUUGAACGGGUCUUGAAUGAAAAGAUGAGCCUUGUGAGAUAUCUUCAGCACUCCAGAACAAAUGGAUAGGAAGAAGUGAAUGAUUAAGAGGUGCAUCGGCAUGAGAAAGCAUUAGAAACGAGGAAAAGAAUAUGAUGAAUAUCGAAAGCUUGAAUUGGAUCCACCGGAGAAGAAACAACAAUGAAGGAUGAUGAACUUGAAACUGUUGAGCAUCUUCAUGGGAAAUCACCGGAUAAGAACAUUGAAAGAAAAGAAUGAAGAGAAUUCUCACAAAUAAAAGGAUACAUGAUUAAGAAAUCUGAGUCCUUGAAAAAAGGGUGGGAGGGCGGGAAAACAAAGGCAACUUGGGGACGGAUGAAACGAAUACCGUUGAGAAAACUUAGAAUUGAUCUCGCAAAUAUUGAAAUGAUCGGAUUCACUUGAAGAGAAGCACGCUGGUUGAAAAAGAAUUAACAUGACGACCUCGAUGAUCAAGAAGGAUUAGUACUCCCAUAGAAAUAUGAGAACACCGUUUAGAAAAGGUAUGGAAUCAACACUUGACAUUGAAGCAACUCAAAUACCACAACUCAAAACAAAAUAAAGGAUUGGCUUGCAGAAAUAAGCCGGAACAAAUACAUAUGAUAGAGAUUUACCCAAUCCCAUAUCAGGCAUCUGUCGGAAAGAUAUUCUAGGAGCUACUUGAAUUCCCACCUAUAAAACUCCCGAAACUUUCUGGUUAUGCAAUCUGGUGUUGGGGAUACAGGGGAAGCAAUAUAUAUCUCACCCAAAACUAACAAUCCAUACAUCCAGCUGUAUCCAUCCGUCAACACAUAACCAAGAAAACUCCAAAAAUCGUGUACCUCAACCUUCGAAAAGCAUCCGUUAUACGAGCUAUGGCAAUACUCCCGAACUCCCCAGUACUGGGUGGCGUCGAGGUUAUCUCACCAACAACUGCAUAAAAGAGAUUUUCAAUGUCGGCAAAACUCAGGUAUUCCAGAACUGCAACGAUAAAAUUAUGACGACAACACCUCGGAGCUCAACUCCCCGGGACACUGCCACAACCCCUAAAUGUCAGGAGGCACCAAGAACAAUGUUCUCGUCAUAAGAAUAUCGGAACUAUCCCAAGAUACCCGCGUGAUCCUAAAAAAAUUCAUGAAAUUUGAGGAGAGGAAAGUCAAAACAUCUACGUCAGGAGUCCUCACCAGAGCGACGAAGGGGGCUGAGGAGUAAAAAUAAUCCUACUCUCCGAUAUAUAUAAUCCUAAGACUCAAAAUAGUUUUCUUCUAGACUCAACAACGGCCAACAAUCAAGGGGGCUCCUAUGGUCGGUCGAGGCUCUGAUACCAACUUGUCACGCCCAAGAUGCGGCCCUAUCCUAAAGGAACUCGAAGGUCCCACCAAGGAUAGAAGCACAUCUUGAAGACACUUUUGCAAGGUGGAUAUCAUUACAUCAACAUUACAUAAUAGAUGGGGAUACAUACAAGAGGCAUACAAUGCCACACGAAUACAACAUCAUACAUAAGAGAUCAACAUCCGACUACGGAUGGAACAAAAACAGAAACUCAAACAACAUCCACCCUGCUAGCCCAGGCCGCCGACCUGGAACCUAUCCCCUGAUCGAAGAAGAAGCAGAAGAAGAACUCCAAUACAAGCAAACAUCGCUCUCGCGGCAUGAUCAUCGCAUAACCUGUACCUGCAACUGUUGUUAUAGUAAUCUGUGAGCCACGAGGACUCAGCAAUCCCAUUACCAUGGGUAUCAAGACUAGCAAGGCUUAAUGGGAAAGGAAGGGGUAAAGUGGUGAGGUUGCAGCAGCGGCUAAGCAUAUAUGGUGGCUAACAUACGCAAAUGAGAGCGAGAAGAGAAACAAAGGAACGGUCGUCAACUAGUAAUGAUCUAGAAGUGAUCCUGAGCUCCUACUUACGUCAAUCAUAACCUAGAAACCGUGUUCACUUCCCGGACUCCGCCGAGAAGAGACCAUCACGGCUACACACACGGUUGAUGCAUUUUAAUUCGGAUCUGGUGUCAAGUUAUCUACAACCGAACAUUAACAAAUUCCCAUCUGCCACAUAACCGCGGGCAUGGCUUUCGAAAGAUAAUACCCUGCAGGGGUGUCCCAACUUAGCCCAUGAUAAGCUUUCGCGAUCAACGAAGGAUAUACCUUCUCCCAGGAAGACCCGAUCAGUCUCGGAAUCCCGGUUUACAAGACAUUUCGACAAUGGUAAAACAAAACCAGCAAGACCGCCCGAUGCACCGACAUCCCGAUAGGAGCUGCACAUAUCUCGUUCUCAGGGCAACACCGGAUGAACACUACGUACAACUAAAACCAGACCUCAAGUUUCCCCGAGGUGGCGCUGCAAGUGGCUCUAGUUCGGACCAACACUUAGACAAGCAUUGGCCCGGGGGGGCUGAAUAAAGAUGACCCUCGAGAGAGCGACUCCCAAGGGAAAAGUAGGUGGUGGUGAGGCAAAUGGUAAAACCAAGGUUGGGCCUUGCUGGAGGAGUUUUAUUCAAAGCGAACUGUCAAGGGGGUCCCAUAAAUCACCCGACCGCGUAAGGAACGCAAAACCCGGAAACAUAACACCGGUAUGACGGAAACUAGGGCGGCAAGAGUGGAACAAAACAUCAGGCAUAAGGCCGAGCCUUCCACCCUUUACCAAAUAUAUAGAUGCAUUAAUUAGAUAAGAGAUAUUGUGAUAUCCCAACAUAAUCCUGUCCAUCAUGGAGCAAUCUUCAACAUCACCUGCAACUAACAACGCUAUAAGAGGGGCUGAGCAAAGCGGUAACAUAGCCAAACAAUGGUUUGCUAGGAAGGGUGUCAAAGGUUAGAGGUUCAUGGCAAUUCGGGAGGCUUGAAGAGCAAAUGAUAGGUAACGCAGCAUAGCGAUAGAACGAAGCAACUAGCAUAGCAAUGAUAGUAGUGAGAUCCAGGGUAGAGGUCAUCUUGCCUGAAAUCCCGCUAGGAAGAAGAACGAGUCCAUGAAGAAGACAAGCAGACGUAGUCGAACGAAUCCUCACAAUCGCAACAUUACCGGAACUAAGAAGCAACACCGGAAAGAAACAAACAACAUGGUAAAUGCACAAGCAUAAACAUGGCAUGAUGCACAAACAAGUGUGAUGCAUGUCCGGUUUAAUGAGGCAUGGCAAAGUGCAACAAACAAUACUACAAGUUAAGUGGAGCUCAAUAUGCAACGAGUUGCAUAUUGACAAAACACCACAUCAAUUAUUUAGUUCUCUCUCGGUUAUGCUACUCAUCAGUAUUAAAUGUUGUUAAACAUGGCAAGGGGUGAAGCAUAAAGAAACUACCUAACAAGGCAAGUUUAAAUGAGGCCGGAAAUAAGAAACAACAAUUCCGAAAAAUCCCCAUGUGCAUAUUUUGAUUUGGUACUGUUCUGCCCUAAACCAUAUUUUAAGGUUGUUAACCAGGAAAAUAAAGUGCACCAUGUUAAACUAGGCAUUUUUCCACCCCAUUUACAUAUAAAGUUUAUUAAAAUUGGAGCUACGGUUAUUUAGUUAUGAAAUAAACCAUUUUAACAUGGCAUUUGAGCAAAUUUAAACAAACAACAGUUUAAACAUUUUAAACAUGGAUGAAAGUGGCAUAUUAUUAAUCUACACAAAAUUCUAAGCAUUUUACAUGUUUUAAUCAUUUUAAUCCAAUGCACGGUUCAUGAGUUAUUAUAUGCAUGAUGCUUAGGGGUUUUUCUGUAAAACAGUAAACUCCUGGAUAAAUAGCAAAAUCGUUCCGCGGAAAAAAACAUGGAUAGGGCCGAAUCUGGACGGCCCAAAAGUGCACAGGAGAGGGGGCGGGGGCUGCUCACCCUGGGCCAAGGCCCGGUUGGUGCAGCAGGCCGGCUGAGGAGGCGCUAGGGAAAGAGGCUGCUGGGCUGAUGCGGGUGAAGGGCGACGCAGUGGCCCAGGCACGCUGGCGGCGCGGUCAACGCGAGACACGAGGGAGUGGGCGCCUCGUCCUCUGCUCGUCAGGAAGUAGAGCAGCGGCGGCGGGGUGCUCUCCGGCGAGGGCGCAGCUUGGGAAGGCGGAGAGGAAGGUCGGCGAGAGGCGCAUGCGUCAGUUCCAACGACGACGCAGAUGAGGCACAGGAGGUCGACGCGGUCGUGCGUGGCUGCUGGAGCUGCUCAAGCAGAGAAGAAGUCGACGAUGGCUGGGUCGUCGGGGACCUCGUCGGCGGCACGAGCAGGAGGGAAACGGCCAGGAUCCAAGGGGAGGACGCACGGGCUCGUCUGGUUCUUGUCCCUGGCAAAGAGAGACAGAGAGAGGUGAGACAGGAAGAGGGAAACGAAGAGAGGGCACGAGGGAGGCCCGACGGCGUGACCUGGAGGAGCUGGUGAUCGUCGGUGGUGAGACGAGGUGGGGGUCGCGAGGAAGACAGCGGAGCUCUGGAUCGGGAGGAGCUCGGCUCUCCUCGGGCGUUGCACAGCGCGGAAGGGAUGCAGGGAGUAGCGGGAGGAGGAGGCGCGCACGGGAGGGGCGCCAUGGGUCUUGGGUGCGUGCUCGAGCUUGAGCAGCGAGCUCCUCUUGCUCGGACGCGGGCGUCGCAAGGACGAAGGACGGCGAGGUGGCGGCUCGGGCUUCGGUGGCGUGGUGAGGAGCUCAGGCAGGGAGGUGGAUCGAGGAGGGGAUGGAUUUGGGUUGGCUGGUGUUGAACGAGGGGGGGAUUUGGAUCAGGGAGAUCCCGAUGUAGAUGGUGGCGGCGCUAGGGUAGGUUCCCUAGAAAUUAGGUGGUUUGUCUAGGUUAGUUAGGUGGGGUCUAUAUAUAGCUAAUGGAUUUUUUAUAGGGGCAUUAGGUCCCUCCGAUCGUAAUCGGACGGUCGAAAAAAUAGGCUAGAGAGUCCAAAUAAGAAAACGGAGAUAUUUUAUAGACGUUUGGGGAUGAUCCGGAUCCAUCGGUAACGAUAGACCGGUUCGGGUUCGGGUAAGAUUCGGACACGCACACGAGGGGUCUGAGAGAGGUCAACGAGGGCAAGGGCCUGCCAAAAUAACAACGGAGGCAAAGAGAGAAAGGGAAACUGCGAACGGCUACGAGUUUUUAUGAAAACAUGUGGAUGCAAUGCACAUGAUGCCAUGAGAUGAAAUGCAUGACAUGAACAAAAUGCAAAAACAAAAGACAAAAACCCAACCACGAAGGAAAAUAAAAUAUCACAUCUCCGGAAAAGGCAAGAGUUGGAGUUAUGAAUGUGGAAAGUUGUAUCCGGUGCGUUACAUCCUCCUCUGGCGGUAGGGUGACAUUUGCCUUCAGCUCAGUCCAAAGAUCUUCUUUUUGCAUAUCAUUGACAUAAGACACCUCAUGGUCUUCAUCCUUAGCAGGCUUAUACCAUUGCUGGAUGCUGAUCGGGAUCUUGUCCCUAACAAGAACCCCGCACUGAGCAGAAAAUGCCUUCCUUGUCCGGAUGGGUUCAAUCGGUUCGCCAUCGGGCGCGAUUUCUAUGAUCUCAAACUUUUCAUCCGAGCUCAACUUUUUCUUCGGGCCUUGUCUCCUUACCGAAGUUGUGCUUGAUCCGGAGGGCUAGAAAUUAUAAGGAAGAAAGACGACAGUAAUUAAUAUGUGUACAUAUACCAAAACAAUGGAUGCAUCAAUUACUAGUUAGCAUGGGCUUAACUAAUAUAUAUAUACCUGGCCGGACUCGGUUCGGUGACCGGAGCAGUCAGCCCGGUCUCCUUCUUGUACCUCCAUUGUGUCACCGGAGACAUCAUGAACAUACUCCUCCUCUUGUACCGGCAUUAAUGGGUCGAAGCCAUCAUAAACAUAGCCCUCUUCUUCAUCCAGUCCUUCCAGCUGACCAUCGGUGUCGAUGAGAAAUGACGCAACAUCAUCACUUCCAUUUGCGAUUAUGUCCCCCAACAUCGCUUCUGUUUCUUCGUCUCAGGAGUGCUCCAUAGUUUCUGCAAAUAUUUACAACAUGUCAAUUAUUAUUCAAACAUGGUACAGAUGGAUAUAUAUAUAUAUAUAUAUAUAUAUAUAUAUAUAUAUAUAUAUAUAUAUAUAUAUAUNNNNNNNNNNNNNNNNNNNNNNNNNNNNNNNNNNNNNNNNNNNNNNNNNNNNNNNNNNNNNNNNNNNNNNNNNNNNNNNNNNNNNNNNNNNNNNNNNNNNNNNNNNNNNNNNNNNNNNNNNNNNNNNNNNNNNNNNNNNNNNNNNNNNNNNNNNNNNNNNNNNNNNNNNNNNNNNNNNNNNNNNNNNNNNNNNNNNNNNNNNNNNNNNNNNNNNNNNNNNNNNNNNNNNNNNNNNNNNNNNNNNNNNNNNNNNNNNNNNNNNNNNNNNNNNNNNNNNNNNNNNNNNNNNNNNNNNNNNNNNNNNNNNNNNNNNNNNNNNNNNNNNNNNNNNNNNNNNNNNNNNNNNNNNNNNNNNNNNNNNNNNNNNNNNNNNNNNNNNNNNNNNNNNNNNNNNNNNNNNNNNNNNNNNNNNNNNNNNNNNNNNNNNNNNNNNNNNNNNNNNNNNNNNNNNNNNNNNNNNNNNNNNNNNNNNNNNNNNNNNNNNNNNNNNNNNNNNNNNNNNNNNNNNNNNNNNNNNNNNNNNNNNNNNNNNNNNNNNNNNNNNNNNNNNNNNNNNNNNNNNNNNNNNNNNNNNNNNNNNNNNNNNNNNNNNNNNNNNNNNNNNNNNNNNNNNNNNNNNNNNNNNNNNNNNNNNNNNNNNNNNNNNNNNNNNNNNNNNNNNNNNNNNNNNNNNNNNNNNNNNNNNNNNNNNNNNNNNNNNNNNNNNNNNNNNNNNNNNNNNNNNNNNNNNNNNNNNNNNNNNNNNNNNNNNNNNNNNNNNNNNNNNNNNNNNNNNNNNNNNNNNNNNNNNNNNNNNNNNNNNNNNNNNNNNNNNNNNNNNNNNNNNNNNNNNNNNNNNNNNNNNNNNNNNNNNNNNNNNNNNNNNNNNNNNNNNNNNNNNNNNNNNNNNNNNNNNNNNNNNNNNNNNNNNNNNNNNNNNNNNNNNNNNNNNNNNNNNNNNNNNNNNNNNNNNNNNNNNNNNNNNNNNNNNNNNNNNNNNNNNNNNNNNNNNNNNNNNNNNNNNNNNNNNNNNNNNNNNNNNNNNNNNNNNNNNNNNNNNNNNNNNNNNNNNNNNNNNNNNNNNNNNNNNNNNNNNNNNNNNNNNNNNNNNNNNNNNNNNNNNNNNNNNNNNNNNNNNNNNNNNNNNNNNNNNNNNNNNNNNNNNNNNNNNNNNNNNNNNNNNNNNNNNNNNNNNNNNNNNNNNNUCUGUUAGUGCCAUUACUUUUUAAAUUUGAAAACACUUUUUUUGUUUUCUUUCUUGCUUUAUUUAUUUUAUUUUGUUUCUACUUACAAAAAAAAUACUUAUUGUUGUUUUUUUUGUUUUGUUUUCUGCAUUAUUUAUUUUCUUUUGUUUUUUGCUUUAUCUUUAAUUCUUUUUGCUUUUAGUUUUAGGAAAAUUAUAAACUUUCCACUUUUUUUGUUUUUUUGUUUUCUUUCUUGCUUUAUUUAUUUUAUUUUGUUUCUACUUACAACAAAAUACUUAUUGUUGCUAUUUUUAAUUAUUACGAGGGCCGAAGCAUAAGACAUUAAAGCAUUUCAAAUGAACUCUGAAAAAGUUGAAAGUUGGCAUGGUAUCAUAAAUUGACCCACACAUAGCAUGUGCAUGUACAAAACGGACAAUGGUAUCAUACUCGUGAGUUACAAAGUUGGCAUGGUAUCAUCAUAAUAGUUGCGGGAGAAAGUCUUCACUUUUUCUUCGCUUGUGUCAUUUGCUUAUUGCGCCGUAACCAUGGAUAAUCUUCAUCGUUUAUCAGGAUGCUGGGGUCAGCCUUGACUUUAAAGGAAGGAAUUUCAUGAAACUUUUCAUAAUCUUCAGACAUGUCUGUCUUGUCCUCCACUCCCACGAUGUCUCUUUUUCCUGAAAGAACUAUGUGGCGCUUUGGCUCAUCGUAUGAUGUAUUCGCUUCCUUAUCUUUUCUCUUUCUCGGUCUGGUAGACAUGUCCUUCACAUAGAUAACCUGUGCCACAUCAUUGGCUAGGACGAACGGUUCGUUAGUGUACCCAAGAUUUUUCAGAUCCACUGUUGUCAUUCCGUACUGUGGGUCUACCUGUACCCCGCCUCCUGACAGAUUGACCCAUUUGCACUUAAACAAAGGGACCUUAAAAUCAUGUCCGUAGUCAAGUUCCCAUAUGUCCACUAUGUAACCAUAAUAUGUGUCCUUUCCCCUCUCGGUUGUUGCAUCAAAGCGGACACCGCUGUUUUGGUUGGUGCUCUUUUGAUCUUGGUCAAUCGUGUAAAAUGUAUUCCCAUUUAUCUCGUAUCCUUUCCAAAUCAAUACAGUCAAAGAUGGUCCCCUGGAUAACAAGUACAGCUCAUCACAAAUGGUGUUGUCACCUCUGAUACGUGCUUCCAACCAACUGCUGAAAGUCCUGAUGUGUUCACAUGUAAUCCAGUCGUCGCACUGCUCCAGGUGUUUGGAGCGCAGACUGUUCUUGUGUUCAUCGACAUACGGGGUCACCAAGGUAGAGUUCUGUAGAACUGUGUAGUGUGCUUGAGACCAAGAAUAUCCGUCCCUGCAUAUUAUUGAGUCCCUUCCAAGCGUGCCUUUUCCAGUCAGUCUCCCCUCAUACCGCGAUUUAGGGAGACCUAUCUUCUUAAGGCCAGGAAUGAAGUCAACACAAAACCCGAUGACAUCCUCUGUUUGAUGGCCCAUGGAGAUGCUUCCUUCUGUCCUAGCGCGGUUACGGACAUAUUUCUUUAGGACUCCCAUGAACCUCUCAAAGGGGUACAUAUUGUGUAGAAAUACGGGGCCCAGAAUGACAAUCUCGUCAACUAGAUGAACUAGGACGUGCGUCAUGAUAUUGAAGAAGGAUGGUGGGAACACCAGCUCNNNNNNNNNNUUUUAGUUUUAGGAAAAUUAUAAACUUUCUGUUAGUGCCAUUACUUUUUAAAUUUGAAAACACUUUUUUUGUUUUCUUUCUUGCUUUAUUUAUUUUAUUUUGUUUCUACUUACAAAAAAAUACUUAUUGUUGUUUUUUUGUUUUGUUUUCUGCAUUAUUUAUUUUCUUUUUUUUGCUUUAUUUUUAAUUCUUUUUGCUUUUAGUUUUAGGAAAAUUAUAAACUUUCCACUUUUUUUGUUUUUUUGUUUUCUUUCUUGCUUUAUUUAUUUUAUUUUGUUUCUACUUACAACAAAAUACUUAUUGUUGCUAUUUUUAAUUAUUACGAGGGCCGAAGCAUAAGACAUUAAAGCAUUUCAAAUGAACUCUGAAAAAGUUGAAAGUUGGCGUGGUAUCAUAAAUUGACCCACACAUAGCAUGUGCAUGUACAAAACGGACAAUGGUAUCAUACUCGUCAGUUACAAAGUUGGCAUGGUAUCAUCAUAAUAGUUGCGGGAGAAAGUCUUCACUUUUUCUUCGCUUGUGUCAUUUGCUUAUUGCGCUGUAACCAUGGAUAAUCUUCAUCGUUUAUCAGGAUGCUGGGGUCAGCCUUGACUUUAAAGGGAGGAAUUUCAUGAAACUUUUCAUAAUCUUCAGACAUGUCUGUCUUGUCCUCCACUCCCACGAUGUCUCUUUUUCCUGAAAGAACUAUGUGGCGCUUUGGCUCAUCGUAUGAUGUAUUCGCUUCCUUAUCUUUUCUCUUUCUCGAUCUGGUAGACAUGUCCUUCACAUAGAUAACCUGUGCCACAUCAUUGGCUAGGACGAACGGUUCGUUAGUGUACCCAAGAUUUUUCAGAUCCACUGUUGUCAUUCCGUACUGUGGGUCUACCUGUACCCCGCCUCCUGACAGAUUGACCCAUUUGCACUUAAACAAAGGGACCUUAAAAUCAUGUCCGUAGUCAAGUUCCCAUAUGUCCACUAUGUAACCAUAAUAUGUGUCCUUUCCCCUCUCGGUUGUUGCAUCAAAGCGGACACCGCUGUUUUGGUUGGUGCUCUUUUGAUCUUGGUUAAUCGUGUAAAAUGUAUUCCCAUUUAUCUCGUAUCCUUUCCAAAUCAAUACAGUCAAAGAUGGUCCCCUGGAUAACAAGUACAGCUCAUCACAAACGGUGUUGUCACCUCUGAUACGUGCUUCCAACCAACUGCUGAAAGUCCUGAUGUGUUCACAUGUAAUCCAGUCGUCGCACUGCUCCGGGUGUUUGGAGCGCAGACUGUUCUUGUGUUCAUCGACAUACGGGGUCACCAAGGUAGAGUUUUGUAGAACUGUGUAGUGUGCUUGAGACCAAGAAUAUCCGUCCCUGCAUAUUAUUGAGUCCCUUCCAAGCGUGCCUUUUCCAGUCAGUCUCCCCUCAUACCGCGAUUUAGGGCGACCUAUCUUCUUAAGGCCAGGAAUGAAGUCAACACAAAACCCGAUGACAUCCUCUGUUUGAUGGCCCAUGGAGAUGCUUCCUUCUGUCCUAGCGCGGUUACGGACAUAUUUCUUUAGGACUCCCAUGAACCUCUCAAAGGGGUACAUAUUGUGUAGAAAUACGGGGCCCAGAAUGACAAUCUCGUCAACUAGAUGAACUAGGACGUGCGUCAUGAUAUUGAAGAAGGAUGGUGGGAACACCAGCUCGAAAUUGACAAUCUGGAUCGAUCACCUUCUGAGAGAUUGCAUUGAGGAAUGCACAUAGCUUCACAAUGGCUAAUCGGACGUUUUUCGGUAGAAGCCCCCUCAAUGCAACCGGAAGCAGUUGUGUCAUAAUCACGUGGCAGUCAUGAGACUUUAGGUUCUGAAACUUUUUCUCUGCCAUAUUUAUUAUUCCUUUUAUAUUCAACGAGAAGCCAGUCGGGACCUUCAUACUAAGCAGGCAUUCAAAGAAGAUUUCCUUCUCUUCUUUGGUAAGAGCAUAGCUGGCAGGACCUUCAUACUGCUUUGGAGGCAUGCCGUCUUUUUCGUGCAAACGUUGCAGGUCCUCCCGUGCCUCAGCUGUAUCUUUUGUCUUCCCAUACACGCCCAAGAAGCCUAGCAGGUUCACGCAAAGGUUCUUCGUCACGUGCAUCACGUCGAUCGAAGAGCGGACCUCUAGGUCUUUUCAGUAGGGUAGGUCCCAAAAUAUAGAUUUCUUCUUCCACAUGGGUGCGUGUCCCCCAACGUCACUCGGAACAGCUAGUUCGCCGGGACCCUUUCCAAAGAUUACGUGUAAAUCAUUGACCAUAGCAAGUACGUGAUCACCGGUACGCAUGGCGGGCUUCUUCCGGUGAUCUGCCUCGCCUUUGAAAUGCUUUCCUUUCUUUCGACAUUGAUGGUUGGUCGGAAGAAAUCGAUGAUGGCCCAGGUACACAUUCUUCCUGCAGCUUGCCAGGUAUAUACUAUCGGUGUCAAGUAAACAGUGCGUGCAUGCGUGGUAUCCCUUGUUUGUCUGUCCUGAAAGGUUACUGAGAGCGGGCCAAUCGUUGAUGGUCACGAAUAGCAACGCCUUUAGGUUAAAUUCCUCCUGUUUGUGCUCAUCCCACGUACGUACACCGUUUCCAUUCCACAGCUGUAAAAGUUCUUCAACUAAUGGCCUUAGGUACACAUCAAUGUCAUUGCCGGGUUGCUUAGGGCCUUGGAUGAGAAGUGGCAUCAUAAUGAACUUCCACUUCAUGCACAUCCAAGGAGGAAGGUUAUACAUACAUAGAGUCACGGGCCAGGUGCUGUGAUUGCUGCUCUGCUCCCCGAAAGGAUUAAUGCCAUCCGCGCUUGAAGCAAACCAUACGUUCCUUGGCUCACUUGCAAACUCAUCCCAGUACUUUCUCUCGAUUUUUUUCCACUGUGACCCGUCAACGGGUGCUCUCAACUUCCCGUCUUUCUUACGGUCCUCAAUGUGCCAUCGCAUCAACUUGGCAUGCUCUCCGUUUCUGAACAGACGUUUCAACCGUGGUAUUAUAGGAGCAUACCACAUCACCUUCGCAGGAACCCUCUUCCUGGGGGGCUCGCCAUCAACAUCACCAGGGUCAUCUCGUCUGAUCUUAUACCAUAAUGCACCGCAUACCGGGCAUGCGUUCAGAUCCUUGUACGCACCGCGGUAGAGGAUGCAGUCAUUAGGGCAUGCAUGUAUCUUCUGCACCUCCAAUCCUAAAGGGCAUACGACCUUCUUUGAUGCGUAUGUACUGUCGGGCAAUUCGUUAUCCUUUGGAAGCUUCUUCUUCAAUAUUUUAAGUAGCUUCUCAAAUCCUUUGUCAGGCAUAGCAUUCUCUGCCUUCCACUGCAGCAAUUCCAGUACGGUACCGAGCUUUGUGUUGCCAUCUUCGCAAUUGGAGUACAACCCUUUUUUGUGGUCCUCUAGCAUGCGAUCGAACUUCAGCUUCUCCUUUUGACUUUCGCAUUGCGUCCUUGCAUCGACAAUGACCCGGCAGAGAUCAUCAUCAUCGGGCACAUCGUCUGGUUCCUCUUGAUCUUCACCAGCUUCGCCCAUUGCAGCAUCAUCGUGCACAUCGUCUGGUUCCUCUUGAUCUUCAGGAGCAUCACUGUAUUCAGGGGGCACAUAGUUGUCAUCGUACUCUUCUUCUUCGCCGUCUUCCAUCAUAACCCCUAUUUCUCCGUGCCUCGUCCAAACAUUAUAGUGUGGCAUGAAACCCUUGUAAAGCAGGUGGGUGUGGAGGAUUUUCCGGUCAGAGUAAGACUUCGUAUUCCCACAUAUAGGGCAUGGACAACACAUAAAACCAUUCUACUUGUUUGCCUCAGCCACUUCGAGAAAAUCAUGCACGCCCUUAAUGUACUCGGAGGUGUGUCUUGAACCGUACAUCCAUUGCCGGUUCAUCUGCGUGCAUUAUAUAAUGAAGUGACAAAAUUAAUAGAAGUUCAUCAUCACAUUAAAACCAAAGUACAUACAUAGUUCUCAUCUAACAACAUAAAGCUCUGUAGAGCAUCUAAAUUAAUUAAACCAUACACCUAAACUAUGUAAAACAUUUCAAUGCGAAAACAAAUGCGAUCAUAAUCGCAACCAAUGUAACAACUGAUCCAACGGCAUAAUGAUACCAAGCCUCGGUAUGAAUGGCAUAUUUUCUAAUCUUUCUAAUCUUCAAGCGCAUUGCAUCCAUCUUGAUCUUGUGAUCGACGACAUCCGCAACAUGCAACUCCAAUAUCAUCUUCUCCUUCUCAUUUUUCCUAAUUUUUUCCUUCAAGAAAUUGUUUUCUUCUUCAAUUAAAUUUAACCUCUCGACAAUAGGGUCGGUUGGAAUUUCCGGUUCAACAACCUCCUAGAUAAAUAAAAUCUAUGUCACGUUGGUCGGCAUAAUUGUCAUAAACAAUAAAUGAACCAAUAGUUAUGAAAAGAUAAUAUAUACCACAUCCGAAUCAUAGACAGGACGAGGGCCGACGGGGGCGGAUACCAAAACCAUCGCACUAUAUAAGAUGCAAUAAUAAAAGUAAGAAAAUAAUACAAGUAUCUAUCUAAACAUACAAGUAAGAAUAUUUUUCCUUUCAGAAAGAAGAUAAGAACAAAAGGCUCACCACGAUGGUGCCGGCGAUGAGAUCAACGCGGGUGAUCGACGACGGUGAAGACGGGGACGGGGCGUGACGGACCGCUAAAUCUAGACAAAUAUUGAGGAAAAUGGAGCUUGGCGGUCGAGCUUGGAGGGGAGAAAGCUUAAGUAGUGUGGCUCGGGCAUUCCAUCGAACACCUCGUGUGCAUAGGAGGUGAGCUAGAGCACCACAAAGCUCUCCCCUCGCCGGCCACGAAAAACAGAGCACUGGGAGUGCUCUGCUCGCGAGCAGGGGUAUAUAUAGGCACCUCAUUGGUCCCAGCCUUUGGUCCCGGUUCAUGCCACCAACCGGGACCAAUGGUGGUGGGCCAGGAGCGAGGCCCAUUGGUCCCGGUUCGUCCCACCAACCGGGACCAAAAGGUCCAGACGAACCGGGACCAAUGGCCCACGUGGCCCGGCCGGCCCCCGGGGCUCAAGAACCGGGUCCAAUGCCCCCAUUGGUCCCGGUUCUGGAUUGAACGGGGACUAAUGGGCUGGACUGGCCUGGACCAUUGCCCCCUUUUCUACUAGUGAACUCAACUUCACCGUAUAUGAACUCGCCGGAACUCCUUGAUCACGAACGGAAACGCAAGGCACAAUUUACUUUUUCCAUCCACUCUUACUCUUAAUUCUCAUCCGCCAGUGACGCGUCUCAACUACAGCAGAUGACUCACACCCCCGAAUUCUUGGACGCACCAUACAAGAACUCAUGCACACCUCGACGACAGCCCGCAUGUUUGCCGUCACCACCUUGCUCUCAUUUGCGAUGAUAUCGAUGGUUUCCCUGGUGUCGCAACUUCGGCACCUCCAUAACCAUCACCGAUCACCAAUGCCUUGUCGACGACAGCAUGUCGCCCUCCUCCAGGUCGUUCCGCCGAACGACAAUCACGAGCCGCCUCGCUUACGACAGUGUCCUCGCCACCUUCUCACCGUCACUACGCCGAGCAAAGAUCACUCGAUCCUCCUCGUACGUCGCUCCCCGAACGACUAUUGCCUGCUCCACCUCGUCGCUGCACCACCCAGCGACUAUAUCGCCCGCUCUUCCUCGUCGCUGUACCACCGAACGACUAUAUGGCCGCCCCGAGGCGCUAGUAGGUCGCCACCCCGGGGCAAGCACGGCUGUACUAGAACCUUGCUCUAGAGACCAACUGUUGGAAUUUCGCCCUCAGGAUCGAUUACAUCAGAUACGAGGAACACACGCACACAAAAAAAAUGAUAGCCAAGGGCCCUUGUCGUGCCCUCUUUUCUCUUUAUUUUUUUGUUUCUCAACUCACGGUGUUACAAAUCGGAUGGACCGGUGUGCAUAUAUAUAAAUGACCUCAAGAGCUAUAGCUAGCUAACCUAAACCGACUCAAACAACUAAUCCUGGCCGGACACACGUUGAAACAUAACUACGACAUGGGCAGUAUGCAUGCUAAUUCCUAAUACUACACGGCUUGCAAACCGGCCACCCCGCGUACAUCUCAAUUUACCUAGUUUCUUUUUAGGGUUAAUGCCGCCGCUUUAUUUAGGUCUCCGCAAAGCUCGGAAUGCCAUCCGAGAUUACAGCCAAAAUACAGUCAGGGGGAACCCCCAUCCACACCUUACAUAAAUUAUCACCUACACCUACUCUAGCCAUCUUAUGCGCGGCGACAUUCGCUGAACGACGAACCCAUGACAACUUAGCACCUUGCAUCUCCUGCAACACCUGCUUGAUUUCCUGAAUCCAGGGUCCAACCGUCGAGUAGUUUAUACCCUCUUGCUGGAUCAUCUGAACCACCUUCAAGCUGUCCAACUCAAGAUGAACAUUCUGCACUCCCAACUCUCCCGCCACCUGCAAAGCUCUCCUACAUGCCAAUACUUCCGCAGCUUCAGGGUCCUGUAUAUGUGGAAAUACAUGACACAUGGCAGCUAUGAAAGCUCCGUUGUGAUCUCGCAAAACUGCCCCCCCCCCUCCUGCGUUGUCUCCCACCCUCGAAAUAGCACCAUCAGUGUUAAUCUUCACCCAGCCAUCAUCCGGUACAGCCUAUCGCUGGGUGAUCUUCGGGACCGGUACAGUUACCUUUGUUGGAUGUGAGUUGGUCCACUCCAGCAAAUGUGUAUACACUGAUUCCAUUAUCGCAUGUGGCACUUCCAACCGUUUCCCUUCCCUCGUAUCAUUUCUUGCUAGCCAAAGUCCGUAUGUGGCUUGGAUCAUAACUUCUUUCUCUUCCUCGGACGCUCCAGAGAACCAGCCAAGUAGCCAAGGCGCUAAUGCACCCUGGGUAUCAAUCUGACACGGCGGGGCUGCCACCGCGAUACCUUUUUCCAAGCGCAAAAGUUGCCAGAACUGUGCUGAAUGCUGACAUGCCCAAAAACGAUGGAUGAUUGUUUCUUCCCUCCCGCAUGCAACACAAAAAACCCCCGGUUUGAUCCGUCUCCGAUGAAGUUCUGAUCCUACUGCUAGUCCAUUUCUGAUCAUGCGCCACAUGUGGAUUUUUGCCUUGGGUGGAGCACUCGUACCCCACAUCUCCAUAUACCCUUUGUGCUGCUGUACCGAGUCUGAAGACUCCUGCUGGCCCGUCCUCACCUUCCUCAUUGCCAUCCAAAGAUGAUAUGCUGACUUGACAUUAAAGACACCAUUCUUGGUAUAAUUCCAAGCCUGGUAGUCUUCGGUUUCGGGCCCUCCCACUGCUAUUUGCAUUAUAUCAUGAAUAUCUGAUUCCGAAAACAUAGCUGCUAGCUUUUCUGCAUCCCAAGCCGCACCACUCAAAUCGAGAAGAUCAGACACCUUCGUCACACCAUGAACAUAAACCUGACCCAGUGGUCUCAAACAGCCAUCCCUUGGAAUCCAAUUGUCAUGGUGGAUAUUAAUCCUCGCGCCGUCACCCACCCUCCACACGAGUCCCUCCCGAAGAAGGUCCCUCCCAUGCAAUAUGCUUCUGAACGUGUAAGAUGAGUUGGAUGGGCAGGUAGCACUCAAUAUCGAAUCAUCCUUGAAGUAUCUGGCCUUCAACACCCUAGCACACAGAGAAGACGGCGUAGUAAGAAUCCUCCAUGCUUGCUUUGCCAAAAGUGCUAGGUUGAAGCCCUCAGGAUUUCUGAACCCAAGGCCCCCUUCCCUCUUCGAAUUGCACAUCUUCUCCCAUGAGAUCCAAUGCACCUUUCUUUCACCGUUCAUUGCCCCCACCAGAAUUUUGAAGAGAUGGAUGUCAGGUUCCGGUAUAUCUUCUUUGUGAGGUGAAAGCAACUCAUCGUGAACGUUGGUGUUGAUUGUAAUCCCGAUUUAACAAGAACUUCUCUGGCAGCCUUGGGCAGACCCUGCCCUUUCCACCCUGUCACCUUACCCUUAGAGCUCCCAGUGACAUAAGGAAACGUACCCUCCUUUGAUCUUCCAACCAGUGUUGGCAGACCAAGGUAUCUUUCACUUAGCGCCUCACUAGCAAUGCCCACCGCCUCCUUAAGCUCAUUUUUGGUCUCAUUGUUGCAUCCCUUCCCGAAGAAAAUGGAGGACUUUUGCAUGUUCACCCGCUGGCCCAAGGCCUCCUCAUAUGUCAGUAAAAUUUCCUUCAGCGCAGUCAUGCUCUCUGAAGAGCCCUCAAGAAAAACAAUGCUGUCAUCGGCGAACAGCAAAUGAGUGACGUGGGGGCCAGUGCCCCCGAACGAAACUCCCUUGAUCCUCUGUUCCUCCUGUGCUCUUUUCAACAAGGCCGAGAACCCCUCAACACAAAAAAGGAAUAAAUAUGGUGAGAGCGGGUCACCUUGUCUUAGUCCACGCGAUGGUGUGAACCUCCUAGAGCCACCCCCAUUAAGCCUAACAGAAAACCGAGCUGAUGUAACACAUCUCAUAAUCAUACCAAUCCCCCCAUGAUCAAAGCCAAACUUAGCCAUUAUCCUUUCCAGAAAACUCCACUCUACUCUGUCAUAGGCUUUCAUCAUAUCGAGCUUUACCGCACAUAAGCACUUCCUUCUCUUUCUAGUCCGGAUGGCAUGGACACAUUCGUAUGCUACUAACACAUUGUCCGUAAUAAGACGGCCUGGAACAAACGCACUUUGCUCUUCUGAUAUUAACACUGGUAGGAUGACUUUCAAUCUGUUCGUGAGCACCUUUGUUGCUAUCUUGUACAAAACGUUACACAAACUAAUAGGGCGAAACUGAGAAAGUAGCUCCGGUGCACUCACCUUAGGUAUCAUCACAAUAACAGUAUCAUUAAAUGAUUCCGGGGUUGUCUCACCGUUGAGAAACGUCCGAACAGCCGUACACACAUCUUGCCCCACCAACGACCAGUGUCGCUGAUAGAGAAGCGCUGGCAGUCCGUCCGGACCCGGCGACUUGGUCGGCCCCAUUUGGAACAAUGCUACUCUGAUUUCCUCAUCCGUGAUCGGCGUCGUUAGCUUUUCAUUCAUGUCAGCCGUCACCUGAGACUCAAUAUGCUGCAGCAACGCCUCCGCACCAACCGAGCCUUCGGACGUAAACAAUUGCUCAUAGAAUGCCGCUGCCAUCUCUCUCAUUUCAUCAUCCACCAUACACUUGGUGCCAUCCUCCCUUAACAGUGCCUAUACCGUGUUCUUACGCUUCCUAUGUGAAGCACGGUUUUGGAAGUACUUGGUGUUUUGGUCUCCUACAACUAACCAAUCCACCCUCGAUCGCUGUCGGUAUAAAAUCUCUUCCCUCUCAAACAUCUCCUUCAACUGAUCCUCAAUGUCCCGUACCUCCUGCUGAUAUCCCGUCGACAAUGCCCUAGUCUUGGCGUCCACCAACUGUGUCUUGAGCGCAGCAAUCUGUCUUCUUAUCGAUCCGAACACCUCCCUGCUCCACCUUUGCAUGCUACCCGCUACCUGACCUAGCUUGCUCCACACAUCCUCAAGAUUCCUCCCGCCAGCGCCCGCCGCUUCCCACGCCUCUCGCACCAUUUGCUCAUAGUUCUCAUGCCUUGUCCAUGCUUCCUCAAACCGAAAGGGUCGGUCCCUACCUCGGGGAGCAGCUGGAGCGGUCUCCAUUGCCCUCACCAGUAGAGCCUGAUGGUCCGACUCCUCCGUCAUGAUGUGUUGCACGGACGUUUCUGGGUACAUCUGCAGGAAUCCAUCAUUGCAUGUUGCCCUAUCUAGCCUGACCUGAAUGUUUUCACUCCCAUCUCUUUUGUUAUCCCAUGUGUACGGGUAUCCAUUGAACCCCAGGUCCGCCAAGCCGCAGUCAGCUAGGCAGUCCCUAAAAUCCUCCAUACGUGAAAAAGGCCUUUGGUUACCCCCAAUCUGAUCGGCAUGGAAUAAUGCUUCAUUAUAAUCCCCUACACAAAUCCAAGGGAGAUCAUCUUGCCUUCUCAGAUACCUUAAAGCAUCCCACGAUUUCUUCCGUCUUUCCGUGUUCGGUUCCCCGUAGAAUCCAGUGAUCCUCGAGGUCUUGCCAUCACAAACAAACUCAGCAUCAAUGAAAUAUUGACUCCACGGUCUCACUGUAGCUUGUACGUGAUCUCUCCACCACAUGGCCAGUCCACCACUCCUUCCGUUGCAAUCCACUGCCACCCCAUGUCUAAACCCCAAACUCCAUUUUAACCUAUCCAUCCCUCUCGCCUUUUUCUUCGUUUCACAUAAGAACACCACCGCUGGGUUGUAGGACCUAAUCAGGUCUCAUAAUUCGCCAACCGUCGAGUCCAACCCCAAUCCUUGACAGUUCCAGGCUAGAAUGUUCAUUGCUCCUGGCGGCCCUGGUUAGCAGGGUCCGCCAUUGCUCCAUUUUGUUCCUCAAUGCGGUCAAACACAGACGACGUCUUCCGUCGUGUAUCACAAAUGAAACCGUCAUCGCCCCCACCUCUGAUAUUGUCAUCCUUCACCCUCCAAAUUUGUUUCGGGCCUCUUUUCCUGUUUUCCAACUCCCUUCUAGAAGAGGAAGUGUCACACUGCUGCACUUCAACAACCUGUCUUGGUUUCCUGACAUAAUAUCCCCUCAUUCUUCCACGUUCAUCAUGCAUGUUCGACCUUUCAUAAAGCCCCGGCUCACUGUAAUAAUCAUCCCUCCGAGAUUUGUAUUUUUGAUGUUCGGCUGCAUGCACUGAUCCCUUAUUGUACCCAUUUGCUUUGCCCUUGUAGUCAGCCCUAUUGGUACUCUCGUCUCCAUACCUUCUCUGCUGGUUUUUUAUAAUCAACUUCUCACGGAGAUCUUCCUCCCUCCGCUUCUCAAGGCUGUCCCGCAGGUCCUUUUCCUUUCGCACACCAUGCCCCAUCCCUGAUUUAGCCGGGCUAGUGAUCUCCACCCCACCCUACUCCGAACGACCGCCAGUGCGGCUUCCAGAGCCAGCAGCAAAAUCAGCUGCUAAGUUCCGUUUAGUGGGUAGAUUCCGGCCUCUGUUUUGAUCCUGUUGUCCUUUUCCAUCCUCCCCACUCCUUGAAUUUGCAAAACUGUUGCUACUGCUAGCCCCCUUAGCUCCAAACGAUCCUUCCUUGAAAGAACCAUUCCUUCCUGGGGAAGAACGUAGCCAGCUCCCCCAUUGAUCAGAGGAUUCCAGAGGGGGCACACAUACCCCAUGUUCAUGAACCAGUCUGCCACAAUCGAAGCAAAAAUGUGGCACUUUUUCAUAAAAAAAGUCAUACCACGUCCCAACCUUAUCCUCCUUCGAUUUCUUCAAGUUAAACCCACGGAUCAGAGGCUCAAAAACUGAGAUAGUAGUUCUAAUUCGUAGCUGCUGACCCCUCGCCAUGCCCUCUCCAUCUGUAUCCACCUUCACCACUUUACCAAUCCAAUUGCCUAGGGCAGUCCCAAAGGCUUCACACCUCUUGUCAGGUGGCAAAUCCACCACUCUUACCCAUAUGUCGAUCUCCUCAAACACCAUCUCAGAGGGUCUAAUCUUUCCUUCAUAUUCUUUCACAAUGAGUACACUAAAAUCAAAUUGCCAGGGUCCAUUAUUCAACACAUGUCUCCAAUCUCCUUCACUGCCCAAGUGGACCACGAAGAUAUUUGACCCCAUGUCUCUGAACUUGGCCUCUUUGUGUAGACCCCAUGCCCUCGGCAUCGUCUUCUCCAGCGUCGUCAUCUUCAUUGGCCGUUUCGAGCACACUUUUCCGACCACCGACCACCUCGAGACCUUGGGGAUUGGUAGUUCAUGAUCCUCAAACACAAGCCCAUCAGCCUCCUUAUCCAUCAAAACCAUCCCACCCAGUCUUGCGGAGAGACUCGCCGCUGGAUCAGGUGUUCUACUCUCCACCGGGGACACAAAAUCUCCCCUGCUUCCAGGAUCACCCAUCUUCCGCGGUCCAGGAGUCGACGCCGUCGCCGUUCGGAUCGGAGUUUUCCUGGCGUUCAUCUCCGCGGUCACCUUCGUUCCAGCAUCCUCCGCCAUCGCCUCCGGCCUCACCGCGGAGAAGCUGUGUCAGCCCACGCCUAGAUCGCGCCGUCGCAAUCCAGCCGCCGCCGUAUCCUUACCACCCCCAGCGACAAAACCCUAAACCUAGCGUAGUCGCACGAUCGCCAGGCAAUCGCCGCCUACAUCUCAACUUACCUAGUUAAUUAUCCGGCCAGCUUGAUCACGAUUACACCAAACUAACUCAGGCAUUGUUUGGAUUAUCCCAACACAAUCGUCCAUGGACAGAGGACCAGUCUGUGGACAUCUAUACAUGAAACCGCCAUCCAACCCUGUUCACAUACCUUUCAAAUUUUUUUUAACAAACCAGAUGAAAUUCAUGCAAAGACAGUGAAAUUCACACAAAUCGCACGAAAACGUUUACAUUUUGGACAUAUCUUUUAACUAAAAAUGAUACUAGAGUAACAUGAAACUACUCAGCGCCGGUGAAUAGUCACUCCGGCAACAUGGAUAGCCUUGACUAGUCUACUGCCGGCCGCAAUGGAUCUGCAUUGCCGUCCCCAUGUCCCGUCAUGUCCCGUAGCUGUGAGCCCUGGAGGUAUAUGCUUUAGCACAAAGAGCGGCUCGCUUCCCUACCGCUCAUCGGAGUGGAACAACCGGUUGAUGCUUUUGCCGGUGGGGAAGGGUCCCUACACUGCAUGGAUAGGAGUUGGUUUUGGGUAGGGGACGACGGUGGCCUGCCAGAGGGCAAGACAUCGGGUGUGUACUCUGGCGUCACCUUGGCGUGGCAUUCAUGGGACCCAAGCGGCAGCGGCUCCUCGAUGAUGGCGGCGAGCGUGGACGUGCUGGCCACCACCUAGUCGAUGUCCGCUCAGCCCGUUUCUUUCUCUGCAGGCAGGGAGUCGCUACGUGCACGUUGACAUCAUAUGACGCGGCCGCAGGCAUGGGAGGGGCGGUACGACAUGGCACCGUCGACGGCAGCCACGAUGCCCAUGCAGCCGUGCUCCCUGCCGGUGCCGACCUGUAACAACUCGCCACUCCUCAGUUCGUGACCGGCGGGCUCGAUGGGCCACCCAGCCGUUUUUAUGCGGGAAUACUCUUCUUCCUACUCAUCGGAUCCCAUGAAGAAAACUUCUCAAGGAGGAUAAUGGUGAGUGGAUGUAUGGUACGGUUCUUGCCCGACAUCUGACAGUGUUUAAAUAGCGGGCGAACACGAGAAGCCAACCAAUGUUCUGUUUAUUGCCGGCCGGCUCGCAAACGGACAUGUGGUUGGAGUAGGUAUCCUGGCACACACACGGGUUUAAUGAAGGAAGGCGGGCAGUUUGCAGCCGUUUGAAUGGGGGCGAGCAUGCAUGUUCAGCAUGGCGUGUAGCGCCCUCAGCCAGUGCGCCGCUUCCAUUGCGGAGGCAGUAAGGGAUGUGUACGCUCUGCAGUGGAGUGAAUGCGGGCAACUGGUGCAGGGCGGGAACAAGAGCGGGCAUGGGAGGAGGCGGUUUGGAUGGGCACGUGUGAUAAGAAGCAGUCAUGGGUGCUGUCCGGACACCCGCAAAGCCCGCCUCCCCCACGUUUGUCUCCGGUUUGUCAGAGAAAGUAUGUCCGGACCGUCCUAUGGACCAAUACAGGCCCGCAUUGGAUGGCACAACACGUAUGGACCAUGUAGUCCGGAUGGUUGCAGAUGGUUUGAUGGUUGGCGUUGGAUAUGCCCUUAGCGCUUAUGAAUCCAUUGUGUUUUUCUAAUCAUAAAAAGCACUUAUGACAAGUUAUAAUGAAAGACACGUAUAUAUGUUAGGUUCAGACUCCAACUUUCCCGUUGCAUAUGAAUUUUUCUGAUCCGACCCAUACCAAUAGAGUGAGGCUAGCGUCGCUUUUCUAGAAACUCGCGGGAUAAGAAGACAUGCAUACAUAUUAUUUCAAGGAAAUCACAUCCACUCUUUUUAACUUAUUUUUUCUUAUUUUCAUAAUAUAAUAGAUCAUUUGUAUUUUUAAUUCAAACAAUUAACGUGUAACUUUUAUUGUAAUCUAAGGAUAUUGUUUGGAUUUUACUUUCAAAUAUUUGAAAUGGCCAUGAUGGAAUCACAUCCAUUUAUUUUAUUAUUAUUUGAAUUUGAUCCGAAAGAUAAAUAAUGAGUAGAGGUCAUGUCAACUUUUCCUAGAAUUUGCUAAUCAAAAUAUAAUUUCUAUCUUAAUACAAUCCAUUAUUUAACUACUCUAUUGAUUUGUAUUUAAAAACAUAUAUUUUUAGCACGCAUAAAAAACAUAACAUGUAUCUUUCCACACAAACUAUAGGUUGUCAUGAAAACUCAUGCCAUGCCAUAGCCUCCCUCCGACCCUGCCAACAUUGUUGCAGCUGCACUCGCAAGCCUUAGCGUGGAUGAUCAUUUAUAUGAUUUGUGUAAAACAAACUAAGAUCUACAAACGAAUAGAAGCUAGAACAUACCUUGGUAUGCACACACAUUGCAAGCCAUACUAAGCUGAUAAGUGUCAAUAACUUGUACAACAUAUACAACACCGAAGACAAGUAAAAGCAAUUUGAUGAGUCAUGGUCUAUCAAAGCAAGCUACAUUACUACUCUAAUCUAUCUUAAGAGGUCACACAUGAUUACAAUCUUUUUUGUGUGCAAGUCAAGCUUAUCUAUUUUACACGUAACAACUUGUAGAACAUUACAAAAUUGAUGUUUGCUAAUAACUUCUAGAACACUACAACACUUGACAUGUAAAAGGAAUUUGAUGAGUCAUGACCUACUAAAGCAAGUUACAUUACUAGUCUCAUCUAUCUUAACAGGCCACACAAGAUUACAAACUAAGUUCUGUGCAAGCAAUGCUUAUCUAGUUUACACAUAAACUUGCAUAACAUUACAAACUUAGUUUCAGAAAAUUAGGCAACCUAGAUUAGUGUUUAUUUGUAAAGUGAAUAAGAUGAGUCAUGUGUGUUAUCACACCUUUUUUGUGGUGGAAUGAUAGUGCCACAAAACACAACAUACCAAAAAUUGAUUUCGGGAAGCAUCCAAGCACUUUCCAGGAAAGCAAAUGCCAAUUGUGAAAGAGAUCAUGCCAUGGCAGCUAUAAAUAGGCCUGUAGCAUGAUGACCAUCCUUCCUCAUUCAUCAUUCUCAUAAGUAGAGUGUAUCAUUCAAGCCAAGCAAGCAGUGGUCAAUACAAAUCCACCAUGAAGACCUUUCUCAUCUUUUCCCUCCUUGCUAUCGUGGCGACCACUCCAACAACUGCAGUUAGAUUUCCAGUGCCACAAUUGCAGCCGCAAAAUCCAUCUCAGCAACAACCACAAGAGCAAGUUCCGUUGGUGCAACAACUACAAUAUCCAAGGCAACAACAACCAUUUCCACCACAACAGCCAUAUCCGCAGCCGCAACCAUUUCCAUCACAACAACCAUUGCCGCAACGGCAACCAUUUCUGCCACAACUACCAUAUCCGCAGCCACAACCAUUUCCACCACAACAACCAUAUCCACAACCGCAACCACAGUAUCCACAACCACAACAACCAAUUUCACAGCAACAAGCACAAUAAGCACAACAACAACAACAACAACAACAACAACAACAACAACAACAAAUCCUUCAACAAAUUCUGCAACAACAACAACUAAUUCCAUGCAGGGAUGUCGUCUUGCAACAACACAACAUAGCGCAUGCAAGCUCACAAGUAUUGCAACAAAGUAGUUACCAACUGUUGCAACAAUUAUGUUGUCAACGGUUGUGGCAGAUCCCCGAGCAGUCGCGGUGCCAAGCCAUCCACAAUGUUGUUCAUGCUAUUAUUCUGCAACAACAACAACAACAACAACAACAACAACAACCGUCGAGCCAGGUCUCCUACCAGCAGCCUCAGCAACAAUAUCCAUCGGGCCAGGGCUCCUUCCAGCCAUCUCAGCAGAACCCAUAGGCCUAGGGCUCUGUCCAGUCUCAACAACUUCCCCAGUUCGAGGAAAUAAGGAACCUAGCGCUGCAGACGCUACCGGCAAUGUGCAAUGUCUACAUCCCUCCAUAUUGCUCGACCACCAUUGCGCCAUCUGGCAUCUUCGGUACUAACUGAGAAGAGAAGAACUUGUACUAGAUAUAUGAAACACCAUUUCCUUAGUCCAUGGUUUGGUCGUUGUAGCGGUGACAAAAUAAAGUGACAUGCACUAUCAUGUAAGAACCCGAACUAUACUAGUUCAAACUUGGGAAUAAAAGACAAACACAUGUCUUGUCUGCAUAUGAUUGUUUGUUUGAGUUCCAUUCAUGUGCCCGUUCACAAGUUCACCCCUAAUUAUAUAUAUUACACAAUAAGUAGAUAUUUAUGUUUCAUUAAUCUAAAUAUAACAAAAUGAGUCUGAAACUUGAAUUAAAUUGAAGUAUUUUCUUGGACUUUCAAAUUAAGUAUUAUUAAAGUAGUAAGGACUAUCCACAUCCUUGGCUUGCCCUUGAUCAAUUAUUUCCAGAGAAGCAUUCAAUUCAUCAAUCAAUUACAUUGGUUUUUGUGACUGGUACUUCUCCUCAUCAUGAGUAUCAUUGCGACUACUCCAAAUCGCCCACAUAACCGAAGCAUUAAUAGCGCUCUUCUUGCAUCAAGGAAAUAUGGAUCGAAGAUAUCACUUGACCAUGUUUCCGGGUGCAACCUUGGGAGUUUUAUGUCAAAAUAUUCUCAAGGAGAAUCCAAGAAUAAACUUGCAUGCUCAUGUGUGAUAAGGGCAUAUGAAGUAACAUUUCCUCCCCAUGGCCACACAUAGGGCACACACAUAACCCCAUCACAUGCCUUUUUAGUUAUGCAUAUGAAGGUAGGAUGUUUUUAAUUACUCUCCACCAAAAUACUCUUAACUUGGCUUGUACCCUAAGCUUUCGUUGCCUUUUCAAUUUCUCUUCCCCGCUAGACAAACUAGACAGUCCAUCUACCACACCAUACCUUGUGUCCAUCAUGGCUCUGUACAACAAUUGAACAGGACAAAUGUCAUUUCUUUACGAUACCCACGACCAAGUGUCCUCUGCUGGAUUGUUUGGUCGUGGCAUAUUAAGGAUGGACACCUCAUCUGAUGGGACAAACACCUAACGAAUGAAAGGAGUGUUCCAGCCGCCCAUGUUUUUCUUCUCGAUAAGAUGAGCUACAAGUUGGACUGGAGUUUCUCAUGCACCAUAGUGGUUUCAUCAGCGGCAUGCCCUGCACACAUUUAUCAUGCCAUAUCUUUGUAGUGUGCAUUCCCAAUUUGUCACAACAUACCCUCCUUCAAACCUUUUUGCCUUUCAGAAUAGCACGCCAAGCUAGCGAUGCACUAUGCAGUAACCCACAUUUGAAAAAAAAAAGAAUCUCAUUUCAUGGUAUCUUCCACGAAGGACCCUCGCACAUGAGUUAUCUAGAUAGAAAUAGCCAUGUAUGUUUAGCAAACUUUGCAUAAGUGAAUAGAUCAAGGUCGUGGAAACCCAAGCCUCCAAUUACACCCAGCCUCUCUACCAACAAGAUGUCCAAAGACAUCAAGGAUACACAAAGCCAAAAAAGAAAAUAAAAAGAGCAGAAGAAAAAAAAUACCCUGCCAUGGUGAUCAAUCACUAGAAUCAGCAGCACUCUAACCACCACCGAAGACAAUGCCCGAAUUACAAAAAAGGUUCUCCAAAAGCAACGCCCCCAAGAAGGAAACAAUGCACAAGCAUUGUCGUUGCCCGAUCGAAGAUCAUGGGUUUUCACCCUGGAAAAAUUUCGAGUUCACUAAAAAAUAAUGCCUUCAACAAGGCCAUUGCCAAGUACAACCAAUAAGGGCCAGACCUUGGGUUUUCACCAUAGGAAUUGAGACUCGAUACUCGAGGAGUACCACCAAAAAUGCAGUCCGCAAGUGUUGCCGCCCCCGCUUGCCGAGGGCGCUGUUGCAAGUCGCCAACCACCUGUCAUACAUUUGUCGUCGCAUCCAAUACACCCUUCCGCUGAAGCUUCAAGACCUCCAACCGCAGCCGCCAUGACUUUCUCCUAGUCUAUCAAUGCCUUGAGAAUCUUGAGUUAGACAUGUCCAAUGACAUAAAUAAGAAAUCGAAGCUUCGUGCCACGUCCUCUUGAGGCCGUGCUGGCUGAUAAUAUUAGCGUGCAUGACCGGAGCGUUUCCGAUCUAGAUAUCCAGGGGCGACAUACACCAAUCCAUAUAGAUCUCCGCUCGGUAAGACCGGAACUCAUCAACGGCCAGAUCCAAGAGGUCGACAUCCGGUAGAAAGAUGACUUGGCGGAAGAAGAGCAUCAGGGCCAAACCGCCAUUAUUAGUCCGAAGCUAAUAGCCCCCACGCCACCCUCCUCUCGAUCCAGACCUGCAGAAAAUGAUCAACAACGCCGCGCCGUGCCACUCGCAUCCAUGGAGGCUUGAACUUGGCAAGACGCGAACCAUGGCUGGAGACGGGGACCAGCCACUCCUGGUCGGAUCCGGUGACUCCUAGUCCCACCACUGCCACUACGGCGGCACCGCGUGUAGCCUACAAGCCCAUCCAUGAUGAUGUCUGAUUAGAAGGAUACAUGGAUAUACAAAUGAAAUGGCCCUCGUUAUCCCUCCAACAAUAUAUAUAAAGCUUAUUGGGACAUGAGAAAGCUCGCACAAUUUUAUAGUGGCUAUGGAAAUGUGUUGCCAGACAGAGAUAUAAGAUUUUCGUUUGGCAUCCAGACCGCUUGUGUCAUCCUUAAUCGAUGACCACUCUAAUUUUUCCGGCGGGCCUUCCCUGUGGUACUGCAGCCUUACAUGUGUAUGGAUUUCAUACAGCUAUUCUGUCCAGUCGGAAAAGGAGACAACCAAAAUUACUUGGAGUUGAUAACUAAUAUGUUUCCUUUAACUACCACGUGCACGACGAGGAUUUACGGCACGCAAGUGCAGGGGCAGGUACUGGUGCCGCCUUUUUAUUCUAGCCUCCAAUUUUCAAAUUUCUAUAUCUUUCAAACAAAAAAAAUCAACUUAAGUUAUGUUUUCAUAUUCGUGUUUCUUGCCGCCAGCGCUUUGAAAUAAUAUUCAUUUUGAAUAUAUUUUGGCAAUUUUUAAACACAAUGUUAAUUUCCAUUGUUUAAAACUUAGUACGAGCGACCGAUAAUAUUCAAUUAUUUUGUGUCUCUGACCAACAGAAAAAAAUGCUUGAAAUUGCAUCUUUGAAACUUGUUGAAACUGGGCAUUUUCUAAUGCAAAAGCGGUAAGUUUUCAUCGUUGAAACUUAAAGGUUUUUGAUGGAUUUUCUUCUUUACUGUGCCCUACUUCAUGAAUCGUGAGACAAAUCGAGCAGGUGGCAGGGCUUGGCCAGUGAGUGCCCUUGCACUUAGGUGCCCCAGCGAAUUUCCACUUGCAUCGUAGCAUUCUUUUUCCGAGUCCUGCGAACGAACGAUGGUGCAUACAAAAAGUCUAUCCUAUAUGCGUACAUGUGCAUGAUCAAAACAUGUUUGUACGUGCAUCUGCUAUAAAUCUCGACCAUUUUGAACACAAAUCAUGACCAUUAAAAUACAUGAUUAGUGGAUCAUACUAUCGUAACCUAUGUGAGAUCAUGUGGAGUAAUAUAUUAUAGUAUAUAGAUAGAUCUAUGUUGUAUUUUUUUUUGUUAGAAAAAUAUCUGUCAUUACAUAUUUAGAUUUAUGCAUCUGUUCUUGCCAAAAAAAUCACUAACAUUUCACAGUGGAAAGUUUGUAAUUAUAUCAUAUUGAACACCAAUGUUUUCCCGCAAAAGAAAAUAAUGCCUAUGCAUAUGCUUUUAUAUUAUUAUUAUUGUUUCAAAUAUAUCCAUAUAUUAUUUUUGGUUGUACAACCAUAAUUUUCUUAUCCCUCUCGUUCCACUAAAUGCUCCUAGUCACUGAAUUAUAUACACCAAAUAAACCCCUUUGCACGUCGUUAAUGACCAAAAAAAGUUGAUGCUGGCUAUGUUCUCUGAUGUCAGCAUGAUAUCAUAUAUAGUGAUUAGCAUGAACGAAUCCCUUUGACUCAUGCGUACUCCCUUUGGAAAGAAAUAUAAGAGUGUUUACAUAACUAAAGUUGUGAUCUAAACACUCUUAUAUUUCUUUAAAGAGGGAGUAUAAAUUAAGAAGUGCAAGAUAAAGAAAUGCUGGUCCUUGAUUUGUUGUUGACUCUUAUAUUCUUUAGGGAGGAAGUAUAAAUUAAGAAGUGCAAGAUAAAGAAUGCUGAUCCUUGAUUUGUUUUUGACGUCAGCAUGCCAUCAUUACCUUGUAGUUAUGAUACAAAUUGGAUCUUUCAUACAGAAUUGGAGGCUUGCUCCUUUGAUCCGCACACGCUUAAACACAAAGAGCAUGUAUAUGUUUUGUCUCCGGAUUUCAACUCGUGCUUGGCCAACAAAUAUGGUCUGAUCGGGACAUCGGGUAGAGGAAAAGGCAAGUUUGCUAAUACGCCUGGAGGAAAUGCCUUUGAUUAGGGCAUCUACAACAGCGACCAGUAAAUUUCCACCCGCAAUUUGUUGGAAUUCCGCCUUCAGAAUCGAUUACAUCAGAUACGAGGAACACACGCACACAAAAAAGUGACAGCCAAAGGCCCUUGUCGUGCCCUCUUUUCUCUUUAUUUUCUUGUUUCUCAACUCACGGUAUUACAAAUCCGAUGCACCGGUGUGCAUAUAUAUAAACGACCUCACGAGCUAUAGCUAUCUAACCUAAACCGACUCAAACAACUACUCCUGGCCACACACACGUUGGAACAUAACUAGGACACGGGCAGCAUGCAUGCUAAUUCCUAAUACUACACGGCUUGCAAAACGGUCACCCCACGUACAUCUCAACUUACCUAGUUAAUUAUCCGGCCAGCUUGAUCACGAUUACACCAAACUAACUCAGGCAUUGUUUGGAUUAUCCCAACAAUCACCCCUAAUCCAAACAUCCGUCUCUUUAUCCAACGACACACGAGACACGCAGACGACCACCUGUUCAUCUUGUCAGGCUGGCUGCCUCCGGUGACGCAACUUACCGGACUGCAACUUCGCUCUCCUUGCAAUGAUGAUCACCACUUCAUCUCACCGCAACUUCGUUUGCAUACCAACUCAUAGAUUUUAACCAAUGAAUACCCGGACUACCAGCCACGCUGUCACAUCUUAGCGUGCUACAUGCAGACUAAACACAUAGCCUCAUGCAUGAACUCAACUUAACUGGUGUCUGUCCAUCUUCACGUUGAUCUUCAUCUUCUCAUCGGUUGAAUGCACGCGGGGAGGCACAACUCUUCACCCACCACAUCUCCACUUUCCCAUCAUCGUUGGUGACACAACUUACCAAACAACGCUCCCUGUCGAGCGGCAAUACAACUCGCCAUAUACGUGCAACCACUGGUAGAAAACCACCCAUUAGUCCCGGUUCGUAAGGGCCUUUAGUCCCGGUUCAGGAACUGGGACUAAUGGGUCGUUACUAAUACCUCAACCCAUUAGUCCCGGAUCAAACACGAACCGGGACCAAUGUGCCUCCACGUGGCCCUGUGCGCCGAGCCCAGUCAGGGGGCCUUUGGUCCCGGUUGGUGGCUCCAACCGGGACCAAAAGGCAUCCACGCGUCUGCAUUCCAGUGGCUGGGGUUUUUUUAUGAAAGGAGGGGGGUUGGGGGUUUUGGGGGGUUAAUUUAGGUGUUUCGUAUAUUGUGUUAGCUAGCUAAUUAAUAGAGAGAAGUGUCCUCUCUUAUGUCCGUGCUUGGUCGACGCUACGUAGUAUAUAUACAUAAGUGAUCGAGAGAACCAUUUAGUACAGAAGUUCGUCAUGCAUACCGAGAGAAGUGAUCGAUCGACCUCUCCUUCUCCGAGAGAUUGGUCGAACAACAAGUUUUUUACUGGCUACAUACAUGUACAAUCUAUAUAAGAUCUCUUAAUUACAAACCCCUAGCAUUUGAAAUCAACUUCCACAUGGUAUUCUCCGGCUUUACUGAUGACGUGUUCAAGAAAGAAUCCCGCCAAUUCCUCUUGAAUUGCUUUCAUGCGAUCUGGUGGUAGGAGUUCAUCCCGCAUCUGCCACGUCUAAUUAAUUUGAAGAAGGGGGUUAAUUAAUACAUAUAUAUGAAUCAAACUCAACAGAAAUGAUGGUGUAAUAAAAUGAAAUUGUGAAAGCUUACGCACUUCAUAUUGUCUUCUAGAGUAGCCCCGCUUGUUUUUCAAAGUCGCGUUGUGGAUGAACUCGCACACGUAGUAUCCACAGAAAUCAUUCCCUUCCUCCUGCCACAAGCACUUUACGAGAAAUAUAGGUCAAUCAAACUGAUAAUGAAGCAUUAUAAAUGGCAUUGAUGAAAGUAUAGCUAUAGAAUCAACGGGAGAUGCGCGCAACUAGCUAGCCAGUAGUACUUACUUUCGGGUAUAAAUAUCGCAGCUCCUUCGGCAGUCCCGGAGCUUGUGCGGUGAACUGUUUCCAAACCCUGCAAGACAAAGACAAUAAUUAUUAUUACUUGAGAUAUCAGGAAAUGAACAAAAAGUUGCCGAUAUGGUGCGAUAAUGAUCGAUUGAACUUACUUGCUGAGCAUUUCAGUCAUGUCCGCAUAGGUGCUGGGAUCUUUCCGUCUGGAGUCUAAGACGGUUACUAGUCCACGCUCAAGCUUAAUCUCCAGAAGAAUAUAGUGGUACCUGCACACACAUGCAUAACUCAUCAAUUACAUUAACCUCGCUUGAGUAAUAAGGGAAACCAAAUAUGCACACGACAGUAACACUCACGGGCCGUUGUAAGGAAAGAGUAUGGUAUCUUUGUUUUGAUUUUUGAUUAACGAUUGUAGCAAGUUGUCCUCGGCCUCUUCGACGUUCUUUUCAACCAGAAAUACAUCUAUGAUAUUUGCGUUAAUGAACCCAAUAUCAUAGAUUUCAUUUUUUUGCACUCGACGAUCUUCAAUCUGCAUAAUAUAUUGAGGAUAAUUAAUUAUAAAUACAUGCAAUGAAAGAGCCGAGCUAUAUAUAGAGACUAAUGACAGAAAUAGUACUUACAGGCAGUAGCAAAAGACCAUUAAUUUAUCGAGGGCCUUUUGAUUGAAGAACUCAAAGAACUCCUCAAAUGGAACACACAACACAUCAUUUGAAACAAGGUCGUGCUCCUCUUUAAUUUUCAGAUACAAACUGUUCGUCCCCUCAGACUCUCUGCAGGUUUUCAUGUACCAACUAUGGAAUCUUCGCAUCAUUGUUGUCAGAGAUUUUUCAUCUUUGACGAGAGGCUUCCCGUACUCGUAUCUGAAUACGUCCACCUCCAUGAAAUCAGGAAGUGCAUCGUCAGGCAGGUAAUCUUCAAGAUUGCCAUAACCGGCCACCGUCCCCGGAGGAUUAGACACAUUGAGCGGGGGGGCACGAUUGAUGUGCUUGUUCGCCGAGCCGGGCAAUUUUUUUCCCCUUUGCUCGUUGUUCUUUUGACCUUUUAUCACUAACAGUAGUUCCCGACCGCUUGGCUUCGAGAUAUGUCUGUUCAGUAAUGCGCUCAUAGUUGGUUCUCGGCGGAGACUUUGGUGGUUUCCUCAGGGCAUCGAGAGUGCGCUUUGCUUUCACCGGAUCUACCUUCUCCUCCGAAGGUGGAUGUAUCUUUGCUUUCACCCCUUCAAAGAACUCCUUCACGUGGGCCUGCACGAUCGUAUUGUUUUCCUCGGUCCUCUCAUACGGUAACUUCUCUAGAGGCUUUAGAGGUGUACCGUAUCUGUAUUGCCUCUCUCUUCUUGUGUUGCUAGACGCCGGAGCAGACGGAGCGGCUGCGGCGUCUGUCUUCUUUCAUGCUUGCUUACGAGGCGGAGGAGAAGGACUACGACGCGCCGGAGCAGCCGGGGCAGCGGCGGGUCUCUUCCGCCCUUGCUGGCGAGGCGGAGAAGGAGGAGGCGGAGUGCCGCCACGCGCCGGAGAAGGAGGCGGAGUGCCACCAGGCGUGCCCUGAUCGUCACUCGCCGGAGGAGGAGGCGGUGGAGGAGGCGGAGUGCCGCCACGCAUGCCCUGAUCGUCACUCGCCGGAGGAGGAGGCGGUGGAGGAGGCGGAGUGCCCUGACUCGCCAGAGGAGGAGGAGGAGGCGGAGGCAUCCAUUUCAGAAGGUUGAUGAGCUCCUUCCGCCAUAGGCAUGGAGUCUUCAGAGAAGAACCCAGCCUAGUCUCCCCUUCACCGGUAGGGUGCUCAAGCGCGAGGUCCUCAAAUCCCUCCGUUAUUUCAUCCACCAUCACCUUAGCAAAUCCUUCUGGAAUCGGCUGGCAGUGAUAAGUUGUGCCGGGUCCACUAGGAUAAACUUGGCCAACAGCCGCCUUGACCUUCAAAUUCAUCCAUCGCGCCAUAAUGUGGCAAUUUUGAGACUCCGUGAUACCAUCCACGGGAUAGCUGGCAGGAGCCGUCAAGACAUGCUCCGGCUGAAGCAUCUCGGUGGAAGCAACGCUGCUUCUCCGCUGAGAUGGCGGGGUAGCUUAGGGGGAAGCUUCGGCAUGUUGUUUGUUGCGAUCUGCUGCUUCUCGUUCCUCUUCUUGAUCCUCUAGCCCCAUUACCCUUCCAAGCAGCGCCUGCAUUUGGUCCUGCUCCAGUUUCUUCCUCCUCUCGUGGGUUUUGUAACCCCCUGCGUCUGGAAAACCAACCUUCCACGGAAUGGAGCCUGGCGUGCCUCGUGUCCGUCCAGAGUGCUCGGGAUUCCCAAGGGCCAUUGUGAGCUCGUCCUUCUCCCUGUUUGGAAGGAACAUCCCUCGCUGCGCUGCAUCGAUAUAGUGUCGAAGGUUCUUGACUGGUGUUUGCAGUUGCUCGUCCGUCCACUGACACUUCCCUGUUACAGGGUCCAAGGUUCCGCCAGCCCCGAAGAACCAAGUCCGACAAUGGUCUGGCCAGCGCAUUGUCUCUGGUUCGAUCCCUUUUUCAAGCAGAUCAUGCUCAGCCUUGGACCACUUAGGCCGGGCUUUGAGGUAGCCACCUGACCCCGUGCGAUGGUGAAGCUUCUUCUUCGCAGCAUUUUUCUUGUUUGUCUCCGACAUCUUCUUACUCUUUUCCGAUGUCUUGUGGGCCACAAAUGCGUGCCAGUGAUCUUUGAUCUUCUCAUAUUUAACGAUGAAUUCUGGUGUCUUUUUUUUCUCGACAAACUGGUUCAGCUCUUUCCUCCACCUCCUCAUUAGGCUUGCCAUCUUCUUAAGAGCACAAGACCUGAUUAAUUGCUCUUUAACUGGCUUCUCCGGAUCCUCUGUCACGCCCAAGAUGCGGCCCUAUCCUAAAGGAACUCGAAGGUCCCACCAAGUAUAGAAGCGCAUCUUGAAGACGCUUUUGCAAGGUGGAUAUCAUUACAUCAACAUUACAUAAUAGAUGGGGAUACAUACAAGAGGCAUACAAUGCCACACGAAUACAACAUCAUACAUAAGAGAUCAACAUCCGACUACGGAUGGAACACAAAUAGAAACUCAAACAACAUCCACCCUGCUAGCCCAGGCUGCCGACCUGGAACCUAUCCCCUGAUCAAAGAAGAAGCAGAAGAAGAACUCCAAUACAAGCAAACAUCGCUCUCGCGUCAUGAUCAUCGCAUAACCUGUACCUGCAACUGUUGUUGUAGUAAUCUGUGAGCCACGAGGACUCAGCAAUCCCAUUACCAUGGGUAUCAAGACUAGCAAGGCUUAAUGGGAAAGGAAGGGGUAAAGUGGUGAGGUUGCAGCAGCGGCUAAGCAUAUAUGGUGGCUAACAUACGCAAAUGAGAGCGAGAAGAGAAACAAAGGAAUGGUCAUCAACUAGUAAUGAUCUAGAAGUGAUCCUGAGCUCCUACUUACGUCAAUCAUAACCCAGAAACCGUGUUCACUUCCCGGACUCCGCCGAGAAGAGACCAUCACGGCUGCACACACGGUUGAUGCGUUUUAAUUCGGAUCUGGUGUCAAGUUAUCUACAACCGAACAUUAACAAAUUCCCAUCUGCCACAUAACCGCGGGCAUGGCUUUCGAAAGAUAAUACCCUGCAGGGGUGUCCCAACAUAGCCCAUGAUAAGCUUUCGCGAUCAACGAAGGAUAUACCUUCUCCCAGGAAGACCCGAUCAGUCUCGGAAUCCCGGUUUACAAGACAUUUCGACAAUGGUAAAACAAAACCAGCAAGACCGCCCGAUGCACCGACAUCCCGAUAGGAGCUGCACAUAUCUCGUUCUCAGGGCAACACCGGAUGAACACUACGUACAACUAAAACCAGACCUCAAGUUUCCCCGAGGUGGCGCUGCAAGUGGCUCUAGUUCGGACCAACACUUAGACAAGCAUUGGCCCGGGGGGGCUGAAUAAAGAUGACCCUCGAGAGAGCGACUCCCAAGGGAAAAGUAGGUGGUGGUGAGGCAAAUGGUAAAACCAAGGUUGGGCCUUGCUGGAGGAGUUUUAUUCAAAGCGAACUGUCAAGGGGGUCCCAUAAAUCACUCGACCGCGUAAGGAACGCAAAAUCCGGGAACAUAACACCGGUAUGACGGAAACUAGGGCGGCAAGAGUGGAACAAAACAUCAGGCAUAAGGCCGAGCCUUCCACCCUUUACCAAAUAUAUAGAUGCAUUAAUUAGAUAAGAGAUAUUGUGAUAUCCCAACAUAAUCCUGUCCAUCAUGGAGCAAUCUUCAACUUCACCUGCAACUGACAAUGCUAUAAGAGGGGCUGAGCAAAGCGGUAACAUAGCCAAACAACGGUUUGCUAGGAAGGGUGUCAAAGGUUAGAGGUUCAUGGCAAUUCGGGAGGCUUGAAGAGCAAAUGAUAGGUAACGCAUCAUAGCGAUAGAACGAAGCAACUAGCAUAGCAAUGAUAGUAGUGAGAUCCAGGGUAGCGGUCAUCUUACCUGAAAUCCCGCUAGGAAGAAGAACGAGUCCAUGAAGAAGACAAGCGGACGUAGUCGAACGAAUCCUCACAAUCGCAACAUUACCGGAACUAAGAAGCAACACCGGAAAGAAACAAACAACAUGGUAAAUUCACAAGCAUAAACAUGGCAUGAUGCACAAACAAGUGUGAUGCAUGUCCGGUUUAAUGAGGCAUGGCAAAGUGCAACAAACAAUACUACAAGUUAAGUGGAGCUAAAUAUGCAACGAGUUGCAUAUUGACAAAACACCACAUCAAUUAUUUAGUUCUCUCUCGGUUAUGCUACUCAUCAAUAUUAAAUGUUGUUAAACAUGGCAAGGGGUGAAGCAUAAAGAAACUCCCUAACAAGGCAAGUUUAAAUGAGGCCGGAAAUAAGAAACAACAAUUCCGGAAAAUCCCCAUGUGCAUAUUUUGAUUUGAUACUGUUCUGCCCUAAACCAUAUUUUAAGGUUGUUAACCAGGAAAAUAAAGUGCACCAUGUUAAACUAGGCAUUUUUCCACCCCAUUUACAUAUAAAGUUUAUUAAAAUUGGAGCUACGGUUAUUUAGUUAUGAAAUAAACCAUUUUAACAUGGCAUUUGAGCAAAUUUAAACAAACAACAGUUUAAACAUUUUAAACAUGGAUGAAAGUGGCAUAUUAUUAAUCUACACAAAAUUCUAAGCAUUUUACAUGUUUUAAUCAUUUUAAUCCAAUGCACGGUUCAUGAGUUAUUAUAUGCAUGAUGCUUAUGGGUUUUUCUGUAAAACAGUAAACUCCUGGAUAAAUAGCAAAAUCGUUCCGCGGAAAAAAACAUGGAUAGGGCCGAAUCUGGACGGCCCAAAAGUGCACAGGAGAGGGGGCGGGGGCUGCUCACCCUGGGCCAAGGCCCGGUUGGUGCAGCAGGCCGGCUGAGGAGGCGCUGGGGAAAGAGGCUGCUGGGCUGAUGCGGGUGAAGGGCGACGCGGUGGCCCAGGCACGCUGGCGGCGCGGUCAACGCGAGGCACGAGGGAGCGGGCGCCUCGUCCUCUGCUCGUCAGGAAGCAGAGCAGCGGCGGCGGGGUGCUCUCCGGCGAGGGCGCAGCUUGGGAAGGCGGAGAGGAAGGUCGGCGAGAGGCGCAUGCGUCAGUUUCAACGACGAUGCAGAUGAGGCACGAGAGGUCGACGCGGUUGUGCAUGGCUGCUGGAGCUGCUCGAGCAGAGAAGAAGUCAGCGAUGGCUGGGUCGUUGAGGACCUCGUCGGCGGCACAAGCAGGAGGGAAACGGUCAGGAUCCAAGGGGGAGGACGCACGGGCUCGUCUGUUUCUUGUCCCGGGCAAAGAGAGACAGAGAGAGGUGAGACAGGGAGAGGGAAAGGAAGAGAGGGCGCGAGGGAGGCCCGACGGCGUGACCUGGAGGAGCUGGUGAUCAUCGACGGUGAGACGAGGCGGGGGUCGUGAGGAAGACAGCGGAGCUCUGGAUCGGGAGGAGCUCGGCUCUCCUCGGGCGUUGCACAGCGCGGAAGGGAUGCAGGGAGCAGUGGGAGGAGGAGGCGCGCACGGGAGGGGAGCCAUGGGUCUUGGGUGCGUGCUCGAGCUUGAGCAGCGAGCUCCUCUUGCUCGGACGCGGGCGUCGCAAGGACGAAGGACGGCGAGGUGGCGGCUCGGGCUUCGGUGGCGUGGUGAGGAGCUUAGGCAGGGAGGUGGAUCGAGGAGGGGUUGGAUUUGGGUUGGCUGGUGUUGAACGAGGGGGGAUUUGGAUCGGGGAGGAUCCCGAUGUAGAUGGUGGCGAUGCUAGGGUAGGAUCCCUAGAAAUUAGGUGGUUUGUCUAGGUUAGUUAGGUGGGGUCUAUAUAUAGCAAAUGCAUUAGGUCCCUCCGAUCGUAAUCGGACGGCCGAAAAAAUAGGCUAGAGAGUCCAAAUAAGAAAACGGAGGUAUUUGAUAGACGUUUGGGGAUGAUCCGGAUCCAUCGGUAACGACAGACCGGUUCGGGUUCGGGUAAGAUUCGGACACGCACACGAGGGGUCUGAGAGAGGUCAACGAGGGCAAGGGCCUGCCAAAAUAACAACGGAGGCAAAGAGAGAAAGGGCAACUGCGAACGGCUACGAGUUUUUAUAAAAACAUGUGGAUGCAAUGCACAUGAUGCCAUGAGAUGAAAUGCAUGACAUGAACAAAAUGCAAAAACAAAAUACAAAAACCCAACCACGAAGGAAAAUAAAAUAUCACAUCUACGGAAAAGGCAAGAGUUGGAGUUAUGAAUGUGGAAAGUUGUAUCCGGUGCGUUACAACACUCCACCACUACGAGAGGAUCUCGUCCCGAGAUCUGGGAUGGCGCCGGAGAGAAAAACGGAAGAGGAAGAGAGAAGGUAAACCAAGUCGCUUCUUUGACGAACGAGUGAAACCACAAACCUUGAGAGGUUGAGCAAUUUAAAAGAAAGGGUACAACAGAGAUGAACGAGAUUGCAAACAACCCAGUAGAAAAGAGGAACAAGGAGUAUUACGAGAACAUGAAGGUUGAAAGACAUGGAAAUAAGAGCUUCAUGAACGAAAAGAAUAUGACAACCUCGGUAUAAUGAGAUAGCCAAGGAACAAGAAUGACCGAAUUUGGACAGCACUCCGGUAGAAAAGAGAAGAAAACUUGAUGAGAUGAAAAGACAUUGAAGAGAUGAUACAACACUCCGGUUAAAUGGAUAAGCAAGAAAAGAACACGAUCCUCACAAAACGAGGUGAUGGGUGAAGGGCGCAACAUCACAAUACCUCCGGAACGAAAGAAUAGAAGCUAGACCGUUGGGAUAAAGGGAUGGAGAAGAAAAUGACAACUUCUACCACAAUUGAAUUUGGAAGGCAUCCUUGCAAGAAGGUUAGAAUAGAGUUGUUGGAAGACCAACAACGAAAAGAAUAAGUUUGUAGUGGGCUUAUGGAAACAUCUCAACAUUAUGAGGUGACAACCGACCACUAAAGGAAACAAUUGCUAGCUUUAGAUCGACGAAGAGAUGAACACUUCUUCCACCAAGAUGAUAAAGAGAUAACUUGGAUCAUUGAUAAGCACCACAAAAGCAACAUUCCUUAGGGAAGGCUUUAGGUGAAAUAUGACACAAGAUAACUCCAACAACGAGGUUGAUGGUUGAAAAGAUCUCUUGAACAAAGAGAAAAUGAUGGAUUUAAAUAUCUCAUUCUUAACAACUUGCGAAUCAUGAAACACGAAGUGAAAUUGUCAAGAAUGACAUAAGACCACCCCAAAAGGUAGAAAGAAUUGCACUUCGGGAUGCACGAUGAAGAAUGCUUGAACUCCUCAAAACAAAACAUGUGUUGAGCACCAUGUUUAAUUUUGAGCAUAGCUUGGCUGAUCUUAACUUCAAGAGAAAUCUUGAAGAACAAUUGAAGAAUGAAAAGAAUCCUUGAUGAACCACCAUGUAGAGCCUCCAUGAAGAACUCCGGUAAAAAAAGGAUGAUAAAAAAGAAAGGGAAGUUGAAAACACAAGGUGAAGCCUUGCCAUGAUUUAGAUGGAGCUUCGCGAUGAUAUAACCGAGAGAACUUGGAACUCCGAAAAGAAAAGAUGAUCUUAGAACCGAGAAUUUAUUCCUCAAGAACAAACUCCAAAUGAAACAAUUUAUCACUUGGAUGAAACAAUAAUAAGAAUUACAUUAUGCCUAUCCUUCACCAAUUUAAAUUGAUGACAAGCAACGGAUUUGGCAUACUACUUAUUCCUGUAGAAAGAAUUAAAAGAGAUAUAGCGCAAGCUUGAGAAGGUAUUGAUGGAAUCACCGGUGGGAUUUGGAAACAACGAAUGAAUUGAUAUGAUAACGAAGGAAGUGAAAUCUUGAACGAACCACCAUAAGAAUUCAAAAUGAAAGUAGCAAAGGCACAAUUCACCGGGAAGAGUUGGAAAACGAAUGAAGAUACUUGAGGGGAUUUAGAUACCUGAGAACGAAGAGAUCAUGAACUGAUUAGAGGAUAUCUGAACGAUUCAUUGAUAAGAUUUGGAGAACAAUAGCUACACACUGAGAAUGAAGAAUUAUGGCAUGAUGGCCUUCGGAGGAAAGAAAUGGAAACAACUCAUGAAAUGCUCCGGAUGGUAAGAAAAGAAUUGUCACAAUCAAAACAAUUAUGAGGAUAGCAUGAAGCUAGAACCAUGAAUCUUCAAGAGAAUGGACCAAGAUUUAAGAGAAACUCUUCUUCGGUCUUCACAUGUUGAGAAUGAUCAUGAGAACCACCAUGACAAUUGUUGAGGCACUCCGGAAUGAAAAUUGGAAAGGUUGAACCUAUGAUGAAAGGAAUUUGAAAGAUCUUGGAGAAAGACAUAUGACUGAUGAUAACCAUUCUUACGUCAAACUUUGAAAAGAAUUUUAGAAGCUCCGAGAAAAUUAGAAGAGUCAGGUAAGAUCCUGGGAAAAGACCUGUGCGUUAGGGCCCACUGAAAAGAAACACACCGUUGAACAAUUUUAAAGAGAGGUUGCACCGGUUGAAUUAAAUGACUUGAAUGAGAUAAUAAUCUCCAAAUAGCUUGAACGGGUCUUAAAUGAAAAGAUGAGCCUUCUGAGAUAUCUUCAGCACUCCAGAACAAAUGGAUAGGAAGAAGUGAAUGAUUAAGAGGUGCAUCGGCAUGAGAAAGCAUUAGAAACGAGGAAAAGAAUAUGAUGAAUAUCGAAAGCUUGAAUUGGAUCCACCGAGAAGAAACAACAAUGAAGGAUGAUGAACUUGAAACUGUUGAGCAUCUUCAUGGGAAAUCACCGGAUAAGAACAUUGAAAGAAAAGAAUGAAGAGAUUUCUCACAAAUAAAAGGAUACAUGAUUAAGAAAUCUGAGUCCUUGAAAAAAAAGGGUGGGAGGGCGGGAAAACAAAGGCAACUUGGGGACGGAUGAAAUGAAUACCGUUGAGAAAACUUAGAAUUGAUCUCGCAAAUAUUGAAAUGAUCAGAUUCACUUGAAGAGAAGCACGCUGGUUGAAAAAGAAUUAACAUGACGACCUCGAUGAUCAAGAAGGAUUAGUACUCCCAUAGAAAUAUGAGAACACCGUUUAGAAAAGGUAUGGAAUCAACACUUGACAUUGAAGCAACUCAAAUACCACAACUCAAAACAAAAUAAAGGAUUGGCUUGCAGAAAUAAGCCGGAACAAAUACAUAUGAUAGAGAUUUACCCAAUCCCAUAUCAGGCAUCUGUCGGAAAGAUAUUCUAGGAGCUACUUGAAUUCCCACCUAUAAAACUCCCGAAACUUUCUGGUUAUGCAAUCUGGUGUUGGGGAUACAAGGGAAGCAAUAUAUAUCUCACCCAAAACUAACAAUCCAUACAUCCAGCUGUAUCCAUCCGUCAACACAUAACCAAGAAAACUCCAAAAAUCGUGUACCUCAACCUUCGAAAAGCAUCCGUUAUACGAGCUAUGGCAAUACUCCCGAACUCCCCAGUACUGGGUGGCGUCGAGGUUAUCUCACCAACAACUGCAUAAAAGAGAUUUUCAAUGUCGGCAAAACUCAGGUAUUCCAGAACUGCAACGAUAAAAUUAUGACGACAACACCUCGGAGCUCAACUCCCCGGGACACUGCCACAACCCCUAAAUGUCAGGAGGAACCAAGAACAAUGUUCUCGUCAUAAGAAUAUCGGAACGAUCCCAACAUACCCGCGUGAUCCUAAAAAAAUUCGUGAAAUUUGAGGAGAGGAAAGUCAAAACAUCUACGUCAGGAGUCCUCACCAGAGCGAUGAAGGGGGCUGAGGAGUAAAAAGAAUCCUACUCUCCGAUAUAUAUAAUCCUAAGACUCAAAAUAGUUUUCUUCUAGACUCAACAACGGCCAACAAUCAAGGGGGCUCCUAUGGUCGGUCGAGGCUCUGAUACCAACUUGUCACGCCCAAGAUGCGGCCCUAUCCUAAAGGAACUCGAAGGUCCCACCAAGGAUAGAAGCACAUCUUGAAGACACUUUUGCAAGGUGGAUAUCAUUACAUCAACAUUACAUAAUAGAUGGGGAUACAUACAAGAGGCAUACAAUGCCACACGAAUACAACAUCAUACAUAAGAGAUCAACAUCCGACUACGGAUGGAACAAAAACAGAAACUCAAACAACAUCCACCCUGCUAGCCCAGGCUGCCGACCUGGAACCUAUCCCCUGAUCGAAGAAGAAGCAUAAGAAGAACUCCAAUACAAGCAAACAUCGCUCUCGCGGCAUGAUCAUCGCAUAACCUAUACCUGUAACUGUUGUUGUAGUAAUCUGUGAGCCACGAGGACUCAGCAAUCCCAUUACCAUGGGUAUCAAGACUAGCAAGGCUUAAUGGGAAAGGAAGGGGUAAAGUGGUGAGGUUGCAGCAGCGGCUAAGCAUAUAUGGUGGCUAACAUAUGCAAAUGAGAGCGAGAAGAGAAACAAAGGAACGGUCGUCAACUAGUAAUGAUCUAGAAGUGAUCCUGAGCUCCUACUUACGUCAAUCAUAACCCAGAAACCGUGUUCAUUUCCCGGACUCCGCCGAGAAGAGACCAUCACGGCUACACACACGGUUGAUGCGUUUUAAUUCGGAUCUGGUGUCAAGGUAUCUACAACCAAACAUUAACAAAUUCCCAUCUGCCACAUAACCGCGGGCAUGGCUUUCGAAAGAUAAUACCCUGCAGGGGUGUCCCAACUUAGCCCAUGAUAAGCUUUCGCGAUCAACAAAGGAUUUACCUUCUCCCAGGAAGACCCGAUCAGUCUCGGAAUCCCGGUUUACAAGACAUUUCGACAAUGGUAAAACAAAACCAGCAAGACCGCCCGAUGCACCGACAUCCCGAUAGGAGCUGCACAUAUCUCGUUCUCAGGGCAACACCGGAUGAACACUACGUACAACUAAAACUAGACCUCAAGUUUCCCCGAGGUGGCGCUGCAAGUGGCUCUAGUUUGGACCAACACUUAGACAAGCAUUGGCCCGGGGGGGCUGAAUAAAGAUGACCCUCGAGAGAGCGACUCCCAAGGGAAAAGUAGGUGGUGGUGAGGCAAAUGGUAAAACCAAGGUUGGGCCUUGCUGGAGGAGUUUUAUUCAAAGCGAACUGUCAAGGGGGUCCCAUAAAUCACCCGACCGCGUAAGGAGCGCAAAAUCCGGGAACAUAACACCGGUAUGACGGAAACUAGGGCGGCAAGAGUGGAACAAAACAUCAGGCAUAAGGCCGAGCCUUCCACCCUUUACCAAAUAUAUAUAUAUGCAUUAAUUAGAUAAGAGAUAUUGUGAUAUCCCAACAUAAUCAUGUCCAUCAUGGAGCAAUCUCAACUUCACCUGCAACUAACAACGCUAUAAGAGGGGCUGAGCAAAGCGGUAACAUAGCCAAACAACGGUUUGCUAGGAAGGGUGUCAAAGGUUAGAGGUUCAUGGCAAUUCGGGAGGCUUGAAGAGCAAAUGAUAGGUAACACAGCAUAGCGAUAGAACGAAGCAACUAGCAUAGCAAUGAUAGUAGUGAGAUCCAGGGUAGCGGUCAUCUUGCCUGAAAUCCCGCUAGGAAGAAGAACGAGUCCAUGAAGAAGACAAGCGGACGUAGUUGAACGAAUCCUCACAAUCGCAACAUUACCGAAACUAAGAAGCAACACCGGAACGAAACAAACAACAUGGUAAAUUCACAAGCAUAAACAUGGCAUGAUGCACAAACAAGUGUGAUGCAUGUCCGGUUUAAUGAGGCAUGGCAAAGUGCAACAAACAAUACUACAAGUUAAGUGGAGCUCAAUAUGCAACGAGUUGCAUAUUGACAAAACACCACAUCAAUUAUUUAGUUCUCUCUCGGUUAUGCUACUCAUCAAUAUUAAAUGUUGUUAAACAUGGCAAGGGGUGAAGCAUAAAGAAACUACCUAACAAGGCAAGUUUAAAUGAGGCCGGAAAUAAGAAACAACAAUUCCGGAAAAUCCCCAUGUGCAUAUUUUGAUUUGGUACUGUUCUGCCCUAAACCAUAUUUUAAGGUUGUUACCAGGAAAAUAAAGUGCACCAUGUUAAACUAGGCAUUUUUCCACCCCAUUUACAUAUAAAGUUUAUUAAAAUUGGAGCUACGGUUAUUUAGUUAUGAAAUAAACCAUUUUAACAUGGUAUUUGAGCAAAUUUAAACAAACAACAGUUUAAACAUUUUAAACAAGGAUGAAAGUGGCAUAUUAUUAAUCUACACAAAAUUCUAAGCAUUUUACAUGUUUUAAUCAUUUUAAUCCAAUGCACGGUUCAUGAGUUAUUAUAUGCAUGAUGCUUAGGGGUUUUUCUGUAAAACAAUAAACUCCUGGAUAAAUAGCAAAAUCGUUCCGCGGAAAAAAACAUGGAUAGGGCCGAAUCUGGACGGCCCAAAAGUGCACAGGAGAGGGGGCGGGGGCUGCUCACCCUGGGCCAAGGCCCGGUUGGUGCAGCAGGCCGGCUAAGGAGGCGCUGGGGAAAGAGGCUGCUGGGCUGAUGCGGGUGAAGGGCGACGCGGUGGCCCAGGCACGCUGGCGGCGCGGUCAACGCGAGGCACGAGGGAGCGGGCGCCUCGUCCUCUGCUCGUCAGGAAGUAGAGCAGCGGCGGCGGGGUGCUCUCCGGCGAGGGCGCAGCUUGGGAAGGCGGAGAGGAAGGUCGGCGACAGGCGCAUGCGUCAGUUCCAACGACGACGCAGAUGAGGCACAGGAGGUCGACGCGGUCGUGCGUGGCUGCUGGAGCUGCUCAAGCAGAGAAGAAGUCGGCGAUGGCUGGGUCGUCGCGGACCUCGUCGGCGGCACGAGCAGGAGGGAAACGGCCAGGAUCCAAGGGGAGGACGCACGGGCUCGUUUGGUUCUUGUCCCUGGCAGAGAGAGACAGAGAGAGGUGAGACAGGAAGAGGGAAAGGAAGAGAGGGCACGAGGGAGGCCCGACGGCGUGACCUGGAGGAGCUGGUGAUCGUCGGCGGUGAGACGAGGUGGGGGUCGCGAGGAAGACAGCGGAGCUCUGGAUUGGGAGGAGCUCGGCUCUCCUCGGGCGUUGCACAGCGCGGAAGGGAUGCAGGGAGCAGCGGGAGGAGGAGGCGCGCACGGGAGGGGCGCCAUGGGUCUUGGGUGCGUGCUCGAGCUUGAGCAGCGAGCUCCUCUUGCUCGGACGCGGGCGUCGCAAGGACGAAGGACGGCGAGGUGGCGGCUCGGGCUUCGGUGGCGUGGUGAGGAGCUCAGGCAGGGAGGUGGAUCGAGGAGGGGAUGGAUUUGGGUUGGCUGGUGUUGAACGAGGGGGGAUUUGGAUCAGGGAGAUCCCGAUGUAGAUGGUGGCGGCGCUAGGGUAGGUUCCCUAGAAAUUAGGUGGUUUGUCUAGGUUAGUUAGGUGGGGUCUAUAUAUAGCUAAUGGAUUUUUGAUAGGGUCAUUAGGUCCCUCCGAUCGUAAUCGGACGGUCGAAAAAAUAGGCUAGAGAGUCCAAAUAAGAAAACGGAGAUAUUUUAUAGACGUUUGGGGAUGAUCCGGAUCCAUUGGUAACGAUAGACCGGUUCGGGUUCGGGUAAGAUUCGGACACGCACACGAGGGGUCUGAGAGAGGUCAACGAGGGCAAGGGCCUGCCAAAAUAACAACGGAGGCAAAGAGAGAAAGGGAAACUGCGAACGGCUACGAGUUUUUAUGAAAACAUGUGGAUGCAAUGCACAUGAUGCCAUGAGAUGAAAUGCAUGACAUGAACAAAAUGCAAAAACAAAAGACAAAAACCCAACCAUGAAGGAAAAUAAAAUAUCACAUCUCCGGAAAAGGCAAGAGUUGGAGUUAUGAAUGUGGAAAGUUGUAUCCGGUGCGUUACAUCCUCCUCUGGCGGUAGGGUGACAUUUGCCUUCAGCUCAGUCCAAAGAUCUUCUUUUUGCAUAUCAUUGACAUAAGACACCUCAUGGUCUUCAUCCUUAGCAGGCUUAUACCAUUGCUGGAUGCUGAUCGGGAUCUUGUCCCUAACAAGAACCCCGCACUGAGCAGAAAAUGCCUUCCUUGUCCGGAUGGGUUCAAUCGGUUCGCCAUCGGGCGCGAUUUCUAUGAUCUCAAACUUUUCAUCCGAGCUCAACUUUUUCUUCGGGCCUCGUCUCCUUACUGAAGUUGUGCUUGAUCCGGAGGGCUAGAAAUUAUAAGGAAGAAAGACGACAGUAAUUAAUAUGUGUACAUAUACCAAAACAAUGGAUGCAUCAAUUACUAGUUAGCAUGGGCUUAACUAAUAUAUAUAUACCUGGCCGGACUCGGUUCGGUGACCGGAGCAGUCAGCCCGGUCUCCUUCUUGUACCUCCAUNNNNNNNNNNNNNNNNNNNNNNNNNNNNNNNNNNNNNNNNNNNNNNNNNNNNNNNNNNNNNNNNNNNNNNNNNNNNNNNNNNNNNNNNNNNNNNNNNNNNNNNNNNNNNNNNNNNNNNNNNNNNNNNNNNNNNNNNNNNNNNNNNNNNNNNNNNNNNNNNNNNNNNNNNNNNNNNNNNNNNNNNNNNNNNNNNNNNNNNNNNNNNNNNNNNNNNNNNNNNNNNNNNNNNNNNNNNNNNNNNNNNNNNNNNNNNNNNNNNNNNNNNNNNNNNNNNNNNNNNNNNNNNNNNNNNNNNNNNNNNNNNNNNNNNNNNNNNNNNNNNNNNNNNNNNNNNNNNNNNNNNNNNNNNNNNNNNNNNNNNNNNNNNNNNNNNNNNNNNNNNNNNNNNNNNNNNNNNNNNNNNNNNNNNNNNNNNNNNNNNNNNNNNNNNNNNNNNNNNNNNNNNNNNNNNNNNNNNNNNNNNNNNNNNNNNNNNNNNNNNNNNNNNNNNNNNNNNNNNNNNNNNNNNNNNNNNNNNNNNNNNNNNNNNNNNNNNNNNNNNNNNNNNNNNNNNNNNNNNNNNNNNNNNNNNNNNNNNNNNNNNNNNNNNNNNNNNNNNNNNNNNNNNNNNNNNNNNNNNNNNNNNNNNNNNNNNNNNNNNNNNNNNNNNNNNNNNNNNNNNNNNNNNNNNNNNNNNNNNNNNNNNNNNNNNNNNNNNNNNNNNNNNNNNNNNNNNNNNNNNNNNNNNNNNNNNNNNNNNNNNNNNNNNNNNNNNNNNNNNNNNNNNNNNNNNNNNNNNNNNNNNNNNNNNNNNNNNNNNNNNNNNNNNNNNNNNNNNNNNNNNNNNNNNNNNNNNNNNNNNNNNNNNNNNNNNNNNNNNNNNNNNNNNNNNNNNNNNNNNNNNNNNNNNNNNNNNNNNNNNNNNNNNNNNNNNNNNNNNNNNNNNNNNNNNNNNNNNNNNNNNNNNNNNNNNNNNNNNNNNNNNNNNNNNNNNNNNNNNNNNNNNNNNNNNNNNNNNNNNNNNNNNNNNNNNNNNNNNNNNNNNNNNNNNNNNNNNNNNNNNNNNNNNNNNNNNNNNNNNNNNNNNNNNNNNNNNNNNNNNNNNNNNNNNNNNNNNNNNNNNNNNNNNNNNNNNNNNNNNNNNNNNNNNNNNNNNNNNNNNNNNNNNNNNNNNNNNNNNNNNNNNNNNNNNNNNNNNNNNNNNNNNNNNNNNNNNNNNNNNNNNNNNNNNNNNNNNNNNNNNNNNNNNNNNNNNNNNNNNNNNNNNNNNNNNNNNNNNNNNNNNNNNNNNNNNNNNNNNNNNNNNNNNNNNNNNNNNNNNNNNNNNNNNNNNNNNNNNNNNNNNNNNNNNNNNNNNNNNNNNNNNNNNNNNNNNNNNNNNNNNNNNNNNNNNNNNNNNNNNNNNNNNNNNNNNNNNNNNNNNNNNNNNNNNNNNNNNNNNNNNNNNNNNNNNNNNNNNNNNNNNNNNNNNNNNNNNNNNNNNNNNNNNNNNNNNNNNNNNNNNNNNNNNNNNNNNNNNNNNNNNNNNNNNNNNNNNNNNNNNNNNNNNNNNNNNNNNNNNNNNNNNNNNNNNNNNNNNNNNNNNNNNNNNNNNNNNNNNNNNNNNNNNNNNNNNNNNNNNNNNNNNNNNNNNNNNNNNNNNNNNNNNNNNNNNNNNNNNNNNNNNNNNNNNNNNNNNNNNNNNNNNNNNNNNNNNNNNNNNNNNNNNNNNNNNNNNNNNNNNNNNNNNNNNNNNNNNNNNNNNNNNNNNNNNNNNNNNNNNNNNNNNNNNNNNNNNNNNNNNNNNNNNNNNNNNNNNNNNNNNNNNNNNNNNNNNNNNNNNNNNNNNNNNNNNNNNNNNNNNNNNNNNNNNNNNNNNNNNNNNNNNNNNNNNNNNNNNNNNNNNNNNNNNNNNNNNNNNNNNNNNNNNNNNNNNNNNNNNNNNNNNNNNNNNNNNNNNNNNNNNNNNNNNNNNNNNNNNNNNNNNNNNNNNNNNNNNNNNNNNNNNNNNNNNNNNNNNNNNNNNNNNNNNNNNNNNNNNNNNNNNNNNNNNNNNNNNNNNNNNNNNNNNNNNNNNNNNNNNNNNNNNNNNNNNNNNNNNNNNNNNNNNNNNNNNNNNNNNNNNNNNNNNNNNNNNNNNNNNNNNNNNNNNNNNNNNNNNNNNNNNNNNNNNNNNNNNNNNNNNNNNNNNNNNNNNNNNNNNNNNNNNNNNNNNNNNNNNNNNNNNNNNNNNNNNNNNNNNNNNNNNNNNNNNNNNNNNNNNNNNNNNNNNNNNNNNNNNNNNNNNNNNNNNNNNNNNNNNNNNNNNNNNNNNNNNNNNNNNNNNNNNNNNNNNNNNNNNNNNNNNNNNNNNNNNNNNNNNNNNNNNNNNNNNNNNNNNNNNNNNNNNNNNNNNNNNUCUGUUAGUGCCAUUACUUUUUAAAUUUGAAAACACUUUUUUUGUUUUCUUUCUUGCUUUAUUUAUUUUAUUUUGUUUCUACUUACAAAAAAAAUACUUAUUGUUGUUUUUUUUGUUUUGUUUUCUGCAUUAUUUAUUUUCUUUUGUUUUUUGCUUUAUCUUUAAUUCUUUUUGCUUUUAGUUUUAGGAAAAUUAUAAACUUUCCACUUUUUUUGUUUUUUUGUUUUCUUUCUUGCUUUAUUUAUUUUAUUUUGUUUCUACUUACAACAAAAUACUUAUUGUUGCUAUUUUUAAUUAUUACGAGGGCCGAAGCAUAAGACAUUAAAGCAUUUCAAAUGAACUCUGAAAAAGUUGAAAGUUGGCAUGGUAUCAUAAAUUGACCCACACAUAGCAUGUGCAUGUACAAAACGGACAAUGGUAUCAUACUCGUGAGUUACAAAGUUGGCAUGGUAUCAUCAUAAUAGUUGCGGGAGAAAGUCUUCACUUUUUCUUCGCUUGUGUCAUUUGCUUAUUGCGCCGUAACCAUGGAUAAUCUUCAUCGUUUAUCAGGAUGCUGGGGUCAGCCUUGACUUUAAAGGAAGGAAUUUCAUGAAACUUUUCAUAAUCUUCAGACAUGUCUGUCUUGUCCUCCACUCCCACGAUGUCUCUUUUUCCUGAAAGAACUAUGUGGCGCUUUGGCUCAUCGUAUGAUGUAUUCGCUUCCUUAUCUUUUCUCUUUCUCGGUCUGGUAGACAUGUCCUUCACAUAGAUAACCUGUGCCACAUCAUUGGCUAGGACGAACGGUUCGUUAGUGUACCCAAGAUUUUUCAGAUCCACUGUUGUCAUUCCGUACUGUGGGUCUACCUGUACCCCGCCUCCUGACAGAUUGACCCAUUUGCACUUAAACAAAGGGACCUUAAAAUCAUGUCCGUAGUCAAGUUCCCAUAUGUCCACUAUGUAACCAUAAUAUGUGUCCUUUCCCCUCUCGGUUGUUGCAUCAAAGCGGACACCGCUGUUUUGGUUGGUGCUCUUUUGAUCUUGGUCAAUCGUGUAAAAUGUAUUCCCAUUUAUCUCGUAUCCUUUCCAAAUCAAUACAGUCAAAGAUGGUCCCCUGGAUAACAAGUACAGCUCAUCACAAAUGGUGUUGUCACCUCUGAUACGUGCUUCCAACCAACUGCUGAAAGUCCUGAUGUGUUCACAUGUAAUCCAGUCGUCGCACUGCUCCAGGUGUUUGGAGCGCAGACUGUUCUUGUGUUCAUCGACAUACGGGGUCACCAAGGUAGAGUUCUGUAGAACUGUGUAGUGUGCUUGAGACCAAGAAUAUCCGUCCCUGCAUAUUAUUGAGUCCCUUCCAAGCGUGCCUUUUCCAGUCAGUCUCCCCUCAUACCGCGAUUUAGGGAGACCUAUCUUCUUAAGGCCAGGAAUGAAGUCAACACAAAACCCGAUGACAUCCUCUGUUUGAUGGCCCAUGGAGAUGCUUCCUUCUGUCCUAGCGCGGUUACGGACAUAUUUCUUUAGGACUCCCAUGAACCUCUCAAAGGGGUACAUAUUGUGUAGAAAUACGGGGCCCAGAAUGACAAUCUCGUCAACUAGAUGAACUAGGACGUGCGUCAUGAUAUUGAAGAAGGAUGGUGGGAACACCAGCUCGAAAUUGACAAUCUGGAUCGAUCACCUUCUGAGAGAUUGCAUUGAGGAAUGCACAUAGCUUCACAAUGGCUAAUCGGAUGUUUUUCGGUAGAAGCCCCCUCAAUGCAACCGGAAGCAGUUGUGUCAUAAUCACGUGGCAGUCAUGAGACUUUAGGUUCUGAAACUUUUUCUCUGCCAUAUUUAUUAUUCCUUUUAUAUUCGACGAGAAGCCAGUCGGGACCUUCAUACUAAGCAGGCAUUCAAAGAAGAUUUCCUUCUCUUCUUUGGUAAGAGCAUAGCUGGCAGGACCUUCAUACUGCUUUGGAGGCAUGCCGUCUUUUUCGUGCAAACGUUGCAGGUCCUCCCGUGCCUCAGCUGUAUCUUUUGUCUUCCCAUACACGCCCAAGAAGCCUAGCAGGUUCACGCAAAGGUUCUUCGUCACGUGCAUCACGUCAAUCGAAGAGCGGACCUCUAGGUCUUUCCAGUAGGGUAGGUCCCAAAAUAUAGAUUUCUUCUUCCACAUGGGUGCGUGUCCCCCAGCGUCACUCGGAACAGCUAGUUCGCUGGGACCCUUUCCAAAGAUUACGUGUAAAUCAUUGACCAUAGCAAGUACGUGAUCACCGGUACGCAUGGCGGGCUUCUUCCGGUGAUCUGCCUCGCCUUUGAAAUGCUUGCCUUUCUUUCGACAUUGAUGGUUGGUCGGAAGAAAUCGACGAUGGCCCAGGUACACAUUCUUCCUGCAGCUUGCCAGGUAUAUACUAUCGGUGUCAAGUAAACAGUGCGCGCAUGCGUGGUAUCCCUUGUUUGUCUGUCCUGAAAGGUUACUGAGAGCGGGCCAAUCGUUGAUGGUCACGAAUAGCAACGCCUUUAGGUUAAAUUCCUCCUGUUUGUGCUCAUCCCACGUACGUACACCGUUUCCAUUCCACAGCUGUAAAAGUUCUUCAACUAAUGGCCUUAGGUACACAUCAAUGUCAUUGCCGGGUUGCUUAGGGCCUUGGAUGAGAACUGGCAUCAUAAUGAACUUCCACUUCAUGCACAUCCAAGGAGGAAGGUUAUACAUACAUAGAGUCACGGGCCAGGUGCUGUGAUUGCUGCUCUGCUCCCCGAAAGGAUUAAUGCCAUCCGCGCUUGAAGCAAACCAUACGUUCCUUGGCUCACUUGCAAACUCAUCCCAGUACUUUCUCUCGAUUUUUUUCCACUGCGACCCGUCAGCGGGUGCUCUCAACUUCCCGUCUUUCUUACGGUCCUCAAUGUGCCAUUGCAUCAACUUGGCAUGCUCUCCGUUUCUGAACAGACGUUUCAACCGUGGUAUUAUAGGAGCAUACCACAUCACCUUCGCAGGAACCCUCUUCCUGGGGGGCUCGCCAUCAACAUCACCAGGGUCAUCUCGUCUGAUCUUAUACCGUAAUGCACCGCAUACCGGGCAUGCGUUCAGAUCCUUGUACGCACCGCGGUAGAGGAUACAGUCAUUAGGGCCUGCAUGUAUCUUCUGCACCUCCAAUCCUAAAGGGCAUACGACCUUCUUUGAUGCGUAUGUACUGUCGGGCAAUUCGUUAUCCUUUGGAAGCUUCUUCUUCAAUAUUUUAAGUAGCUUCUCAAAUCCUUUGUCAGGCACAGCAUUCUUUGCCUUCCACUGCAGCAAUUCCAGUACGGUACCGAGCUUUGUGUUGCCAUCUUCGCAAUUGGGGUACAACCCUUUUUUGUGGUCCUCUAGCAUGCGAUCGAACUUCAGCUUCUCCUUUUGACUUUCGCAUUGCGUCCUUGCAUCGACAAUGACCCGGCAGAGAUCAUCAUCAUCGGGCACAUCGUAUGGUUCCUCUUGAUCUUCACCAGCUUCGCCCGUUGCAGCAUCAUCGUGCACAUCGUCUGGUUCCUCUUGAUCUUCAGGAGCAUCACUGUAUUCAGGGGGCACAUAGUUGUCAUCGUACUCUUCUUCUUCGCCGUCUUCCAUCAUAACCCCUAUUUCUCCGUGCCUCGUCCAAACAUUAUAGUGUGGCAUGAAACCCUUGUAAAGCAGGUGGGUGUGGAGGAUUUUCCGGUCAGAGUAAGACUUCGUAUUCCCACAUAUAGGGCAUGGACAACACAUAAAACCAUUCUGCUUGUUUGCCUCAGCCACUUCGAGAAAAUCAUGCACGCCCUUAAUGUACUCGGAGGUGUGUCUUGAACCGUACAUCCAUUGCCGGUUCAUCUGCGUGCAUUAUAUAAUGAAGUGACAAAAUUAAUAGAAGUUCAUCAUCACAUUAAAACCAAAGUACAUACAUAGUUCUCAUCUAACAACAUAAAGCUCUGUAGAGCAUCUAAAUUAAUUAAACCAUACACCUAAACUAUGUAAAACAUUUCAAUGCGAAAACAAAUGCGAUCAUAAUCGCAACCAAUGUAACAACUGAUCCAACGGCAUAAUGAUACCAAGCCUCGGAAUGAAUGGCAUAUUUUCUAAUCUUUCUAAUCUUCAAGCGCAUUGCAUCCAUCUUGAUCUUGUGAUCGACGACAUCCGCAACAUGCAACUCCAAUAUCAUCUUCUCCUCCUCAUUUUUUCUAAUUUUUUCCUUCAAGAAAUUGUUUUCUUCUUCAAUUAAAUUUAACCUCUCGACAAUAGGGUCGGUUGGAAUUUCCGAUUCAACAACCUCCUAGAUAAAUAAAAUCUAUGUCACGUUGGUCGGCAUAAUUGUCAUAAACAAUAAAUGAACCAAUAGUUAUGAAAAGAUAAUAUAUACCACAUCCGAAUCAUAGACAGGACGAGGGCCGACGGGGGCGGAUACCAAAACCAUCGCACUAUAUAAGAUGCAAUAAUAAAAGUAAGAAAAUAAUACAAGUAUCUAUCUAAACAUACAAGUAAGAAUAUUUUUCCUUUCAGAAAGAAGAUAAGAACAAGAGGCUCACCACGAUGGUGCCGGCGAUGAGAUCAACGCGGGUGAUCGACGACGGUGAAGACGGGGACGGGGCGUGACGGACCGCUAAAUCUAGACAAAUAUUGAGGAAAAUGGAGCUUGGCGGUCGAGCUUGGAGGGGAGAAAGCUUAAGUAGUGUGGCUCGGGCAUUCCAUCGAACACCUCGUGUGCAUAGGAGGUGAGCUAGAGCACCACAAAGCUCUCCCCUCGCCGGCCACGAAAAACAGAGCAUUGGGAGUGCUCUGCUCGCGAGCAGGGGUAUAUAUAGGCACCUCAUUGGUCCCGGUUGGUGGCAUGAACCGGGACUAAAGGGCAGCCUUUGGUCCCGGUUCAUGCCACCAACCGGGACCAAUGGUGGUGGGCCAGGAGCGAGGCCCAUUGGUCCCGGUUCGUUCCACCAACCGGGACCAAAAGGUCCAGACGAACCAGGACCAAUGGCACACGUGGCCCGGCCGGCCCCCGGGGCUCAAGAACCGGGUCCAAUGCCCCCAUUGGUCCCGGUUCUGGAUUGAAUGGGGACUAAUGGGCUGGACUGGCCUGGACCAUUGCCCCCUUUUCUACUAGUGAACUCAACUUCACCGUAUAUGAACUCGCCGGAACUCCUUGAUCACGAACAGAAACGCAAGGCACAAUUUACUUUUUCCAUCCACUCUUACUCUUAAUUCUCAUCCGCCAGUGACGCGUCUCAACUACAGCAGAUGACUCACACCCCCGAAUUCUUGGACGCACCAUACAAGAACUCAUGCACACCUCGACGACAGCCCGCAUGUUUGCCGUCACCACCUUGCUCUCAUUUGCGAUGAUAUCGAUGGUUUCCCUGGUGUCGCAACUUCGGCACCUCCAUAACCAUCACCGAUCACCAAUGCCUUGUCGACGACAGCAUGUCGCCCUCCUCCAGGUCGUUCCGCCGAACGACAAUCACGAGCCGCCUCGCUUACGACAGUGUCCUCGCCACCUUCUCACCGUCGCUACGCCGAGCAAAGAUCACUCGAUCCUCCUCGUACGUCGCUCCCCGAACGACUAUUGCCUGCUCCACCUCGUCGCUGCACCACCCAGCGACUAUAUCGCCCGCUCUUCCUCGUCGCUGUACCACCGAACGACUAUAUGGCCGCCCCAAGGCGCUAGUAGGUCGCCACCCCGGGGCAAGCGCGGCUGUAAUAGAACCUUGCUCUAGAGACCAAUUGUUGGAAUUUCGCCCUCAGGAUCGAUUACAUCAGAUACGAGGAACACACGCACACAAAAAAAUGAUAGCCAAGGGCCCUUGUCGUGCCCUCUUUUCUCUUUAUUUUUUUGUUUCUCAACUCACGGUGUUACAAAUCGGAUGGACCGGUGUGCAUAUAUAUAAAUGACCUCACGAGCUAUAGCUAGCUAACCUAAACCGACUCAAACAACUAAUCCUGGCCGGACACACGUUGAAACAUAACUACGACAUGGGCAGCAUGCAUGCUAAUUCCUAAUACUACACGGCUUGCAAACCGGCCACCCCGCGUACAUCUCAAUUUACCUAGUUUUUUUUAGGGUUAAUGCUGCCGCUUUAUUUAGGUCUCCGCAAAGCUCGGAAUGUCAUCCGAGAUUACAGCCAAAAUACAGUCAGGGGAACCCCCAUCCACACCUUACAUAAAUUAUCACCUACACCUACUCUAGCCAUCUUAUGCGCGGCGACAUUCGCUGAACGACGAACCCAUGACACCUUAGCACCUUGCAUGUCCUGCAACACCUGCUUGAUUUCCUGAAUCCAGGGUCCAACCGUCGAGUAGUUUAUACCCUCUUGCUGGGUCAUCUGAACCACCUUCAAGCUGUCCAACUCAAGAUGAACAUUCUGCACUCCCAACUCUCCCGCCACCUGCAAAGCUCUCCUACAUGCCAAUACUUCCGCAGCUUCAGGGUCCUGUAUAUGUGGAAAUACAUGACACAUGGCAGCUAUGAAAGCUCNNNNNNNNNNNNNNNNNNNNNNNNNNNNNNNNNNNNNNNNNNNNNNNNNNNNNNNNNNNNNNNNNNNNNNNNNNNNNNNNNNNNNNNNNNNNNNNNNNNNNNNNNNNNNNNNNNNNNNNNNNNNNNNNNNNNNNNNNNNNNNNNNNNNNNNNNNNNNNNNNNNNNNNNNNNNNNNNNNNNNNNNNNNNNNNNNNNNNNNNNNNNNNNNNNNNNNNNNNNNNNNNNNNNNNNNNNNNNNNNNNNNNCCCACCCUCGAAAUAGCACCAUCAGUGUUAAUCUUCACCCAGCCAUCAUCCGGUACAGCCUAUCGCUGGGUGAUCUUCGGGACUGGUACAGUUACCUUUGUUGGAUGUGAGUUGGUCCACUCCAGCAAAUGAGUAUACACUGAUUCCAUUAUCGCAUGUGGCACUUCCAACCGUUUCCCUUCCCUCGUAUUAUUUCUUGCUAGCCAAAGUCCGUAUGUGGCUUGGAUCAUAACUUCUUUCUCUUCCUCGGACGCUCCAGAGAACCAGCCAAGUAGCCAAGGCGCUAAUGCACCCUGGGUAUCAAUCUGACACGGCGGGGCUGCCACCGCGAUACCUUUUUCCAAGCGCAAAAGUUGCCAGAACUGUGCUGAAUGCUGACAUGCCCAAAAACGAUGGAUGAUUGUUUCUUCCCUCCCGCAUGCAACAAAAAAAACCCCCGGUUUGAUCCGUCUCCGAUGAAGUUCUGAUCCUACUGCUAGUCCAUUUCUGAUCAUGCGCCACAUGUGGAUUUUUGCCUUGGGUGGAGCACUCGUACCCCACAUCUCCAUAUACCCUUUGUGCUGCUGUACCGAGUCUGAAGACUCCUGCUGGCCCGUCCUCACCUUCCUCAUUGCCAUCCAAAGAUGAUAUGCUGACUUGACAUUAAAGACACCAUUCUUGGUAUAAUUCCAAGCCUGGUAGUCUUCGGUUUCGGGCCCUCCCACUGCUAUUUGCAUUAUAUCAUGAAUAUCUGAUUCCGAAAACAUAGCUGAUAGCUUUUCUGCAUCCCAAGCCGCACCACUCAAAUCGAGAAGAUCAGACACCUUCGUCACACCAUGAACAUAAACCUGACCCAGUGGUCUCAAACAGCCAUCCCUUGGAAUCCAAUUGUCAUGGUGGAUAUUAAUCCCCGCGCCGUCACCCACCCUCCACACGAGUCCCUCCCGAAGAAGGUCCCUCCCAUGCAAUAUGCUUCUGAACGUGUAAGAUGAGUUGGAUGGGCAGGUAGCACUCAAUAUCGAAUCAUCCUUGAAGUAUCUGGCCUUCAACACCCUAGCACACAGAGAAGACGACGUAGUAAGAAUCCUCCAUGCUUGCUUUACCAAAAGUGCUAGGUUGAAGCCCUCAGGAUUUCUGAACCCAAGGCCCCCUUCCCUCUUCGAAUUGCACAUCUUCUCCCAUGAGAUCCAAUGCACCUUUCUUUCACCGUUCAUUGCCCCCACCAGAAUUUUGAAGAGAUGGAUGUCAGGUUCCGGUAUAUCUUCUUUGUGAGGUGAAAGCAACUCAUCGUGAACGUUGGUGUUGAUUGUAAUCCCGAUUUAACAAGAACUUCUCUGGCAGCCUUGGGCAGACCCUGCCCUUUCCACCCUGUCACCUUACCCUUAGAGCUCUCAGUGACAUAAGGAAACGUACCCUCCUUUGAUCUUCCAACCAGUGUUGGCAGACCAAGGUAUCUUUCACUUAGCGCCUCACUAGCAAUGCCCACCGCCUCCUUAAGCUCAUUUUUGGUCUCAUUGUUGCAUCCCUUCCCGAAGAAAAUGGAGGACUUUUGCAUGUUCACCCGCUGGCCCGAGGCCUCCUCAUAUGUCAGUAAAAUUUCCUUCAGCGCAGUCAUGCUCUCUGAAGAGUCCUCAAGAAAAACAAUGCUGUCAUCGGCGAACAGCAAAUGAGUGACGUGGGGGCCAGUGCCCCCGAACGAAACUCCCUUGAUCCUCUGUUCCUCCUGUGCUCUUUUCAACAAGGCCGAGAACCCCUCAACACAAAAAAGGAAUAAAUAUGGUGAGAGCGGGUCACCUUGUCUUAGUCCACGCGAUGGUGUGAACCUCCUAGAGCCACCCCCAUUAAGCCUAACAGAAAACCGAGCUGAUGUAACACAUCUCAUAAUCAUACCAAUCCACCCAUGAUCAAAGCCAAACUUAGCCAUUGUCCUUUCCAGAAAACUCCACUCUACUCUGUCAUAGGCUUUCAUCAUAUCGAGCUUUACCGCACAUAAGCACUUCCUUCUCUUUCUAGUCCGGAUGGCAUGGACACAUUCGUAUGCUACUAACACAUUGUCCGUAAUAAGACGGCCUGGAACAAACGCACUUUGCUCUUCUGAUAUUAACACUGGUAGGAUGACUUUCAAUCUGUUCGUGAGCACCUUUGUUGCUAUCUUGUACAAAACGUAACACAAACUAAUAGGGCGAAACUGAGAAAGUAGCUCCGGUGCACUCACCUUAGGUAUCAUCACAAUAACAGUAUCAUUAAAUGAUUCCGGGGUUGUCUCACCGUUGAGAAACGUCCGAACAGCCGUACACACAUCUUGCCCCACCAACGACCAGUGUCGCUGAUAGAAAAGCGCUGGCAGUCCGUCCGGACCCGGCGACUUGGUCGGCCCCAUUUGGAACAAUGCUACCCUGAUUUCCUCAUCCGUGAUCGGCGUCGUUAGCUUUUCAUUCAUGUCAGCCGUCACCUGAGACUCAAUAUGCUACAGCAACGCCUCCGCACCAACCGAGCCUUCGGACGUAAACAGGUGCUCAUAGAAUGUCGCUGCCAUCUCUCUCAUUUCAUCAUCCACCAUACACUUGGUGCCAUCCUCCCUUAACAGCGCCUUUACCGUGUUCUUACGCUUCCUAUGUGAAGCACGGUUUUGGAAGUACUUGGUGUUUUGGUCUCCUACAACUAACCAAUCCACUCUCGAUCGCUGUCGGUAUAAAAUCUCUUCCCUCUCAAACAUCUCCUUCAACUGAUCCUCAAUGUCCCGUACCUCCUGCUGAUAUCCCGUCGACAAUGCCCUAGUCUUGGCAUCCACCAACUGUGUCUUGAGCGCAGCAAUCUAUCUUCUUAUCGAUCCGAACACCUCCCUGCUCCACCUUUGCAUGCUACCCGCUACCUGACCCAGCUUGCUCCACACAUCCUCAAGAUUCCUCCCGCCAGCGCCCGCCGCUUCCCACGCCUCUCGCACCAUUUGCUUGUAGUUCUCAUGCCUUGUCCAUGCUUCCUCAAACCGAAAGGGUCGGUCCCUACCUCGGGGAGCAGCUGGAGCGGUCUCCAUUGCCCUCACCAGUAGAGCCUGAUGGUCCGACUCCUCCGUCAUGAUGUGUUGCACGGACGUUUCUGGGUACAUCUGCAGGAAUCCAUCAUUGCAUGUUGCCCUAUCUAGCCUGACCUGAAUGUUUUCACUCCCAUCUCUUUUGUUAUCCCAUGUGUACGGGUAUCCAUUGAACCCCAGGUCCGCCAAGCCGCAGUCAGCUAGGCAGUCCCUAAAAUCCUCCAUACGUGAAAAAGGCCUUUGGUUACCCCCAAUCUGAUCAGCAUGGAAUAACACUUCAUUAUAAUCCCCUACACAAAUCCAAGGGAGAUCAUCUUGCCUUCUCAGAUACCUUAAAGCAUCCCACGAUUUCUUCCGUCUUUCCGUGUUCGGUUCCCCGUAGAAUCCAGUGAUCCUCGAGGUCUUGCCAUCACAAACAAACUCAGCAUCAAUGAAAUAUUGACUCCACGGUCUCACUGUAGCUUGUACGUGAUCUCUCCACCACAUGGCCAGUCCACCACUCCUUCCAUUGCAAUCCACCGCCACCCAUGUCUAAACCCCAAACUCCAUUUUAACCUAUCCAUCCCUCUCGCCUUUUUCUUCGUUUCACAUAAAAACACCACCGCUGGGUUGUAGGACCUAAUCAGGUCUCGUAAUUCACCAACCGUCGAGUCCAACCCCAAUCCUCGACAGUUCCAGGCUAGAAUGUUCAUUGCUCCUGGCGGCCCUGGUUAGCAGGGUCCGCCAUUGCUCCAUUUUGUUCCUCAAUGCGGUCAAACACAGACGACGUCUUCCGUCGUGUAUCACAAAUGAAACCGUCAUCGCCCCCACCUCUGAUGUUGUCAUCCUUCACCCUCCAAAUUUGUUUCGGGCCUCUUUUCCUGUUUUCCAACUCCCUUCUAGAAGAGGAAGUGUCACACUGCUGCACUUCAACAACCUGUCUUGGUUUCCUGACAUAAUAUCCCCUCCUUCUUCCACGUUCAUCAUGCAUGUUCGACCUUUCAUAAAGCCCCGGCUCACUGUAAUAAUCAUCCCUCCGAGAUUUGUAUUUUUGAUGUUCGGCUGCAUGCACUGAUCCCUUAUUGUACCCAUUUGCUUUGCCCUUGUAGUCAGCCCUAUUGGUACUCUCGUCUCCAUACCUUCUCUGCUGGUUUUUUAUAAUCAACUUCUCACGGAGAUCUUCCUCCCUCCGCUUCUCAAGGCUGUCCCGCAGGUCCUUUUCCUUUCGCACACCAUGCCCCGUCCCUGAUUUAGCCGGGCUAGUGAUCUCCACCCCACCCUACUCCGAACGACCGCCAGUGCGGCUUCCAGAGCCAGCAGCAAAAUCAGCUGCUAAGUUCCGUUUAGUGGGUAGAUUCCGGCCUCUGUUUUGAUCCUGUUGUCCUUUUCCAUCCUCCCCACUCCUUGAAUUUGCAAAACUGUUGCUACUGCUAGCCCCCUUAGCUCCAAACGAUCCUUCCUUGAAAGAACCAUUCCUUCCUGGGGAAGAACGUAGCCAGCUCCCCCAUUGAUCAGAGGAUUCCAGAGGGGGCACAAAUACCCCAUGUUCAUGAACCAGUCUGCCACAAUCGAAGCAAAAAUGUGGCACUUUUUCAUAAAAAAAAGUCAUACCACGUCCCAACCUUAUCCUCCUUCGAUUUCUUCAAGUUAAACCCACGGAUCAGAGGCUCAAAAACUGAGAUAGUAGUUCUAAUUCGUAGCUGCUGACCCCUCGCCAUGCCCUCUCCAUCUGUAUCCACCUUCACCACUUUACCAAUCCAAUUGCCUAGGGCAGUCCCAAAGGCUUCACACCUCUUGUCAGGUGGCAAAUCCACCACUCUUACCCAUAUGUCGAUCUCCUCAAACACCAUCUCAGAGGGUCUAAUCUUUCCUUCAUAUUCUUUCACAAUGAGUACACUAAAAUCAAAUUGCCAGGGUCCAUUAUUCAACACAUGUCUCCAAUCUCCUUCACUGCCCUAAACCUAGCGUAGUCGCACGAUCGCCAGGCAAUCGCCGCCUACAUCUCAACUUACCUAGUUAAUUAUCCGGCCAGCUUGAUCACGAUUACACCAAACUAACUCAGGCAUUGUUUGGAUUAUCCCAACACAAUCGUCCAUGGACAGAGGACCAGUCUGUGGACAUCUAUACAUGAAACCGCCAUCCAACCCAGUUCACAUACCUUUCAAAAACUUUUUAACAAACCAGAUGAAAUUCAUGCAAAGACAGUGAAAUUCACACAAAUCGCACGAAAACGUUUACAUUUUGGACAUAUCUUUUAACUAAAAAUGAUACUAGAGUAACAUGAAACUACUCAGCGCCGGCGAAUAGUCACUCCGGCAACAUGGAUAGCCUUGACUAGUCUACUGCCGGCCGCAAUGGAUCUGCAUUGCCGUCCCCAUGUCCCGUCAUGUCCCGUAGCUGUGAGCCCUGGAGGUAUAUGCUUUAGCAUAAAGAGCGGCUCGCUUCCCUACCGCUCAUCGGAGUGGAACAACCGGUUGAUGCUUUUGCCGGUGGGGAAGGGUCCCUACACUGCAUGGAUAGGAGUUGGUUUUGGGUAGGGGACGACGGUGGCCUGCCAGAGGGCAAGACAUCGGGUGUGUACUCCGGCGUCACCUUGGCGUGGCAUUCAUGGGACCCAAGCGGCAGCGGCUCCUCAAUGAUGGCGGCGAGCGUGGACGUGCUGGCCACCACCUAGUCGAUGUCCGCUCAGCCCGUUUCUUUCUCUGCAGGCAGGGAGUGGCUACGUGCACGUUGACAUCAUAUGACGCGGCCGCAGGCAUGGGAGGGGCGGUACGACAUGGCACCGUCGACGGCAGCCACGAUGCCCAUGCAGUCGUGCUCCCUGCCGGUGCCGACCUGUAACAACUCGCCACUCCUCAGUUCAUGACCGGCGGGCUCGAUGGGCCACCCAGCCGUUUUUAUGCGGGAAUACUCUUCUUCCUACUCAUCGGAUCCCAUGAAGAAAACUUCUCAAGGAGGAUAAUGGUGAGUGGAGGUAUGGUACGGUUCUUGCCCGACAUCUGACAGUGUUUAAAUAGCGGGCGAACACGAGAAGCCAACCAAUGUUCUGUUUAUUGCCGGCCGGCUCGCAAACGGACAUGUGGUUGGAGUAGGUAUCCUGGCACACACACGGGUUUAAUGAAGGAAGGCGGGCAGUUUGCAGCCGUUUGAAUGGGGGCGAGCAUGCAUGUUCAGCAUGGCGUGUAGCGCCCUCAGCCAGUGCGCCGCUUCCAUUGCGGAGGCAGUAAGGGAUGUGUACGCUCUGCAGUGGAGUGAAUGCGGGCAACUGGUGCAGGGCGGGAACACGAGCGGGCAUGGGAGGAGGCGGUUUGCAUGGGCACGUGUGAUAAGAAGCAGUCAUGGGUGCUGUCCGGACACCCGCAAAGCCCGCCUCCCCCACGUUUGUCUCCGGUUUGUGGGAGAAAGUAUGUCCGGACCGUCCUAUGGACCAAUACAGGCCCGCAUUGGAUGGCACAACACGUAUGGACCAUGUAGUCCGGAUGGUUGCAGAUGGUUUGAUGGUUGGCGUUGGAUAUGCCCUUAGCGCUUAUAAAUCCAUUGUGUUUUUCUAAUCAUAAAAAGCACUUAUGACAAGUUAUAAUGAAAGACACGUAUAUAUGUUAGGUUCAGACUCCAACUUUCCCGUUGCAUAUGAAUUUUUCUGAUCCGACCCAUACCAAUAGAGUGAGGCUAGCGUCGCUUUUCUAGAAACUCGCGGGAUAAGAAGACAUGCAUACAUAUUAUUUCAAGGAAAUCACAUCCACUCUUUUUAACUUAUUUUUUCUUAUUUUCAUAAUAUAAUAGAUCAUUUGUAUUUUUAUUUCAAACAAUUAACGUGUAACUUUUAUUGUAAUCUAAGGAUAUUGUUUGGAUUUUACUUUCAAAUAUUUGAAAUGGCCAUGAUGGAAUCACAUCCAUUUAUUUUAUUAUUAUUUGAAUUUGAUCCAAAAGAUAAAUAAUGAGUAGAGGUCAUGUCAACUUUUCCUAGAAUUUGCUAAUCAAAAUAUAAUUUCUAUCUUAAUACAAUCCAUUAUUUAACUACUCUAUUGAUUUGUAUUUAAAAACAUAUAUUUUUAGCACGCAUAAAAAACAUAACAUGUAUCUUUCCACACAAACUAUAGGUUGUCAUGAAAACUCAUGCCAUGCCAUAGCCUCCCUCCGACCCUGCCAACAUUGUUGCAGCUGCACUCGCAAGCCUUAGCGUGGAUGAUCAUUUAUAUGAUUUGCGUAAAACAAACUAAGAUCUACAAACGAAUAGAAGCUAGAACAUACCUUGGUAUGCACACACAUUGCAAGCCAUACUAAGCUGAUAAGUGUCAAUAACUUGUACAACAUAUACAACACCGAAGACAAGUAAAAGCAAUUUGAUGAGUCAUGGUCUAUCAAAGCAAGCUACAUUACUACUCUAAUCUAUCUUAACAGGUCACACAUGAUUACAAUCUUUUUUGUGUGCAAGUCAAGCUUAUCUAUUUUACACGUAACAACUUGUAGAACAUUACAAAAUUGAUGUUUGCUAAUAACUUCUAGAUCACUACAACACUUGACAUGUAAAAGGAAUUUGAUGAGUCAUGACCUACUAAAGCAAGUUACAUUACUAGUCUCAUCUAUCUUAACAGGCCACACAAGAUUACAAACUAAGUUCUGUGCAAGCAAUGCUUAUCUAGUUUACACGUAACAACUUGCAUAACAUUACAAACUUAGUUUCAGAAAAUUAGGCAAUCUAGAUUAGUGUUUAUUUGUAAAGUGAAUAAGAUGAGUCAUGUGUGUUAUCACACCUUUUUUGUGGUGGAAUGAUAGUGCCACAAAACACAACAUACCAAAAAUUGAUUUCGGGAAGCAUCCAAGCACUUUCCAGGCAAGCAAAUGCCAAUUGUGAAAGAGAUCAUGCCAUGGCAGCUAUAAAUAGGCCUGUAGCAUGAUGACAUCCUUCCUCAUUCAUCAUUCUCAUAAGUAGAGUGUAUCAUUCAAGCCAAGCAAGCAGUGGUCAAUACAAAUCCACCAUGAAGACCUUUCUCAUCCUUUCCCUCCUUGCUAUCGUGGCGACCACUGCCACAACUGCAGUUAGAUUUCCAGUGCCACAAUUGCAGCCGCAAAAUCCAUCUCAGCAACAACCACAAGAGCAAGUUCCGUUGGUGCAACAACUACAAUAUCCAGGGCAACAACAACCAUUUCCACCACAACAGCCAUAUCCGCAGCCGCAACCAUUUCCAUCACAACAACCAUUGCCGCAACCGCAACCAUUUCUGCCACAACUACCAUAUCCGCAGCCACAACCAUUUCCACCACAACAACCAUAUCCACAACCGCAACCACAGUAUCCGCAACCACAACAACCAAUUUCACAGCAACAAGCACAACAAGCACAACAACAACAACAACAACAACAACAACAACAACAACAACAACAACAACAACAAAUCCUUCAACAAAUUCUGCAACAACAACAACUGAUUCCAUGCAGGGAUGUCGUCUUGCAACAACACAACAUAGCGCAUGCAAGCUCACAAGUAUUGCAACAAAGUAGUUACCAACUGUUGCAACAAUUAUGUUGUCAACGUUUGUGGCAGAUCCCCGAGCAGUCGCGGUGCCAAGCCAUCNNNNNNNNNNNNNNNNNNNNNNNNNNNNNNNNNNNNNNNNNNNNNNNNNNNNNNNNNNNNNNNNNNNNNNNNNNNNNNNNNNNNNNNNNNNNNNNNNNNNNNNNNNNNNNNNNNNNNNNNNNNNNNNNNNNNNNNNNNNNNNNNNNNNNNNNNNNNNNNNNNNNNNNNNNNNNNNNNNNNNNNNNNNNNNNNNNNNNNNNNNNNNNNNNNNNNNNNNNNNNNNNNNNNNNNNNNNNNNNNNNNNNNNNNNNNNNNNNNNNNNNNNNNNNNNNNNNNNNNNNNNNNNNNNNNNNNNNNNNNNNNNNNNNNNNNNNNNNNNNNNNNNNNNNNNNNNNNNNNNNNNNNNNNNNNNNNNNNNNNNNNNNNNNNNNNNNNNNNNNNAACAACAACAACAACAACAACAACAACAACCGUCGAGCCAGGUCUCCUACCAGCAGCCUCAGCAACAAUAUCCAUCGGGCCAGGGAUCCUUCCAGCCAUCUCAGCAGAACCCACAGGCCCAGGCCUCUGUCCAGCCUCAACAACUUCCCCAGUUCGAGGAAAUAAGGAAUCUAGCACGGCAGACGCUACCGGCAAUGUGCAAUGUCUACAUCCCUCCAUAUUGCUCGACCACCAUUGCGCCAUCUGGCAUCUUUGGUACUAACUGAGAAGAGAAGAACUUGUACUAGAUAUAUGAAACACCGUUUCCUUAGUCCAUGGUUUGGUCGUUGUAGCGGUGGAAAAAUAAAGUGACAUGCACUAUCAUGUAAGAACCCGAACUAUACUAGUUCAAACUUGGGAAUAAAAGACAAACACAUGUCUUGUCUGCAUAUGAUUGUUUGUUUGAGUUCCAUUCAUGUGCCCGUUCACAAGUUCACCCAUAAUUAUAUAUAUUACAUAAUAAGUAUAUAUUUAUGUUUCAUUAAUCUAAAGAUAACAAAAUGAGUUUGAAACUUGAAUUAAAUUGAAGUAUUUUCUUGGACUUUCAAAUUAAGUAUUAUUAAAGUAGUAAGGACUAUCCACAUCCUUGGCUUGCCCUUGAUCAAUUAUUUCCAGAGAAGCAUUCAAUUCAUCAAUCAAUUACAUUGGUUUUUGUGACUCGUACUUCUCCUCAUCAUGAGUAUCAUUGCGGCUACUCCAAAUCGCCCACAUAACCGAAGCAUUAAUAGCACUCUUCUUGCAUCAAGUAAAUAUGGAUCGAAGAUAUCACUUGACCAUGUUUCCGGGUGCAACCUUGGGAGUUUUAUGUCAAAAUAUUCUCAAGCAGAAUCCAAGAAUAAACUUGCAUGCUCAUGUGUGAUAAGGGCAUAUGAAGUAACAUUUCCUCCCCAUGGCCACACAUAGGGCACACACAUAACCCCAUCACAUGCCUUUUUAGUUAUGCAUAUGAAGGUAGGAUGUUUUUAAUUACUCUCCACCAAAAUACUCUUAACUUGGCUUGUACCCUAAGCUUUCGUUGCCUUUUCAAUUUCUCUUCCCCACUAGACAAACUAGACAGUCCAUCUACCACACCAUACCUUGUGUCCAUCAUGGCUCUGUACAACAAUUGAACAGGACAAAUGUCAUUUCUUUAUGAUACCCACGACCAAGUGUCCUCUGCUCGAUUGUUUGGUCGUGGCAUAUUAAGGAUGACCACCUCAUCUGAUGGGACAAACACCUAACGUAUGAAAGGAGUGUUCCAGUUGCCCAUGUUUUUCAUCUCGAUAAGAUCAGCUACAAGUUGGACCGGAGUUUCUCAUGCACCAUAGUGGUUUCAUCAGCGGCAUGCCCUGCACACAUUUAUCAUGCCAUAUCUUUGUAGUGUGCAUUCCCAAUUUGUCACAACAUACCCUCCUUCAAACCUUUUUGCCUUUCAGAAUAGCACGCCAAGCUAGCGAUGCACUAUGCGGUAACCCACAUUUGAAAAAAAAUAAUCUCAUUUCAUGGUAUCUUCCACGAAGGACCCUCGCACAUGAGUUAUCUAGAUAGAAAUAGCCAUGUAUGUUUAGCAAACUUUGCAUAAGUGAAUAGAUCAAGGUCGUGGAAACCCAAGCCUCCAAUUACACCCAGCCUCUCUACCAACAAGAUGUCCAAAGACAUCAAGGAUACACAAAGCCAAAAAAGAAAAUAAAAAGAGCAGAAGAAAAAAAUACCCUGCCAUGGUGAUCAAUCACUAGAAUCAGAAGCACUCUAACCACCACCGAAGACAACGCCCGAAUUACAAAAAAGGUUCUCCAAAAGCAACGCCCCCAAGAAUGAAACAAUGCACAAGCAUUGUCGUUGCCCGAUCAAAGAUCAUGGGUUUUCACCCUGGAAAAAUUUCGAGUUCACUAUAAAAUAAUGCCUUCAACAAGGCCAUUGCCAAGUACAACCAAUAAGAGCCGGACCUUGGGUUUUCACCCUAGGAAUUGAGACUCGAUACUCGAGGAGUACCACCAAAAGUGUAGUCCGCAAGUGUUGCCGCCCCCGCUUGCCGAGGCCGUUGUUGCAAGUCACCAACCACCUGUCAUACAUUUGUCGUCGCAUCCAAUACACCCUUCCGCUGAAGCUUCAAGACCUCCAACCGCAUCCGCCAUGACUUUCUCCAAGUCUAUGAAUGCCUUGAGAAUCUUGAGUUAGACAUGUCCAAUGACAUAAAUAAGAAAUCGAAGCUUCGUGACACGUCCUCUUGAGGCCGUGUUGCCUGAUAAUAUUAGCGUGCACGACCGGAGCCUUUCCGAUCUAGAUAUCCAGGGGCGACAUACACCAAUCCAUAUAGAUCUCCGCUCGGUAAGACCGGAACUCAUCAACGGCCAGAUCCAAGAGGUCGACAUCCGGUAGAAAGAUGACUUGGCGGAAGAAGAGCAUCAGGGCCAAACCGCCAUUACUAGUCCGAAGCUAAUAGCCCCCACGCCACCCUCCUCUCGAUCCAGACCUGCAGAAAAUGACCAACAACGCCGCGUCGUGCCACUCGCAUCCAUGGAGGCUUGAACUUGGCAAGACGCCAACCAUGGCUGGAGACAGGGACCAGCCACUCCUGGUCGGAUCCGGUGACUCCUAGUCCCACCACUGCCACUACGGCGGCACCGCGUGUAGCCUACAAGCCCAUCCAUGAUGAUGUCUGAUUAGAAGGAUACAUGGAUAUACAGAUGAAAUGGCCCUCGUUAUCCCUCCAACAAUAUAUAUAAAGCUUAUUGGGACAUGAGAAAGCUCGCACAAUUUUAUAGCGGCUAUGGAAAUGUGUUGCCAAAUAGAGAUAUAAGAUUUUCGUUUGGCAUCUAGACCGCUUGUGUCAUCCUUAAUCGAUGACCACUCCAAUUUUUCCGGCGGGCCUUCCCUAUGGUACUGCAGCCUUACAUGUGUAUGGGUUUCAUACUGCUAUUCUGUCCAGUCGGAAAAGGAGACAACCAAAAUUACUUGGAGUUGAUAACUAAUAUGUUUCCUUUAACUACCACGUGCACGACGAGGAUUUACGGCACGCAAGUGCAGGGGCAGGUACUGGUGCCGCCUUUUAUUCUAGCCUCCAAUUUUCAAAUUUCUAUAUCUUUCAAACAAAAAAAUCAACUUAAGUUGUGUUUUCAUAUUCGUGUUUCUUGCCGCCAGCGCUUUGAAAUAAUAUUCAUUUUGAAUAUAUUUUGGCAAUUUUUAAACACAAUGUUAAUUUCCAUUGUUUGAAACUUAGUACGAGCGACCGAUAAUAUUCAAUUAUUUUGUGUCUCUGACCAACAGAAAAAAAUGCUUGAAAUUGCAUCUUUGAAACUUGUUGAAACUGGGCAUUUUCUAAUGCAAAAGCGGUAAGUUUUCAUCGUUGAAACUUAAAGGUUUUUGAUGGAUUUUCUUCUUUACUGUGCCCUACUUCAUGAAUCGUGAGACAAAUCGAGCAGGCGGCAGGGCUUGGCCAGUGAGUGCCCUUGCACUUAGGUGCCCCAGCGAAUUUCCACUUGCAUCGUAGCAUUCUUUUUCCGAGUCCUGCGAACGAACGAUGGUGCAUACAAAAAGUCUAUCCUAUAUGCGUACAUGUGCAUGAUCAAAACAUGUUUCUACGUGCAUCUGCUAUAAAUCUCGACCAUUUUGAACACAAAUCAUGACCAUUAGAAUACAUGAUUAGUGGAUCAUACUAUCGUAACCUAUGUGAGAUCAUGUGGAGUAAUAUAUUAUAGUAUAUAGAUAGAUCUAUGUUGUAUUUUUUUUGUUAGAAAAAUAUUUGUCAUUACAUAUUUAGAUUUAUGCAUCUGUUCUUGCCAAAAAAAUCACUAACAUUUCACAGUGGAAAGUUUGUAAUUAUAUCAUAUUGAACACCAAUGUUUUCCCGCAAAAGAAAAUAAUGCCUAUGCAUAUGCUUUUAUAUUAUUAUUAUUGUUUCAAAUAUAUCCAUAUAUUAUUUUUGGUUGUACAACCAUAAUUUUCUUAUCCCUCUCGUUCCACUAAAUGCUCCUAGUCACUGAAUUAUAUACACCAAAUAAACCCCUUUGCACGUCGUUAAUGACCAAAAAAAGUUGAUGCUGGCUAUGUUCUCUGAUGUCAGCAUGAUAUCAUAUAUAGUGAUUAGCAUGAACGAAUCCCUUUGACUCAUGCGUACUCCCUUCGGAAAGAAAUAUAAGAGCGUUUAGAUAACUAAAGUUGUGAUCUAAACACUCUUAUAUUUCUUUAAAGAGGGAGUAUAAAUUAAGAAGUCCAAGAUAAAGAAAUGCUGGUCCUUGAUUUGUUGUUGACUCUUAUAUUUCUUUAGAGAGGAAGUAUAAAUUAAGAAGUGCAAGAUAAAUAAUGCUGAUCCUUGAUUUGUUUUUGACGUCAGCAUGCCAUCAUUACCUUGUAGUUAUCAUACAAAUUGGAUCUUUCAUACAGAGUUGGAGGCCUGCUCCUUUGAUCCGCACACGCUUAAACACAAAAAGCAUGUAUAUGUUUUGUCUCCGGAUUUCAACUCGUGCUUGGCCAACAAAUAUGGUCUGAUCGGGACAUCGGGUAGAGGAAAAGGCAAGUUUGCUAAUACGCCUGGUGGAAAUGCCUUUGAUUAGGGCAUCUACAACAGCGACCAGUAAAUUUCCACCCGCAAUUUGUUGGAAUUCCGCCUUCAGAAUCGAUUACAUCAGAUACGAGGAACACACGCGCACAAAAAAAUGACAACCAAGGGCCCUUGUCGUGUCCUCUUUUCUCAUUAUUUUCUUGUUUCUCAAAUCACUGUAUUACAAAUCUGAUGCACCGGUGUGCAUAUAUAUGAAUGACCUCACGAGCUAUAGCUAUCUAACCUAAACCGACUCAAACAACUACUCCUGGCGGGACACACGUUGGAACAUAACUAGGACACGGACAGCAUGCAUGCUAAUUCCUAAUACUACACGGCUUGCAAACCGGCCACCCCAAGUACAUCUCAACUUACCUAGUUAAUUAUCCGACCAGCUUGAUCACGAUUACACCAAACUAACUCAGGCAUUGUUUGGAUUAUCCCAACAAUCACCCCUAAUCCAAACAUCCGUCUCUUUAUCCGACGACACACAAGACACGCAGACGACCACCUGUUCAUCUUGUUAGGCUGGCUGCGUCCGGUGACGCAACUUACAACAACAACAACAACAACAAAUCCUUCAACAAAUUCUUCAACAAAUUCUGCAACAACAACAACAACUGAUUCCAUGCAGGGAUGUCGUCUUGAAACAACACAACAUAGCGCAUGCAAGCUCACAAGUAUUGCAACAAAGUAGUUACCAACUAUUGCAACAAUUAUGUUGUCAACGGUUGUGGCAGAUCCCCGAGCAGUCGCGGUGCCAGGCCAUCCACAAUGUCGUCCAUGCUAUUAUUCUGCAACAACAACAACAACAACAACAACAACAACAACAACAACAACAACAACAACAACAACAACAACAACCGUCGAGCCAGAUCUCCCUCCAGCAGCCUCAACAACAGUAUCCAUCAGGCCAGGGCUCCUUCCAGCCAUCUCAGCAAAACCCACAGGCCCAGGGCUCUGUCCAGCCUCAACAACUGCCCCAGUUCGAGGAAAUAAAGAACCUAGCGCUGCAGACGCUACCGGCAAUGUGCAAUUUCUACAUCCCUCCAUAUUGCUCGACCACCAUUGCGCCAUUUGGCAUCUUCGGUACUAACUGAGAAGAUAAGAACUCUAGUACUAGAUAUAUAUGAAACACCGUUUCCUUAGUCCAUGGUUUGGUCGUUGUAGCGGUGAAAAAAUAAAGUGGCAUGCACUAUCAUGUAAGAACCCAAACUAUACUAGUUCAAACUUGGGAAUAAAAGACAAACACAUGUCUUGUCUGCAUAUGAUUGUUUGUUUGAGUUCCAUUCAUGUGCCCGUUCACAAGUUCACCCCUAAUUAUAUAUAUUACACAUUAAGUAGAUAUUUAUGUUUCAUUAAUCUAAAGAAAACAAAAUGAGUCUGAAACUUGAAUUAAAUUGAAGUAUUUUCUUGGACUUUCAAAUUAAGUAUUAUUAAAGUAGUAAGGACUAUCCAUAUCCUUGGCUUGCCCUUGAUCAAUUAUUUCCAAGGAAGCAUUCAAUUCAUCAAUCAAUUACAUUGAUUUUUGUGCCUGGUACUUCUCCUCAUCAUGAGUAUCAUUGCGGCUACUCCAAAUCGCCCACAUAACCGAAGCAUUAAUAGCACUCUUCUUGCAUCAAGGAACUAUGGGUUGAAGAUAUCACUUGACCAUGUUUCCGGGUGCAACCUUGGGAGUUUUAUAUCAAAAUAUUCUUAAGAAGAAUCCAAGAAUAAACUUGCAUGCUCACGUGUGAUAAGGGCUUAUGAAGUAACAUUACCUCCCCAUGGCCACACAUAUGGCGCACACAUAACCCCAUCACAUGCCUUUUUAGUUAUGCAUAUGAAAGGUAGGAUGUUUUUAGUUACUCCACCAAUAUACUCUUAACUUUGCUUGUACCAUAAGCUUUCGCUGCCUUUUCAAUUUCCUUCCCCAUUAGACAAACUAGACAGUCCAUCUACCACACCAUACCUUGUGUCUGUACAACAAUUGAACAGAACAAAUGUCAUUUCUUUACGAUACCCAUGACGAAAUGUCCUCUACUGGAUUAUUUGGUCCUGGCAUAUUAAGGAUGGCCACCUCAUCUGAUGGGAUAAACACCUAAUGAAUGAAAGCAGUGUUCCACUCGCCCAUGUUUUUCAUCGAUAAGAUCAGCUACAAGUUGCACCGAAGUUUCUCAAGUGCAUCAUAGUGGUUUCAUCAGCGGCGUGCCCUGCACCCAUUUAUCAUGCCAUAUCUCAGUAGUAUGUGCAUUCCCAAUUUUUUACCGCACAUUAGUAGAAAACAGGGCUUUGGUCCAUGCUGGGUUAGCCCAUUAGUCCUGGUUCAGUCAUGAACCAGGACUAAUGUGAGCAUUGGUCCCGGUUCAUGCGGUAAAGGCAUUAGUCCCGGUUCAAAUGGGACCUUUAGUCCCAGUUGGUGCCACGAACCGGUACUAAUGGUUGCGAUGCCCAUUAGUACCGGUUCGUGGCACGAAUCGGUACUAAUGGUUGAUCUUUAGUACCGGUUCGUGCCACGAACCGGUACUAAUGGGGUUUGAGGCAUUAGUACCGGUUCGUGGCACGAACCGGUACUAAAGGUCCCAUUUUCAAACUGUACCCCCCCUGUGGAUCGCCUUUUCAGUUUUGUAAAAAGCAAAAGAAAAUGAUAAAAACUUCCAAAAUUAAAAUCCUUCAAGAUGUAGUUAUGUUACUACAUCUACUAGUUAGGAAAAUUUAAAAACUUAAAUUUGGACAUGUUUUGCAAAAAGUGUAGGGAAAAUGUAAAGCUAUAACUUUUGCAUACUAUGUCAGAAAAAAAACGUAUAGUAUAUCAAAAUUUUCAGCACAAAAAUCCGCAUCCGAUUUUGUCAUCCUACGGCCUGUUUGCAAAUUUUUAGAAUCCUCAAAUUCUAAAAGAAAAAAAAGUUAUGCUCAAAUUUCAGUUUUUUUUAAUUUUUUUUUUAAUUUUUGGUAAAUCUGGUCAAACUACUUAUUCAAGAAGUAUUAGUGUUACUAAAUAAUUAUUCAAGAAUAUUAGUAUUACUAAAUAAUUAUUUCAGUUUUUUUUGAAUUUUGGUCAAAUUUGGUCAAAUUGUGGUCAAACUGUGGUCAAACAAUGGUCAAACUACUUAUUCAAGAAAUAUUAGUGUUACUAAAUAAUUAUUUCAGUGUUUUUGAAUUUUGGUCAAAUCUGGUCAAAUUGUGGUCAAACUGUGGUCAAACUGUGGUCAAACUAUGGUCAAACUACUUAUUCAAGAAAUAUUAGUGUUACUAAAUAAUUGUUGUUUUUUAGAACAAUAAUUUCAAACUCAAACAGUGAAAUGUGUGACUUCAUGCUCAAGCUUCCUGAGGGUUAAUAGGACUGACAUCUUACUAUUGUCGGGAAAACAACAAGUGCAGACUUGGAAACGAGGGAGAAUAGAACCCGGAAGUUAAGCGUGCUCAGGCUGGGGUAGUGAGAUGGGUGACCGUCCGGGAAGUUAGAUGAUUUGGAAUGAUGAGGGGUGAUUAGAGAUUAGAAGUUAAAUUGAGCAGUGAUGAGGGUGAUUAGAGAUUAGAGGUUAAAAUAAUUCAGAAAUUUGAAAAUAAAAAAAAAUUAAAAAAAUAAAAAAGAAAAUUUUCUGAAAAAUCAUAAAAUUUCUUUAGUACCGGUUGGUGUUACCAACCGGGACUAAAGGUGGACCUCCAGGCAGCGGCGAUGGGUGACCGUCCGGGAAGUUAGAUGAUUUGGAAUGAUGAGGGGUGAUUAGAGAUUAAAGGUUAAAUUGAGCAGUGAUGAGGGUGAUUAGAGAUUAGAGGUUAAAAUAAUUCAGAAAUUUGAAAAUAAAAAAAAUUUAAAAAAAAUAAAAAAGAAAAUUUUCAAAAAAAUCAUAAAAUUUCUUUAGUACCGGUUGGUGUUACCAACCGGGACUAAAGGUGGAGCUCCAGGCAGCGGCCACGUGGACGGCCUUUAGUCCCGGUUCGUGUAAGAACCGGGACUAAAGGGGGAGGCUUUAGUAACGACCCUUUAGUCCCGGUUCCAGAACCGGGACUAAAGACCCUUAUGAACCGGGACAAUAGGCCUUAUUUGUACUAGUGGCAUACCCUCCUUCAAACCUUCUUGGCCUUUCAGAAUAGAACGCCAAGUUAGCGAUGCACUAUGCGGGAACCCGCAUUUGAAAAAAAGAAUCUCAUUUCAUGGUAUCUUCAUAAAAGGACCCUCGUACAUGAGCUAUCUAGAUAGAAAUAGCCAUGUAUGUUUAGCAAACUUUGCAUAAGUGAAUAGAUCAAGGUCGUGGAACCCCAAGCCACCAAUUACACCCGGCCUCUCCACCAACAAGAUGGCCAAAGACAUCAAGGAUACAUAGAGCCAAAAAACAAAAUAAAAAACAGAAGAAAAAAAAUACUCCGCCAUGGUGAUUAAUCACUAGCAUCAGCAGCACUCUAACCACCACCGAAGACAACGCCCCCAAGAAGGGAACAAUGCACAAGCGUUGUCGUUGCCCUAUCGAAGAUCGUGGGUUUUCACCCUGGAAAAAUUUCGAGUUCACCCAAAAACAAUGCCUUCAACAAGGCCAUUGCCAAUUAUAAACAAUAAGUGCCUGAUGACCCACAAGUAUAGGGGAUCUAUUGUAGUCCUUUCGAUAAGUAAGAGUGCCGAACCCAACGAGGAGCAGAAGGAAAUGAUAAGCGGUUUUCAGCAAGGUAUUCUCUGCAACUACUGAAAUAAGUGGUAACAGAUAGUUUUGUGAUAAGAUAAAUGGUAACGAGCAACAAGUAACAAAAGUAAAUAAAGUGCAGCAAGGUGGCCCAAUCCUUUUGUAGCAAAGGACAAGCCUGGACAAACUCUUAUAAUAGGAAAAGCGCUCCCGAGGACACAUGGGAAUAUUGUCAAGCUAGUUUUCAUCACGCUCAUAUGAUUCGCGUUCGGUACUUUGAUAAUUUGAUAUGUGGGUGGACCGGUGCUUGGGUGCUGUUCUUACUUGAACAAGCAUCCCACUUAUGAUUAACCUCUAUUGCAAGCAUCUGCAACUACAACAAAAGUAUUAAGGUAAACCUAACCAUAGCAUGAAACAUAUGGAUCCAAAUCAGCCCCUUACGAAGCAACGCAUAAACUAGGGUUUAAGCUUCUGUCACUCUAGCAACCCAUCAUCUACUUAUUACUUCCCAAUGCCUUCCUCUAGGCCCAAAUAAUGGUGAAGUGUUAUGUAGUCGACGUUCACAUAACACCACUAGAGGUUAGACAAUAUACAUCUUAUCAAAAUAUCGAACGAAUACCAAAUUCACAUGACUACUAAUAGCAAGACUUCUCCCUUGUCCUCAGGAACAAACGUAACUACUCACAAAGCAUAUUCAUGUUCAUAAUCAGAGGGGUAAUAAUGUGCAUAUAGGAUCUGAACAUAUGAUCUUCCACCAAAUAAACCAACUAGCAUCAACUACAAAGAGUAAUCAACACUACUAGCAACCUACUAGCACCAAUCCCGGACUUGGAGACAAGAAUUGGAUACAAGAGAUGAACUAGGGUUUGGAGAUGAGAUAGUGCUGGUGAAGAUGUUGAUGGAUAUUUCCCUCUCCCGAUGAGAGGAGCGCUGGUGAUGACGAUGGUGAUGAUUUCCCCCUCCCGGAGGGAAUUGUCCCCGGCAGAACAGCUCUGCCGGAGCCCUAGAUUGGUUCCGCCAAGGUUCCGCCUCGUGGCGGCGGAGUCUCGUCCCAAAAGGUUCUCUUCUAUUUUUUUCUCAUCGAAAGAAUUCAUAUGGGAGAAGAUGGGCGUCGGAGAGCCACCAAGGGGCCCACGAGGUAGGGGGGCGCGCCCGGGGGGGCGCCCCCCACCCUCGUGAGCAGGGUGUGGGCCCCCUGACCUUCAUCUUUGGCGACGAUUUUUCUUUAUUUAUUUUAAGACAUUUCGUGGAGUUUCAGGACUUUUGGAGUUGCGCAGAAUAGUCCUUCAAUAUUUGCUCCUUUUCUAGCCCAGAAUUCCAGCUGCCGGCAUUCUCCCUCUUCAUGUAAACCUUGUAAAAUAAGAGAGAAUAGCCAUAAGUAUUGUGACAUAACGUGAAAUAACAGCUCAUAAUGCAAUAAAUAUUGAUAUAAAAGCAUGAUGCAAAAUGGACGUAUCAACUCCCCUAAGCUUAGACCUCGCUUGUCUUCAAGCGAAAAGCCGAUAACAAUAAAUAUGUCCUCAUGUUUAGAGGUAGAGGCGUCGAUAAAAAUAAAAUACGGACAUGAAGGCAUCAUGAUUAUUUCAUAACAGCAACAUAUAAAGAUUUCGUCAUAUGAUUACUCAUGUUCAAGUGAUGAUCUUUUCACAAAGCCAAAGUAUGAAUUAGAAACCUUAUUGAGCAUCAACAAAUUAUACCCUUAGUCAUUGAAGCAAUUGCAAUUUAUCAUAACAUCAGAAAGAGUCUAUGUCAGAGUUUAAAAGCAAGUCCACAUACUCAACUAUCACUUAGUCCUUCAUAAUUGCUAACACUCACACGAUACUUGUGGUUACGGAGUUUUAAUCGGACACAGAGAAAGAUAGGGGAUUAUAGUUUUGCCCCACAACCUUUUACCUCAAGGGUAAUGUCAACAAUAAUAAUUCAUGCUCCCCCACAUCCAAUUAGAUAUAUAUAUAUAUCAUGUUCUUUCCAACAUGCUGAGCUUGCCAAAGGAUAAAAUGAAAAAGGAAAGGUGAGGAUCACCGUGACUCUUGCAUAGGGUAGAGGAUAAUAAUAAAAGAUAGGCCCUUCGCAGAGGGAAGCAGAGGUUGUCAUGCGUGUUUAGGGUUGAUGCACAAAAUCUUAGUGCAAAAGAACGUCACUUUAUAUUGCCCCUUGUAUGUGAACCUUUACUAUGCAGUCCGUCGCUUUUAUUGCGUCCACAACAAGUUCGUACAAAGUUUAUUUUCUCCGCACUAAUAAGUCAUGCAUAUUUAGAGAGCAAUUUUUAUUGCUUGCACCGAUGACAACUUACUUGAAGAAUCUUACUCAAUCCAUAGGUAGUUAUGGUGGACUCUCAUGGCAAAGCUGGUUUAAGGGUAUUUGGAAGCACAAGUAGUAUUUCUACUUGGUGCUAAGAAUUUGGCUAGCAUGAGGGGGAAAGGCAAGCUCAACACGGUAGAGGAUCCAUGACAACAUACUUUAUCUCAGAUGUAAGAAAACUCACUAUGUUGCCUUGCUUGUCCAACAUCAACUCUUUAGCAUGUCAUAUUUUAAUGAGUGCUCCCAAUCAUAAAAGAUGUCAAUGAUAAUAUAUCUAUAUGUGAAACCUCUCUUUCCUUAUUACUUCCUAUUAAUUGCAACAAUGACCAAAGCUAUAUUUGUCAACCCCCAACAACUUUUAGUCAUCAUACUCUUUCUAUGUGGAGUCAUUACUUUCACUAAGAUCAAUAUGAACUCUUUGAUUCUUUUUAUUCUUUUUCUUCUAAUCACCCAAGAUCAUGGCAAAAUACUCAAGCCCUUGACUCAACACUAAUCUUUAUUAUAUAGCUCACGGACUCGAUUACAAAGAAGGAUCAUAAAGCAAAACUCAAAACUAGAUCAUGCCAUGACUUUAUUUUACUAAAUCAAGAUACUACUAAUAGGAUCGAACUAAGAAAAACGGUAAAGAUAGGAGUUGUGAUGGUGAUACGAUACCAGGGCACCUCCCCCAAGCUUGGCAGUUGCCAAGGGGAGUGCCCAUACCCAUGUGAUUAUUUCUCCUUCUUUGUUGUUGGUGGUGGAAGUGUUGAUGAUGAUGGAGUUGUCGCAUUUUUCUUCUCUAGCUUGCGUCUAAGGCUAAAAUUUUCAUCCCUCAGAUCCUCAUUCUCGAGCUCAAGUUUCAUUAUCUUUUUGCAUAGUGCUGCCUUGCUGUCCUGCAAAAAACGAGGCGGGAUAGAUUGGACCUUAUGGAGGCUUGACUUCUUGAACUCCACAUGCAUAUCACCAAGUUGAGGUAGGGGAUAGUCCUCUUCGUCGGAACUCGUUUCCUCCUUCCUCUUUGGAUCAUAGUCUUCCUCUUCCUCCGUGGUCCAGCCAUAAUGCUCCACAUCCCCAUAUACUUUUGGAUUUGCAAUAUAAUCAGCCAUGUAGCUCUCUCCCUCUGAAUCUUGGGAAGACAUCUUGCUCUAAUCUGCAGCAGAAACAGCUCGAAACAAAAACAGAGGAUAUUUGCGUGAUACGAGAGUCAAAACCUUCAGGAGUAUAUAUAAUGAAUUUUUACUGGCCAAAAUACGUAUCGUGCAAGGAAACGGAGUCCGGAGGGCACACGACGUGCUCGCGAGGUAGGGGGCGCGCCCAGGGGGGUAGGGCGUGCCCUCCACCCUCGUGGAGGCCUCGUGUCCUCCCCGGACUGCUACUUAUUUUUUUAUUUUUCUAAAUAUUCCAAAACAGAGAAAUAUUGCCUUAAAAAUUGUUUUGGAGUCGGUUUACUUACCGUACCACAUACCUAUUCCUUUUCGGAGUCUGGAACGUUUUGGAGAGUGUCCCUUAUGUACUCCUCCGGGGUUACGGUUUCAAUAACAUUAGUUUCAAUGUUUAUAGGAUUACCUGAGAUAUAGUGUUUGAUUCUUUGGCCGUUCACCACCUUCGGAUUUGUGCCUGCGAAGUUGUUGAUUUUUAUGGCACCGGAACGAUAGACCUCCUCGAUAACGUAAGGACCUUCCCAUUUGGAGAGAAGUUUUCCUGCAAAAAAUCUUAAAUAAAAGUUUUAUAGCAAUACAUAAUCACCUACAUUAAACUCACGCUUUUGUAUCCUUUUGUCAUGCCACCUUUUAACUUUUUCUUUAAACAGCUUGGCAUUUUCAUAAGCUUGGGUUCUUCAUUCAUCAAGUGAGCUAAUAUCAAAUAACCUCUUCUCACCGGCAAGUUUGAAAUCAUAGUUGAGCUCCUUAAUAGCCCAAUAUGCCUUAUGUUCUAGUUCGAGAGGUAAGUGACAUGCUUUUCCAUAAACCAUCUUGUAUGGAGACAUACCCAUAGAAUUUUUGUAUGCAGUUCUAUAGGCCCAUAAUGCAUCAUCAAGUUUUUUGGACCAAUUCUUUCUAGACCUAUUGACAGUCUUUGCAAAAUUAAUUUGAGCUCUCUAUUGCUCAAUUCUACCUGACCACUAGACUGCGGGUGAUAUGGAGAUGCAAUCCUAUGAUUAACGUCGUAUUUAACAAGCAUCUUACGGAAAGCACCAUGAAUGAAGUGUGAACCACCAUGAGUCAUUAAGUAUCUAGGGACUCCAAACCUCGGAAAAAUAACUUCCUUAAGCAUUUUAAUAGAAGUGUUAUGAUCAACACUACUAGUUGGAAUAGCUUCUACCCACUUAGUAACUUAAUCAACAGCAACUAGAAUAUGAGUGUAACCAUUAGAGGCAGGAAAAGGUCCCAUGUAACCAAAGCCCCAAACAUCAAAUGGCUCAAUAACAAGUGAAUAAUUCAUAGGCAUUUCUUGAUGUCUACUGAUAUUACCAAUUCUUUGCCAUUCAUCACAAGACAAAACAAACUUACGAGCAUCCUUGAAGAGAGUAGGCCAAUAAAACCCGGAUUGCAAUACCUUAUGUGCAGUUCUAUCUCCAGCGUGAUGUCCUCCAUAAGCUUCGGAGUGACACUUGCAUAGGAUCUGUUCCUGUUCAUGCUCAGGUACACAACGUCUAAUAACACCAUCUACUCCUUUAUAAAGAUGUGGGUCAUCCCAAAAGUAAUGUCGCAAGUCAUAGAAAAACUUUUUAUUUUGUUGGUAUGUGAAGCUAGGCGGUAUAAAUUUAGCAACAAUAUAAUUAGCAUAAUCAGCAUACCAAGGAGUGCUACGAGAAGUACUUAUGACAUUUAAUUGCUCAUCAGGAAAGCUAUCAUCAAUAGGUAGUGGGUCAUCAAGAACAUUCUCUAGCCUAGACAAGUUGUCUGCAACAGGGUUCUCAGCUCCUUUUCUAUCAACAAUAUGGAAAUCAAAUUCUUGAAGCAAGAGAACCCAUCUAAUGAGUCUACGUUUUGCAUCUUUAUUUUCCAUAAGAUAUUUAAUAGUAGCAUGAUCUGUAUGAAUAGUUACUCUAGAGUCAACAAUAUAGGGCCUAAAUUUAUCACAAGCAAAUACAACCGCUAAAAGUUCCUUUUCGGUAGUAGCAUAAUUUCUUUGAGCAUUCUCUAGAGUCUUACUAGCAUAAUAGAUAACAUUCGAUUUCUUAUCAACUCUUUGCCCUAGAACAGCACCUACAGCAUAAUCACUAGCAUCACACAUAAUUUCAAAGGGUAAAUUUCAAUCAGGUGGCUGAACAACAGGUGCAGAGACUAAUGCUUUCUUAAGUAUUUCAAAUGCUUCUACACAAUCAUCAUCAAAGACAAAUGGUACAUCUUUUUCUAAUAAAUUAGUCAGAGGCCGAGAGAUUUUUGAGAAGUCCUUGAUGAACCUCCUAUAAAAUCCGGCGUGACCAAGGAAACUUCUUAUACCUUUGAUGUCCUUGGGACAUGGCAUCUUUUCAAUAGCAUCAACCUUGGCUUUAUCAACUUCAAUACCUCUUUCAGAAACUUUGUGCCCCAAGACAAUACCUUCAUUAACCAUAAAGUGGCACUUUUCCCAAUUCAAGACAAGAUUAGUUUCUUCACAUCUUUGCAAAAAUCGAGCGAGAUUGCUCAAGCAAUCAUCAAAAGAGGAACCAUAGACGGAAAAGUCAUCCAUGAAGACCUCAAAAAUUUUCUCGCAAAAGUCAGAGAAUAUAGCCAUCAUGCAUCUUUGAAAGGUAGCAUGUGCAUUACAUAAACCAAAAGGCAUACGUCUAUAAGCAAAAGUACCAAAAGGGCAUGUAAAAGUAGUCUUUGAUUGGUCUUUAGCCGACACAGGUAUUUGAGAAAAACCAGAGUAACCAUCUAGACAGCAAUAAUGUGUAUGUUUGCAUAGUCUUUCUAGCAUUUGAUCAAUAAAAGGUAAGGGGUAAUGAUCUUUCUUAGUAGCCUUAUUUAAUUUGCGGAAGUCAAUUACCAUCCUAUAACCUGUGAUAAUUCUUUGCGGAAUCAAUUCAUCUUUAUCAUUAGGGACAACAGUAAUACCUCCCUUCUUAGGGACACAAUGGACAGGACUUACCCACUAACUAUCAGCAACGGGAUAAAUUAUACCUACCUCCAGAAGCUUGAGUAUUUCUUUUCUUACCACUUCUUUCACUUUAGGAUUCAAACAUCGUUGAGGAUCACAAACUGGUUUGGCAUCAGCUUCUAAAUUUAUUUUAUGUUGACAUAGAGUGGGACUGAUGCCCUUAAGAUCAUCCAGAGUAUAUCCAAUAGCGGCACGAUUCUUCUUCAGAGUUUUCAAUAAUCUUUCUUCUUCAUGCUCUGAAAGGUUAGCGCUAAUAAUAAUAGGAUAUAUUUUCUUUUCAUCAAGAUAAGCAUAUUUAAGAUUAUCAGGCAACGGUUUAAGCUCAAACAUGGGAUCACCCUUGGGUGGAGGAGGAUCCCCUAGGAUUUCAACAGGCAAAUUGUGUUGCAGAAUAGGUUCCUGUUUAAAGAAUAAUUCAUCUAUUUCCCUUCUUUCAUUUAUGAACAUAUCAUUUUCAUGGUCUAGCAAAUAGUGUUCUAAAGGAUCAUUAGGAGGUACAGCAAUAGAAGCAAGACCAAUAAUUUCAUCCUUACUAGGCAAUUCUUCCUCACGAUGUUGUUUACUAAAUUUAGAGAAAUUAAACUCAUGGACCAUACCAUCCAAGCCAACAGUAACAACAUUCUUUUUGCAAUCUAUCUUAGCAUUAACGAUACGCAAGAAGGGUCUACCAAAUAUAAUGGGACAAAAGCUAUCUUGUGGAGAACCAAGAACAAGAAAAUCAGCGGGAUAUUUGGUUUUCCCACGCAAGACUUCAACAUCUCUAACAAUUCCCAUUGGAGAUAUAGUAUCUCUAUUGGCUAGUUUAAUUGUAACAUCGAUAUCUUCUAACUCAGCAGGUGCAACCUCAUGCAUAAUUUCUUUGUAUAAGUCAAUGGGUAUAACACUAGCACUAGCACCCAUAUCACAUAAGCCAUGAUAACAAUGAUCUCCUAUUUUAACAGAAAUAACAGGCACGCCUACCACAGGUCUAUGUUUAUCUCUAUCACAGGGUUUAGCAAUUCUAGCAGUUUCACCAGUAAAUUGAAUAACAUGCCCAUCAAUAUUAUCAGACAAGAGAUCUUUAACAAUAGCAAUAUUGGGUUCUACUUUGACUUGCUCAGGAGGUGUAUAAGUCCUAGUAUUGCUUUUAUGAACAACAGUUGAAGCUUUAGCAUGAUCCUUCAUUCUAACAGGGAAAGGAGGUUUCUCAACAUAAGAAGUAGGAACAAUAGGAUCAUUAUAAGUGACAAUCUUUUCUUCAACUUUAAUAGGUGCAGCUACUUUUACUUCUAUGGGAGGAUGAUAUUUAAACCACUUCUCCUUGGGGAGAUCAACAUAAGUAGCAAAAGAUUCACAGAAAGAAGCUACUAUCUCAGAGUCAAGUCCAUAUUUAGUGCUAAACUUACGGAAAAUAUCGGUAUCCAUAAAAGAUUUAACACAAUCAAACUUAGCUGUCAUACCUGACUCCUUACCUUCGUCGAGGUCCCAAUCUUCAGAGUUGCGUUUAAUUCUAUCCAAUAAAUUCCAUCCAAAUUCAAUAGACUUCAUCAUAAAAGAGCCAGCACAAGAAGUAUCGAGCAUGGUGCGAUUAUUAUCAGGAAGCCGAGCAUAAAAUUCUGGAGAAUUGUCAAUUUUGAGAGCUCAUGAUUGGGGCAUGAAUAUAACAUUGAUUUAAGACUCCCCCAAGCUUGAGCGAUGCUUUCUCCUUUGCGAGGCCAAAAAUUAUAUAUAUAAUUGCGAUCACGAUGAACAAGAUGCAUAGGGUAAUACUUUUGAUGAAAUUCCAAUUUCAAUCUUUUAUAGUUCCACGAUCUUGUAUCAUCACAUAGCCUAUACCAUGUCAAUGCGUCUCCCUCCAAAGAUAAAGGGAAAGCCUUCCUCUUAACGGCAUCAUCGGGUAUACCUGCAAGCUUAAAUAGUCCACAAAUAUCAUCCACAAAGCGUAGAUGUUCGUCCGGCUGCUUUGUUCCAUCUCAUGCGAAAGUGUUAGCUAGCAGUUUUUCCAUCAUACCCGAAGGAAUCUGAAAAACAGUUUCAUUUUUAGUAGAUUCAGUAGGUUCAGUAGGUUGAGGAGCAACUCUUGGCUCAACUGGACGGGGUGAAGAUACCCCGAACAAACCCCUCAAGCAAUUACUUUCCAUGGUAACAAGUGACAGAAAAUUUCAGCACACUAAAUAAAUUUUUCCUUACCAAAUUCCACCUACCAAAGGCGCUUCACUCCCCGGCAACGGCACCAGAAAAGAGUCUAGAUGACCCACAAGUAUAGGGGAUCUAUCGUAGUCCUUUCGAUAAGUAAGAGUGUCGAACCCAACGAGGAGCAGAAGGAAAUGAUAAGCGGUUUUCAGUAAGGUAUUCUCUGCAAGUACUGAAAUAAGUUUUAAUAGAUAGUUUUGUGAUAAGAUAAAUGGUAACGAGCAACAAGUAACAAAAGUAAAUAAAGUGCAGCAAGGUGGCCCAAUCCUUUUUGUAGCAAAGGACAAGCCAGGACAAACUCUUAUAAUAGGAAAAGCGCUCCCGAGGACACAUGGGAAUAUCGUCAAGCUAGUUUUCAUCACGCUCAUAUGAUUCGCGUUCGGUACUUUGAUAAUUUGAUAUGUGGGUGGACCGGUGCUUGGGUGUUGUUCUUACUUGAACAAGCAUCCCACUUAUGAUUAACCUCUAUUGCAAGCAUCCGCAACUACAACAAAAGUAUUAAGGUAAACCUAACCAUAGCAUGAAACAUAUGGAUUCAAAUCAGCCCCUUACGAAGCAACGCAUAAACUAGGGUUUAAGCUUCUGUCACUCUAGCAACCCAUCAUCUACUUAUUAAUUCCCAAUGCCUUCCUCUAGGCCCAAAUAAUGGUGAAGUGUUAUGUAGUCGACGUUCACAUAACACCACUAGAGGUUAGACAACAUACAUCUUAUCAAAAUAUCAAACAAAUACCAAAUUCACAUUACUAAACAGUAAAACUGAGCUAGCUAUGCCUCCUCACAGCGAUUUGAACUGCUAAACCGUCCGAUUAAGUACACGGAUGCUUCAGAUUAGUUCACCGCCCCGCAACAUUCUCUCGGGCCUCGUUCGCCUCUUCUGCUCGCUGAACCGACCGAGCCAACGUCUAAUGGGCCGCUGCUCCACAGACCUAUUUUUGAGCGUUUACAUGAAUGGGGCUGCCAUGGGCGUGUGACUGUGAGGUGAUUUACAGCCAAUUCUUGGUGAUUGUGCAGGAGGUGGGCCGCUUGUUGCCUUUCCUAUUCUGUCCGUCCGUCGCCUUUCACACGCAGUGGAUCUGAGUUUUUGGCUGCUUACCGUUCAAUUUUUUUUGCGAGUACUUACGGUUCAAUUGCAUCAUUAUUUGUUUAUUUUCUUUCUCUGUGCAGCAUAUAAUAUGGCAAGGCUACAACGGACCAUGACGCGUGACACACAGAGAAUCUCCCCCACUUAUUCAAAUACCUUAGCAAAUGUGAUGCUUAGACAAACUUUUUUGUACAUUGACGUUCCAAUGCUGAUUUAGAUGGCAUUGUCACCUGUAUCAAUUUUGCAACUUAUACCUAAAGCUUCAAUAGUGCCCCACCAUCUAAAUGUUCUUCUUUUGUUCAGGUUUUUUGAUAUACUUAUAUUAUUAUUUCAAUAAGAUGUACGGGCGUGACAACGUGCGCCUUUAUGUUCUAGUGACUACUAAUAGCAAGACUUCUCCCUUGUCCUCAGGAACAAACGUAACUACUCACAAAGCAUAUUCAUGUUCAUAAUCAGAGGGGUAAUAAUGUGCAUAUAGGAUCUGAACAUAUGAUCUUUCACCAAAUAAACCAACUAGCAUCAACUACAAAGAGUAAUCAACACUACUAGCAACCUACUAGCACCAAUCCCGGACUUGGAGACAAGAAUUGGAUACAAGAGAUGAACUAGGGUUUGGAGAUGAGAUGGUGCUGGUGAAGAUGUUGAUGGAGAUUGCCCUCUCCCGAUGAGAGGAGCGUUGGUGAUGACGAUGGUGAUGAUUUCCCCCUCCCAGAGGGAAUUUUCCCCGGCAGAACAGCUCUGCCGGAGCCCUAGAUUGGUUCCGCCAAGGUUCCGCCUCGUGGCGGCGGAGUUUCGUCCCGAAAGGUUCUCUUCUAUUUUUUUCUCAUCGAAAGACUUCAUAUGGGAGAUUAUGGGCGUCGGAGAGCCACCAGGGGGCCCAUGAGGUAGGGGGGCGCGCCCAGGGGGGCGCCCCCCACCCUCGUGAGCAGGGUGUGGGCCCCCUGGCCUUCAUCUUUGGCGAUGAUUUUUCUUUAUUUAUUUUAAGACUUUCAGUGGAGUUUCAGGACUUUUGGAGUUGCGCAGAAUAGUCCUUCAAUAUUUGCUCCUUUUCCAGCCCAGAAUUCCAACUGCCGGCAUUCUCCCUCUUCAUGUAAACCUUGUAAAAUAAGAAAGAAUAUCCAUAAGUAUUGUGACUGAAAUAACAGUCCAUAAUGCAAUAAAUAUUAAUAUAAAAGCAUGAUGCAAAAUGGACGUAUCAGUGCGAUACCUUGGGUUUUCACCCUAGGAAUUGAGACUUGAUACUCGAGUACCAUCAAAAAUGCAGUCCACCAGUGCUGCCGCCCCCGCUUGCCGAGGCCGCUGGUACAAGUCACCAAACACCUGGCAUACAAUUGUCAUCGCAUCCAAUACACCCUUCUACCGAAGCUUCAAGACCUCCAAUCGCAGUCUCCAUGACUUUCUCCAUAUCUAUCAAUGCCUUGAGAAUCUUGACUUAAACAUGUCCCAUGAUAAAAAAUAAGAAAUCGAAGCUUCACGUCGCAUCCUCUUGAGGCCGUGUUGGUUGAUAAUAUUAGCGCGCACGACCGGAGCCUUUCCGAUCUAGAUAUCCAGGGGCGACAUACACCAAUCCAUAUAGAUCUCCGCUCGAAAAGACCAGAACUCAUCAACGACUAGAUCCAAGAGGUCGACAUCCGGCAGAAAGACGACUUGGCGGAAGAAGAGCAUCAGGGCCAAACCACCAUUAUUAGUCCGAAGCUAAUAGCCCCCACGCCGCCCUCUUCUAUAUCCAGACCCGCAGAAAAAGAUCAACGACGCCGCAUCGUGCCACUCGCAUCCGUGGAGGCCUGAACUUGGCAAGACGCCAACCAUGGCUGGAGACGGGGACCAGCCACUCCUGGCCGGAUCCGGUGACUCCUAGUCCCACCGCUGCCGCUACGGCGGUACCGCGUGUAGCCUACAAGGACAUCCACGAUGAUGUCUGAUUAGAAGGAUACAUGGAUAUACAGAUGAAAAGGCCCUCGUUGUCCCUCCAACAAUAUAUAUAAAGCUUACUGGGAUGUGAGAAAGCUCGCACAAUGUUAUAUUGGCUAUGAAAAUGUGUUGCCAGACAGAGAUAUAAGAUUUUUGUUUGGAAUCCAGAUCGGUUGUGUCAUCCUUAAUCGAUGGUCACUUUAAUUUUUUCGGCGGGCCUUCCCUGUGGUACCGCAGCCUUACAUGUGUAGGGGUUUCAUACAGCUAUUCUGUCCUGUCGGAAAAGGAGAAAACCAAAAUUACUUGGAGUUGAUAACUAAUACGUUUCCUUUAACUACCACAUGCACGGCGAGGAUUUACGGCACGCAAGUGCGGGGGCACUCAGGUCAUGGUGCCGCCUUUUUAUUUUAGCGUCCGAUUUUCAAACUUCUAUAUCUUUUAAACGAAAAAAUCAAUUUAAGUUAUGUUUUCAUAUUCGUGUUUCUUGCUGCCAGCGCUUUCAAAUAAUAUUCAUUUUGAAUAUAUUUUGGCAUCUUUUGGAAACAAUGUUAAUUUUCAUUGUUCGAAACUUAGUACGAGCGACCGAUAAUAUCCAAUUAUUUUGUGUCUAUGACCAACAGAAAAAAUUGCUUAAAGUUGCAUCUUUGAAACUUGUUGAAGAUGGUCAAUUAACAUUUUCUAAUUGCCAUGAGAAGAAGUAUGAAGUGCAGUAGAGAACAAUGUACACAGUAUAUAUACAACAUGGAAGUACAGUAAUAGUGAGUUCACUCGACGGAACCCCGUCACGGCACGGCCAUGUGAAUAGGAUCCACCUCGUACUGCUCCUCUCCUGCUCUGCCCUGAGCAGUAUCGUCCGUCGUCGCCGAGCGGCGCAGCGGCCGGCGGCCGGGGGGAAGCCGAGAUUUCCUCUUUGGAGGCGCCGAAUCCCAGUCGUAACUCGUAAGUCGAAAUCCCUCUCUGUCCCGCCUCUCGAAUCCCCACCGGUCUCCUACCCAAAACUUCCGUGCCGCCAAUGCCCGCCUUUUCUUUGGGUUUCGAGCGAGGAAUCGGAGGGAAAUCUGGGUACUUCCUGUGGCUUGAUACCCCGGCAAUGGCGGCCCUGCUUGCUUUCUGUUACCACUGGGUCGCUCUACUCUUUGCAUGCCCGUCCGCAAGGUGUUCGAUGGAUUGUGCGCAGGGUGUCGGCCCGGCUGGUCUCGUUUCAGCUCUUGGAUGUCUCGGUCCGUUUACCGUCGGUUACUGGAAAUGUGCUCGAAACCCAUGAAAAUGCUGGGAUUUGCGCUCUUUGUUUGCCGUCAUUUGUUUGGUUGCAGGAAGCACCCGGUCUUAAGCAUAGUAUAGAUAAAGUUGUAUGUUCUGCUCUGUUUGUUUGUUUGCUGUCUGAUGAUUGAGACAAGGGCAUAAUCCAAAGUUUGGCACCUGCUCCUGCACGUUUAUGUGUUGGAAACUGGAAUCUGUUGAGAGUAGUAUGGCCACGCCACAUGUCUUGGCUUCCACUCAAGGACCACAUUACUUCUUGACUUUCUUGGAUGCUUGUUGGCCCAACCUUGGAUCUAUAUCUUUCUAAUAGUGUUAUAAAUCAGAAACAUAUCCCCGCAAAAAAAUAGAAAUAAAUCAGAAACACAACAAUUUUUUGUGUUGCUUACUAGAUUCGGUGUAUUUACUUCGUGUGUUUAGUCGAAUCACCUGUCAUUGUUCUCUCAAGUUGCUUUUCCUUGCGAUAUUCAUGUUCAACCCAGCGGUUUAAAAUUCCUGCAAUUGCUUCAUUCAAAGUGAUUUUCACUUCUUUGUUGUUGUUUUCCACAGCAUUUGGGCUGAGGCUCCAAAUAGUGCUACUCUUUUACAUGGACUAUGUUACUUUGGAGAAUACAAGAAUUGUGCAUUGGUAUCACGAUAACAUAUGCCUAAUGGUUUUUCUUACAGGAGGGCGUUUCCAACACAUAAAUAGUUUGCUAGCAUGCAGACAAGUGUCCAGUAGCCUUUGUGCCAUUUGAGGCGUAAUGGAGAUAGCUUUUCUCAUGUUGUUGGUUCUUUCUCUGCUUCUGUUCCCUAAUGGCAUCUGCAAGAGUUUAGCCACACGGCCUCCUGUUGUGAAUAUUGGGUCUAUUCUUCAAUUUGACUCCACCACUGGAGGUGUUGCGGCAGUUGCCAUCCAUACAGCCUUGGAAGAUAUCAACUCCGAUCCAACAGUUCUAAAUGGAACUACACUGAAGGUUCAAAUCAAGGAUACAAAUUGCUUUGAUGGUUUCCUUGGCAUGGUUCAAGGUAGGCUAGCUUUAAUGUCACUCAUUCAUUUCACAACCUUCAAAUAGUUUUUACUUCUAUUGUGGAGUGGUGGCAAUGAUGCCGUGUUCCUUGUAUCAGCUUUGCAGUUCAUGGAGACUGAUGUUAUUGCAAUCGUUGGCCCUCAGUGCUCCACAAUUUCUCAUAUCAUUUCAUAUGUAGCAAAUGAGCUUCGAGUCCCUUUGAUGUCCUUUGCUUCUGAUGCAACUCUUUCAUCGAUACAGUUCCCAUUCUUUGUCAGGACUGGUCCCAAUGACCUCUAUCAAAUGGCGGCUGUGGCAGAAGUUGUUGACUACAACCACUGGAAGAUAGUGACUGCCAUAUACAUUGAUAAUGUUUAUGGUAGAAAUGGCAUUGCUGCUUUGGAUGAUGCACUCGCUUUAAAGCGCUGCAAAAUAUCCUACAAGAUUGGCUUUCCUUCCAACGCUAAAAGGAGUGACCUCAUAAAUUUGUUGGUUAGUGUCAGUUCUAUGGAGUCUCGUGUUAUCAUUCUCCAUACUGGAACUGAACCUGGACUCAAGCUUUUCUCUAUGGCACACCAACUGAACAUGAUGGGCAACGGCUAUGUGUGGAUUGCAACUGACUGGCUGUCCGCAUAUCUUGAUGCUAAUUCAUCAGUUCCUGCUGAGACUAUAUCUGGCCUGCAAGGUGUUCUUACUUUACGGCCACAUAUUCCCAACUCAAAGAUGAAUAAUUUGGUCUCUAAAUGGAGCACGCAAAGUAAAAAGUACAACUACAGUGAUCUUCGUGUAAAUACUUAUGGUUUUUAUGUUUAUGAUAGUGUCUGGGCAGUAGCUCGUGCUCUGGAUGCCUUCUUUGAUGAUGGUGGUAGGAUUUCCUUUUCAAAUGACUUGCAUGAUGAAACUGGAGGAACUCUUCACCUUGAAGCAAUGAGCAUUUUUGACAUGGGAAAUAAAUUACUGGAGAAGAUUAGAAAGGUAAACUUCAGUGGGGUAUCUGGGCAAGUGCAAUUCGAUCCUGUAGGCAACCUCAUUCACCCUGCGUAUGACAUCAUAAAUGUCAUCGGAAAUGGCAUGCGGACCAUUGGUUUUUGGUCAAACUAUUCUGGCUUGUUGUCGACUGUCUCUCCAGAGGCUCUAUAUUCAAAGCCUCCUAAUACUUCUCUCGUCGAUCAGCAUCUCUAUGAUGUUAUUUGGCCUGGGGAGACUGCACAGAGGCCUCGAGGAUGGGUCUUUCCUUCUAAUGCCAAGCAAUUGAAAAUUGGUGUUCCCAACAGAUUUAGCUUCAAAGAGAUCGUCACGGUAGACAAUGCUACUGGGUCAAUGAAGGGUUAUUGCAUCGAUGUCUUUACUCAGGCAUUGGCUUUGCUUCCUUAUCCUGUUAGUUACAAGUUUGUACCUUUUGGGAAUGGUACUGAAAAUCCUAAUUAUGACAAACUCGUACAGAUGAUUGAAUCAAAUGUAAGUAUGGAAUGCCUCUUUUCUUCCUCUAACCAUUUCAUCAUAUACCAUGCUGACCAGGGUCAUCUUGUCCUGCAGGAGUUUGAUGCAGCUAUAGGGGAUAUUGCAAUUACAAUGAGGCGGACAGUAACUUUUGAUUUCACCCAGCCAUUCAUUGAAACAGGCUUGGUUAUCUUGGCUCCGGUUAAAGAGCAUAUAACAUCAUCGUGGGCAUUCUUGCAGCCAUUUAGUUUGGAGAUGUGGUGUGUUACAGGGCUGUUCUUUCUUAUUGUGGGUGUGGUUAUUUGGGUUCUUGAACAUCGGAUCAAUGACGAUUUCCGUGGUUCAGUAUGUCAACAAAUAAUAACUAUUUUCUCGUAAGGAGCUGACCUUUACCUUUUGUAUCGUCUUCUUGUAUAUCAUUUCUGUUUUCGAAGUGUUGAUGUUUUAACAAGUCUUGUGCAAUAUGUUGCAUACAGCGAGCACCUUAGAGCAGUGGCCAGUUAACAAACCUAAAUGAAGCAUCUAGUGAUUACCAAUGAACUACUCCCUCCGUCCCAUAAUAUAAGAGUGUUUUUUGACGGCGGGAGUAUUAUCUUAAUAAUCUUGUGAGACAUAUAUACAUGCACAGUAUAUAUAUUCGCUUAAUGAUAUUUAUGAUGCAUUGCUCUAUUUUUUCCUGUUUUCAUGUACUUCUCCACAUGUAUUUGCCAAAUGCUCUUAUCAUGACGUGAUUCCUUGCUGUGAGUAUAAUUUCAAAUUUUAUUGCCUGCAGGUUCAGCUUUUCGACUUUGUUCUUCGCACACAGUGAGUAAACCAACCUUUUCUCUUAUGUGUUUUUUGGCUAUAACAUUUUGUUCUGAGGCAUGACUUGUGAUUUCAUCCGUGUCUGCUCGCAGGAGAAAAUACGAUGAGUGCCUUAGGGCGUGGUGUCCUGAUCAUAUGGCUGUUUGUUGUUUUGAUAAUUGUAUCCAGCUAUACCGCGAGUCUUACUUCCAUCCUGACCGUGCAACAACUUGAUACUUCUAUAAAAGGAAUUGAUGACCUGAAAAAUAGCGAUGGUCCUAUUGGUUUCCAAGUUGGUUCUUUUGCACAAGACUACAUGGUCAAGGAGCUCAACAUCUCACGGUCAAGGCUAAGAGCUCUGGGUUCACCACAAGAAUACGCGGAUGCCCUCAAGAUAGGCCCUAAGGAAGGAGGUGUUAUGGCCAUUGUCGACGAGCGCCCCUAUGUUGAACUGUUUUUGUCAACCUACUGCAAAAUUGCGGUAGCUGGCACAGAUUUCACCAGCAGAGGAUGGGGCUUUGUAAGUACAGUUAAACCAUAUUCUUUUAUGUAAAUUAGAAUAUAAGAACAAAACAUUUUUCUGUUAAUAUCCUGGAAUAGAAGUUUUAACUUUGAAUAGCUGUGUCUAGUAUCUAGUUUAUUAUGCAACUGUUCUUGCACAUAUCUGUGGGUACUUUGUUUCACAAAUCAAAAUGUAGCACCUUACAAGUUCAUUCUGGCAGGCAUUUCCAAGGGACUCCCCUUUGCAAGUAGACCUCUCCACCGCAAUCCUGUCUCUGUCAGAGAAUGGGGAGCUGCAGCGGAUCCAUGCCAAAUGGCUCAAUACAGGGGAGUGCGCAACUGAAAACAGUGAGUUUGUCGACUCGAACCAGCUCCGCCUUGAGAGUUUCCUUGGUCUGUUCCUAAUCUGUGGUGUGGCAUGUGUUCUCGCGCUGCUACUCUACUUUGGUAUCAUGCUAUGCAAAUACCUGAGGCAUGAACCGCGGAAGAGCCUCAGAAGAUUCAUCUCGUUCGUCCAUGGGAAGGAGCCGCUGAAGAACAAGGAGAGGCGGUCCAUGAGCCUGCCUGGAAGCUCGACGCCAACAACGCCGAUGAGCAGCCUUAGUUCCCUUGACAUGGAAAGGCCGGCCAGGCCAGUCAGAAACGGCAGCGUUAUUGAUAUGGAAAGCUAGUUCAUGUGUAGAAAGCUAGUUAACAAUGCGGUCGACUAACCUAGGUUCUGGUAGUCGGACAGCAGGGGUGUAUAGGGGGAUUCAAAAUACUUCUUAAGUACUCCCUCCGAUUCAAAUUAAUUGACGUUGACUUAGUACAAAGUUGUACUAAGUUGGCGUCAAGUAAUUUGGAUCGGAGGGAGUACUAAAGUUUAGAAAUAAGAGAAGGAAGGAUUAAUAAGAAGUAGAAAUAUUGAAAUGCUCAUCCUGUCCUACAUAUAUUGUUUUUACCUUUGCAUGACUGUAUUUUGGGGGAUACUGUGUCGGUUCAGACUUGCCGUUUGGCAGCGUGGCCUGUUCAUGUGUUUGAUAGGGCGUAGUAGUGUGUGGGUACUUCAGUUAGAAGGUAUGCAGCGGACCGAGUCUAUUGACCGUGUGGCGAUGCCUGUAGUUUGUAGCACUAAAUUUUGAUGCUCAUUCAUAAACUAAUUUAGAUAAAAGCCGCACAAAAAAUGUGCUAGUUUUUUGUUGUUGUUGCUCACGUACUCUGUUUUGUCUCAGUUUUAGUCCAGGGCAACUUUGAAGCUUAUCUUAGGGUGGUAGCCAUAAAAAUGUGUUAGCACCUUACACAGGAGAAAUAGGUAAAGACCUUAUUAAGAAGUGAAGAAGAAUAGACGUCUCCAGUUUUUGUUUCUCCAACUCCAUGCCUACAAUGUAAAUUAUUUAUGGAUUAGCUCCAGUUGCUGCAACUGUACUCUUUCCGGUAGGUCUGAGAUGCGACUGAGCAUCCUAAGCUAGCUACUUGUCUCCCUUAAGUUUUACAGCAAGACAAAUGCACUGGACUGCAAAGAGGAAAUUCCCGCAGGUUCGUAGUGCAUCUGUUUUGGUUCUUGCAUUCACACCAAUCAUAAAACAGUGUUUGUUAGUAGCGGAGUGGUAGGCAGAAGCAAAUCAAACCAUCAUUUUUCUUCUAAUUACACUUGUAAAAGCAUCGAUACAUCUCCACCGCUUAAUUUAUUUGUCAUUCUGUUCAGUACCUGGUUCAGGAAGAGUCUUUUUCCUAUGCAAAAUAUAUAACGUAUAUGUUCCUAAUUCCGAUUGCAGGCAUAUUCAUCGCGCUUGUGUUUUGACGUGUCGCGGGGAACCAAGAGUCGUUCAGCAGGGCGUUUCUAGGAUACGCCACGGGUCUUACAGUAAAGGUAACGGUGAUGAACUGGUUUCAAGCUGUGCUGAUCAGUUCUGCUGUUACUAAUAUAUCAUGGCAUCCUGCUGCUCUCGGUCGAUGUUCUGUCAUCUCUGAAAAAUAUCAUUAUCACCUGUUUUAUUUCCCCGUCUUUUUUGCGCUUUGAUGCCCAGCCUGCUCUGUUGCACAUUGUUCCUGGCACGUGACUGGUUUGGUCGCCGUUCACUCUCCAUGGAAUGGAGAAGUGAAAGCGGGCAAGUAAGCCUAUAUACCUUUUGUCCCUUUUGUGUAGAUCAGAGAAAAUAACUGGCAAUCUUGAUCAGCCUGGUUUUGAGACGCGACUUGUUUGCCACUGACUGUUUUGCGUUGGUUGGAGAGGAGGAAGAAGACGAAGGUCCCAACCGUGAGAGCUAAAAGGUGAACCAGCGCUCGCCUUUUUAAUUACUAGGAGAAAUAAACAUUGAGGCAGCAAUUUCUUCCGGCAAGAUCAAUUGGCAGCUAAUUAUGUAGGCUGGAUGGCAUUGAGAAAUCCAGAANNNNNNNNNNNNNNNNNNNNNNNNNNNNNNNNNNNNNNNNNNNNNNNNNNNNNNNNNNNNNNNNNNNNNNNNNNNNNNNNNNNNNNNNNNNNNNNNNNNNNNNNNNNNNNNNNNNNNNNNNNNNNNNNNNNNNNNNNNNNNNNNNNNNNNNNNNNNNNNNNNNNNNNNNNNNNNNNNNNNNNNNNNNNNNNNNNNNNNNNNNNNNNNNNNNNNNNNNNNNNNNNNNNNNNNNNNNNNNNNNNNNNNNNNNNNNNNNNNNNNNNNNNNNNNNNNNNNNNNNNNNNNNNNNNNNNNNNNNNNNNNNNNNNNNNUAUAUACAUUGUGUAUUCAAACAUAAAAAGUGCAAAACUCACUCACAAAUAUUUGACUAUUCAUACAAAAAAAAAAGAAUUUCCUGAAAUAAGGGAGCACAUCUUCUCCAGAAUUGAUCACUGAGGUCAUCUAUUGAGCAAUCCAGGUUCACCUAGUUAUCUAUUUCAAAAUUUAUGGACAACAAUUUGGGUGGUGUUUUUUCAAACAAGGCACAUAUUUAUAGUUCAUUGAAAUACAUCUAUCUUUUGACCUCAUUAAUAUCUCAUCCUUCAUCAUAAACAUACAGAGAAACCGCUCGUUUCUCACAUGUUCCUGAGACGAUAACACCAUAGCUAUUACUGCCCCUUCUCUCUUAAUACCUUCCACCCUUUCCAUUAUAAAUAAUAAAACUGAAACAUAUCAUUCUCUUGAUUGUAUUUUUUCUAAAAUGUUUAAGGUGUAUGUGUCAUUGAGUGUGAAUAUAUUCUGUUGCAAAGUUUCACGAAAUUUAAUUAGUAUGCAACCUGUGCACAAGAGAAAUAAAUAUUAAAAUAAAUUUAGUUAUUUUUGUUAGCCCGCCAUUAUUUAAAAAAAAGUGAAGUCACUUUUUCAUGAAAGCUGGAGAUAAAUUGUGUAUAAACAUAAAAAUGAUGGAUUUUCCUAUCUUUCUCUCUGUCACACACACGCGCGCGCGCGCAUGCACACGCGUGCAAACUUAGGAUUUUAGGAAAUAAUGGGAGCAAAGGCCAUGUGAAAAUAUGAGGUACUCCCUCCGUCCUCGAAUAAGUGUACGUUUGGCAUUCAAGUCUUCAUACUUUUUCUCAUGGCACAGGUUUGCCUUCUCAUGAUGAUGGCCGCACUGUGUGCACAAGCCGCUGGGAGGCCUGUGGCAUGCUUACCAUGGAUAGCGGGGUGUUGCCCGAGGAACUAUUUGUGUUGUGGUGUCGGUGCCGUUGCCCCGACAUCCCAUGCAUCGCAGGCCACCUCUGUACCUUGAGUUAUGGUUUCGCUUGAUCUCCUCUCAUAACAUAGUUGAUAUAGCACAGUAGCAUCACAAAGGUUGCAUGGUUUCAUUGAUUCAUCUCUUCUCUACUCGAACUUGUGAUGCCACUUUUGAACAAUGUCAUUGCUAUGUCUUCUUAUAACUUGUUGGGAUUAACCACGAUGUAGUGGUUCCCUUGUCCGGCACGGACAGAUAGUGGUAGCAGUCACCGAUUUAACAUUGGAUUUGUAAUAGGACUCGGACUAGUUUAGGACUAGCAUAGCUCCUUUAAAUAUCCAUGUACCCCUACGUUGUAGUACUGUACCGAACCAGAUCAAAGCAAUACAGAUCAACAGGACCGACAAGGCCCUGUUUAGCCAUCAACUCGCGUGUUCCUGUGUUAUCGUGUGUAUCGUGUGUUUCGGCGUCGGCAAAACCGAUUUGCUAGUUUGACUAAGCGUAAGGCUGUGCAAAGCUAGCUAGACGUUGUGCCUGCUUGUACGUGCAUAUCUCUAGAGAAAAGCCAGCUUAUGUACACGUGUACGUCCGAAAGUACUCAGACGUACGGGAUCUGUGCCAACAUAACUAAUAAAAUGGGAGGAUAUUUUUAUCUUAUUUGAAUUGUGUUGUAACAUUACCUACUAAUGUGGAUGAUCUAGGUGGACCACAUAGAUCGGAUCUUCUAAAGAUGUAAUCUAGGACUUUGCAAGAUGAUAAAAUUGUCCUUUAUCUUGCUCCACACCUUUUCGUAGAAGUUGGUCGGCCGUCGGCGUCCCUUCAUCUGUGCCUGCUUGCGGUGCAUGCCGUAGAAUGCUCCAUGUUUUGUAGUUGUACAAUAACCUUUGACGUAACUUUUUUUCGACGUGCCAGCCAUCAAUAUUUAUAAUGAGACCUUGACCAUGGAUGGCAAGUAAUUCGCCCUGUGCUGAUGUCGUCGGGUGACCCGCUCACUGAUGUUUUGACUCAAGGAGUCGCUAUGUUCCCUGAAUGAUCUUUUUGUAUAUAAUUGGUUGUUACUUUAAUUAGAAGAAACCACACAAAUCAUAAGUGUUAUUAGUAAAGUGGUAGGCAUGUGCAAAUCAAAACGCCAUUUCCCUUCUAAAUACACUUGUAAAAUCAUUAUGAGUGUCUUCUUCUGAUUUCUUCUGAUUUCUUCUGAUUUAAUAUUUAUGCAAGACACAUUACGAGUGCCAGCUGUGCUGUAACUUUUUUUGUGAGGCACAGCAACUGGAUUGUUGUCGAUACAAGGUAAAACAGAAACUAGUAUCAGAACUUCUGUAUUUAGAAACCUGUUACUAAUAUAUAGUGGCAUCUUUAUCGCUGUUCACUCUCCAUAGAGUGGGGAAGUAAAAUCGGUAAGUAAGCCUAUUUACCUAGUCGCCGUUCAUUUGUUCACCGAGUCGCGAGACAGCGGGAGGAAGGAGAAGAAGGUCCCAACCGUCAGACCAAAAAGGUGGACUCGACUAUUUUCAGUUAUUAGUAGGAGUAAGAAGCAUUGCAAAUUGCUCCGUCUGUUCAAUCCGUAUAUAUGUAGUCCAUAUUAAUAUAUUCAAAAUAUUUUAUAUUUGUGAACGAAGGGAAUAAUUAAUAGUAAUGCAACAAGGGGAGGCCAGUCAGCAGCUAACUAAAUGUGCUGGAUGAGACUGGAGAAAUGAUAAACGAUUUACAUGAUAGAACUACUCUUUUCUUGUUAAGGAAUGAAAGAAUGGAUGAUUUUAUCCGUUCGGAACAAAACCCAUCCAGUUAGACGUUGUCCUGAAUUCCGACGCUUUUGAAAGUUUUCUCGCAGAAAUAUGUGUGUGUAUUCCAGUUGUAUCAUUAGCAAACCAAGGCUGUAUAUAUUAUAGCACAAAGAAUGUUUGGUUGAUUCGUUCAGGCGAAUCAGGUUUCGUGGUUGACUGCCAAAGUUACGGCUAUUUCUGCCUUUGGCGCAGACAAGAGAUUCUGCACUGUAAGGCCUCGUUUGACAUGGAGGGAUUCGUGAGGAUUUGAGGUGUGGGGAUUGGAGGGGAUUUGGUGAAUCCCUCCCCUCCAUCCAAUCUCCUCAAUUCCCUUUGCAUCCAAUCCCCUGAAAAAACUCGUUUGGUAGGCGGACAGUGGAGGAGGCGUGCACUGCCGCUGCCCUCGAGAUUCUGCUUUCGCAAGGCCCUUGACUAGAGUUCUGAACCGCACGGGUGCGAGGGGAUUGGAAGGGAUCGGAGGGGGUUGGGCUGUGCAAACCCCACCUAUCAAAUGGGCCGACGAGGUUUCGUGGGGCUUCUUUCCCUCCCAGGGUUCAUCCUCUCCAAACCUCUUGAAUCCUCCUGCGCCAAACGAGGCCUAAAGAAAAAGCUGAAAGCUCUCUUUUCUCGUGUGUUUCUGUUCUCUUUCACCUUGUCGGAAAACAGCGUGCACCGGGGACGCUCGAUUCCAUUGCAGGCAUCAGUUCAAUCUAUCAUGCUACAGGGAACCGGCUCUAUCUUCUUUUUCCUUUUCUUUUAGGUCGUGAACGCAAGUCAUUUGAGAUAUUCACAUAGGACUUACAAAAUCGGUACGUUCUGACGGAAUUGGACGCACACGAUGGAAAAUAUAGAUAUUCCUAAGGUAGAUUUAUCAACAUCAGUGUGGAGCUAAAGUGUUUGAUGUUUUGUAUGAAUGGUCUGGUCUGAACAAUAAAGCCGGCCACUCAUGACCUACUUUUGGGCUUUCUUUGUAUUAGUGUAUACUAGCAAAAGGGCCCGUGUAUGGGAGAGAAAAAAAAUAUAAUCUUGAAUGGCCAUGAUCACAUUUUUUUGCAUCACCGAGAUACACUAUCACUAUCAAUUUCGGGAAAUCAUGUACAUUUUUUAAACUUGUGGCAUUUUGCAAAUUCAUGAACACUUUUACAAAUUUUCAAAUAUAUUCUUAAAUCAAGAACAAUUUUUGAAAUUCAUGAACAUAUUUUCAUUUACCGAACAUUUUUGAAAAGCAUGAUCAUUUUGGAAUCAGCGAACAUUUUAUGAAUGAAUAAACUAUUUUGUAAGUCACGAACAGUUUUCCAAAUAUUUGGAUAUUUCCCCAUUCAUGAACAUUUUUUGAAUUGGGGACAUUCAAUUUUAUUAACAUUUUUUUAUACACGAAUUUUUAAAAAGUCAUAAAUGUUUUUUGAUAUCACGAACAUUUGUUUUCAAAAUUUUGAACAUUUUUUGAAUCAGAUUGUUCCAAUAAAAUUGCAACCAUUUUUUGAAUACACAAACAUUUUAUGAUUUAUUAAAACUUCAUUUGAAAAUAAUUUUUUAAUUUUCAAAUAUCUUUUGCAUUCCGAAAUUAAUUAAAGUAGAAAAAAUGAAAAGAAAGAUAAAAGGGAAAUUUUAAAUAGGGGCCACUCGGACAUAGGCCGGCCCAAAUGGGCGGCCGCGCCUUCUCCCAACCUGCAGAGCCCAGUAUAGGAGGUCCCUACUACAUGGGCCAGUCCAGACAGGGAUACCCCUGUGUGAAACAUUUUUAUCACUUAUACGUGAUAUUUGUGGGUGAUUUCUAUGACGUACCAUCAGAAGAAAUAGCCCCUUUCUUAUUACUAGCAAAAAGGUCCGUGCAUUAUAACGGGAGAAAAAAAAUUAGAAUCUCCAAUGGCCAUGACCAUAUUUUGCUCCAUCACCGAGAUACCCUAUCUCUCUCAAUUUCGUGAAAUCAUGAACACUUUUUGAAAUCACGAACAUGUUUUAAAACUCUUACACAUAUUUGAAAUAGUAAACAUUUUUCAAAUUCAUGAACUUUUGUACAAAUUUUCGGAUAUUUUCUAAAACUAAGAACAUUUUUGGAAUUGAUGAACAUUUUAUAAUAUUUGCAAACAUUUUUAAAAAAAUUUGAACAUCUUUAGAAACAAUUUUCUCUAAUUGACGAACUUUUUUGUGGAAAUUGAUGUAACAAUUUUAGAAAUUUCUGAACAUUUUUUGAAAUACAUGAUUAUUUUUUGAAUCAGUGAACAUUUUUUAAAUGACUAAACUGUUUUGUAAGGCACCAAUAGUUUUUUGAAUUUUUAGGAUAUUUUUCCAUUCAUGAACAUUUUUUGAACUGGCGAUUAAAUUUUCAAUUUCAUUAAUAAUUUUGGAUGCAUAAACUUUUAAGUAAAAUGAGGAACAUUAUUUAAUUCCCAAAAAAAUGUUUUUAUAAUUUUCAACAUUUAUUGUCCAAGCAAUUGGUUUUUACAAAAUGGCGAAUGCAUUUUGAAUCCACAAACAUUUUAUGAUUUACGAAAAUUUUAUUUCAUGGUACUCAUUAUUUUAAUUUUCGAAACCUUUUUGAAAUCCCAAAUUAUUUAUAGUAGAAAAAACGAAAACAGAAAAGAAAAAAGAAAAUAGAAAACCUAAUUCAAAAAACAGGCCAGCCUGAAAUGGGCCGGCCUAAACGGGCGUGCAGCGUCUUUUCCCAGCGUGCAGAGAGCAUUAUAGGAGGUCCCAACUGUAGGGCCGGCCCAGAUGGGGGAAUUCCCCUGUGCGAAACUUCUUUUUAUCACUUAUAUGUCGAGAUGUGUUUGGGCGUUAUCAGAUGAAAAUAUUGUGUCUAAGAUGACGGCGAGCACGGAGCCAAGUGCGAAGAAUUGCCUUUUUGAACUUCAUGAGUCACUAGACCACGCGAGCUUCUCAAGGAUGAUUGUCACAUUAUGGGCUGUGUGGUAUGCAAGGCGCAAGGUGAUUUAUGAAUCUCUUUUUCAAAAUCCACACUAGACAAUUUCCUUUGUAGACUCUUAUCUUCAAGAGCUACACCAGGCUAUCGCUUGUGAACCGAGGUUACAAGGUCAAGCGGCAAGGGAGCAGCAACGACGUUGGAUUCCACCUCCGCCUGGCUCACAUAAGAUAAACGUGGAUGGUGCAUUAUCAAGAAACAGGCGAGUGGGAGUUGCAGCCGCAAUCUGCCGUGAUUCAAAUGGCAACUAUCUUGGCGCGUCAGCGGUGGUCUAUGGGGACGUACGCGACCCGAUUAUCCUGGAGACAUACGCGUGUCGGGAGGCUCUAGCGCUGGCGGAAAAUCUACACGAGCAGAAUAUCAAGGUGGCAUCGGAUUGCCAAGGUGUGGUGCAGGACAUCAAUGAAGGGACAGCUGGCCCCAAUGCGGCUGUUAUACAUGAAAUAACGAACCGUAAAGAUAGUUUUACGUCUUGCUCUUUUGUUUUUGAGCGUAGGAAUUUUAAUUUCGAGGCUCAUAAUCUCGCUAAAUUUGCUUGUAACCUAGAUAUAGGUAGACAUGUUUGGUUGGGUACUCCUUAUGACCCAAGCCGUGUACCUAUGAACAUUUUUAUGAAUCAAUAAAGACAGCGAGAUUUCUCAAAAAAAAAACUUAUAUGUGGCAUUGAACUCGUGAAGCAUGCGCUAUCCCUUCCAGAUGGCCACCAUGUCUGGCUCGGUCAACUAGACAGACUUUCUUUCGUCCCUGUAAACGUUUUGACGAUAUAAAAAAAAGCUUCAGAGUUUGUCUAAAAAAAACUUAUAAGUGGCAUUGGUGGGUAAUAUUUUGCAACUUUAGAGGUAAUUUCCAUGACGUACCACCAGAAGCGCAAUAGCCCCUUUACUAUUAUUAGGUACUCUUUUUUCCUUGUGGAGCUUUGGAAAUGAGAGAAUUUGAAUAUAGUAACUCUCGGAAACUCUUAUUGGACGAGAGAAAUUUAAUAUGUUAUUGGCAUGGCUUCUACCAACUAAAAUAAGAAGUAUUUUAUUGGAUAAACGGACAAUUUCCUUUAAUCGAUGAACAUUUUUUUGAAAAUUGGUGGAACAACUUUUGAAAUUCAUUUUUUUUUGAUUUAACAAACAUUUUUUUAACUUAACAAACAUAUUUUGAAAUACAUGAUUAUUUUUUGAAUCUGUGAACGUUUAUGAAUGAAAAAACUAGUUUGUAAAUCAAGAGCAGUUUUUGAAUUUUUUGGAUAUUUUUCUGUUCAUGAACAUUUUUUGAAUUGGUGAAAUUUUUCUCAAUUUCAUUAACAAAAGUCAGUACACAAACCUUUUUAAAAAUUAAUGAACAUUAUUUUUUACCGAAAAAUAAAAUUGUUUUUUUCAAAAUCGUGAACAUUGUUUGAAUCCACAAACAUUUUAUGAUUUAUGAAACAUUUAUUUCAAAAUACACAUUUUUUUAAUUUUCGAAAUUUUGUGAAAACCAAAUUAUUUAAAGUAGAAAAACAAAAACAGAAAAGAGAAAGGAAUAAUAGAAAACGAAGUUGAAAAAAUAGGCCGACCGAACAUUAGCCGCCCCAAACGGGCACGCUGCAUCUUCUCCCAGCGCGUAGAGCGCAGUAUAGGAGGUUCCUAUUACAUGGGCCGGGCCAAGCGGGAGAUUUCUCUGCGCGACGCCGCAUCAUGCCACCCACAUCCGUGGAGGCCCGAACUUGGCAAGACGCCAACCACGGCAGGAGACUGGGACCAGUCACUCCUGAGCUGAUCCGGCGACUCCCAGGCCCACCCCUGCCACUACGGUGGCACGCGGGUAGCCUACAAGCCCAUCCACGACGAUGCCUGAUUAGAAGGAUACAUGGAUAUACAGAUGGAAAGGCCCUUGUUAUCCCUCAAGCAAUAUAUAUAUAAAGCUUAAUGGGUCCCAAGAAAGCUCGCACAACCGCUUGUGUCAUCCUCAAUCUAUGGCCACUCUAAUUUUUCCGGUUGGACCUUCCCUGUAGUACCACAGCAAGGCUUGCGUGUGUAUAUAUUUCCUUUAACUACCAUGUGCAGGAUGAGGAUUUACUGCACACAAGUGCGGGGGCACUCAGGUCCUGGUGCCAGCUUGUUAUUUUGGCUUCCGAUUUUCAAACUUCUAUAUCUUUUAAACGAAAAAAUCAAUGUAAGUUAUGUUUUCAUAUUCGUGUUUCUCAUGGCCAGCGCUUUCAAAUAAGAACCAUCUUGAAUAGAUUUUGGUGACUUUUGAAAACAAUGUUAAGUUUCAUUAUUUGAAACUUAGUACGAGCGACCGAUAAAAUUUAAUUAUUUUGUGUCUACGACCAACAUAAAAAAUUGCUUAAAAUUACAUCCUUGAAACUUGUUGAAACCGGGUAUUUUUUGAUGUAAAAAGGUAAGUUUCAUUAUUGAAACUUAAAUUUUUUUGAGGGAUUCUUUUUACCAUGCCCUACUUCACAAAUCGCGAGGCAAAUCGAGCAUGCGGCAUGGCCUGGCCGGUGAGUUAUGAAAGAUGGUGCAUUGUAGAUUUCUUUCUCCCAGUCCUGCGAAUGAAAGAUGGUGCAUACAAAAGUCUAUCCUAUAUGCGUACAUGUGCAUGAUCAGAACAUGUUUUUACGUGUGUCUACUAUAAAUCUCGACCAUUUUUAACACAAAUCAUGACCAUUAAAAUACAUGAUUAGUGAAUCAUACUAUCUUAACCUAUGUGAAAUCAUGUGGAGUAAUAUAAUAUAAUAGAUAGAGAGAUCCAUGUUGUAUUAUUUUUUGUUUAGAAAAAAUAUCUGUCAGUACAUAUCUAGAUUUAUGCAACAUUUCAUGGUGGAAAGUUUGUAUUGUUUCAUACUGAACACCAAAGUUUCCCCGUAAAAGAAAAUAAUGCAUAUGCAUAUGCUUUUAUAUUAUUAUUAUUGUUUCAAAUAUAUUCAUAUAUUAUUUUGGAUUGUACAAUCAUAAUUUUUCUUAUCUCUCUUGUUCCACUACAUGCUCCUAGUCAAUGAAUUAUGUUUUUUUUUCAAUAAUGGGCGUUUUUGUUAACUCAAAAUAUAGCAUCAAGUGGAUACAAAACAUAAUGAAACCCGGCCUCUGUAUAACUAAGAUGCACACAGCCAAAAGCAGAAGUCUGACAAAAAUAAGAUAAGAAAAUCGACAUAUCAACAACAAUGAGUCAUAUAGGACCGCUAUGCCUCUGUCGAAGGAGGUGGUGGUGCGAUCCGGAGAUUAUGCUGCCAUCCAUGCUGAGUAAAAACCUCACUGGCCACUUACUCCAACCGUAUACACACCACCAUGAACAACGGUUGGUAUGCAGUUCGGUGUAGCAUACACCAUGUAGGAAGCGAGUGCUUACUCCUAGUUACUGAAUUAUAUACACCAAAUAAACCCAUUUACACGUAGUUAAUGACAAAAAAAAGUUGAUGCUUGCUACGCAGAUGUGUAGUACUCCCUCCGUCCGAGAAUACUUGUCAUCAAAAUGGAUAAAAAGAGAUAUAUUUAGAACUAAAAUACAUCUAGAUACAUCCCCUUUUAUCCAUUUUGAUGACAAGUAUUUCCGGAAGGAGGGAGUAUAAAUUAAGAAGUGCAAGAUAAGAAAAACAUUGCUGGCCCUUGAUUCGUUGUUGACCCUCAGCAUGCCAUCAUCAACUUGUAGUUAAUUACCAUACAAAUUAGCUCUUUCAUAGAGUUGGAGGCUAGCUCCUUUGAUCAGCACGCGCUUAAACACAAAGAACACGUACAUGUUUUCUCUCCGGAGUUCAACUCUUGAUUGGCCAGCAAAAAUGGUCCGACCGGUUAGAGGAAAGGGCAUGUUUGCUAGUACGCCUGGAUGAAAUGCCUUUGAUUAGGGCAUCUCCAACGGCAAUCAGUAAAUUUCCUCCCGCGUUCAUCCACGGGCAGGGGAUCAAUCCGCAGAUGCAUACAGGAAUCGGCCAUCCAACGUUGUCCGCAUAUAUUUCGAACACUUUUUUUAAAAAAAUCGGAUGAAAUUCAUGCAAAUACAGUGGAUUUCAUACAAACCAAACAAAAACGUUUACAUUUUGAACAUAUUUUUUUACUAAAAACUCUACAGCCAGCGCCGGCGACGGCGAAUAUCCACUCCGGCGACGUGGAUACCCUUGACUAGUCUACUGCCGGCCGCAGCGGAUCUCCAAUGUCGUCCCCAUGUCCAGCAGCUGUGAGCCCUAGAGGUAUAUGUUUGAACGCAAAGAGCGGCUCGCCUUCCUACCGCUCAUCGGAGUGGAACAACCAGCUGAUGCUUCUGCUAGUGGGGAAGGGUCCCUACGCUACAUGGAUCAGAGUUGGUUUUGGGUUGGGAACGGCGGUGGCCUGCCAGAGGGCAAGACACCGGCUGUGAACGUUGGUGUCACCUAACCCAAGCGACAGCUUCUCCUCGAUGAUGGCGGCGAGCGCGGACGUGUUGGACACCACCUCGUCGAUGUCCAUGCAGCCCGCUUCUUUCUCUGUAAGCAGGACACAGUUACGCGCGCGGUGACAUCGGAUGAUGCGGUGACGGGCACGUGAGGGGUGGUACGACAUGGUACCGUCAAUGGCAGCCACGAUGCCUGUGCCACCGUGCUCCCUCCCCAGUGCCGACCUGGAGCAACUCGCCACUCCUUGGCUCGUGACCGGCGGGCUUGACGGGCCACCUAGCACUACUAGGAAAAUGCUUAUAGAUAGAAGUUUACCGGUAGCGAGUUUUUUGACCCCACGCCACUAGUAAUUACCAGUAGUGCUGUGUAGAAAACACGCUACUACUAACAUAUAACAGCAGUGUUUGUUUGCUUGGGCCGCGCUACUAUUACAUGGGCCGCAGGGCAGAAUCAAUAGCCCACUUAGCUGUAGCGUUUGUUCUGAAAGGGUGCUACAGCUGGUGGGCUUAGCAGUAGGGUGGUGCUCCAACCAAAGCUACUACUAUAGCUAAAGAAAACCGGCCCGAUCGAGCGCCCCCGCACCCCCCUCCUCUCACAAUCGAUCCCCUCCGCCCGACGACGACGCCGCCGCGGUUAGGGUUCGUCCUCGGCCGCCUCACCCCCGUCGAUGGUGCCGUGCGCCGCCACCACGCGCGGUCGCCUCUCGCCUCCUCCGACGCUCUAGCCCCGUAAGUCCCCCUCUCGAUCUCCUCCUCCCUGCGCGCGCCACAGUAGCUCCUCUCGAUCUCUCGGUUAGGGUUCGUCGUAGGGGCUCCAAUCGAUUUGCCGCGGCAGCUCGCCAUGUUUUGGGAUUUAGGGAUUGCACGGUUGCUCCGCGCUUCGAUGCAUGGCUCCAAUCGAUUUGCCGCGGCGGCUCGCCACUCCCCUUGCUGCCCCUACGCGGCGCUCCGCCCUCUCUGUUAAUUAGUAUCACAUAUGAAUUAAUAGGAUUAGUAUCACAUAUGCAUCUCUAGAUCCUACUGUUAAUUAGUAUCACAUAGGGGAGAGAGUAGAGGAUUUUGUUGCUCAUUGAAACUUAGGAGAGAGUAGAGAGAAGUAGCUAGAGAAGUAGAGGCUUUUAGCACAUAUAAUUGAAACUUGGGUUUCAAUUCUUGGCUGCUGCCCCUGGAGGAGUGGUGGCAGCGGCGGUGCCUAGUGUUCUAGGGUUUAGAGAGGGGGCGUCCAUGUCAUGCCUUUUCCGGAGAGGAGCCACGGGCGGCGUCGGUUGCCGUGUGCCGUUUCGUGAACGCCUCCACACGCUCAAGUUUGUCGAUGAUGGUCGUAGGAUCGGCUCCCCUUCUGAACGCCUCCACAUCGGUCGUUUCGAGAAGGGGUACGUGGGGUGCACCUUCGGUCUACACUUUGCAUCAUUUACGCUCGACCUACUGUAUGAUUGGAUCCUUUUCCUCUCUUUACGUAUUUCCCACUUGUUGCUGACAUGAUUGUUGGUUUGGUUCUACUCCGUGCCUGGCUGGGAGGAGUUUUGGUGGUUUUCAUGUUGGGGUUUGGGUUGGUUGUUUGAUGUGUGCUUAUUGUUACCAGGGUGUUGCCGAUUUGGCAUUGGAUUGGGCUGGCUCAUGUUUGACUUUUUGCUUUGUGGUUGGGUGGUUUCGACUUUUCUGAUGUGAUGUUAUGGAUAUUGCUUCUAUAGGAGUGUAAGUGCUCGGUUCGGGUUGUAUCAAGUGUUUUCCUUGUUGUUUCUCAAAUUAACCCUAAUGAAUAUUGAUGGUCAGAUGGGUUAGUGUUCGGUUUGGUUAACAAAUGUAGAUUUUUUUGAGGUGAUGUUCAUGGCCAAAAAAGUAUAGGCUUGGCCACUAGGUGUUGUUCAUGUGAGAGACAAAGCUACAAGCUCAUGUUCCUAUCAUAGAAAAAUAGUUAAUUUGUAAGUGCUAUACUCAGAAAUCAUCAAGAUUUAGGAUUACUGAUAUGAGAAGGGGGUAGUUUAUUUAGUGUGCUUUGUUGUGAUUAACGAAGAUGAGAUGAGAUCAAAGUAUUAUUAUGUUUUGCCAUAUAUUUGUUUGUUACAUCUCUAGAUUAUUGAGCUACUAGUAUUGUUUAACCUUGUGUUUAGUGCAAAUUUCAUGCUGAUAGCAACGCUUCAUCUGAAGAGUUGGGGACAUUAGUUUACUAGAUUGCUAGCUUUCUUGGUAUGCUUUGUUGGCAAUUUGCUGACAGGAUUCUAACUUUGUUUGAGUCCGCGACAGAAUAAGUUUGACACAGAUUUGAGGUGCGCAUGAAACUCUUGUGUUUUAUCAUACAAUCAAUCUACUUUUGCAAUUUGUUAUUGUUGGACUGAACUUUAUGUUUACUUUUUAGUUGUUGUUUUGCUUGCCAUGUGAACUAUAGCUAUGAAAACUUUAUGUUUACUUUUUAGAUCGUUAAUCCUUUAAUCAUAUUGCUUUAGGGAAAUGGCGCCACCACCACCACCACCAUGUCGACGGUGCAAGUCAAGGUGCGCCAACAGCCUUGCAACUGGCAUGCUGUUUGGCAUCUACUUCGAGUCUAGUUUUCUUCAUGCGGUGGUAAUAAAUUAUAUGAAACUAGUAACUACUAUUUUGUUUUUAGUGUUAUUGGCAUUAAUGCAUUGUGUAUAUAUCAUUUUGCUUUUUGUACACAGAUCGUCCCAUGCAAUGUGAGGUCAGAAUUCAACAAUCUGACUGGAGACUCUGUGACAUUUGAGGCUCCUGGGGGCCCCUACACUAUGGAGAUUGAGAAAGGACGAAAGAUGACGCGGGUGGGAGGAGAUGGAUGGGCCCGUUUCAUCGACAACAUGCGUAUCACCGGUGGUGAGUUGAUCAGCUUCUCCUUCAGAGCUGAACGACCCAAGCUGGCCGUGAUUUAUAUCAACAAAGCAGAAGAUUAUGAGGAUGAUGAGGAUGAUGACGACCCACUCGGUGAUGCCAUCGUAGCUCAAAGAAUGAAGUUGAGCGAGGAGGAGGUGUGCAACCUAUGGGACAUCAUUCCGCCACGUGCUGACUUCGUCGGGGUGCCAUUCGUGACCCGUCUGACAAGUACCAUGGUUGAUCGGCAUAUGAUGGUAUGUUGCAUUUACUGUAGUUUUUAGAGUAAUUUGAUGAUAUGCUUUAUUGUUAUACUUAGUGUAGAGUCCGAUGAUAUAUAUGCAUAGUGAAUCUUAUAUGCUUUAUUAUUAUACUUUAGUGUAGAGUCCGAUCAUAUAUAUGCUUACUGAAUCUUAUAUGCUUAGUGAAUCUUAUAUGCUUUAUUGUUAUACUUAGUGUAGAGUCCGAUGAUAUAUAUGCUUAGUGAAUCUUAUAUGCUUUAUUGUUAUACUUAGUGUAGAGUCCGAUGAUAUAUAUACUUAGUGUAGAGUCCGAUGAUAUAUAUGCUUAGUGUAGAGUCCGAUGAUAUAUAUGCUUCGUGUAGAAUGUGUGAGGCUACUUAUUAGUUGAUAUGUUUUUCUUAUCCAGAAAUUGCCAAAGAGCCUAUCUGAGAGUUAUGGUAUCAAGCCUGAUGAAGAAGGCUCUGCUGGAAUACGCCUUACCGCAAGGGGCUCCGUCGCCACUUCUGCGUACGGCGUGGACACGGACGGUCGCACACACUUCAACUCGGUUCGGUGGAAGAGCUUCCUCGUCGGCAAGAAUCUUCAUGUUGAACAGACAAUCCUAAUUACUAUCAGGAACACCCACCGCCCAUGCUUGAGGAUGAUGGUCGUCAUCGACAUCAUCUAGAACUUCAUAUGCAUGCGUGUGGCUGUUGAACCAUAUAUAUGCUAGUAUGACUACCUAGUAGACUUAUCAACUAUGAUCUAUCCAUGCAUUGUUGACUACUAAAUGAGUUUGUGAGAUUGUGUGGUUAUAUUAAAUGUGGUACUGUCGUUAAUGUUUGUGAGAUGGUUCUGUGAACUUAGUUUAUUUGCACUGGACUUGUCUUGAUUUCCAUGAAUAUUGCACCUGACUCCUUUUUUUAUUUUUUAUUUCUAUUUGCCUAGUUGUAGCGUGGGGAGAAAAUAGGGCGCUACUACUACGUGAUGAUAGUAGUAGCGCUGGUGGAGGAAGCAUCGCUACUAAUAAGUAUUUUAGCUGCAUCGCUUGUUCAGAAAUGCGCUACUGUUAAAUAAUAGCUGUAGCACCUAGCAGUAGCGCGGGUGCCCGCGCUACUGGUAUGUAAAAAACCAGCGCCACUAGUAAGCUUUUCUCUAGUAGUAUAGCCAUUGUUUAUGCCAGACAACUCUUCUUCCUGCUCGUCAGAUGCCAUGGAGAAAACUGUUCAAGGAGGAAAAUGGUGAGUGGAGGUGUGAUGCGGUCUUGCUCGACAUCUGACAUUGUUUAAACAGCUAGGGGACACGAGGAGCCAACCAGUGUUCUGUUUAAUGCCAGCCGGCUCGCGAACGGACAUGUGGCCGGAGUAAUUAUCCUGGCAUAAGCGCGGGUUUAAUGGUGGAAGGCAGGCAGUCUGUAGGAAUGAGGCGAGGAUGUGUGUUUAGCGGGCGUGCAGCGGGGCAGCACCCUCGGCUGGCGUGCCGCUUCCGUUGCGAAGGCAGUGAGAGGCCGCGUCCGCUCUGCAGUGGCAUGAAUGCGGGCAGCUGGCGCGCCACUUCCAUUGCGAAGGCAGCGAGAAGCCGCGUCCGCUCUGCAGCGGCAUGAAUGCUGGCAGCUGGCGCAGAGCGGGAACGCGUGCGGGCGAGGGAGGAGGGGGUUUGGGUGGGCACGGGUGGUCAGAAGCGGUUGUGGGUGUUGUCCGGAUGCCUGCAAAGCCACCAUCCCCAUGUUCGUCUUCGGUUUGUGGGAGAAAGUACGUACGGAUCGCCCUGUGGACCGAUACAAGCCCGCAUUCGAUGGCACAACACGUCCAGACCAUGUGGUCCGAAUGGUUGUAGAUGGUUUAUUUGAGAGUCGGUGUUGGAUAUGCCUUAGAGUUUAUGAUACCAUUGUGUUUUUCUAAUCAUAAAAAAAUACUUAUAAUAAGUUAUAAGGAAAGACACGUAUAUAUGUUAGGUUCACACUCCAGCUUUCCUCUUACAUAUGUUUUUUCUGAUCCGACUGAUUCCAAUAGAGUGAGCCUAGCGUUGUUUUUCUAAAAACUCGAGGGAUAAGGAGACAUGCAUACACAUUGUUUCAAGCAAAUCACAUCCACUCUUUUUAACUCAUUUUUUCUUGUUUUAAUAAUAUAAUAAAUCAUUUUUAAUUUUUAUUUCAAAUAGUUGACGUGUAAUUUAUAUUGUAAUCUAAGGAAAAUGUUUGGAUUUUACUUUGAAAUAUAUUUCAAAUGGCCAUGAUGGAAUCACAUCCAUUUACUUUAUUUUUAUUUGGAUUUGCUUCAAAAGAUAAAUAAUGGGUAGAGGUCAUGUCAACUUUUCUGAGAAGUUUGCUAAUCAAAAUAUAAUUUUUAUCUUAAUACAAUCCAUUAUUUGACUACUCUAUUGAUUUGUAUUUAAAGACAUCUAUUUUUAGCACGCAUGAAAAACAUAACACAUAUCUUUCCACACAUAAUGAACGGUUGUCAUUAGAAUUCAUGCCAUGCCACAGCCUCCCUCUGACCCUGCCAAUAUUGUUGCAGCUGCGCUCGCAAGCCUUUGCGUAGAUGAUCAUUUAUAUGAUUUGUGUAAAACAAAAUAAGAUCUACAAACGAAUAGAAGCUAGAGCGUACCUUGGCGUGCACACACAUUGCAAGCCAUACUAACUUGAUAAGUGUUAAUGACUUGUACAACAUAUACAUCAAUUAAGACAAGUAAAAGCGAUUUGAUGAGUCAUGGUCUAUCAAAGCAGCCACAUUACUAGUCUAAUCCAUCUUAACAGGUCACGCAUGAUUACAAUCUUGUUUGUGUGCAAGUCAAGCCUAUCUAGUUUACACGUAACAACUUGUAGAACAUUACAAAAUUGAUGUUUGCUAAUAACUUCUAGAACACUACAACACUUGACAUGUAAAAGGAAUUUGAUGAGUCAUGGCCUACUAAAGCAAGUUACAUUACUAGUCUUAUCUAUCUUAACAUGCCACACAAGAUUACAAACUAAGUUCUGUGCCAGCCAUGCUUAUCUAGUUUAUGUGUAAAAAUUUGCAAAACAUUACAAACUUAGUUUCAGAAAAGUAGGCAAUCUAGAUUAGUGUUUGAGUUGUAAAGUGAAGAAGAUGAGUCAUGCGUGUUAUCACACCUUUUUGGUGGUGGAAUGAUAGUGCAACAACAAGGAACUUUAAUGACUAGUCCAAGAAUACACUUGUAAGUAGUGCCACCAAACACAACAUACCAAAUUAUGAUUUUGGGAAGCAUCCAAACACUUUACACACAAGCAAAUGCCAAUUGUGAAAGAGAUCAUGCCAUGACAGCUAUAAAUAGGCCCGUAGCAUGAUGAUCAUCCUUCCUCAUCCAUCAUUCUCAUAAGUAGAGUGCAUCAUUAAAGGCAAGCAAGCAGUGGUCAAUACAAAUCCAUCAUGAAGACCUUUCUCAUCCUUGCCCUCGUGGCGACCACCGCCACAACUGCAGUUAGAGUUCCAGUGCCACAAUUGCAGCCACAAAAUCCAUCUCAGCAACAGCCACAAGAGCAAGUUCCAUUGGUACAACAACAACAAUUUCCAGGGCAGCAACAACAAUUUCCACCACAACAGCCAUAUCCGCAGCCGCAACCAUUUCCAUCACAACAACCAUAUCUGCAGCUGCAACCAUUUCCGCAGCCGCAACCAUUUCUGCCACAACUACCAUAUCCGCAGCCGCAAUCAUUUCCACCACAACAACCAUAUCCACAACAGCGACCAAAGUAUCUACAACCACAACAACCAAUUUCGCAGCAACAAGCACAACAACAACAACAACAACAACAACAACAACAACAACAACAACAACAACAACAACAAAUCCUUCAACAAAUUUUGCAACAACAACUGAUUCCAUGCAGGGAUGUUAUCUUGCAACAACACAACAUAGCGCAUGCAAGCUCACAAGUUUUGCAACAAAGUACUUACCAGCUAUUGCAACAAUUGUGUUGUCAACAACUGUUGCAGAUCCCUGAGCAGUCGAGGUGCCAAGCCAUACAUAAUGUUGUUCAUGCUAUUAUUAUGCAUCAACAAGAACAACAACAACAGUUGCAACAACAACAACAACAGCAACUGCAACAACAACAACAACAACAACAACAACAACAACAACAACAACAACCGUCAAGCCAGGUCUCCUUCCAACAGCCUCAGCAGCAAUAUCCAUCAAGCCAGGUCUCCUUCCAGCCAUCUUAGCUAAACCCACAAGCUCAGGGCUCCGUCCAACCUCAACAACUGCCCCAGUUCGCGGAAAUAAGGAACCUAGCGCUACAGACGCUACCUGCAAUGUGCAAUGUCUACAUCCCUCCACAUUGCUCGACCACCAUUGCGCCAUUUGGCAUCUUUGGUACCAACUGAGAAGAGAAGAACUCUAGUACUAGAUAUAUGAAACACCGUUUUCUUAGUCCAUGAUUUGGUCGUUGUAGCAGUGAAAAAAUAAAGUGACAUGCACUAUCAUGUAAGAACCCGAACUAUACUAGUUCAAACUUGGGAAUAAAAGACAAACACAUGUCUUGUCUACAUAUGAUUGUUUGUUUGAGUUCCAUUCAUGUGCCAUCACAAGUUCACCCCUAAUUAUAUAUAUUAUGCAUUAAGUAGAUAUUUAUGUUGCAUUAAUCUAAAGAUAAAAAAAUGAGUCUGAAACUUGAAUUAAAUUGAAGUAUUUUCUAGGACUUCCAAAUGGAGUAUUAUUAAAGUAGUAAGGACAAUCCACAUCCUUGGCUUGCCCUUUAUCAAUUAUUUCCAGAGAAGCAUUCAAUUCAUCAAUCAAUUACAUCGAUUUUUGUGGCUGGUACUUCUCCUCAACAUGAGUAUAUUCAUUGCGGCUACUCCAAAUCGGCAUGAAUGAGGUACUGGUGCUCUGGAGCAGUGCUAGCUGACUGCUUCUCAUGUGAAGGGACGCAGGCACAGGAGAGGUGUUCCGGGUGGGCCAGGGGAGUAAGAAGUGGCCAUGGCAGUGGUUCGGACGCUUGCAAAGUCCCGUAGUUUGUAUAUGGUUUACGGGAAAAUGCACAUUUGGACCGGCCUGCGGGCCGAUAUAGGACCGUAUUGGAUGGAGAAACAUGUCCUCAUCGUUGUGAGCGGUUUGAGGGUUAGGUUUGGAGAUAGCCCUUACUUGGCCCCUCGUUCUGAAAACACGUUUGACGAUAGUUUUGUCUCGGUUCAAAUAUAUGUCAAGUUUGACAAAGUUCAUAGGAAUUUUUUUAUCAUAUCUACAGUACCAUACAAAUACACCGUAGACAAAAAACAUAUUUCACACUGCACCAUGAAUUGGUCAGGUAAAUGUUGGGUAUGGAGACUCUAUUCUCUUUUGGCAUGAGUUGCCUCGGUCUCAAAAGUUUCAUGAACUGUUCUCUUUUGCCACUAAGAAAAAGCUCUCUUUGCCUGAUUUUAUUCAUAGUGACCAUAUGGCUCUCUAUUUUCAUAGGCAUAUCACCCUGCAAGCUCUUGCUCAAUUCAUUGACAUCAUUGACUUAGUUCAUUAAAAAAAUUCAAUAAAGGGAAUAAAAUAAUAUCACGAAGAUACCAAUUACACCCGUCCUCUCUAUCAACAAGAUAUGCAAAGACAUCAAGGAUACGCACAGCCAGAAAAAAUAUAGAAGAAAAAAGACUGCUCCAAGGUGAUAAAUCACUAGCAUCAGUAGCACUCUAAGCACACCGAAGACAACGUCCAGAUUACAAAAAAGGUUCUCCAAAAGCAACCCCCCAAGAAGGAAACAAUGCACAAGCGUUGUCAUUAUCCGAUUGGAGAUCGUGGGUUUUCACCCUAGAAAAAUUCGAAGCUCACCCAAAAACAUUGCCUUCAACUAGGCCAUUGCCAGGUACAACCAAUAAAGGCUAGACCUUAGAUUUUUACCCUAGGAAUUGAGACUUAGUACUCGAGGAGUACAACCAAAAAUGCAGUCCUCCAGUGAUGGCGCUCCCGCUUGCCGAGCUCGCUGUUUUGGGUCACCAAACACCUGGCGCACAUUCUUUCUGGCAUCAAUUACACCCUUCCACCAAAGCUUCAAGACCUCCAAUCGCAGCCGCCAUGACUUUAUCCACCUCUAUCAAUGCCUUGAGAAUCUUCACUUGGACAUGUCCCAUGACACCAAUAAGAAAUCAAAGCUUCUUGCCGCGCCCUCUUGAGGUCGUGUUGGCUGAUAAUAUGGGCGUGCGCUACUGGAGCCUUUCCGAUCUAGAUAUCCAGGGUCGACAUACACCAAUCCAUAUAGAUCUCCGAUGGGAAAGACCGAAACUCGUCAACGACUAGAUCUAAGAUGUCGACAUCCAGCAGAAAGACGACUUGGCGGAAGAAUAGUACUAGGGCCAAUCCACCAUUAUUAGGCCAAACCUAACAUCCCCACAUGCCGCCCUCCUCUUGAUGUAGACCUACAGACAAAUAUCAGCGACGCCGCAUCGUGCCACCUGCAUCUAUUGAGGCCCGAACUUGGCAAGAUGCCAACCAUGGCAGGAGACUGGGACUAGCCACUCCUGGGCACUGAUCCGGCAAUUCCCUGGCCCACCCCUGCCACUACGGCGACACCGCGGGUAGCCUACAAGCCCAUCCACGACAAUGCCUGAUUAGAAGGAUACAUGGAUAUACAGAUGGAAAGACCCUUGUUAUUGCUCAAGCAAUAUAUAUAUAAAGCUUAAUGGGGCCUAAGAAAGCUCGCACAAUUUUACGGUGGCUAUGGAAAUGUAUUGCCAAACUGAGACAUAAGAUUUUCGUUUGGCAUCCAGACCGUUUGUGUCAUUCUUAAUUUAUGGUCACUCUAAUUUUUCCGGCUGGGCCUUCCCUGUGGUACCGCAGCAAGGCAUGCGUGUGUAUACGUUUCCUUUAAGUACCAUGUGCAGGAUGAUGAUUUACUGCACGCAUGUGCGGGGGCACUCAUGUCCUGGUGCCGGGUUUUUAUUUUGGCUUCCGAUUUUCAAACUUCUAUAUCUUCUAAGCCAAAAAUUCAAUUUAAGUUAUGUAUUCAUAUUCGUGUUUUUCGCGGCCAGCGCUUUCAAAUAAGAUCCAUUUUGAAUACAUUUUGGCGACUUUUUGAAACACUGUUAAGUUUCAUUGUUUGAAACUUAGUACGAGCGACCAAUAAAAUUCAAUUAUUUUGUGUCUACGACCAACAGAGAAAUUUUCUUAAAAUUACAUCUUUGAAACUUGUUGAAACCGGGCAUUUUUUGAUGCAAAAAGGUAAGUUUCAUCAUUGAAACUUUAAGGUUUUUGAGGGAUUUUUUUCCUUGUGGAGCUUUGGAAAUGAGAGAAUUUGAUAAAGUAAAUCUCGGAAACUCUUAUUGGACGAGAGAGAUUUAAUAUGAUAUUGGCAUGGAUUCUACCAACUAAACGAAGAAGUAUUUGAUUUGGUAAACAGACAAUUUCCUUUAAUCGAUGAACAUUUUAGGAAAAUUGGUGGAACAACUUUUGAAAUUCAAAAAAAAAAUUCUUGAUUUAACGAACAUUUUUUAACUUAACGAACAUUUUUAAAAAAUACAUGAUCAUUUUUUUGAAUCUGUGAUCGUUUUAUGAAUGAAUAAACUAGUUUGUAAGUCAUGAACAGUUUUUAAAAUUUUAGGGUAUUUUUCCAUUCAUGAACAGUUUUUGAAUUGCUGAAAUUUUGUUCAAUUUCAUUAACAAUUUUUAGUACACAAACCUUUUUAAAAAAUCAUGGACAUUAACUAGUACGUGAAAUCCCUAAUUAUUUAAAGUAGAAAAAAUAGAAAAGAGAAAGUAAUGGAAAAUGAAGUUAAAAAAAUAGGCCGACCGAACAUGGGCCGGCCCAAACGGGCGCGUUGCGUCUUCUCCCAGCGUGUAGAGCGCAGCAUACGUGGUCCCUACUGCAUGGGUCGGCCCAAGCGGAAGAUUUGUCUGUGUGAAACUUUUUUUAUCACGUACUGGUGGCAUUGGUGCAUAAUGCAUGUUUGCAUCUUUAGGGGCACUUUUCCUGACGUACCGCUAGAAGCAAUAGCCAUUUUAUUAUUAGUUAGAGAUUAGGUAUAGAUAUGAACCACCGGUAAAUUAGGUAGACGAUAGAUGACGACUCUAAAGAAGAUCACAUGUGUCAAGCUUGGAAUAGGCUAACAGAUGUUAGGGCAUCUCAAAUGUAAACCCAUAAAACAGACAUCACAAAUGUCCUUGAACACAAAACGGGCAUGAUAGGGGAGGGAGCCAUCAAACCUUGAUGGCUGCUACCCAUAUUUCUCUCACAUUUCUCCAGCAUUUCAUCGAACAGUUGAUGUGCAGUAGUAGGACACGUCUGGUUCACGCAGCUGGCGCGUCAUGGGAGUUCUGCCUCAUCGGGCAUGACUGAUGUGUCGCAGGAUGACGGGUGUGGUCUCGGGCGCGUCAGUAGCGGCCACGACGACAAGAGGAGGCCGCGCCAUGGGCGGAGCUAGCCACGGGAGCCAGCAUUGGCGCGGCACUAGACACAGCCAGCCCACGACAUGCCGGGCACGGUGGCAAGAGAGCUUCAUGAGGCCAGAGCCGAGCUAGGCCUUGAGUUGUUCGCCGAGCAGCCAUGGAGGGCAUGGGGAGAUGAGAUGCACAGGGAGAGAGGAGUGGAGAGAUAGGAGGAGGCGGAGAUGAGGAUGGAGUGCUCGCUGGCAGCUGCCCUCAUGGUCGUCCGUAGCCGGCGUAAGUGCUCUCCGUUUAGUGUUAUUUGUACAGAGAGGGAGGGAGUGGAGAUGUGGUGUUUCUUUUGGUUAGCUGGAUGUUCAGACUCUCGCAUAGUCCCUCAAAUUUGUUCCUGUGAUAUCGAAAUUUGAACAUGUGGGCUGGUCCGCGGAUAUUUAGAGGUCCCCACUUGAAGAAUAAAAGUGGUCUAGACACUACUAUCUGACAUUUUGCCCUUAGUAGUUGGUGGAUAUCGAUGUGCUGUCCCUCCAACCUAUAUUAAAAGAUUCAUUCACCAUCCGAUCCCUUCUACAAAACACGUCAUUGCUUUCCAUGAUUCUCUUUUGUCAAUGUGUGAAAUAUUAGAAUUUGAGUUGUUUGGUGAAAUGUACGAGCUGACCGCCAAAAGGACAGAUUUUUACUUUUAUUUUCUACUAUUUUCUUUAUUUUAUAGUUUUUGGCAAGUGCAUUUUCAUAUGGUCAAUGUCUAGACCAUUUGAACAGUUUAUUUUGAAUUUGUUUCUUCCAUUCUAGCUAAAUAUAAGAAUUUACAAUGUUCGUUUUAAUUCUUUGGAAUAAACAUUUAUUACUAGUAUUAAAAAGACUAAAUUAGCUGCCGCAUUUUUAUUCCCUAAUCANNNNNNNNNNNNNNNNNNNNNNNNNNNNNNNNNNNNNNNNNNNNNNNNNNNNNNNNNNNNNNNNNNNNNNNNNNNNNNNNNNNNNNNNNNNNNNNNNNNNNNNNNNNNNNNNNNNNNNNNNNNNNNNNNNNNNNNNNNNNNNNNNNNNNNNNNNNNNNNNNNNNNNNNNNNNNNNNNNNNNNNNNNNNNNNNNNNNNNNNNNNNNNNNNNNNNNNNNNNNNNNNNNNNNNNNNNNNNNNNNNNNNNNNNNNNNNNNNNNNNNNNNNNNNNNNNNNNNNNNNNNNNNNNNNNNNNNNNNNNNNNNNNNNNNNNNNNNNNNNNNNNNNNNNNNNNNNNNNNNNNNNNNNNNNNNNNNNNNNNNNNNNNNNNNNNNNNNNNNNNNNNNNNNNNNNNNNNNNNNNNNNNNNNNNNNNNNNNNNNNNNNNNNNNNNNNNNNNNNNNNNNNNNNNNNNNNNNNNNNNNNNNNNNNNNNNNNNNNNNNNNNNNNNNNNNNNNNNNNNNNNNNNNNNNNNNNNNNNNNNNNNNNNNNNNNNNNNNNNNNNNNNNNNNNNNNNNNNNNNNNNNNNNNNNNNNNNNNNNNNNNNNNNNNNNNNNNNNNNNNNNNNNNNNNNNNNNNNNNNNNNNNNNNNNNNNNNNNNNNNNNNNNNAUUCAUAUUUAAAAGGUAUGAUAGAACAAAAGUUAUUUUUUCAAUCAAGUCUUGAAAUUGAAUAAAUUUAUAAUGUAUAUACAUAUAUUUCCAUACAUUUGUAUGUGUUUAUCGAGAUUUUAUUGUCAUUAAAUAUCAUGUUAGGGAUUUCAAAAGUGUGCUUUCUAACAUGUAUCUUAGUUGUAGUUUCUAGUGCAAUACUAUGUAAUCAUAUUUACAGAAAUUUCUAGAGCAUGAAAUAUAUGUCUUGCAAGUUGCAUUCCGUAAUAAGUUGGCAUCAUGACCAUGCUAUUGGUUACAAUUAUUUUUUAUUUUAGAUGAUAACAAAUAACAAAAAAAUUUAUAAAAUAUAAGGGUGAAUCAUGCAAGUGAGGAGAACACACCAAUGAUGAAAGACAUUGCAUUUCCACGUGGAAUUCAUAUUGACAAACCUUAAGAAUCACAUGCAUUUGUAUGUUUUUACAAAUUAUGCCCCAUUUGCGGGACUCAAAUACAAGUCAGUUCAGGGUGUGGAGCUACGAGAAAACGUAGCAUUCAAGACUAGAUGAGCCACCGACUUAAAAAACAAAUAAGUAAAAAUGGAGCAAAUAGGAGUAGCUGGAAAAUUAUUUGAAAGAUUAAGAGUAGCUGGAAAGUUAUUUGAAGGAAAUGGAGCAAAUAGCUAUGCAAGAAGUGCUCUCGCUAGAAAAUAAAUGUUGCAUUAGAUGAUCGACUUGAAAACACACAUAUGAAGUGGUGGAGCCAGAAUUUUCACAAUGGGUAUGUGAUACAUCUCCAACGUAUCUAUAAUUUUUAAUUGUUUCAUGCUAUUAUAUUAUCCAUCUUGGAUGUUUUAUAUGCAUGUAUAUGCUAUUUUAUAUGAUUUUUGGGACUAACCUAUUAACCUAGAGCCCAGUGCCAGUUUUUGUUUUUUCCUUGUUUUUGAGUUUUACACAAAAGGAAUACCAAACGGAGUCCAAUUGACCUGAAAAUUGACGGAGAUUGUUUUUAGUGUUAUUGGCAUAAUGCAUCGUGUAUAUAUCAUUUUGCUUUUUGUACACAGAUCGUCCCAUGCAAUGUGAGGUCAGAAUUCAACAAUCUGACUGGAGACUCUGUGACAUUUGAGGCUCCUGGGGGCCCCUACACUAUGGAUAUCGAGAAAGGACGAAAGAUGACGCGGGUGGGAGGAGAUGGAUGGGCCCGUUUCAUCGACAACAUGCGUAUCACCGGUGGUGAGUUGAUCAAGCUGGCCGUGAUUUAUAUCAACAAAGCAUAAGAUUAUGAGGAUGAUGAGGAUGAUGAUGACCCACUCGGUGAUGCCAUCAUAGCUCAAAGAAUGAAGUUGAGCGAGGAGGAGGUGUGCAACCUAUGGGACAUCAUUCCGCCACGUGCUGACUUCGUCGGGGUGCCAUUCGUGACCCGUCUGACAAGUACCAUGGUUGAUCGGCAUAUGAUGGUAUGUUGCAUUUACUGUAGUUUUUACAGUAAUUUGAUGAUAUGCUUUAUUGUUAUACUUAGUGAAGAGUCCGAUGAUAUAUAUGCAUAGUGAAUCUUAUAUGCUUUAUUGUUAUACUCUAGUGUAGAGUCCGAUCAUAUAUAUGCUUACUGAAUCUUAUAUGCUUAGUGAAUCUUAUAUGCUUUAUUGUUAUACUUAGUGUAGAGUCCGAUGAUAUAUAUGCUUACUGAAUCUUAUAUGCUUAGUGCAUCUUAUAUUCUUAGUGCAUCUUAUAUGCUUUAUUGUUAUACUUAGUGUAGAGUCCGAUGAUAUAUAUACUUAGUGUAGAGUCCGAUGAUAUAUAUGCUUAGUGUAGAGUCCGGUGAUAUAUAUGCUUCGUGUAGAAUGUGUGAGGCUACUUAUUAGUUGAUACGUUUUUCUUAUUCAGAAAUUGCCAAAGAGCCUAUCUGAGAGUUGUGGUAUCAAGCCUGAUGAAGAAGGCUCUGCUGGAAUACGCCUUACCGCAAGGGGCUCCGUCGCCACUUGUGCAUAUGGCGAGGACACGGACGGUCGCACACACUUCAACUCGGUUGGGUGGAAGAGCUUCCUCAUCGGCAAGAAUCUUCAUGUUGAACAGACAAUCCUAAUUACUAUCAGGAAUACCCACCGCCCAGGCUUGAGGAUGAUGGUCGUCAUCGACAUCAUCUAGAACUUCAUAUGCAUGCGUGUGGCUGUUGAACCAUAUAUAUUUGCUAGUAUGACUACCUAGUAGACUUAUCAACUAUGAUCUAUCCAUGCAUUGUUGACUACUAUAUGAGUUUGUGAGAUUGUGUGGUUAUAUUAAAUGUGGUACUGUCAUUAAUGUUUGUGAGAUGGUUCUGUGAACUUAGUUUAUUUGCACUGGACUUGUCUUGAUCUCCAUGAACAUUGCACCUGACUGCUUUUUUUUAUUUUUUAUUUCUGUUUGCCUAGUUAUAGCGUGGGGAGAAAAUAGGGCGCUACUACUACGUGAUGAUAGUAGUAGCGCUGGUGGAGGAAGCAUCGCUACUAAUAAGUAUUUAAGCUGUAGCGCUUGUUCAGAAACGCGCUACUAUUGAAUAAUAGCUGUAGCGCCCUAGCAGUAGCGCGGGUGCCCGCGCUACUAGUAUGUAAAAAACCAGCACCACUAGUAAGCUUUUCUCUAGUAGUAUAGCCAUUGUUUAUGCCAGACAACUCUUCUUCCUGCUCGUCAGAUGCCAUGGAGAAAACUGUUCAAGGAGGAAAAUGGUGAGAAGAGGUCUGAUGCGGUCUUGCUCGACAUCUGACAUUGUUUAAACAGCGAGGGGACACGAGGAGCCAACCGGCGUUCUGUUUAAUGCCAGCCGGCUCGCGAACGGACAUGUGGCCGGAGUAAUUAUCCUGGCAUAAGCGCGGGUUUAAUGGUGGAAGGCGGGCAGUCUAUAGGAAUGAGGCGAGGAUGUGUGUUUAGCGGGCGUGCAGCGGGGCAGCACCCUUGGCUGGCGCGCCGCUUCCAUUGCGAAGGCAGUGAGAGGCCGCGUCCGCUCUGCAGUGGCAUGAAUACGGGCAGCUGGCGCGCCGCUUCCAUUGCGAAGGCAGUGAGAGGCCGCGUCCGCUCUGCAGCGGCAUGAAUGCGGGCAGCUGGCGCAGAGCGGGAACGCGUGCGGGCGAGGGAGGAGGGGGUUUGGGUGGGCACGGGUGGUCAGAAGCGGUUGUGGGUGUUGUCCGGACGCCUGCAAAGCCACCCUCCCCCAUGUUCGUCUCCGGUUUGCGGGAUAAAGUAUAUACGGAUCGCCCUGUGGACCGAUACAAGCCCGCAUUGGAUGGCACAACACGUCCAGACCAUGUGGUCCAGAUGGUUGUAGAUGGUUUAUUUGAGGGUCGGUGUUGGAUAUGCCUUAGAGUUUAUGAAUCCAUUGUGGUUUUCUAAUCAUAAAAAACACUUAUAAUAAGUUAUAAGGAAAGACACGUAUAUAUGUUAGGUUCACACUCCAGCUUUCCUCUUACAUAUGUUUUUUUCUGGUCCGACUGAUUCCAAUAGAGUGAGCCUAGCGUUGUUUUUCUAAAAACUCGAGGGAUAAGGAGACAUGCAUACACAUUGUUUCAAGCAAAUCACAUCCACUCUUUUUAACUCAUUUUUUCUUGUUUUAAUAAUAUAAUAAAUCAUUUUUAAUUUUUAUUUCAAAUAGUUGACGUGUAAUUUAUAUUGUAAUCUAAGGAAAAUGUUUGGAUUUUACUUUGAAAUAUAUUUCAAAUGGCCAUGAUGGAAUCACAUCCAUUUACUUUAUUAUUAUUUGGAUUUGAUUCAGAAGAUAAAUAAUGGGUAGAGGUCAUGUCUACUUUUCUGAGAAGUUUGCUAAUCAAAAUAUAAUUUUUAUCNNNNNNNNNNNNNNNNNNNNNNNNNNNNNNNNNNNNNNNNNNNNNNNNNNNNNNNNNNNNNNNNNNNNNNNNNNNNNNNNNNNNNNNNNNNNNNNNNNNNNNNNNNNNNNNNNNNNNNNNNNNNNNNNNNNNNNNNNNNNNNNNNNNNNNNNNNNNNNNNNNNNNNNNNNNNNNNNNNNNNNNNNNNNNNNNNNNNNNNNNNNNNNNNNNNNNNNNNNNNNNNNNNNNNNNNNNNNNNNNNNNNNNNNNNNNNNNNNNNNNNNNNNNNNNNNNNNNNNNNNNNNNNNNNNNNNNNNNNNNNNNNNNNNNNNNNNNNNNNNNNNNNNNNNNNNNNNNNNNNNNNNNNNNNNNNNNNNNNNNNNNNNNNNNNNNNNNNNNNNNNNNNNNNNNNNNNNNNNNNNNNNNNNNNNNNNNNNNNNNNNNNNNNNNNNNNNNNNNNNNNNNNNNNNNNNNNNNNNNNNNNNNNNNNNNNNNNNNNNNNNNNNNNNNNNNNNNNNNNNNNNNNNNNNNNNNNNNNNNNNNNNNNNNNNNNNNNNNNNNNNNNNNNNNNNNNNNNNNNNNNNNNNNNNNNNNNNNNNNNNNNNNNNNNNNNNNNNNNNNNNNUAAUACAAUCCAUUAUUUGACUACUCUAUUUAUUUGUAUUUAAAAACAUCUAUUUUUAGCACGCAUGAAAAACAUAACACAUAUCUUUCCACACAUAAUGAACGGUUGUCAUUAGAAUUCAUGCCAUGCCACAGCCUCCCUCUGACCCUGCCAAUAUUGUUGCAGCUGCGCUCGCAAGCCUUGGCGUAGAUGAUCAUUUAUAUGAUUUGUGUAAAACAAAAUAAGGUCUACAAACGAAUAGAAGCUAGAGUAUACCUUGGCGUGCACACACAUUGCAAGCCAUACUAACUUGAUAAGUGUUAAUGACUUGUACAACAUAUACAACACUUAAGACAAGUAAAAGCAAUUUGAUGAGUCAUGGUCUAUCAAAGCAAGCCACAUUACUAGUCUAAUCCAUCUUAACAGGUCACGCAUGAUUACAAUCUUGUUUAUGUGCAAGUCAAGCCUAUCUAGUUUACACGUAACAACUUGUAGAACAUUACAAAAUUGAUGUUUGCUAAUAACUUCUAGAACACUACAACACUUGACAUGUAAAAGGAAUUUGAUGAGUCAUGGCCUACUAAAGCAAGUUACAUUACUAGUCUUAUCUAUCUUAACAUGCCACACAAGAUUACAAACUAAGUUCUGUGCCAGCCAUGCUUAUCUAGUUUAUGUGUAAAAAUUUGCAAAACAUUACAAACUUAGUUUCAGAAAAGUAGGCAAUCUAGAUUAGUGUUUGAGUUGUAAAGUGAACAAGAUGAGUCAUGCAUGUUAUCACACCUUUUUGGUGGUGGAAUGAUAGUGCAACAACAAGGAACUUUAAUGACCAGUCCAAGAAUACACUUGUAAGUAGUGCCACCAAACACAACAUACCAAAUUAUGAUUUUGGGAAGCAUCCAAACACUUUACACACAAGCAAAUGCCAAUUGUGAAAGAGAUCAUGCCAUGACAGCUAUAAAUAGGCCCGUANNNNNNNNNNNNNNNNNNNNNNNNNNNNNNNNNNNNNNNNNNNNNNNNNNNNNNNNNNNNNNNNNNNNNNNNNNNNNNNNNNNNNNNNNNNNNNNNNNNNNNNNNNNNNNNNNNNNNNNNNNNNNNNNNNNNNNNNNNNNNNNNNNNNNNNNNNNNNNNNNNNNNNNNNNNNNNNNNNNNNNNNNNNNNNNNNNNNNNNNNNNNNNNNNNNNNNNNNNNNNNNNNNNNNNNNNNNNNNNNNNNNNNNNNNNNNNNNNNNNNNNNNNNNNNNNNNNNNNNNNNNNNNNNNNNNNNNNNNNNNNNNNNNNNNNNNNNNNNNNNNNNNNNNNNNNNNNNNNNNNNNNNNNNNNNNNNNNNNNNNNNNNNNNNNNNNNNNNNNNNNNNNNNNNNNNNNNNNNNNNNNNNNNNNNNNNNNNNNNNNNNNNNNNNNNNNNNNNNNNNNNNNNNNNNNNNNNNNNNNNNNNNNNNNNNNNNNNNNNNNNNNNNNNNNNNNNNNNNNNNNNNNNNNNNNNNNNNNNNNNNNNNNNNNNNNNNNNNNNNNNNNNNNNNNNNNNGUCCAACCUCAACAACUGCCCCAGUUCGCGGAAAUAAGGAACCUAGCGCUACAGACGCUACCUGCAAUGUGCAAUGUCUACAUCCCUCCACAUUGCUCGACCACCAUUGCGCCAUUUGGCAUCUUUGGUACCAACUGAGAAGAGAAGAACUCUAGUACUAGAUAUAUGAAACACCGUUUUCUUAGUCCAUGGUUUGGUCGUUGUAGCAGUGAAAAAAUAAAGUGACAUGCACUAUCAUGUAAGAACCCGAACUAUACUAGUUCAAACUUGGGAAUAAAAGACAAACACAUGUCUUGUCUACAUAUGAUUGUUUGUUUGAGUUCCAUUCAUGUGCCAUCACAAGUUCACCCCUAAUUAUAUAUAUUAUGCAUUAAGUAGAUAUUUAUGUUGCAUUAAUCUAAAGAUAAAAAAAUGAGUCUGAAACUUGAAUUAAAUUGAAGUAUUUUCUAGGACUUCCAAAUGGAGUAUUAUUAAAGUAGUAAGGACAAUCCACAUCCUUGGCUUGCCCUUUAUCAAUUAUUUCCAGAGAAGCAUUCAAUUCAUCAAUCAAUUACAUCGAUUUUUGUGGCUGGUACUUCUCCUCAACAUGAGUAUAUUCAUUGCGGCUACUCCAAAUCGGCAUGAAUGAGGUACUGGUGCUCUGGAGCAGUGCUAGCUGACUGCUUCUCAUGUGAAGGGACGCAGGUGCAGGAGAGGUGUUCCGGGUGGGCCAGGGGAGUAAGAAGUGGCCAUGGCAGUGGUUCGGACGCUUGCAAAGUCCCGUAGUUUGUAUAUGGUUUAUGGGAAAAUGCACAUUUGGACUGGCCCGCGGGCCGAUAUAGGACCGUAUUGGAUGGAGAAACAUGUCCUCAUCGUUGCGAGCGGUUUGAGGGUUAGGUUUGGAGAUAGCCCUUACUUGGCCCCUCAUUCUGAAAACAUGUUUGACGAUAGUUUUGUCUCGGUUCAAAUAUAUGUCAAGUUUAACAAAGUUCAUAGGAAUUUUUUUAUCAUAUCUACAGUACCAUACAAAUACACCGUAGACAAAAAACAUAUUUCACACUGCACCAUGAAUUGGUCAGGUAAAUGUUGGGUAUGGAGACUCUAUUCUCUUUUGGCAUGAGUUGCCUCGGUUCCAAAAGUUUCAUGAACUGUUCUCUUUUGCCACUAAGGAAAAGCUCUCUUUGCCUGAUUUUAUUCAUAGUGACCAUAUGGCUCUCUAUUUUCAUAGGCAUAUCACCCUGCAAGCUCUUGCUCAAUUCAUUGACAUCAUUGACUUAGUUCAUCGAAAAAAUUCAAUAAAGGGAAUAAAAUAAUAUCACGAAGAUACCAAUUACACCCGUCCUCUGUCACACCCUGCAUUUUGUAACAUUUCAUUUUCAAUAUUAAAGCAUGAAAAUUUGGACCAACAAAAACUUUUUGCAUUAUUUGGCUUUUAUUUGGAGUUGGUUUCCUCUCUGUGUUUCUUUCAAGUGCUUCUUGAAGUCAACUACUCUACCCUCUAAAUUCCAUCUCCUUACCCCAAGCUCCUGACCAAUGACCAUGCCAUGUGAAUAGUGCUAUAUAGAAUUUUCUUACAAAAAUAAUUUGGCCAGAAAGUAUUUUCUAAAAUUAGUUUUCCAAAAACCCCUGAAUUGAGGUUUGCACUGCAAGUACUUGAUUAAGGGCAGUAAAAAUCUUUCCAAAAAUACAUUUGACUCCUAUUAGAUAUAGGAUACCCAGAAACCACAAAAAUAUAAUUUUAAAAGUUACUGUUCUAUUUUAUUUAAAGGAUUUUUCUUAAGGCCAGAAAUGGUCUUUAAUAGGAAAAAAUUANNNNNNNNNNNNNNNNNNNNNNNNNNNNNNNNNNNNNNNNNNNNNNNNNNNNNNNNNNNNNNNNNNNNNNNNNNNNNNNNNNNNNNNNNNNNNNNNNNNNACUGGUCGGAGACCGGAGAAGGACUUGUCUUUGGGCCUGAUAUCCUUCGUGAAGCAGAAGAGCAAGUCCAGCUUGUCAGAGAGCGUCUGAAGUCUGCCAAGUCAAGGCAGAAGAGCUAUGCGGACUCACGUCGCAGAGACAUAAACUUCCGAGUUGGAGACCAUGUCUAUCUCCGGGUCACCCCUCUCAAAGGAGCCCAGCGCUUUCAUGUCAAGGGAAAGCUCGCUCCGAGAUACAUUGGGCCCUUCAAGAUCACUGAGCGACGAGGGGAGGUGGCUUACCAGUUGGAACUUCCACCUGAACUUUCUGAUGUGCACAACGUGUUCCACGUGUCACAACUCCGGAAGUGUCUCCAAGUUCCAGACAAGCCCGACCUCUACAAGGACGUCAAUCAUCAAGCCAUUGAUCUUCAACCUGAUUUGACUUAUCGUGAGCGGCCCAUCUGCAUUCUGGAUGAGGCUGAACGAUGCACUCGAAGCCGCACCAUCAAGUACUUCAAAGUCCAAUGGAGCAAUCACACCGAAGCAGAAGCAACUUGGGAGCGUGAAGACUACCUUAGAUCCGAAUUUCCGUAUCUCUUUUAAGCCUAGUUUACGAAUCUCGGGGACGAGAUUCUUGUAAGGGGGGUAGGUCUGUCACACCCUGCAUUUUGUAACAUUUCAUUUUCAAUAUUAAAGCAUGAAAAUUUGGACCAACAAAAACUUUUUGCACUAUUUGGCUUUUAUUUGGAGUUGGUUUCCUCUCUGUGUUUCUUUCAAGUGCUUCUUGAAGUCAACUACUCUACCCUCUAAAUUCCAUCUCCUUACCCCAAGCUCCUGACCAAUGACCAUGCCAUGUGAAUAGUGCUAUAUAGAAUUUUCUUACAAAAAUAAUUUGGCCAGAAAGUAUUUUCUAAAAUUAGUUUUCCAAAAACCCCUGAAUUGAGGUUUGCACUGCAAGUACUUGAUUAAGGGCAGUAAAAAUCUUUCCAAAAAUACAUUUGACUCCUAUUAGAUAUAGGAUACCCAGAAACCACAAAAAUAUAAUUUUAAAAGUUACUGUUCUAUUUUAUUUAAAGGAUUUUUCUUAAGGCCAGAAAUGGUCCUUAAUAGGAAAAAAUUACUUUACUGUUUCAAAAAUAUUUGACAAAAUUUAGGGAAACUCAUAGGACAUAUAUUGUCCAUAUAUAAGAGUUUCAACACCUGGUCAUGUUCAAAAUAUUGGUCAAAUCCCUCUAAAACCCUUUCUGGAUAUUUCAAGCUUUUGAAAUAUUUACAAAGGAAAUAUUCUCCAAAAAUUCCAGGAAAAUUUCAUCAUGUCACAUAUGACAUAUUAGAUGAUCUUGCCAAGUCUCAUGACUUGGAGAACAAGAUAACACCAUCAAAACCCCUCAAAACUAUCUCUGUCCAUUCUGAAGUUUGAUCAACUUUACAUUGCCAAGUAUGUCCAAAUGUGCUCAAACUUGGUGGACAUGCUUCAUUGGUCUAAUGAUGCAUCUGGACCAAAUGGCACAGGUUGGGGAAUAGUAAGUCUUGGUCAAAGUGCCUCAAAACCCUCUCUGACCAGAGUCAAGUUUGAACUACUUUGCACUACCAACUUUUUCUCCAGGACCCCAACUUUGGUGAGCCUGAUCAUGUGACCAAAUAAGGCUACCACACCAAGUGGCACAUCAAGGAGAAAUGAUUUACUCCACUGGAUCUACACAAAUCCAUUUCUGCCCAUUUCUAGGGUUUGCAAAAGUUGCAUUGGCAACUUUGUCCAAAUAAGCUCAAAAUGGGUGGAAGGCUCUAAAUAUAUGUGACAUUUCACCCCAUGGAGUAUCUUGGCCAGUGGAAGUCAUUAGCUUACCCAAAACUCCAUCAAACACCUUCUGGCAAAAUACUAAAAAGCCUCUUUUUGCCACUUUCACUAAUCUCCUUGAGUUCAUCUUUUUACCACAACCCCUCCUCACUCCCCUCAGUCACUUAGACACUUUUCUACCCGAGGAAGCAAUGUGGAGGAAGGAGGGAAUCACGUUUGUCCUCUCUGGACAACAGCUUCCCUUCUCUCUCCCAGCCUCUCUCUCUCCCCUCUGCACCCCAGAGCAUCCCAGGCUCUUUCCAGGUUUUGCCCCCUUCCACUGUAGCCUCCAGACAGAAAAGGACGCGCGCACGACGCGGAAAACCCGCGGAUGCCGGCCAAAGUCGCGCUCUGGAGCGCCUGCCAGAGCGCCGACCGUUGACACCGCGCCUCCCGACCGCCUCGUGCCUUCCCAUCGCGCCAGUUGAUGUGUCUCGACGUCUGCGACACGCCGCCGUGCCGUCCCCAUUGUCUCUCCCUCUCUCUCCCCUCCUGCAGCGCGUGCCCGACGCCGCCCGGCUCGGCCAAUGGCCGGCCUCACACGCGCGGGCGCCAGAACCCUCCCCCGCUCUCUCUCCUCCUCCCUGGCGCCCUACUCCAUCCCCACGAACACCGUGGACAGCUCCAACUCCUCUCCCACGACCUCCAGAGCCGAUCCCGCGGGCGCCCGUAGGCCACGCCUACGGUGAACCGCGGCCAGCCCAUAUAAGGCGCCCCCGAGCCUCUCUCUUCCUCCCUGUCGCCCCUCCACACACCCAAUCGGCCUCCCGCACCACUCCUCCCUCUCCAGUACCACCCGAGCUCGAGAUCGAGCUCGAGCUCCGCCGCCUCGGCUCGUCGGCGUCCGCACGGUACAGGCCUUCUCCGCACCAGCUCUCUCUCGAUCUGAAACCGCGAGGCGCCACUGAUUCUUUCCCCCCUAUUUUCCCCUUGUUUUGCAGCCGGAAUCGGCCGGAGCCACCGACGCCCGAAGCGCCUCCGCCGCGGGACCUCGUCGCCGGCGAAGCAGGCCACUCCGGCGACCAUCUCCACCACCACCAGAACCGCGACUUGCCCCUGAGUCCGACGGUAGUCUCCGCAUCCCUUCCCGUGCCCUGUACCGCCGCCGGCGAGCUCGCCGUCGCCUCUGGCCGGAGGUAGACGACGGCCGCCGUGGGGCCGGCCCGUCAGCCACACGCCCUGACGGGUGGGAUCCACCCGUCAGGUUUAAAACGUGCGCGCGCGCGCGCACCGAUCUGCCGUCGGCCGAAGGCGUAUUCAGCCUUUACGCCUUCGACGUGGCGGCCGCGUGGGCUGGUUCUUCCCUGGGCCUGCUGCUGCUGUGGCCUCUCUGGCCCAGUGGCACAGCGCCGUUUUUCUUUUUUCCUUUUCUGUCUUAUUUCCAAAAAUUCCACAGGACAGAAUAUUAAUCCAAAUGCAUUGAUUCCAAUUUCUAAAUUCCUAGAAUAUUGCCACCUAUUUAAUGGUGCAACUUUCAUUCAAAUCCAACCACCUUUUCUUCUCUGUAAAUAUUUAAAUGUGGUUGUUAGCAUUUAAAUAAGCCUUUGAAAAUCCAUAACUCCUAUUUUGCUGCUCCAGAACCAAAACCAAAAGUUGUCCCCUUCCUAGCCUUCCUCCUAGUAUUUUACAAAAAUAAGUUGACAUUUUUGUGAGCACUUUGACUUUUCUGUUUUUAUUAUUGUCUUAUUUUUCCCGUUGUUUUCUUGCGACGUUAGAUUCCGUGUUUGACGAGGUAGCUGAGGAAGAAGGAGGAGCAGAGCCUGAAGACUUUGAAGAUCAAGCCAACCAAGGCAAGCAGCCCUUUGACCAUGACUAUGAUACCCCUUUAUAUGCAUGUCAUUUUUAGCCCUUUAUUAUCGAUGCAUCGGAAUCAUGAUGAGAUGGUGAACCACGUGGGUUGGUUACCACGAUUACUUCCUCGUUGAUACUUGCAGUGCGCAUGGCCCUACCUUCUUAUGAGGGUUAUGCCGGUGGGAGUAGGUAGGAUGCAAAUGUAGAUGCUACGCAAAUGGGGUGGGUUUGUGCAUGGUGAAGGAGGCAAUGUGAUUUCAAAAGUCUUUUCGAAAACCCCGUCGGGUGCCACCUAUGCCCGAGGGAGAUGAUGAGAUGGGUGACCACUUGAUGACGAAGUGGUGUGCCAAGGAAGGUGUGUGUUGUUUUCAAAACGGAUUGGUCGGAGUUGCGACCGUUAUUCCAACCUUACAAGCGCGACCACUCUACCCUUAUAUGGGAAAGGGCAUUAUUGAGUACCUAGACCGAUACUAGCUUGGAGCCCGCAUUACUAGUGACGGGGGAGAGUUGGUGCUCUCUCUUGGGACGGGGUCGUGCCAGGUAGGGCGGCCAUGACUGUUUUCACAAGGCACCGGACACACCGUUGGUACCCCGUGCUUGUGGUAUGUGAUGAAAAUGGGAGCGAGGCUCCACAACUUUAUGAUGUGAAAUGUUCGGCACGGGGGUUACUACCAAUCGAGUGGACUCCAUGUUAGUGUCGUCUAGGGAAAGGUAGUGAUCGGGUGCUUACCCCGGGUACUUGAGGUACCGCGGGUCGUGGAUGACACGGAAGUUCCCCGGAUCUAGUGGGUAAAGUGUGCAACCUCUGCAGAGUGUAAAACUAUUCGAAUAGCCGUGUCCACGGUCAAGGACAGUUGGGUAACCGCUCUUGGGCUACGUCCACUUGUUUUCAAACCCGGUGUGUGUGAGAUGAUGGUGUUGUCUUGGAUCAAGUCAGAGGACUUGACACGAUUGAGAUGGGUUGGUGCCCUCUCUGUUUAUGAUAAAUGGGUUGGUGCCCCUUUAUAUUUAUGUUGAUAUCUGUGACCAGAUCUUAUGGUUACUUGAAUUCUCUUGAUGCAUGCUUUAUAGGAUGUUGAACAUGUCCUGCACUCAAAACUAGCUUUAUGCAAAACUUUACCUAUGUCAUGCAUUACUGUACCUUGAACCAAAUCAUGGGUUGCUUGCGAGUACAUUCAAAGUACUCAUUGGCUUGCCACUGGUUAUUUAAUUGACCAGGCAUGGGAGAACCGGAGUUCGAAGAAGAGUUCUUUGGAGACGAUCAUGCGAACUAGGACGUUCCCAGUCAGAAUGCCUGUAGGGUUAAGGCAGAUGGCAUGGGUUCUACUUAUCGACGACGAUUUCCGCUGCUAUGUUUCAUUUGAUGUUCAGCCCUUAAGGCUUUAUCGAUGUAAGACUUGACCAUGUUGGUCUCUAUUUGUGUAAGACGGUAUGAAUGGAUGUAAGACUCUUGUUAUUCAGCUUCUGUGUGUUCAGUGAGCAUUGAUCUCUGGGAUCACUGUACACGUGCAUUCGGUGAUCACGACUUGCGAGUCGGGGUCCCCACAUCCUCUCUAUCAACAAGAUAUCCAAAGACAUCAAGGAUACGCACAGCCAGAAAAAAUAUAGAUGAAAAAAGACUGCUCCAAGGUGAUAAAUCACUAGCAUCAGUAGCACUCUAAGCACACCGAAGACAACGUCCCAAUUACAAAAAAGGUUCUCCAAAAGCAACCCCCCAAGAAGGAAACAAUGCACAAGCGUUGUCAUUAUCCGAUUGGAGAUCGUGGGUUUUCACCCUAGAAAAAUUCGAAGCUCACCCAAAAACAUUGCCUUCAACUAGGCCAUUGCCAGGUACAACCAAUAAAGGCUAGACCUUAGAUUUUUACCCUAGGAAUUGAGACUUAGUACUCGAGGAGUACAACCAAAAAUGCAGUCCUCUAGUGAUGGCGCCCCCGCUUGCCGAGCUCGCUGUUUUGGGUCACCAAACACCUGGCGCACAUUCUUUCUGGCAUCAAUUACACCCUUCCACCAAAUCUUCAAGACCUCCAAUCGCAGCCGCCAUGACUUUAUCCACCUCUAUCAAUGCCUUGAGAAUCUUCACUUGGACAUGUCCCAUGACACCAAUAAGAAAACAAAGCUUCUUGCCGCGCCCUCUUGAGGUCGUGUUGGCUGAUAAUAUGAGCGUGCGCUACUGGAGCCUUUCCGAUCUAGAUAUCCAGGGUCGACAUACACCAAUCCAUAUAGAUCUCCGAUGGGAAAGACCGAAACUCGUCAACGACUAGAUCUAAGAUGUCGACAUCCAGCAGAAAGACGACUUGGCGGAAGAAUAGUACUAGGGCCAAUCCACCAUUAUUAGGCCAAACCUAACAUCCCCACAUGCCGCCCUCCUCUUGAUGUAGACCUACAGACAAAUAUCAGCGACGCCGCAUCGUGCCACCUGCAUCUAUUGAGGCCCAAACUUGGCAAGAUGCCAACCAUGGCAGGAGACUGGGACUAGCCACUCCUGGGCACUGAUCCGGCAAUUCCCUGGCCCACCCCUGCCACUACGGCGACACCGCAGGUAGCCUACAAGCCCAUCCACGACAAUGCCUGAUUAGAAGGAUACAUGGAUAUACAGAUGGAAAGACCCUUGUUAUCGCUCAAGCAAUAUAUAUAUAAAGCUUAAUGGGGCCUAAGAAAGCUCGCACAAUUUUACGGUGGCUAUGGAAAUGUAUUGCCAAACUGAGACAUAAGAUUUUCGUUUGGCAUCCAGACCGUUUGUGUCAUUCUUAAUUUAUGGUCACUCUAAUUUUUCCGGCUGGGCCUUCCCUGUGGUACCGCAGCAAGGCAUGCGUGUGUAUACGUUUCCUUUAAGUACCAUGUGCAGGAUGAUGAUUUACUGCACGCAUGUGCGGGGGCACUCAUGUCCUGGUGCCGGGUUUUUAUUUUGGCUUCCGAUUUUCAAACUUCUAUAUCUUCUAAGCCAAAAAUUCAAUUUAAGUUAUGUAUUCAUAUUCGUGUUUCUCGCGGCCAGCGCUUUCAAAUAAGAUCCAUUUUGAAUACAUUUUGGCGACUUUUUGAAACACUGUUAAGUUUCAUUGUUUGAAACUUAGUACGAGCGACCAAUAAAAUUCAAUUAUUUUGUGUCUACGACCAACGGAGAAAUUUUCUUAAAAUUACAUCUUUGAAACUUGUUGAAACCGGGCAUUUUUUGAUGCAAAAAGGUAAGUUUCAUCAUUGAAACUUUAAGGUUUUUGAGGGAUUUUUUUCCUUGUGGAGCUUUGGAAAUGAGAGAAUUUGAUAAAGUAAAUCUCGGAAACUCUUAUUGGACGAGAGAGAUUUAAUAUGAUAUUGGCAUGGAUUCUACCAACUAAACGAAGAAGUAUUUGAUUUGGUAAACAGACAAUUUCCUUUAAUCGAUGAACAUUUUAGGAAAAUUGGUGGAACAACUUUUGAAAUUCAAAAAAAAAUUCUUGAUUUAACGAACAUUUUUUAACUUAACGAACAUUUUUAAAAAAUACAUGAUCAUUUUUUUGAAUCUGUGAUCGUUUUAUGAAUGAAUAAACUAGUUUGUAAGUCAUGAACAGUUUUUAAAAUUUUAGGGUAUUUUUCCAUUCAUGAACAGUUUUUGAAUUGCUGAAAUUUUGUUCAAUUUCAUUAACAAUUUUUAGUACACAAACCUUUUUAAAAAAUCAUGGACAUUAACUAGUACGUGAAAUCCCUAAUUAUUUAAAGUAGAAAAAAUAGAAAAGAGAAAGUAAUGGAAAAUGAAGUUAAAAAAAUAGGCCGACCGAACAUGGGCCGGCCCAAACGGGCGCGUUGCGUCUUCUCCCAGCGUGUAGAGCGCAGUAUACGUGGUCCCUACUGCAUGGGUCGGCCCAAGCGGAAGAUUUGUCUGUGUGAAACUUUUUUUAUCACGUACUGGUGGCAUUGGUGCGUAAUGCAUGUGUGCAUCUUUAGGGGCACUUUUCCCGACGUACCGCUAGAAGCAAUAGCCAUUUUAUUAUUAGUUAGAGAUUAGGUAUAGAUAUGAACCACCGGUAAAUUAGGUAGACGAUAGAUGACGACUCUAAAGAAGAUCACAUGUGUCAAGCUUGGAAUAGGCUAACAGAUGUUAGGGCAUCUCAAAUGUAAACCCAUAAAACAGACAUCACAAAUGUCCUUGAACACAAACCGGGCAUGAUAGGGGAGGGAGCCAUCAAACCUUGAUGGCUGCUACCCAUAUUUCUCUCACAUUUCUCCAGCAUUUCAUCGAACAGUUGAUGUGCACUAGUAGGACACGUCUGGUUCACGCAGCUGGCGCGUCAUGGGAGUUCUGCCUCAUCGGGCAUGACUGAUGUGUCGCAGGACGACGGGUGUGGUCUCGGGCGCGUCAGUAGUGGCCACGACGACAAGAGGAGGCCGCGCCAUGGGCGGAGCUAGCCACGGGAGCCAGCAUUGGCGCGGCACUAGACACAGCCAGCCCACGACAUGCCGGGCACGGUGGCAAGAGAGCUUCAUGAGGCCAGAGCCGAGCUAGGCCUUGAGUUGCUCGCCGAGCAGCCAUGGAGGGCAUGGGGAGAUGAGAUGCACAGGGAGAGAGGAGUGGAGAGAUAGGAGGAGGCGGAGAUGAGGAUGGAGUGCUCGCUGGCAGCUGCCCUCAUGGUCGUCCGUAGCCGGCAUAAGUGCUCUCCGUUUAGUGUUAUUUGUACAGAGAGGGAGGGAGUGGAGAUGUGGUGUUUCUUUUGGUUAGCUGGAUGUUCAGACUCUCGCAUAGUCCCUCAAAUUUGUUCAUGUGAUAUCGAAAUUUGAACAUGUGGGCUGGUCCGCGGAUAUUUAGAGGUCCCCACUUGAAGAAUAAAAGUGGUCUAGACACUACUAUCUGACAUUUUGCCCUUAGUAGUUGGUGGAUAUCGAUGUGCUGUCCCUCCAACCUAUAUUAAAAGAUUCAUUCACCGUCCGAUCCCUUCUACAAAACACGUCAUUGCUUUCCAUGAUUCUCUUUUGUCAAUGUGUGAAAUAUUAGAAUUUGAGUUGUUUGGUGAAAUGUACGAGCUGACCGCCAAAAGGACAGAUUUUUACUUUUAUUUUCUACUAUUUUCUUUAUUUUAUAGUUUUUGGCAAGUGCAUUUUCAUAUGGUCAAUGUCUAGACCAUUUGAACAGUUUAUUUUGAAUUUGUUUCUUCCAUUCUAGCUAAAUAUAAGAAUUUACAAUGUUCGUUUUAAUUCUUUGGAAUAAACAUUUAUUACUAGUAUUAAAAAGACUAAAUUAGCUGCCGCAUUUUUAUUCCCUAAUCAUCUUGAAGGCUAUCUACACUUUGAUUAAAUUGUCAUAUUUUUUUUUGUGAUAUAUUGUUUCCAUUAUGUAUAUUAACUCCAAUAAAAAUGAUGAUAAUCUAUUCUCCUUAAGUUAUUAUGAAUGUACUAAAUAAUUAAAUAAUAAAAAAUUACUUACAAAAUAAUAACAUCUAAACAUGCCCUAUGAAUACCAGGUAGAUAUCUAACUCAGGCACUUGUCCGCAAAAUAAAUGUUCUUCAAAAAAAUAUUGAAAGUAGUUAAAUUAUUUAAAAUGAAUAAAAAGCACAUGCUCCAUUCUACUUUACCACUCUAGAUGCACUGAUUCGUUGUGGCAAUAGAAACACUAAAUUUCAGUCCCACUUAUAAAGUUUGCUAAGGGAUAUCUGACAAUAAAAAUUAAAAUAAAAUAUUUUUAUAUUAUUUUUUACUUAUUAAAUUAAUUAUUCUAUCUGUGUAAUUUUCUGUUACUUACAUAAAAUAGUUAACCAUAUAACAAUGUUGCUAAAUAAUAGUUAUAAUGUUUCUUUGUUAUAUAGUUGCAACAUAUAUCAGUAAAAUAGUUGAUUCAUAUUUAAAAGGUAUGAUAGAACAAAAGUUAUUUUUUCAAUCAAGUCUUGAAAUUGAAUAAAUUUAUAAUGUAUAUACAUAUAUUUCCAUACAUUUGUAUGUGUUUAUCGAGAUUUUAUUGUCAUUAAAUAUCAUGUUAGAGAUUUCAAAAGUGUGCUUUCUAACAUGUAUCUUAGUUGUAGUUUCUAGUGCAAUACUAUGUAAUCAUAUUUACAGAAAUUUCUAGAGCAUGAAAUCUAUGUCUUGCAAGUUGCAUUCCGUAAUAAGUUGGCAUCAUGACCAUGCUAUUGGUUACAAUUAUUUUUUAUUUUAGAUGAUAACAAAUAACAAAAAAAAUUAUAAAAUAUAAGGGUGAAUCAUGCAAGUGAGGAGAACACACCAAUGAAGAAAGACAUUGCAUUUCCACGUGGAAUUCAUAUUGACAAACCUUAAGAAUCACAUGCAUUUGUAUGUUUUUAUAAAUUAUGCCCCAUUUGCGGGACUCAAAUACAAGUCAGUUCAGGGUGUGGAGCUACGAGAAAACGUAGCAUUCAAGACUAGAUGAGCCACCGACUUAAAAAACAAAUAAGUAAAAAUGGAGCAAAUAGGAGUAGCUGGAAAAUUAUUUGAAAGAUUAAGAGUAGCUGGAAAAUUAUUUGAAGGAAAUGGAGCAAAUAGCUAUGCAAGAAGUGCUCUCGCUAGAAAAUAAAUGUUGCAUUAGAUGAUCGACUUGAAAACACACAUAUGAAGUGGUGGAGCCAGAAUUUUCACAAUGGGUAUGUGAUACAUCUCCAACAUAUCUAUAAUUUUUAAUUGUUUCAUGCUAUUAUAUUAUCCAUCUUGGAUGUUUUAUAUGCAUGUAUAUGCUAUUUUAUAUGAUUUUUGGGACUAACCUAUUAACCUAGAGCCCAGUGCCAGUUUUUGUUUUUUCCUUGUUUUUGAGUUUUACACAAAAGGAAUACCAAACGGAGUCCAAUUGACCUGAAAAUUGACGGAGAUUGUUUUUAGUGUUAUUGGCAUAAUGCAUCGUGUAUAUAUCAUUUUGCUUAUUGUACACAGAUCGUCCCAUGCAAUGUGAGGUCAGAAUUCAACAAUCUGACUGGAGACUCUGUGACAUUUGAGGCUCCUGGGGGCCCCUACACUAUGGAUAUCGAGAAAGGACGAAAGAUGACGUGGGUGGGAGGAGAUGGAUGGGCCCGUUUCAUCGACAACAUGCGUAUCACCGGUGGUGAGUUGAUCAAGCUGGCCGUGAUUUAUAUCAACAAAGCAUAAGAUUAUGAGGAUGAUGAGGAUGAUGAUGACCCACUCGGUGAUGCCAUCAUAGCUCAAAGAAUGAAGUUGAGCGAGGAGGAGGUGUGCAACCUAUGGGACAUCAUUCCGCCACGUGCUGACUUCGUCGGGGUGCCAUUCGUGACCCGUCUGACAAGUACCAUGGUUGAUCGGCAUAUGAUGGUAUGUUGCAUUUACUGUAGUUUUUACAGUAAUUUGAUGAUAUGCUUUAUUGUUAUACUUAGUGAAGAGUCCGAUGAUAUAUAUGCAUAGUGAAUCUUAUAUGCUUUAUUGUUAUACUUUAGUGUAGAGUCCGAUCAUAUAUAUGCUUACUGAAUCUUAUAUGCUUAGUGAAUCUUAUAUGCUUUAUUGUUAUACUUAGUGUAGAGUCCGAUGAUAUAUAUGCUUACUGAAUCUUAUAUGCUUAGUGCAUCUUAUAUGCUUAGUGCAUCUUAUAUGCUUUAUUGUUAUACUUAGUGUAGAGUCCGAUGAUAUAUAUACUUAGUGUAGAGUCCGAUGAUAUAUAUGCUUAGUGUAGAGUCCGGUGAUAUAUAUGCUUCGUGUAGAAUGUGUGAGGCUACUUAUUAGUUGAUACGUUUUUCUUAUUCAGAAAUUGCCAAAGAGCCUAUCUGAGAGUUGUGGUAUCAAGCCUGAUGAAGAAGGCUCUGCUGGAAUACGCCUUACCGCAAGGGGCUCCGUCGCCACUUGUGCAUACGGCGAGGACACGGACGGUCGCACACACUUCAACUCGGUUGGGUGGAAGAGCUUCCUCAUCGGCAAGAAUCUUCAUGUUGAACAGACAAUCCUAAUUACUAUCAGGAAUACCCACCGCCCAGGCUUGAGGAUGAUGGUCGUCAUCGACAUCAUCUAGAACUUCAUAUGCAUGCGUGUGGCUGUUGAACCAUAUAUAUUUGCUAGUAUGACUACCUAGUAGACUUAUCAACUAUGAUCUAUCCAUGCAUUGUUGACUACUAAAUGAGUUUGUGAGAUUGUGUGGUUAUAUUAAAUGUGGUACUGUCAUUAAUGUUUGUGAGAUGGUUCCGUGAACUUAGUUUAUUUGCACUGGACUUGUCUUGAUCUCCAUGAACAUUGCACCUGACUGCUUUUUUAUUUUUUAUUUCUGUUUGCCUAGUUGUAGCGUGGGGAGAAAAUAGGGCGCUACUACUACGUGAUGAUAGUAGUAGCGCUGGUGGAGGAAGCAUCGCUACUAAUAAGUAUUUUAGCUGUAGCGCUUGUUCAGAAAUGCGCUACUAUUGAAUAAUAGCUGUAGCGCACUAGCAGUAGCGCGGGUGCCCGCGCUACUAGUAUGUAAAUAACCAGCGCCGCUAGUAAGCUUUUCUCUAGUAGUAUAACCAUUGUUUAUGCCAGACAACUCUUCUUCCUGCUCGUCAGAUGCCAUGGAGAAAACUGUUCAAGGAGGAAAAUGGUGAGAAGAGGUGUGAUGCGGUCUUGCUCGACAUCUGACAUUGUUUAAACAGCGAGGGGACACAAGGAGCCAAACGGCGUUCUGUUUAAUGCCAGCCGGCUCGCGAACGGACAUGUGGCCGGAGUAAUUAUCCUGGCAUAAGCGCGGGUUUAAUGGUGGAAGGCGGGCAGUCUAUAGGAAUGAGGCGAGGAUGUGUGUUUAGCGGGCGUGCAGCGGGGCAGCACCCUUGGCUGGCGCGCCGCUUCCAUUGCGAAGGCAGUGAGAGGCCGCGUCCGCUCUGCAGUGGCAUGAAUACGGGCAGCUGGCGCGCUGCUUCCAUUGCGAAGGCAGUGAGAGGCCGCAUCCGCUCUGCAGCGGCAUGAAUGCGGGCAGCUGGCGCAGAGCGGGAACGCAUGCGAGCGAGGGAGGAGGGGGUUUGGGUGGGCACGGGUGGUCAGAAGCGGUUGUGGGUGUUGUCCGGAUGCCUGCAAAGCCACCCUCCCCAUGUUCGUCUUCGGUUUGUGGGAGAAAGUACGUAUGGAUCGCCCUGUGGACCGAUACAAGCCCGCAUUGGAUGGCACAACACGUCCAGACCAUGUGGUCCAGAUGGUUGUAGAUGGUUUAUUUGAGGGUCGGUGUUGGAUAUGCCUUAGAGUUUAUGAUACCAUUGUGUUUUUCUAAUCAUAAAAAAAUACUUAUAAUAAGUUAUAAGGAAAGACACGUAUAUAUGUUAGGUUCACACUCCAGCUUUCCUCUUACAUAUGUUUUUUCUGAUCCGACUGAUUCCAAUAGAGUGAGCCUAGCGUUGUUUUUCUAAAAACUCGAGGGAUAAGGAGACAUGCAUACACAUUGUUUCAAGCAAAUCACAUCCACUCUUUUUAACUCAUUUUUUCUUGUUUUAAUAAUAUAAUAAAUCAUUUUUAAUUUUUAUUUCAAAUAGUUGACGUGUAAUUUAUAUUGUAAUCUAAGGAAAAUGUUUGGAUUUUACUUUGAAAUAUAUUUCAAAUGGCCAUGAUGGAAUCACAUCCAUUUACUUUAUUUUUAUUUGGAUUUGCUUCAAAAGAUAAAUAAUGGGUAGAGGUCAUGUCAACUUUUCUGAGAAGUUUGCUAAUCAAAAUAUAAUUUUUAUCUUAAUACAAUCCAUUAUUUGACUACUCUAUUGAUUUGUAUUUAAAGACAUCUAUUUUUAGCACGCAUGAAAAACAUAACACAUAUCUUUCCACACAUAAUGAACGGUUGUCAUUAGAAUUCAUGCCAUGCCACAGCCUCCCUCUGACCCUGCCAAUAUUGUUGCAGCUGCGCUCGCAAGCCUUUGCGUAGAUGAUCAUUUAUAUGAUUUGUGUAAAACAAAAUAAGAUCUACAAACGAAUAGAAGCUAGAGCGUACCUUGGCGUGCACACACAUUGCAAGCCAUACUAACUUGAUAAGUGUUAAUGACUUGUACAACAUAUACAUCACUUAAGACAAGUAAAAGCGAUUUGAUGAGUCAUGGUCUAUCAAAGCAAGCCACAUUACUAGUCUAAUCCAUCUUAACAGGUCACGCAUGAUUACAAUCUUGUUUGUGUGCAAGUCAAGCCUAUCUAGUUUACACGUAACAACUUGUAGAACAUUACAAAAUUGAUGUUUGCUAAUAACUUCUAGAACACUACAACACUUGACAUGUAAAAGGAAUUUGAUGAGUCAUGGCCUACUAAAGCAAGUUACAUUACUAGUCUUAUGUAUCUUAACAUGCCACACAAGAUUACAAACUAAGUUCUGUGCCAGCCAUGCUUAUCUAGUUUAUGUGUAAAAAUUUGCAAAACAUUACAAACUUAGUUUCAGAAAAGUAGGCAAUCUAGAUUAGUGUUUGAGUUGUAAAGUGAACAAGAUGAGUCAUGCGUGUUAUCACACCUUUUUGGUGGUGGAAUGAUAGUGCAACAACAAGGAACUUUAAUGACUAGUCCAAGAAUACACUUGUAAGUAGUGCCACCAAACACAACAUACCAAAUUAUGAUUUUGGGAAGCAUCCAAACACUUUACACACAAGCAAAUGCCAAUUGUGAAAGAGAUCAUGCCAUGACAGCUAUAAAUAGGCCCGUAGCAUGAUGAUCAUCCUUCCUCAUCCAUCAUUCUCAUAAGUAGAGUGCAUCAUUAAAGGCAAGCAAGCAGUGGUCAAUACAAAUCCAUCAUGAAGACCUUUCUCAUCCUUGCCCUCGUGGCGACCACCGCCACAACUGCAGUUAGAGUUCCAGUGCCACAAUUGCAGCCAAAAAAUCCAUCUCAGCAACAGCCACAAGAGCAAGUUCCAUUGGUACAACAACAACAAUUUCCAGGGCAGCAACAACAAUUUCCACCACAACAGCCAUAUCCGCAGCCGCAACCAUUUCCAUCACAACAACCAUAUCUGCAGCUGCAACCAUUUCCGCAGCCGCAACCAUUUCUGCCACAACUACCAUAUCCGCAGCCGCAAUCAUUUCCACCACAACAACCAUAUCCACAACAGCGACCAAAGUAUCUACAACCACAACAACCAAUUUCGCAGCAACAAGCACAACAACAACAACAACAACAACAACAACAACAACAACAACAACAACAACAACAACAACAAAUCCUUCAACAAAUUUUGCAACAACAACUGAUUCCAUGCAGGGAUGUUGUCUUGCAACAACACAACAUAGCGCAUGCAAGCUCACAAGUUUUGCAACAAAGUACUUACCAGCUAUUGCAACAAUUGUGUUGUCAACAACUGUUGCAGAUCCCUGAGCAGUCGAGGUGCCAAGCCAUCCAUAAUGUUGUUCAUGCUAUUAUUAUGCAUCAACAAGAACAACAACAACAGUUGCAACAACAACAACAACAGCAACUGCAACAACAACAACAACAACAACAACAACAACAACAACCGUCAAGCCAGGUCUCCUUCCAACAGCCUCAGCAGCAAUAUCCAUCAAGCCAGGUCUCCUUCCAGCCAUCUCAGCUAAACCCACAAGCUCAGGGCUCCGUCCAACCUCAACAACUGCCCCAGUUCGCGGAAAUAAGGAACCUAGCGCUACAGACGCUACCUGCAAUGUGCAAUGUCUACAUCCCUCCACAUUGCUCGACCACCAUUGCGCCAUUUGGCAUCUUUGGUACCAACUGAGAAGAGAAGAACUCUAGUACUAGAUAUAUGAAACACCGUUUUCUUAGUCCAUGAUUUGGUCGUUGUAGCAGUGAAAAAAUAAAGUGACAUGCACUAUCAUGUAAGAACCCGAACUAUACUAGUUCAAACUUGGGAAUAAAAGACAAACACAUGUCUUGUCUACAUAUGAUUGUUUGUUUGAGUUCCAUUCAUGUGCCAUCACAAGUUCACCCCUAAUUAUAUAUAUUAUGCAUUAAGUAGAUAUUUAUGUUGCAUUAAUCUAAAGAUAAAAAAAUGAGUCUGAAACUUGAAUUAAAUUGAAGUAUUUUCUAGGACUUCCAAAUGGAGUAUUAUUAAAGUAGUAAGGACAAUCCACAUCCUUGGCUUGCCCUUUAUCAAUUAUUUCCAGAGAAGCAUUCAAUUCAUCAAUCAAUUACAUCGAUUUUUGUGGCUGGUACUUCUCCUCAACAUGAGUAUAUUCAUUGCGGCUACUCCAAAUCGGCAUGAAUGAGGUACUGGUGCUCUGGAGCAGUGCUAGCUGACUGCUUCUCAUGUGAAGGGACGCAGGCACAGGAGAGGUGUUCCGGGUGGGCCAGGGGAGUAAGAAGUGGCCAUGGCAGUGGUUCGGACGCUUGCAAAGUCCCGUAGUUUGUAUAUGGUUUACGGGAAAAUGCACAUUUGGACCGGCCUGCGGGCCGAUAUAGGACCGUAUUGGAUGGAGAAACAUGUCCUCAUCGUUGCGAGCGGUUUGAGGGUUAGGUUUGGAGAUAGCCCUUACUUGGCCCCUCGUUCUGAAAACACGUUUGACGAUAGUUUUGUCUCAGUUCAAAUAUAUGUCAAGUUUGACAAAGUUCAUAGGAAAUUUUUUAUCAUAUCUACAGUACCAUACAAAUACACCAUAGACAAAAAACAUAUUUCACACUGCACCAUGAAUUGGUCAGGUAAAUGUUGGGUAUGGAGACUCUAUUCUCUUUUGGCAUGAGUUGCCUCGGUCUCAAAAGUUUCAUGAACUGUUCUCUUUUGCCACUAAGAAAAAGCUCUCUUUGCCUGAUUUUAUUCAUAGUGACCAUAUGGCUCUCUAUUUUCAUAGGCAUAUCACCCUGCAAGCUCUUGCUCAAUUCAUUGACAUCAUUGACUUAGUUCAUCAAAAAAAUUCAAUAAAGGGAAUAAAAUAAUAUCACGAAGAUACCAAUUACACCCGUCCUCUCUAUCAACAAGAUAUGCAAAGACAUCAAGGAUACGCACAGCCAGAAAAAAUAUAGAAGAAAAAAGACUGCUCCAAGGUGAUAAAUCACUAGCAUCAGUAGCACUCUAAGCACACCGAAGACAACGUCCAGAUUACAAAAAAGGUUCUCCAAAAGCAACCCCCCAAGAAGGAAACAAUGCACAAGCGUUGUCAUUAUCCGAUUGGAGAUCGUGGGUUUUCACCCUAGAAAAAUUCGAAGCUCACCCAAAAACAUUGCCUUCAACUAGGCCAUUGCCAGGUACAACCAAUAAAGGCUAGACCCUAGAUUUUUACCCUAGGAAUUGAGACUUAGUACUCGAGGAGUACAACCAAAAAUGCAGUCCUCCAGUGAUGGCGCUCCCGCUUGCCGAGCUCGCUGUUUUGGGUCACCAAACACCUGGCGCACAUUCUUUCUGGCAUCAAUUACACCCUUCCACCAAAGCUUCAAGACCUCCAAUCGCAGCCGCCAUGACUUUAUCCACCUCUAUCAAUGCCUUGAGAAUCUUCACUUGGACAUGUCCCAUGACACCAAUAAGAAAUCAAAGCUUCUUGCCGCGCCCUCUUGAGGUCGUGUUGGCUGAUAAUAUGAGCGUGCGCUACUAGAGCCUUUUCGAUCUAGAUAUCCAGGGUCGACAUACACCAAUCCAUAUAGAUCUCCGAUGGGAAAGACCGAAACUCGUCAACGACUAGAUCUAAGAUGUCGACAUCCAGCAGAAAGACGACUUGGCGGAAGAAUAGUACUAGGGCCAAUCCACCAUUAUUAGGCCAAACCUAACAUCCCCACAUGCCGCCCUCCUCUUGAUGUAGACCUACAGACAAAUAUCAGCGACACCGCAUCGUGCCACCUGCAUCUAUUGAGGCCCGAACUUGGCAAGAUGCCAACCAUGGCAGGAGACUGGGACUAGCCACUCCUGGGCACUGAUCCGGCAAUUCCCUGGCCCACCCCUGCCACUACGGCGACACCGCGGGUAGCCUACAAGCCCAUCCACGACAAUGCCUGAUUAGAAGGAUACAUGGAUAUACAGAUGGAAAGACCCUUGUUAUUGCUCAAGCAAUAUAUAUAUAAAGCUUAAUGGGGCCUAAGAAAGCUCGCACAAUUUUACGGUGGCUAUGGAAAUGUAUUGCCAAACUGAGACAUAAGAUUUUCGUUUGGCAUCCAGACCGUUUGUGUCAUUCUUAAUUUAUGGUCACUCUAAUUUUUCCGGCUGGGCCUUCCCUGUGGUACCGCAGCAAGGCAUGCGUGUGUAUACGUUUCCUUUAAGUACCAUGUGCAGGAUGAUGAUUUACUGCACGCAUGUGCGGGGGCACUCAUGUCCUGGUGCCGGGUUUUUAUUUUGGCUUCCGAUUUUCAAACUUCUAUAUCUUCUAAGCCAAAAAUUCAAUUUAAGUUAUGUAUUCAUAUUCGUGUUUUUCGCGGCCAGCGCUUUCAAAUAAGAUCCAUUUUGAAUACAUUUUGGCGACUUUUUGAAACACUGUUAAGUUUCAUUGUUUGAAACUUAGUACGAGCGACCAAUAAAAUUCAAUUAUUUUGUGUCUACGACCAACAGAGAAAUUUUCUUAAAAUUACAUCUUUGAAACUUGUUGAAACCGGGCAUUUUUUGAUGCAAAAAGGUAAGUUUCAUCAUUGAAACUUUAAGGUUUUUGAGGGAUUUUUUUCCUUGUGGAGCUUUGGAAAUGAGAGAAUUUGAUAAAGUAAAUCUCGGAAACUCUUAUUGGACGAGAGAGAUUUAAUAUGAUAUUGGCAUGGAUUCUACCAACUAAACGAAGAAGUAUUUGAUUUGGUAAACAGACAAUUUCCUUUAAUCGAUGAACAUUUUAGGAAAAUUGGUGGAACAACUUUUGAAAUUCAAAAAAAAAUUUCUUGAUUUAACGAACAUUUUUUAACUUAACGAACAUUUUUAAAAAAUACAUGAUCAUUUUUUUGAAUCUGUGAUCGUUUUAUGAAUGAAUAAACUAGUUUGUAAGUCAUGAACAGUUUUUAAAAUUUUAGGGUAUUUUUCCAUUCAUGAACAGUUUUUGAAUUGCUGAAAUUUUGUUCAAUUUCAUUAACAAUUUUUAGUACACAAACCUUUUUAAAAAAUCAUGGACAUUAACUAGUACGUGAAAUCCCUAAUUAUUUAAAGUAGAAAAAAUAGAAAAGAGAAAGUAAUGGAAAAUGAAGUUAAAAAAAUAGGCCGACCGAACAUGGGCCGGCCCAAACGGGCGCGUUGCGUCUUCUCCCAGCGUGUAGAGCGCAGUAUACGUGGUCCCUACUGCAUGGGUCGGCCCAAGCGGAAGAUUUGUCUGUGUGAAACUUUUUUUAUCACGUACUGGUGGCAUUGGUGCGUAAUGCAUGUUUGCAUCUUUAGGGGCACUUUUCCUGACGUACCGCUAGAAGCAAUAGCCAUUUUAUUAUUAGUUAGAGAUUAGGUAUAGAUAUGAACCACCGGUAAAUUAGGUAGACGAUAGAUGACGACUCUAAAGAAGAUCACAUGUGUCAAGCUUGGAAUAGGCUAACAGAUGUUAGGGCAUCUCAAAUGUAAACCCAUAAAACAGACAUCACAAAUGUCCUUGAACACAAAACGGGCAUGAUAGGGGAGGGAGCCAUCAAACCUUGAUGGCUGCUACCCAUAUUUCUCUCACAUUUCUCCAGCAUUUCAUCGAACAGUUGAUGUGCAGUAGUAGGACACGUCUGGUUCACGCAGCUGGCGCGUCAUGGGAGUUCUGCCUCAUCGGGCAUGACUGAUGUGUCGCAGGACGACGGGUGUGGUCUCGGGCGCGUCAGUAGCGGCCACGACGACAAGAGGAGGUCGCGCCAUGGGCGGAGCUAGCCACGGGAGCCAGCAUUGGCGCGGCACUAGACACAGCCAGCCCACGACAUGCCGGGCACGGUGGCAAGAGAGCUUCAUGAGGCCAGAGCCGAGCUAGGCCUUGAGUUGCUCGCCGAGCAGCCAUGGAGGGCAUGGGGAGAUGAGAUGCACAGGGAGAGAGGAGUGGAGAGAUAGGAGGAGGCGGAGAUGAGGAUGGAGUGCUCGCUGGCAGCUGCCCUCAUGGUCGUCCGUAGCCGGCGUAAGUGCUCUCCGUUUAGUGUUAUUUGUACAGAGAGGGAGGGAGUGGAGAUGUGGUGUUUCUUUUGGUUAGCUGGAUGUUCAGACUCUCGCAUAGUCCCUCAAAUUUGUUCCUGUGAUAUCGAAAUUUGAACAUGUGGGCUGGUCCACGGAUAUUUAGAGGUCCCCACUUGAAGAAUAAAAGUGGUCUAGACACUACUAUCUGACAUUUUGCCCUUAGUAGUUGGUGGAUAUCGAUGUGCUGUCCCUCCAACCUAUAUUAAAAGAUUCAUUCACCAUCCGAUCCCUUCUACAAAACACGUCAUUGCUUUCCAUGAUUCUCUUUUGUCAAUGUGUGAAAUAUUAGAAUUUGAGUUGUUUGGUGAAAUGUACGAGCUGACCGCCAAAAGGACAGAUUUUUACUUUUAUUUUCUACUAUUUUCUUUAUUUUAUAGUUUUUGGCAAGUGCAUUUUCAUAUGGUCAAUGUCUAGACCAUUUGAACAGUUUAUUUUGAAUUUGUUUCUUCCAUUCUAGCUAAAUAUAAGAAUUUACAAUGUUCGUUUUAAUUCUUUGGAAUAAACAUUUAUUACUAGUAUUAAAAAGACUAAAUUAGCUGCCGCAUUUUUAUUCCCUAAUCAACUUGAAGGCUAUCUACACUUUGAUUAAAUUGUCAUAUAUUUUUUUGUGAUAUAUUGUUUCCAUUAUGUAUAUUAACUCCAAUAAAAAUGAUGAUAAUCUAUUCUCCUUAAGUUAUUAUGAAUGUACUGAAUAAUUAAAUAAUAAAAAAUUACUUACAAAAUAAUAACAUCUAAACAUGCCCUAUGAAUACCAGGUAGAUAUCUAACUCAGGCACUUGUCCGCAAAAUAAAUGUUCUUCAAAAAAAUAUUGAAAGUAGUCAAAUUAUUUAAAAUGAAUAAAAAGCACAUGCUCCAUUCUACUUUACCGCUCUAGAUGCACUGAUUCGUUGUGGCAAUAGAAACACUAAAUUUCAGUCCCACUUAUUAAAGUUUGCUAAGGGAUAUCUGACAAUAAAAAUUAAAAUAAAAUAUUUUUAUAUUAUUUUUUACUUAUUAAAUUAAUUAUUCUAUCUGUGUAAUUUUCUGUUACUUACAUAAAAUAGUUAACCAUAUAACAAUGUUGCUAAAUAAUAGUUAUAAUGUUUCUUUGUUAUAUAGUUGCAACAUAUAUCCGUAAAAUAGUUGAUUCAUAUUUAAAAGGUAUGAUAGAACAAAAGUUAUUUUUUCAAUCAAGUCUUGAAAUUGAAUAAAUUUAUAAUGUAUAUACAUAUAUUUCCAUACAUUUGUAUGUGUUUAUCGAGAUUUUAUUGUCAUUAAAUAUCAUGUUAGGGAUUUCAAAAGUGUGCUUUCUAACAUGUAUCUUAGUUGUAGUUUCUAGUGCAAUACUAUGUAGUCAUAUUUACAGAAAUUUCUAGAGCAUGAAAUAUAUGUCUUGCAAGUUGCAUUCCGUAAUAAGUUGGCAUCAUGACCAUGCUAUUGGUUACAAUUAUUUUUUAUUUUAGAUGAUAACAAAUAACAAAUUUUUUUAUAAAAUAUAAGGGUGAAUCAUGCAAGUGAGGAGAACACACCAAUGAUGAAAGACAUUGCAUUUCCACGUGGAAUUCAUAUUGACAAACCUUAAGAAUCACAUGCAUUUGUAUGUUUUUACAAAUUAUGCCUCAUUUGCGGGACUCAAAUACAAGUCAGUUCAGGGUGUGGAGCUACGAGAAAACGUAGCAUUCAAGACUAGAUGAGCCACCGACUUAAAAAACAAAUAAGUAAAAAUGGAGCAAAUAGGAGUAGCUGGAAAAUUAUUUGAAAGAUUAAGAGUAGCUGGAAAGUUAUUUGAAGGAAAUGGAGCAAAUAGCUAUGCAAGAAGUGCUCUCGCUAGAAAAUAAAUGUUGCAUUAGAUGAUCGACUUGAAAACACACAUAUGAAGUGGUGGAGCCAGAAUUUUCACAAUGGGUAUGUGAUACAUCUCCAACGUAUCUAUAAUUUUUAAUUGUUUCAUGCUAUUAUAUUAUCCAUCUUGGAUGUUUUAUAUGCAUGUAUAUGCUAUUUUAUAUGAUUUUUGGGACUAACCUAUUAACCUAGAGCCCAGUGCCAGUUUUUGUUUUUUCCUUGUUUUUGAGUUUUACACAAAAGGAAUACCAAACGGAGUCCAAUUGACUUGAAAAUUGACGGAGAUUGUUUUUAGUGUUAUUGGCAUAAUGCAUCGUGUAUAUAUCAUUUUGCUUUUUGUACACAGAUCGUCCCAUGCAAUGUGAGGUCAGAAUUCAACAAUCUGACUGGAGACUCUGUGACAUUUGAGGCUCCUGGGGGCCCCUACACUAUGGAUAUCGAGAAAGGACGAAAGAUGACGCGGGUGGGAGGAGAUGGAUGGGCCCGUUUCAUCGACAACAUGCGUAUCACCGGUGGUGAGUUGAUCAAGCUGGCCGUGAUUUAUAUCAACAAAGCAUAAGAUUAUGAGGAUGAUGAGGAUGAUGAUGACCCACUCGGUGAUGCCAUCAUAGCUCAAAGAAUGAAGUUGAGCGAGGAGGAGGUGUGCAACCUAUGGGACAUCAUUCCGCCACGUGCUGACUUCGUCGGGGUGCCAUUCGUGACCCGUCUGACAAGUACCAUGGUUGAUCGGCAUAUGAUGGUAUGUUGCAUUUACUGUAGUUUUUACAGUAAUUUGAUGAUAUGCUUUAUUGUUAUACUUAGUGAAGAGUCCGAUGAUAUAUAUGCAUAGUGAAUCUUAUAUGCUUUAUUGUUAUACUCUAGUGUAGAGUCCGAUCAUAUAUAUGCUUACUGAAUCUUAUAUGCUUAGUGAAUCUUAUAUGCUUUAUUGUUAUACUUAGUGUAGAGUCCGAUGAUAUAUAUGCUUACUGAAUCUUAUAUGCUUAGUGCAUCUUAUAUGCUUAGUGCAUCUUAUAUGCUUUAUUGUUAUACUUAGUGUAGAGUCCGAUGAUAUAUAUACUUAGUGUAGAGUCCGAUGAUAUAUAUGCUUAGUGUAGAGUCUGGUGAUAUAUAUGCUUCGUGUAGAAUGUGUGAGGCUACUUAUUAGUUGAUACGAUUUUCUUAUUCAGAAAUUGCCAAAGAGCCUAUCUGAGAGUUGUGGUAUCAAGCCUGAUGAAGAAGGCUCUGCUGGAAUACGCCUUACCGCAAGGGGCUCCGUCGCCACUUGUGCAUAUGGCGAGGACACGGACGGUCGCACACACUUCAACUCGGUUGGGUGGAAGAGCUUCCUCAUCGGCAAGAAUCUUCAUGUUGAACAGACAAUCCUAAUUACUAUCAGGAAUACCCACCGCCCAGGCUUGAGGAUGAUGGUCGUCAUCGACAUCAUCUAGAACUUCAUAUGCAUGCGUGUGGCUGUUGAACCAUAUAUAUUUGCUAGUAUGACUACCUAGUAGACUUAUCAACUAUGAUCUAUCCAUGCAUUGUUGACUACUAUAUGAGUUUGUGAGAUUGUGUGGUUAUAUUAAAUGUGGUACUGUCAUUAAUGUUUGUGAGAUGGUUCUGUGAACUUAGUUUAUUUGCACUGGACUUGUCUUGAUCUCCAUGAACAUUGCACCUGACUGCUUUUUUUUAUUUUUUAUUUCUGUUUGCCUAGUUAUAGCGUGGGGAGAAAAUAGGGUGCUACUACUACGUGAUGAUAGUAGUAGCGCUGGUGGAGGAAGCAUCACUACUAAUAAGUAUUUAAGCUGUAGCGCUUGUUCAGAAACGCGCUACUAUUGAAUAAUAGCUGUAGCGCCCUAGCAGUAGCGCGGGUGCCCGCGCUACUAGUAUGUAAAAAACCAGCACCACUAGUAAGCUUUUCUCUAGUAGUAUAGCCAUUGUUUAUGCCAGACAACUCUUCUUCCUGCUCGUCAGAUGCCAUGGAGAAAACUGUUCAAGGAGGAAAAUGGUGAGAAGAGGUCUGAUGCGGUCUUGCUCGACAUCUGACAUUGUUUAAACAGCGAGGGGACACGAGGAGCCAACCGGCGUUCUGUUUAAUGCCAGCCGGCUCGCGAACGGACAUGUGGCCGGAGUAAUUAUCCUGGCAUAAGCGCGGGUUUAAUGGUGGAAGGCGGGCAGUCUAUAGGAAUGAGGCGAGGAUGUGUGUUUAGCGGGCGUGCAGCGGGGCAGCACCCUUGGCUGGCGCGCCGCUUCCAUUGCGAAGGCAGUGAGAGGCCGCGUCCGCUCUGCAGUGGCAUGAAUACGGGCAGCUGGCGCGCCGCUUCCAUUGCGAAGGCAGUGAGAGGCCGCGUCCGCUCUGCAGCGGCAUGAAUGCGGGCAGCUGGCGCAGAGCGGGAACGCGUGCGGGCGAGGGAGGAGGGGGUUUGGGUGGGCACGGGUGGUCAGAAGCGGUUGUGGGUGUUGUCCGGACGCCUGCAAAGCCACCCUCCCCCAUGUUCGUCUCCGGUUUGCGGGAUAAAGUAUAUACGGAUCGCCCUGUGGACCGAUACAAGCCCGCAUUGGAUGGCACAACACGUCCAGACCAUGUGGUCCAGAUGGUUGUAGAUGGUUUAUUUGAGGGUCGGUGUUGGAUAUGCCUUAGAGUUUAUGAAUCCAUUGUGGUUUUCUAAUCAUAAAAAACACUUAUAAUAAGUUAUAAGGAAAGACACGUAUAUAUGUUAGGUUCACACUCCAGCUUUCCUCUUACAUAUGUUUUUUUCUGGUCCGACUGAUUCCAAUAGAGUGAGCCUAGCGUUGUUUUUCUAAAAACUCGAGGGAUAAGGAGACAUGCAUACACAUUGUUUCAAGCAAAUCACAUCCACUCUUUUUAACUCAUUUUUUCUUGUUUUAAUAAUAUAAUAAAUCAUUUUUAAUUUUUAUUUCAAAUAGUUGACGUGUAAUUUAUAUUGUAAUCUAAGGAAAAUGUUUGGAUUUUACUUUGAAAUAUAUUUCAAAUGGCCAUGAUGGAAUCACAUCCAUUUACUUUAUUAUUAUUUGGAUUUGAUUCAGAAGAUAAAUAAUGGGUAGAGGUCAUGUCUACUUUUCUGAGAAGUUUGCUAAUCAAAAUAUAAUUUUUAUCNNNNNNNNNNUAAUACAAUCCAUUAUUUGACUACUCUAUUUAUUUGUAUUUAAAAACAUCUAUUUUUAGCACGCAUGAAAAACAUAACACAUAUCUUUCCACACAUAAUGAACGGUUGUCAUUAGAAUUCAUGCCAUGCCACAGCCUCCCUCUGACCCUGCCAAUAUUGUUGCAGCUGCGCUCGCAAGCCUUGGCGUAGAUGAUCAUUUAUAUGAUUUGUGUAAAACAAAAUAAGGUCUACAAACGAAUAGAAGCUAGAGUAUACCUUGGCGUGCACACACAUUGCAAGCCAUACUAACUUGAUAAGUGUUAAUGACUUGUACAACAUAUACAACACUUAAGACAAGUAAAAGCAAUUUGAUGAGUCAUGGUCUAUCAAAGCAAGCCACAUUACUAGUCUAAUCCAUCUUAACAGGUCACGCAUGAUUACAAUCUUGUUUAUGUGCAAGUCAAGCCUAUCUAGUUUACACGUAACAACUUGUAGAACAUUACAAAAUUGAUGUUUGCUAAUAACUUCUAGAACACUACAACACUUGACAUGUAAAAGGAAUUUGAUGAGUCAUGGCCUACUAAAGCAAGUUACAUUACUAGUCUUAUCUAUCUUAACAUGCCACACAAGAUUACAAACUAAGUUCUGUGCCAGCCAUGCUUAUCUAGUUUAUGUGUAAAAAUUUGCAAAACAUUACAAACUUAGUUUCAGAAAAGUAGGCAAUCUAGAUUAGUGUUUGAGUUGUAAAGUGAACAAGAUGAGUCAUGCAUGUUAUCACACCUUUUUGGUGGUGGAAUGAUAGUGCAACAACAAGGAACUUUAAUGACCAGUCCAAGAAUACACUUGUAAGUAGUGCCACCAAACACAACAUACCAAAUUAUGAUUUUGGGAAGCAUCCAAACACUUUACACACAAGCAAAUGCCAAUUGUGAAAGAGAUCAUGCCAUGACAGCUAUAAAUAGGCCCGUAUCAUGAUGAUCAUCCUUCCUCAUCCAUCAUUCUUAUAAGUAGAGUGCAUCAUUAAAGCCAAGCAAGCAGUGGUCAAUACAAAUCCAUCAUGAAGACCUUUCUCAUCCUUGCCCUCCUUGCUAUCGUGGCGACCACCGCCACAACUGCAGUUAGAGUUCCAGUGCCACAAUUGCAGCCACAAAAUCCAUCUCAGCAACAGCCACAAGAGCAAGUUCCAUUGGUACAACAACAACAAUUUCCAGGGCAGCAACAACAAUUUCCACCACAACAGCCAUAUCCGCAGCCGCAACCAUUUCCAUCACAACAACCAUAUCUGCAACUGCAACCAUUUCCGCAGCCGCAACCAUUUCCGCCACAACUACCAUAUCCGCAGCCGCAAUCAUUUCCACCACAACAACCAUAUCCACAACAGCAACCACAGUAUCUACAACCACAACAACCAAUUUCGCAGCAACAAGCACAACAACAACAACAACAACAACAACAACAACAACAACAACAACAAAUCCUUCAACAAAUUUUGCAACAACAACUGAUUCCAUGCAGGGAUGUUGUCUUGCAACAACACAACAUAGCGCAUGCAAGCUCACAAGUUUUGCAACAAAGUACUUACCAGCUAUUGCAACAAUUGUGUUGUCAACAACUGUUGCAGAUCCCUGAGCAGUCGAGGUGCCAAGCCAUCCAUAAUGUUGCUCAUGCUAUUAUUAUGCAUCAACAACAACAACAACAACAAGAACAACAACAACAGUUGCAACAACAACAACAGCAGCAACUGCAUCAACAACGACAACAACCAUCGAGCCAGGUCUCCUUCCAACAGCCUCAGCAGCAAUAUCCAUCAAGCCAGGUCUCCUUCCAGCCAUCUCAGCUAAACCCACAGGCUCAGGGCUCUGUCCAACCUCAACAACUGCCCCAGUUCGCGGAAAUAAGGAACCUAGCGCUACAGACGCUACCUGCAAUGUGCAAUGUCUACAUCCCUCCACAUUGCUCGACCACCAUUGCGCCAUUUGGCAUCUUUGGUACCAACUGAGAAGAGAAGAACUCUAGUACUAGAUAUAUGAAACACCGUUUUCUUAGUCCAUGGUUUGGUCGUUGUAGCAGUGAAAAAAUAAAGUGACAUGCACUAUCAUGUAAGAACCCGAACUAUACUAGUUCAAACUUGGGAAUAAAAGACAAACACAUGUCUUGUCUACAUAUGAUUGUUUGUUUGAGUUCCAUUCAUGUGCCAUCACAAGUUCACCCCUAAUUAUAUAUAUUAUGCAUUAAGUAGAUAUUUAUGUUGCAUUAAUCUAAAGAUAAAAAAAUGAGUCUGAAACUUGAAUUAAAUUGAAGUAUUUUCUAGGACUUCCAAAUGGAGUAUUAUUAAAGUAGUAAGGACAAUCCACAUCCUUGGCUUGCCCUUUAUCAAUUAUUUCCAGAGAAGCAUUCAAUUCAUCAAUCAAUUACAUCGAUUUUUGUGGCUGGUACUUCUCCUCAACAUGAGUAUAUUCAUUGCGGCUACUCCAAAUCGUCAUGAAUGAGGUACUGGUGCUCUGGAGCAGUGCUAGCUGACUGCUUCUCAUGUGAAGGGACGCAGGUGCAGGAGAGGUGUUCCGGGUGGGCCAGGGGAGUAAGAAGUGGCCAUGGCAGUGGUUCGGACGCUUGCAAAGUCCCGUAGUUUGUAUAUGGUUUAUGGGAAAAUGCACAUUUGGACUGGCCCGCGGGCCGAUAUAGGACCGUAUUGGAUGGAGAAACAUGUCCUCAUCGUUGCGAGCGGUUUGAGGGUUAGGUUUGGAGAUAGCCCUUACUUGGCCCCUCAUUCUGAAAACAUGUUUGACGAUAGUUUUGUCUCGGUUCAAAUAUAUGUCAAGUUUAACAAAGUUCAUAGGAAUUUUUUUAUCAUAUCUACAGUACCAUACAAAUACACCAUAGACAAAAAACAUAUUUCACAUUGCACCAUGAAUUGGUCAGGUAAAUGUUGGGUAUGGAGACUCUAUUCUCUUUUGGCAUGAGUUGCCUCGGUCUCAAAAGUUUCAUGAACUGUUCUCUUUUGCCACUAAGAAAAAGCUCUCUUUGCCUGAUUUUAUUCAUAGUGACCAUAUGGCUCUCUAUUUUCAUAGGCAUAUCACCCUGCAAGCUCUUGCUCAAUUCAUUGACAUCAUUGACUUAGUUCAUCGAAAAAAUUCAAUAAAGGGAAUAAAAUAAUAUCACGAAGAUACCAAUUACACCCGUCCUCUCUAUCAACAAGAUAUCCAAAGACAUCAAGGAUACGCACAACCAGAAAAAAUAUAGAAGAAAAAAGACUGCUCCAAGGUGAUAAAUCACUAGCAUCAGUAGCACUCUAAGCACACCGAAGACAACGUCCCAAUUACAAAAAAGGUUCUCCAAAAGCAACCCCCCAAGAAGGAAACAAUGCACAAGCGUUGUCAUUAUCCGAUUGGAGAUCGUGGGUUUUCACCCUAGAAAAAUUCGAAGCUCACCCAAAAACAUUGCCUUCAACUAGGCCAUUGCCAGGUACAACCAAUAAAGGCUAGACCUUAGAUUUUUACCCUAGGAAUUGAGACUUAGUACUCGAGGAGUACAACCAAAAAUGCAGUCCUCUAGUGAUGGCGCCCCCGCUUGCCGAGCUCGCUGUUUUGGGUCACCAAACACCUGGCGCACAUUCUUUCUGGCAUCAAUUACACCCUUCCACCAAAUCUUCAAGACCUCCAAUCGCAGCCGCCAUGACUUUAUCCACCUCUAUCAAUGCCUUGAGAAUCUUCACUUGGACAUGUCCCAUGACACCAAUAAGAAAUCAAAGCUUCUUGCCGCGCCCUCUUGAGGUCGUGUUGGCUGAUAAUAUGAGCGUGCGCUACUGGAGCCUUUCCGAUCUAGAUAUCCAGGGUAGACAUACACCAAUCCAUAUAGAUCUCCGAUGGGAAAGACCGAAACUCGUCAACGACUAGAUCUAAGAUGUCGACAUCCAGCAGAAAGACGACUUGGCGGAAGAAUAGUACUAGGGCCAAUCCACCAUUAUUAGGCCAAACCUAACAUCCCCACAUGCCGCCCUCCUCUUGAUGUAGACCUACAGACAAAUAUCAGCGACGCCGCAUCGUGCCACCUGCAUCUAUUGAGGCCCAAACUUGGCAAGAUGCCAACCAUGGCAGGAGACUGGGACUAGCCACUCCUGGGCACUGAUCCGGCAAUUCCCUGGCCCACCCCUGCCACUACGGCGACACCGCGGGUAGCCUACAAGCCCAUCCACGACAAUGCCUGAUUAGAAGGAUACAUGGAUAUACAGAUGGAAAGACCCUUGUUAUCGCUCAAGCAAUAUAUAUAAAGCUUAAUGGGGCCUAAGAAAGCUCGCACAAUUUUACGGUGGCUAUGGAAAUGUAUUGCCAAACUGAGACAUAAGAUUUUCGUUUGGCAUCCAGACCGUUUGUGUCAUUCUUAAUUUAUGGUCACUCUAAUUUUUCCGGCUGGGCCUUCCCUGUGGUACCGCAGCAAGGCAUGCGUGUGUAUACGUUUCCUUUAAGUACCAUGUGCAGGAUGAUGAUUUACUGCACGCAUGUGCGGGGGCACUCAUGUCCUGGUGCCGGGUUUUUAUUUUGGCUUCCGAUUUUCAAACUUCUAUAUCUUCUAAGCCAAAAAUUCAAUUUAAGUUAUGUAUUCAUAUUCGUGUUUCUCGCGGCCAGCGCUUUCAAAUAAGAUCCAUUUUGAAUACAUUUUGGCGACUUUUUGAAACACUGUUAAGUUUCAUUGUUUGAAACUUAGUACGAGCGACCAAUAAAAUUCAAUUAUUUUGUGUCUACGACCAACGGAGAAAUUUUCUUAAAAUUACAUCUUUGAAACUUGUUGAAACCGGGCAUUUUUUGAUGCAAAAAGGUAAGUUUCAUCAUUGAAACUUUAAGGUUUUUGAGGGAUUUUUUUCCUUGUGGAGCUUUGGAAAUGAGAGAAUUUGAUAAAGUAAAUCUCGGAAACUCUUAUUGGACGAGAGAGAUUUAAUAUGAUAUUGGCAUGGAUUCUACCAACUAAACGAAGAAGUAUUUGAUUUGGUAAACAGACAAUUUCCUUUAAUCGAUGAACAUUUUAGGAAAAUUGGUGGAACAACUUUUGAAAUUCAAAAAAAAAUUCUUGAUUUAACGAACAUUUUUUAACUUAACGAACAUUUUUAAAAAAUACAUGAUCAUUUUUUUGAAUCUGUGAUCGUUUUAUGAAUGAAUAAACUAGUUUGUAAGUCAUGAACAGUUUUUAAAAUUUUAGGGUAUUUUUCCAUUCAUGAACAGUUUUUGAAUUGCUGAAAUUUUGUUCAAUUUCAUUAACAAUUUUUAGUACACAAACCUUUUUAAAAAAUCAUGGACAUUAACUAGUACGUGAAAUCCCUAAUUAUUUAAAGUAGAAAAAAUAGAAAAGAGAAAGUAAUGGAAAAUGAAGUUAAAAAAAUAGGCCGACCGAACAUGGGCCGGCCCAAACGGGCGCGUUGCGUCUUCUCCCAGCGUGUAGAGCGCAGUAUACGUGGUCCCUACUGCAUGGGUCGGCCCAAGCGGAAGAUUUGUCUGUGUGAAACUUUUUUUAUCACGUACUGGUGGCAUUGGUGCGUAAUGCAUGUUUGCAUCUUUAGGGGCACUUUUCCCGACGUACCGCUAGAAGCAAUAGCCAUUUUAUUAUUAGUUAGAGAUUAGGUAUAGAUAUGAACCACCGGUAAAUUAGGUAGACGAUAGAUGACGACUCUAAAGAAGAUCACAUGUGUCAAGCUUGGAAUAGGCUAACAGAUGUUAGGGCAUCUCAAAUGUAAACCCAUAAAACAGACAUCACAAAUGUCCUUGAACACAAACCGGGCAUGAUAGGGGAGGGAGACAUCAAACCUUGAUGGCUGCUACCCAUAUUUCUCUCACAUUUCUCCAGCAUUUCAUCGAACAGUUGAUGUGCAGUAGUAGGACACGUCUGGUUCACGCAGCUGGCGCGUCAUGGGAGUUCUGCCUCAUCGGGCAUGACUGAUGUGUCGCAGGACGACGGGUGUGGUCUCGGGCGCGUCAGUAGCGGCCACGACGACAAGAGGAGGCCGCGCCAUGGGCGGAGCUAGCCACGGGAGCCAGCAUUGGCGCGGCACUAGACACAGCCAGCCCACGACAUGCCGGGCACGGUGGCAAGAGAGCUUCAUGAGGCCAGAGCCGAGCUAGGCCUUGAGUUGCUCGCCGAGCAGCCAUGGAGGGCAUGGGGAGAUGAGAUGCACAGGGAGAGAGGAGUGGAGAGAUAGGAGGAGGCGGAGAUGAGGAUGGAGUGCUCGCUGGCAGCUGCCCUCAUGGUCGUCCGUAGCCGGCGUAAGUGCUCUCCGUUUAGUGUUAUUUGUACAGAGAGGGAGGGAGUGGAGAUGUGGUGUUUCUUUUGGUUAGCUGGAUGUUCAGACUCUCACAUAGUCCCUCAAAUUUGUUCAUGUGAUAUCGAAAUUUGAACAUGUGGGCUGGUCCGCGGAUAUUUAGAGGUCCCCACUUGAAGAAUAAAAGUGGUCUAGACACUACUAUCUGACAUUUUGCCCUUAGUAGUUGGUGGAUAUCGAUGUGCUGUCCCUCCAACCUAUAUUAAAAGAUUCAUUCACCGUCCGAUCCCUUCUACAAAACAUGUCAUUGCUUUCCAUGAUUCUCUUUUGUCAAUGUGUGAAAUAUUAGAAUUUGAGUUGUUUGGUGAAAUGUACGAGCUGACCGCCAAAAGGACAGAUUUUUACUUUUAUUUUCUACUAUUUUCUUUAUUUUAUAGUUUUUGGCAAGUGCAUUUUCAUAUGGUCAAUGUCUAGACCAUUUGAACAGUUUAUUUUGAAUUUGUUUCUUCCAUUCUAGCUAAAUAUAAGAAUUUACAAUGUUCGUUUUAAUUCUUUGGAAUAAACAUUUAUUACUAGUAUUAAAAAGACUAAAUUAGCUGCCGCAUUUUUAUUCCCUAAUCAUCUUGAAGGCUAUCUACACUUUGAUUAAAUUGUCAUAUUUUUUUUGUGAUAUAUUGUUUCCAUUAUGUAUAUUAACUCCAAUAAAAAUGAUGAUAAUCUAUUCUCCUUAAGUUAUUAUGAAUGUACUGAAUAAUUAAAUAAUAAAAAAUUACUUACAAAAUAAUAACAUCUAAACAUGCCCUAUGAAUACCAGGUAGAUAUCUAACUCAGGCACUUGUCCGCAAAAUAAAUGUUCUUCAAAAAAAUAUUGAAAGUAGUUAAAUUAUUUAAAAUGAAUAAAAAGCACAUGCUCCAUUCUACUUUACCGCUCUAGAUGCACUGAUUCGUUGUGGCAAUAGAAACACUAAAUUUCAGUCCCACUUAUAAAGUUUGCUAAGGGAUAUCUGACAAUAAAAAUUAAAAUAAAAUAUUUUUAUAUUAUUUUUUACUUAUUAAAUUAAUUAUUCUAUCUGUGUAAUUUUCUGUUACUUACAUAAAAUAGUUAACCAUAUAACAAUGUUGCUAAAUAAUAGUUAUAAUGUUUCUUUGUUAUAUAGUUGCAACAUAUAUCAGUAAAAUAGUUGAUUCAUAUUUAAAAGGUAUGAUAGAACAAAAGUUAUUUUUUCAAUCAAGUCUUGAAAUUGAAUAAAUUUAUAAUGUAUAUACAUAUAUUUCCAUACAUUUGUAUGUGUUUAUCGAGAUUUUAUUGUCAUUAAAUAUCAUGUUAGAGAUUUCAAAAGUGUGCUUUCUAACAUGUAUCUUAGUUGUAGUUUCUAGUGCAAUACUAUGUAAUCAUAUUUACAGAAAUUUCUAGAGCAUGAAAUAUAUGUCUUGCAAGUUGCAUUCCGUAAUAAGUUGGCAUCAUGACCAUGCUAUUGGUUACAAUUAUUUUUUAUUUUAGAUGAUAACAAAUAACAAAAAAAAUUAUAAAAUAUAAGGGUGAAUCAUGCAAGUGAGGAGAACACACCAAUGAAGAAAGACAUUGCAUUUCCACGUGGAAUUCAUAUUGACAAACCUUAAGAAUCACAUGCAUUUGUAUGUUUUUACAAAUUAUGCCCCAUUUGCGGGACUCAAAUACAAGUCAGUUCAGGGUGUGGAGCUACGAGAAAACGUAGCAUUCAAGACUAGAUGAGCCACCGACUUAAAAAACAAAUAAGUAAAAAUGGAGCAAAUAGGAGUAGCUGGAAAAUUAUUUGAAAGAUUAAGAGUAGCUGGAAAAUUAUUUGAAGGAAAUGGAGCAAAUAGCUAUGCAAGAAGUGCUCUCGCUAGAAAAUAAAUGUUGCAUUAGAUGAUCGACUUGAAAACACACAUAUGAAGUGGUGGAGCCAGAAUUUUCACAAUGGGUAUGUGAUACAUCUCCAACAUAUCUAUAAUUUUUAAUUGUUUCAUGCUAUUAUAUUAUCCAUCUUGGAUGUUUUAUAUGCAUGUAUAUGCUAUUUUAUAUGAUUUUUGGGACUAACCUAUUAACCUAGAGCCCAGUGCCAGUUUUUGUUUUUUCCUUGUUUUUGAGUUUUACACAAAAGGAAUACCAAACGGAGUCCAAUUGACCUGAAAAUUGACGGAGAUUGUUUUUAGUGUUAUUGGCAUAAUGCAUCGUGUAUAUAUCAUUUUGCUUAUUGUACACAGAUCGUCCCAUGCAAUGUGAGGUCAGAAUUCAACAAUCUGACUGGAGACUCUGUGACAUUUGAGGCUCCUGGGGGCCCCUACACUAUGGAUAUCGAGAAAGGACGAAAGAUGACGUGGGUGGGAGGAGAUGGAUGGGCCCGUUUCAUCGACAACAUGCGUAUCACCGGUGGUGAGUUGAUCAAGCUGGCCGUGAUUUAUAUCAACAAAGCAUAAGAUUAUGAGGAUGAUGAGGAUGAUGAUGACCCACUCGGUGAUGCCAUCAUAGCUCAAAGAAUGAAGUUGAGCGAGGAGGAGGUGUGCAACCUAUGGGACAUCAUUCCGCCACGUGCUGACUUCGUCGGGGUGCCAUUCGUGACCCGUCUGACAAGUACCAUGGUUGAUCGGCAUAUGAUGGUAUGUUGCAUUUACUGUAGUUUUUACAGUAAUUUGAUGAUAUGCUUUAUUGUUAUACUUAGUGAAGAGUCCGAUGAUAUAUAUGCAUAGUGAAUCUUAUAUGCUUUAUUGUUAUACUUUAGUGUAGAGUCCAAUCAUAUAUAUGCUUACUGAAUCUUAUAUGCUUAGUGAAUCUUAUAUGCUUUAUUGUUAUACUUAGUGUAGAGUCCGAUGAUAUAUAUGCUUAGUGCAUCUUAUAUGCUUAGUGCAUCUUAUAUGCUUAGUGCAUCUUAUAUGCUUUAUUGUUAUACUUAGUGUAGAGUCCGAUGAUAUAUAUACUUAGUGUAGAGUCCGAUGAUAUAUAUGCUUAGUGUAGAGUCCGGUGAUAUAUAUGCUUCGUGUAGAAUGUGUGAGGCUACUUAUUAGUUGAUACGUUUUUCUUAUUCAGAAAUUGCCAAAGAGCCUAUCUGAGAGUUGUGGUAUCAAGCCUGAUGAAGAAGGCUCUGCUGGAAUACGCCUUACCGCAAGGGGCUCCGUCGCCACUUGUGCAUACGGCGAGGACACGGACGGUCGCACACACUUCAACUCGGUUGGGUGGAAGAGCUUCCUCAUCGGCAAGAAUCUUCAUGUUGAACAGACAAUCCUAAUUACUAUCAGGAAUACCCACCGCCCAGGCUUGAGGAUGAUGGUCGUCAUCGACAUCAUCUAGAACUUCAUAUGCAUGCGUGUGGCUGUUGAACCAUAUAUAUUUUCUAGUAUGACUACCUAGUAGACUUAUCAACUAUGAUCUAUCCAUGCAUUGUUGACUACUAUAUGAGUUUGUGAGAUUGUGUGGUUAUAUUAAAUGUGGUACUGUCAUUAAUGUUUGUGAGAUGGUUCCGUGAACUUAGUUUAUUUGCACUGGACUUGUCUUGAUCUCCAUGAACAUUGCACCUGACUGCUUUUUUUUAUUUUUUAUUUCUGUUUGCCUAGUUGUAGCGUGGGGAGAGAAUAGGGCGCUACUACUACGUGAUGAUAGUAGUAGCGCUGGUGGAGGAAGCAUCGCUACUAAUAAGUAUUUUAGCUGUAGCGCUUGUUCAGAAACGCGCUACUAUUGAAUAAUAGCUGUAGCGCACUAGCAGUAGCGCGGGUGCCCGCGCUACUGGUAUGUAAAAAACCAGCACCACUAGUAAGCUUUUCUCUAGUAGUAUAGCCAUUGUUUAUGCCAGACAACUCUUCUUCCUGCUCGUCAGAUGCCAUGGAGAAAACUGUUCAAGGAGGAAAAUGGUGAGAAGAGGUGUGAUGCGGUCUUGCUCGACAUCUGACAUUGUUUAAACAGCGAGGGGACACAAGGAGCCAACCGGCGUUCUGUUUAAUGCCAGCCGGCUCGCGAACGGACAUGUGGCCGGAGUAAUUAUCCUGGCAUAAGCGCGGGUUUAAUGGUGGAAGGCGGGCAGUCUAUAGGAAUGAGGCGAGGAUGUGUGUUUAGCGGGCGUCCAGCGGGGCAGCACCCUUGGCUGGCGCGCCGCUUCCAUUGCGAAGGCAGUGAGAGGCCGCGUCCGCUCUGCAGUGGCAUGAAUACGGGCAGCUGGCGCGCUGCUUCCAUUGCGAAGGCAGUGAGAGGCCGCAUCCGCUCUGCAGCGGCAUGAAUGCGGGCAGCUGGCGCAGAGCGGGAACGCAUGUGGGCGAGGGAGGAGGGGGUUUGGGUGGGCACGGGUGGUCAGAAGCGGUUGUGGGUGUUGUCCGGACGCCUGCAAAGCCACCCUCCCCCAUGUUCGUCUCCGGUUUGCGGGAUAAAGUAUAUACGGAUCGCCCUGUGGACCGAUACAAGCCCGCAUUGGAUGGCACAACACGUCCAGACCAUGUGGUCCAGAUGGUUGUAGAUGGUUUAUUUGAGGGUCGGUGUUGGAUAUGCCUUAGAGUUUAUGAAUCCAUUGUGGUUUUCUAAUCAUAAAAAACACUUAUAAUAAGUUAUAAGGAAAGACACGUAUAUAUGUUAGGUUCACACUCCAGCUUUCCUCUUACAUAUGUUUUUUUUCUGGUCCGACUGAUUCCAAUAGAGUGAGCCUAGCGUUGUUUUUCUAAAAACUCGAGGGAUAAGGAGACAUGCAUACACAUUGUUUCAAGCAAAUCACAUCCACUCUUUUUAACUCAUUUUUUCUUGUUUUAAUAAUAUAAUAAAUCAUUUUUAAUUUUUAUUUCAAAUAGUUGACGUGUAAUUUAUAUUGUAAUCUAAGGAAAAUGUUUGGAUUUUACUUUGAAAUAUAUUUCAAAUGGCCAUGAUGGAAUCACAUCCAUUUACUUUAUUAUUAUUUGGAUUUGAUUCAAAAGAUAAAUAAUGGGUAGAGGUCAUGUCAACUUUUCUGAGAAGUUUGCUAAUCAAAAUAUAAUUUUUAUCUUAAUACAAUCCAUUAUUUGACUACUCUAUUUAUUUGUAUUUAAAAACAUCUAUUUUUAGCACGCAUGAAAAACAUAACACAUAUCUUUCCACACAUAAUGAACGGUUGUCAUUAGAAUUCAUGCCAUGCCACAGCCUCCCUCUGACCCUGCCAAUAUUGUUGCAGCUGCGCUCGCAAGCCUUUGCGUAGAUGAUCAUUUAUAUGAUUUGUGUAAAACAAAAUAAGGUCUACAAACGAAUAGAAGCUAGAGUAUACCUUGGCGUGCACACACAUUGCAAGCCAUACUAACUUGAUAAGUGUUAAUGACUUGUACAACAUAUACAGCACUUAAGACAAGUAAAAGCAAUUUGAUGAGUCAUGGUCUAUCAAAGCAAGCCACAUUACUAGUCUAAUCCAUCUUAACAGGUCACGCAUGAUUACAAUCUUGUUUAUGUGCAAGUCAAGCCUAUCUAGUUUACACGUAACAACUUGUAGAACAUUACAAAAUUGAUGUUUGCUAAUAACUUCUAGAACACUACAACACUUGACAUGUAAAAGGAAUUUGAUGAGUCAUGGCCUACUAAAGCAAGUUACAUUACUAGUCUUAUCUAUCUUAACAUGCCACACAAGAUUACAAACUAAGUUCUGUGCCAGCCAUGCUUAUCUAGUUUAUGUGUAAAAAUUUGCAAAACAUUACAAACUUAGUUUCAGAAAAGUAGGCAAUCUAGAUUAGUGUUUGAGUUGUAAAGUGAACAAGAUGAGUCAUGCAUGUUAUCACACCUUUUUGGUGGUGGAAUGAUAGUGCAACAACAAGGAACUUUAAUGACCAGUCCAAGAAUACACUUGUAAGUAGUGCCACCAAACACAACAUACCAAAUUAUGAUUUUGGGAAGCAUCCAAACACUUUACACACAAGCAAAUGCCAAUUGUGAAAGAGAUCAUGCCAUGACAGCUAUAAAUAGGCCCGUAGCAUGAUGAUCAUCCUUCCUCAUCCAUCAUUCUUAUAAGUAGAGUGCAUCAUUAAAGCCAAGCAAGCAGUGGUCAAUACAAAUCCAUCAUGAAGACCUUUCUCAUCCUUGCCCUCCUUGCUAUCGUGGCGACCACCGCCACAACUGCAGUUAGAGUUCCAGUGCCACAAUUGCAGCCACAAAAUCCAUCUCAGCAACAGCCACAAGAGCAAGUUCCAUUGGUACAACAACAACAAUUUCCAGGGCAGCAACAACAAUUUCCACCACAACAGCCAUAUCCGCAGCCGCAACCAUUUCCAUCACAACAACCAUAUCUGCAACUGCAACCAUUUCCGCAGCCGCAACCAUUUCCGCCACAACUACCAUAUCCGCAGCCGCAAUCAUUUCCACCACAACAACCAUAUCCACAACAGCAACCACAGUAUCUACAACCACAACAACCAAUUUCGCAGCAACAAGCACAACAACAACAACAACAACAACAACAAUAACAACAACAACAACAAAUCCUUCAACAAAUUUUGCAACAACAACUGAUUCCAUGCAGGGAUGUUGUCUUGCAACAACACAACAUAGCGCAUGCAAGCUCACAAGUUUUGCAACAAAGUACUUACCAGCUAUUGCAACAAUUGUGUUGUCAACAACUGUUGCAGAUCCCUGAGCAGUCGAGGUGCCAAGCCAUCCAUAAUGUUGCUCAUGCUAUUAUUAUGCAUCAACAACAACAACAACAACAAGAACAACAACAACAGUUGCAACAACAACAGCAGCAGCAACUGCAACAACAAUGACAACAACCGUCGAGCCAGGUCUCCUUCCAACAGCCUCAGCAGCAAUAUCCAUCAAGCCAGGUCUUCUUCCAGCCAUCUCAGCUAAACCCACAGGCUCAGGGCUCCGUCCAACCUCAACAACUGCCCCAGUUCGCGGAAAUAAGGAACCUAGCGCUACAGACGCUACCUGCAAUGUGCAAUGUCUACAUCCCUCCACAUUGCUCGACCACCAUUGCGCCAUUUGGCAUCUUUGGUACCAACUGAGAAGAGAAGAACUCUAGUACUAGAUAUAUGAAACACCGUUUUCUUAGUCCAUGGUUUGGUCGUUGUAGCAGUGAAAAAAUAAAGUGACAUGCACUAUCAUGUAAGAACCCGAACUAUACUAGUUCAAACUUGGGAAUAAAAGACAAACACAUGUCUUGUCUACAUAUGAUUGUUUGUUUGAGUUCCAUUCAUGUGCCAUCACAAGUUCACCCCUAAUUAUAUAUAUUAUGCAUUAAGUAGAUAUUUAUGUUGCAUUAAUCUAAAGAUAAAAAAAUGAGUCUGAAACUUGAAUUAAAUUGAAGUAUUUUCUAGGACUUCCAAAUGGAGUAUUAUUAAAGUAGUAAGGACAAUCCACAUCCUUGGCUUGCCCUUUAUCAAUUAUAUCCAGAGAAGCAUUCAAUUCAUCAAUCAAUUACAUCGAUUUUUGUGGCUGGUACUUCUCCUCAACAUGAGUAUAUUCAUUGCGGCUACUCCAAAUCGGCAUGAAUGAGGUACUGGUGCUCUGGAGCAGUGCUAGCUGACUGCUUCUCAUGUGAAGGGACGCAGGCGUAGGAGAGGUGUUCCGGGUGGACCUGGGGAGUAAGAAGUGGCCAUGGCAGUGGUUCGGACGCUUGCAAAGUCCCGUAGUUUGUAUAUGGUUUACGGGAAAAUGCACAUUUGGACCGGCCUGCGGGCCGAUAUAGGACCGUAUUGGAUGGAGAAACAUGUCCUCAUCGUUGCGAGCGGUUUGAGGGUUAGGUUUGGAGAUAGCCCUUACUUGGCCCCUCGUUAUGAAAACACGUUUGACGAUAGUUUUGUCUCGGUUCAAAUAUGUGUCAAGUUUAACAAAGUUCAUAGGAAUUUUUUUAUCAUAUCUACAGUACCAUACAAAUACACCGUAGACAAAAAACAUAUUUCACACUGCACCAUGAAUUGGUCAGGUAAAUGUUGGGUAUGGAGACUCUAUUCUCUUUUGGCAUGAGUUGCCUCGGUCUCAAAAGUUUCAUGAACUGUUCUCUUUUGCCACUAAGAAAAAGCUCUCUUUGGCUGAUUUUAUUCAUAGUGACCAUCUCGCUCUCCAUUUUCAUAGGCAUAUCACCCUGCAAGCUCUUGCUCAAUUCAUUGACAUCAUUGACUUAGUUCAUCAAAAAAAAUUCAAUAAAAGGAAUAAAAUAAUAUCACGAAGAUACCAAUUACAACCGUCCUCUCUAUCAACAAGAUAUCCAAAGACAUCAAGGAUACGCACAGCCAGAAAAAAAAUAGAAGAAAAAAGACCGCUCCAAGGUGAUAAAUCACUAGCAUCAGUAGCACUCUAAGCACACCGAAGACAACAUUCGGAUUACAAAAAAGGUUCUCCAAAAGCAACCCCCCAAGAAGGAAACAAUGCACAAGCGUUGUCAUUGUCCGAUUGGAGAUCGUGGGUUUUCACCCUAGAAAAAUUCGAAGCUCACCCAAAAACAUUGCCUUCAACUAGGCUAUUGCCAGGUACAACCAAUAAAGGCUAGACCUUAGAUUUUCACCCUCGGAAUUGAGACUUAGUACUCGAGGAGUACAACCAAAAAUGCAGUCCUCCAGUGAUGGCGCCCCUGCUUGCCGAGCUCGCUGUUUUGGGUCACCAAACACCUGGCGCACAUUCUUUAUGGCAUCAAUUACACCCUUCCACCAAAUCUUCAAGACCUCCAAUCGCAGCCGCCAUGACUUUAUCCACCUCUAUCAAUGCCUUGAGAAUCUUCACUUGGACAUGUCCCAUGACACCAAUAAGAAAUCAAAGCUUCUUGCCGCACCCUCUUGAGGUCGUGUUGGCUGAUAAUAUGAGCGUGCGCUACUGGAGCCUUUACGAUCUAGAUAUCCAGUGUCGACAUACACCAAUCCAUAUAGAUCUCCGAUGGGAAAGACCGAAACUCGUCAACGGCUAGAUCUAAGAGGUGGACAUCCAGCAGAAAGACGACUUGGCGGAAGAAUAGUACUAGGGCCAAACCACCAUUAUUAGGCCGAACCUAACAUUCCCACACGCCGCCCUCCUCUUGAUGUAGACCUACAGACAAAUAUCAGCGACGCCGCAUCAUGCCACCUGCAUCUGUUGAGUCCCGAACUUGGCAAGAUGCCAACCAUGGCAGGAGACUGGGACUAGCCACUCCUGGGCACUGAUCCGGCGACUCCCUGGCCCACCCCUGCCACUAUGGCGACACCCCUGCCUACAAGCCCAUCCACGACAAUGCCUGAUUAGAAGGAUACAUGGAUAUACAGAUGGAAAGACCCUUGUUAUCGCUCAAGCAAUAUAUAUAAAGCUUAAUGGGGCCUAAGAAAGCUCGCACAAUUUUACGGUGGCUAUGGAAAUGUGUUGCCAAACUGAGACAUAAGAUUUUCGUUUGGCAUCCAGACCGUUUGUGUCAUUCUUAAUCUAUGGUCACUCUAAUUUUUCCGGCUGGGCCUUCCCUGUGGUACCGCAGCAAGGCAUGCAUGUGUAUACGUUUCCUUUAAGUACCAUGUGCAGGAUGAUGAUUUACUGCACGCAUGUGCGAGGGCACUCAUGUCCUGGUGCCGGGUUUUUAUUUUGGCUUCCGAUUUUCAAACUUCUAUAUCUUCUAAACCAAAAAUUCAAUUUAUGUUAUGUAUUCAUAUUCGUGUUUCUCGCGGCCAGUGCUUUCAAAUAAGAUCCAUUUUGAAUACAUUUUGGUGACUUUUUGAAACACUGUUAAGUUUCAUUGUUUGAAACUUAGUACGAUCGACCACUAAAAUUCAAUUAUUUUGUGUCUACGACCAACGGAGAAAAUUUCUUAAAAAUACAUCUUUGAAAUUUGUUGAAACCGGGCAUUUUUUGAUGCAAAAAGGUAAGUUUCAUCAUUGAAACUUUAAGGUUUUUGAGGGAUUUUUUUCCUUGUGGAGCUUUGGAAAUGAGAGAAUUUGAUAAAGUAAAUCUCGGAAACUCUUAUUGGAUGAGAGAGAUUUAAUAUGAUAUUGGCGUGGGUUCUACCAACUAAAUGAAGAAGUAUUUGAUUUGGUAAACAGACAAUUUCCUUUAAUUGACGAACAUUUUAGGAAAAUUGGUGGAACAACUUUUGAAAUUCCAAAAAAAAAUCUUGAUUUAACGAACAUUAUUUUAACUUAACGAACAUUUUUUUAAAAUACAUGAACAUUUUUUUGAAUCUGUGAUCGUUUUAUGAAUGAAUAAACUAGUUUGUAAGUCAUGAACAGUUUUUAAAUUUGUAGGGUAUUUUUCCAUUCAUGAACAGUUUUUGAAUUGCUGAAAUUUUGUUCAAUUUCAUUAACAAUUUUUAGUACACAAACCUUUUUAAAAAAUCGUGAACAUUAACUAGUUCGUGAAAUCCCUAAUUAUUUAAAGUAGAAAAAAAUAGAAAAGAGAAAGGAAUGGAAAAUGAAGUUAAAAAAAUAGGCCGACCGAACAUGGGCCGGCCCAAACGGGCGCGUUGCGUCUUCUCCCAGCGUGUAGAGCACAGUAUACGUGGUCCCUACUGCAUGGGCCGGCCCAAGCGGAAGAUUUGUCUGUGUGAAACUUUUUUUAUCACGUACUGGUGGCAUUGGUGCGUAAUGCAUGUUUUGCAUCUUUAGGGGGCACUUUUCCUGACGUACCGCCAGAAGCAAUAGCCAUUUUAUUAUUAGUUAGAGAUUAGGUAUAGAUAUGAACCACCAGUAAAUUAGGUAGACGAUAGAUGACGACUCUAAAGAAGAUCACAUGUGUCAAGCUUGGAAUAGGCUAACAGAUGUUAGGGCAUCUCAAAUGUAAACCCAUAAGCAGACAUCACAAAUGUCCGCGAACACAAACCGGACUGGUUCGCGGGCAUGAUAGGGGAGGGAGCCAUCAAACCUUGAUGGCUGCUACCCAUAUUUCUCUCACAUUUCUCUAGCAUUUCAUCGAACAGUUGAUGUGCAGCAGUAGGACACAUCUGGUUCACGCAGCUGGCGCGUCAUGGGAGUUCUGCCUCAUCGGGCAUGACUGAUGUGUCGCAGGACGACGGGCGUGGUCUCGGGCGCAUCAGUAGCGGCCACGACGACAAGACGAGGCCGCGCCAUGGGUGGAGCUAGCCACGGGAGCCAGCAUUGGCGCGACACUAGACGCAGCCAGCCCACGACACGCCGGGCAUGGUGGCAAGAGAGCUUCAUGAGGCCAGAGCCGAGCUAGGCCUUGAGUUGCUCGCCGAGCAGCCAUGGAGGGCAUGGGUAGAUGAGAUGCACAGGGAGAGAGGAGUGGAGAGAUAGGAGGAGGCGGAGAUGAGGAUGGAGUGCUCGCCGGCAGCUGCCCUCAUGGUCGUCCGUAGCCGGCGUCAGUGCUCUCCGUUUAGUGUUAUUUGUACAGAGAGGGAGGGAGUAGAGAUGUGGUGUUUCUUUUGGUUAGCUGGAUGUUCAGACUCUCGCAUAGUCCCUCAAAUUUGUUCCUGUGAUAUCGAAAUUUGAACAUGUGGGCUGGUCCGCGGAUAUUUAGAGGUCCCCACUUGAAGAAUAAAAAUGGUCUAGACACUACUAUCUGACAUUUUGCCCUUAGUAGUUGGUGGAUGUCGAUGUGCUGUCCCUCCAACCUAUAUUAAAAGAUUCAUUCACCGUCCGAUCCCUUCUACAAAACACGUCAUUGCUUUCCAUGAUUCUCUUUUGUCAAUGUGUGAAAUAUUAGAAUUUGAGUUGUUUGGUGAAAUGUACGAGCCGGCCGCCAAAAGGACAGAUUUCUACUUUUAUUUUCUACUAUUUUCUUUAUUUUAUAGUUUUUGGCAAGUGCAUUUUCAUAUGGUAUAUGUCUAGACCAUUUGAACAGUUUAUUUUGAAUUUGUUUCUUCCAUUCUAGCUAAAUAUAAGAAUUUACAAUGUUCGUUUUAAUUCUUUGGAAUAAACAUUUAUUACUAGUAUUAAAAAGACUAAAUUAGCUGCCGCAUUUUCAUUCCCUAAUCAACUUGAAGGCUAGCUAAACUUUGAUUAAAUUGUCAUAUAUUUUUUUAUGAUAUAUUGUUUCCAUUAUGUAUAUCAACUCCAAUAAAAAUGAUGAUAAUCAAUUCUCCUUAAGUAAUUAUGAAUGUACUGAAUAAUUAAAUAAUCAAAAAUUACUUACAAAAUAAUAACAUCUCAAUGCCCUAUGAAUACCAGGUAGAUAUCUAACUCAGGCACUUGUCCGCAAAAUAAAUGUUCUUCAAAAAAAUAUUGAAAGUAGUUAAAUUAUUUAAAAUGAAUAAAAAGCGCAUGCUCCAUUCUACUUUACCGCUCUAGAUGCACUGAUUCGUUGUGGCAAUAGAAACACUAAAUUUCAGUCCCACUUAUUAAUGUUUGCUAAGUGAUAUUUGACAACAAAAAAUUAAAAUAAAAUAAUUUUAUAUUAUUUUUUACUUAUUAAAUUAAUUAUUCUGUCUGUGUAAUUUUCUGUUACUUACAUAAAAUAGUUAACCAUAAUACAAUUGUUGCUAAAUAAUAGUUAUGAUGUUUCUUUGUUAUAUAGUUGCAACAUAUAUCAGUAAAAUAGUUGAUUCAUAUUUAAAAGGUAUGAUAGAACAAAAGUUAUUUUUUCAAUCAAGUCUUGAAAUUGAAUAAAUUUAUAAUGUAUAUACAUAUAUUUCCAUACAUUUGUAUGUGUUUAUCGAGAUUUUAAUGUCAUUAAAUAUCAUAUUAGAGAUUUCAAAAGUGUGCUUUCUAACAUGUAUCUUAGUUGUAGUUUCUAGUGCAAUACUAUGUAAUCAUAUAUACAGAAAUUUCUAGAGCAUGAAAUAUAUGUCUUGCAAGUUGCAUUCCGUAAUAAGUUGGCAUCAUGACCAUGCUAUUGGUUACAAUUAUUUUUUAUUUUAGAUGAUAACAAAUAACAAAAAAAUUAUAAAAUAUAAGGAUGAAUCAUGCAAGUGAGGAGAACACACCAAUGAUGAAAGACAUUGCAUUUCCACGUGGAAUUCAUAUUGACAAACCUUAAGAAUCACAUGCAUUUGUAUGUUUUUACAAAUUAUGCCCUAUUUGCGGGACUCAAAUACAAGUCAGUUCAAGGUGUGGAGCUACGAGAAAACGUAGCAUUCAAGACUAGAUGAGCCACCGACUUCAAAAACAAAUAAGUAAAAAUGGAGCAAAUAGGAGUAGCUGGAAAAUUAUUUGAAAGAUUAGGAGUAGCUGGAAAAUUAUUUGAAAGAAAUGGAGCAAAUAGCUAUGCAAGAAGUGCUCUCGCUAGAAAAUAAAUGUUGCAUUAGAUGAUCGACUUGAAAACACACAUAUGAAGUGGUUGAGCCAGAAUUUUCACAAUGGGUAUGUGAUACGUCUCCAACGUAUCUAUAAUUUUUAAUUGUUUCAUGCUAUUAUAAUCCAUCUUGGAUGUUUUAUAUGCAUGUAUAUGCUAUUUUAUAUGAUUUUUGGGACUAACCUAUUAACCUAGAGCCAAGUGCCAGUUUUUGUUUUCUUGCUUGUUUUUGAGUUUUACACAAAAGGAAUACCAAACGGAGUCCAAUUGACCUGAAAAUUCACGGAGAUUGUUUUUGGACCAGAAGAAGCCCACGAAGCAUCAAAGAUGGACCAGAAGAGUCCCGAGGCCACUACGAGGGUGGAGGGCGCGCCCUACCCCCUGGGCGCGCCUCCCCUCCCUCGUGGCUUCCUCAUGGACCCCCCUGACUUGUUCCUGACGCCAACACCUCUUAUAUAUCCCCAAACUUCCAAAACAGAACCAAGAUCGGGAGUUCCGACACCGUAAGCCUCUAUAGCCACCAAAAACCAAUCGGGACCCUGUUCUGGCACCCUACCGGAGGGGGGGUAUCCAUCACCGGUGGCCAUCUUCGUCAGCCUGGCGCUCUCCAUGACGAGGAGGGAGUAGUUCACCCACGUGGCUGAGGGUAUGUACCAGUAGCUAUGUGAUCUCUCUCUCUCUCUCUCUCUCUCUCUUGUGUUCUUGAUAUGGCACGAUCUUGAUGUACCGCGAGCUUUGCUAUUAUAGUUGGAUCUUAUAAUGUUUCUCCCCCUCUACCUUCUUGUAAUGGAUUGAGUUUUUCCUUUGAAGUUAUCUUAUCGGAUUGAGUCUUUAAGGAUUUGAGAACACUUGAUGUAUGUCUUGCAUGUGCUUAUCUGUGGUGACAAUGGGAUAUUCAUGUGAUUCACUUGAUGUAUGUUUUGGUGAUCAACUUGCGGGUUCAGUGACCUUAUGAACUUAUGCAUAGGGGUUGGCACAUGUUUCCGUCUUGACUCUCCGGUAGAAACUUUGGGGCACUCUAUGAAGUCUUUGUGUUGGUUUGAGUAGAUGAAUCUAAGAUUGUGUGAUGCAUAUCGUAUAAUCAUACCCGCGGAUACUUGAGGUGACAUUGGAGUAUCUAGGUGACAUUAGGAUUUUGGUUGAUGUGUGUCUUAAGGAGUUAUUUUGCUAAGAAAUCUAGGGCUGUUUGUGACACUUAUAGGAAUAGCCCAAUGGAUUGAUCGGCAAGAAUAACUUUGAGGUGGUUUCGUACCCUACAAUAAUCUCUUCGUUUGUUCUCCGCUAUUAGUGACUUUGGAGUGACUCUUUGUUGCACGUUGAGGGAUAGUUAUAUGAUCUAAUUAUGUUAUAAUUGUUGAGAGAACUUGCACUAGUGAAAGUAUGAACCCUAGGCCUUGUUUCGAAGCAUUGCAAUACCGUUUUCGCUCACUUUUGUUACUUGCUACCUUGCUGUUUUUAUAUUUUCAGAUUACAAAAACCGAUAUCUACCAUCCAUAUUGCACUUGUAACACCAUCUCUUCGCCGAACUAGUGCACCUAUACAAUUUACCAUUGUAUCGGGUGUGUUGGGGACACAAGAGACUCUUUGUUAUUUGGCUGCAGGGUUGUUUGAGAGAGACCAUCUUCAUGCUACGCCUCCCACGGAUUGAUAAACCUUAGGUCAUCCACUUGAGGGAAAUUUGCUACUGUCCUACAAACCUCUGCACUUGGAGGCCCAACAACGUCUACAAAAAAAGGUUACGUAGUAGACAUCAAGCUCUUUUCUGGCGCCGUUGCCAGGGAGGUGAGUGCUUGAAGGUAUAUCUUCAGAUCUUGCAACUGAAUCGUUUAGUUUCUUGUUUUAUCACUAGUUUAGUCUACAAAAGAAAAAUACAAAAAAUGGAAUUGAGGUUGCCACAUAUGCUUCAUCUUUUUAGCAUCUUUCAUGAAAAUAAGGAUUCCGAUAAUUGUGCCAAAGUGUUAGAAGAAGAAUGCAAUACAACGUUUGGCACUAGAUCUUUGAAUGAUGAGAAUGAUUGCAAUGUUGUUAGUAUGAACUCUUUAAAUAUCCAUAGUACUAAUGAUGAUUGCACUAGUCAUGAUAAAAAUGUCUCUUAUAAGCAUGUCAACUUUUGUGGAGUGCAUAGAGUUUGCAAGUACACACCAAAUAGGGAAGAUAGAUUUUGCAAGAGGGAUCACUACUAGGGAAAAGCCUAUACACAUGAUCUUACCAGCAACGAGUUUUAAAAUAUGGCGCUGCCGCAAUUUAUCAGUAGCGUGCUCCACCAGAACUCGCUGCUGAAAGAAAAGUAGUAGUAGCGUGCCACCUCUAAGACACGCUACUGCUAUAAUUCCCACGACCCCGCUGCGGAGCUAGUUAUAGCAGCAACGCGUUAACUAGAAGGGCGCUACUGCUAGGUAGUUUAGCAGUAGAGCCUUUACGUACACCGUGCUACUGCUAAAACUACCUAUCUCCCCACCCACACGCUCUCCUCUAUCCGAUCCACACUCACACUCACACACACUCGAUCUCCCCCUCAACUCCCCCGCGCCGGUCCUCCCCCAACGGCCACCGUCGCCUACCCCUCCUCCCUCUGCGCCACCGUCACCUCCUCCUCCUCGCUGGACUCGGUACCGCCCUCCUCCUCCGUCCCACCUCAACUCGGCGCCAGCCGGCCCCUCCUCGCUCCUCCCUUCCUCCUCCGUCCUACUCUCUCCUCCCUCCUCCAGUCGCCCCUCCUUCUCCCUCCUCCCUCCUCCAUCCACAACCCCUCCUACCUACUACAUUUUGAUUUAGUAGGCUAGUUCAUAUGCAACAUUUUGAUUUAGUUCAUAUGAUUUAGUUGAUUUAGUAGGCUAGUUGAUUUAGAACAUUUUGAUUUUGUUGAUUUAGUAGGCAAGUUGAUCUAGUAGGCUAGUUGAUUUAUAGAACAUUUUGAUUUAGUUGAUUUAGUAGGCAAGUUGAUUUAAUAGGCUAGUUGAUUUAGUUGAUUUAUAGAACAUUUUGAUUUAGUUGAUUUAGUAUGCUAGUUUAUAGCUCUGAAGAUUUGGCACCACUUAGCUAGAUCUUAGGAUUAUAAUUGUCCAUCAAAUUUCUUCUCGUGGAAGAAGAAUCAAAUUGCUUCUCGUGGAAGAUUUGGCAUUUGGCUAUUGGUUCUAUUCUAGAAGGUGUUAGUAAGCUAUGAAAAUAUAAGUGAAGAAGAACCAAAAAAAUCACAUGCUACUAUUUUUCUUUCGUGUGAAGUGGAUCGUUAAUCCUUUGCUCAUAUUGCUUUAGGAAAAUGGCGCGACCACCACCACCACCACCAUGUCGAUUGUGCAAGUCAAGGUGCGCCAGCAGCCUUGCAACUGGCAAGCUGUUCGGCAUCUACUUCUAGCCGAGUUUUCGUCAUUCGGCGGUAAGAAAUAAUAUGAAAUGUAACAACUAUUUUAUUUUUAGUGAUGGCAUUACUGCAUUGUGUCAUUUUGGUUUUUUUUACAUAGAUCGUCCCAUGCAAUGUAAGGUUGAAAUUCAACAAGCUAACAGGAGACACUAUGACAUUUGAGGCUCCUGGGGGGCCGUACACUAUGGAGGUCGAGAAUGGACACACUAUUUCGCAGAUUGGAGGAGAUGGAUGGGCCCGUUUCCUCACCCGCAUGCGUCUUACUGGUGGUGAGUUGAUCAGCUUCUCCUUCAGAGCAGAAAGACCCAAGCUGGCUAUCAUUUAUAUCAACCGGGUGGAAGAUGAUGAAGAUGACGAAGAUGAUGAAGAUGAUGAAGAUGAUGAACAUAAUGAGGACCCACUCGAUGAAGAUGAUGAGGACCCACUUCAUGAAGCCAUCGUAUCUCAAAGAAUGAGGCUCAGCGAGGAGGAGGUGUGCAACCUAUGGGACAUAAUUCCGCCACGUGCUGACUUUGUCGGGGUGCCAUUCAUGACCCGCCUGAAAAGUACCAUGGUCCAUCGACAUGAUAUGGUAUGUUAUACUUACAAAUGCAAAUUAUGUGAUGAUAUGCUUAGUGUAGAGUCCAAUGAUAUGUUGUCUGGAAUCUGGUCAAUGAUAUGCUUUAGUGUAGAGUUCGAUCACAUGCUUAUUAGUGUAGAAUCAAAGGAACUAUUAAUAGUGUAGAUAAUCCUAUAUACUUAUUUGCAAGAGUAUGUGCGAGGCUAUUUAUUAAUUGAUAUGUUUUUUCUUUUUCAGAAAUUGGCAAAGAGCCUAUCUGUGAGUUAUGGUAUCGAGCCUGAUGAAGAAGGCUCAGCUGGACUACGCCUUACCGCAAGGGGCUCCGUCACAAUAUGUAAUUACCGCGUGGACACAUAUGGUCGCACAUACUUAAACUCAGUUGGGUGGAAGAGAUUCCUCGAUGGCAGAAUCUUCAUGUUGGACAUGCCAUCCUAAUUACUAUCAGGAACACCAACCGCCCAGGCUUGAGGAUGAUGAUCGUCUUUGAUAUCAUCUAGAACUACAUAUGUGUUUGUGGCUAUAUCAUCUAGAACUACAUAUGAUGAUCGUCAUUGAUAUCAUCUAGAACUACAUAUGAUGAUCAUCGUCGAUAUCAUCUAGAACUACAUAUGAUGAUCAUGGUCGAAAUCACCAAGUACUGCUUGAGGAUGCACUAUAUAUGAAAUUGUUAUCUAGUACUCCCUUCAUUCCAAAUUACUCAUCGUGGUUUGAACCACGAUGAGUAAUUUGGAACGGAGGGAGUACUACCUAGUACCUAUAAUGCUUUAUGAAAUUGAUAUCUAGUAGUACCUAGUAUCUGGACCAAAACCGAAACGGGGUAGGAAGCUGGGGAAAAUGAUGAAAGAUAUAGCACUAGCGAGGGGCUAGGAAACCGCUACAAUUAACUAAUAGUAGUGCGUUCCUGAAAAGCGCUGCUGAUAUAGUCAAUAGUAGUAGCACGGGUACCGACCGCGCUACUACUAAGAGUUAGCUGUAGCGCCUUACUAGUAGCGCCGCUUCCCGCACUGCUGCUAGCCUCAAAACCUGCGCUACUACUAGCGUUUUCCCUAGUAGUGCAUAAGUAUUUAAAAACUAAAUGGUUGCAAGAGAGGCUAGAUGUUUAUUAUGAAAAUAUAAAUUUUCGUACUUGUGAACUUUGCAAUGAACGUGGUCAUUUAACUCUCCAAUGCAAAUUGUUUCAUGAUCGAAUCAUGUCCAAAAAUUGUAAUGACUUGAUUUCCCUUGCACAUCAUAAUGAACUUAGUUUGCUUUUGGGUUAUGAAGAAAUGAAACAUAUAACUAAGGAUAUUCCAGAAUUUUUCCUUGAGAAAGUUCUUGAUUUUGAUCUAGAGGAAAUUUAUAUGUAUUGUGUGGUGAAUUGCAUUGAAAAUCCUUAUAUUGCAAAUUACAUAAGGACAAGAAAACAAAUAGAAUAUGAAGAGAAUACUAAUUAAAGGGAAGAGGUUUCCCAAUAUCCUCCUAUUCUUUCUUAUGAUGAAUCAGGUAACGAGGAGGAGCUUUCUAUUCAACCGAUCUCAUUAAUAAGGAGCUCCAAAAGGAGGAUUAAACCAACACAUAAUGUGGAGAAGAAAAAGAAAAGACUGAGAAGCAAAGGUAAAAAGGUAUCUCUCUCAAAUUAUGUUGCUCCUAUUAUUGUUAUGCCUAUUACUCAUUGUGAUGAUAAUAAUUGCUAUACUAUUGGUGCUAUCCAUACUAUUAAUGAUGUGAUUGAUUAUGCUUAUGAUAUGCAAAGGCCCAAGCUUGGGGAUGCUAUGUUUGAUGAGAAUGACAUGUUCGAGAAUUUAUUUGCUGCAAUUAAUGUUUGUCCCAAGCUUGGGUAUGCUAUGCUUAAUGAAGAUGAUAUUUUUAGUCUCCCAAGUUUUGAUAUGCACAUUUAUUAUGAUGAUAUCAUGCCUCCUAUUUAAGAUGAUUAUAUUGAUGGAAGUGGGUUUGGAAGAUUGUCAACUUUAGGAAGUAAUGAUCCCACUAUUUUGGAGGGUGUUGAAUCUUAUUGUGAUAAUGAUAAAAGUGGAUUUUGAGAGGUCAUGACUUUAUUUAGUAAUGAUUUCACUAUCUUCGAAGAGGUUUCAAUCGAUUAUGAUGAGAACAAGGUUGCUACUUGUGAUGAUUAUUGUGAUGACACUUAUGUUAUAAAAAGUAGUGAUGAUUAUAUUUCUAAACUUGUCAUGAUUAUGAAUACCCUUUUUCUAAACAUUUCUUUCAAUGUGGAAACAAUUUAUAGUAUUCAAGUUUCUUAUGAUACUCCCACUAUUCCGAAUGAGAAGAAUUUUACUUAUGUGGAGAGUAGUAAAUUUUAUAUGCUUAUGAAUCAUGAAAAGAAUGCUUUAUGUGAUGGUUAUAUUGUUGAAUUCAUUCAUGAUGCUACUGAAAAUUAUUAUGAGGGAGGAAUAUAUGCUUGUAGGAAUUGCAAUAAUAUCAAGUUUUCUCUCUAUGUGUUGAAAAUCUUGAAGUUAUGCUUGUUUUGCUUUCCUAUGCUAGUUGGUUCUUGUUCCCAUAAGUUGUUUGCUCACAAAAUCCCUAUGCAUAGGAAGUGGGUUAGACUUAAAUGUGUUAGUCAUAUGCUUCAUGAUGCUCUCUUUGUAGUUCAAUUCUUAUCUUCUAUGUGAGCAUCAUUGAAAUCAUCAUGCCUAGCUAAAAGGCAUUAAAGAAAAGCACUUGUUGGGAGACAACCCAAUAUUUACCCCUACUGUUUUUGUGUGUUCACAUGAUUAAGCUACUGUAUUAAUCAUGCUUUAUAGGUUUUGUUUCAAUAAAGUGCCAAGUAAGACCUUUGGGAUGGCUUACGGUAAUAGUUGAUUUGAUCUUGCUGAAAAUCAGAAACUUUUGCGCUCACGAUUUUUUUUCAUAAUUCACAGUAGCGUGCUUUUAAGUUGAUUCCUUUUGUAGAAUAUUAAUAAACAAUUUCUUAGGAUUUCGUAAUUUUUCAGGAUUUUUUGGAGUUACAAAAGUAUUCGGGAGUUACAGAUUACUACAGACUGUUCUGUUUUUGACAGAUUCUGUUUUUAUGUGUUGUUUGCUUAUCUUGAUGAAUCUAUGAGUAGUAUCGGAGGGUAUGAACAAUAGAGAAGUUGGAAUACAGUAGAUAUUACACCAAUAUAAAUAAAGAAUGAUCCAACAACAGUACCAAAAGUGGUGAUUUAUUUUCAUAUACUAACGGAGCUUACGAGUUUUCUGUUGAGUUUUGUGUUGUGAAGUUUUCAAGUUUUGGGUAAAGAUUGGAUGAACUAUGGAAUAAGCAGUGGCAAGAGCCUAAGCUUGGGGAUGCCCAAGGCAAGGUAAUAUUCAAGGACAACCAAGAGCGUAAGCUUGGGGAUGCCCCGGAAGGCAUCCCCUCUUUUGUGUUUGUCCAUCACUAACUUUACUUGGAGCUAUAUUUUUAUUCACUCAUGAUAUGUGUUUUGCUUGGAGCAUCAUUUUAUUUUAUUAGGUUUUGCUUGUUGUUUGAAUAAAAUAUUAAGAUCUUAAAUUUUUAAAUGUUAGAGAGUCUUCACAUAGUUACAUAAUUAUUCGACUACUCAUUGAUCUUCACUUAUAUCUUUCGGAGUAGUUUGUCAUUUGCUCUAGUGCUUCACUUAUAUCUUUUUAGAGCACGGCGGUGGUUUUAUUUUGAAUAAAUUGAUGAACUCUCAUGCUUCACUUAUAUUAUUUUGAGAAUCUUUUAGAACAGCAUGGUAAUUUUGUUUGGUUAUAAAUUUAGUCCUAAUACGAUAGGCAUCCAAGAGGGAUAUAAUAAAAACUUUCAUAAAAAGUGCAUUGGAUACUAUGAGAAGUUUGAUUCUUUAUGAUUGUUUUGAGAUAUGAAGAUGGUGAUAUUAGAGUCAUGCUAGUGGAGUAAUUGUGAAUUUGAGAUAUACUUGUGUUGAGGUUUGUGAGUCCCGUAGCAUGCACGUAUGGUGAACAGUUGUGUAAAAAAUUUGGAGCAUGAAGUAUCUCUGUGAUUGACAUCCUUUGUGUGGAGGUCGGGAUCGCACGAUGGUUAACUCCAACCAAGCCUUCCCCUAGGAGCAUGCGCGUAGUGCUUGGUUUUGAUGACUUAUAGAUUUUUUCAAUAAGUAUGUGAGUUCUUUUUGACUAAUGUUGAGUCCAUGGAUUAUAUGCACUCUUACCCUUCCAUCAUUGCUAGCCUCUCUUGUGCCGUGCAACUUUCACUGGUACCAUACACCCACCAUAUACCUUCCUCAAAACAGCCACCAUACCUACCUAUUAUGGCAUUUCCAUAGCCAUUCCGAGAUAUAUUGCCAUGCAACUUUCCACCAUUCCAUUUAUUAUGACAUGCUUCAUCAUUGUCAUAUUGCUUUGCAUGAUCAUAGUUGACAUCAUAUUUGUGGCAAAGAGACCUUUCAUAAUUCUUUCAUACAUGUCACUCUUGAUUCAUUGCACAUCCCGGUACACCACCGAAGGCAUUCACAUAGAGUCAUAUUUUGUUCUAAUCAUUGAGUUGUAAUUUUUCGAGUUGUAAGUAAAUAGAAGUGUGAUGAUCAUCAUUAUUAGAGCAUUGUCCCAUGUGUGGAAAAAAAGAGGCCAAAGAAGCCAAAAUAAAAAAGAGAGGCCAAAGAAGCCCAAACAAAAAAAUGAGAGAAAAAGAGAGAAGGGGCAAUGUUACUAUCCUUUUUUCCACACUUGUGCUUUAGAGUAGCACCAUGAUCUUCAUGAUAGAGAGUCUCUUAUUUUUUCACUUUCAUAUUCUAGUGGGAUUUUUUCAUUAUAGAACUUGGCUUGUAUAUUCCAACGAUGGGCUUCCUCAAAUCACCCUAGGUCUUCAUGAGCAAGCAAGUUGGAUGCACACCCACUUAGUUUCCUUUUGAGCUUUCAUACACUUAUAGCUCUAGUGCUUCCGUUGCAUAGCAAUCCCUACUCACUCGCAUUGAUAUCUAUUGAUGGGCAUCUCCAUAGCUGAUACGUCUCCAACGUAUCUAUAACUUUUGAUGUAUUCAUGCCAUGUUUAUAAUAUUUUUACAUGCUUUUGGUAUGAUUUGGUUAGAACUAACCCGGACUGACGCUGUUUUCAGCACAACUACCGUGGUGUUGUUUUUUGUGCAGAAAUAAAAGUUCUCGGAAUGCGCUGAAAAUUAACGGAGAUUUUUUGGAAAAUAUAAACAAUAUUGGAACAAAAAGUUAUCGGAGGGAGUCUCGUGGGCCCCACGAGAGUGGAGGGCGCACACACCCCCUGGGGCGCACCCCUGUGCCUCCUAGACUCCCCAUGGGUCCCCCAACUUGUUUUCGACGCCAACCUCUCCUAUAAAUACAAAUCCCCCCAGAAAAUAAUCUAGAUCGGGAGUUCCGCCACCGCAAGCCUCUGUAGCCACCAAAAACCAAUCGGCACCCUAUUCCGGCACCCUGCUGGAUGGGGGAUCCAUCACCGAUGGCCAUCUUCAUCAUCCCGGUGCUCUCCAUGAUGAGGAGGGAGUAGUUCACCCUCGGAGCUGAGGGUAUGUACCAGUAGCUAUGUGUUUGAUCUCUCUCUCUCUCUCUCUCUCUCUCUCUCUCUCUCUUGUUCUUGAUCUGGCACGAUCUUGAUGUACCGCGAGCUUUUCUAUUAUAGUUGGAUCUUAUGAUGUUUCUCCCCCUCUACUCUCUUGUAAUGGAUUGAGUUUUCCCUUUGAAGUUAUCUUAUCGGAUUGAGUCUUUAAGGAUUUGAGAACACUUCAUGUAUGUUUUGCAUGUGCUUAUCUGUGGUGACAAUGGGAUAUUCACGUGAUCUACUUGAUGUAUGUUUUAGUGAUCAAAUUGCGGAUUCAGUGACCUUGUGAACUUAUGCAUAGGGGCUGGCACACGUUUUCGUCUUGACUCUCCGGUAGAAACUUUGGGGCACUCUUUGAAGUACUCUAUGUUGGUUUGAUCGAUGAUGCCUCUGGAUGAACAGUGAUCCUUGUUUGGGGGUUUGGGUGCACAGUUACCGGUGGGAGGUUGGAUGAAUAGGACCCAGUGGUAGUAGAGGCCGUUGCCGCUGGAUGAACAGGACCCCGAUUGAUCGAGCCGGUUGGGGGGUGGAGGAAUGAUACGUCUCCGUCGUAUCUACUUUUCCAAACACUCUUGCCCUUGUUUUGGACUCUAACUUGUAUGAUUUGAAUGGAACUAACCCGGACUGACAUUGUUUUCAGCAGAAUUACCAUGGUGUUGUUUUAUGUGCAGAAAAUAAAAGUUCUCAGAAUGACCUGAAACUCCACGGAACACCUUAGAAAAAACAAUAAAAAAUCCUCGCCAAAGAUGAAGACCAGGGGGCCCACACCCGGUCCACGAGGGUGGGGGCGCCCCCCUGGGCGCGCCCUCUACCUCGUGGGCCCCCUGGUGGCCCUCCGACGCCAACUCCAACUCCAUAUAUUGGCUUUCGGGGAGAAAAAAAUCAGAGAGAAGAAAUCAUUGCGUUUUACGAUACGGAGCCGCCGCCAAGCCCUAAUAUCUCUCGGGAGGGCUGAUCUGGAGUCCGUUCGGGGCUCCGGAGAGGGGGAUUCGUCGCCGUCGUCAUCAUCAACCAUCCCCCAUCACCAAUUUCAUGAUGCUCACCGCCGUGCGUGAGUAAUUGCAUCGUAGGCUUGCUGGACGGUGAUGGGUUGGAUGAGAUUUAUCAUGUAAUCGAGUUAGUUUUGUUAGGGUUUGAUCCCUAGUAUCCAUUAUGUUCUGAGAUUGAUGUUGCUAUGAUUUUUUCUAUGCUUAAUGCUUGUCACUAGGGCCCGAGUGCCAUGAUUUCAGUUCUGAACCUAUUAUGUUUUCAUGAAUAUAUGUGUGUUCUUGAUCCUAUCUUGCAAGUCUAUAGUCACCUACUAUGUGUUAUGAUCCGGUAACCCCGACGUGACAAUAAUCGGGACCACUCCCGGUGAUGACCAUAGUUUGAGGAGUUCAUGUAUUCACUAUGUGCUAAUGCUUUGUUCCGGUUCUCUAUUAAAAGGAGGCCUUAAUAUUCCUUUGUUUCCAAUAGGACCCCGCUGCCACGGGAGGGUAGGACAAAAGAUGUCAUGCAAGUUCUUUUCCAUAAGCACGUAUGACUAUAUAUGGAAUACAUGCCUACAUUACAUUGAUGAACUGGAGCUAGUUCUGUGUCACCCUAUGUUACGACUGUUACAUGAUGAACCACAUCCGGCAUAAUUAUCCAUCGCUAAUCCGGUGCCUACAAGUUUUCCAUAUACUGGUUCUCACUUAUUUACUUUUCCGUUGCUACUGUUACAAUCACUACAAAAUACCAAAAACAUUACUUUUGCUGUCUUUACUUUUGUUACUGUUACCACUACUAUCAUAUUACUUUGCUACUAAACACUUUGCUGUAGAUACUAAGUUUCCAGGUGUGGUUGAAUUGACAACUCAGCGGCUAAUACUUGACAAUAUUCUUUGGCUCCCCUUGUGUCGAAUAAAUAAAUUUGGGUUGAGUACUCUACCCUCGAAAACUAUUGCGAUCCCCUAUACUUGUGGGUUAUCAAGACCUUUUUCUGGCGCCGUUGUCGGGGAGCAUAGCUCUAUUCUUUGAGUCACUUGGGAUUUAUAUCUGCUGGACACUAUGAAGAACUUGAAAGACGAUCGAACUACUAUUUUUCCCUCAACUACGAGGGGAGGUAAGGAACUGCCAUCUAGCCUUGCACUAGAUUCUCCUUCUGUUAUAAGUAAGCUUGCGACACCUAAACCUGUUACUACUAUGAAUUCUGAUAUGUCGCAUGUUAUUGAUGAUGCCACUUCUGCUAUGCAUGAUACUUAUGAUGAAACUACUUCUAUGCUUGAUACUACUGUGCCCCUUGGUGAAUUUCUUGAUGAGCAAAUUGCUAGGUCUAGAGAAAGAGAAAUUAUUGAACCCGGAUACGAUGAUGUUAGUGAUGAUGAAAAUAUGCCUGCUAUUCCCGAGGGUUAUCUUUUUGAUGCAGAAUCUGCAGCUAUUCUUGCUUGCCAGGAUAGAUAUGAACUUAAGAGGUUGCUAGUUAAAUGGAGUAAAGAAUCUUUUAGAGAUAGAAUGAGACCCGACCCUGCUUUUGCUACUUCACCUAUUUGUGUUCCCGAUAAGGAUUAUCAUGAUUUUUCUGUUGAUCCAGAUAUAAUUACUUUGGUUGAAUCUGAUCCUUUUUAUGGCUAUGAAUCUAAAACUGUUGUGGCACAUCUUACUAAGUUAAACGAUAUAGCUGCCUUGUUUACUAUUUAUGAGAGAUCGUGCUACCUUUAUUUACUCAAAAUAUUUCCGUUCUCAUUAAAGGGUGAUGCUAAGAUAUGGUUUAAUUCUCUUGAUCCUGGUUGUGUGCAAAGUCACCAGGAUAUGAUUUAUUACUUUUCUGCUAAAUAUUUCCCUGCUCAUAAGAAACAAGCUGCUUUGAGGGAAAUAUACAACUUUGUGCAAAUUGAAGAAGAGAGUCUCCCACAAGCUUGGGGGAGGCUUCUCAAGUUACUUAAUGCUUUGCCAGAUCAUCCUCUUAAGAAACCUGAAAUAUUUGAUAUCUUUUAUAAUGGACUAACUGAUGCUUCCAGAGAUUUCCUGGACAGUUGUGCUGGUUCUCUUUUCAGGGAAAGAACACUGGAUGAAGCUGAAAUUCUAUUGAAUAAUAUGUUGGCAAAUGAAAAUAAUUGGGCACCUCCUGAGCCAGCUCCAGAGCCAAUUACCGAGCCUAUUCCUAAACCAACUCCGAAGAAGAGAGGUGUUCUAUUUCUCCGUCCCAAAGAUAUGCAAGUGGCAAAGAAAUCUAUGAAAGAAAAAGGUAUUAAAGCUGAAGAUGUUAAGAGUUUACCUCCUAUUGAAGAAAUACAUGGUCUUAAUUUACCGCCUGUUGAAGAAGUAUAUGAUCUCAAUUACUUAUUUACUGAAGAACCUCCUGAUAUCCCAACACAGGUAGUAAAGGUAAAUUCUCUCUAUCGAUAUGAUAAAGAUGAAGUUCCCACUACUAAAAUAGCUAGUCAGUGCUUGGAUGAGUUUGGUGACUUUAUGUUUAAGCAAGAUGACUUUAAUGCUUAUUUUGGUAGACAAUUAUAACAGAAUACCUUUAUGAUUAAACGCUUGGGUGAUUAUAUGGCUAAUAUUAGAGGUGAACUUAAAAUUGUUAGCAAACAUGCUUCUAUGGUUACCACUCAAGUAGAACAAGUACUUAAAGCUCAGAAAGAAGUGCUUGAUGAAAUGAAUAGUAAGAAAAAUGAUUAUGCUGUUAGAGUGGCUACUAGAACUGGUAGAAUGACUCAGGAACCUUUGUAUCCUGAAGGCCACCCUAAGAGAAUCGAGCAAGAUUCUCAGUGAAAUAAUAUUGAUGUACCUAGUUCUUCUAAGAGGAAGAAAAAGAAAAAUAAUAGGACUUUGCAAACUUCUAGUGAACCUAUUGCUGAACCACCUGAGAAUCCGAAUGAUAUCUCUAUUUCUGAUGCUGAAACACAAUCAGGUGAUGAACAUGAACCUAGUGAUAAUGUUAAUGAUAAUGUUCAUGUUGAUGCUCAACCUAGUAAUGAUAAUGAUGUAGAAGUUGAACCUGCUGUUGAUCUUGAUAACCCACAAUCAAAGAAUCAACGUUAUGAUAAAAGAGACUUUGUUGCUAGGAAACAUGGUAAAGAAAGGGAACCAUGGGUUCAGAAACCCAUGCCUUUUCCUCAGAAACCAUCCAAGAAAAAGGAUGAUGAGGAUUUUGAGCGCUUUGCUGAAAUGAUUAGACCCAUCUUUUUGCGUAUGCGAUUAACUGAUGUACUCAAAACAAAUCCUUAUGCUAAGUAUAUGAAGGAUAUCAUUACUAAUAAAAGAAAGAUACCUGAAGCUGAAAUUUCCACCAUGCUUGCUAAUUAUACUUUUAAGGGUGGAAUACCCAAAGAAACUUGGAGAUCCAGGAGUACCUACUAUACCCUUCUCCAUUAAGAGAAAUUAUGUUAAAACUACUUUAUGUGAUCUUGGAGCCGGUGUCAGUGUUAUGCCUCUCUCUUUAUAUUGUAGACUUGACUUGAAUAAGUUGACACCUACUAAAAUAUCUUUGCAAAUGGCUGAUAAAUCAACUGCUAUACCUGUCGGUAUUUGUGAGGAUGUGCUUGUUGUAGUUGCAAACGUUACUAUUUUAACGGACUUUGUUAUUCUUGAUAUUCCCGAGGAUGAUAGUAUGUCUAUUAUUCUUGGAAGACCUUUCCUUAAUACUGCAGGGGCUGUGAUUGAUUGCACCAAAGGCAAUGUCACUUUUCAUGUUAAUGGCAAUGAGCACAUGGUACACUUUCCGAGAAAACAACCUCAAGUUUAUAGUAUCAACUCUAUUGGAAAAAUUCCAUCGAUUAUAUUUGGAGGUUUUGAAUUUCCCCUCCCCACUGUCAAGAAAAAGUAUGAUAUUCUUAUCGUUGGGGAUUUUCAUAUCCCCGUUGAGGUAACUUAGUGUCAUUCGAAAUUUCUCCGGUUCCGUGAUUAUUCCGAAUGAGUUCGUUAACAAGACUCGAUCAACCUUGUUAGUGGGUUCAUUUUGAUGAUCAUGAUAUGGAUGAAACUAGAAGCACAACCUUCUGUACCCUCUUUAUAUUUUCUGUUAUUUAGUAGAAAUAAAGUAAAAUAGUAUUUUUCUGUCUGUCUCCUGACUUAUCCGUGCAAUAUAAAAAUAUCCCAAAAAUAAAAGUCCUCAGAAUGCCAUGCCAAUUUAAUAUGGUUUUUUCGGGAAUAUUUGAGAAUUUACUGUGCAAAAAUUACCACGGGGGGAGCUGCCACCUGGUCACGAGGGUGGAGGGCGCACCCUACCCCCUGGGCGCGCCCCCUACCUCGUGGGCCCACGGUGGCCCUCCUCCACUUAUCUCUGCACCCAUCUUCUUCCUCUGCCUCACACAAACACGAAAAACCAACUCAAGCACAAGUUCCAGCCCCCGUUGUUGUGAUUUUCGAUCUCCUUGCUCAAAGCACCUCUUGCAAAACUGCUUGGGGAGAUUGUUCCUUGGUAUGUGACUCCUCCAUUGGUCCAAUUAGUUUUCGUUCUAGUGCUUUAUUCAUUGCAAAUUUGUGCUGCAUAGGUGACCAUGUUCUUGAGCUUGCAUGUCAAAUUUAUAUGGUUCCAAGUAGUCCCAAUGCUUUAUAUAGGCUCUAGGCACUUUUGGGAGUUGUUACUAUCAAUUUUAUUGAAGUUGGUUCACUUUUAUUUGAAGUUACUAAAAAUUCAAGAAAUUUUUCAGAGGAAACAAUAUGUUUAGGAGGAUGUUCCAAGGUGGUUCUUCAAGGAAGCAAGGUCCCAGACUUGCAAUACGUGAUGCUGACGAGGAACCACCAAGAGACGCUCCUGUGAGGCCCUGUGAAUGGCCUUCGGAAAAUUUUAUGAAUCAAGUGGGAAUCAAAGAAGAAUUUAGUGCAUAAUUGAGUAACGCCGGUCUUGAGGACUUUGAAGCUGACAAAUGCCCCCAGUAUUAUGAUCUCACAAGUUCAUUUGUGAGGAGGUUUGAGUUUUCAUCUUCGCGUAAUUCUCCUUCAGUCAUGUUUGACCUUUAUGACAAAUCUUAUACCAUGGACUUAGAGGAUUUCACUUCUGCUUGCAAACUUUCAUCUUGGGGUAAUGUCAGGGAUCCCCCUAAAUCUGAAUAUAGAGACUUUCUUGCUAGGAUAACUGUGGGGGAAUCUAGAGAUAUAACACAAGCCACUAUAGGGAGCGUUCACUUUCCUGCUAUACAUUAUUUUGCUCUCUUCAUAGGUAGAUGCAUAAAUGCUAAGGAUGAAGCAUGUGACAUGUGUGUCCCUGAUCUCAGCAUUCUAAGGAGUGCUGUGUUAGGAGACCAAUCUUAUCAUAUGGGAGCCAUUGUAGCUCGCAGGAUGCAUCAGAAUAGACAUAACGGAGAUUUCUUUUGAGGAAUUUAUGCAACCCGCUUAGCUAAUUUUCUUGAGAUAGACAUUUGUGAGGGUGAUAUGGAGUUACCCCCUUCUUAUUUAGAUUUUGAUUCUAUGGUUUCCCACCAGUUUGUUGAGAGGACUGAACCACCUCUCCAGUAUCGACUAAUCUUUAACAAACGUCAUGUAGUCCAUAUUGCUCUUCCUGUUCCUGCCUUCUUUGAUUUUCAGACAAAGGGAAGAUAUAUUAUUACCAGAGAGGAGGUAGAUGAGUACGAGAGGAGAGCGGAGGCUGCUCGACGCCACGCUACAGCUCAGGCGGCGAUAGCCGCUGCGUCACAGUACGACCCCAGCUACACCUACGGGUAUCCGCCAGACUGUCCCUAGCAAUAGACCAACUUAGGCCAAAAGCCUAAUCUUGUGGGAGUACGUAUUUCCCACCGACAUCACAUUUAUGUUCACACACACUCAUUGCUAGAUGUCGGUGCUCAUACUCUUUCACUGUAAUGUCCCUGCUAGUUUAUUUUCUUUUUCCUGCUUUCUUCUUGUGAGUUUGAUAAACCUUAAGAAAAAACCAAAAAAAAUUAGUAGUAGUUUAUUUCUUUGCUGUAGUAUUUAAGAAGAAAAACCAAAAAUAUUUCCCGUUCUUCUUUUGCUUGUUGGGAGCUUUCCCGUGUUAAUAGUUUUUAUUUCUUUUCCUUUCUUUGGGGGUCGAGAAGACUAUAUUGAAAAUGCUUAGUGGCUCUUAUAUGCAUGAUUGUUUAUUUAACUUAGAGCCUAUAUUACUUGUCUUCUCUCUUGAGUUGAAUGCUUGCAGAUUCCAGCUUAGUCCAAUGCACGUGCACUCUUAUUAUUAUACACAUCGUUCGGUCAUGCAAGUGAAAGGCAAUAAUGAUGAUAUAUGAUGGACUUAUUGGGAUGAGAAAAGCUGGUAUGAACUCGACCUCUCUUGUUUUUGUAAAUAUGAUGAUUCAUCGUUCCUGAGUCAGCUAUUAUGAAGUAAACAUAUUUGCAAUGACAUUUAGAGAUUAUAGUUGCUUGUGCCAUGCUUGAUUAGCUAUGAGUUAUAAUGGUUUGCCUUGCGUGCCAACAUGAUAUUAGAAUGAUUAUGAUGUGGUACGAUGGGAUGGUAUCCCCCUUUAAAUGAAUUGAGUGACUCGACUUGGCACAUGUUCACGCAUGUAGUUGAAUCAAAUCAACAUAGCCUUCAUGAUGUUCAUGGUGGAUUAUAUCCUACUCAUGUUUGUAUUCGGUGUAAAUUAAUUUUAAUGCAUGCUUACGACUGUUGUCACUCUCUCAGUUGGUCGCUUCCCAGUCUUUUGCUAGCCUUCACCUGUACUAAGCGAGAAUACUGCUUGUGCAUCCGAACUCCUUAAAACCCAAAGUUGUUCGAUAUGAGUCCACUAUACCUUCCUAUAUGCGGUAUUUACCUGCCGUUCCAAGUAAAUUUGUAUGUGCCAAACUCUAAACCUUCAAAUAAACAUUCUAUUUUGCAUGCUCGAUUAGCUCAUAUGUCAACUAGAGCUGCCCUUAUCUUCCGUGUUAGGCGGGUUAUUCUCAAGAGGAGUGGACUACGCUCCUCAUUCACGAGAAAAUGGCUGGUAGCCGGCAUGCCCACUCCCAUGCUUUAUGCAAACUAAAUCAAAAUUACUGCAAACAAAACUCCCCCUGGGACCCGUUGAAUGUUGGAGGCACUCGUUGUUUAGAGCAAGCCAUGGAUUGAUGCUUGUGGAGGAGGGGGAGUAUAAACUUUACCAUUCUGUUUGGGAACCGCCUAUAAUCUGUUUAGCAUGGAAGAUAUCGUCGUCUUUUAGUUGUUAUGUUGACAAAGAGAGUAUGACGCUCAAAAUAUAAUUUAUCUCUAUUUCAAAACCGAGCUCUGGCACCUCUACAAAUCCCUGCUUCCCUCUGCGAAGGGCCUAUCUAUUUACUUUUAUGUUGAGUCAUCACCGUACUUAUUAAAAAGCACCCGCUAGAGAACACACUGUCGUUUGCAUUCAUUAUAAUUGGUUUAUAUUGGAUAUGACCUGACUGGAUCUCUUUUACCAUGAAUUACAAUGUUUAGUCAGUCCUUGAUCUUUAAAGGUGCUCUGCAUUUAUGUUUUGCGGUCUCAGAAAGGGCUAGCGAGAUACCAUUUUGUUAUAUCAUGUAAUGAUUAUUUUAAGAAAGUGUUGUCAUCCGAGUUUUAUUAUUAUGGCUCGUUAGCUGAUUAUGCUAUUGAUAUGAGUAAUUGUGAGACCUAUGUGUUAUUGUGAGUAUGGUUAGUUCAUAAUAUUUGCUGAAACUUGAAUGCUGGCUUUCAUGUUUACAACAACAAGAGCAAACAGAGUUUGUAAAAGUUUUUCUUUUUCUCUUUCAGUUUGUCAACUGAAUUGCUUGAGGACAAGCAAGGGUUUAAGCUUGAGGGAGUUGAUACGUCUCCGUCGUAUCUACUUUUCCAAACACGUUUGCCCUUGUUUUGGACUCUAACUUGUAUGAUUUGAAUGGAAGUAACCUGGACUGACGCUGUUUUCAGCAGAAUUGCCAUGGUGUUGUUUUAUGUGCAGAAAAUAAAAGUUCUCGGAAUGACCUGAAACUCCACGGAACACCUUAGAAAAAACAAUAAAAAAUCCUCACCAAAGAUGAAGACCAGGGGGCCCACACCCUGUCCAUGAGGAGGGGGCGCCCCCUACCUCGUGGGCCCCCUGGUGGCCCUCCGACGCCAACUCCAACUCCAUAUAUUGGCUUUCGGGGAGAAAAAACCAGAGAGAAGAAAUCAUCGCGUUUUACAAUAUGGAACCGCCGCCAAACCCUAAUCUCUCUCGGGAGGGCUGAUCUGGAGUCCGUUCGGGGCUCCGGAGAGGGGGAUUCAUCACCGUCAUCAUCAUCAACCAUCCUCCAUCACCAAUUUCAUGAUGCUCACCGCCGUGCGCGAGUAAUUGCAUCGUAGGCUUGCUGGAUGGUGAUGGGUUGGAUGAGAUUUAUCAUGUAAUCGAGUUAGUUUUGUUAGGGUUUGAUCCCUAGUAUCCAUUAUGUUCUGAGAUUGAUGUUGCUAUGACUUUGCUAUGCUUAAUGCUUGUCACUAGGGCCCGAGUGCCAUGAUUUCAGAUCUAAACCUAUUAUGUUUUCAUGAAUAUAUGUGUGUUCUUGAUCCUAUCUUGCAAGUCUAUAGUCACCUACUAUGUGUUAUGAUCCGGCAACCCCGAAGUGACAAUAAUCGGGACCACUCCCGGUGAUGACCAUAGUUUGAGGAGUUCAUGUAUUCACUAUGUGCUAAUGCUUUGUUCCGGUUCUCUAUUAAAAGGAGGCCUUAAUAUCCCUUAGUUUCCAAUAGGACCCCGCUGCCACGGGAGGGUAGGACAAAAGAUGUCAUGCAAGUUCUUUUCCAAAAGCACGUAUGACUAUAUACGGAAUACAUGCCUACAUUACAUUGAUGAACUGGAGCUAGUUCUGUGUCACCCUAUGUUAUGACUGUUACAUGAUGAACCACAUCCGGCAUAAUUAUCCAUCGCUAAUCCGGUGCCUACGAGUUUUCCAUAUACUGGUUCUCGCUUAUUUACUUUUCCGUUGCUACUGUUACAAUCACUACAAAAUACCAAAAACAUUACUUUUGUUGUCUUUACUUUUGUUACUGUUACCACUACUAUCAUAUUACUUUGCUACUAAACACUUUGCUGCAGAUACUAAGUUUCCAGGUGUGGUUGAAUUGACAACUCAGCUGCUAAUACUUGAGAAUAUUCUUUGGCUCCCCUUGUGUCGAAUAAAUAAAUUUGGGUUGAAUACUCUGCCCUCAAAAACUGUUGCGAUCGGGUUAUCAAUGAACAGGACCCCGUGGAGAUCUGGAUGAAUAGGACCCCGUGGAGGGCUGGUUGAACAGUAGCUAGUGGAGGGCUGGAAGAAUAGUAGCCCGUGGAGGGGUGGUUGAACAGGACCCCGUGGAGAGGGCUGGUUGAACAGUAGCUUGUGGAGGAGCGCACGGUGGAGGCUGGAUGAACAAGAGCCCGUGGAUGAACAGUCGCAGGUGGAGGCUGGAGGAGGUCGAUGGUGGAUGAACAGUAGCCCGUGGAGGCUGGAGGAGGUCGACGGUGGAGAUGAACAAUAUCUUGUGGAGUCCCAUUUUGCGGUAUGCCACACCCCUCCCGAUGAACAGGACCCCGUUUCGACCGUAGCGCAUCAACACAAUUCCGUUUCCUCCAUUUUGCGGUACGUGAUAACCCACAAGUAUAGGGGAUCACAACAGUUUUCGAGGGUAGAGUAUUCAACCCAAACUUAUUGAUUCGGCACAAGGGGAGCCAAAGAAUAUUCUCAAGUAUUAGCAGUUGAGUUGUCAAUUCAACCACACCUAGAUAACUUAGUAUCUGCAGCAAAGUAUUUAGUAGCAAGUAGUAUGGAAGUAAUGGUAACAGUGGCAAAAGUAGCGGUAGCAGUUUUGUAGUAAUUGUAACAGUAGCAAUGGUAAAGUAAAUAAGCAAAGCACAAUAUGUGAAAAGAUCGUAGGCAUUGGAUCAGUGAUGGAUAAUUAUGUCGGAUGCGAUUCCUCAUUUAAUAGUUAUAACAUAGGGUGACAUAGAACUAGCUCCAGUUCAUCAAUGUAAUGUAGGCAUGUAUUCCGAAUAUAGUCAUACGUGCUUAUGGAAAAGAACUUGCAUGACAUCUUUUGUCCUACCCUCCCAUGGCAGCGGGGUCCUAAUGGAAACUAAGGGAUAUUAAGGCCUCCUUUUAAUAGAGAACCGGACCAAAGUAUUAGCACUUAGUGAAUACAUGAACUCCUCAAACUACGGUCAUCACCGAGAAGUAUCCCGAUUAUUGUCACUUCGGGGUUGUCGGAUCAUAAAACAUAAUAGGUGACUAUAGACUUGCAAGAUAGGAUCAAGAACUCAUAUAUAUUCAUGAAAACAUCAUAGGUUCAGAUCUGAAAUCAUGGCACUUGGGCCCUAGUGACAAUCAUUAAGCAUAGCAAAGUCAUAGCAACAUCAAUCUCGGAACAUAGUGGAUACUAGGGAUCAAACCCUAACAAAAUUAACUUGAUUACAUGGUAAAUCUCAUCCAACCCAUCACCGUCCAGCAAACCUACGAUGGAAUUACUCACGCACGGCGGUGAGCAUCAUGAAAUUGGUGAUGGAGGAUGGUUGAUGAUGACGAUGGUGACGAAUCCCCCUCUCCGGAGCCCCGAACGGACUCCAGAUCAACCCUCUGGAGAGAGAUUAGGGCUUGGCGGCGGCUCCGUAUCGUAAAACACGAUGAAACUUUCUCCCUGAUUUUUUUCUCCACGAAAGCAAAUAUAUGGAGUUGGAGUUGAGGUCAGUGGACGUCCAGGGGGCCCACAAGGUAGGGGGGCGCACCCAGGGGGAGGGGGCGCGCCCCGCCCUCAUGGACAAGGUUUCUUUCACCAGUAUUUUUUAUUAAUUCUGAAAAGUUGCUCCGUGGAUUUUCAGGUCAUUCCGAGAACUUAUAUUUCUGCAGAAAAUUAACACCAUGGCAGUUCUGCUGAAAACAGCGUCAGUCCAGGUUAGUUCCAUUCAAAUCAUGCAAGUUAGAGUCCAAAACAAGGGCAAAAGUGUUUGGAAAAGUAGAUACGAUGGAGACGUAUCAGUACGCCACACCCCUCCCGAUCAACAGGACCCCGUUUCGACUGUAGGAGGCCUAACAGAAGUCCGUUUCCUCCGUUUUGCGGUACGCCAGACCCCUUGUCGGUGUCAAAACCGGCGGAUCUCGGGUAGGGGGUCCCGAACUGUGCUUCUAGGCGGAUGGUAACAGGAGACGAGGGACACGAUGUUUUUACCCAAGUUCAGGCCCUCUCGAUGGAGGUAAAACCCUACGUCCUGCUUGAUUAAUAUUGAUGAUAUGGGUAGUACAAGAGUGGAUCUACCACGAGAUCAAGGAGGCUAAACCCUAGAAGCUAGCCUAUGGUAUGAUUGUUGUAAUGUAUGUUGUGUCCUAUGGACUAAAGCCCUCCGGUUUAUAUAGACACUGGAGGAGGCUAGGGUUACACAGAGUCGGUUACAAUGGUAGGAGAUCUACAUAUCCGUAUCGCCAAGCUUGCCUUCCACGCCAAGGAAAGUCCCAUCCGGACACGGGACGGAGUCUUCAAUCUUGUAUCUUCGUAGUCUUGGAGUCCGGCGGACGAUGAUAGUCCGGCUGUCCGGACACCCCCUAGUCCAGGACUCCCUCAGUAGCCCCUAAACCAGGCUUCAAUGACGAUAAGUCCAGCGCGUAUAUAGUCUUCGGCGUUGCAAGGCGGGUUCUCCCUUCAAGUUCCAUGUACCUGCCGAACAGUGUCCGGCUUCACCAUAAAUACUGUGUUUCUCAGCUUCUACGCCCAAUAAUGGUAUUCUUCCACGCGUCGCACAAAUGCGAAAAGCCAGGGUGUCUUAUACGUUUCACCCCCUAGUCGUGCGAGUCGUUCGCCUACAAAAGAGGCAAAAAUCCAGAUCCAAAUCACACCAUCUUCCUUCCGCGAAUAGUUCAUCGAAGCGCCCUUGACCUAAAAAUCCAUUCCAUCAUGGACCGUCGACGCGGCUCCUCUUCUCGCGCUCCCAGCACACCGCCAGGGGAUUGGAGAAGGUGCUUGGUUUCGCACAACGAGCUAGCGAAGCUCCAAGCGGGGGGACAUCUCCCUCCGGCCUUCAUGGUCCCAGUCCGGGCCGGACUGGUUACUUAUCAAGGUGGGAGGCAAGCGGGGGCUACCCCAAGCCCCAAUAAAGGGGAGCGAGUAUGCUUCGUCCCUUAUCUGAUAAGGGGACUCGGAUUCCCAACACAUCCGUUCCUCCGUGGGCUCCUGGAGUUCUACGGACUCUAGCUCCACCACCUCACGCCCGCCUCUGUCCUGCAUAUCGCGGGCUACGUAGCUCUUUGUGAGCUAUUCCUGGGCAUUGAGCCCCAUUUUGCAUUGUGGAAGAGGCUGUUCUGCCUCGUACCCCGUUCUCACGAGGGGUCCAUAUAUCAAGUGGGAGGCGCCGAAAUAUGGCGCAUUGCCGGGACCGGAUACCCAUCCGGUACUCCCAAGAAGGCGUCCGAAGACUGGCCUUCAGAAUGGUUUUAUAUAGGAGACGCUCCGCUACCGGACCCAGUCCGGAACGGCCUCCCGGAGUUUAGUGCUGCUCCUUUGAAGAAACGCCUCAGCUGGCGCCCACAGAGCCCCCGAUUGGAGGAAGACAAGAGCAUCCAUUACUUGAUGGGCCAAAUAAGAUUAAUGGCCCAUUCUGGCUUGACCAUGAUCGGAGUCAUGUCGACAUGCAUUAUGCGGGGGCACAGCCAUUGCAAUACAGAGGCCACCCCAUGUGGGAUUUCAACGGGGAACACGAUGCCACCCGUCAUGGCCGCAAAGGGCCAGAUUCGACCGAGGAUCUGGUGGAGAUCCUGUCCAGCCUAUACAAGGGGGAGAAGGAGGACUUCCUUCGAACGAACCCUUUGAAUGGGUUUUCCAUGAUCAACCCUAGAGGAUGGGUAAGUGAACACCUUUAAGGGCUUAACCCAUGCUUUCGAAGUUUAGGCUUCUUACAUUAUGUCUUCGGCGCAGGAUCUACGCCGGACUGUGGAGGACAUGGUAAGUCCUGCUCCGCAACCCGAGGAUCUGGAAAGAUCCCUAGAUCUGGCCUCCGAAGAGGAUCCGGACAUCGACCUAGAUCUGUGUCCGGCUUCCCAGAUGACCGCGACCGAAGUCCUGACACCAUUAUCUCUUCCUUUCCCCUUUCUAACCUUCGCGAACGAUGGUAUGUUACAGGAAGUGCCUUUACGGCAAGAAGCCGAGCCCGCGGCGGCUGACCAACAGAGGCCAGUCCGGACCAGCAAGCGGAAAAGGAGCAUGGUGCGGACGGAAACGUCGCCGCAAAGGUAUAACUCGUAUUUGAAUUUUCAGAGCAACGUUCCUAGGAAACGCCUGGGUGCUCAUGAUCUCUGUAGGAGCAAAAGCGCUCGCCGGACUGCGGGCGCAAAAGUUGUUAAUCCAACCUACAUUACUAGAAAACCCCCUACUAAUGGCGCACCUAAUAUGGCCAUUAAUGGCGCAUCUAUGGUGCGCCAUUAAUAGCACGCCAUUAGUAAUUUUUACUAAUAGCGCACCACCUGGUGCGCCAUUAGUAUUUGGUAUACUAAUGGCGCACCGCGGGUGCGCCAUUAGUAUAGGCCAGGGUGCGCCAUUAGUAUGCCUCCCAGGGGCCAUGUAUACCCAGGUGCUUUGGCAUACUAAUGGCGCACCACGACAUGAUGCGCCAUUAGUAACCGCGGCAUACUAAUGGCGCCUUGCCCAGUGAUGCGCCCUUAGUAUGCACUGUCAUACUAAUGGCGCACUGUCAUGUGAUGCGCCAUUAGUAUGAAUAUUAGGUUUUUUUUAUUUUUUAUUUUCUGUUUUUUGCACAAGUUACAAAAUGUAUAAUUUAACAAAAUAUAGACAGCACACAUUAACAACAGAUUCAUCGAAUACAAUAGAAGAUUAGUCUUUGAAUACAAUUCAUCAUAUUAGUCUCCGAAUACAAUUCAUCAUAUUAGUCUCCGAAUUGAAAAGACCGAACAAAGAUAGAACAUUAUAUUACAAGUCUCGAGACCGCGAGUAGCGAGUUUGUCUUCACAUUACAAGUCGAUAUCGAUCAUCUAAACUACCAUCACAUAGAAGAGAGCUGCGGUCAUCACGAUGAGCAUCAUCACGAUGAAACUCGUCUUCAUCCGGUUCCUCCAACGCUCCCUCCCCUCUCCCGGUAGAUAGCGGGCGUAUCUAGAUUCGGCCUCGGCCGUACUGGUGUACCCUUUGUAACUGUUACCGCUGAAUCGGUGAACCUGUCUCCGACACUCCUCCCAGUCGUCGUAGACUCCGGAAACCUUACCCUUGUACACGACAUACGUCGGCAUCGCUAUGCACUAGCCAAACGAAAUGUUAGUACCAAUUCACAGACAAUACAUAAGCAAUAUAUAAGUAUGCAACAGAACGAUCGGAAGAGAAAAGCAAGACAUUAAUAGCAUCGAUUACAUCUAAGUUGAACGACUCUCGAAACCAAAGAGACAUACUACAAGUUCAUUAAAGUUUAAUUACAACAUGAGCCAAUCGAUGUUUCAGAACUAGACACAGCAUCACUGCUUUCGACUCGACUCAAGGGACCGGAGCGUGGAUGAAGCCGCUGUCUAUCGUGGGAGUCAUCAAAUAACGGUCGUUGUCAGCCUGCAUUUGUAGCAUUGUGUCGAUGUCACUGUUGGACGGUUGAUUGUUGAGGUAGAACUGCCCCGAGGUACGAAGGACAUCUUGAUGGAUGAUUUCCACAAACUCCGACUGGAUGCGAAAGAAUUCUUGUCGGAGGUCCGCGUCGUGGAUUGCCGACACGCUCUUUGCCCAAUCUUUGAGUUUACUCGGUAGCAGAAGUUGAUGAUGGUCCCGUACGAUCGCCCGCAUGUGACCGCCAGGCGGCUGCUUGACGCAGCAGAACGUCGUAUUGUGGGAGAACACGUGCUUGCCGUACUUAUGAAUAGGCCUGGUGAAGGUGCCUCCAGAUUUGGCGUAGCCGGGGAGAACAUCAUCAAGAACCUUCUUGACAUUUGUGUAGUCUACGUUCGACUGAUGGUCCGGGUCGAAAUACGUGGCCAUGGAAUAUUUGGGGCUUAGGAGGAUGAGCGUGCAAUGUGUGUCACUGCAGAAAACACUGAAUGUUAAAAGAAAAACGAUCGAAAUGUAAGAAUUCAUAUGUUACGGGCCGGUUGAGGGGAGGACUUACUCGGGAAAGUAAGGCACGAGGAAGUUAUCCUUAUCUUGGUUUGCCAGAAUGACGCCUUCGAGGUAAGAACUCGCGACUUGCCGGUCCCCAGCGCUGCCCAAGAUCUUGGCACGCAUGUAGAAGGGGUCGACUAUCACGAUGUCCGGGGUCUUGUCGCGAAUGAUCCGCAUCUCCGUACUCAGCGAAAAUAGCCGAACAAAGGUGUAGUGCAGCGGAUGAAGGUUCAACAUAGCGUGGAUGUCAUCAAAACGCAGGACGAUCGUACGCCCGAUGGAGUUAUCCAUGAAGCCCUUGCCCUCUGGCACCUUGGCCGCGAAAACCGGGUAUGCCACAUCCUUCUCUCUGAGACGCCGCUUCUCCAAAGCAAGAACACUGUCAUGCAGACUCCGCAUAGCACCGGUUGCAGCAUUGAGCAUAUUUGUCGGUAGCAUCGCCCUACCCGCCAAAUGCACCCUCCUCGAGAUAUCCUGCGGUGAAGGUGGCCCGUCCUGAGCACGGAUCGUACUCGGUGCCGGCUGGUUCGCACCCUUCUUGGUCUUUCUUUUGUGUGCCUUCUUCUUCUCCUGUAAUGGGAUCGAGUUUUGCUCACAGACCGCCUUCUUGAGUGUGUUGGGGCUGAGGCUCGGUGAAGUCGGCAGCUGGAGGCGUCUCCUGAGAGCUGAACGCCAGACGGCGCCUGUUGCAACUUGGCUUCUCCGUGGUACCAGCUAGAUUGCACACGUCUUUUGUUGGGUUUGGUUCUUGAGAAGGAGGCCCCAUGAAGUCGCCAUCGUACCCAUGAUCGGCAAAGUACUGAUCGACGUUGCGAAAUGUAUCAUCGUCGUCGUCGUCGUCGUUCUGAUCCUGUGCCAUAUGCAUGUUUGGAUCCAGUGGCAUAGGGAUGUCCGGCACCAUUACGGCGGUCUUGCCAUGGGGCCGACUUGGCGUCGGCACGACUGGCGGUGUUGCCUUUGGGGUGGUGUCCCCCGCCCCCAAACGAAUCUGGCUCUUCGGCCAAAGCAGGGGCCAGCUCAAGCAGGCGCUGAGGGUCAUCACGUCUUCAUCGUCGGCCCCGACGGGUCGAAUCGGAGGUAACAAGUCAUCGCAGCCUGGCAGCACCUGAACCAGUUGAACCCUAAACAAGUUGGGUGGCAUCUGGGUACCGUGGAACAAGGGGUUGCCCGGUUGAACGAUUUUGCCCUUGGCGACAUCGACCAACUCGUUGUUCACGAAGUGGAGGAGAGUGCACAGAACGUCGGGGGCGCCCUGCGAAAACAUGUAGGGCGUCAGGGAUGCCCAGUCAAAGGCAAGGAGAUGAAGUCCUCGGCCGAGAGAGGCUUAAUUAGUUAUCGUGAUGAUGGCGUCGAGCUCGGCUAAUGUUGACGCACCGCCAACGGCGGGCGUGCAGUUGACGGAGGGGCCGCUUGCUGAAGAGGUGCCGCCCGGCGUACACCCGGGUGCAUUAAGCUCCCGUGCCGGCGUCGGAGACACCAAUGCCGCCUCCGCCGGAGGCACCAAUGGCCCCGCCAUCGCAUUAUGCGAGUUGCUGGCCGUGAAGCUAGGAAUCGGGGGCGGCCCCUGUUGGCCGCCCGCAAUCCACGCACUCAACCCCGAGAUCAAGGUAGGCACAAUGGCGGUGAUCGUCGCUCCGAGUCGUUGUUCCACUUGCUCUUGGACAAUCUCCGGAAUCCGCGCCACCUGUGCCUUGAGUUCUUGAACCUCUCGCGCCUAGCUUUCCGAGCUGGUCUUUCUCUCCUUCCGCACACCAGCGCUAUAGUAUGACCCCCAUUUUGUCGACAAGCCUUUGCCGGCCACACGACCAGCUGACGUCGGCUUACUGAGCUUAUCCUUGUUCUUCAUUACAUUCAACGCCCUAUUUAGAGUGGUGUCCCAAGGGUUGCUCUUAGUUGACCCCACGCUACUGCUUUCAGUCGCCUGCGGAAGGAAUGUGAACCAUUUAGAAAUUUGGCUUCAUUAAUUAGAAUGCAACCAUAUGGAGCUAAUUACGCGGGGGUGUAUUCCUUACCAGAACAAGCUCAAGCUGCCUGGUCUUCAGAUCCGUGGUAAGCUCCUUUGUUUUCGGGUCCUUCUUGUACCGGGCCCUGACAAAGUUCCUGGUCUGCUUGUUACCGCUGUAUUUCUUGAAGAGGGGCGGUAGGCCUUGCUUGGCACGGUCCGCCUCCUCCUUGUCCCAUAUAGGCUCCGCCACUUUGUAACCGCCGGGACCGAGUGUGUGUUCCCCUAUGUUCAGCUCCCGCAUUUGUUUCCCCCACUCACUUGAUUGGGAGCUUGCGGUGCUCGAGCAAUUGAUCUUGAAGUCGUUGUAGUCAUCUUCGGUGAUCGAAGGAUUUUUCUCCUUGAUCUUCUGAUAACUCUCACCUUUCUCGAUCAUUUUCUUCACAUUGCUUUUCCAAGUAGACAGGGCCUUGCUCAUCUUCGUGAGGGCAGCAUUGUUCACUUUAUUCCCUUUGAGGCUUGUGUUUGCAAAUUCAGCGGGGAACUUGUAUCGUUCGUGCAGCUUCGUGAAGAGGAGGUGGCGCAAAUUCCCUCGGUCAGGAUGCCUCAGGUUCUCGGUGUUGAUCGAGACGGUGCUCCGGACAAUGCACCCGAGCUGAAGCGAGUACCCCUUGACUAUUCGUUCGGGUGCCAUUGGAUUCCCGUUGGAGUCCACUUCAGUAACUUCCUCCUUGAGGGUGAGGAGCACGAUCGGGCGCCGGUCCUUCCGUUGCCUCUUCGGUUGGCUGCCAUAUGUGCGGGCGCCACCAUCAUCAGUGGUGGCAUCCUCGGCGGCACCAUCAGUGGUGGCAUCAGUGUGGUCAUCCUCGGCGACACCAUCAGUGGUCUCAGGAUCGGUGGGGAAGGCGGCGGCCUCAUACAAGUGAGGUUGUUCCUCCAUCUCCUGGGACAGCUCCCAGAAUGCCUUGCCGCCCGAACCCCCGGCCUCAUCAUUGUGGGCCAUGUUUCUCUCUAAAUAGAAACAAAGUUUGGUAAAAAAGUUGGUUAUUGUCAAGGAACAAGAUCUCUAAGUUGACCAAAUAACCUAAUUCUCGAGGAAUGUCACCAAAAAGUUGGUUAUUGUCAAGGAACAAUUGUGAGAUGUUUGUGAUAUUGCCUAGGUGUUUUGGGAUAGAACCUGUUAGUGUGUUGUUGCUAAGGUCCAAGUCCACGUUCUCAGGGUAACCUAGUUCUUGAGGGGUGUGUCUAGAAAGUUCACUCUUCUUUUUAGAAGACAAGCGUCUGAAAUUGUAUUGCCUUUCCUUAAUUUGUACUAUUUUUUCAUUGUGUUGAAUACUUAUGUGGGUGAGUGUAUCUGUAAUUACUUUUUACUACACCGCGGGGUGUUCAAACGCGCGGAGAGGAUAAACGCUAGCAGGCUGAUCAUUGCAUAUCAUUCAUAACCAUGAAUGAAGGCUCAAUGGACCAAGGAAAGAAAACCUACACAAACACAAGGAUGACUAUUGGAGACACUCAGACCUGCUGCUUUGUGUUGAUUGUUUAGAAGCUAGGGAAUGUCCAUUAUAUAUAGAUGCAGAGAAGCUUCGGCCGUGGUGAAGGUCAACCCCUAUAUUUUAAUUGGAGGGCCAAGAGAUAAGCUAAGCUGCAAAUUAUGAAUCUGCGUCAAAAAUUACACCACAUUCAGCAUAGGGCAGGAGACGCCUACCCUAAUGAAUAUGUUAUUCUCACAGCUCAUCACUUGCUGAACUUGUAAAUCAUUUCCGUGAAAACAAUCAAACGGUUUUCAGCGACAAGUGAUACAAGGAACUAAACUGGGUUUCAGCUCUACAUGGGCCAGAGUGGACUUGAGCAAAUGUGGACUUGAGCAAAUGUGUGUAUGUUUUUAUUUCGGUUGAGAAUCGGGCACCUUCUAGGUCAAGAAAAUUGGGCAUGACCUUUGCUAAUUUUCUUGACCUAGGAGUGCCCCAUUUCUCAACCGAAACGGAAAUUAAUCAACGUUUCACGAGAAAGGGGUUAUUUUAGAAGAUCACAAGUAGCAGCAGCAUCACUUGACAAAAUCACAACUAGCAGCAACAACUCGCAGAUAGCAGCAGCAGCAUCACUUGACAAGUAGUACAGCAGCAGCAGCAUGCAUGCACUGGUCCAUGGCACAAAGUCCAUGACCCAGAACAGAGCACUUUACUAAAAAUGAAGAAGAAAAAAGGCAUGCAUGCACUGGUUGUAGCAAAUCAUCACUUCUGAAUCAAAACAACAAUUAGGACAGGGAAAUUAUGACACACUUCUGAAGAAAAAAUGAUUUGUGUAAUCUGGUUGGUACUCUUACAGUUGCAUAAAUUGAAUUUUUUUUGAUCUGUGUGAUCUGGGUUACAGUAUCAGUAACCUUGCAUUUCAUUUUAUACAAAGGAGCUCACAAAGGCCAUGUCAUGCUUGGCAAUAUUGGUUUACUGAAACUAAAUGAACAUUUUACUGGUAGUGUACUGAUAGUGUAAUCUAGCUAUUGUACUGAUAUUUCUGUUUCUUUGAACAUUUUACUGUCAAUAAAAAUGAUGUACUGCUGCUUUCAGUUAAUUCAAAUUAGCUAAAACCUUUUACUGUCAAAUAGUGCUAAUGUUUACUCUAUGAAAUAAACUACUCCUCCUCUCUUCUCUUCUUUAGUUAAUUAGGAAUAGUUUUAGAGGUAACUAACAGAAACUAUUUAUCAUGUUGACAACAGUAGCAUGUGGACCUAUCAUGGUGAUUUCAUAUCAAAAUAGAGGAGUACUCCUGUUCAUUUGGAGAACUCAUACAACAAUUGUUAUGCAUCAAACUUGGGAUCAACAGUAGCAUGUGACAAACAAAUUAUACAUCAGGAAUAAAGCAUCAACUUUGUCAAGCGUAUGAAAUUGCUUAGGUUCAACAGAAAACAAAAAUGCCCUGUCAAUUUUCAAUGCCCUGUUUAAUUGACCGAACAAGUGUUUUUAUAGGCAUAAUACAGCAGCACAGCCCCAUAAUGAUACCACGGGCCACCUGUCUCAUUGUAAAUAGACAAGUAGUACUGUCCAUCAUGUAUUAUCUAAUACUGUAUAUUCUUGCUAGGAGGAAGACCAACUUUCUGGGUAACUAGUGUAUAAACUAAACAGUAUAGUCUGACAAAACAGAACUAAAAGCAUUCUGAGGUUGAACAGAAACCUAAUCAGGCAGUUUUACUAGACAAAGACGGCAACAAACAAAAUAACAGGCCAACCAAUGAAACCUAAAGAAGAAUGAUCCAAUUGACAUCAAAGUACGCAUUGACACCCACAUUCCACAAGAAAAUUGACAGCAUGACCAAUGAAACCUAAAGAAGCAUGAUCCAAUUGACACCAAGUAUACAUCAGCACACCUAGGAUCACCAUCUAGUCAUAAUUAGUCAUGCAUAGGUGUUUCACAUACAGAGGGGAGUUCUUGAUUAGUUAAGAAAAGCUCAAAUUUCAGGAAAGUUAAUCCAUAUUUCCAGUAAGUAAAUUCAGAUGCAAAAUGAGUACAUAGGUGCCGAGGGGAGGAGAGGAGGAGAAUUCAGAUGCAAAAUUCAGAUGCAAAAGCUCACCUUAGCAGCAGCUUGGAUUCAAUGGAGCUUGGAGGGGAGGAGACGGUGCCGAGGCCGUGCGGGAAAUGACGGUGCUGCGCGGGUUUCUCCUCUCCUCUCCUCCUCGAGAGGAGUGUGGCGGGCUGCUGCAAUGGAGAAGGGGCUAGGGUUAGGAUGGAUAGAAGCAAGCAGCCGAGGGGGGAGGGGGCAGCUCACCUGGCUUGGCGUCGAGGGAGAGGAGGAGCCGCUCUGCUUGCUUGGCGUCGAAGGAGAGGAGGAGCCGCUCUGCUUGCCUGGCGUUGAGGGGGUGGAGAAGCCUUUCUGCUUGCGUCGAGGCGGUGGUUGGAGACGUCGGGCGUCGAGGCGCAGGGGCGCAGGGGCAAGGGGCGGCGUCGAGGCGUCGGGGCAAGGGCGGCGUCGCGACAUGGAGGCGGCGUCGAGGCGGCGGGGCAGCGGCGUCGGGGCGGCGUCGAGGCGGCGGGGCAGCGGCGUCGGGAGAGGAGAGGGGAAGGGGAUCAAGGGAGAGAGAUGGGAUCGAUAGGUUUGGGCUGGGAGGAAGUAUGGAUGGGCGGGGGCGGCACAAUACUAAUGGCGCACCACCCCUCGGUGCGCCAUAAGUACAUCCAUGCUAAUGGCGCACCUCACCCUGGUGCGCCAUUAGUAUUUUGCUCGAGCCAACAGGUUAUCUACCACCUGAGCUGAUCCACAUCAAGUCCCGUCUACUAGCUCAACUGGUCAGCAGCCAGUUCCCACACUAGGAGGUCCUGGGUUCGAUUCCCAGGCUCCACAAAUUUUUUUUUAUGCAUUUAAAAUGUUGUUUGAUACUUAUUUGUGUUUAAAUAUGUUCAAACUUGUUUAAAUCAUAUCAGUAAUAUUUUUUUUAUAAGACAGUACUAAUUUUUUUAAAAAUAUCAUCAAACAGUAAUGCCGGUGGAGCGGGGGAGGGUGCAGGGGGUCGGCGGUGGCGGUUGAGUNNNNNNNNNNNNNNNNNNNNNNNNNNNNNNNNNNNNNNNNNNNNNNNNNNNNNNNNNNNNNNNNNNNNNNNNNNNNNNNNNNNNNNNNNNNNNNNNNNNNNNNNNNNNNNNNNNNNNNNNNNNNNNNNNNNNNNNNNNNNNNNNNNNNNNNNNNNNNNNNNNNNNNNNNNNNNNNNNNNNNNNNNNNNNNNNNNNNNNNNNNNNNNNNNNNNNNNNNNNNNNNNNNNNNNNNNNNNNNNNNNNNNNNNNNNNNNNNNNNNNNNNNNNNNNNNNNNNNNNNNNNNNNNNNNNNNNNNNNNNNNNNNNNNNNNNNNNNNNNNNNNNNNNNNNNNGGUUGAGUAGGGGAGGGGUGCGGGGGGUCGGCGGCGGCGGUUAAGUAGGGGAAUUGAGGGUGCGGGGGGUCGGCGGCGGCGGCCGGUGGACCGGGGGGUGCUCGGCGGCGAGGGGGACGGCCGGAUCUGGCGAGGUGGGAUAGCGAUCGAGAUGGAGGGGGAUCGAGAUCGAGUGUCCAUGAAAUUUAAAAAUAUUCAUGAUAGUUCAAAAACUGCCGAUGAAAUACAAUCGAGAAAUGAAGGUUACGAUUUAAAUACAAUCGCUCUUAGCUAGCUAUCUGUUCACAAUCUUCUUUCCCUUCUUUUUCGCAAAUGGAGUUCUUCUGUGGAACAGACGUCCUUUAGGUAGGGUGGUCCUACUUCUUCUUGUGGUGUAUGCUGCUACUUCAUCAUCGUCGUCAUGUUCGAUCCUCGGGUCGCCAUACUUGUCAAAGUCUUGCUCAUUGGCUACUCCAUCCAUUCCGAUGAUCUUCCUUUUGCCUCUCCUCACGACAACACGACUGGGCUUUGACGGGUCGGUAAUGAAGAAGCAUUGGUCCACUUGGGAAGCCAAUACCCAUGGCUCAUUUUUCGCGGUGACGUUUGCACCCGCAGUCUUGGAUUUGGCUUCGGGUAUAAUCAUGGUGGUGAAAUACCGGUCCUCUUUUAUGACGUUCUUGGCCCAUCUGACACGGAACAUCGGGACCUUCUCUCGAGCGUAGCUUAGCUCCAGAUCUCCUCGAUCCUUCCGUAGUAUCUGUCCUUGUCGUUACCGGUGUAGGAUUCCAUCGUUACCCCGGAGUUCUGAUAACCAUCGCUCUUCAUGUCCUUGGCCUCGGUGUAGAAUGUGUAGCCGUUGAUAUCGUACGCCUCAUAGGUCAUCAGGUUGUGCUCGGCGCCCUGUGACAAGGCGAAUAUGAGUUGUUCUUCCGCGGAAGAAUCCUCAUGUAAAGUGUACGACAGAAGCUUCUGCUUGAACCAACGCGUGAAACAUGAGUUGUGCUCUUUGAGUAUAUCUCCGUCCGUCCUCUGUUGGCCUCGGUCAUUGUACGUCUUCUUAAUAAAGGUUUUGUGCUCUACCACCCAAGGAUCGAGCACGUCUAUGUGUUGUAGGGCGACUAGGUUUGCUCUUUCAAAGUCGGCGAGUCGACCCUCGAAGUCGACAUGCAUUUCGCGGUGACCCUCAUGGUGACCCCAUCCAGCGAGCCUGCCGAGGUGCCUGUUGACGGGCAGACCAACGGGGUUCUCGAUGCCUAGAUAAUUCGUGCAGUAGGAGAUGCACUCUUCGGUCAGAAAGCCCCUGGCUAUGCUUCCUUCUGGACGUGACAUGUUGCAAACGUAUCCUUUGAUGACACCAUUCAUCCUUUCGAACGGCAUCAUGCUGUGCAGGAACGUCGGCCCGAGUUGGAUGAUAUCCUCCACUAUAUGGACCAGCAGAUGCACCAUAACGUCGAAGAAUGCGGGCGGGAAGUACAUCUCAAGCUCGCAUAGUAUCACCACGAUCUCUUCCUGUAGCCUUCUGAGUUGCCUCACGCCAAUCGACUUCCGAGAGAUGACGUCGAAGAAGUUGCAUAGGCCAAAUAGCGUUUCACGGACGUGCGCGUCCAUGAUCCCACGUAUUGCAACUGGAAGUAUCUGCGUCAUCAGCACGUGACAGUCGUGAGACUUCAUCCCGCUGAACUUCUGCUUCGCUGGGUCUAGGUAUCUGCUUAUCUUCCCCGCGUAACCGUAAGGAAGUUUUACUCCUAGGAGGCAGGUGAAAAACUGCUCAAUCUCCUCCUGACUUAGAGUGAAGCACGCGGGAGGGUAGUCAUUUCCGGUCUUCUUGGCCUUUUUGCCUUUGCGACGACUUUCUGUGUCCUGCUUCGCCUCAUCAUCAUCAUCAUCAUCAUCAUCAUCAUCAUAUAUAGCGUGAAGCUCCUGCCUAAUGCCCAUUGAUUUCAAGUCUGCCCUUGCUUUCGGCCCAUCUUUGGUCCUCUCUGGCAUGUUGAGCAGGGUACCAAGCAGACUCUCGCACACGUUCUUCGUGAUAUGCAUGACAUCAAGGCUGUGAGGCACACGGUGGAUCUUCCAGUACGGCAAGUCCCAGAAAACAGACCUCGUUUUCCAUACCUUCAGCAGCGGCUCUGGCGCCUUUCGCUUCUUUCCCGGCUCUGGCGCCUUUUGCUUCUUUCCCGGCAGUGGGCAGUCUUUCCAAUUUUUCAACAGCUUGUCUAUUUCCUCGCCGCUCCUCGUACACGGGCGUUUUCGGGGUUCGGUUUCACCAUCGAACAGAUCCUUGCGUUUCCUCCACGGGUCAUCGUCGCGAAGCCACCUUCGAUGUCCCAUGAACACGGUUUUCGAAGACCCGGGAUCUCUAUCUAGCUGGCGAUACGUUGUGUCAUCCAUGCACCUUACGCAUCCAGAAAAUCCGUGGACUACCUGCCCCGCAAGAUAUCCGUAACCGAGAUAGUCGUGCACCGUCGUGAGCAGUGCGGCUCUCAUAGGGAAAUAUUCUUUCUCUGCGGCGUGCCACGUAUUGGUUGGCGUUUUCCACAGCGUGUCAAGCUCCUCUUUCAGCAGCCCCAGAUACAGAUUGAUGUCGUUCCCUGGUUGUUUCGGCCCUUCAAUUAGCAUACUCAUGCGAAUGUACUUCCUCUUCAUGCACAACCAGGGGGGAAGGUUGUACAUCCACACAAACACAGGCCAGGUGCUAUGUGUGCUUCUCUAGCCGCCAAAUGGAUUGACUCCAUCGGUGCUCGCGCCCAGCACGAUGUUCCUUGGAUCGUUCCCAAAUUCUGGGUAUUCGAAGUUCAACGCUUGCCACUGGCUCGCAUCCUUAGGGUGACUCAGCAUCUUGUCUUUUAUAUCUAUCUCCGGAUCAUUUGCGUCAUCUUCUCGCUUCUUCUCAUCCCUAUCCGCGUGCCAACGCAGGAGCUUUGCUACCUUAGGGUCCGCGAAAUACCGCUGCAGACGAGGAGUGAUCGGAAAGUACCACACCACUUUUCGAGGAGCUUUCUUCCUCUUCUUGUAUCGAGUGACACCGCACACCGGACAUAUGGUAGACUCCGCGUGCUCGUCCCGAUAAAUGAUGCAAUUGUUCAUGCACACAUGGUAUUUCACGUGCGGUAAAUCCAGAGGACACACGAUUUUCUUCGCCUCCUCCAAACUGGUCGGGCACUUGUUCCCCUUGGGAAGACGUUCGUGCCAGAAUGACAUGUUCUCGUCGAAGCAUGCGUCGGUCAUUUUGUGUUUUACCUUCAUCUCAAGAGCCAUGAGCGUUACUUUCAGGCGGGUAUCCUCGGGCCUGCAUCCUUCAUACAAUGGAGUAACCGCGUCUAACUCAAGUUGAUCCAUCUUGGCUUUCUCUCGGGCGGCAGCUCUUGCGUUAUCCGUCUUCUUGAGAAGCAGCUCUUGAAUAUGAGGGUCCUGCACCCAGCCCAUCGAUGGUCCAGCGUCGUCUGCUCCGCCGGCAUCAUCAUCAUGUCCUGCAUCUUCUACAUGAUGACUGUGUACAGCAUCACCGUCGUGAUCAUCUCCUGGGGAUUCUUCGUCUUCUCGCCCCCCCGAGCCACGGUGGUUGUCUUGCUGCCCUUCCUCAUUUCUUGCCCGGCCCCCAUGGACGACUUUGUAGUCAUCUUCAUCACCUUGCCACCGAUAGCCAUCCAUGAAACCAUGCAAGAGCAGGUGGUCCCGCACCUGCCCGGAAUCCGGGUCCGCAAUAAGGCUAUUCAGCUUGCAUCUUCGACACGGACAUCUUAUCUCCGUCUCGUUCUUUUGAAGCAUCUCGGCCUUCGCGGACCUCAAAAACCUAUUCACGAUGCCUUCGGUCAUCGUGCGGACCAUGGUCGCCUGCGGGGUAGAGCAAAACGAUAUUUUAGAACCAAGAAGAAAUUUGGCAUGACUUUCCCUAAAAAUAGGACCAAAAAGAAUGCUUAAUGCCAAAAUUCUCGCCGAAACGGAAAUGAAUCAACAUUCCGGCAAAAUAUUGGCAACUAUCGCAUUUCAAAUACCGGUACACCUCCAAACACAAACACAUAUGCAACACCACAAACAUAUGCAACACCACGAACAUACAUAGAUCUAGCUAGGCCAUAAAAAGUGCAUGUGCACAUUGUUGUAGGGAGAACAACAUAAAUAUAGCUUCCCCCCUUACUUACCUAGCAAAACAAGGUAACUUAACCACUUAAUUUGAAUGAAUCUAUGGUGGAAAUGAGGUGAAAAAGAGGAGGCACCCGAGACAAGAAGGAGGCGGUGGAGAGAAUGAAGUGGGGAGAAAGUGAGUGCGGGAGGAUAGGCUGUCCAAAAUAUCUUAUUGCUGCCCACUUACUAAUGGCGCACCAGCAACAAAUGCGCCAGUAGUAAUCCAGGUUACUAAUGGCGCACCCCCUAGUGGUGCGCCAUUAGUAGUUUUGCAAAAAAAACAUACUAAUGGCGCACUCUGCCAUGGUGCGCCAUUACUAGUUUGAACUAGUAAUGGCGCACCGUGUGUGAGUGCGCUGAGGGAGUCCUGGACUAGGGGGUGUCCGGACAGCCGGACUAUCAAUAUCCGCCGGACUCCCAUACUACGAAGAUAGAAGAUUGAAGACUCCGGCUCGUGUCCGGAAGGUACUUUCCUUGGCGUGGAAGGCAAGCUUGGCAAUACGAAUAUGUAGAUCUCCUACCAUUGUAACCGACUCUGUGUAACCCUAGCCUCUCCGGUGUCUAUAUAAACCGGAGAGCUUUAGUCCGUAGGACACAACAUUACAUCUCAACAAUCAUACCAUAGGCUAGCUUCUAGGGUUUAGCCUCCUUGAUCUCGUGGUAGAUCUACUCUUGUACUACCCAUAUCAUCAAUAUUAAUCAAGCAGGACGUAGGGUUUUACCUCCAUCGAGAGGGCCCGAACCUGGGUAAAAACAUUGUGUCCCUCGUCUCUUGUUACCAUCCGCCUAGACACACAGUUCGGGACCCCCUACCCGAGAUCCGCCGGUUUUGACACCGACAUUGGUGCUUUCUUUGAGAGUUCCUCUGUGUCGUCACCGAUAGGCUUGAUGGCAUCUUCAACCAUCAACGCUGUCCAGGGUGAGACUUUUCUCCCCGGACAGAUCUUCGUAUUCAGCGGCUUUGCACUGCGGGCCAAUUCUCUUGGCCAUCUGGAGUAGAUCGAAAGCUACGCCCCUGGCCGUCAGGUCAGAUUCGAAAGCUUGAACUUCACGGCCGAUGACCGCGGAGACUUGAUCUUCGACGGACUCGAGCCACAGCCAAGCGCGCCGCACUGUGACGAUGGGCACGAUCUAGCUCUGCCGCUGGACAGUGCUUUGGAGGCCUUACUCGGAUCCGCUCCGGCCACUAGCCCGGAGCCGAUUGCCCAUGUCGAGGGUCGGUGGAUAGACGCCGCCCCGGGGGCUUCAACACCAACGGCGAUGGAGCCGAAUACCAAUCUUGUCCCCUAUGAAACUCGUGAUCCCGAGGCGCCGAACUCCUUGCCGGACUCCGAGCCUCCCGCGCCCCCGCCAAUUAAACCGGAUUGGGCGCUGGUUAUGGAAUUCACCGCCGCGGACAUCUUCCAGCACUCGCCUUUUGGCGAUAUCCUGAAUUCUCUCUCUCGCUAUUAGGAGAAUCCUGGCCGGACUAUGGCCAGGACGGUUGGAGUUCGGACGACGAAGAAAUUCAGAGCCCACCCACCACCCACUUUAUAGCCACUGUCGAGGAUCAAACCGACAUGCUAGAUUGCGACUCCGAAGACAUCGACGGAAUAGACGACGAAGCUGAAGACGAACAAAUAAUAGAGCUUAUACAGCACAAUACGACCACCCCGUCGCACGACAUAUAUAUGGUGGAUACCCCAAAGGGAAGCGAUAACGAGGACCAACGGGCCGCGGCAGUUCACACUGCCGACAAACGACCAAAGCAACGGCGCAAACGCCGCGCUAAGUCCCGCCUCGACGACAACAAUGCUCCCAAUGAGCCCGCUACACGGCAAGGCUCACAAUCGGACGAAGAACAUGCAAAUAAACAACUGUCCCAACACGACGAAUCAGACAGUCAAUCAAAGCCUGGAGAAGACAACAGUCCGGACGACCACAUGUCGGACACAUCGCCGGAGAAUAAGAACCUCCGGAAAAAACUUGGCAGCACUGCAAGAAGCCUGAAGAAGGAGAAACGGAAGCUCACAACAGCGGAAGAAACACUCAAAAUGAGAUGGGGCAAAGUGCUCAACACCGCAGAUAAGUACGGCAAUCGCCAUCAAUCAAAGAGCUACCCCAAGCGCAAGCUGUUACCGGAAUUUGACGAGGAGGCCAUAAAACCCCCACCGUCCAAAAAUAAAAAAGCUGCCUGGCCGGAUAGACGGCCAGACGACAGGCCAAAUUCUGAAAGCAACGCCACACACAACUCCACCAACGAACUCGGAAGGAUAGACGGCCCAGCCAGGUCCAUUUAUGGGCCAAAGGAGACGGCCCCAAGAAGCAAGACAACACGCCAAGUGUCCGAUGACAGCGGAGCACACAAAUACAGAGGCGCCGCACACCCACUAUGUUUCACCGAUGAGGUACUGGACUAUGAAUUUCCAACAGGGUUUAAACCCAUAAACAUAGAGGCCUACGAUGGAACAACAGACCCUGGAGUCUUGAUAGAAGAUUAUAUACUACAUAUACACAUGGCCAGAGGAGACGAUCUCCACGCCAUAAAGUAUUUACCCCUCAAGCUCAAAGGCCCAGCCCGUCAUUGGCUCAAAAGCCUCCCAGAAAACACUGUUGGAAGUUGGGAAGAGCUCGAGGAAGCAUUCAGAACAAAUUUUCAAGGGACUUAUGUCCGUCCUCCGGAUGCAGACGAUUUAAGUCAUAUAACACAACAACCCGGAGAGUCAGCGCGGAAAUUGUGGAACAGGUUUCUUACCAAAAAGAACCAAAUAGUCGACUGUCCGGACGCCGAAGCCUUAGCAGCUUUCAAGCACAAUAUCCGGGACGAAUGGCUCGCUAGGCACCUCGGCCAAGAGAAACCGAGGACAAUGUCCGCACUAACAAGCCUCAUGACCCGCUUUUGUGCGGGAGCGGAUAGCUGGCUGGCACGAAGUAGCACCAGCGACCCAAGUACAUCCGAGAUAAGAGAUGGAAACGGAAAAUCACGGCGCAGAAAAGAACAGCGCCGGAAUAAAGAAAAAAGCCAAAAGAGCACGGCAGUUAACGCCGGAUUCAAAAGCUCGCGGCCCAGUCAUAAAACUCAGCCGCUCAAGGAUGACAGUGACGAACUGUCUAACCUACAUAAAAUUCUGGGUCAGAUAUGCCAAAUCCACAGUACCCCCGGAAGGCCCGCAAAUCACACCCACAGGGAUUGUUGGGUUUUCAAACAGUCUGGCCGAUUAAACGCCGAACACAAGGGGCUCGACGCGUCCAGCAAAGAAGAUAAACCCCGCCAGCAGGGCACAAGAAAACAAAAGACUUUCCCACAAGGGGUCAAGGCAGUAAACUCACUUCGUGUGAGGAAAAGGAAAAAUAGUGCGGCACUUUCUAAAAAGAGCUUCGCACGGUCCAGCCCAGCAAACCAUAGAGAUUGGAUAUCAAAACCAAUCACUUUCGACCACCUGGAUUAUUCCAGAAGCGUUCGAAACGCGGGAAGGACUCCCCUGAUUUUGAAUCCGAUCAUAGACGGAUUGCAAUUCACAAACGUCCUAAUGGACGGAGGCAGCGACUUAAACCUGCUAUAUUCGAACACAGUCCGUCGGAUGGGGAUACACCCUACUAAAAUUCGACAUAGCCGCACUUCCUUCAAAGGAGUAACGCCUGGCCCUUACGCCAAGUGCACAGGCUCGAUAUUACUAGAGGUCAUGUUCGGGUCGCCGAGCAACCCUCGACGCGAGAAACUAAUUUUCCGUAUCGUCCCAUUUAAAAGUGAAUAUCAAGCACUGUUGGGACGUAAAGCUUUUAUCCGCUUCAAUGCCAUACCACAUUACGCGUCUCUUACACUCAAAAUGCCCGGCCCCCAUGGCACCAUUUCAGUGCGCGGGUCAUUUAAAGACCCCGGACUCGGAUAGACGAAUCCGGACUCAGCAGGCUAGGGGCUCCCUAGCCGCACACCCUUUCACAAGGGGCUGAGCGCACAACUAAACACGGUUUCAUAUAAACCUAGCUUUAAUUAUUUACACUUAUUCUUUUGCAUAUUUUUAGCACAAACUGUUUCUAAAACUAAAAUGUUCCUCUCUUUCUACAGAUGAACAACGUGCAUGCCCGUCCAGGAUAACGGCGCAACAGAGACACAGGCGCAUACGUGCAGUAGGGACCCGUCGCAAGGAUUCUCUUCAGAUUAAGACCCUACGUAGACCUUUUUUUUACUGUCUCUUGUUGUUAAUCUCCCUCGGCUUCUUCCUAUAGCCAAAGCGGAUCCUGACGCUUUGGCAUCGGCCGCGUCAGAAGACAAUGCCCGUACCUGGACACAAGGGGCUUAGGGCAUAAUUCUGCCCGUUAUCAUAAAGUCCGAACACCUUCGAGAGUGUUCGGCGUCUCAAGUUAGGCAUUAUAUGCAUCAGCUCCGAAUCAUGUCUUUGGUCAAAUGUUGGGUUUGCCCGGCUCCUGUGUUUUGCCGCCUUACGUUCCGUAUCACCCGGCUAACGCGACACCAGGAGAACUACUGCGAUUGUGCCCCAGUUCGGCUGGGCGAGCACCUCAGUAGAGAAAGCCGAAAACUGACUGUCAUGAUAUAGCGAGAGUCUGGUCAGCCACUUGAUCGACUAUCGGAAUGUUUAGAAUUCCCCGCUUUGAUGAAGGACCGCUUCCCGGUCAGGCACAUACGCACCCCGAAUCCGGAGAUGUGCGGUGUCAUUAGGGGUUAUAUCGUAGCCCCACCCUCGAGCUCCAUUGGCUAAGUGAAAGAGAUAAAGCAUUAUAGUCUGGAUUGCCUCGUUCGCUACGCUACCACCUCCUUAUAACAGGACCGAGACGUCGGAUUAAAGUGUGAAAACGCGCCAUUUUGCGAACACCCCAGCACCUUGUGCGAGGGGGCUGAAGCCGAAGACUGCAUCUUUCAGGUUAUACACAAGUAUACUUAAAACGGCCGCAAGGAGAAGUUUUACUACUUGGAAGCACAAGUAUAAAAAGCAUUCAUACUAUAAUCAUUGAUUUACAAGGUACUGCGUUCAUUUGAAUGUUACAUUCUUUGAGCACUGCGCCUCUACUUUACGAGCACCGCGCAUGACUUCUCCGAAGUAGUGCUCGGCAGGGAGCCGGCUUUCAUCCGGACCCUGGGCGGCAACGGCGGUGGCAUCCAUCUCCGGAUAAUGCACCUUCACACAAGCAAGGGCCAUCCGCGCGCCCUCGAUGCAGGCCGACCGCUUCAUCUCCCUUAUACGCGGCACCGCACCAAGGAAUUGCUGCAAUAAGCCAAAGUAGCUCGUCGCCUUGGACCUUUCUGGCCAGACAUGGGCCACGAUGUCAGUCAUGGCCAGUCCGGACAGUCUAUUCAGUUCGGCCCAUUCGGCCAACCUGUCCGUCAGAGGAAGAGCGCGAUCCGGGCUGUGGAAUUGAGACCAAUACAACUCUUCCGCCUCGUGAUCCCCUUGGCUCCGGAAGUGCUUAACGGCAUCAGCCGCACUCGCAACCAAGUCCAUGUACGGAUCCUACGAACUCCACAGCCGCUCAAAUUGAGCGUACUUGGCAUCCAUAAACCGGCGACGCAUAAGAAAAGGCUUGCCAGCCACGAUUUCUCCCGCUUGGCGCAGCUCCUCCUUCAUAGCCUGCAUUGCAGAGCGGGCAUCCUUGGCUUCGGCGGUGGCCUUCUUCAGGUCUUCCCGCUCCGAUAGGCGCUCCUUUUCAAGAGCCUCGCUACGGUCGGCAGCAUCCUUUAAUUUCUUGGCCAAUUCGGCCACCUCCGCCCUGCUUAGGCAGUGCGCAGCCUUUUCGGCCUUCAACUCUUCGGCCGCCCUCGCGGCAGCCGCAUCACUCCUUCGGGCUUGCUCCUUAGCUUGAGCAAGCUCGGCCCGAAGGCUCUCCACAGCAGCAGCACUGUCUGAAUAAACAGCAUAUAACUUAUCAGAAGAGGGCUUUGACCCACUCAAUAAAGCGGCUGCGGAGAAUUUAUUUACCUUGCGACUCGUCAAGUCGCUGAUUGACAAGUGCGAUGACAGCAUCUUCCAUGUCUAGUUGUCGACUCAAUUCGGCAAACUGAUUAGUCCGGCUGGCCCCCGGACUAUCCGCCACCUGUAUCAGAACGGCGGUAUUCAUUACCUGAAAUGUUUAAAUUUUCGAUCCUCGGCACGCUGUCGUCUUCGACAACCUACCGAGUCUCAGGGGCUACUAUCUAUACAGGGCGCAUUUUUUAUGCACAACUGUUAAAAAAAAGGAAACAAAGGGGUGCGCUAUUUUCGCAUACCUCAAAUCCCGCCAGCAAGCUCAUGGCAGCGUCACGCAAUCCGCUUUCAGCGGACGAAAUCCUUCCAAUCACCAUACGCAUUAACGUACGGUGAUCUUCUGAAAUGGACGCCCUCUCAAGCAGACUCUUCAGUUCUCCCGACCGGCUUCUGCUGGGUGCCGAACUCUCUGGCCCCUCCGGACUCGGGGACGCCCUCCGUGACGACACUUCGGGCUCGCCCGCUUCAUCUGGCGGCACCGCAGACGGAGGCGUAUCGCUCUCCAUCAUCUCCGGAAGAAGGUCCCCCGAGGAUGACCUCAGCUGAGACGGCUGCAGAUCCGAACUGCAAUAUAAAUAUUUCGGUUACCUACAGAAGCAUAAACGAAGGUAUUCCCUUAUUAAUUGAUUUCCUCUUUCAUACUCACGGCUCGUUGGAGGGCUGGCCCUUCGGCUAUGAUUGCGCGUCUGGAUUCUCUCCGGACACCGGACCCCCCGGUGAGGAUUUCUUCCCACGCUUAGGGGCUUUGACCUCCGGAUCUCCGGAGGCGGUCCUCUUCUCCCUCUGAAGGGAGGGAUCCUUGGUUCCCUCCUCUUCGGUCGCCCCUUCGGGCGAAGUAUUAGCUCCUUUAUCUCCCCCGUCGCCCCCCUCUAUGGGCGCAACCUCCAACAUUCUGACCAGCACGGGCUCCAGUGCGGUCUCUGGGAGGGGGGCCGGACACCUUAUCAGCCUUGAUUGCGCCACCCAUUCCUGUAAAGAAUAAAGGGUCAGGAGACGAUCUUUUGAAAGGCAUACAAAUAGAAUGUCCGGGCUUUGAGCUAUUUACCUGAGUAUCCGGGCGAUCGCGGCUUAGGCCAGCAUCCUUGGCCGAAUUCGGACACGCCACCUGCGGUCCGAAGAACAGCUCGUACAUCUCCGAGGUUGUCGCACCCAUGAAAUGCUGGAGAAUACGAGGUCCCUCCGGAUUGAACUCCCAUAAACGGAGAGGACGACGUUUGCAGGGUAGGAGGUGCCUGAUUAGCAUGACCUGCAUCACCUUGACCAGGUCGAUCUCCCUUGUUUGGAGGUCUCGAAUCCGGCCCUGUAGUGCGGGCACGUCCUGGGACGGCCCCCAGUUGAGCCCUUGGUUGACCCGCGACAUCAGCUGCCGUGGAGGUCCCGGGCGGAAAGAGGGCGGCGGCUUUUGCUUGCUGCCCCUGGGAACAGUGAUGUAAAAACCACUCCUGCUGCCACAAUCCCUGUUCCUCUUGGAAGGAACCUUCGAGCCACGGGGCAUCCACCUUCCUGCUUAUGGUCGCCCCGCCGCGCUCCGCUUGACGCCCCCCGAUCAUCUUCGGCUCCACCUUAAAUGUUUUCAGCCACAGGCCGUGGUGGGGAAUGACGCGGAGGAAGGCUUCACAGACAAUGAUAAAUGCGGAGAUAUGGAGGAUGGACUCCGGGGCCAAGUCGUGGAAGUCCAGCCCGUAGUAGAACAGGAGCCCCCUCACGAAAGGAUCCGUCGGGAAGCCUAAUCCCCAACGGAGGUGAGAUGCGAAAACGACAUAUUCGCCGGGCUCGGGGGCUGGCACGGCCUGCCCUGGGGCAGGCAACCUGUGCGAAACUUCGUAGGCCAGGUACUUGGCCUCAGGCAACUUCAAUAUGUCCUCCUCCGUGACGGAGGAGGGCAUCCACCGUCCCUGGAGGUCGGAGCCGGACAUUGUUGUGGAUCCGAGGCGCUCGAAUCUGAAGCUCUAGGUGUUGGAACUGGGAGCGGAGGAAAGAUUCGAUGCAAGGUUGAAAGACAAGGACAGGCCUUGGUCCUCUUAUAAAGGGGAAAUAAUACCAAGGGCCGUCUCCGUGACCGUUUGAGAUUCCCCUUCGAUAGAGGAGGUGUGGCGACGGGAACGGUUGGGUUACCCACACACGUAUUGAUGAGGAUCCCGGAAUAAAAGGGAACACGAUCUCUGCUUCGACAAGACGUGCCAAGGAAACCGCUUCGCUAAACGUGCUGAGGCGGAACAAUAAAAACGAUUCAAACAAGGGCUUGGCUGCAGUGUGAUGUCACGCUGCAUAAUACGUCAGCAGAUUGAGCUAAGUGUAUAUUUUAUUCUCUCUAUGUUGGAAUGUGGAAUUUAUUUUGCAGAGCCGGACACUAUCCUGGUGUUCAUUAUCUUCUCCGAAUUAUUCAAGGAGGGGAACCCGCCUUGCAAUGCCGAACAUUAUGCACGCCGGAAUUAUCGCCAUUGAAGACUGGUUCAGGGGCUACUGAGGGAGUCAUGGACUAGGGGGUGUCCGGACAGCCGGACUAUCAAUAUCCGCCGGACUCCCAUACUACGAAGAUAGAAGAUUGAAGACUCCGGCUCAUGUCCGGAAGGUACUUUCCUUGGCGUGGAAGGCAAGCUUGGCAAUACGGAUAUGUAGAUCUCCUACCAUUGUAACCGACUCUGUGUAACCCUAGCCUCUCCGGUGUCUAUAUAAACCGGAGAGCUUUAGUCCGUAGGACACUACAUUACAUCUCAACAAUCAUACCAUAGGCUAGCUUCUAGGGUUUAGCCUCCUUGAUCUCGUGGUAGAUCUACUCUUGUACUACCCAUAUCAUCAAUAUUAAUCAAGCAGGACGUAGGGUUUUACCUCCAUUGAGAGGGCCCGAACCUGGGUAAAAACAUUGUGUCCCUCGUCUCUUGUUACCAUCCGCCUAGACGCACAGUUCGAGACCCCCUACCCGAGAUCCGCCGGUUUUGACACCGACAUGCGCCAUUAGUACUUUUGCAAAAAAAGGAAUAAAAACAAUAAUAAAAAAAUAACUUUAGUGGCGCACCUUCUGGCUAGUGCGCCAUUACUAGUUACAACUAGUAAUGGCGCACCACCAGUGGAUCCUUCUCCAACGGAGGAGACCGACAGACUGUCCGCCACCAAGUCUGAGGUGGAGAGCGCCAUGAACCAUAGGCGCCGCCGGACAGUAUUUCGUGAAGCGUGCUUCUCCCCUGAGGCAUUGGAUGCCUUUAACGCAGGGGACGCGCAUCUCUGUGCCGCUCAAGAUGGUUUUACCAGAGCCACGGAGCAGUAUGUGAAAGACAUACAGGUAAAGGAAUUUUAAUGGUUAUAUAUACCAGUAGCCCCCGAGACUUAAAGUAGUUAUGUUAACUGAUUUAAGGAUCAUUUGAAAACGCAGGCUCUUACCGAGAAGAAUGCCCAGCUGUCUCGGGAGCUGCAAGAUUGCAAGGCCCAACUUGAGGCCGCACUUGCUGCCGCAGGAGGAGACGCAGAGACCCCUCCUGGUAACACAUUUUUAUUAAUAAAUAUAAGCGCUGUGCGGCGUGCGCGCGAGUCUAAUAAUGACAUUGCAGGUGCCGCCGGACAAGAUCCGGACAGGCAAGCAUUGCUGCGCCAGCUAAAGGCCGGCGAGAGUGUGCUGAAUAAGGUUCAGCAAGAAAGGAACAAGCUCCAGGAUGCCAACGCCAAGCUCGGAGAAGAGCUGAAAGGCGCUCGAGCCGAGCUGUCCGGCUCCGUUAAGGAGAAUCAGCGGCUUCGUCGCGGCAUUUAUAGUAAGUGCUUUAGCAGACUCCUUUGAAAAGAAGAGUUCGGCGAGGAAGUAUAUUGACAUGAUAUGUCUUGUAGGUAUACUCACAGGUCAUCCUGCAGAAGAGAUGCCCAUAUCAACGGGUGAUCAAUUUCCCGAACUGUUGCAACUGCUUGAACGAGUUCGGCAGGCAAUGAGCGGCGUCGUCUGGGCUUUAUGGCCAGCCCUCUCCCUACCCGAGGGCCUUGGGGAGCUUGCGGAGAAGCUUCAGGGAGUGCGGCAGCGGUUCCGUUUGUGGAAGAUUUCGGCUUGCCGUCAAGGUGCCAGGGAGGCUUGGGCCAUGGUGAAGACGCGGUAUAAGAAGGCGGAUCCCAACCAUAUGGCUGAAGUUGGACCGGUGGGGCCCGAUGGGAAGGAGAUCCCUGUGAGUUUAGUAUAUAGCCAAGUAGAGUUGGCUGCUAAGUUUUCCCAAUGGGACUGUAAGUUAGACAACCUGUUAGACGGGAUUGAGGAGGAAUACAAUCAAUAAAUUUGACAAUGUAUGUUUUCCUUUAAAGUGACAUGUGAAAUGCCUUCUAGCCGGAUUGUAGAUCGUUUGUCUUUGCCGACCUUUUCGCUUCAACCUCGGGACCCUAGAGUCCAGAGUGUGUCCGAAUACCUUUUUGGUUAAGAAACAACCGUGGUAUGCAUGGAGACCAGGCGUAGGGGUCAUUAGUGCUUUAUCAGACAAGUGCCCAACUAGUUAUGUUAUAUUACAUGGUUAGUAAGAAACAUCUUCCAGGGAGAAUAGUUCCGUUAAGGGUUCCUUUCGCUGGGAGGCAUGCCCUAAAGUGCAUGUCCGGACUGCAAAGAAAGCAGUAAAACAUCUGGGGGCAGAUAGAUAAAUAGGUAAAAAGUCAUCUUUUAAGUCACCGACCGAAUAUUCCCUUAAGAACGCUAGCUUUCGGCUUCACCCAGUCUGAGGUACACAUCCGGCUGACCCGGCAGUAACAAUCGCAGAGGUGCUCCCUUUACCUCCUAGCCGAACAAUCGGGAACGUAGAGGUAAGCACAGGAGCCAGGCAACCCAGCUUGGCCAAAACUUAAGUCAUAUCGAUGCAUAUAAUGGCGAGUAAAAGGUACAUGUGGAAGCUUGACACAUGUGCUGGGUAUGAAACCCAUAUAAUUGAGCUUCUGUAAAAGAAGCCCCCAGGAAUAAUGAGUGCGGAUGGCACAUCAUGCGUAUGCGAAAAAUGCAAAAAUAGGCCCGCAAGGGCUUUUGAAUAAAAAGGCAUGAAAAGAGAAACAAAAGACAGACGAAGUGUAAAAGUUUGGACGGGGGAUGAGGGAGUCCUGGACUAGGGGGUGUCCGGACAGCCGGACUAUCAUUAUCCGCCGGACUCCAAGACUACGAAGAUACAAGAUUGAAGACUCCGGCUCGUGUCCGGAUGGUACUUUCCUUGGCGUGGAAGGCAAGCUUGGCAAUACGGAUAUGUAGAUCUCCUACCAUUGUAACCGACUCUGUGUAACCCUAGCCCUCUCCGAUGUCUAUAUAAACCGGAGGGCUUUAGUCCAUAGGACAACAUACAUUACAACAAUCAUACCAUAGGCUAGCUUCUAGGGUUUAGCCUCCUUGAUCUCGUGGUAGAUCUACUCUUGUACUACCCAUAUCAUCAAUAUUAAUCAAGCAGGACGUAGGGUUUUACCUCCAUCGAGAGGGCCCGAACCUGGGUCAAAACAUCGUGUCCCUCGUCUCCUAUUACCAUCCGCCUAGACGCACAGUUCGGGACCCCCUACCCGAGAUCCGCCGGUUUUGACACCGACAUUGGUGCUUUCAUUGAGAGUUCAUCUGUGUCAUCACCGAUAGGCUUGAUGGCAUCUUCAACCAGCAACGCUAUCCAGGGUGAGACUUUUCUCCCCGGACAGAUCUUCGUAUUCGGCGGCUUCGCCCUGCGGGCCAAUUCACUUGGCCAUCUGGAGCAGAUCAAAAGCUACGCCCCUGGCCGUCAGGUCAGAUUUGGAAGCUUAAACUUCACGGCCGACGUUCGCGGAGACUUGAUCCUCGACGGACUCGAGCCACAGCCGAGCGCGCCGCACUGUGACGAUGGGCAUGAUCUAGCUCUGCCGCCGAACAGUGCCUUGGUGGCCGCACACGGAUCUGCUUCGGCCAUUAGCCCGGAGCCGAUCGCCCAGAUCGAGGGUCGGUGGAUAGGCGCCGCCCUGGGGGCUCCAACAUCCACGGCGAUGGAGCCGAACACUAAUCUUGUCCCCUGCGAAACUCGUGAUUCCGAGGCACCGGACUCCUCGUCGGACUCCGAACCUCCCGCGCCCCUACCAAUCGAUCCGGAUUGGGCGCCGGUUAUGGAAUUCACCGCCGCAGACAUCUUCCAAUGCUCGCCUUUUGGCGAUAUCUUGAAUUCACUAAAGCAUCUCUCAUUAUCAGGAGAGUCCUGGCCGGAUUAUGGCCAGGAUGGUUGGGAUAUGGACGACGAAGAAAUUCAGAGCCCACCCACCACCCACUUUGUAGCCACUGUCGACGAUCUAACCGACAUGCUAGACUACGACUCCGAAGACAUCGACGCUAUGGACGACGAUGCCGGAGACGAACAGGAACCAGCGCCCACAGGGCACUGGAAGGCCACCUCGUCAUAUGACGUAUACAUGGUGGAUACCCCAAAAGAUGGGGACGGCGAAGAAACAGCGGAGGCAGAUCCCUUAAAGAAACAGCCCAAGCGCCGGCGUCAGCAGCGCCGCUCUAAAUCUCGCCACAGCAAGAAUGGAGAUUCCGGCACAGGAGAUAAUAAUACUCCAGAGAGUGCCAAAGACAAUCCCCUCCAGCAAGACUUAGCGCAGGAGGAUGCAGAAGCAAGCCCUCAUGAGGGGGCGGCAGAUAAAGAGGUUGAGGAUCAUAAUUAUAUGCCUCCCUCCGAAGACGAAGCAAGCCUCAACGAUGACGAAUUCGUCGUACCCGAGGAUCCCGUCGAACAAGAGCGCUUCAAGCGCAGGCUUAUCGCCACAGCAAACAGCCUAAAGAAAAAGCAGCAGCAGCUUCAAGCUGAUCAGGACCUGUUGGCCGAUCGAUGGACCGAGGUCCUCGCGGCCGAAGAGUAUAAACUCGAACGUCCCUCCAAAAGUUACCCAAAACGCAAGUUGCUCCCCCGAUUAGAGGAGGAAGCAUACGUACCUCCAUCACCAGCGCAUGAUAUGGCUGACCGACCACCCCGUGGUCGUGACAGAGAGGCAUCCAGGCCCCCAGCCAAGACCAUACCCCGGCAGCGCUCCAAAUGUACGAAGCCAAGAGGGAACGCGCCGGACUUGCGAGACAUAUUGGAGGACAAAGCAAGGCAAUCCAGAUCCAUCUAUGGAUCACGUGGGCGCCCUACGACCCACGACGAAUACCGUCGUGCCAGAUACAAUAACCCCGGCCGGGCCGAACACAGCAGACAGCGCUCUCUCGAGCUGCGUCGCGAUAUCACUCAAUACAGGGGCGCCGCACACCCGUUAUGGUUCACUGACGAAGUAAUGGAUCAUCAGAUCCCCGAAGGGUUUAAACCCAUAAACAUCGAAUCUUACGAUGGCACAACAGACCCCGCGGUGUGGAUCGAAGACUAUCUACUCCACAUCCAUAUGGCCCGCGGCGACGAUCUCCACGCUAUAAAGUACCUCCUACUCAAGCUUAGAGGACCAACUCGGCAUUGGCUUAACAGCUUGCCCGCAGAGUCAAUUGGGUGUUGGGAGGACCUGGAGGCCACAUUCCUUGAUAACUUCCAAGGCACAUAUGUGCGACCACCAGACGCCGAUGACCUAAGACACAUCAUUCAGCAGCCAGACGAAUCGGCCAGACAAUUCUGGACACGGUUCUUGACGAAGAAAAAUCAAAUCGUCGAUUGUCCGGACGUAGAGGCCCUUGCAGCCUUCAAACAUAACAUCCGGGACGAAUGGCUAGCCCGGCACCUGGGGCAGGAAAAGCCGAAAUCCAUGGCAGCCCUCACAUCGUUAAUGACCCGCUUUUGUGUGGGAGAGGACAGCUAGCUAGCCCGCAGCAACAAUCUUCGUAAAAAUUCUGGCAGUCCGGAUACUAAGGACAACAACGGCAGGUCACGUCGAAACAAAAACAAGCGCCGAAUUAACGGUGACGAUAAGGAGGAUACGACAGUCAAUGCCGGAUUCCGAGGCCCUAAACCCGGUCAGCGGAAGAAGCCAUUUAAAAGAACCACUCCGGGUCCGUCCAAUCUGGACCGAAUACUCGACCGCUUAUGCCAGAUACAUGGCACCUCUGAAAAGCCAGCUAACCACACCAAUAGAGAUUGCUGGGUGUUCAAGCAGGCCGGCAAGUUAAUUGCCGAAAACAAUGACAAGGGGCUAAAUAGCGACGACGAGGAAGAGACCCGGCCGCCGAACAACAGAGGACAGAAGGGUUUUCCCCCACAAGUACGGAUGGUGAAUAUGAUAUACGCGACCCACAUACCCAAGAGGGAGAGGAAACGCGCACUAAGGGACGUCUAUGCGAUGGAGCCAGUCGCCCCAAAGUUCAACCCAUGGUCCUCUUGUCCGAUCACUUUCGAUCGAAGAGACCAUCCGACCAGCAUACGCCAUGGUGGAUUCGCCGCAUUGGUCUUAGACCCAAUCAUUGAUGGGUUCCACCUCACGAGAGUCCUGAUGGACGGCGGCAGUAGCCUGAACCUGCUUUAUCAGGAUACAGUGCGCAAAAUGGGCAUAGACCCAUCAAGGAUUAAACCUACAAAGAAAACCUUUAAAGGUGUCAUACCAGGAGUGGAAGCCAACUGCACAGGCUCAGUCACACUGGAAGUGGUCUUCGGAUCCCCGGAUAAUUUUUGGAGCGAAGAGUUAAUCUUCGACAUAGUCCCGUUUCGCAGCGGCUAUCACGCUCUGCUCGGGCGAACCACGUUUUCCAAAUUCAACGCGGUGCCGCACUAUGCAUACCUAAAGCUCAAGAUGCCAGGCCCUCGUGGAGUCAUCACGGUCAAUGGGAAUACGGAACGCUCCCUCCGAACGGAGGAACAUACAGCGGCUCUCGCGGCAGAAGUACAGAGCAGCCUUCUAAGGCAAUUCUCGAGUCCGGCCGUUAAACGGCCGGAUAAAGCAAAGCGCGCCCGGAGCAAUGCCAACCAAGACCACCUGGCGCGAUCAGAGCACGCGUAGCAAUGUGGCCCCAACCCUCGCCCGCGUAUGAUCGCAAGAAUAACACUCCGCGUACAUCAUUACGCUUUGGAGAUACCAUGGGCACAGGGGAGGGGGCACGAUCACAACGGACCCAGAGUGCGGUUCGACCACACCGGGGGAUCGCAAAUGUGCCCCUCUCUUUUUCUUUAUUAUUUUUCUUCUUUUUUGUACACAGGACUCUGUUAACCAGAAGCCCUGUCCGGUGGUGAACCUGCCGAACUCAUGAUGCAACAGUCAGGGACUAAAGAAGGCCGCGCCGAACACUCAGGUGGUCUCAAUUACGAGCAUUAAAUUCGAUUAUAUACACCAAAUCCGCAGCUCAUCCCUGGAGGGGGACAUGUUUAUUUAGUCCAAAUCCCUUUCUUACCGCACUAUGUGUAUUAGUCCACUCUACUAGCAGACUUUUUCUUUCAUUAAUAAUGCAGCACCUUUAUGAUCGCAAUUGCAUCACAUUAUAUAUAUAUAUAUGCUCAUUAUAUGACAUCUGGCACCCGUAUAUUUUGGUACGGCAUAAUACACCAGGGGCUUAUGUUCCACACUCUAUGGUGUGAUAAAGUCUGAACACUUUCACAAGUGCGGCACCCCGAACUUAUAGCAUUAUAUGAAUCGGCUCCGAAUCAUGUCUUGGGUCAAUAGUUGGGUUUGCCCGGCUCCCACGUUUUGGUGCCUUAUGUUCCGUUCUGUCGGCUAAGGUGGCACUGGGAGAACCACUGCGAUUGCGCCCCGGUUGAGCUGGGUUAACGCCUUAGUGGAGAAAGCUAAAACUGACUGGCAUGAUAAGGCGAGAGACUGGUCGCUGUUCAAGAGGUUUUUUCGGGUCCUUAAAGACUCAUGCCACUUCGAGCGAAGUUCUGGAUAAUGUCCGAUGAAGGCGUGGAUAGCGCCCUGGAUUCGGUCUUCCGAAUACCAGGGGCUUCGCCGAAAUUUAAAAUUAUAGAAUUCUAUGGCUAAAUGAGAGUGUUCAAGCAUUAUAAGUCCGGUUGCCUUGUUCGUCGUGUUGAGCGCCUCCCUAGAUGGACCCAAAAAUGGGAACAAGAGUGCUCAAGUUUAUCCCGAACACCCCAGCACUUGUGGCUUGGGGGCUGAAGCCAACGACUUGCCAUCUCUCAGAUUUCACAAACGGCCGCACAGAAGGUAAUAUUUUAAAUUAAACAAGCGUUGCUCAUGGCGCAUACGAAUGAAGUUUUCAGCGCACAGGAUAAAUAAACAGCGAGUUCACUCAAAGAUUACAUUUCGGGAGCACUCAUCUGCAAUAUCGCAGGCUCCCUUCAGGACAAUUUUAUAAUACUUCUCCGGCAUGCGAUACUCCUUGCCCGGCGGCGGUGGGUCCGUGAGAAGCUUCUCCGCAUCCAAUUUGCCCCAUUGCACCUUUAUGCGGGCAAGGGCCCGACGAGCGCCUUCGAUACAGGCGGAGCGCUUGACUACAUCCAGCCUGGGGCAUGCAUCCACCAGCCGCCGCACGAGGCCAAAGUAGCUACCAGGCAUGGCCUGUCCAGGCCACAGCCGGACUAUGAGGCCCUUCAUGGCCUCCUCAGCUACCUUGUGGAGUUCGACCAGCUGCUUCAGCUGGUCGCUUGGGGGCACCGGAUGGCCGGCCUCAGUAUACUGAGACCAGAAGACCUUCUCCGUCGAGCUCCCCUCCUCGCCACGAUAGAAUGCGGCGGCAUCAGACGCACUACGCGGCAGAUCUGCAAACGCCCCUGGAGAGCUCCGAAUGCGGGUAAGUGUCAGGUAGUUCACAUUAACAUGCCUGCUUUGCAUGAAACACGCCUUACCCGCCGCUAUCUUCUUUAUGUCCUCAACCUCCUGAAGGGCCUUACGGGCCUCGGCCUGGGCGGACUUGGCACUUUCGAGAGCCGAGGCAAGCUCGGACUCUCGAGUCUUGGAGUCACGCUCCAAACUCUCAUGUUUUUCCAUGAGAGCCUGGAGCUCUUGCCGAACUUCCGCCACACGUGCCUCUCGCUUUUCUCGCUCAGCCCGUUCCAUGGCCGCAUUGCGUUCGGCCGCGGACACAGCAUCCCGCAGGGCUGCCACCUCGUUAGUGGCCCCUGCAAUACACAUAUUAUCCUUGUUAAUUUUAUUUGCAACCAAAAUCCUUUUCUAUAAGGUACUUAUUCAAAGAGGUGUUACUCACCUUCUUUUUCCUCGAGUUGCUUCUUCGCAUGGCCGAGCUCUUGCUCAGAUCGCUCGAGUUCCUUCUACAGCACGUCAACCUCCGCCGUUAGUGCGACAGAGGUCAGCAGCGCAGCCUGCAAACCCAUAUUGACAUAUUUUAGGCAACCCUGCGUAUAUCUUGUUAAAGAUCCUUAGUUCGGCUUUUCUUUCUGAACACCGAACUAAGCAUCAGGGGCUACUGUCUAUGCGGUAUUACAUUACAUAAUUUUAACUUCUUACCUCAAAGCCUGUUAAAAGGCUGCUGUAGGCUUCGGUCAGCCUGCUCUUAGCGAGCUGAACCUUCUCAAUCACCGCACUCAUGAUAGUGCGGUGUUCUUCCUCGAUGGAAGCGCCUUUAAGAGCCUCCAACAGGUUAUCCGGCGCCUCCGGUUGGACGGAGGCCGCCGGCGUCACAGUCCUGCCCUUCUUUCGAAGGGGCCGCUUGCCGGACUCUGGAACCACUGCGGGUUCCGAUGUAGAGUCCGGCACGAAGUCCGGGAGGCUGCCUGACGGCGCCUCCGGAGCCUCCUCCUGAUGGGUCCCUCUCUGGGAUCCCACCUUGACAUCCUCGUCGGCGCGUGGGGUGGAGGCAGUCGGGAUGGAAUUCACAUCCGACGAGGCCAAUGACCCGCUCGAUGAGUCGGGCAGAUCAUCAUUGGCCGGACUACGGGCAGAAUGCGGCGUUAGAAGGAUGCUACGCGACAUAAAAGAAAUUACACAUCAAGGAUCCGGAUACUUACGAUCUUGCCGGACGCCUGGCCCUUGGAGGCCACUCAUCCUCACCAACGCUGAUGUUGGCGAAACUGUCCGGGGGGAUAGUUCUCCCCCUCUUGGACCCUUCGGCCUCCCCGAUGGGGGAAGCCUUCCUUUUCUUCUCUCCCUCCUCCCGGAGAGAGUACUCCUCCUCGUCUUCGGGGGAGGAGUCCUCGUCGUCAUCAGACGCCUGAUUGCGGGAACUCUUUCGAGUCCCCGCGGCCACCUUCUUGGCCUUCUUCUUCGGCACCACGUGCGGUGCCGGAACCAGCAGCCCUGUUAAGCGGGCGUCCACUGGGUCUUCUGGCAUGGGAGUCUGGCUGAUGAGCAGCUUGGCCUUCUCCAUCCAUUCCUGUCAAAGGAAGAGGCAGAAUGAAACCUCACUAGAGUCAAUCUAAUUAUCACAAGUGUCCCGUAAUGGGGUUGAAUCACUUACCUCGUCAGUUGGAUCCUGCGAGCUGAAUCCGCGGUCUUCGGUCGCGGACGCGGGGGCUUCGGCGCCCUUGAACAGCACCCUCCAGGCGCCUUCGUAUGUUGUAUCGAAGAGCCCGCUUAGCGCCUGGUGCUGUUCCGGAUUGAACUCCCACAAAUUAAAUGCCUGUUCUUCGCAUGGGAGGAUCCGCCGGAUGAGCAUGACUUGGACCAUGUCGACGAGCCUAAGCCUAUUGCUCACCAUCUUCUUGAUACAUGCUCGGAGUCCCGUCACCUCCACCGGAUUCCCCCACUGCAAGCCCUUCUCUUUCCAGGAGGUGAGCUGCAUGGGGAUGCCAGAUCUAAACUCGGGGGCCGCCGCCCAUGUGGAUUUGCGCGGCUCGGUGAUGUAAAACCACCCCGAUUGCCACCCCUUGACGGAGUCCACGAAGGUCCCUUCCAGCCAAGGGACGUUGGGCAAUUUGCCCAACAUGGCGCCUCCGCAUUCCGCUUGCGUACCCUUCACAACCUUCGGCUUGACGUUGAAGGUCUUGAGCCACAGGCCGAAGUGGGGCCGGAUGCAGAGGAAAGCCUCGCACACGAUGAUAAACGCCGAGAUGUUGAGGAUAAAGUUCGGCGCCAGAUCGUGGAAAUCCAGGACGUAGUAAAACAUGAGCCCCCGGACAAAUGGAUGGAGCGGAAAGCCUAGUCCGCAGAGGAAGUGGGGGAGGAAGACGACCCUCUCAUGAGGCUCAGGGGUAGGGAUGAGCUGUCCCUCGUCGCGCAGCCGAUGCGCGAUAUCGCCAGAAAGGUAUCCGGCGCUGCGCAGCUUGGUGAUGUCCUCCUCCUUGACGGUGGAGGCUAACCAUUUACCUCCCGCUCCGGACAUAUUCGGAGAAGGUCGAGGCGAGAUGCGCGAGCUCGGGCGUUGGAGCUUGAGUUCACGGGGAUGGAUAAGCAAAGGAGGAAGAGGCGUAGGUGAGAAGGUGAAUCCUUAUCCCUUAUAUAUAGGCGGACAAAACUAUACGUCCCCCACCAGCCUGGUAAAACUCGCUUGUCUCCCAAGCGCCACCAUCAAUGGCGCGGUUGGGUUACCCACGCACGUAUUGAUGAGAAUCCCGGAAUAAGGGGAACACGAUCUCUGCUUCGACAAGACGUGCCAAGGAAACCGCUUCGCUAAACAUGCUGAGGUGGUAUAGUAAUUCAAACAAAGGCCUCGUGGCGGUGUGAUGUCAUGCCGCAUAAUACGUCAGCAGAUUGAACUAAGUGUACAUUUUAUUCUCUCUACGGUGGAAUGUGGAAUUUAUUUUGCAGAGCCGGACACUAUCCUGGUGUUCAUGAUCUUCUCUGGAUUAUUCAAGAGAGGAACCCGCCUUGCAAUGCCGAACAUUAUGCACGCCGGACUUAUCGUCAUUGAAGACUGGUUCAGGGGCUACUGAGGGAGUCCUGGACUAGGGGGUGUCCGGACAGCCGGACUAUCAUUAUCCGCCGGACUCCAAGACUACGAAGAUACAAGAUUGAAGACUCCGGCUCGUGUCCGGAUGGUACUUUCCUUGGCGUGGAAGGCAAGCUUGGCAAUAUGGAUAUGUAGAUCUCCUACCAUUGUAACCGACUCUUUGUAACCCUAGCCCUCUCCGGUGUCUAUAUAAACCGGAGGGCUUUAGUCCACAGGACAACAUACAUUACAACAAUCAUACCAUAGGCUAGCUUCUAGGGUUUAGCCUCCUUGAUCUCGUGGUAGAUCUACUCUUGUACUACCCAUAUCAUCAAUAUUAAUCAAGCAGGACGUAGGGUUUUACCUCCAUCGAGAGGGCCCGAACCUGGGUAAAAACAUCGUGUCCCUCGUCUCCUGUUACCAUCCGCCUAGACGCACAGUUCGGGACCCCCUACCCGAGAUCCGCCGGUUUUGACACCGACAGGGGAAGGGGACGAACUCUUAGUCCGGCGCUAGGCAUAGAAUCGUCGGAGGUGGGAUGCGUUCCAUGGGUUCGGCUCGAGUCGGUUAUCCGACGCAUUUUGUAGACGGUAUGCUCCGCCGGUCAGGACUUGAUCGAUAAUGAAGGGGCCCUCCCAUUUGUGCUUGAGCUUGUCCUUUUUCUUGUCCGGCAGGCGUAGAACUAGUUCACCAACAUUGUAAGUCUUGGUCAGUACUUCUCUGCUUUGAUAUCUUCGGGCCUGCUGCUGAUAGAAUGCGCAAUGAGCCUUCGCGACGUCGCGUUCUUCCUCCAAUGUGUCCAAGCUGUCCUGCCGAUCAAGCUCGGCCUCUCUUUCUUCAUACAUGCGCACUCGAGGUGAGUCAUGGAUAAUGUCGCAUGGCAGGACUGCCUCUGCGCCGUAGACCAUAAAAAAUGGUGUGAAUCCGGUAGUAUGGUUAGGCGUUGUCCGCAGCCCCCAGAGUACGGAGUCGAGCUCCUCGAACCAUUGUGUGUCGGAUUUAGUAAGUGACCGCACUAGUCUGGGUUUAAUGCCGCUCAUUAUUAGACCAUUUGCUCGUUCCACUUGACCGUUGGUUUGAGGGUGAUAAACUGAAGCGUAGUCAAGCUUGAUGCCCAUAUUUUUGCACCAUGACUUAACCUCGUCGGCUGUGAAGUUCGUGCCGUUGUCGGUGAUGAUGCUGUGGGGGACUCUGUAAUGGUGUACUACCCCGGAUAUAAAGUCUAUCACUGGUCCGGACUCUACCGUUUUGACCGGCUUGGCCUCUAUCCAUUUGGUGAAUUUAUCCACCAUGACCAAUAGGUACCUUUGCUUGUGGGUUCCCCCUUUAAGGGGUCCAACCAUAUCAAGCCCCCAGACCGUGAACGGCCAGGUAAUGGGUAUGGUUUUGAGGGCGGUGGGCGGCAUAUGGCUCUGAUUAGCAAAGAGCUGAGAACUGACGCAUCGCUGGACUAAGUCCUGCGCGUCUGCCCGGGCCGUCGGCCAAUAAAAUCCUGUACGGAAUGCCUUUCCUACAAGGGCCCGGGCUGCUUCGUGGUGUCCGCCUAGUCCGGCAUGAAUUUCUGCCAGGAGGUUUUGCCCUUCCUCUUCGGAGAUACACCUUUGAAGGACUCCGGUUGUACUUUUCUUAUAAAGUUCUCCCUCAUGGACCUUGUAGGCUUUCGAUCGCCGGACUAUGCAGCGGGCCUCGUUUUGGUCUUCGGGAAGUUCCUGCCUAAGUAAGUAGGCUAGGAAAGGUUCUGUCCACGCGGCGAUUACUGCCAUUAUGAUGUGGGUUGAAGGUGUUAUGUCAUCUGCUGAAUCACCGAUUGGUGUGGUUUUUUCCGGUUUGUCACUACCGGGCUCGUCUUCCCAUAGUACGGAUGGCUUGAAGAGCCGUUCUAGGAAGAUAUUUGGAGGGACAGCGUCACGUUUUGCCCCAAUGCGUGCCAGUACAUCGGCCGCUUGGUUAUUAUCUCGGGCUAUGUGAUGGAAUUCGAGUCCUUCAAACCGAGCUGACAUUUUUAAGACAGCAUUGCGAUAUGCUGCCAUUUUCGGAUCCUUGGCGUCAAAGUCUCCAUUUAUUUGGGAUAUUGCAAGGUUUGAAUCCCCGCGCACCUCUAGGCGUUGAAUGCCCAUGGAAACUGCCAUCCGGAGACCAUGUAACAGGGCCUCGUAUUCGGCUGCGUUGUUGGAGUCAGUGUACAUUAUUUGAAGUACGUACUGGACUGUGUCCCUGGUUGGGGACGUCAAUACGACGCCAGCCCCCAGUCCGGCCAACAUUUUAGAGCCGUCGAAAUGCAUAACCCAAUUGGAGUAUGCGUCGUACUCUUUAGGGAGUUCGGCUUCGGUCCAUUCAGCGACGAAGUCAGCCAAAACUUGUGACUUCAUAGCUCACCGAGGUCUGUAAGUUAUAUCGAAUGGUAAGAGCUCAAUUGCCCAUUUUGCAAUCCUGCCCGUUGCGUCGCGGUUAUUUAUAAUGUCAUUGAGUGGUACUUCAGAGGCCACUAUUAUCGAACACUCUUGAAAGUAGUGUCGGAACUUCCGGGACGCCAUGAACACCGCAUAUGCUAUCUUCUGAUAGUGCGGGUAACAGGACUUGCAGGGGGUUAACACAGUGGAUACAUAAUACACUGGUUUUUGAAGAGGGAAUUUCUGCCCUUCUGUCGCUCGUUCGACGACGAGGACCGCGCUUACAACUUGAUGCGUUGCUGCGAUGUAUAACAACAUUGGUUCGCCCAGAGUGGGCGCAGCCAGGACCGGAUUUGUUGCCAAUAUGGCCUUUAUUUCUUCGAGUCCGGCAGUGGCAGCAUCCGUCCACUCAAAGUGUUCGGUGCGCCUGAGGAGGCGAUAGAGGGGCAACGCCUUUUCUCCUAGACGGGAGAUAAAGCGGCUUAAGGCUGCCACGCAUCCCAUUAAUUUUUGUAUUUGUUUGAGGUCUUUUGGAAUAUCCAACUGUGACAGAGCUCGGAUUUUAGCCGGGUUUGAUUCAAUUCCUCUACCGGAUACAAUGAAGCCCAGCAGCUUUCCGGCUGGUACACCGAAAACGCAUUUUUCCGGAUUCAUCUUGAUGUCGUAUGCUCUGAGGUUGUCGAAUGUGAGCCUCAAAUCGUCUACUAGAGUUUCGACGUGUUUUGUUUUGACGACUACGUCGUCUACGUAUGCCUCGACUGUUUUGUCGAUCUGGGUAGCCAGACAUGUUUGAAUCAUGCGCUGAUAUGUUGCGCCGGCAUUUUUAAGUCCGAAGGGCAUCGUGUUGAAGCAGAAUGGUCCGUAUGGAGUGAUGAAUGCCGUUGCGGCUUGGUCUGCUUCCGCCAUCUUGAUUUGAUGAUAGCCAGAGUAUGCGUCCAGGAAGCACAACGAAUCGUGCCCUGCGGUAGCAUCGAUAAUUUGGUCGAUGCGGGGGAGAGGGAAGGGAUCCUUUGGGCAAGCCUUAUUGAGGUCUUUAAAAUCGACACAGACGCGCCAGGAUUUAUCCUUCUUUGGUACCAAUUACCAGAUUUGCUAGCCAGUCCGGAUGUUUGAUAUCUCUAAUGAAUCCGGCUUCCAAUAGUUUGGCUAGCUCUUCUCCCAUUGCCUGUCUUUUGGGUUCAGAAAAUCGUCGAAGAGCCUGUUUGACUGGCUUAAAUCCUUUUAGGAUGUAUAGGCUGUGUUCUGCCAACCUGCGUGGGAUUCCGGGCAUAUCCGAAGGAUGCCAGGCGAAGAUGUCCCAAUUUUCCCAAAGGAAUUCACGCAGUGCGGCGUCUACUUCGGGGUUCAAUUAUGCCCCAAUGGAGGCCGUCUUUGUUGGGUCCGUUGGAUGGACCUGGAAUUUUAUUAUUUCAUCUGCUGGUUUGAAGGAGGUGGACUUGGAUCUUUUAUGGAGUAUCACAUCGUCCCUGUUCACCGUAGAGCGCAGCGCGGUGAGUUCUUCUGCUGCUAAAGCUUCGGAUAGUGCCUCCAGGGCUAGUGCAGCUGUCUUAUUUUCGUGACGGAGUGCUAUGUCCAGAUCACUAGCGAGGGUGAUUAUUCCGCCAGGCCCAGGCAUUUUGAGCUUCAUGUACCCGUAAUGAGGUACUGCUUGAAAAAUUGUGAAUGCCUCUCGUCCUAAUAUAGCGUGAUAUCCGCUGUUGAACGGGGCCACUUGGAACGUGACUUCUUCGGAUCUGUAAUUGUCCGGCGAGCCGAACACCACAUCGAGUGUGAUUUGUCCGGUGCAGCGUGCCUCCCGGCUAGGGAUUAUUCCUCUGAAGGUUGUGCUGCUUUGCUCAAUACGGCUCCAAUCGAUUUCCAUUUUCCGCAGAGUUUCCUUGUAGAUGAGGUUUAAUCCGCUGCCGCCAUCCAUGAGGACUUUUGUCAGUCGAAAGCCGUCCACUAUGGGACUAAGCACCAGUGCGGCUGGUGCUCUGGCUGUUCGGAAUUUAGGCUCGUCGCUGGCACCGAAGGUGAUAGCUGUGUCACUCCAUGGAUUUGUUGUUGCUGUUUGGUAGACUUCGGCGAGUCCGCGGAUUGUUCGCUUUCGCAUAUUGUUUGAUGCGAAGGUCUCGAAGACUGUUGAUACCGUACUGGUAUUGUUGGAGUGGUUUUCUGGGCUAGAAGCUCCUCGCCACUUUUGGCCACCUGCCGUAAUAUCCAACAUGCUCGAAGGCUAUGUGUUGGGACGGCUCCCUCUGUACUAUGAAGCUUACAGGGUCCAUUGAGCCAUCCCUCCAGUACGGUUGCGUGCCCCUUAAUGGGUUUUUGCUUUUUCUUUUUUGCGUAUGGGGCCUGAAUGUGAGGCGCCCUUUUGUUGUGGACUGGGGCUGGGGCCGGAUUAUCCCAAAAUUGAUUUUCGGUUUGCCGGACACUCUCCAUCGCACAGUACUUUCGUACUAUGGACGCCAGAUCGGCGAAAUGUGUAAUUUUGUGACGAUCGAUGGCGUUCAAUAUUCCCUUGUCCGUGCAAUUAUUGCAGAAGAUUGAGAUUGCAUUUUUCUCUCGGCAGUCCUUUAUCCUAUCCAUAACCAGGAGGAAUCUGGCCCAGUAGUGAUGUACUGUUUCAGCGGGCUCUUGCCGUAUUAGAGAUAGAUCGCAUAUGUCUGGGCGGGUGGGUGGACUAAAAUCCGGAUCCCUGCCCAUCUUGGGGCUUAAAGGCCGAAGAACUUCCGAAUUUGGAAGCUUGGUUUGCUGGACACAAUCCAGCGUGUCUGGAGCGACGCAUGAUUCUAAGUUCAAAGCUCGAUCGAAGUUCGUCCCUCCGCGGAAAUCCGGCGUGGAGGGUUCGGGAAUCUGGACAUGAAUAGUUUUCAAUACAGGCAAAGAUUUGCCGUAUUGCUCCUCUACCACUAUGACGUGGUGGGUGGCCUGGGGAGAGUUAGUCUCUCUCAGAUCGGUUUUAAGCCCAAUCUGGUUGUAGUCCGUAGCGACUCCCAGGGCGGCGAUGAGAUCCAAGAGCUCGUUAACAGACGAGAGCUCUAUUGGAUCCAACUAUUCGGCAGCUUUCGGGCUGACGCGAAGAUUGCUUUUGACGACUUGAGAAGUCAUUGUCGAAGCGGCGGCCGGACAGGCGGUCAUAAGAAAACCACCUAGUUGGAUAGUUUGGACGAUGGCCAAGGCCCCUUCGGCGAAAACACCAUCUUUGAAGACGGGUGGAGGCAUCCGCCCUAUCGGUGACGACACAGAGGAACUCUCAAUGAAAGCACCAAUGUCGGUGUCAAAACCGGCGGAUCUCGGGUAGGGGGUCCCGAAUUGUGCGUCUAGGCGGAUGGUAACAGGAGACGAGGGACACGAUAUUUUUACCCAGGUUCGGGCCCUCUCGAUGGAGGUAAAACCCUACGUCCUGCUUGAUUAAUAUUGAUGAUAUGGGUAGUACAAGAGUGGAUCUACCACGAGAUCAAGGAGGCUAAACCCUAGAAGCUAGCCUAUGGUAUGAUUGUUGUAAUGUAUGUUGUGUCCUACGGACUAAAGCCCUCCGGUUUAUAUAGACACGGGAGGAGGCUAGGGUUACACAGAGUCGGUUACAAUGGUAGGAGAUCUACAUAUCCGUAUCGCCAAGCUUGCCUUCCACGCCAAGGAAAGUCCCAUCCGGACACGGGACGGAGUCUUCAAUCUUGUAUCUUCGUAGUCUUGGAGUCCGGCGGACGAUGAUAGUCCGGUUGUCCGGACACCCCCUAGUCCAGGACUCCCACACCCCUCCCGAUGAAUAGGAUCCCAUUUCGACCGUGCCCGGUCGAACAAAAGGUCAUUUCCUCCGUUAUGCGGUAUGUCAGGCCUCAUUUCCAUUGGCUGUUCCAUCCAAGCCGGUUAGCUCCCGAUGAACAUGACAACACAUUCCAUUCCAACCCAGCCGGUCGACUCCCCGUGAACACAACGACGACGCAGUUUCUCCGUUCCGACCCAGCCAUGUACACGAGCCAUGGCCGUACGUAUGCACGAGUAGGCGUUCGAGACCCCGCCCGUAUGUACGUACAUGGCCGUAUUUACUUUCUUGCACCCUGGCUGCUGUAUGUAUGUGUACAUGCUACUUGCGCCUCUCUACUACCACACGUGCCCUUCCUUGCAUAGCCACGGUUCAUCGCUGCAGCCGGCAGACAGACCGAUCGGCUAGUAUGUACAUACACGUUCGUGACCAGAAUGACAACGCUACGUACACUUCGACCAGGUGGGUCCCGACUGUCAGACACUUCCUUGUGUGCGAAGAUGUAGCUAGUGGGUCCCAACAGUCAGGGGGCGAAUCAUUUUCUUGCCCAUAAUAUGGACGCACUUCCUUGCGUGCAAAGAUGUAGCUGGUAGGUCCCAGCAGUCAGGGGGGAAACGUUUUUUUUUUGCAAAAUACGAUGGCCCAUACGUUUUGUCCCUACUGUCAGGUGGAGGAAUGAUUAUUUUGCACGUAAUACGGAGGCACUUCAUUGCGGCUGCCGUGGACCCAGCAGUCAGCCUCUCCACGUACGGUACUCUUCUGAUGGAAGUCGUUCCUUGACCACGUUGACCACACCGCGCCAAGAGCACCAGGGCGGUGGAUGACGAGGAGGCCUAGGAAGGGGACGACGCGGAGCCGGGGAAGAGGCGGCAGUGGAAGCCCACGUAGAGAGGAGUACGAGGGUUCACUGGUUCGGCUGCGGUGUGAGGCUGCCAUCACCGCAGAAUAACAGGGGGUGUGCAUGAGUAGAGGGAUGGCCUGGCCAGCGGUGGGAGUAGUAGGGGGCGGUGAGGCCUCCGAGGCAUCACAACCGACCACAGAAGGCAGGAGCACGCAGCACGACCGGCGUUGGUUGGGCGGCUGGAGCAAGAGGACCAGAGGUUGAAGAAGCAUUACAACCGUUGGAUGGACAUCGUACGGUCACUGGAGCUAGAAUCGUUCAUAUUGACUAAGUCGACAAAGCCCUCCGUCCCCGUCAACUUAGUAGGCCCACAAGUCAGCCUCCCACUAUGCUGGGUCCCAGCUAGCAGGGGGAGUAUUCAUUUUUUUUGUGCGUAAUAAGGAGGCACUUCCUGGCGUGCGAAGAUAUAGCUGGUGGGUCUGACCUGUCCGCGCAGGGAAUAUUUUUUUCACGAAAUACAGAGGCCCUUCCGGUGGGUCCCACACGUUAGGUGGAGGAAUCAUUAUUUUGCGCGUAAUAAGAAGGCAUUUCCUUGUGUGCGGCCAUGGACCCAGCUAUCAGCCUCUCCACGUACAGUCCACGUCCAAUGGAUGUCGUUUGUUGACCAUGUUGAAUAGGCCGCGACGAGAGCACCAGGGCAGUGGACGUCGGCGAGGUGUAGGAAGGGAUCGACACGGAGCCAGGGAAGAUUCGACAGUGGUUGCCCACACGGUGGGGAGUACGAGGGUUUACUAGUCCGGCUGCCAUCACCGGAAAAUAACAGGAGGUGUGGGUGAGUAGAGGAAUGGCCUGGCCGGCAAUGGAGUAGGGUGGGGUGGUGCGGCCUGUGCGGCAGAACAGCCAACCACGGGAGGCGGGAGCAGGCAGUCCCACCGGCGCUAGUUUGAGUGGCUGGCGCAAGAAGAUCAGAUAUUGAAGAAGUAGCACGGCUGUUGGAUUAACAUCCAACGAUCACUGUUGCUAGAAUCAUUUGUGGACUAAGUUGACAAAGCCUUUCGUACACGUCAACCUAGUAGACCCACAAGUCAGCCUCCAAAUCUGUCCCAAACAGCAUAAAGCCCGAAAUUUCUAGCCAGAUUCAAAUUAAUUUUAAAACUAAACAUACCUUAAUUUAAAUCCAAUGAAAUUUUACCCACACAAAAACAAUGAAAUUUAAAAUAUCAAAAUCCAAAAGAAAAAAGUAUUUUGGAACUAAUUGCCUGUUUGCUGUAUUUUUUCAUUUUACAGCCCAUUUGUUAUUACUUAUAGCCCAUUUCUUAUCACUUAUAGCUCAUUUCCUGGGCAAAAUGGAUCCCUCCUCGUCUUGAAAGAUUUCUGGCCCAGCAGGGCAUAGAAAAGCAAGUAGGCCUACGUUGGUUAUUCUGCAAAAAACAAAAUAGCUGGCUAGCCAUUUUCAGAAAGAAAAAAAACAAACUGGGCUGGUCAUGUGCUAAGCAUAUGAAAUAAAAGCCUGGCCUAGACGGGCCACACCUCCCACACAACCCAGUUGAUACCCUUCUCCGUCCCAAAAAAACAAAAUUACUGCGCGCGCUGCUGGGUCCCUACUGUCAUCCUCACCAUGUACAUCCAUCUCCUUGUUCCUCUUUUGUUGACCAUGUUGACAACACCGGAGGGCGGCGCCGCGACGAGCGAACUAAGGCGGUGGACGAUGGUGAGGCCUCGGACGGGGACGAAUAGGAGCCGGGGAAGGUACGCAGAGUUUUAGGGUGCGAUGUGGCCAUGAUGCGUGCGCGGCAGCACAACCAGCCGUGGGAGGUGGGAGCAGGCGGUCCUGCCAGCGCUGGUUUGGCUUUGGCGGCGGGAGGAAGAAGAGACUGAAGAAAUACGACAGACGUUGAAUGUCAAUCCAACCGUCAAGGUUUGCAAAAUCGUUUUUUGACUAAGCCGACACCAAGUAGAAUACUUUAUUAUAUAUAGGAAGAAGAGAAAAACUGGGCUCAUUCGCUUGAUAACAUUCCCGAAACUGCGACCAUUCAAUCUUGCGUCGCAACUAAAACUGCGAGGAAAAUGCGUUUGUCUGUCGUCCUGCUCCCAGGGAACAUUCGCCACAUAAGUGACUAGCACCCUUGGUUUUCGACCGAGAGGUCUUGGGUUCGAGUCCAAGGAACUCUCAAUUUUGUCCUCCUUCCUUCCUCGCAAAAAAAGAAAGAAAAUCAAAGACUUGAGAAGGCAUACAGAACAAGCUGGUGUACUAGUAAAGAGACGUUGCUAAGUUUUAAAAAAAAGAGAGAUGUGCUCCUAUAGCUGGUUCGAAUACAAACCUAGACUAUGACUAUAUAUGGUGCUAUGCUACUUUGCAAGUAAUGAAACUAACAUAUCCAAAGUUCGCUUCUCCUCUUCUCUACUUACUCUGCCUAGUAUCAGAAGCUCUGGCCGCAGCAACCAUGUCCGCUGGUUGCUCGUCCACCUGCUCUUCAGCAGGCAACAACCAGAUAUGCGCCAAGUCACCACCCGUACCAUCGCCCGUGGGUCUCAUCACACCCCCGCCAGCACAUGCACCACAGCCGGUUGCUCAUCGCAACCUGUUGAUGUUGGUGUGGUGCCACUAUUGAAAAUCACGCAGAGUCAUUCGUCGCGUCUCAACCACAAUCCUCAACCCUGGUAGAGUCUUCUACAAAUGCCCAAAUCAUGGGGUAAUAAUUGUUUUAAGUGUUGUUCUGCUGCUUUCACUUGCUGAUUUUUUUAAUAGUUUGGUUGAUGAUCUUCCAAUUUGAUUCAUGCAGAAAAGGGAAGAUUCGUGUGAUUUGUAUUUGUGGGAAGUUGCUGAUGUGGGGGAAUGCAACUAUGCUGAUUAUUUGGUUAGCCGAGGAAUCCCAAUACCAGCAGGUUGGCGUGUUGGACAAGUAACUGAAAAAAUGGCAAGAGAGGAAGAUGCAGAGUAGAAGGUCAAAGAUGCAGUUACUCUGAUCAUGGCCAAGCAACAGCUGCUGAACGGCCUUGACAGCAAUGAGGAGAUGAAAGAGCUUGUUAAGAUAAUGGGCAAAAUCAUUGUGCUCUGUAGGAUGAUUGUCUUUUUAUUUGCAGUGUAUGUAGCACUCGUGAUGUAUUCAGUGGCUAUGACAUGAGCACUUUGCUGAAACUAGUAAUGAAUGAAACCUGUGUAGCAGGAUGGGCGUAGUGUUGUGAACAUCUAAUGAUUUCUAUUAACGGAAAUCGGGGGUAUCCCCUUUUGGUCAUAAAUAAAUCAAUAGCAGAGGCCCUUUUGGUAAUAAAAAAUAAAUUAGCAGAGGCCCUGUCGGGUCAGCUUUGUUCCCAUUCGAAGACGUCGAGCAAAUUGCAGUCCAACAACAAACUAUAUCAUCAAAUUCAAGUUUCACAACCAAAUUUGAGUACAACUAAACAACAAUGUCAUCAUGUUUUAGUCGUCAUACAAUCAUCAAACACAAAUCAGCAUACAUAACAAGUGAUGUUCUCACAGCAAAAUACUAAACAACACGUUCAUCAGAUUUUAGUUGUCAUAGCAAACACAAUUUCACAUAGUAGAUAAAAAACGUCUUCUGACAGGCAAAUACGACAAAAGCAAUCUAAUCAUCAUCCGCAGCAGUAGCAUCAACAUCUUCGCCAUGUGUAUCAGUCUGAAUCGUAAUUCCCGACAGUGUCAUCUUCUUCUUCAUCCUCAAUGUCCUCGAACAUUGGUUUCUUCCUGAUCAACUCUUGUAUGUCCACAACACGACAGUCAAUCUUUUCGCCAGCGUCAUUGACGUGAUGGUUCUCAAAUAUAUUAGGAACAUCUUUGGAAUCUUGUACAUCAGGAGCAAUGUAAGCAUCAUCUUGUUGUGCAACUUCAUUAAACGAAUUCCUCUGGUCUAACCUUUGCAAUAUUCUCCAGUCAUCGCUACAUGCAAAUGUGUCUUCCAAGAAAAAUAUAUGUGCCGCUUGAUUUGCCAAAAUAAAAGGCUCGUUGGUCUGGUACGCCACCUUGACAUUGAUGGAUUUGAAAUAAUCAUCGGCUCUGGGUUUUGCGAGCCUGGAAAACAGGUUAUAGCAACGACAGCACAAAAGAACCACACACCGAUGAUCCUCGAAACUAGAGAUAUACUGCAAUUGAACAAUGUCUAUUAUGUUAGCAUACAUUUCAGUUGUCUCUAUGUCGUAUGUAUCCGUGCUCAUGAUUACACUGUUUUGUGUCUUUCUGCCUUCAUCGCAUGCAAGGGUGUUGUAGCACACAUCUCCAACAACGCAAGAUUCAUAAUGCCUUACCCGAGUAUCAUGACCCAUUGCUAGUGCAUAAAGGGCAUCAUCAACUGCCUUCCCAUCCUCCCGCAUCUUCUUAACCUAUGGUUAGAAAAUAGAAGUUGGUCAUCUUAUGUACUCAAUAUAUUUAAAAAACUGACACUGCAAUUCAAAAGCUUACAUGGCUCUUGAACCAUUUCGCAAAUCCUGCCAUAACCAGUUUGUCAAUGUUUCUUGGAUUUUGCGGCAGUAACUCCUUUUUUUAGAUGCUGCACAACAUAGUGAUCGCGUCAAACAUCUAGAUAUAUAAGAAUGUGCUGCAAGUUUAGUAGAUCGGUUCACAUCAGACAAUGUAAAUAAUGCAACACAAAGGGAAAUGGUCAGAGAUGAAUCUUUACAGGCCUCUGAACUUUUGGGGCUAUAUCAGCAACAAAACCAGGAGGCCCUACGAAGUCAAGAAGGUAAACAUCUUCAAUUUCGUCAAACGAAAGACCAUCGCUCCUGCAAAAGGAAACCCAUAAGAUCAAGGUUAUAACAGGAGAAACACAAUAUCGUCAUUUUUCUUUUAAGGUACAAGAUCGUCGUUUUGGGUUUGCUCUGCCAAGGCUUGUAUAGCAUGACAACAAAAACACUAAUGAGUUCUAGGUGAUAUUUUUGACCAUUCCAAUCAACCAGGACUAAUGAUGUAUUGAAAUUUAAGGGAAGAUACUCCAACCAGUUUAGACCAUGCCCAAUUUGUCUCAAGAUAAUAUGACUCCAGAGCAUGGCUCCUUUUUAUGUGAAAUAUAAUUUAUAACUUGAGAUGAUUUUUUGUCUUGAUACAGACUGCACACAAAAUUGGCAUGCACCUAGCUUAAGCGAACUAAUGACGCCAGGAUUUGUCAAUGUGAAACUACACUUGAAAACUUCAAAGGUAACGCCCUGCAAAUCUUACAAGCCUGCAUGAAUGUAAAUCCAGAAAAGGUAUUAUAACAACUAUUUUGUUGCUACUAAUUCAACAUACAUAAGUAAAUCCAGAUAUAAGCAACAUCUUACAGGUAAAUGCUUGCAAAGAAACAUAAGGUUUAUGCCUUUCUUGUGUAUAAGAUUUGCAUAGACGGAUGGUAACUGAAUUUCAUGAGCAAAGAAAGUUCAUAACUGAAGAUAUAACUUCGCGAGUGCUACAAAUGGUGCUAAUUAAUCACACCUAACCACCUAGUAAGGCAAGUUUCGCUGUACGAGAAUCAACGAUCCGCAACAGGGGAAUUUUGACGUACUUGUAUCGUAUUCAGACCCCCCCCCAAAAAAAAAUGUGUAGCAGCUUCCUACCGAUCCACAAGGGAGCACACCAGAAUGAGAUGUUCGUCAAAGGUGAAAAGAAAGAACAGUUACUCACAGAGUCAUGAGAAAUGCUACUCAAAAAAUUCCCGAGAACAAGAAGAAGCCGAGCAGGUGCGUCCAGAUGUUGAUGGUCUCGUUGUGCCAGGAGAAGACGCUGAGGAAGCUGUGAAGUAGCAGUGCCCUUGGCGUUGAACUUGAACCCCGGCGUAGAGUAGGUGCAUCCAGAUCCUGCUCCCCAACCUGCACAGAAAUAAAAACCAUUCGUCAGAGCAGGGCAGCAUGCAACUUGCUCGACGAAUUGCACGAGUGGAAAGGAGGGCGAACCUCAGUAACAGGAAGGCAUGAAGGAGCGGCGGUCGGCGAUGGUGUAUCCCUCGACGGAUCUGCAUCCACAAGGCGAGGUGAGAGAGGGGGACCUGCAGAUCGAUUGGACCGGAGGGGAAAAACAAGCAUGGCCGAGGGGCACCUACCCAAACUGGUCUGCCGCAACGGGGCCGACGCAUGCCGCCAGGACGGCAGCGGCCUUGUCGGGGAGGAGGGAGAGUUGGGGAGGCGUCCGAGCAACUUGGAGGGGUAGAGUCCAGCAGCAACCAUCGAGGACGUGGCUGUCUCUAACAUGGACGAGAGGCCGUGACGACGGGGAAGUCGACGAGGUGCAGAGCCCGGAGGAGCGGCAGACAAUGAAGGAGCCGCGGCGGAUCGUGGAGUCAAGUGCUCGGAACAGCGCCGCCGUCGCACUCCGGGCGCGGUCGUCGGAGGCGCUGCGGAGCUCGUCACCGGCGGCCCUCGCGAGCCGCAGGGCGUGGCGGCCGCUGCUGAGGUGCUUGGGGAGGACGGGCUUGCUGGAGCUCGGGGUGAGGAGCUGGGGAUGCGGCGGCAGCAGCGUGAGCCGGAGGAGGGCUGUGGUCGCUAUGGACACGGUGGAGGUUGCUGGGUUCGAGGCUGGAGUUGUUGGGUUGGGGCUAGGGGAGGUGGCGGUGGCGGAAGGAAUAGGAGAGGAUGAGAGGGGAUAGGAGUUAGGGUUUGAACGAUGGGGAUCAGGGUUUCGUCUUAGGUGGGCUUGGGGUGAGGACUACUGUUGGAUCCGCGAGCAUCCGACGGUCUUCCACGCACGAUCCGCGUGAAGCGCCAACAGACCAAUCAAAAUGCACUACACGCGAACGAUGUUAUGACCUUUUAAAUAGGUCAUAGUUGACUAAAAAAAUGGUCGUGGUUGACUAAAAGUUCAUUUUUCAUUUUUCAAGUGAUCGAAAUGAGUUUUUUUGUGAAGGGUCUACCAUAUAUUUGUUGAAAAAUUGGACCAAAUCAAUUUUCUAAAAUAUUAGGCCAUGUUUAAUGCACAAUUGACCAAAUGGUCGGGUGUCAAACGUUUCGAUUCACCUCUCGUGAAAAAGACAAAUUUCCGCCGAUCCAGUUGGAAGCGGGUCAAGUUUGAACUACAGCUGCCUUAUAGUUUGCUCUUUAUUUUUUCCAAAAAUCAUUUCUAGAUACAUAAGUAUCUAUUUAAUUAGAGAAAAAUCAAAAGUUCUCCAAGAUUCAACCACUAGCUAGGAACGGUCAUGCCCGCCGUUUUGACCACAUUUCGAAACUGGGAUAAAAAAUUCAAAAAAAAUCAAAAAAUUGUAAAACCUUCACAUUGUGUCAUUAUAUAUGACCAAGUUACCAGAAAAAAUAAUAAACUUAUAAUAUGGCAAUUCUUUAAAAAAAAGUGUUCUAAAAAAUGAGCUAUCAUGUGUGAAUAUUCAUGGCUUUCAAACCAAAUGAUCAAUCUUAUGACCACAUUCAUGACAUAGUUUGUUCAUAUGAUCUCAUAUGGUGCAGAUGGGUGCAUCUUGGAAUGGCAAACAAUGUUGCCUAACCAAGUUUUCAUUUUCUUUGGACAAAAACUUUAGUUUCCAUUUUUUCGAGUGCCUAAAAUGAGUUUUUUCUGAAGGACCUACCAUAUAUUUGUUGCAAAAUUGGACCAAAUCAAUUUUAUAAAAUAAUAGGCCAUGUUUAAUGCACAAUUUACCAAAUGGUUGGGUGUCAAAAGUUUGGAUUGACCUCUGGUGAAAAAGACAAUUUUCCACUGACCCAGUUGGAAGCGGGUCAAGUUUGAACUGCAGCUGCCUUAUAGUUUGCUCUUUAUUUUUUUCCAAAAAUCAUUUCUAGGUACAUAAGUAUCUAUUUAAUUAGAGAAACACCAAAAGUUUUCCAAUUCAACCACUAGCUAGGAAUGGUUAUGCCCGCCGUUUUGACCGCAUUUUGAAACGGGCAUAAAAAAUUCAAAACAAAAUCAAAAAAUUGGAAAACCUUUGCAUUGUGUCAUUAUAUGUGACCAAGUUACAAGGAAAAAUAAUAAACUUGUAAUACGGAAAUUAUUUAAAAAAAGUGUUCUAAAAAUUAGCUAUCAUAUGUUAAGAUUCAUGGCUUUCAACCCAAAUGCUCAAUCUUAUGGCCACAUUCAUGGCACAGUUCGUUUAAGUGAUCUAAUAUUCUGCACAAGGGUGAAUCUUGGAAUGACAAACAAUCUUACAUAAGGAACUUUUCAUUUUAUUUGGACAAAAAAUUCAUUUUCCAUUUUUUGAGUGCCCAAAAUGAGUGUUUUUCGUGAAGGACCUACCAUAUAUUUGUUGCAAGAUUGGACCAUAUCAAUUUUCUAAAAUAUUAGGUCAUAUUUAAUGCACAAUCAAAAAAAUGGUUGGGUGUAAAAUUUUUUCAUCCACCUCUCAUGAAAAAGACAAAUUUUCGCCAAUUCAAUAGGAAAUGGGUCAAAUUUGAACUGCAGCUGCCUUAUAGUUUGCUCUUUAUUUUUUCCAAAAAUCUUUUAUAGUUACAUAAGUAUCUAUUUUAAUCAGAAACCAUGGUUUGGUGUCAAUAUGUCGAGGUUUGGACGGUGGCCGAGGGCCCCAACUCCAGAGCGCGUCAACUCGCAUGCCCGCCGCAUAGUCACCGCAUGACCAUGGCGUUGCCAAGCGUUUUGGGCAGCCUAGGCAUAUCAAGUAUGUUGGGCACUCCCCAUGUAAGUGCUAGGAAUAAAAUGACAACAGAAGUUUCUCACGAGGAGACCGAACUAUGCUCAAACAUGAAUUAGCAGCCAAGUGUUUGAUUAGCGGUACGGGAAAUGCACAAGGCUAAUGGGCGUGAGUUUUGGCUGAGGAUGAUCAGUUACUAAGAAGGUUGUCUUCAUAAAUUUCCAGCUCAAAAGGAGGAGCCUAGGUGGUACUUGCUUUGCUAAGUACCACACUGGGCGUAAAUAUGAAUGUUGAAGCUGGGCUGAAAAUAAUGAAUGGAUCGAGCUGAAAUUUGGUGGAGGAUGGUUAUUUCGGCAUAGGAAAGCACUGUAGAAAAUGGAUACCAUUUGGAAAUGCCAAAGUGGUACUUGCUUCACAAUGCUCUUCUCUGGACAGAAACUUUGGAAAAUUAGUGAGAGAAAUUGGCUAAAUGAAAUGAGCUCAAAUUUGGUGUAGGCAAGUUACAUAGGUAUACAGAAUAUGUGGCAAAAAUUCAACUCAUUAGGAUAUGCAUAGCUAGUACUUCUUUCACAAAGGUUCUAGGUGGACAAAAACUUUGGAAAUUUGCCGAGGAAGAUUUGCGGGGCAAAUGGAUCUGAAUUUUGUCAUGAGGCAAUGAUUUGGAUAGGAAAGAGUGCCCAAAAAUUUUGAGGGCAAUCAAGAAUAUAUAAAUAGCACUUCCUUCACAAUGCUCUUCUCUAGACAGAAACUUCAGAAAAUUAGUGAGAGAAAUUGGCUAAAUGAACUAAGCUCAAAUUUGGUGUAGGUAUGUUACAUAGGCAUAUAGAAGAUGUGCCAAAUAUUCAACUCAUUGGGAUAUGCAUAGCUAGUACUUCUUUCACAAAGGUUCUAGGUGGACAAAAACUUUGGAAAUUUGCCGAGGAAGAUUUACUGGGCAAAUGGAGCUGAAUUUUGUCAUGAGGCAAUCAUUUGGAUAGGAAAUAGUGCCCAAAAUUUUUGAGGGAAAUCAAGAAUAUAUAAAUAGCACUUCCUUCAUAAAGUGUUGUUCUAAAUAGAAUAGGGAAAUGAAUAUUGUUGAAUUGUUUUUGAACUAGGAAGGAAGUUUUUUUUACAUAUUUGACGAAGAUAUGACCCAAAGAAUUUAUGAGAUUUUUUUUUGGGAAUUUUGGGAAUGACAGAAAUAUAGGUUGCUUCACAACCUAGGGCAAAAACUGACACAUGGACAUGGCACAUAGGCAAAACUGAUGAGGUGGCACCUAGUCAUAGCAACCCACCACAAUUUACAAGGUUAUGACCAUCUAUAUUGGUUGUGAUUAGCUAUAAAAAGGCAGCGGAUUAGUGGUAUCUGCUUUAUGACCAUUUCGUGUACGGAAAUUACGAUCUUUCUGACCAAAAUGGUCGUUAUAGUUCAGGGUUUGGAGCCCCCCGAACAGCUUUUGACCAAUUGGUCUCAAAUGAUCCUAGAUUUAUGACCAAUUCUUCCAGGGUCACUGACAGAAGGUCGCAAAUUGACAUAUUUCUUGUAGUGGGCAUUUUAUUAUUUCUAAUUGCUCUCCAACCCUCUUCUCCAUCGAUCGUGCUACCCUCCCGUCGAGUCCAUCCUCCUGCAUGCCUCAUUUGAACAUUCUGCCGAGUAUCAUUCGCAUGUGGGCCUAGACCAUGCUUGUAUUUCCAAUGUUGUAAUUUGUCCGACAUGCAUACAAACAAACGGUUCGUUUAAAGUUUCACUUUGCCUCCACGACGUGUCGCUUCCCGUCUUAGUUUUGACAUCCCAUUCGGUUCAUGCCCUGGCACAUGUUGACGAGAUCGAUUGAUGUUGAGAGAUCAAUUGCAUGACAUGCAAGGAGAUAAAGGUUUGGUCUGUUUCUAUGAUAGAAAUGACCCGCGACGAGGGGGGGGUCUGUGGGGAUCAGAGGGAGUAUAUUGUACGUUCAUAAGCGAAAUGAACAUAUUGUACCCACCCAGUCCUCUUUCAAUCGAUCUCCAGACCCCGAGAUGAAAUCGAGAGAGAACGAGUGGGUGCAUGUGUGAUACCUAAGGCGGAUUCAAAAUUUUGAACCGGUGAUCAUAGCGUUCGCAAAUCAUAUAUAAAGGGUAUUCAAUGUUCGUUUCUCUUUUGAACGUACAAUAUACUCCCUCUGGUCCUUUAUAGUUUAUAUAAGUUUUAUGUGUAGUCAAAGUAUCUCUACUUUGAUCAAACUUACAGAAAAAAGUAUCAACAUUCAACAACGCCCAAUCAAUAUUGUUAGAUUCAUAUGUACUCCUAGAUUUGUAUUCAAACAGAGAUGGUUUCCAAUUUGUUUUCAACCACGUGAAUGUGCUUGUUCUCGCGCAUGCUCUUCCUACUAGGAUUUCGCCACGUAUAGCCACUCCAAUAGUAACUUUUUAAGCUCCCUGUCCAAUAGUACUAGUGGAGUACUGACAACAUCUGUAGUAGAGUAUGCAGUGCUCAUAGUGUUGACACCAGAUUUUGGCACGGUCAAGAACUUAUUUAAGAUGGACUCAAAUGGAGAAGUGAUCUUCAUGAAAGAGUUCCGCAUUUUUGAUAUGAACAUCUUUGAAGUUUGGGUCAUCGCCGUCCGAUUUCAUCUCGAAGGCCGAAACUAUGCUCAAAGUACUAAGAUCCUAUAUUCAGAGUACAUUUUGGCUGAUUGAGCCCCCAAGAGCACCUCAAAUGGAAAAAUUAUCUACAUGGAUUGUCUUCGUCUCGUCGAAACGAUCGAUUUUGAUAUAAAAAUCGUUUCAAUCGGAGUUCAUAUGCAAAAGUUAGAGCCAUCGGAAUACAGCCCUGUCAGAGGCAAAAACUGGCACGCCCCUCCAGACACCCUGUCUGAUGGGUAGCGCGAGGGAUAGCCUGUUUUGCGCGACCGAUUUGACCCUCAAUAUAACCUCUGAUCAAAAAAUGUUCGACAUAAAAGUUGUUCGUCUCGUCAAAACGGUCAAGAUUGCUUUUGGGCUCGUUUCUAUCCGAGAUUGUUUACCACCACAAAAAAGACCCGCAAGGUGCAGCCAGUUUAAACCGAACAGUUUUGGAAAGUUCGGACAAAACCAAUCCGAAUUUGACUAGGGUUUUGGACGUGAAUCCAAGCCUUUUCCUUGCAUGGAAAGUCCAGCCGCCUCCUAUAUACCUGAGGGGUGACGGCCGAUUGAACAACACACAAUCGAUCAAUCAAUCUACUAGUUUUCCGUGUUCAUCUACUUUUCUCUCUCCCCGUGUAUCUUUCUUCUCGUUCUUCAUCGUUCUUCAAGAUUGGAGGCUGCGAAGCCACGAGGCUCUAGGGGCGGUAAGACCGACCUCGAGCAGCCAACCGUCGCCGCGAGCCCUGACGGGGUCCCUCCCGGGCGAGCAGGGCGUCUGGUCCCAAAAGCGCCGGCUUGCUGUCUUGCGUAUCGCGCUAGAAGUCGGCCUCCCGCGGUGUGAGUUGCGGAGCAUAUCCCUCGGCGCCGCGGGUACACAUCGACGUGUUUGUGUGACGCGUUCCAGCGUCAACACACUUUUUGGCGACUCCACUGGGGACGAAGCUUUGAACGGUCUCCGGCCUAUUCUUACUAUGAAAGGAUCGUCAUCUAGGGUUUGCAAUCUACAAAGGUAAUAUGAAUACCCAAUUCCCUAUUGUAGAUGCAAAUAAUUCAUAUGGUGUUACUAGAUCGUUCAAUAAGUAUACUCUAUCGGCCAGCCCUAGUUUUUUCAAUAAUGCAUCUAAUUACGUGCAAGGGCCGAUUCAAAGUAAUUUGCAUGCUUUAAGUUCUGAUGAUACUAGUAACCUACACCAUAUGUAUCCCAACACUCAUGCAUCGGCAACCCCACAAAUUGUUAUGCCGAUGAACAACAUGGUGAGUUCAGUUAAUAAAUUUGAAACACCUCAUGUUAGAAUUUCCAAUGCCAUGCAAGAAAGUGUUUCACCCUUUUAUUCAUCGGCAAGUAAUGUGCAAUAUACUAAUCCAACCAUGCCGAUGAACGAGAGAAUUAGCCAUGUUACUACUAGUUAUUCGGCCAGUUACGCUCAACCGUCAUAUGCUACACCUCAUGUUAGUAAUUCUUCGGCACCAUACAUAACUGUAGAUGCUCAUAAUUCGGCUUCACACCUUCCUGGUUAUAGCCGAAUGAAUGUAAAUUUUACAGGAGCGGUUGUGCCCAAUAUUGUAGAAGAUGAGGUAGUGGUGGAUGCAUUGAAGAGUUUAGCCCAAAAUAAGAGAAUUAGUGCUCUUUGCCUUGAACAAAAUGAAAAGGGGCUAUUUCCUGAUUAUGCCGCAAUAAAAGCUAGAGUUUUGCAAGAAGAUGAAUCUUUGCCAAUUGAUAAAAUUGGCGAGCAAAAGUAUGGUCUUACAACACUGCACAUGCCUUCACCUAGUACUACAUCAUAUUAUACACCCCUUACACAAUUGCAAAAUUUCGGCAACACCGUGUGUCAUUGCCGAAAGAAUCUAAAAGCACUGGGGGGCAAUCAUAUCCGGAGUGGGCUGAAAUUGAGAAAAAACUUAAAGCUAAUUUUGCCGCUCGCCGUCAGAAACAAAUAGAAAAAGAAUUGGCUCAGAUAAAAGACGCAUUGCCAAUUGGUACUAUCAAUGAAAAGAAGGAUGAUUCGGAACAUGAAAGUGCUUCGGUUGAAAAAGCCGAAUCAAGUAGUAUAUAUUCCGAAUCCAUCAAAUCCAACGAGGCAAGGACUAUUGAGAAAGGGCAUGGCAAGCAUAGGAAAACAACAGUGCUUGAUUUUUCUGAAGUUAAUGGAACCUACUUCCUGCCCUAUGAGUUCCGUGCCGUAGAAAUUGACAAGCUUCAAGGACAAGAACAAGUAGCCGAACAAAGUUCGGCCGACAAAAAUCUUCAAAGCAAUGAUGCACGGAUUCAAGAAAAAGAUGAUGACAAGGUGUUGGGGAGCCAUCCAAAGACGGAGCAAGAUGUUCUUCAAAUGGCACCACUAUCAUGCUGUCCCAACAUAUUUGAAGAGGUAUGCAUAGCAAGUAAUUUACCUAUUUUCAGAUUUGGUCGCAACUUCAUUAUUGAUGCAUCUAUAAGAAAUAUUCUCAUAAGUAAUUUUGAAAGACCAAUGAGGAAGGGUAAUUUACUUGUUAGCAGUAAAAUUGUUAUGGAACAUAUUGGUCAACCCAUUGCACCAUUUAUAAAAACCGAUAAUGACUUAUUGUUACAGCCAAAGCUUUUCCCGUUGCUUUCUCUAAAGUUCAUAUCUAGUUGGGUAGCUUUGCUUAUUUCUUACUUGGCUUACACUUGGUCUCAACUGAGACAUGUAUGUUCUAAAUAUCUUUGUUUCAAAAAUUUAAAGCCAAGGUUAAAUUCUAUUGAGAAAACCGAUGCUAAUAUAAUACCAUAUCCAAAGACAUCGGAGAUAGAGUGGAAAACACAAUGCAUAGCCGAAUGGGGAGAUUCCAAUCUGAACCAUUCGUUUGCUUAUCUCCAAAGCUGUUCAAAUAGCAAAAUCGGCUAGGAAACAAGAAGUAUACUUUCAAUUCAAGCAUGUGUUAUAAAAUAUUUGAUUUGUUGCUGAAAAAUAAUUACAUUACAAUUCUUGAUCACCAUAUUAAGCCAUCAAUCCAAGGACGAAUGUAUUGUAAGUUGCAUGAUUCGUCCAAGCAUAAUUUUGAGGAUUGCAACAUGUUUCGGCAAAUAGUUAAAUCGGCCAUUGAAAAAGGACGACUGAAGUUUGUUGAAACACCAAGAGAUGACCAGUCUAUUUCGAUUGGUACCGACGGCAAAAGGUUUUUGCAUCGGCUGCUUCAAGUCGAUCCAUUUAAAGAGAAUGUAAAAACUGCAGGUGAUGGGAUCAAGGUUUCAAGUAAAGAAGUUGUUGAAGAGCAUAAUGAACAUAAUCUUGAGGGCGAAAAUUCCAUCGAAGCUACAAUGGAGAUGCCAAGUACUGGGGGGUAGCAAGCAAAUCCAAUGAUCGAUGAAAGCAAACCAAAAGAAAACAAAGGCCGAAAUAAGCACAAGUGUAAGAGAUCAAAAAUCACCUUUGCUGAACUAUUGGAUAAAUAUCAAAAGAUGAGUGAAGAGAAGAAUGCUUAUCAGCCAAAUCAUGCAAAGAAACCAAGAUCACCUCCAAGGCGCAAAUAAGAGGAUUGGUAUUGGCAAAGUGAUAAUUUUAAUGCAACAUAUUCGUAUCCUUAUUUUGGGCCGCCAAUGCCAAUGCCGUGGAUGCCUCCCGAUGCUCAUAUAGAUACAAAUUCAUCAUGGGAUAGGUAUGGUACAAGGGCACAUUCUCCAUCUUAUUCUAGACCAUCUCACCAAUACUAUGCAGCUCCAAGAAGAUCAACAUUUGAACAAUCACGUAUCAAAGACCGUUUCAAUCAUAAGGAAUCGGUCCAGAGCUCAAGGAAGAAUAAAGAGAUGGUAAAGCAAGUUUACCGCGUGAAAAGAGAUGGUCGUAAGUGUGCUACUUCAGAUUUGAUCUCAAAAAACAAAGAGCCAAUUAAAGUGUUGACAUUGGCUACAAAAGGCAAAGAAGUGAAGCAAUCAAUUGAUAAAAAUGAGAGUGCCAAAUCGGAAGAAAAUAAGUUGAGGGUGCACAAGGCCUAGAAAGAAUUGCCAUUGGUUGAAACAAAAUCACAAUCGAGGUGCUCACUCAGCUUAUCAUAUUGGCAAAAGAAGAAAUUACAAAAUCUUAGUGCACAAGAGCUUAGAAAGAGGAACAUGGCAUGGGUUCCCAAGAGGAUCAAUCAAAACAAAAACGAUGUGCAUGCUUCAAUUGCAACAAGUACAAUAAAAAUGAAGAAGGAGAAUGAUGGAAGCAACAAACAAUUAAGCCGAAGGUGUGCAUCACAACAUCAAAAUCUUCGGUUAGCACAUCAUCCAUUUUCUUCAACAAUGCCAUUGAUGCCUUUGCCAUGGAAUUCAUCCACAGGUAUGAUUAGUUACCCUCCAUGGACUUAUUUUGAUCCAUGGAUGCAACAUAAUUUUCUAUAUGAUGACAAAGUAUUACCAAAUCACUAUACAUUUCGUUAGUUACAUUUUUGUUGCUAAGACAAAGGAGCCAAAAUAUUUUAUUGCUAUUUUAUUUGUUUAUUUCGGCUAUACAUGUUUUAAUGGAUGAAUUCUACAUGAACCUCAUGGUAAUGGCCGAUACUUAACUAUCGUCCUAAGAAACUAUCUGGGCAUGGCCGUUGUGGAAUUCUAACACCGUCCUUAGUUCAAUUGGAACCGAGACAAGGUACAUGUUAAGUGAUAUUAGCUUUGUCUCUCUAGUACUAUGGAGAUUAUAUUUUGAUGGUUCAAUUUGUAGCAAUGGUCAAAGUGUUGGUGUUGUUUAUUUAUCUCCAUAUGGAGCUAGUUUGUGAAGUCUCAUGCCGCUUAAGAUAUUUUUGCACAAUGAUCAAACCGAAUAUGCAUUGUUAUUGGGAUUGGAGCUUUGCCUUGCUAUAGGUGCUAUACAUAUUGAGGCUUCCGGUGAUUCGUUAUUAGUAGUGUAACAAAUGUCCAAGGGUAUGUUUUGACGAAUCACUUAUAGUUUAUCUUUUGAUAUGACUAGAUGCAAGAUUUACCUUGGGUUGCUUUAAAAUUGUUUAUAUAUCUAGACAUGACAAUUUGAAAGAGUUGGCACAGCAAGCAUAUGGCUACUAUGUUAACUAUGGUGUAUUGUAUUUCUAUCAAUAGCUGAUGCUAGGUUUUGUCAACAUAGGUAAGGCCGAACCGAAGCCCACCGCUUCGGCCACUAAUGAAACUUUUAUGCAGGCGAAGUAAGGAUUGGAGGAAGUUCAUUAUUGAUUAUCUGCAAAGUCCUAGCAAAAGGGUGAACAAUAUGGUUCGGAGGAUGGUUUUGAUCUAUGGAACCUUAUCACUGGAUUGUUAUUGAAGUUGGGAAAGUUUCACCCAAACUUGCAUCGAAAUAUUCACGCAAGCAAUGGCUGAUAUAAACUUAUCAUCCUAAGCAUAUGCAAAAUGGCUGAUGAAGUGUUGGCAUCGUCCUUAGAGCAAGCUAUGUGCAAGUUAUUUUUCGGCACACAAGCUUUCCCGAAAGUAGGGGGGCAUGUGUUGACACCAGAUUUUGGCACGGUCAAGAACUUAUUUAAGAUGGACUCAAAUGGAGAAGUGAUCUUCAUGAAAGAGUUCCGCAUUUUUGAUAUGAACAUCUUUGAAGUUUGGGUCAUCGCCGUCCGAUUUCAUCUCGAAGGCCGAAACUAUGCUCAAAGUACUAAGAUCUUAUAUUCAGAGUACAUUUUGGCUGAUUGAGCACCCAAGAACACCUCAAAUGGAAACAUUAUCUACACGAAUUGUCUUUGUCUCGUCGAAACGAUCGAUUUUGAUAUAAAAAACGUUUCAAUCGGAGUUCGUAUGCAAAAGUUAGAGCCAUCGGAAUACAGCCCUGUCAGAGGUAAAAACUGGCGCGCCCCACCAGACACCCUGUCUGAUGGGUAGCGCGAGGGAUAGUCUGUUUUGUGCGACCUAUUUGACCCUCAAGAUAACCUCUGAUAAAAAAACGUUCAACAUAAAAGUUGUUAUUCUCGUCAAAACGGUCAAGAUUGCUUUUGGGCUUGUUUCUAUCCGCGAUCGUUUACCACCACAAAAAAGACCCGCAAGGUGCAGCCAGUUUAAACCGAACAGUUUUGGAAAGUUCGGACAAAACCAAUCCGAAUUUGACUAGGGUUUUGGACGUGAAUCCAAGCCUUUUCCUUGCACGGAAAGUCCAGCCGCCUCUUAUAUACCUGAGGGGUGACAGCCGAUUGAACAACACACAAUCGAUCAAUCAAUCUACUACUUUUCCGUGUUCAUCUACUUUUAUCAGUCCCCUUGUAUCUUUCUUCUCGUUCUUCGUUGUUCUUCAAGAUUGGAGGCUGCGAAUCCACGAGGCUCUAGGGGCGGUAAGACCGAUCUCGAGCAGCCAAUUGUCGCCGUGAGCCCUGAUGGGGUCCCUCCCGGGCGAGCGGGGCGUCUGGUCCCAAAAGCGCCGGCUUGCUGUCUUGCGUAUCGCGCUGGAAGUCGGUCUCCCGCGGUGUGAGUUGCGGAGCAUCUCCCUCGGCGCCACGAGUACACAUCGACGUGUUCGUGUGACGCGUUCCAGCGUCAACACAUAGUACUCCCUCGUACCAUUUAUAUAGGGCCUACGUGGAGGAGAGAGAUGUGAAAAAGUAAGGGGAGUGAGCUCUCAUGCAAGAGCCUAGCUAUAUACGCAUUCCUAGUUAAAUACAAUAAAUAUGAAGAAAGAGAUAGAGAGGAGAUGGAAAAAAUGUACUAAUACAAUAGCCAACCUUAUAUUUUUUUGUGGGAAAUAGCCAACCUUAUAGCCCACACUAGUGUAUGAGUGCAUAUGGAUGAUGGCUAUAGAUGACAUGGCAGUUCCUUAUAGCCAUCGGAUGGCUAUAUUAUUAACCAUGCUCUAAUGCGUUUUUGAAAACCGCCUUUGACUAUUGACAAGAUUAAUAGUACAUGAGAUGUAUAAUGUGAAAAUUAUAUCAUUGGAAGCUCCUUUCACAUACGAAUUUGACCGUAUGUUUUUUGCAAGUUGCAUGUCAUAUAUUAUUACUCUAACAUUUGGUCAAAGUUAGCCUCGAAAAACACAUUAGGCCCUGUAUAGUAGAUGGAAGGAGGGAUUAGUAGUGGAAGUGGAUCCUCUGACAUAGGUAUCCCUGCCUUACCCUCCCUUUAGGUCACUUACUAGCGGACCCUAUGCUUGCUUUGCCCUGCAUGCCAGUUAUUCAAUGGAUUCGACCACGUCAGGGGAUCCUCAUCCGUAGUAUACUCCCUCUUUUUUCAUUUACUCUGCAUAAAAUAGAGGGAGUGGUAGUAUAAAUGACGUGGGCGGGGAAGGGGGAGGGACGUCGGUUUGCUCUCAACUGCGGCCCCACAAGCGAGUGAAAAUGCAAUACAAAGCGUGUUCCAUUCAGUGAGCGAUGUGGAGGGUCCAGCAUGCUGGGGUGCAACGCGAACGCGACAAGAGCGAUGUACAGUCAAAACUGAUUUACCGGUCGUCACCAGAACCACUAUUCACACGAGAACCUUCGCUGCUCGGCCUAUACCAGCCACUUCCCCAAAACCACCUCUCCUCUCCAGCCCAUUCCCCCACCUUUUGACCCCCUAGCCUACAUCAAGCGUCCCCUAGUUCGUCGGAAAGCCAUGGUGCGCCGCAAGAUUACGUACUACAAGAUCCUGAUGCCGGAGCGCCGCGUAGAGAUCACGGCAGCGGUCGGCGCCACAGACCUCCAUUCCCAAGCUCGCUUUGUGGCGGGCCAAUCCCCGAGUUCCCUGGAGCCAAGUAACGAGGAGGAGGAAGCCGAUCCAAUGUUCAUGGGGGAGGUCAUCGCGUAGAAGGCCCCCGAUGAGUAUGAGACGAUGGGCGUCGACUUCGUGCCAGCGUCCGGGUCCCCCAUGGUGCAGACGGACCAGCGGUUCCACCUGGCGAUACUAAAGGAGGACCGGGAGGCAGAGGUUCAACUCGACGCGGAGCGGACGCAUGCCACUGCCAUCGAGGCUCUCCUGUAGGCGGAACCAGAUGUCGUGGAUGUGAACCGGGCGCCAGAGGCUCAACUUGAGGCGGAGCGCGCGGAUGCCGCUGCCGUCGAGGCCCUCCUGCAGGCGGAACCGGACAUCCUGGACUUGAACCGGGCGGCAGAGGUUCAACUCGACGCAGAGCACGCGGAUGCCGCUGCCAUCGAGGCCCUCCUGCAGGCGGAACCGGACGUGCUAGACUUGAACCGGGUGGCGGAGGCUCAACUCAAUGCAGAGCGCGUGGAUGCCGUUGCCAUCAAGGCCCUCCUGCAAGCGGAACCAGACGUCCUCGACUUGAACCAGGCGGUGCUCUCAUCCGUGCAGAGUGCCCGCACGCUCCGCGGGAAUGAGUAGCUGGAGGCCGAAGACAACCACGAUGCGGAGACACACGUCGGCAGCUACGGCUGGUUCGCGCCGGCAGCCAAAGACGACAAGGCCGUCUCGUUCCACGAGUAGUGACAGUUUUUCUUUAUGCUGUUGUUUUUAGGGAUCUUUUGCUGUGUAAAAACAUAUAUUGUUAUGCAAGUCGCCUAACUUUCAUCAUUUGGGCCAGUCUACCAUUUCAGGCGGUUGGAUGAAUAUCCUACGUCUCCUAACCCUUCUUCCUCACCUCUUCUUCUUCCCCAACAGACCAUCGCACGUGCCGUACGGAUCCUCCCCAAUAUGCGGUUGGAUAAACAUACUGUAUGAACGAAAAUUAUGUGUCAGCGGUAGGAUGGCUGAGUUUGGUUUGUUCACAUGUGGUAGCACGUGUCAGUGAGGGUGCGUUCCCUUGGUUGGUUUUGCGGCGUGCAGGAGCGACUGUGUGAGGGUGCGGUGCGACCGCGGCGUGCAGGAGCGACCGUGUGAGGGUGCGGUGCAACCGCGAUAGCCGUGCACAAGUGUACCUCCUUCUCAUUUUGAAAACUUUAGGCAAGCUUGGCAAAAAUGUGUGGCGAAGUAUGGUAAUGCAAGGCCUAUACCCAAACAUGGUAAGUACGUACGUACGUACUAGGAGUACUAGUGUUAAAGAAAAAGGCAGGGUUUUCUUUCGUGGGAUUAAUCGAUACAAAUCCUCGUUUGACGUGUCAAUUAAUGUGUAUUUUUUCUCCAAAGCCCAAAGAGCUAACCAUCUCACUCCUCAUCGCUUGAUUAAUGCAGCGCCAUGCAAACCAACCUUCUCACUUCUGCAUUCAUGUAAGGGUAUAUUAAUGUCCUUGGUUGCUAGUACGAGGCAAACCCCAUCAAUUUUGCCUCAAUUAGUGUUAGUGGCCUUUUGCAAAUUGUAAUUUUGAUAUACUGGCCUUGUGUACAAAAAAUGGAGGUAGUAACUAUUUGACUUCCUUCCCCAUUGCGGUGACGUCGACGAUAUCUCGAACGUUGUGGUUUGGCGAAGUGCGUUCGACGGAGAAGACCAUUGAGGGAGACCACGGUAAGUCAUUCGCAAGUGCAACCUGCAAGCUGAGACAACCGCCUUAUUUGCAUCUAGGAAGUCCGUUGAACCAAAGGACGCAUAAAUGUAGUAGUACUACUAGUACACAAUAGCGCCGUAGUGUGGUGAGGUGGUUUCUCAUAGAAGACAAUGGAGAAGCGGAGUCGCCGAAGAGUGAAAUGAUGGUUGCUUCGUCCGUACUUUGUGAUUUGACGCCUCACUGCUAUGUGAUUUGUGAUAGAAGGGUCAGGGGAGUAGACUUUGUGCUCUAUACUGUACAUGCGGCCAAGCACAGAGGAAAGAGGAGAGACGUUGCAUUUUUCUAUUCCUUUAAUCAAUCAAUCAGGGAGCUUCGGUUCCAUCUUUUUGGCUUUGGCAGCACCGUCCACAAUGGUUCCCAUCGAUGCCAAAAGCUAUUUUCACAUUUGGCUACACAUUGUGGAUGUCCUUAACCGUACCGCUUGGUUUUGCUCCUGUGUGCUAUCUAUACAAAUCUCAAUUAUAUUGAUGUAAAAAAUUAUAGAAUCAAGAUUAGUAAUAAGGAGGUGAGUUUGCCGCGCGGAUGGCGGAGGAGGUUUCUUAUUUUUAGAGGACGUUGGCCUGACGGUUUGCUAACAUGCGGUCCCACAUGUCAGUGCUUUACCAAGCCAAUCCGCGUCCCACAUGAGGCAGAACAACGGCAGAAGCAACACAUGGUCAACUUGAAGAAGAUGAGGGAGAAGCGGAUUCAACAACGAGUGAAAUGAUGGUUGCUUCGUCCCUCCAACUUCUUUUUUUAGCAUUAUUACUUCGUCCCUCCAACUUAACUGCGGGAAAGGUGCAGCUUUGUGAUUUGACCCCUCAUUGCUCAUUACUAUGCCGGCGCCAUGACCGGGGUGCUUCACCCCUGCUGCUUUGCACUGUGUUUCAGUAUGGCACAUGGACUCGGUAGCUUGAUGUCCCACAUUUCGGCGAAAGGGACUAGAACAUGUAUUAAAGCGAGCGCUCCACUCUUACGAUGGAGGACACGACACGGCGGCCCAGUGAACUGUCACUUGUACUAUAUAGUACUAUAGUUUUGUUGUUUCGCAUGAUUCAUCGAUACAAACCAGAUUAAAUGGGAAAGGGCGGGAUUUUUCCCGUGAGGUAGAUGAUACUGGCCAUACAUUUCAAAGGCAAUUUUAAUGUAUGCAAACUGAAUAAUUAAGUAACAAUAUGAUAUUUAGCAAUACUAAAAACACAUAUGAUUUAUUUUGUUAGAGUGUAGUAGUAGUGUUGUAUUGCAUAGUUGUUAGAUGUAACCUGCGAGAACAUGUACAGAUGUUGUUUUGGAGGGCCUAUAGAGAGAAAAGCCUAAUACGGUCACCGAACUUUAGAAUACACUGAUUACAGUCACUAUAUACGUUUUGCAGUGAUUAUACGGUCACUUGUCAGCAUCGAAUUGCACUCUGUUGACCGGCCAAAUAGUCUGCGUAGCACCAUAUUGACUAGUUAAAUUGACCACGUUCUUUAUGGGUCCCACCUGUCAGUUCACAUAGGAAAAAGGUCAGAUAAACACAAAUUUAUGAAGGCGCGACAAGACUCCAACCCGUGCACGGGAAUCAGCUGGUUGUGUAUGUGUCACUCAGGGCCUGAUGUGUGCACAUGCACGUGUAGGUUGAGCACUUGAGCGUGAGAGUGUGUGUUAGUCGUGUGGUGUGUGCAUGCAUGCGUGUGUGUGUCCUUGUGAGUGUUGCGUGUGUGCGUGGCUGCGUGUGUACAUUUGAGUGUUGCGUGCGUGCGUGGCUGCAUGUGUUCGUGUGAGUGUUGCAUGCAUAUAGUUCAUGUGCAUGCGUGCAUGUGUGUAUAAUCACCACACCAGCUCAUGUGUGUUAAAACAGACGGCUCGGCAUACCAAUACAAGGCCACCUUGUCCGUUGUGCCCGCGGUCAUGAAUUCGAACCACCGUCCAAUAUUGUUUUGUUGUUUGUUUUCAUUCUUACUGGCAAGAUGCCCGUGUGUUGCACGUAACAUCAAGAUGCAUUUGUAUGACUAGUUUAUCUUGUGAGAGAAAAGGAUGAACGAGGGAAGGCCUUAUUUGCAAAUGUGGAGAGGUGUGUGGGUACCAUUUUGCAAAAUUGCCAUAGUUUCCUUCCUAUCCGUCAGAUAUAAAUUGGAUGGCCUAUAUUGCAGGAUGGCAGGCACACUAUCAUCACCAACUCUGUUUUAUAUAGGAGUGUAGAGUAGAUACAAGCCGACAGGUGGGCCCAAUGGUAGUGAGAUAAUGUGAUGCAACACUAGAGGUGCCACGUGGAGCAUUUAACUUGUCAACUAUACAGAGCUAUACGGUGAGCCCGUGACUGUAUAAUAACCACAAAACGUAAAUGGUGACCGUAAUGAGUGGAUUCUGAAGUCCAAUGUACGUAUCGUGCUUUCGCUUCAAAUACAAUGAUCGUCACUGUAUAUAUCACGAGAGAAAGAUGAAACAUGCGUGAAUGUGCUUGGGGCUUACUUUUAGAGGACCUGGAGAUAGUUUGUGUGCGUACGUGAAAGGGGCAUUGUCGGUGUCAAAACUGGCGGAUCUCGGGUAGGGGGUCCCGGACUGUGCGUCUAGGCGGAUGGUAACAGGAGACAAGGGACACGAUGUUUUUACCCAGGUUCGGGCCCUCUCGAUGGAGGUAAAACCCUACUCCUGCUUGAUUGAUAUUAAUGUACAAGAGUGGAUCUACCACGAGAUCAAGGAGGCUAAACCCUAGAAGCUAGCCUAUGGUAUGAUUGUUGUAAUGGUUGUUCGUCCUAUGGACUAAAACCCUCCGGUUUAUAUAAACAUCGGAGAGGGUUAGGGUUACACAGAGUCGGUUACAAUGGUAGGAGAUCUACAUAUCCGUAUCGCCAAGCUUGCCUUCCACGCCAAGGAAAGUCCCAUCCGGACACGGGACGAAGUCUUCAAUCUUGUAUCUUCAUAGUCUUGGAGUCCGGCUGUCCGGACACCCCCUAGUCCAGGACUCCCUCAGUAGCCCCUGAACCGGGCUUCAAUGACGAUGAGUCCGGCGCGCAUAUUGUUCGGCAUUGCAAGGCGGGUUCCUCCUCCGAAUAAUUCAUAGAAGAUUGUGAACACCAGGAUAGUGUCUGGCUCUGCAAAAUAAUUUCCACAUUCCACCGUAGAGAGAAUAAUAUGUACACAAGAUCAAUCCGCUGACGUAUUUCGUGGCAUGAUGUCAUGCCACUACCAAGCCUUUACUUGAAUCAUUUUUUAUUAUACCACCUCAGCGUGUUUAGCGAAGCGGUUUCCUUGGCACGUCUUGUCGAAGCAGAGAUCGUGUUCCCCUUAUCCCGGGAUUCUCAUCAAUACGGACGUGGGUAACCCAACCGCGCCAUUGAUGGUGGCGCUUGGGAGAUAAGCGAGUUUUACCAGGCCGGUGGGGACGCAUAGUCUUCGUCCGCCUAUAUAUAAGGGGAUAAGGAUCCACCUUUUUACCUACGCCUUCUUCCUCCUUUGCUUAUCCAUCCCCGCGCACUCGAACUCUAGCGCCCAAGUUUGCACAUCUCGUCUCAACCUUCUCUAGUCAUGUCCGGAGCGGGAGGCAAGUGGUUGGCCUCCACCGUUAAGGAGGAGCACAUCGAAAAGCUGCGCGGCGCCGGAUACCUCUCCAGCGACAUCGCGCACCGGCUGCCCGACAAGGGGCAGCUCAUCCCCACCCCCAUGCCCCAUGAGAGGGUCGUAUUCCUUCCCCACUUCCUCCGCGGACUGGGCUUCCCGUUGCAUCCCUUUGUCCGAGGGCUCAUGUAUUAUUAUGGCCUGGAUUUCCACGAUCUGGCGCCAAACUUCAUCCUCAACAUCUCGGCGUUUAUCGUCGUGUGCGAGGCCUUCCUCUGCAUCCAGCCCCACUUCGGCUUAUGGCUCAAGACCUUCAAUGCCAAGCCGAAGGUAGUGAAGGGCACUCAAGCGGAGUGCGGAGGCGCCAUGUUGGGCAAGAUGCCCAACGUCCUCUGGUUCGAAGGGGCCUUUGUGGAGUCCGUCAAGGGGUGGCAAUCGGGGUGGUUCUACAUCACCGAGCCGCGCGACCCUACGUGGGCGGUGGCCCCCGAGUUCAGAUCUGGUAUCCCUACGCAGCUCACCUCCUGGAAAGAGAAGGGCUUGCUAUGAGGUAGUUCGGAGGAGCUGACAGGACUCCAAGCUUGUAUCCAAAAGCUGGUGAACAAGAAGCUCAGGCUUGUCAAUGUGGUCCAAGUCAUGCUCAUCCGCCGGAUUCUCCCCUGCCAACAACGGGCAUUUAAAUUGUGGGAGUUCAAUCCGGCACAUCACCAGGCAUUGAGCGGGCUCUUCGACACGACGUACGAAGGCGCCUGGAGGGUGCUGUUCAAGGGCGCCGAAGCUCCCGCAUCCGCUACUGAAGAUCGCGGAUUUCACUCGCAGCGACCAGCUGACGAGGUAAGUGAUUCUACCCCUUUACAGGACACUUGUUUUUAACAGUUUGACCGUAUGCGGGUUUCAAUCUUCCUUUUCCUUUGACAGGACUGGAUGAAGAAGGCCAAGCAGAUCAUCUGCCCGGCUCCCAUGCCAGAAAACCCAGUAGACGCCCGUCUAGCGGGGCCGCUGGUUCCGGCACCGCAUGUGGUGCCAGAGAAGAAGGCCAAGAAGGAGGCCACGGGUACUCGAAGAAGUUCCCGGCACCAAGUGAUAUCGGACUCAUCGUCCGAUGGCUCCGAGGCGGACUCCUCCCCUGAAGACGAGGAGGAGAAAGAGGACUCUCUCCUAGAGGAGGGAGAGAGGAAGAGGAAGGCCUCCCCAAUAGGGGAGGCCGAAGGGUCCAAGAGGGGAAGAACUAUUCCCCCAGACAGCUCCGCCAACGCCAACGUUGGUGAUGAUGAGUGGCCCUCAAAGGCCAGGCCUCCGGCAAGAUCGUAAGUAUCCGGAUUCCUGAAUGAUUUGUAAUUUCUCUUUUGUGUCACAUAGUGUCCUUCUAAUGCCGCACUCUGCUUGCAGUCCGGCCGAUGAUGAUCUCCCCGCUUCGUCGAGCGGGUCGUUGGCUCCGUCGGAUGUAGAUUCCAUCCCGACUGCCUCCACCCCUCGCGCCGCUGAGGACGCCGAGGUGGGAUCCCGGGAAGGGACCCAUCAGGAGGAGGCUCCAGAGGCGCCGCAAGGCAGCCUCCCGGACUUUGCGCCGGACUCCACGCCGGAACCCGCAGUGGUUCCCGAGUCCGGCAGGCGGCCCCUUCGCAAGAAGGGCAAGACCGUGACGCCGGCGGCCCCCGUCCAACCAGAGGCGAUGGACAACUUGUUGGAGGCGCUCAAAGGCGCUUCCAUCAAGGAAGAACACCGCACUAUCAUGAGUGCGGUGAUUCAGAAGGUUCAGCUCGCCAAGAGCGGGCUGACCGAAGCCUGCAGUAGCCUUCUAACAGGCUUUGAGGUAAGAAGUUAAACAUAUGUAAUGUAAUACCGCAUAGACAGUAGCCCCUGAUGCUCGGUUCAGUGUUCGGAAAGAAAAUCCAGACUGGGGAUCUAAAAAGAUAUACACAGGGUUGCUAAAAAUUAUGUCAAUAUGGGUUUGCAGGCUGCGCUGCUGACCUCUACCACACUAACUGCGGAGGUUGGUGCUUUGAAGCAGGACCUCGAGCGGUCCGAGCAAGAGCUCGGCCGUGCCAAGAAGCAGCUCGAGGACAAAGAAGGUGAAUAACACCAUUUUGAAUAGUUACCUUACAGAAAAGGAUUUUGGUUGCAAUAAAAAUAACAAGGAUAACGUUGAUACUGCAGGGGCCACGAACGAGGUGGCAGCCUUGAAGGAGGCCGUAUCCGCGGCCGAACGCAAUGCGGCCGUGGAACGGACGGAGCGAGAGAAACAGGAGGCGCGGGUGGCGUAAGUGCGGCAAGAGCUCCAUGCUCUCAUGGAAAAGCAUGAGAGUUUGGAGCGCGACUCAAAGACUCGAGAGUCCGAGCUUGCCUCGGCUCUCGAAAGUGCCAAAGCCGCCAAGGCCGAGGCCCAUAAGGCCCUUCAGGAGGUUGAGGAUGUAAAGAAAAUAGCGACGGGUAAGGCAUUUCUCAUGCAAAGCAAGCAUGUUAAUGUAAAUUACCUAUUACUUACCCGAAUUCGGAGCUCUCCAGGGGUGUUUGCAGAUCUGCCUCGCAGUGUAUCCGAUGUCGCCGCAUUCUACCGAGGCGAGGAGGGGAGCUCAACGGAAAAGGUUUUCUGGUCUCAGUACGCUGAGUCUGGACAUCCGGUGCCCCCUAGCGACCAGCUGAAGCAGCUGGUCGAACUCCACAAGGUAGUCGAGCAGGCCAUGAAGGGCCUCAUAGUCCGGCUGUGGCCUGGAGAGGCCAUGCCUGGGAGCUACUUCGGCCUUGUGUGGCGGCUGGUGGAUGCGUGCCCCUGGGUGGAGGUCAACAAGCGCUCCGCCUGUAUUGAAGGUGCUCGUCGGGCCCUUAUCCGCGCAAAGGUGCACUGGGGCACGAUGGAUGCGGAGAGGCUUAUUACUGACGCGCCGCCAGCGGGCAAGGAGUAUCGUAUGCCCAAGAUGUACUAUAAGACUGUCCUGAAGGGUGCCCGCAAGAUUGCGGAUGAGUGCCCUAGAGAUGUAAUUUUUGAGUAAACUCGCUAUGUGUUAUCCUGUGCGCUGAAAACUUUGUUCAUAUGCGCUAAGCAAUGCUUGUUUGAUUUAAAAUAUUACCUUCUGUGCGCCCGUUUAUAAAAUCUGAGAGAUGGCAAGUCGUCGGCUUCAGCCCCCAUGCCGCUAGUGCUGGGGUGUUCGGGAUAAACUUGAGCACUCUUGUUCCCAUUUUUGGGUCCAUCUAGGGAGGCGCUCAACACAACGAACAAGGCAACCAGACUUAUAAUGCUUGAACACUCUCACUUAGCCAUAGAAUUCUAUAAUUUUAAAUUUCGGCGAAGCCCCUAGUAUUUGGAAGACCGAGUUCAGGGUGCUAUCCACGCCUUGGCCGGACAUUAUCCGGUUCUUCGUUCGAAGCGGCAUAAGUCUUUAGGGACUCGAAAAGACCUCUCGAACAGCGACCAGUCUCUCGCCUUAUCAUGACAGUCAGUUUUAGCUUUCUCCACUGAGGCGCUCGCCCAGCUCAACCGGGGCGCAAUCGCAGUGGUUCUCCCAGUGCCACCUUAGCCAACAGAACGGAACGUAAGGUACCAAAAUGUGGGAGCCGGGCAAACCCAACUAUUGACCCAAGACAUGAUUCGGAGCCGAUUCAUAUAAUUCUAUAAGUUCGGGGUGCCGCACUUGUGAAAGUGUUCGGACUUGUCACACCAUAAUGCGGGGAACAUAAGCCCCUGGUGUAUUCGGCCGUACCAAAUUGUACGGGUGCAAGAUGUCAUUAAUGAACAUAUAUGUAAAGUAAUGCAAUUAUAGGCAAAAAGUGCUGCAUUAUUUAUUUAAGGAAUUCUGCUAUGAGUGCGGAAUGAUACAAAUAGUGCGGUAAGCAAGGGAUUGGACUAAUUAAACAUGUCCCCCUCCAGGGGUGGGCUGCGGACUAGUGUGUAUAAUCAAAUUUAAUGCUCGUAAUGGAGACCACCUGAGUGUUCGUCGCAGCCUUUUUCCCUCCCUGGCUGUUGCAUCGUGAGUUCGGCGGGUUCGCCGCCGGACAGGGCCUCUGGUAAACGGAGUCCUGUGUAUAAAAAGAUGGAAAAUAAAAAUAAAAAGAGCGACACACUUUGGAGCCCCUGGUACGGUCGAGCCGCACUCUAGGUCAGUUGUGGUCGUGCCCCUCCCCCUAUGCCCAUGGUAUCUCUAGAGCGUAAUGAUGUACGCGGAGAGCUGGUCUUGCAAUCAUGCGAGGGCUGGGGUUGGGGCCGCAUUGCUACGCGUGCUCGGAACGUGCCAGGUGGUCUUGAUUGAUGUUGCUCCGGGCGCGUUUGGCCGUGUCCGGUCGUUUAACGGCCGGACUCGAAAAUUGCCUUAGAAGGCUGAUCUGUACUUCUGCCGCGAGAGCCACUGUAUGUUCCUCCGUUCGGAGGGAGCGUUCCGUAUUUCCGUUGACCGUGAUGACUCCACGAGGGCCUGGCAUCUUGAGCUUGAGGUAUGCAUAAUGCGGCACCGCGUUGAACUUUACCAACGCGGUUCGUCCGAGUAGAACGGAACUAUGUCGAAGAUUAACUCCUCGCUUCGGAAAUUAUCCGGGGAUCCGAAGACCACUUCCAGUGUUACUGAGCCUGUACAAUUGGUCUCAACACCUGGUAUGACGCCUUUGAAGGUCGUCUUUGUAGGUUUAAUCCUUGAGGGGCCUAUGCCCAUCUUGCGCACUGUAUCCUGGUAAAGCAGGUUCAGGCUACUGCCGCCGUCCAUCAGGACUCUCAUGAGGUGAAAUCCAUCGACGAUUGGGUCUCAGACCAAUGCGGCGAAUCUGCCAUGGCGGAUACUGGUCGGAUGGUCUCUUCGAUCGAAAGUGAUCGGGCAAGAGGACCAUGGGUUGAACUUCGGGGCGACUGGCUCGAUCGCAUAUACGUCCCUUAGUGCACGCUUCCGCUCCCUCUUGGGUAUAUGGGUUGCGUAUAUCAUGUUUACUGUCCGCACUUGUGGGGGGAAACCCUUCUGUCCUCUACUGUUCGGCGGCCGGGUCUCUUCCUCGUCGUCGCUGUGCAGCCCCUUGUCGUUGUUUUCGGCAAUUAACUUGCCUGCCUGCUUAAAUACCCAACAAUCUUUGUUGGUGUGGUUAGCUGGCUUUUCGGGGGUGCCAUGUAUCUGGCAUGAGCGGUCGAGUAUUCGGUCCAAAUUGGACGGACCCGGGGUGGUUCUUUUGAAUGGCUUCUUCUGCUGACCGGGUUUAGAGCCUCGGAAUCCGGCGUUGACCGCCGUAUCCUCGUUGUUGUCGCCGUUAACGCGGAGUUUGUUUUUGCUUCGGCGCGACCUGCCGUUAUGGUCCUUAGUAUCCGGACUGCCAGCAUUUUUGCUGAGGUUGUUGCUGCGAGCUAGCCAGCUAUCCUCUCCCGCACAGAAGCGGGUCAUUAAUGAUGUGAGGGCUGCCAUGGAUUUCGGCUUUUCCUGUCCUAGGUGCCGGGCUAGCCACUCGUCGCGGAUGUUAUGUUUGAAGGCUGCAAGGGUCUCUGCAUCCGGACAGUCGAUGAUUUGAUUUUUCUUUGUUAAGAACCGUGUCCAGAAUUGCCUAGCCGAUUCGUCUGGCUGCUGGAUUAUGUGGCUUAGGUCAUCGGCGUCUGGUGGUCGCACAUAUGUGCCCUGGAAGUUGUCGAGGAAUGCGGCUUCCAGGUCCUCCCAACACCCAAUUGACUCUGCGGGCAGGCUGUUAAGCCAAUGCCGAGCUGGUCCUUUAAGCUUGAGCGGGAGAUAUUUGAUAGCAUGAAGAUCGUCGCCGCGGGCCAUAUGGAUAUGAAGGAGGUAAUCCUCGAUCCAAACCGCGGGGUCUGUUGUGCCAUCGUAGGAUUUGAUGUUAACGGGUUUAAAACCUUCAGGGAUUUGAUGAUCCAUUACAUUGUCUGUGAAGCAUAGUGGGUGUGCGGCGCCUCUGUAUUGAGCAAUAUCACGACGUAGCUCAAGGGAGCAUUCUCUGCUGUGUUCGGCCCGGCCGGAGUAUUUGUAUCCGGUGCGACGAUAUUCGUCGUGGGUUGUGGGGCGCCCAUGUGAUCCAUAGAUAGAUUUGGAUUGUCUUGCCUUGUCCUCCAAUAUAUCCCGCAAGUCCGGCGCGUUCCCCCGUGGCUUCGUACUUUUCAAGCGAUGCCGGGGUACAGUCUUGAUGGAGGGCCUGGAUGCCUCUCUGUCGCGACCACGGGGUGGUCGGUCAGCCGUAUUGUGCGCUGGUGAUGAAGGUAUGUAUGUUUCCUCCUCUAAUCGGGGGAGCAACUUGCGUUUUGGGUAGCUCUUGGAGGGGCAUUCGAGUUCGUACUCUUCAGCCGCGUGGACCUCGGUCCAUCUGUCGGCCAGCAGGUCUUGAUCAGCUUGAAGCUGCUGCUGCUUUUUCUUUAGGCUAUUUGCCGUGGCCAUUAGCCUGCGUUUGAAACGCUCUUGUUCAACGGGAUCCUCAGGCAUGACAAAUUCGUCAUCGUCGAGGCUUGCCUCGUCUCCGGAGGGAGGUAUGUAAUUAUCAUCCUCGACCUCUUCGUCUGCCGCUCUCUCGUGAGGGCUUGCUUCUGCGUCCUCCUGCGCUGAAUCUUGCAGGAGGGGAUUGUCUUCGGCACUCUCUGGGGUGUUAUUAUCUCCUGUGCCGGAAUCUCCAUUCUUGCUGUGGCGGGAUUUUGAGCGGCGCCGCUGACGUCGGCGCUUGGGCUGUUUCUUUAAGGAAUCUGCCUCCGCUACUUCUUUGCCGUCCCCAUCUUUUGGGGUAUCCACCAUGUAUAUGUCGUAUGACGAGGUGGUAUUCCAGUGCCCUGUAGGCGCUGGUUCUUGAUCGUCUCCGGCAUCGUCGUCCAUACCAUCGAUGUCUUCGGAGUCAUAGUCUAGCAUGUCGGUUAGAUCGUCGACAGUGGCUACAAAGUGGGUGGUGGGUGGGGUUUGAAUUUCUUCGUCGUCCGCAUCCCAACCAUCCUGGCCAUAGUCCGGCCAGGGCUCUCCAGAUAGCGAGAGAUGCUUUAGCGAAUUUAGGAUGUCGCCAAAGGGUGAGUGCUGAAAGAUGUCCGCAGCGGUGAACUCCAUGAUCGGCGCCCAAUCGGAUUCGAUUGGCAGGGGCGCAGGAGGUUCGGAGUCCGGCAGGGAGUCCGGCACCUCAGAGUCGCGAGCUUUAUAAGGGACGAGGUCAGUGUUCGGCUCCAUCACCGUGGAAGUUGCAGCUCCCGAGGCGGUGUCCAGCCACCCGUCCUCGAUCUGCGCGAUCGGCUCCGAAUUAUGGGUCGGUGCGGAUUUGUGUGCGGCCUCCAAAGUACUGUCCGGCGGCAGAGCUAGAUCAUACCCAUCGUGACAGUGCGGCACGCUCGGCUGCGGCUUGGAUCCGUCGAAGAUCAAGUCUCCGCGGAUAUCCGCCGUGAAGUUCAGGCUUCCAAAUCUGACCUGACGGUCAGGGGCAUAGCUUUCGAUCUGCUCCAGAUGGACAAGUGAAUUGGCCCGCAGUGCAAAGCCGCCGAAUACGAAGAUCUGUCCGGGGAGAAAAGUCUCACCCUGGACGGCGUUGUCGUUGAUUGAAGAAGCCAUCAAGCCUAUCGGUGACGACACAGAGGAACUCUCAAUGAAAGCACCAAUGUCGGUGUCAAAACCGGCGGAUCUCGGGUAGGGGGUCCCGGAUUGUGCGUCUAGGCGGAUGGUAACAGGAGACAAGGGACACGAUGUUUUAACCCAGGUUCGGGCCCUCUCGAUGGAGGUAAAACCCUACUCCUUCUUGAUUGAUAUUGAUGAUAUGGGUAGUACAAGAGUAGAUCUACCACGAGAUCAAGGAGGCUAAACCCUAGAAGCUAGCCUAUGGUAUGAUUGUUGUAAUGGUUGUUCGUCCUACGGAAUAAAACCCUCCGGUUUAUAUAAACAUCGGAGAGGGUUAGGGUUACAUAGAGUCGGUUACAAUGGUAGGAGAUCUACAUAUCCGUAUCGCCAAGUUUGCCUUCCACGCCAAGGAAAGUCCCAUCCGGACACGGGACGAAGUCUUCAAUCUUGUAUCUUCAUAGUCUUGGAGUCCGGCUGACGAUGAUAGUCCGGCUGUCCGGACACCCCCUAGUCCAGGACUCCCUCAGGCAUAGAGGGGGUGUAUGCGAUGGAGAGAGAGAUGCUCUUCAUUUCUCUUUAUUAUGACUAACUUUAUAUAUAGUAUAAAAAUAUACAAAUUCACAAUGUGGAAUAAUUAUCAUUGUGGGCACCAUGCAAUGCAAAUUAACAUUCAUACUCCUCCAUAUAACUUUGUAAUGUUGUAUAUAUGUAGAAAUUCUAAAAUAAUUUUUUGGCCACACUUUAUUCAAAAGGAAUGUUGUAUGCGAAAUAAACGUGAAGAGAGGGCUUUUUAGAUCAACUAGCAAAGUGGCCCGCUCGUUGCGCGGACUAGAACUUUAAUUUUUUUAAUAAUGAGAACAUACUAUUUGGUUUGUUGAAAGUAAAAAUGGGUACCAAAUACGAGGUCAUUUAAAAAUGUAAGACCUUUGAGAACAUUGGUUUAGCUUUGGUAUGUUUGGUUUCUGAUUGACAUGCACAUACAUAUGUUAACUAUUUAUUUUUUAACCUGCUUAUUAUGCAUGGCAUACUAAAUGUAUUUUAUAUAAUGAAUCUGUUCGGCAAUUUGAAUUUUCCAUUGCUUUUCUGGCACAAAUUCUAUGUUUGUGUGAAACUAAAAUAAAAAAUUAGUAUCAGAUGAGAAUGUCUAUUGUUUCGCUUUUUUAUACAUAAGAAACCAAAUUGGUAGGUUUAUGACCGGUAAUUUUGGAUGGUCGGGGUAGCAUUAGAUAUUACUCUACUUUGCAAGAUAAAUUGAAAUGACAAUAAUUAUGCUAUUAAACAUCCAACUUUGACUAUCAAUAUGCUCAUGUCGCGUGGUCAAUUGUGGAACUGGCAUUAAUUUGCUCAGGGUUGACUAAUGAGUUAAGUAAACCAAAUCAAUCAUAUUAAAUUUUUUAUUUACAGCUUGGUAUAUCACAAAAGCACGAAAUUUUGUGGACUUUAAAUAUGUCAUCACUUAUUUGGUAUAGUAGACCUAUGUUUGAAAAAGCACUCAACAAUUCACAAAUAUUUUUUGAAUUCAUUGUCUUUUCACCACUAUCAGAAAUAACUAAUGGAACUAUGCCGCCCAAAUAUUACUCGCUCAUGGAAAAAACAAAGGAUGAUACCAAACAUAAGGUCAGCAAGUAGAAUAGCACAAAAAAGGGCUCGAGGUUGAAGCCUUAGUAUUGUAGCCAUCUCGAGAAGUCUAGAGAUCGAGUAAGUUGCCAUAAGGCACAAUUGUACGGAACAUAUUUUGUAUAUACCAUUCCUGGAUUGAAGUUAAAGUUAUGUCAAAGAGUAAAAUAGAUAAUUAAUCUUCACUGACGUCUAUAUCCACUCCACACAUAGCAGAAUGACUUCAUUUAUAUCAAGUGAAUAUGCAGUAUAUUAAGAUAACAUCAACAUAAUAAUGCCACACAAUAUGGCUACAAAGCUUCAAAUGUGUCAAUCGAGUACUAACUUGAAGCCAUGCACCAAAAAACUAUUGUAAUCAGGAUAACACUGUAAUAGUUUGGUAGGCAAAUACCUUUUAGUUCUUCCCGAGGUGAAACUCAAUGGAUUUUAGUUUCAAAAUAAUCCCAAAUGGCAUGAUCCACAUCCCUUAUAACCUCCAUAGACUCUAUCCAAAGAUGAUUAAACCUCGAUUCAAGUGUUUGAAGAACCUCCCACCAACGAUUUAUGAAGUUUUUCAUAAGUUUUGCAACACGUGGCUAACUAUCUCCCACCUUUGCAAAUACUGUGACAUAAUGCAAAAUGUAGUACCACCAAUCUUUGCCACCGAGCACCUCCUCUCUAAACAUGUAAUCUACAUAUGAGUUUCUUGAUCAUCAAAUAAGAAAUGCAGCCACCCAGCAAAAAAUGUACACUCGAAUUGAUGCACGAAAUCUGUUCGCUAACAUGAUUCACCUGAACCGUAUAUGCUCAACCCAUCCCGGCCAACAUGUUUGUCUCACACAAUAAGUGUACGAAUCUACAAAUUCUUUAUGCGGACAAUAAUUGGACUCAAGAUAGCAUGCAUUAAAAUGUGAUCAUGCAUUGGAUUUUCAACACGACAUAAAUCCAUUAUAUAUCCAGCAACUUUUUUUUUGACAAAAGCACGGUCUAUGUGGUAGAUAUACAUUAUCCAUGAUCCGAAAGAUUAAAAUCAAGGAUGUUUACAUAUAAGAAUAAUAUGGCUUUCUCUACAUCAACGGGAGUGCAAAGUUCAUCUUAUUGAAGAAAACCAAGAACUGAAUCAUGUGAAUGCGUUAGUAUACGUGUGUAUAUUAGGCUCACCUCCGACAAUACAGUUAGCUACAAAUUCUCUAAUUUGCUGUACUAUUGUCUAUCUCUGAACCUACCUAUAUAUUUAUAGUUCUAGAUGAACAGUCAGAUUGUUAUGUAGGAACAUAUAUAAAGCUUCCAAGGUGAUCAAUAAAACAAAAUGAUGUUAGUCAUCUAUAGUGGAAACAAAAUCAAGUUUUUUAUUCUGCAAAUACCAUUAUAUGUCUAUCCCAACCGAGUGUUCAUACUUAGUGCCAUCAGGAAGGUUGCAAAGCUGACUUCCAGUCCUGGAUUACUUUAGCCAACGCUUGUAGGGCAGCAACACACAUUUACGCAACAACUCUUGAUUAAUCCUUGCAUAGAGCUAGGUCCCUUGACUUGAACAUGCACGUACGUGUACAAUAGGCUUGGCUGAUCGGUUCUGCCGGCCGGCAGAAUAAAUAAUCAAUCUGCUUUGGUGUUCUCACUAUGUGCGUACACCUGCCAGCAGCUAGAUUGACCUGGAGACGAAUCAAAUCAGCUUUGCAUCGUUCAGAGUACUCGACCGUGUGGUAUUGUGCAACAUCAUUGACAGCCCUGACGUAUGGAUUUGCUGCACCGCUAUGGAACUCAGCGGGCUACAUCCCUAAGAAACUGGUAGAGCCGCACAUACCAUCCACUUGUGUCAUAGGAUUUGCAGUAGUUCCAUACCCUAUUAAUCUCCACAGGAAGAAUGCUGGUGGAGCUCGUAUAGGAUAUCUUGAGGAUAGUGCUCGAGGUCGAAGACGAUAUCCGGACAGCUGUCUUGUAGACCCCCGGCUCUUCGUCCCUCUUUGUGUACCUUGAACUGCUGCACUCUCGUGCUCCCCAAAUCAAGAGCGAUGGCAACCCGAGUUAGUUGUCAGGAUGUUGAGGACGGCAGCGGCGAGGGCAAAGGAUGGAGAUAGCGAUCGCAGCUGUUCUAUCUUGGGUCAGCAGGAAGAGAUGGGGAAAAUAAAUUUAGGGUUAGUUUUUUUUCUUACGUGAGAUUACUAACGCUUGUGACUCUUUUUCUUAGGGAUUAGGAAAGCUCUCAUGAACAAAUAACAACUAACGUGGUGACUAAUUGACGUGGGGAGUAAUUUUUUUUUUGAGAGAAGCUCGUAGCAUUUCUUUUUUUGUCUUUCUAUCUUUAUGUUGAAAAGGUAUUUUUAUGUAAUGGCAAUGGUGGGUAAUUUUUCAUUGAUGGGUGUUAGAAAAAAAUUGCCUCCAUACAACGGUUAUGUUUCUUUUUCGAGGGAUUUAGCGGCCAGAUCUUUCUAAUUAUUGUGGGAUUUUCUAGGAUAUUUCUAUUUUUCUAGUGAACCCAUGAAGUACUUUUUUAUAUAUAAUAGAUAGAUGGGGUACGUGAUGUAACAUGUGUGAAUGUGUAGUUGAUGUAUUUGGCAGGGCCUAGAUAGGUAUGUGUGUGUAUUACGUAUUCGACAGAGGCAUAGAUAGAGGGGCCGGCAAGGGGAGGGGACGUGGGAGAGAUAGCACGAGAAAUGAGAGUGGUCUAGAGAGAGAGAGACGAAUAUGAUGUCACGGCGAGAGAUUCCCUUGAGUGUGUAUAUGCAAGGGGGGAGGGGAUAGAGGCACCAGGAGAAUUUUUUUGUGUGGUGUCUGUGUUGGUAUGUGUGGAUGUGAGAAGAUAACGAGACCCGGGGGCAGAGGGUGUGUCACCGCGUGAGGUCCAGUGGGUCGAGGUGAGGCCCUUGGUUCGGUUCCAUCCUGCGCCACAUUGGUCGGCCCGUGACGCAUUAAGGGAGACCCAUAGAUGACUAGUCGUACAAGACAAAGAUAGCAGAAAUGUGAAGGAGUCUGUGUCCACUGACAAAGCCGGCUAGGAUUUGUAACCUUAGGUUCUCGGACUAAGGUAACCCCUUAUCUCUGAUAUUACUAUUCAUCCAAUCUAACUUUAAGGGGCAUCCUACAGAACGCUCUGCUAGAAUCAUACUCGUCGAUUAGGAAGAGAGGUGUGAGACAAUGCGUGAGAGACAUGCCUAAAGAUAAUGUGCGUACAGGAGACACGUAGGCAGAUCUAUGUAUAUAGAAAGGGUCGAUGGGGACUGUGUGUGUAUGCUUGUGAGAGUAAGAGUAUUUGUGAUAAAGGUUAGUGAAAACAGUCGUAAAUGGUUACGAUAGGGAGGGAGGGUUAUAUCAAGAGCAUGUUUGCGAGAAAGACACCCCGGGAGAGAGGGUGUGAGCAUAUGUGAGAGACCAUCGAUGGAGAGUGAAACUACAUGUAAAAGACUGAUGUAUACAUUGAUUAAAGAUAUAAAUUGUAUCCAAAUAUUAGGAUGGGAUCAUGAUAUUUGCAAUUCACAUAAGGAACGGUCAUUGAUCCAUCAGACAUCUAGAUUCUAUCGAAUUUGAGCAUGUCUAUGUUAUUAUUCGACAUAAUUGAUACACAUAGUUAGUAUUUUGAACUCCAGACAAUGCAUCGCUUUAGCAAUCGAAUAUAAACGUGAGUAUAGUUCAUGUUGUGUGUGUAAAGCAUAUUAUACAUACGAAAGUUACACAAUGAACAUUAUAAAUAGCUACCUAUGAACUAGCAUACAUUUGAAUUACACUUAAUGUGGUUUAAAAAAAUCGAAUUCAACAUGAAGUCUAUUCAAUUAUUUGAAUUUGAUAUCAUGGCAUUUGUAAAUCAUACCUAAAUUAUGGGUGCACCAAUCUUUGCUCUGAUUUUGUACAUAAUAGCAUAUAUAGUCGUGUACAAAAUAGAUUCCAAUUUAGCUGCUACAUUCCAAAAUAAUCGUAGUUAUAGGAUUUUCAAGUGUCAAAAUUUCAAAAAGAAGUGGAUAAUUUAAUGAAGUUUUCAAAUAUACAAGGUCAAAUUUAACAUUGUCUAUUUAGGUCAAUCCUCAAAGUUCAAGAGUACUCUAAAUGUGAAUACUUUUGUUUCAAAAUUUCGAACGAAGCGCCAAAAGAGCUUCUACUCGCCCGAAACCACGUGAGACCAAUGUUUGGUAGUAUAAGGAAAUUACUUUUCUAACUCCGACCCGUGAAACCUACCGUCCCGACGUCCAAACACUACUAGGGACAACCUUAUACACAGAGUGUUACCAGUAGCGCUUGUUUAAAUGAGGCGCUACUGCUACUUAGCAGUAGCGCGUCUGCUAGAACGGUGCUACUGUUACCCGCUUAGCAGUAGCGCGGCAGGAACAGAACGCGCUACUACUGUAAUUGCCACACAGUUCCCGACGUGCUAGGUAUAGUAGUAGCACCCUUCUAUGAACAGCGCUACUACUACGGAUUUUAGCAGCAGCGCGUUUUGCCUCCCCAUAAUACUGUUAAAGCUAUUUUCAACUAACCCCCCGCGCGGCCUGAUUCCCUCUCCUCUGCUUCCUCCCCCAAUUCUCCUCUACUAUUCCUCGUCGCCUCCGCCUCGCCGCCGUCUCCCCUGACCCCGCUUCGCCGCCCUCUCCCCCGACCCCGCCUCGCCGCCGUCUUCCUCGACCCCGCCUCACCGCGCCUCGGUGCCGCUGUCUCCCCCGACCCCAUCUCUCUCCCCGCCCUCUGUAAGCACUCUCCUCUUCCGAUCACCCUUCUCUGCUUAGUAUGAACCCUAGCUAUUUAGUGCUAGUUAGUAUGAACCCUAUGCUAUUUUUAGUGCUAGUCAGUUAAUUACUUAUAUGGUAAUUAGGGCAGUAGUUCCUAGGUACUAAUUAGUUAGUAAGAACUAGGUACUAAUUAGGUAUUAGUUUAUUUUUAUUUAUAGUAAGUUUAUUUUUACUAAGAACUAAUUGAAUUAAUAGAACUCGUUAGUAAGAACUUGUUGCUAUUUUUUUAGUUAAAGAAAUUUUUCCCGCAUCGACAUCGACGAUGCCUAUCACGCACCCUCGUCGUCGAGUCGGCGGAGGACGACACCUGCUUGACCAGACGGGCCAUGUCCGGGACUGGGCUCCGCCGGGGUGGUACUGGGAGGCGCUACCUAUCGGGAGGCACAGGUUGGUGAGGAGCCAGCCUGUCGUUGACCUGAACCUUCUUUGGUGGCGGUCGCAUGGGCCAGUGACGGUCCAGAGGCUCGAGGACCCCGCGGAGGUGGUGCGUCACCGUGUCAGUGAGGAGGACGCACACGUCCAUCGCUACUUGUUUGCGUUGGAGCACAGGUUCUCCAAUACCUGGCAGGUUCUCUAGGGAUCUCACUGGAUCUAUGAUCCCGUGAUGGUUCCUUCUCUAUGGGUGUCCACCGCCCGCGCCGAUACGCGUCGUGUGCUAGGGUUUUAGUUGUAUUAGUGAUGUUAUAUGUAUGACACUAUUCGGGAUGUAUUAGUGAUAAUAUUCGACGAUGUACGGACUCAUGAGAUGAUUUACUUUUGCUUAUUGAAUGCAUGCUAAUUUGAGUCCUAUAAGAUAUUUUGAAAUGUAUAUCUUGUGUUGCUCAAAUAGGAUAUGUGCUUACCCAAGUGGCAGGUCAUGUUUGCAGGUUACACCUCCGAGUGGCCUAUGUUUUUCCGGAGUGUUGAUUCAUUUUCGUUCCGGCAAAUUUCAGGCGCUCGAUAUGUCCUAUUUUAGCAAAGGUCAUGCCGGAUUUUUCCGUGAAUUUUGGCAUGACUUGUGCCAGAAUAUGUAGGAAAUAUCGAGUGCCCCGGAUUUGUGUGUUGAGUAUCGUGAUAGUUGUCUUCAAUCGAUUUUGAAUUAAUGUUUUAACUAUGAACAUAGGAAAUGUUUGACGACGAAAAGAAUUUCGGUAUUUGCAAAUACUGCGAAGACGAGCGCGGCCUAUGCGACGGAAUCUUCCUAGAUGAUGAUAGGCGCUUCAGCAUCAAGUUGGACGAGAACUUCGAAGUGGAUACAGUAACUCAGAACGACAAGUCUGUUUUCGUAAUUAAGCAUGACAUUUGCUUCAUUUGCUUCAACUUAUAAUUUAAGCAUGAUAUUAAGCAUGACAAGUCUUUUGUUUUACUAUUCUACUAGCGUAUCCCCUGCCAUGCAAGAGUUCUUGUAUUGGAUAAGAUAGGUUUCAGUCGUACUAUGGAGGAAAAGAAAUUUUACUUGAAGACCGAGCAUGGUUAUAUUUUCAACAUAAAAUUAUACAAUUCAGACGACUACACCUAUUUUGGAUGCAAAACAUGGCGAGCACUAUGCAAGACUUAUGCAUUUGAGCCUGAUAUGGUUAUCACCUUUGAUAUUCGUCCGAAAGAUCAUAUUGAAGGUAAUACCGACAUCUGGGUCGAUGUGCAGACGCCUCCAGUUAUACCAUUAUGUAAGUUUCUCAACCAUAUUUAUGUCUUUGAUAUUGUUUAUUUAAAAAUAGUUGAUAACUAAUUUGUAUUGUCAGCUUAUUUUGGUGCAAGCAAACAUGUCCAGCGCUUGGUAGAUAGGACUGUAUACUGUGCCGGGGCUGAACUCAACUGCGAGGAGCUCAGUCAUUAUGUUUCAUGGCUUGCGGAUCUUGAUACUGUCAAGAAAAAUUUUCUUCCUGCAUUUAGAAAUGUUAGUAUUGAAAACUGCGACCAAUAGUGUUCGUAAUGAACUAUGGUCACAUCUAUUUAGGAUGGAUGGUAAGAUUUUUACUAUUUGUCUUCAGUGCAUCUUUUCCAUACAUUAUUUUUGAAGCUAAACUUCAUUGCUAAGUAUGUUACCAUACGAUGUUCUACAACAGGGACUCCCGAUGAAUGUUGUGCCUUAUGGGAUCGAGACUAAAGGUAUCAUUAGUAUUAUUAGCUUAUGGCCAAUAUAUCCUACAGAUUACUUUAGUGCAUUCAAGAUUAGCGACGGAUGCUUAAUAGUGCAAGACUGGACCAAAUAUGUGGUGGGGGAGCGCAGAGAAGUACUAGGGGGCAGCAAACAGAUGCGCUACCCACGAUUAGGAGACAGGUUCAUCUGCAUGCUCCAACUUGAUCAAGGAGGAGAGCUAUACAUGUUUUAUGUUAUUUUACCUAAGAGAGAGCAGUAGGAGUGACACUAGUGCAGAACUGGGCAAUAGCACCGGUUCGUAAGGCCCUUUAGUGCCGGUUACAUAACCGGCACUAAAUUAUGGUCACUAAAGGCCCCCCCUUUAGUACCAGUUCAGCACGAACCGGUGCUAAAGGGCAACCACGUGGCACGAGCCAGCUCCGGGGGCCUGGAGCCCUUUAGUACCGGUUGGUAAGACCAACCGGUACUAUAAGGUUUGGGGGGUUUUUAGUUUUAUGAUUUCUUUUUCAUUUAAUUUUGUGUUUCCAUUUUAAUUCUUUUUCGUUUGCUGGUNNNNNNNNNNNNNNNNNNNNNNNNNNNNNNNNNNNNNNNNNNNNNNNNNNNNNNNNNNNNNNNNNNNNNNNNNNNNNNNNNNNNNNNNNNNNNNNNNNNNNNNNNNNNNNNNNNNNNNNNNNNNNNNNNNNNNNNNNNNNNNNNNNNNNNNNNNNNNNNNNNNNNNNNNNNNNNNNNNNNNNNNNNNNNNNNNNNNNNNNNNNNNNNNNNNNNNNNNNNNNNNNNNNNNNNNNNNNNNNNNNNNNNNNNNNNNNNNNNNNNNNNNNNNNNNNNNNNNNNNNNNNNNNNNNNNNNNNNNNNNNNNNNNNNNNNNNNNNNNNNNNNNNNNNNNNNNNNNNNNNNNNNNNNNNNNNNNNNNNNNNNNNNNNNNNNNNNNNNNNNNNNNNNNNNNNNNNNNNNNNNNNNNNNNNNNNNNNNNNNNNNNNNNNNNNNNNNNNNNNNNNNNNNNNNNNNNNNNNNNNNNNNNNNNNNNNNNNNNNNNNNNNNNNNNNNNNNNNNNNNNNNNNNNNNNNNNNNNNNNNNNNNNNNNNNNNNNNNNNUCACAAACCACCAUAUUAAUUAAUUCACACAUACACACAUGUAUAGCUAUAUACAAUUUCUCCUACAUAUGAAUGUUGCCUUCGGAGCCAGUGGCAUUAGCCUAAUUGGUGCCUUCGGAGCACGAUUACAAUUGGAAGUGGUUUUCAUGGGGGCGGUAGCGGGUAAUAGAAUUCUCCAUUCGGAUUUAUGACCUGGUCGAGCAAAAAUCCCGCUAUUUCCUCUUCAAGUGCUUCUACGCGCUCCCUUUCUAUGAGCUUCUCCCGCACCUCUUUGAACUGUUAAGAAGGAGAUCAAUAUGCAUGUGUAUUAGUUGUGUGACUAGAUAUCGAUAAUGGUGUAAAAAUUGUGAAUAGUGUUCUAACAAGCGUACCCAUUGCUGUCUUUGAGAUCUGCUCCUUUCGGACGCCAUCAUGCGAAUGUUCUCGCAAACGAAGAAUACACACAGAUCAGUCCCCUGCGCCUGCUUCAGGGCCUUUACGAGAAUGGAAUUUGAUCAGAUAAUAAUUAAUCAAGCAUGAUAAUUAAAGAGAUGGCAGCUAGCUAGCUAGCUAGCUAGUACUAAUUAAUUACUUACCUUGGGUCGAAUCCAUUUAAGCUUUUGUUUCCAUUCACCUUCCGUGACGCUGAUGAAUCUUUCCCAAGCCCUGCCCCCGCCGACAAAGAAAAUGAAUAAAGGGGUUAUUAAAUAGUUCAUAUCAUGAAAUGACGAACUAAAUAGGCCGAGAUAUAUAGUUAAUAAUGAUUGAAAUUACCUGUUGACUAUUCCAUACAAGAUGUUAUAGUCAGUUUUUUCUGAGAUUAGUGAGUCCAGUACUUCAACUGUUCCGGCGUCAACUUUUAUGAUACACAAGACCCAGUGAAAUCUGCAUGCAUACACGUUUACAUGUCUUAAUUAAGCGGGCAUAUGUAAGCAAAAACAUGUAGCUAGCUAGUAGGCAAAAACAGAGAAUUUGUAGUACAAGACAGUGUGACUCACUGGAAGUUGUAAGGAAGUAGUAUAUCUUCAUUAUAUUUGAGGCGCUUCAAGAACUCUAGCAUGCUGUCCUCUACUUCCUUUGCACAACGUUUAUUUAUCUUCCAUGUGUAUUCAUUAACGGUGUUUGGGUCAAUGAACCCAAUGCCAAAGCGUCCACCUUUUCUCAUUUCAUAUAUCUUCAUCCUGCAUAUAUAAUACCACAGAAAAUAAUAUAGUGAGGAUAAUUACAGGUAAUGAUUGAUCAAAAGGAUCACUACAGCUAGCUUGAGACUUAAAUUAUAGAAAGAAAUCACUUACAGACAAUAGCAACUGAUGAUAGAUUUGUUGAGUGCGUCUUGAUUGUAUAACUGAAACAGUUCUAAAUACUCAACGGACACAGCUUUCUCAUGGUAGUAAUGGUCCUGCUUGACAUUCACCAUGAGGGACAAUCGCUCUGAAAUCUUGGUAAUGUUCAUGUACCAUUGAUGCAAUUCAUACAUUCUCGUUGGGAGGUUCUUGACCUUGUCUGGCGCGACCAAAGGUUGGCCCCGGACAUAUUUCCGUUUUACUUCAUCCUCUCUAAGCAAAGGCAUGGGCUCGAUCUCGAGGAGUUGUCCAACAGUGAUGUUGAGAACUUCAGCCUGCAUUAUAUGCUCCUUCGUUAUUACCACAUUGCCCACCUCGGGAACAUGCACUGUUUGCCCACAAUAAUAUUGGGCGCGCGUACUGUCACCUGUUAUUGGCACAACAAGCGAGGGGAUCGAUUGCGCCGCCUGUUCUCCCAGCUGGGGAAUGGUUUUCCCGCAUUUUUUGGCAGCUGCUUCUUGUUUGCUCGAUCCCGAUGUAGAGGUGCUCGCCUUCCUUUGUAGACGUGCUCGAUUUAACUUCCUGAUGUGGCGCUCAUAGUCUGUGUCAACAGGCUUGGAAGCUGGUGGUUGAGCCAUACGAAUGAAGUGGUCAAUCGUUUACUCAGGCACUUUCUCCCAUGGCGGCGGUGGCGGUUUCGGUGCAAAAUGGGCUUCCACCUCGGCCUUCGAUAUGGCUGUGAUUUCCUCCUCGGACCUGUCAUAAGACCUCUGCGGAAGAGGCUUGAGGCUUGGACCAUAUUUAUAUCGCUUGCCUCCGCAUGUACUUCCUGUACUACCUCGACUCGUACCGCUACGCACCAUAGCUGCGGGGUGUCUCUUCUGCGAUUGCUGAGGCGGCGGAGACGGCUGACGGGACUGAAUUGGACGAGGAGGAGUGGCCUGAGGUUGUGCCGGACUUGGAGGAGGAGUGGACGUCUGACGCUGUGGCGGACUUGGAGGAGGAGGAUUGUCCUGACACUUUGCCAUACUUGGAGGAGGAGGAGUGGCCUGACACUUUGCCGGACUUGGUGGACUUGCAGGAGCGGGAGUCUGCUGACUCGGUGGCGGACUUCAACAAGGACUUGGCUGACGCGGUGUCGGUGGCCUUGGAAAGAUGAUGCAAUCCUUUUUCCAUAGGAUGGUACGAUGUUUGGUCUCUCCGAGAAAGCGCUCGCCGUCACCUCCAACAAUGUCAAGCUGUAGCCUCGAAUAUGGUGGGUCCACCACCUCAUCAACCAAGACACGAGCAUAGCCCGCUGGAAUCGGGUUGCAACGGAAGGUUGCCUCGGGGGGAUUUGUGAAAGCACAGACGUCCGCCACCUCCAUGGAUAUGUUCUUCAUUUUGACGUGUAGCUCGCAGUUAGUGUUCUUCGUGAUGUCAUCCACGGGGUAUCUACCCAGCAUUGCAUCGUCCGGGACGGAACCCACGCUGCUUCUCGGCAUGGAUGGGCCGGUGCUAUCCAAUGUUGGAUCAUACGCUAGCUGCUGCAGCUGCUGAGACCCCCUUUGAUGGGUAAGUGAGUCGAUCUGCUCCUGCUGCCGCUGGAAUUUGACUGCCAAUUCCACUUGACUUGCUUCUAGGCCUUGAAGGCGUUCAUAGUCCCGCUUCCUCUGCUCCUCCUCCAUCUUCCUCUUCUUCUCCUCCGCAAUCUUCUUUCUCGCACGGGUUCUGUAGUCGUUGUUCCAGUCUGAAAACCCCUCAUACCACAGCAAAGCGCCCUUGCCUCGUGUUCUUCCCGGGUGUUCAGGAUUUCCCAGGGCACGCGUAAGCUCGUCGUUCUCUCUGUUGGGCUGGAACACCCUCGUUCGUGCCUCUUCUAUUUCAACAAGUAUCGCAUCGUCGGCUCCCUUCAGACUUGCCCUCGUCGAAACAUUGCCUGUCUCCCGGUCCAACUCCCCCCCAUGCGCAUAGAACCAAGUCCUGACCCUGGGGGGCCAGCUCUUAGUAGCCGGAGUGACACCUGCAUCCUCCAUCUCUUUCUCAGACUUAUCCCACUUAGGCAUUGCCACCGCAUAGCCACCUGGCCCCAGCUUAUGGAACUUAUCCUUUUUUCGGCAUUCUUCUUGUUUAUUCUCGACCGUUCCUUAGCUAAUUCCGAAUCCUUGAAUUUCACGAAAUCGUCCCAAUGAUCACGUUGGUUCUCCAGUGUUCCCUUGAAUACUGGAGUCUUCCUUCCUACCUUGACGUACUUGUUCCAUUCACGAUUCUUGUAAUUCUUGAAUGCAGUCGCCAUCAUCCUAAGAGCAGCCUCUUUGACUUUCUGCACAUCUGCUUCUGUGAAAUGAUCUGGUAGGGUGAAAUGUUCCAUGAGAGUAUCCCAAAGCAGAUCUUUUUGAUUCUUGUCGACAAAAGUAACAUCUGGACGUGGCUUUGCUGGUGCUCUCCAUUCUUGAAGUUUGAUCGGGAGUUGGUCCUUCACAGGAACUCCGCACUGACGAACGAACUUGUCCGCGAUCUUCUUAGGCGCUAAUGGUUUGCCAGUAGGGCCGCAUGCCUCGAUAUUGUACUUUACGCCCGGCUUCAACUUUUUGUUCGGGCCUCGUUUCGUCAUUUUGCCUGAAGAUUUGCUCGAUCCGGAUGGCUGAAAGAACAAAGAUUGAUUCGUUAAUAUAUCUUCAAGUCAUUUAAAACAUGUGAUGAUCACCAGAUGCCUGCUUAUAUAAAUAUAUAUAACUCGCCGGUGUUUGUUGUUUCAGGAUCAACAUGUUCUUCGUCAUCGUCAUAAUCAUAGUUCAUGACUUCAUCAAUUUCGUCGUCGCGAUCGAAUAUCAUAUCACCCUCUCCGGUGUUGUUUAGAAAUUCGGAGCCGUCAUAAUCUUCUUCAUUCUGAUUAUCAUCUGCCCCGCGUAUCAUAUCGAACAUGGUCUGUUCUUCCUCUCUGUCGGUAUUGUCUGCCAUAGUUUUUGUUUAACUAAUCCAAAAGAAAUAUAAAACAAUUUAGUAUUCAAAUCUCGAAUAAUAGAUAUAAUCUCGAAUACGUCGUCCAGAAUAAUAGAUAUAAUCUCGAAUACAUCGUCUCGAAUAAUAUAUAAUAUUGAAUAGUACAUCACUGGCUAUUAGCUAAUAAAGAUCGAAUAAUACAGAAGAAUCUAGGACACUCGCGGUUCCUCCGGCGCGGGCGGUGGACACCCAAAGAGAAGGAACCCUCACAGGAUCAUAGCUGAAGUGAGAUCCCCGAAGAUACUGCCACGUAUUGGAGAACCUGCCGCCCUAUAACGCAACCAUGUAGCGAUGGACGUGCUCGUCCUCCUCCCUGACAUGGCGACGUACCACCUCCGGCGGGGCCGGGUCCCUCCGCACCGAAACUGGCCCACACGAACGCCACCAAACGAGAUCAGGGUCGACGACGGGACCCGCGGCCGAGUUCCUCAUCAAGCGGCGCGUCCCUCCAAGCAGCACCUCCUAGUGCCAGCCCGGCGGAGCCCAGUCCCGGACAUGGGUCGGCUGGACGUCGUCGCGGACGGGUCGACGGCGAGGAUGCGGGCCGGGCAUCGUCGAGAACAAAUACUAGCUAUAUGCCCGCAAAAAGUAACAUUUUUUUAAUGAUUGGACUUUGAUAACUAAAAUUUCUAACAUUUCUAUAUAACACUAAUUAUGCUAAUCUAAAUAAUCAAAAUAACACUAAAAUUUCUAACAUUUCUAACAUUCCUAUAUAACACUAAUUUCUAACAUUUCUAUAUAACACUAAUUUCUAACUGAUUAAGCACUAAUUAUAUCCAUCUAACAUGCAUUUAUACAUAUAUAAUAGUGAAAAAAUAAUAAUCUAAAUAAUCUAAACUAAUUAAACACUAAUUAUCUAAACUAAUUAAACAUACAAAAUAAUAAUCUAAAUAAUCUAAACUAAUUAAAGACUAAUUCUCUAAACUAAUUAAAGACUAAUUAUCUAAUGCUUGUGUGUGUGUACGGGCUCGGGGCUGGAGACUCACAGCGGGCGACGGCGACGGCGAGGCGAUGGCGAGGCGACGACGAGGAGAGGCGACGGCGAGGCGACAGCCGGGGCGGCGACGGCGGGGACGGCGCGACGGGGACAGGGGCGGCGACGGGGACGGGGGCGGCGACGGGGACGGGGGCGGCGACGACGGAGACGAGCGGCGACGUCGGAGACGAUCGAGGGCGGCGGCGACGGCGACGAAGACGACGGAACAGAGGCGAAAACAGAGGGAAACUGAAAUUUUCGUAGCAGUUGUAUAUAUAGAAGGCACCUUUAGUACCGGUUGGAGCCACCAACCGGUACUAAAGGUCUGUUUUGGCCAGGCCAAGCGGCGGGAAGCGACCCCCUUUAGUACCGGGUGGUGGCACAAACAGGUACUAAAGGCCCCCCCUUUAGUACCGGUUUGUGCCACGACUAGGUACUAAAGGGUGUGCGCUGGCGCAGGUGCGGUGCGGAAGUUUAGUCCCACCUCGCUAGUCGAGGGGCUACCGCACUGGUUUAUAAGCCCCAGUGCGGUAGUUCUCUCGAGCUCCUCUCCUAAUUAGGCCUACUGGGCCUACCUGUCCUCCUCGCCUAGUGGGCCUACUGGGCCUUCGCGGGCCUACAUCCUGGCCCAACGAAAGGUUGUGUCGUUAGUCGUAUGCAGGCCGCUUUGGCCCAGUAGGCGGGCUUUUUUUUUCUUAAUUUUUUUUUAUUUUUUUGUUUUAUUUAUUUUUGAGUUGUUUUUUGCUGUAUUUAGAGUUUCUUUGUGAAUAUUUUUUCUUUAGGUACAAAAAAUUACAAACUUUCUGUUAGUGCCGGUAGGUUUCAAAUUUGAAAAGUUUAAAUUUUGAAUUAUUUGAAAUUUGUGUGAAUCACUAGUUUGUGAAUAACUUAACUUUGAAAAAAGUUUUUCAGUGAUUCUUUUUUUUUAUGUUUAAUAUUAGUGUGUUUUAUCAUUAUAUUCAAUUUAGUAAUGCUUAGGUUAUUUAAAAAAUGAAAUGCCUUUGUAACAGUUCAGUUUUCGUCGGAAACCCUGAUACUUCGAAAGAGAUUGUCCAUUUUGUACACGAAGUGCAUCCAGUUUUUGCCGUAACCCUCUCUACUUUCUUGCACAUGCUAUUUGUAUGAAAUUAUGAUACCAUGCCAACUUUCAACCUUUUCUGAGUUCAUUUGAAUUGCUUUUCAAUUUCAGGGUCAUUUAGCUGGAAAAAAAUCAGUAAAUGCAUGAAAAGAAUUUGUUUGCACAUAAAAUUUCUUCGCGUUUCAAAUGCCAAAACACAUAACUACCCUAACUAUUACAGACAUUCCCUCCUGGGUGUGAAACACAGAAGAAAGUGAUGAUAGUGAAGCCGAUCACAUCCCAGAUCUUUGGGUGUGAAACUUUUUUUUCGUGUGUGUCCCUUUGCGCCGUAACCAUGGAAAAUCUUCAUCAUUUAACGGGAUGCUCGGGUCAAUAUUCACUGUGAAUGGAGCAAUUUCAUCAAACUUUUCAUAAUCUUCUAACUUGUCUAUCUUGUCAUCCACUCCCACGAUGUUUCUCUUCACAGAAAGAACUAUGUGCCGCUUUGGCUCAUCGUACGAUGCAUUCGCUUCCUUAUCUUUUCUUUUUCUUGGCUUGGUAGACAUGUCCUUCACAUAGAAAACCUGUGCCACAUCAUUGGCUAGGACGAAUGGUUCGUCUGCAUACGCAAGAUUGUUGAGAUCCACUGUUGUCAUUCCGUACUGCGGGUCUUCCGUUACCCCGCCUCGUGUCAUAUUGACCCAUUUGCACCGAAACAAAGGGACCUUUAAACCACGUCGAUAGUCAAGUUCCCAUAUGUCCUGUAUAUAACCAUAAUAUGUUUCCUUUCCCGUCUUGGUUUCUGCAUCAAAGCGGACACCACUGUUUUGGUUGGUGCUCUUCUUAUCUUGGGCGAUUGUGUAAAAUGUAUUACUAUUUAUCUCGUACCCUUUGAAAGUCAUUAUAUUCGAAGAUGGUAACUGGGACAGCAAGUAUAGGUCAUCUUCAAUAGAGGUGUCAUGCAUGGUACGUGUCUGCAACCAGUUGGCGAAACUCCUGGUUUGUUCACGUGUAAUCCAGUCAUCAGACCGCUCCAGGUGUUUGGAGCGUAGCAAAUUCUUGUGUUCAUCCAUAUACGGAGCCACCAAGGUGGAAUUCUGUAGAACUGUGUAGUGUGCUUCAGUGAGAGAAUGUCCGUCCAUACAUAUUAUUUGUUCCCCUCCUAGCGUGCCUUUUCCAUCCAGUCUGCCCUUAUGCCGCGAUUCAGGAACACCAAUCGGCUUAAGGUCAGGAAUAAAGUCAAUACAAAACUCAAUGACCUCCUCAUUUUGAUGGCCCUUGGAGAUGCUUAUGAACAUAUUUCUUUAAGACUCCCAUGAACCUCUCAAAGGGGAACAUAUUGUGUAGAAAUACAAGACCCAAAACGUUAAUCUCUUCGCAUAGGUGAACUAGCACGUGCGUCAUGAUGUUGAAGAAGGAUGGUGGGAACACCAACUCGAAACUGACAAGACAUUGCACCAAAUCAUUCUGUAACCUUGGUAUGAUCUCUGGAUCGAUUACCUUCUGAGAGAUUGCACUGAGAAAUGCACAUAGCUUCACAAUGGCUAAUCAAACGUUUUUCGGUAGAAGCCCCCUCAAUGCAACCGGAAGCAGUUGCGUCAUAAUCACGUGGCAGUCAUGAGACUUUAGGUUCUGGAACUUUUUCUCUGCCAUGUUUAUUAUUCCCUUUAUAUUCGACGAGAAGCCAGACGGUACCUUAAUACUGAGCAGGCAUUCAAAGAAGAUUUCCUUCUCUUCUUUGGUAAGAGCGUAGCUUGCAUGACCCUGAUGUAUGCCGUCUUCUCCGUGCAUACGUUGCUGGUCCUCCCGUGCCUCAGGUGUAUCUUUUGUCUUCCCAUACACGCCCAAGAAGCCAAGCAGGGUCACGCAAAGAUUCUUCGUCACGUGCAUCACGUCGAUUGCGGAGCGGACCUCUAGUUCUUUCCAAUAUGGCAGGUCCCAAAAUAUAGAUUUCUUCUUCCACAUGGGUGCACGUCCGUCCGCGUCCUUCGGAACAGGUUGUCCGCCAGGACCCUUUCCAAAUAUCACCUUCAAAUCCUUGACCAUAUCAUGUACAUCAGCACCAGUACGGUGGCGAGGCUUCGUCCGGUGAUCCGCCUCACCUUUGAAAUGCUUGCCUUUCUUUCUUACGGGAUGCCUGCUCGGAAGAAAUCAACGAUGUCCCAGGUACACAUUCUUCUUACAACUAUUCAAAUAUAUACUGUCGGUAUCAUCCAAACAGUGCGUGCAUCCGCGGUAUCCCUUGUUUGUCUGUCCUGAAAGGUUACUGAGAGCAGGCCAAUCAUUUAUGGUCACGAACAGCAACGCCUUUAGGUCAAAUUCUUUCCCCAUGUGCUCAUCCCACGCACGUACACCUGUUCCAUUCCACAGUUGUAAGAGUUCUUCAACUAAUGGCCUUAGGUACACAUCAAUGUCGUUGCCGGGUUGCUUAGGGCCUUGGAUGAGCACUGGCAUCAUAAUGAACUUCCGCUUCAUGCACAACCAAGGAGGAAGGUUAUACAAACAUAGAGUCACAGGCCAGGUGCUAUGGUUGCUGCUCUGCUCCCCAAAAGGAUUAAUGCCAUCUGCGCUUAGACCAAACCAUACGCUCCUUGCGCCAUCUGCAAACUCCUUCCCGUACUUUCUUUCGAUUUUUCUCCACUGCGACCCGUCAGCGGGUACUCUCAACUUUCCGUCUUUUUUACGGUCUUCUCUGUGCCAUCGCAUCGCCUUGGCAUGCUCUUUGUUUUGGAACAAACGUUUCAACCAUGGUAUUAUAGGAGAAUACCACAUCACCUUGGCAGGAAUCUUCUUCCUGGGGCGCUCGCCCUCGACAUCACCAGGCUCAUCGCGGCUGAUCUUAUAGCGCAAUGCACCACAUACCGGGCAACCGUUCAAAUCCUCAUACUCACCGCGGUAGAGGAUGCAAUCAUUAGGGCAUGCAUCUAUCUUCUGCACCUCUAACCCUAGAGGGCAGACAGCCUUCUUUGCUUCGUACGUACUCUCGGGCAAUUCGUUGUCCUUUGGAAGCAUUUCCUUUAUCAUUACCAGCAACUUUCCAAAUCCCUUGUCAGAUACACCAUUCUCUGCCUUCCAUUGCAGCAAUUCCAGUGUGGUGCCCAGCUUUUUCUUGUCACCUACGCAAUUCGGGUACAACAAUUUUUUGUGAUCCUCUAACAUGCGCUGCAACUUCUUCUUCUCCAAAUCACUUGCGCAGUUUCUCUUUGCAUCGGCAAUGGCCCGACCUAGAUCAUCAACGGGCUCAUCUGAUGCCUCUUCUUCAGCUUCUUCCCGCAUUGCCGGCUCAGCUUCUUCCCGCAUUACCGACUCAGCUUCUUCCCCCAUUGUUGUAUCAUCGUAUUCAGGGAACCCAUGGCCAGGAUAGCUGUCGUCGUCCUCUUCUUCUUCAUUGUCUUCCAUCAUAACCCCUCUUUCUCCGUGCUUGGUCCAAACAUUAUAGUGGGGCAUGAAACCGGACUCAAACAGGUGGACGUGAAUGGUUCUUGACGUAGAGUAAUUGUGACCAUUCUUACAGCCAGCACAUGGACAAGGCAUAAAACCAUCCGCCCGCUUGUUUGCCUCAGCCGCAAGCAGAAAAGUAUGCACGCCCUCAACGAACUGGGGAGAGCAUCCGUCAUCGUACAUCUAUUGCCGGCUCAUCUUCAUUACACAACACCGAAUAGACCAAAUUAAUACAAGUUCAUACAUAAAGUUGAUACAACACUUAAAUGUAACAAACAAAUAACUCUCUAGCUAAAGCAUUUAAAUGCAACAACAAAUGCGAUCAAGAUCGCAACUAAGGUUACAAUUGAUCCAACAGCAUAAUGAUACCAAGCCUCACUACCGAUGGCAUAUUUUCUAAUCUUUCUAUUCUUCAAGCGCAUUUUCUCCAUCUUGAUCUUGUGAUCAUCGACGACAUCGGCAACAUGCAACUCCAAUUCCAUCUUCUCCCCCUCAAUUCUUUUCAAUUUUUCUUUCAAGUACUCGUUUUCUCUUUCAACUAAAUUUAACCUCUCGACAAUAGGGUCGGUUGGAAUUUCCGGUUCACAUACCUCCUAGAUAAAAAUAUCUAUGUCAACUUGAUGGGCAUAAUUUGUCAUAAACACGAAAUGCAACAAAUAGUUUUAAAAGAGAAUAUACCACAUCCGAAUCAUAACAAGGACGAGGGCCGACGGGGACGGAUAUCAAAACCAUGGCACUAUGUAUAACAAACAACGUACGGGUAAGAUAAUUAUUACAUGAUUAACUAUAUAUCCAAAUCACACAAACAUCAAUUUUUUAUAUAAAAUUUCAUGAACAAGAGGCUCACCACAAGGUGGUGCCGGUGACGGGACAGUGCGGGCGUUCGACGGUGGUUACGACGGAGAUUUAGAAGGCACUAAGUAAACCACACCUACAUAUGCAAACUAAGUGUUAUUUUUGACCUCAAAUUGCAUAUAAAUCAAAUACUAGCACAUAUAUAUAUUUCCUCCCAAAUUACUAAACUCACAAAUUAGUAACUAUACAAAGCAUGGGAAGAGCUAAUCUAGCAAUGAGAGAUGAAAGGACAAAGUUGCUAACCUUUGUGAUCACUUGAAUGGAUGGGGGCCUUCAAAUCUUGACAAAUUUUGGGCAAAAUGUGUGAUGAGCUCGAGGGGAGAAGAGGAAGAACAGAGAGGAGAGGAGAGGGGAAAGGGGGGAGAACAGAGCGAGCUUGACGAAGGGUUUAUAUGUAGGACGACCUAUAGUACCAGUUCGUGGCACGAACCGGUACUAAAGGUGCUGGAGGGGGCCCAGACUGACAACAUCCUGCCACCACCCUCAUUAGUACCGGUUCGUGGCACGAACCGGUGCUAAAGGUUAGCCACGAACCGGUACUAAUGAGAGCGGCCCGGCUAGCCGUUGGAACCGGCACUAAUGUAUACAUUAGUGCCGGCUCUAAUACAAACCGGCACUAAUGUGCUGCACGUUUGACCCUUUUUCUACUAGUGUGAUUAGCUAGCUAGAAAUGAGUUUGAGGAUGAUGAUGUGCUAUACUAUUACUAUGAUGAUAAAAUAGCUAGUGUUGGUGGUAAUGACUAUGAUGAUUAUUAUUAGCUAGUGUUAGUGGUGAUUAAAUAAAUACUGUUGGUGGUAAUGACUAUGAGGAUGAUUAAAUAGCUUGUGUUGGCGGAUUAGAUUCAAGUGGAGGCAACAUGUGGUGCACAUCGAAAGUACUACUAGUCCAAACUAGAUCAAGUUUGGAUUAGUAGUAUACUUUUGACAUGCACCACAUAUUGCCUCCACUUGAACCUAAUCCACCUUCAUUUGAUACACUGUUAUGGACAUAAUGAUGUAAAACUCAUAACUGGUAUUGUACCAAUAUUUGUACGAUGGCGCAUAAAUACACUAAAAAAAUAAAAAAAUAAUACUAGUAGUGAUGGAGAGAAAACACGCUGCCAGUAGUUACAUUAGCAGUAGCGUGGGAAUGAACAAACGUUGCAGCUAUUUGUCCUAGCAGUAGCGCGUGCGGGCACGCGUUACUGCUAAGCAAUAGCUGUAGCGCCUUAUUAGUAGCGCGCCUGCCCGCGCUACUAGUGAGCACAAAACCAGCGCUACUGCUAGGGUUUUCCCUAGUAUUGAAAGGUCUAAACCGGGGUAGGUUUGUAGCUUCAUCUAGACGCCACGCAACCGCGUCCGAAAAAUAUUCAUACACAAUGGCUGCCUAAGCACACAUGCAAGCGGCCGAAAUCGCUCCCGUCCACUAUUUGGGACACCUGGGAUUACCAUCCUACCCAUGACCCAUAGUAGGUCCAAAUUUUAGAGGGGGGCAAAGUUUGUACUUUCCCCAAAUUUCAAACAAGCGCGUCCCAUCUGUUCAAAAAAGCCAAAAACAAGCGCGUCUCAGACCGAAACAUGGUUCUCCCUUAGCUCCCCCGCCCACCCGUCCGAUUCCCCAUUCGUACUCUGUGGGCACCAAAACUACCUCUCCACCAGCCGCGAAACCCUGGCGUCCUCCGUCCCCCACCCCAUCCCACCCAUCAACCGCCGCCCUCCUCCAUCACGUCGGAGCCAAUACCUCGACGUCGUCGUCCACCGCAACCUCAACCGCAACGCCCUCCACGUCUAGUAGUUGAAGCCGAGGCCGAGCCGUCCGUACCUGAGCCAGUUCAACCAUGUCGUCCUACGCCUCACCGCUGCCGCUCCAACUUCGCCACCGUCCACCGCACAGGAGUUGUUCCUGCUACGCCGUCCUUCGCCGCCUCGGAUCUGCUUCUCCUCCACCGACAGACGGCCACGGCAACACAGUCAACAAUUUGGCCAUGGGUUCGUCCAAGGCUCCACCAUCCUCCAAAACAUCGGUUCCCCUGGCAAAAAGAAGAAGAUCGCCACGACAUAUGGAGGAGACCACACUAGCAACCAGAAAUGGUACUCCUCUUCCCUUAGUCGUGCAAAUCUUACGUGUCUGCUUAUAUAGUAUUCAUCCCACAGAAGGCACUAGUUGACCGCUUCUUGUUGAUACUAGAUGUUCCUAGUAACUCGCGAUGCACAAGGUUUCUCCUGAUAUACUAUUUCACCUUAGCUAGACGUCCGUCGUCCCCUGGAUUUCAAUUCCUGCUCAGUUGAUUCACAAAUGGAAGCAUUCCCCAACGUAAUAGGCGCUAGUCCGCCUAUUACGCCGGGGAAGCAGUGCCUCGGUGUUUAUCUUAGGGGCGUGUGGGGCCUAGAGCUGCUGGCGCCCGAUCUGGAGGUUGGCCGGUAUUAAAGGGAUGGCCUGGGGGCGCUGCCAAGCACGGCGGUGGUGUGAGGUCGAGGAGAGGGCGGGGCGGCGGAGGCAGGGGUCUGGGCCGGUGAUCGCUAGCGGUUCGAGCAAGAUUGUCAAUAGUGACUGGCGGGAGGUAGACGAAGGCCAUGUGCCCGUUCCUUAUAGAUCAGACGGUUCAUAAAAAAAUCGACUGGCCUAUUUAUUUUCAGUCGACUGUUAUCUUUAUAUGACCACAUGUGGUGGUGUGCUAGAGGAGUACCUGCAUUUCCUGUGUUCAUAUAUUACAAAAUCAUACGAAGUAGAAUCUAAUUUUGUUUGCCAUGCAAUGUUGUAGAGUUAUCACAUGUCUCCUGUCAUUUAUUUUUCAGCCACCUGCCAUCUGCUACUUUUACAGUGCACUAGUUCUACACACACUUCACCCUUACUCCCACUAUUGUAUUUUUAUGCAAGGGUAUUUCAGAAUCUGCUGCCAUGAGAGAAGCAAAAAAGAAAAGAGAGAAGUCGCUCCAGCGUCGUACGCGGAUCGGCCAGACACGUUUCACCCUUAUAAAGGGUGUAGUGUCAGAAGUUGGAGACGGUAAACGUAGCUUUGGAGUUGAUGACCUCACUCGCAAUGAACCACCAUCCCAGGUGCUUGCUUUAACUUUGCGGUGUCAUAUGUGGUUGCAUGUUCCAUAUGGUGUCUAUCUUGUAUUCGAAAGGCCGAAGUCGGUCUUUAUUAAGAUAAGGAAAUAUAUUUCUUACAUGAACCACCAUCCCAUGAGCACAAGAAGACAAAUAGCUAGUCACGGCACUAGCCGAGCUAGUGACAAGCCCAGCACAGACAGGCAUCACCUGGAAGCCAACUAAAAAGCCACGAUGGUGGCGAAGUAGCCCGCCUCCCACCAGGCUCUCAGGUCCUAGAUGAUCGCGCUCACCACUCCAACCGGAUAUCUAGCUUUUAUUACUUCCAAUUUGGUUAAAUUGCAUCUGCUUAGCUUACAUAUUAUAUCUUUGAAUAUGACAUGCCUUCCUGUUUUUGGUACAUACUAGUACUUCUCUCUAUUAACCAUGUUCUUACCCCAAACUAAUGUUCUUGUGUAUCCCUCAUCGAUCACUUAUGAUGAGGCAGUCAGGCCAGUGGACUACUGUGAGUAAAGAUCCUCAUUUAAAGAAUGCAUCGUCAGCCUCCCGACAUGAUUCUCAAGAAACAGUAAGGCUAGAUGAAGAUAGUGAAGGUAGCUCUGUAGUUGAUUAACACAUUUCUCCUACACUAUCAUCGCAGGUGCUUGCUCUAAUUUGGCAGCGUGAUAUGUGGUUGCAUGUUGCAUAUGGUGUCUAGAAUGUAAUUCUUCCAAUCUGGUUAAAUUGCAUGCGCUAUUCUGCUUAGUUUUUACAUUAUACCUGUUAAUGUGACAUUCCUUCCUAUUUUUAGUACAUAGUACAUCUGUCUAUUAAGCAUGUCCUUACAUAAAACUAUAGUUUUUUUGUAUCCCGCAUCAAUCAAUAUGACGAGACACCUUUAGUAUAUGCAGUGCGAUAUUAGUUGCAUCUUUCAUAUGAUUUAUAGCAUGCGCUGCUUCUAAUUUGUUGAAAUGCCAUUUAUGAUGGGACGCUUUUAACUUGGCAGAGUCAUAUUGGUUGCAUCUUUUAUGUGGUGUCUAGCUUGCAUUGCUUCGUAUUUGUUGGAAUGAUUUCUGCUUAGUUUACACAAACAGUUGUGAAUAUGCCAUGCCGUCCUAUUUUUCGUACAUAUUCUAUCCUGGUAUCAUGUGUUUGCCUUACUUCAAAGUAGUGAUUGUCAGUAUCAAAGAGAGAAUUUUAUUGCUUUUUCUUGUCGGUUUUACUUGACAAUUCAAAAUCAAUAAAGCGGAAGGAAGUUAGCAAGGUAGAGGAUAAAGGUGCUCCUUCCAAACGGAGGGCCUCUACAGAUUCUACUCCUCCAUCCCCCCAAGAUGAUUUGCGAGACAACACAUGCAUAGACACUCAACGUAGAUGUGUUGAUGAUGUCUCCCCUAGUGCACCAUCACAGGUGCUCUCUCUAACUUGGCACUGUUAUAUGUGGUUGCAUGUUAUGUAUGAUGUCUAGCUUGUAUUGCUUCUAAUUUUGUUGAAUUCCAUCUACUUACUUUACACAUUAUACUUGUGAAUAAGACACGUGUUCCUGUUUCUAGAACAUACAAUAUCUGUCUAUCACACCAUGUUCUUACAUCAAAGUACUACUGUUGUGUAACCUGCAACAAUCACUUAUCAUAAGACAGGUUUGAAUUGGGAGUGUGAUAUAGGUUACAUCUCGCAUUCUUUUCUAACUUGUACUACUUCUAAUUUGUUGAAAUGGCACUUAUGAUGAGACAAUUUAAACUUGAUAGAGUGAUAUUUGUUGCAUCUUUCAUAUGGCGUCUACCUUUCAUUGCUUCUAAUUUGUUGAAAUGCCUUCUUCUUAGUUUACACAUCAUAAGUUGUGAAUAUGCAAUGCUGUGAAUAUGCAAUGGCACUAACGAUGAGAAACCUUUAACUUGGUAGUGUGAUGUUGUUUGCAUCUUGCAUAUGAUUUAUUUCUUGUACUGCUUCACAUUUGUUUAAUCGCCAUUUAUGAUGAGACACUGUGAACUUGGCAGAGCGAUAUUUCUACCAUCUUUCAUAUGGUGUCUACCUUCCAUUGCAUUGCUUCUAAUUUAGUGAAAUGUCUUCUGCUUAGUUUACACAUCAUAGUUCUGGUUAUCUCAUGCCGUCCUGUUUUUCGUACAUAUUACAUCCUCCUAUCAUGUGGUUGUCUAACCUCAAAGUUCAGUUCGUGUGUAUCAUGCAUCAAUUUGUUCUGAAGAACUAAAUUGUUAUUCGUUUUUCUUGUCGGCUUGACUUAACAUGGCACGGAGAAAGAGGAAGCAACACAGAAUGACAGGGAAUGGGAAGCAGAAGAAUCCUGCAGAUUUUGCUGGUACUGAUUACUACUAGGAAAAGGCUAUAGGUAAUAUGGACAUUAAUGGCGCACCACACAUGUGGUGCGCCACUACUAUAUAGCAGUGGCGCACCAUGUGUUGGUGCGCCAUUAGUGUGAUGGACACUAAUGGCGCACCACACCCAUGGUGCGCCACUACUAACAAACUUUUUUAUUAUUUUUCCAAAACUACUAAUGGCGCAUCAAGGCACAGUGCGCCAUUACAAGUUUUAACUAGUAAUGGCGCACCACUCAACCCGUGCGCCACUACUAACAAAAAAAAAUUCACUUUUUUUUCAUAACUAGUAAUGGCGCACCAGUGCAUAGUGCGCCAUUACUAGUUCAAACUAGUAAUGGCGCACCACACACACGGUGGGCCACUACUAACAUUUUUUUUGCAAAACUAGUAAUAGCGUACCACCUAAUUGGUGCGCCAUUAGUAACCAGGGUUACUAAUGGCGCAUUUGUAGGUGGUGCGCCAUUAGUAACCUGGGACCAGCUAGAUAUUUUGGACAGCCACCUACCACACUCACUUUCCCCACUUCAUUCUCUCCACCUUCUCCUCCAAGCUUGUCUUGGCUGCCUCCUCCUCCUCACCUCAUUUGCACCAUAGAUUCAUCCAAAUUAAGUGGUUAAAUUACCUUUUUUGAUAGGUAAGCAAGGGGAAAGCUUUCUUUAUGUUAUAGAUCUACUUUUUUCUCCCUCCAACAACGUGCACAUGCACUUUUUAUGGCCUAGCUAGAUCUAUAUAUGUUUGUGGUGUUGCAUAUGUUUGUGUUGUUGCAUAUAUGUUUGUGUUUGCAGGUACCGGUAUUUGAAAUGCGAUAGUUGCCAAUAUUUUGCCGGAAUGUUGAUUCAUUUCCAUUUCGGCGAGAAUUUGGCACUAUGCAUUCUUUUUGGUCCUAUUUUUAGGCAAAGUCACGCCAAAUUUUUUCUUGGUUCUAAAAUAUCGUUUUGCUCUACCUCGCAGGCGACCAUGGUCCGCACGAUGACCGAAGGCAUCGUGAAUAGGUUUUUGAGCUCCACGAAGGCCGAGAUGCUUCAAAAGAACGAGACGGAGAUAAGAUGUCCGUGUCGAAGAUGCAAGCUAAAGAGCCUUAUUGUGGACCCAGAUUUCGGGCAGGUGCGGGACCACCUGCUCUUGCGUGGUUUCAUGGAUGGCUAUCGGUGGCAAGGUGAUGAAGAUUACUAUGAAGUCAUCCAUGGGGGGCAGGCAAGAAAUGAGGAAGGGCAGACAACCACCGCGGCGAGGGCGGGCGAGAAGACGAAGAAUCUCCAGGACAUGAUCACGACGGUGAUGCUAUACACAGUCAUCAUGUAGAAGAUGCCGGACAUGAUGAUGAGGAAGAUCAAAAACGAAGGGCAUGAUCAUGAAGAUGAAGAUGCCGGAGCAGAAGACGAUGGACCAUCGAUGGGCUGGGUGCAGGACCCUCAUAUUCAAGAGCUGCUUCUCAAGCAGACGGAUAACGCAAGUGCUGCCGCCCGAGAGAAAGCCAAGCUGGAUCAACUGGAGAUAGACACGGUUACUCCAUUGUAUAAAGGAUGCAGGCCCGAGGAUACCCGCCUGAAAGUAAUGCUCAUGGAUCUGGAGAUGAAGGUAAAACACAAAAUGACCGACGCAUGCUUCGACGAGAACAUGUCAUUCUGGCACGAACGUAUUCCCAAGGGGAACAAGUGCCCGACCAGUUUCGAGGAGGCGAAGAAAAUCGUGUGUCCUCUGGAUUUACCGCACGUGAAAUACCAUGUGUGCAUGAACAAUUGCAUCAUUUAUCGGGAUGAGCACGCGGAGUCUACCAUAUGUCCGGUGCGGCGUCACUCGAUACAAGAAGAGGAAGAAAGCUCCUCGAAAAGUGGUGUGGUACUUUCUGAUCACUCCUCGUCUGCAGCGGUAUUUUGCGGAGCCUAAGGUAGCAAAGCUCCUGCAUUGGCACGUGGAUAGGGAGGAGAAGAAGCGAGAAGAUAACGCAAAUGAUCUGGAGAUAAAAAAGACAAGAUGCUGAGUCACCCUAAGGAUGCGAGCCAGUGGCAAGCGUUGAACUUUGAACACCCAGAAAUUGGGGACGAUCCAAGGAACAUCUUGCUGGGCGCGAGCACCGAUGGAGUCAAUCCGUUUGGAAGCCAGAGAAACACACACAUUGCACCUGGCCUAUGUUUGUGUGGAUGUACAACCUUCCCCCCUGGUUGUGCAUGAAGAGGAAGUACAUUCACAUGAGUAUGCUAAUUGAAGGGCCGAAACAACCAGGGAACGACAUCAAUCUGUAUCUGGGGCUGCUGAAAGAGGAGCUAGACACGCUUUGGAAAAUGCCAGCCAAUACGUGGGACGCCGCAGAGAAAGGAUAUUUCCCUAUGAGAGCCGCACUGCUCACGACGGUGCACGACUAUCUCGGUUACGGAUAUCUCGCGGGGCAGGUGAUCCACGGAUUUUCUGGAUGCGUCAGGUGCAUGGAUGACACAACGUAUGCCAGCUAGAUAGAGAUCCCAGCUCUUCGAAAACCCUGUUCAUGGGACAUCGAAGGUGGCUUCGUGACGAUGACCCAUGGAGAAAACGCAAGGAUCUGUUCGAUGGUGAAACCGAAUCCCGAAGACGCCCGCGUACGAGGACCGGUGAGGAAAUAGACGAGCUGUUGAAAAAUUGGAAAGAUUGCCCCUGCCGGGAAAGAAGCAAAAGGCGCCAGAGCCGGGAAAGAAGCGAAAUGCACUAGAGCCGCUACUGAAGGUAUGGAAAACGAGGUCUGUUUUCUGGGACUUGCCGUACUGGAAGAUCCACCGUGUACCUCACAGCCUUGAUGUCAUGCAUAUCACGAAGAACGUGUGCAAGAAUCUGCUUGGUACCCUGCUCAACAUGCCAGAGAGGACCAAAGAUGGGCUGAAAGCAAGGGCAGACUUGAAAUCAAUGGGCAUUAGGGAGGAGCUUCACGCUAAUGAUGAUGAUGAUGAGGCGAAGCAGGACACGGAAAGUCGUCGCAAAGGCAAAAAGGCCAAGAAGACCGGAAAUGACUACCCUCCUGCGUGCUUCACUCUAAGUCAGGAGGAGAUCGAGUAGUUUUUCACCUGCCUCGUAGGAGUAGAACUUCCUUACGGUUAUGCGGUGAAGAUAAGCAGAUACCUAGACUCAGCGAAGCAGAAGUUCAGCGGGAUGAAGUCUCACCACUGUCACGUGCUGAUGACGCAGAUACUUCCAGUUGCAAUCCGUGGGAUCAUGGACGCACACAUCCGUGAAACGCUAUUUGGCCUAUGUAACUUUUCAACAUCAUCUCUCGGAAGUCGGUUGGCGUGAGGCAACUCAGAAGGCUACAGGAAGAGAUCGUGGUGAUACUAUGCAAGCUUGAGAUGUACUUCCCGCCCGCAUUCUUCGAUGUUAUGGUCCAUCUGCUGGUCCAUAUCAUGGAGGCUAUCAUCCAACUCGGGCCGACAUUCCUGCACAGCAUGAUGUCGUUCGAAAGGAUGAAUGGUGUCAUCAAAGGAUACAUUCGCAACAUGUCAUGUCCAGAGGGAAGCAUAGCCAGGGGCUUUCUGACCGAAGAGUGCAUCUCCUACUGCAUGAAUUAUCUAGGCAUCAAGAACCCCGUCGGUCUGCCCGUCAAUAGGCACCUCGGCAGGCUCGCUGGAUGGGGUCACCGCGAUGGUCGCCGCGAAAUGCAUGUCGACUUCGAGGGUCGACUCACCGACUUUGAAAGAGCAAACCUAGUCACGCUAGAAAACAUAGACGUGGUCGAUCCUUGGGUGGUAGAGCACAAAACCUUUAUUGAGAAGACGUACAAUGACCGAGGCCAACAGAGGACGGACGGAUAUAUAAUCAAAGAACACAACUCAUGUUUCACGCGUUGGUUCAAGGAGAAGCUUCUGUCGUACCCUUUACAUGAGGAUUCUUCCGCGGAAGAACAAGUCAUAUUAUCCUUGUCACAGGGCGCCGAGCACAACCUGAUGACGUAUCAGGCGUACGAUAUCAACGGCUACACAUUCUACACCUAGGGAAAGGACAUGAAGAGUGAUGGUUAUUAGAACUCCGGGGUAAUGAUGGAAUCCUACACCGGUAGCGACAAGGACAGAUACUAUGGAAGGAUCGAGGAGAUCUGGGAGCUGAGCUACACUGGAGAGUAGGUACCGAUGUUCCAUGUCAGAUGCCAAGGUGCCAGAGGGCAAGGGCUUUGUGCCAUCGGGGGUACGAUCGUCCUGCGGUUUGAUGCAGUCUUCACUAUGUUUAACCUUCAUCCGCUGCACUACACCUACGUUCGGCUAUUUUCAUUGAGUAUGGAGAUGCGGAUCAUUAGAGACAAGACCCCGGACAUCGUCAUAUUCGACCCCUUCUACAUGCGUGCCAAGAUCUUGGGCAGCACUGGGGACCGGCAAGUCGUGAGUUCACACCUCGAAGGCGUCAUUCUGGCAAACCCAGAUAAGGAUAACUUCCUCGUGCCUUACUUUCCCGAGUAAGUCAUCCCCUCACCACCCCGUAACAUAUGAUUUCUUAGAUUUUGAUCGUUCUUUUUUUUCUAACAUUCUGUGUUUUGUGCAGUGACACACAUUGCACACUCAUCCUAUUAAGCCCGAAAUAUUCCAUGGCCACGUAUUUCGACUCGGACCGUCAGUCGAAGAAAGACUACACAAAUAUCAAGAAAGUUCUUGAUGAUGUUCUCCCCGGCUACGCCAGAUCUGGAGGCACCUUCAGCAAGACAAUUCGUAGGUAUGGCAAGCACGUGUUCACCCACAAUACGACGUUCCCCUGCGUCAAGCAGACGCUUGGCAGUCAGAAGGAUGCCUACUACGCCCUCCAUCACAUGCGGACGAUCGUACGGGACCAUAAUCACCUUCUGCUACCAAAUAAUCUCAAAGAUUGGGCCACACACUUGUCGCAAUCCAGGACGCGGACAUCAGACAAGAAUUCUAUCGCAUCCAGUCGGAGUUUGCGGAAAUCAUCCAUCAAGAUGUCCUUUGUACCUCGGGGCAGUUCUACCUCAGAUAUCAACCGUCCAACAGUGAGAGAGAAACAACGCUACAAAUGCAGGCUGACAACGCCCGCGAUUUCCUGACCAUCACGAAAGACGGCGGCUUCAUCCACGCUCCGGUCCCUGAGUCGAGUCAAAAGUAGUGAUGCUAUGUAGUUCUGAAAUGUUGAUUGGCUCAUGUUGUAAUAUUAAACUUUAAUGAACUUGUAUGUCUCUUUGGUUUGGACAGUCGUUCAACUUAUAUGUAAUCGAUGCUAUUUAUUAGUAGGACCAUGAAUCGUGCUAUUAAUGUGUUGCUUUUCUCUUUCGAUCCUUUUGUUGCAUACUUAUAUAUUGCUUAUGUAUUGUCUGUGAAUUGCUAUUAACAUUUUGUUUGGCUAGUGCAUAGAGAUGCCGUCGUAUGUUGUGUACAAGGGUAAGGUUCUCGGAGUCUACGACGACUGGGAGGAGUGUCAAAGACAGGUUCACCGUUUCAGCGGUAACAGUUACAAAGGGUACACCACUAGGGCGGAGGCGGAAGUUAGAUACGCGCGCUAUCUAGCGGGAGAGAGGAGGGAGCGUUGGAGGAACCUGAUGAAGACUAGUUUCAUCGCGAUGAUGCUCAUCGUGAUGACCGCAACUUUCUUCUAUGUGAUGGUAGUUUAGAUGAUCGAUAUCGACUUGUAAUGUGAAGACAAACUCGCUACUCGCGGUCUCGAGACUUGUAAUGUUCUAACUUUUUUUGGUAUUUUAAAUUCGGAGACUAAUAUGAUGAAUUGUAUUCGGAGACUAAUCUUCUAUUGUAUUCGAUAAAUCUGCUGUUUAUAUGUUGUGAUGUCUAUAUUCUGUGCAGUAAUAUACUUUGUAACAUGUGCAAAUAUCAGAAAAGAAAAAAAUCCCUAAUAUUCAUACUAGUGGCGCACCACUCUGCACUUUAGUGGCGCACUGCAAUAAGCAUACUAGUGGCACAUCAUCUACAAGUGCGCCAUUAGUAAGCCAGAGCACAUGGGUAAAUAUGCCCCCCUGGGAGGCAUACUAAUGGUGCACCGUGUGAUAUACUAAUGGCGCACUCCCUGGUGCGCCAUUAGUAUCUGGUAUACUAAUGGCGCACCAGGGGUGUGCCAUUAGUAUUAAUUACUAGUGGCGUGAUGCUAGUGGCGCACCUGUAGUGCGCCAUUAGUGGCCAAUACAGGUGCGCCACUAGCAGGCCUUCUCCUAGUAGUGGAUGGUGCAAUAGAAUGUCAAAGUCUAGUGGAAAAUUCUACAAACAGGGUAUCCCGUGCUACACGAGCUGCAGAACAAGCCAAACAGAAACAAAUAGCUACCACCAAACAAGUAGAGACAACCCUAGUUGUUGCAACACCUUCCACAGUACCACCAGCUACACGAGUUACUCAUUGGUCAACUCAGCUAGCAGCACAUUCCCAAGCUCCCUUGCCACCUGACACUACUUCCGAAGCACUCUUGACUCAAGAUGAGUUGGCAAUAUCAGAUGAACUUUGUGAGCUUCAACAACAAGAAGGUAGUUGCUGGAGUCAAGUUACAGUUGCAUGCUUCUUUAUAUGUAGUCUCGCAAUUUGAUGUACACUAACAGUUCCUAUGUUCGUUGUUGGACUAGCACCUAGGCGCAAGAGGAAACAAACAUAAGGGACAAUGCUCGAUAGGUUAACUAAAUCUAGAGGAGGAAGAAUGGAGUUCCGUUUUGAGGCAGGUUUAACAAGGCCACGUGAUGCUACAGAGUCAGCCAAGUUAGUAUUAGAGGCAGCGGUUAUCGUUAGGUAUCAUGUAUGUAUACUCCCAACAUGGAUUCAGUACAGGAAUGACAAAGACGAAACCCAGUUCAACCCCUUCCUCGACAAUUUAUCUAUAAGUAUGGUUAUGUAUGGAAACUAGUAAUCUUGUCUUCCUCUGUUCCAUACUUUCUAGGUUGAUGAUAAUGAGACUCCCAUAAUUUUCAACAGAUGAGGUUCAAGUUGGAUAGCCAAUAUGAUGCAACCAGACAAGCUUGCACCCAUGUUUUCAAGUCUGCUCUGCGACAGUAUCGCUAUAACUUGAGGAAAACUCACUUUGAAGGCAAGGCUAACAGUGAACUUGCCCAAACAUCUCAAGUGGAAAAUAUAUCGGAUGAAGACUGGAGAGGCCUCGUUAAACAUUGGUCUGAUCUGAAGUAUCAGGUACAUUAUAUACAUGAUCAGAUCACAUGUUGAAGUCCUAUUUCCGCAUGUGCCACACAAAUCUAUCUUCUUGUAGGUAAACUGUUCCAAGAACAAGGCCAACUGUAUGAAAGUGAAAUUCCAACAGACGACAGGAUCUCGUAGCUAUAUUGCACACUGCGAGACUCUUGUAAUUAGCUGUUGUUUCACUCUUUUCGUUGUACCAUAUUAUCAGAUCUAUAUUGACUUGUUCCAAAUGCAGAGGAAAGCCCGCAAGGACCAAAAAGUACCUGAACCAAAUGCUGUGGAAAUCUUCAAGGACUGUCACACCAGCAAGAAGAAGGGCAUGACUACACCAGUCAAAGCCACUGUUGAAGUCCUUAAUCCACAUGCCUUUUAACUACUACUUACUCUAACUUGUGCCUUGAACUACAUGGUUUCCAGCCAAUGUCUAUUACUCUUUUCAAUUUUAUACACAGUUGUCUUAGCGUAUCAUUGCACCUUACAAGGUUUAAAAGAGAGGAGUGAUGUUCCUUUGCUCUUGACCUGUAAUCUAGUGCUGUGCUGGACUUGCCCACACAAUGUUAUAAUUGCCUGUUUGUCUGUUCUCAGUUGUUUUGUGAUAUGAAUGAUCUCAUACUAUGCUUACCGUAUUAUAAACUUUGUCUCUUUAUCCUUAGCUGUCAAUACAAUGUGAAGAAAUAGACAAUACAUUAGCGAUGGUACAUGGUCAUAUGUUUGGAACCUAGUUUUAUUAUGUACUUUGCAGUAAAAUACAACUAAUAUUUUACAUGGGUUCACCAGAAUAAGUUCUGUAUAUAGACCAAAGCUAUUUUGUUUGGUUUUGCUGCCUCUUUAAUAUCUUCUGUUCUAGUACUACUAAUGUAAAAACUCAACUUUUCAGGAAGCUAUGGAAAAAAUGGUGGAACCGCCACCUUCUGAAGGUGGCAAGGUAACUAUAACCGCAAUGUCAGCUCUUGCUACAGUGGGUAAGUACCUGUCCACUAACAGUGCCAAAAGCACGUUCCUACAUAAUACUGGGUUGGUUGUUAAGGCAAUCUCGUCCAAACUGCCUCAUGAUCAAGAUAUGCAAGCUCAAAACAAUGUGAUAUAUGCGCUCCAGACACAUGUUCAUUCCCUAACAGAGACCCUUUGUGAAACAAGGACAUACAUUGUUCGAUGUUGUCAAGAUAUGCAUGGUUUUGAAACCAGACUAUCAGACAUUUGCUAUGUUGGUUAGGAGCCUAGGAGAAAUGAAGGCGAAGGUUAUGGUGCUCCGUCAGACAAUAUACAACAUGAAAAUGUAACAGUCAGGUCAAAUGAUCUGAGCUUCUAAACUUCUGGUGGUGCAUUUAUUUGCCAGACUGUUAACUUUUAUGCCAACCUUCCUUUUGUUUUAUAGUUGUAAUUUGUUUUGUUGCGAUAAAAAAUUUGUUCUUAACAUGCAGCCACCGGCUGAAGAAAACAACAAGCCAUUCUUGUAUAGUGUAGGGUGUUCCCUAUAUUUGCACUAGCGGCGAUCUUUGAUGCCGAGUGGAUGUAAUCUGUGCAAUCGCGUUAAUAGCCAAGCGUUAGUUUCGGGCUUAUUUAUUUCCUAGUCUUCUUUUUCCCUAGUUUGCUAGUGGUCGCAACAACCAUGGGCCAUAUACGGACUGUGGUAACCUUGACCCUGCUACGCGCCGUAGGAUCCAUCUCCUACGGGCCGUCGAUAAAUGGGCCUCCCACAGGUCCGUAGAAUCGGUGCACCUUGGGUCGUCAGAUAAAUGGGUCUACAUGGGCCGUAAACAGGCGUAAUUGGUAUCGGCCCAGCAUGGUAACAGGUUGUUAACAGGCCAGAGGACAACAAAGGCUUAAUUCUGUCACAGGCAUAACGGGUCGUUAAUGGGCCAGAAUAUAGGACGGGCUGGAACCAGCGCAACGUGUUAACAGGCCAGAAAUGGGCCAACUCUUGCCACAGGCUGAAUUUGGCCCAUUAGGGGAACAGGCCAGUAACGAGCCGGAAGUAAUCGAGGGCCGGAAAGGAGCCCAAGAACGUAUGGGCCGUCAGUAGGCCGAAAGCUAACACGGGCUGGAAACGGCCCAUGUGAAUCAUGGGCGUUAACGGGUACAAAGAAACUUACUGUUCAUUAUAGGCUAGAGCCAUCGUGGGCCUCUAAAGGGCCUAAAGAUACGAAGGCCUCAUAUGGGCCGAAAGAUGUCGUGGGCCAUACAUGGGCCGAAAGUGAAACUGGCUGGUGUUAUAUUCGACGGCCCACAUGACGUUGUUGGACCGAUUUCGGUUAGGCCCUAACGGGCCGUGAGUUACUGGGCUAUAAAAUGGGCUAUUUGUGAAGAGACCGUUAACAGGCUUUUCAUGGGCCAGCCCCCUAACUUUUGACCAAGUCAAACGGGCUGGCCUUUGUAAGGUAAAUGGGCCAGUGGUGGGCUGUCGCAUGUGUUGAGAUAUCAUAGGCGCCUAUCUGACCCAGUGACGAGCUAACACAUGUUUCCUCCGACCAAUCAAAAUUUUACACGUGAAAAUUUCCCAUUGGUCCGGGGUGUUAACGGGUUAUCGGAUCCAAACCGGACCCGAUAGCUUAACGGCUCCCCGUUACGGUGGAUGCCACAUGUCGGUCACCCUUGACGAAAGCACUUCUGUGCGUGCAAUUUAUCGUCAUGGAAGUGGACACUUCUGAUGAUAAUUUUGGUAAUGUCAUGGAACAUUUCUACGACAGCACAAGUAUGACUAUUUUGAUUCUGUCCUGAAAUCAUCAUGGAUGUACAUGCAUGACAAAAAACGCGACCUACUGUGACAAACACGUAUCAUCAUGGAAGUGUAUUUUUUUGUAGUGGAAGCACUCAUCUUUGGGCUCCGACAGGCCAAGGAAAUCGGUAUCCGCCGCAUCCUCUGCUACGGCGACUUGGACUUGGUGGUCCAGUAGUCGACAGGCGACUGGGACGCCAAGGACGCCAACAUGGCAAGCUACCGCUUCCUCGUCUAGCAGAUGAGCGGACACUUCGACGGAUGCGAGUUCAUCCACAUGCUACGGGCCGACAACGACGCAGCAGACGCUCUCGCCCAUAUUGGCUCCACCCGGCAAGCCAUACCAGCCAGCGUCUACCUCAAACGCCUCCAUAAGCCGUCUAUCAAGCCCUCGCCAGAGUCCGACUCCAUCUUCGUGUAGGCCGCCCCAGGAGCAGUCGGAUCCGGCUCGGGGACUUCACAGUCGGCAUGGGGACUUCGGCAGUCAGCACGGGGACUUAAGAAGUCGGCACCGGGACUUCAGCGGACGGCUCGGGGAAUUCACCAAGCGGCCCGGGGGCUGCAGUACCAGCACCGAGCCAACGCUCCCAACAGGCAGCCCGGGGGCUGCUACAGUUGGCCAUGGGACUUCAUCAGCAUCACCAGGAGUGGCGGGCCCCAGCAUGCCACCUCCUAACCCGGCCCCUCUCAUACUAGUCGCCGUGUUCACAAUGGUGGCGGCCCCAUCUUGGGCACAGCCCAUCCGCGACUAUUGGGUCAAUCGCAUGCUACCAACCAACCAGGUGCAAGCCAGACAGAUCCAGCGCAGAGCAGGCACCUACUCCAUUGUCAAUCAAGAGCUCGCAAGCUGGAGUGUGACCGGCUUCUAUCAGCGCUGCAUGGAACCAGAGAAGGGCAUGGAGAUUCUCAGAGAUAAUCAUCAAGGCGAAUGUGUCCACCAUGCCGCCUCCAGGUCCCUCGUGGCCAAAGCUUUCCGCCAUGGCUUCUUCUGGCCAACUGCUUUGGACAAUGCUGAAGAGUUGGUCAAGAAGUGCAAAGGGUGCCAGAAGUUCAUCACCAAGCAACACCUGCCGACCUCCGCCCUCAAGACCAUCCCCAUCACCUAGCCUUUCACUGUGUGGGGUUUGAAUAUGGUAGGCCCGUUCAAGACAGCGCGAGGCGGCCUGACCAAUCUGUUGGUCGUCAUAGACAAGUUCACCAGGUGGAUAGAAGCGAAGCCAAUCAAGAAGCUGAAUAGUUUGACUGCUGUCACAUUCAUCGCUGACAUCACUAUCUGAUAUAGCGUUCCCCACAGCAUCAUCACCAACAAUGGCACCAAGUUCGUCAAAGGUGCCUUGGCCCGUUUCUGCGUGAAUCAGGGCAUCUGACUGGACUUGGCGUCCGCUGCCCACCCGCAGUCAAACGGUCAAGUGGAGCGAGGAAACGGCCUCAUCUUGUCCGGCAUCAUGCCUUUCUUCCUCGUGUAUGGUACCGAGGCUAUCAUCCCUACGGAUAUUGAGUUCGACUCGCCUCAGGUAACCAUGUACAUGGAAGCGGAGGCCAAAGAGGCACGAGAAGACGGCGUCGAUCUGCUGGAAGAGGCCCGACUGCUAGCAUGCAUACGGUCCGCCAUCUACGAGCAGAGCCUGCGCCGCUAGCACAAUAAGAAGGUCAGGUCGCGUUCUUUCCGCGAGGGCGACCUUGUGCUCCGCCUGAUCCAGCAAUCAGCUAGAUAGCACAAGCUCACGGCACCUUGGGAAGACCCCUUCAUCAUCAGCAUGGCCCUGGGGAACGACUCAUACUACCUCAUCGACGCUCAGAAGCCUAAGGCGCGCGAACGUUGCACAACCGGCGAAGAGACGGAGUGGCCAUGGAAUGCAAAUCUGCUCCCCCCGUUUUACAGUUGAUUUGAGCAUAUGUACCAUACCAACUUUUGUAUUAAGUAAGAGACCUCAGGUCCCCAGAGGUGCACAUGGGGCUACCUUUUCAUCUAUCUAUGAUCAAGCUUAUGCCAUGACUUGAGUUUUUUCUAUUCCUGCCCCGUCCGGGUUCCGGUCAGCCGGCCCAGGGGCUCGCCGCCUUGGCCUAAGUUUGCACCAGCCGGAGCCGACUAGUACUGUGCCGAUGCCGAAAGCCCUCUCUUUGCUCUAAGUCAUAGCUCGUAGUGCAACUAUCCGACUGGCGAAGAGCUAAAGGCCGGAACCGUCAUCCACACAAAAUUCGACCAUGGAAAAAUGCUAACUUAGGCCCAGCCGGCUCUUCGCCUCCCUCAUCCGGCUGCUCGGUGGAGGCAGCAGUGCCGGAUGGUGGAGCCGCCGACUGGUUGGACUCGGCCUGGUCAGCAUCCACGGCAGUCGGCGCAGCCACCCGCGGCUCGCUGGUUGAAGCCUGACCCGGCUGAGGCUGGCCGUCCGCUCCAACUUCCGGCACGUUGUCUUCGUCAUCCUCGUACUCAUCAUCAUCAUCGUCGCCCUCAUCGCUAGAGGCGAUUUACUCUGCCGAGUCCUCCUCGCACGCCGGGUUCAGCCCAAACCAGCUGGGCGGCACCUCUUUGCCAUCACCGUCCAGGUCGGGGAUGAAGACGGUGGUGUCGGUGUAGUCGGCGAUCGCGGCCGCACGCUAGGUGAGCUCAGGGCCCACCGCCGCCAGCUCCGGACCGUCCUCCUGCCGGAAGGUGGCCAACUGGGUCAGAUCCAGUUUGGGGUACCACGCCUUGGCAAACUCCAGGGCCGUCCGAGCACCAGCCCGAGCCGCGGCGCCCUUCCAGGCCUCGAAGCGGCCGACUGCAACCUCUAGCUAAUCGACGGUCUGGCCGGGGGUGCGCGGAAUUCGAGCUCUUGGCUAGAGGGCGGCCAACACUUGAGACCCUGCCCGUUGUCGAGGCUCCGGGGCGUGUUGGGCGCAAUGUCCACGCCUGCCGCCCUUCGCACCAUGCGUCGCGCCUCGAUGGCCUGGCUGACGGUGACGGAGUAACCCGGGAAGUACUCUGCGCAGGAACAAGCUCAAGAAGAACUAGAAGACAGAAGCCAACUCCCGCAGCAGUCGGCGGCCGCUCAAGAAGAAUAAAUAAGUUACCGUCGAUCAUGUCCUCGAUCUCCUUGUAGCCGUCAGUCAAGAACUUCUCCUUCUCGGCCCAGUUCGAGCGUUGAGUCUCGAACUCGGCAUUGAGAAGGUCCUCGUGGUCCUUCAGCUUCUAGAGCUCCACCUUGUGCCGCUCCGCCUGGGCCGCCAGCUCCUUGGUCAGGCGCUCGCACUCCUGAGCCGCCUGGCUGCGCUCCAGCUCCUUGGCACGAAGCUCGGUUUUGGCCUCGCCCAAGCGUUGCUGCAGUGCCGCGGCCGCUUCUACAAAGAUAAGAAAAAGAAGACAUCAACAUCAACAAGAAAGUAGUUGCUGGAAGAUCCAGCCCGACUGCUCAGAAGUCAGCCCGAAUCUCGGGGGCUACACCCAGCGGGUGCGCUGGCGCUCCCCCGUGAGAAGAAAGAAAGAUUGCUCAAUUAGCUCUCGUUCAAGUCGCUGGUCCGCUUGGCCAGCUCCUGGACAUGGGAGUUGUAGGCGGCCGCGCGGAGGUUGUGGUAGUCCUGCAUGAAGGACAAUGGAAGAAAGGAAAACAAGUUAGCACUCGGAACUUACCUUAAAAGUUCCGAGCUGCAUGCUCAGCAACCGGCCUAGAACUCGAGGGAUACACCCAGUGGGUGCGCUGGCGCAUCCCCAUAGAAGAUUGCAAGAAUUCAAAAGACGAAAAUCAAGUGCGUACCUGGACGACCGAUCGCGUUGUCAGGAACUCCUGCACGCAUCGCUGGAGGGCAGCACCUUGUACACAAAGCUGGGCCUGGACGUCCUGCACAGCCAUGUUCAGGACGCCGCCGCCACCCCCAGACGCACAGUCCGCUGAGAUAGCGCUGGUGCCCUCGGCGUCGGGCACCACCGAGCUGGUGGCCCCGGCCUCCAUCAGCCUUGGCACCGAGCUCGCCUUCGCCGGGCGCUUGCGUGCGGGAACGCGGACCAUGGGAAUAGGACCGAGCGCCAACCCGCCGUCAGAUGGCGCCACCUGCAGCCCCUCAGGCUGGCUGCCCUGCGCGUCGGUAGUCGGCACGGACAGAACCACCUACUCCCCUCUCCAAGGCCGGCUGGUUGAUGCCGGCCCCGCCAGUCGACUCCUGGACCUCCGGCGCAGGCGGCUCCGGGUUCUGUGAGUCAGGGGGCACAAAGGAUUGACCACGGGACGCCUCCGCCUCCUGCGCCUUGGUGGCCGCGUCCGCUGGCUUCUUGCUCACCGCUUCGGCCUGCGCCUUGGCCGCAGCGUCGACCUCCGCCUACGUCGGCUUGGCCGCCUCCUCCCGGGCCGCGGUGUUCCGCUCCUCGCACAUCUCCCGCGCGUUCCUCUCCAUGGCCUCUUGGAGGGCGGCGAGCAGGUCCACGUGGCGGGGGCCUGUAGAGCUGUCGGCCGUCCCCACCACCGAAACGGUCGGGGCCCGCGAGAGGGAAAUCCGAGACCUGCUCAAGGGAGCAAGAAAGACCAUUGAAGAAAUAGCAAGAAAAAGCAAACAAGAAGCAACGAUAGGAAAAUCAAAAACACUUACCCAGACACCACCGGGCAUGGCUUCAAGGUCCUCUGGAACUGGGCCACCCUCGCGGCGGCCUCAUGCUGCUUGGUCAUGGCGGUCGAGGUCUUCGGCUUCUUGGGCCGGCUACCGUACAGCCCGACCUCAGCCCGGCGUUUCGGCACGCCGGCUGCUGCAGUCGGCGCGGCCGAAGAGCUGGCGCCCGCCUUGUCGGUGCGGUGGUUGCGGCACAGCUCGUCGCCCUCCUCCUCGUCGUUCGGCCACUACCCAAGGCCGCCUCCAGAGAAGCCGCCUACUCCUCAUUCGCCACCUCUUGUGCCGUCGUCCUCCUCCAGGGCGGCCGCCCCCAAGUCGGGGUCGUCCUUGUCACUUUCCGACCGGUCCACAGGAACUGUUUGCCUGGGGCCGGUGCGCUGGUGGCCGUCUGGCCCGGGAGGGACUGCACCAUGCCCGACUGUUCAGGCGGCCAGAAGAACCCGGAAUAACAAAGAAACAGGGAAUUGAAAGACUUACCGAAGGCGGCGGGUGAGCCCGGCUAUACGGUGGCUUGCCGAACUGCCACUCCGACCCCGAGAGCUUGCAGUCGGAGAUGUGGUUCACCAGCCGGACUAUCUCCUCGACCAACAUCUCCUUGGUGGACAUCUGGGAUGGAUCCCGAUGCCCACUCAUGUUGGAAAUAUGCCCUAGAGGCAAUAAUAAAAUGGUUAUUAUUAUAUUUCCUUGUUCAUGAUAAUUAUCUAUUGUUCAUGCUAUAAUUGUGUUAUCCGGAAAUCGUAAUACAUGUGUGAAUACAUAGACCACAACAUGUCCCUAGUGAGCAUCUAGUUGACUAGCUCGUUUAUCAAUGGAUGGUUACGAUUUCCUGACCAUGGACAUUGGAUGUCAUCGAUAACGGGAUCUCAUCAUUGGGAGAAUGAUGUGAUGGACAAGACCCAAUCCUAAGCAUAGCACAAGAUUGUGUAGUUCAUUUGCUAGAGCUUUUCUAAUGUCAAGUAUCAUUUCCUUAGACCAUGAGAUCGUGUAACUUCUGGAUACCGUAAGAGUGCUUUGGGUGUACCAAACGUCAUAGCGUAACUGGGUGGCUAUAAAGGUAUACUACAGGUAUCUCUGAAAGUGUCUGUUGGGUUGACUCGAAUCGAGACUGGGAUUUGUCACUCCGUAUGACGGAGAGGUUUCUCUGGGCCCACUCGGCAAUGCAUCAUCAUAAUGAGCUCAAUGUGACCAAGUGGUUGGUCACGGGAUCAUGCAUUAUGGUACGAGUAAAGUGACUUGCCGGUAACGAGAUUGAACGAGGUAUUGGGAUACCGACGAUCGAAUCUCGGACAAGUAACGUACCGAUUGACAAAGGGAAUUGUAUACGAGAUUAAUUGAAUCCUCGACAUCGUGGUUCAUUCGAUGAGAUCAUCGUGGAACAUGUGGGAACCAACAUGGGUAUCUAGAUUCCGUUGUUGGUUAUUGGCCGGAGAGCUGUCUCGGUCAUGUCUGCGUGAUUCCCGAACUCGUAGGGUCUACACACUUAAGGUUCGGUGACGCUAGGGUUGUAGAGAUGUUAGUAUGCGGUAACCCGAAAGUAGUUCGGAGUCCCGGAUGAGAUCCCAGACGUCACGAGGAGUUCCGGAAUGGUUCGGAGGUGAAUAUUUGUAUAUAGGAAGUCCAGUUUCGGCCACCGGGAAAGUUUCGGGGGUCACCAGUAUUGUACCGGGACCACCGGAAGGGUCCCAGGGAUCCACUGGGCGGGGCCACCUAUCCCGGAGGGCCCCAUGGGCUGGAGUGGGAAGGGAACCAGCCCCUGGUGGGCUGGUGUGCCCCCCUUGGGCCUCCCCCUGCGCCUAGGGUUGGAAACCCUGGGAGUGGGGGGGCGUCCCACCUGACUUNNNNNNNNNNNNNNNNNNNNNNNNNNNNNNNNNNNNNNNNNNNNNNNNNNNNNNNNNNNNNNNNNNNNNNNNNNNNNNNNNNNNNNNNNNNNNNNNNNNNNNNNNNNNNNNNNNNNNNNNNNNNNNNNNNNNNNNNNNNNNNNNNNNNNNNNNNNNNNNNNNNNNNNNNNNNNNNNNNNNNNNNNNNNNNNNNNNNNNNNNNNNNNNNNNNNNNNNNNNNNNNNNNNNNNNNNNNNNNNNNNNNNNNNNNNNNNNNNNNNNNNNNNNNNNNNNNNNNNNNNNNNNNNNNNNNNNNNNNNNNNNNNNNNNNNNNNNNNNNNNNNNNNNNNNNNNNNNNNNNNNNNNNNNNNNNNNNNNNNNNNNNNNNNNNNNNNNNNNNNNNNNNNNNNNNNNNNNNNNUCCCUCUCCCCUCGUAACACCUCUCCCUCUCGCUGAGGUUGGCGAAGCCCUGCCGAGAUCACCGUUGCUUCCACCACCACGCCGUCGUGCUGCUGGAUCUCCAUCAACCUCUCCUUCCCCUUGCUGGAUCAAGAAGGAGGAGACGUCUUCCACAACCGUAUGUGUGUUGAACGCGGAGGUGCCGUCCGUUCGGCGCUAGGAUCAUCGGUGAUUUGGAUCACGACGAGUACGACUCCAUCAACCCCGUUCUCUUGAACGCUUCCGCUCGCGAUCUACAAGGGUAUGUAGAUGCACUCCUCUCUCUCGUUGCUAGAUGACUCCAUAGAUUGAUCUUGGUGAUGCGUAGAAAAUUUUUAUUUUCUGCUACGUUCCCCAACAGUGGCAUCAUGAGCUAGGUCUAUGCGUAGUUUCUAUGCACGAGUAGAACACAAGAUUGUUGUGGGCGUUGGUUUUGUCAAUUUUCCUGCCACUACUAGUCUUAUCUUGUUUCGGCGGCAUCAUGGGAUGAAGCGGCCCGGACCGACCUUACACGUACGCUUACAUGAGACAGGUUCCACCGACUGACAUGCACUAGUUGCAUAAGGUGGCUAGCGGGUGUCUGUCUCUCCCACUUUAGUCGGAUCGGAUUCGAUGAAAAGGGUCCUUAUGAAGGGUAAAUAGAAAUUGGCAUAUCACGUUGUGGUUUUGGCGUAGGUAAGAAACAUUCUUGCUAGAAACCUAUAGCAGCCACGUAAAAACAUGCAACAACAAUUAGAGGACGUCUAACUUGUUUUUGCAGCAUAUGCCUUGUGAUGUGAUAUGGCCAAAAGGAUGUGAUGAAUGAAAUAUAUGUGAUGUAUGAGAUUGAUCAUGUUCUUGUAAUAGGAAUCACGACUUGCAUGUCGAUGAGAAUGACAACCGGUAGGAGCCAUAGGAGUUGUAUUUAUUUUAUGUAUGACCUGCGUGUCAUUGAAUAACGCCAUGUAAUUACUUUACUUUAUUGCUAAACACGUUAGCCAUAGAAGUAGAAGUAAUCGUUGGCGUGACAACUUCAUGAAGACACGAUGAUGGAGAUCAUGAUGAUGGAGCUCAUGGUGUCAUGCUGGUGAUGAUGAUGAUCAUGGCGCCACGAAGAUGGAGAUCAAAAGGAGCAAAAUGAUAUUGGCCAUAUCAUGUCACUAUUUGAUUGCAUGUGAUGUUUAUCAUGUUUUGCUUCUUAUUUGCUUAGUACGACGGUAGUAAAUAAGAUGAUCCCUCAUAAUAAUUUCAAGAAAGUGUUCCCCCUAACUGUGCGCUGUUGCGAAAGUUCGUUGUCUCGAAGCACCACGUGAUGAUCGGGUGUGAUAGAUUCUAACGUUCACAUACAACGGGUGUAAGCCAGAUUUACACAUGCAAAACACUUAGGUUGGCUUGACGAGCCUAGCAUGUACAGACAUGGCCUCGGAACACAAGAGACCAAAAGGUCGAACAUGAGUCAUAUAGAAGAUACGAUCAACAUGAAGAUGUUCACCGAUGAUGACUAGUCUGUCUCACGUGAUGAUCGGACACGGCCUAGUUGACUCGGAUCAUGGAUCACUUAGAUGACUAGAGGGAUGUCUAUCUGAGUGGGAGUUCAUUAUAUAAUUUGAUUGGAUGAACUUAAUUAUCAUGAACUUAGUCUAAAAUCUUUGCAAUAUGUCUUGUAGAUCAAAUGGCCCAUGCUAAUGUUGCCCUCAACUUCAAUGCGUUCCUAGAGAAAACCAAGCUGAAAGACGAUGGUAGCAACUAUAUGGACUGGGUCCGGAACUUGAGGAUCAUCCUCAUAGCUGCCAAGAAAGCAUAUGUCCUAGAUGCACCGCUAGGUGAAGCACCCGUUUUCCCAGCAACUCAAGACGUUAUGAACGCCUGGCAGUCGCGUAGUGAUGAUUACUCCCUGGUUCAGUGCGGCAUGCUUUACAGCUUAGAACCGGGGCUCCAAAAGCAUUUUGAGCAGAACAGAGCAUAUGAGAUGUUCCAAGAGCUGAAAAUGGUUUUCCAAGCGCACGCCCGGGUCGAGAGGUAUGAAGUCUCUGACAAGUUCUACAGUUGUAAGAUGGAGGAGAAUGGUUCUGUCAGCGAGCACAUACUCAAAAUAUCUGGGUUGCACAACCGCUUAUCUCAACUGGGAGUUAAUCUCCCGGAUGAUGCGGUGGUCGACAGAAUCCUCCAGUCGCUCCCACCUAGCUACAAGAGCUUUGUGAUGAACUUCAAUAUGGAGGGGAUGGUGAAAACCAUUCCUGAGGUAUAUUCAAUGCUGAAAUCAGCGGAGGUGGAGAUGAAAAAGGAACAUCAAGUGUUGAUGGUCAAUAAAACCACUAGUUUCAAGAAAGGCAAGGGUAAGAAGAACUUCAAGACGGACGGCAAGGGAGUUGCCGCGCCCGGUAAGCUAGUUGCCGGGAAGAAUCCAAAGCAUGGACCCAAACAUGAGACUGAGUGCUUUUAUUGCAAGGGAAGCGGACACUGGAAGCAGAACUGCCCCAAGUACUUAGUGGACAAGAAGGCCGGCAACACCAAAGGUAUAUGUGAUAUACAUGUAAUUGAUGUGUACCUUACCAGUACUCGUAGUAGCUCCUGGGUAUUUGAUACCGGUGCGGUUGCUCAUAUUUGUAACUCAAAACAGGAGCUGAGGAAUAAGCGGAGACUGGCGAAGGAUGAGGUGACAAUGCGCAUCGGGAAUGGUUCCAAGGUCGAUGUGAUCACCGUCGGCACGCUACCUCUACAUUUACCUACGGGAUUAGUUUUAAACCUCAAUAAUUGUUAUUUAGUGCCAGCUUUGAGCAUGAACAUUGUAUCUGGAUCUCAUUUAAUACGAGAUGGCUACUCAUUUAAAUCCGAGAAUAAUGGUUGUUCUAUUUAUAUGAGAGAUAUGUUUUAUGGUCAUGCCCCGCUGGUCAAUGGUUUAUUCUUAAUGAAUCUCGAACGUGAUGUUACACAUAUUCAUAGUGUGAAUACCAAAAGAUAUAAGGUUGAUAACGAUAGUCCCACAUGCUUGUGGCACUGCCGCCUUGGUCACAUUGGUGUCAAACGCAUGAAGAAGCACCAUGCUGAUGGACUUUUGGAGUCUCUUGAUUAUGAAUCAUUUGACACAUGCGAACCAUGCCUCAUGGUCAAAAUGACCAAGACUCCGUUCUCCGGAAGAAUGGAGCGGACAACCAACUUAUUGGAAAUCAUACAUACUGAUGUGUGCGGUCCAAUGAGCGUUGAGGCUCGCGGAGGCUAUCGUUAUGUUCUCACUCUCACUGACGACUUGAGUAGAUAUGGGUAUGGCUACUUGAUGAAACACAAGUCUGAGACCUUUGAAAAGUUCAAGGAAUUUCAGAGUGAGGUAGAGAAUCAACGUGACCGAAAGAUAAAGUUCUUACGAUCAGAUCGUAGGGGAGAAUAUUUAAGUCACGAAUUUGGUACGCACUUAAGGAAACGUGGAAUAGUUUCACAACUCACGCCGCCUGGAACACCUCAACGUAACGGUGUGUCCAAAUGUCGUAAUCGCACUCUAUUGGAUAUGGUGCGAUCUAUGAUGUCACUCACCGAUUUACAGCUAUCAUUUUGGGGAUACGCUCUAGAGACAGCUACAUUCACUUUAAAUAGGCACCAUCUAAAUCCAUUGAGACGACACCGUAUGAAUUAUGGUUUGGGAAGAAACCUAAGUUGUCGUUUCUAAAAGUUUGGGGAUGCGAUGCUUAUGUCAAGAAACUUCAACCUGAAAAGCUCGAACCCAAGUCGGAAAAAUGCGUCUUCAUAGGAUACCCUAAGGAAACCAUUGGGUGUACCUUCUACCUCAGAUCCGAAGGCAAGAUCUUUGUUGCCAAGAAAGGGUCCUUUCUGGAGAAAGAGUUUCUCUCGAGAGAAGUAAGUGGGAGGAAAGUAGAACUCGAUGAAGUACUACCUCUUGAACCGGAAAGUAGCGCAGCUCGGGAAGAUGUUCCUGUGGUGCCUGCACCGACUAGAGAGGAAGUUAAUGAUGAUGAUCAAGGUACUUUGGAUCAAGUUUCUACUGAACUUUGAAGGUCCACAAGGACACGUUCCACACCAGAAUGGUAUGGCAACCCUAUCCUGGAAAUCAUGUUGUUAGACAACGGUGAACCUUCGAACCAUGAAGAAGCGAUGGCGGGCCCAGAUUCCAACAAAUGGCUUGAAGCCAUGCAAUCCGAGAUAGGAUCCAUGUAUGAAAACAAAGUAUGGACUUUGACAGACUUGCCCGAUGAUCGGCGAGCGAUAGAAAAUAAAUGGAUCUUUAAGAAGAAGACGGACGUGGAUGGUAAUGUUACCAUCUAUAAGGCUCGACUUGUCUCUAAUGGAUAUCGACAAGUUCAAGGGGUUGACUACGAUGAGACCUUCUCACCCGUAGUGAAGCUGAAGUCCGUUCAAAUCAUGUUAGCAAUUGUCGCAUACUAUGAUUAUGAGAUAUGGCAAAUGGACGUCAAAACGGCAUUCCUUAACGGCUUUCUUAAGGAAGAAUUGUAUAUGACGCAGCCAAAAGGUUUUGUCGAUCCUAAGAAUGCUAACAAGGUAUGCAAGCUCCAGCGCUCCAUCUAUGGGUUGGUGCAAGCAUCUCGGAGUUGGAACAUUCGCCUUAAUGAACUGAUCAAAGCGUUUGGGUUUAUGCAAACUUAUGGAGAAGCCUGCGUUUACAAGAAAGUGAGUGGGAGCUCUGUAACAUUUCUCAUACUAUAUGUAGAGGAGAUACUUUUGAUGGGAAAUGAUAUAGAACUUUUGGACAGCAUUAAGGCCUACUUGAAUAAGUGUUUUUCAAUGAAGGACCUUGGAGAAGCUGCUUACAUAUUAGGCAUCAAGAUCUAUAGAGAUAGAUCGAGACGCCUCAUAGGUCUUUCACAAAACACAUACCUUGAUAAUAUAUUGAAGAAGUUCAAUAUGGAUCAGUCCAAGAAGGGAUUCUUGCCUGUGUUGCAAGGUGUGAAAUUGAGCUCGGCUCAAUGUCCGACCACGGCAGAAGAUAGAGAAAAGAUGAGUGUCGUCCCCUAUGCCUCGGCCAUAGGGUCUAUCAUGUAUGCCAUGCUGUGUACUAGACCUGAUGUAAACCUUGCCGUAAGUUUGGUAGGAAGGUACCAAAGUAAUCCCGGCAUGGAACACUGGACAGCGGUCAAGAAUAUCCUGAAGUACCUGAAAAGGACUAAGGAUAUGUUUCUCGUAUAUGGAGGUGACGAAGAGCUCGUCGUAAAGGGUUAUGUCGACGCUAGCUUCGACACAGAUCUGGAUGACUCUAAGUCACAAACCGGAUACGUGCAUAUUUUGAAUUGUGGGGCAGUAAGCUGGUGCAGUUGCAAGCAAAGCAUCAUGGCGGGAUCUAAAUGUGAAGAGGAGUACAUGGCAGCCUCGGAGGCAGCACAUGAAGCAAUCUGGAUGAAGGAGUUCAUCACCGACCUAGGAGUUAUUCCCAAUGCGUCGGGGCUGAUGACUCUCUUCUAUGACAACACUGGAGCCAUUGCCCUUGCCAAGGAGCCCAGGUUUCACAAGAAGACCAGACACAUCAAGCGUCGCUUCAACUCCAUUCGUGAAAAUGUUCAAGAUGGAGACAUAGAUAUUUGUAAAGUGCACACAGAUCUGAAUGUCGCAGAUCCGUUGACUAAACCUCUUCCGCGAGCAAAACAUGAUCAACACCAGAACUCUAUGGGUGUUCGAUUCAUCACAAUGUAAUUAGAUUAUUGACUCUAGUGCAAGUGGGAGACUGUUGGAAAUAUGCCCUAGAGGCAAUAAUAAAAUGGUUAUUAUUAUAUUUCCUUGUUCAUGAUAAUUGUCUAUUGUUCAUGCUAUAAUUGUGUUAUCUGGAAAUCAUAAUACAUGUGUGAAUACAUAGACCACAACAUGUCCCUAGUGAGCCUCUAGUUGACUAGCUCAUUUAUCAAUGGAUGGUUAUGGUUUCCUGACCAUGGACAUUGGAUGCCAUUGAUAACGGGAUCUCAUCAUUGGGAGAAUGUUGUGAUGGACAAGACCCAAUCCUAAGCAUAGCACAAGAUCGUGUAGUUCGUUUGCUAGAUCUUUUCUAAUGUCAAGUAUCAUUUCCUUAGACCAUGAGAUCAUGUAACUCCCGGAUACCGUAAGAGUGCUUUGGGUGUACCAAACGUCACAAUGUAACUGGGUGGCUAUAAAGGUAUACUACAGGUAUCUCCAAAAGUGUCUGUUGGGUUGACUCGAAUCGAGACUGGGAUUUGUCACUCCAUACGACGGAGAGGUAUCUCUGGGCCCACUCAGUAAUGCAUCAUCAUAAUGAGCUCAAUGUGACCAAGUGGUUGGUCACAGGAUCAUGCAUUACGGUACGAGUAAAGUGACUUGCCGGUAACGAGAUUGAACGAGGUAUUGGGAUACCGACGAUCGAAUCUUGGGCAAGUAACGUACCGAUUGACAAAGGGAAUUGUAUACAGGAUUACUUGAAUCCUCGACAUCGUGGUUCAUUCGAUGAGAUCAUCAUCGAACAUGUGGGAACCAACAUGGGUAUCCAGAUUCCGCUAUUGGUUAUUGGCCGGAGAGCUGUCUCGGUCAUGUCUGCGUGAUUCCCGAACCCGUAGGGUCUACACACUUAAGGUUCGGUGAUGCUAGGGUUGUAGAGAUGUUAGUAUGCGGUAACCCGAAAGUUAUUCUGAGUCUCGGAUGAGAUCCUAGACAUCACGAGGAGUUCCGGAAUGGUCCGGAGGUGAAGAUUUGUAUAUAGGAAGUCCAGUUUUGGCCACCGGGAAAGUUUUGGGGGUCACCGGUAUUGUACCGGGACCACCGGAAGGGUCCUGGGGGUCCACCGGGUGGGGCCACCUAUCCCGGAGGGCCCCAUGGGCUGAAGUGGGAAGGGAACCAGCCCCUGGUGGGCUGGUGCGCCCCCCUUGGGACUCCCCUUGCGGCUAGGGUUGAAAACCCUGGGGGUGGGGGGCGCCCCANNNNNNNNNNNNNNNNNNNNNNNNNNNNNNNNNNNNNNNNNNNNNNNNNNNNNNNNNNNNNNNNNNNNNNNNNNNNNNNNNNNNNNNNNNNNNNNNNNNNNNNNNNNNNNNNNNNNNNNNNNNNNNNNNNNNNNNNNNNNNNNNNNNNNNNNNNNNNNNNNNNNNNNNNNNNNNNNNNNNNNNNNNNNNNNNNNNNNNNNNNNNNNNNNNNNNNNNNNNNNNNNNNNNNNNNNNNNNNNNNNNNNNNNNNNNNNNNNNNNNNNNNNNNNNNNNNNNNNNNNNNNNNNNNNNNNNNNNNNNNNNNNNNNUAAAGAGGGCGGAGGGAGGGUUGCGCACCCUAGCCCCUGGCGCCUCCCUCUCCCCUCGUAACACCUCUCCCUCUCGCUGAGCUUGGCGAAGCCCUGCCGAGAUCAUCGCUGCUUCCACCACCACGCCGUCGUGCUGGUGGAUCUCCAUCAACCUCUCCUUCCCCUUGCUGGAUCAAUAAGUAGGAGACGUCUUCCCCAACCGUACGUGUGUUGAACGCGGAGGUGCCGUCCGUUCGGCGCUAGUAUCAUCGGUGAUUUGGAUCACGAUGAGUACGACUCCAUCAACCCCGUUCUCUUGAACGCUUCCGCUCGCGAUCUACAAGGGUAUGUAGAUGCACUCCUCUCUCUCGUUGCUAGAUGACUCCAUAGAUUGAUCUUCGUGAUGCGUAGAAAAAAUUUAUUUUCUUCUACGUUCCCCAACAACUCAUACUGCUGAUGAUGUGGGGUCGGGCUUGAAGAGGCAGCACCCGGCGCUCCACAAAGGUGGCCAGCAAGUCGGAGGCCUUGAGGCCCUCCGAGUCCAGCAUCACCUGGAGCCUGGUGAGGGCGGUGGCGGAGGCGGCCGACAGGGUCUUCGCCCAGAAGCUCCAGUUGGUGCGGAGUAGGGCAGGCGUGCUGGCUACGUAAGUCGGCAGGUUGACGUAGUUCCGCGUCGAGUGGAUGUUCUCGACGCAGAAGUAGGACCUUUGCCAUAGUUUGGCCAACUGUAGUAGGGUGAGGGCCGAGAAGUGGGUCCCAGCACCAGAGCGCCGAAUCGCGCCGCAGGCUCCGCACUGCGCCGCCUGGUUCUUGACGGUGAUGCCGAUCUUGAGUUAGAAGAGCAAACCCCACCGCUCGAGUGCGGGGAGAGUGCCGAGGUAACCCUCGCAGAGGGUGACGAAGGCGUAGAGCAGCACCACCGUAUUCGGCAUGAGGUGGUGGGGCUGCACUCCGUAGAAGUCCAGAAACGAGCGGAGGAACCCGCUCGCCGGAAAGCCAAAACCACGGAGGAAAUGCGACCGAAAGACGACGCGCUCGUUGCCCUCCGGCGCCGGCGUGAUUUCCCUCGCGGGGGUGAUGCGCACCUUGACGUUGGAAGGAUGGGGGAGCCGUCGCGUCUAGCGAAGGAACUGGAGGUGGUAUUCAUGGACAAUGGAACCAUCCCAGUCGCCUGCGUGGCCACUGUGCGCCAUGGGCUCUGAGCUCAGCAGAGGAGUGGAGCGGCUGUGACGUGGAGAAGCUCGGUGACCGCGAGCCACGGCGGCACUCCGGCGAAGAGGAGGAGAUGUAGCGAUAGCAAGAGGGAGAGAGGCGAGGUGAAGGGAGAGGAGGGCACGUGUGCGUUCUGCCGCCCCCUCCUCCCCCUACUUAUAGCCCCCAGCGGCGAAGUCGAGGGGGCGGGACAUGGGGGAGCGCGGGAUUAACUGCGCCCACUCCCCCCACGACCCCGCAUCUUCCGCGCCUUUAAGGCGUGUAUUAACCCCGCCUGGGAAGCGUAACCGUCUGCCUCGGCCGCAGCGGAUCCGCGCGCGUGCUGAGGCCCUGUAGUGGCGGGACCGGGCCUGCGGCGACGUCCCGUUGCACGCGUGGGCUGGCAGACCGACCUGGCCGGCUGGCACCGCGUGGUGGGCAGGCAGUGGGCGGCGAGCCUGUCGCCCGCCUGGCACGCCACCUGGCCCCCACCACGACUGUUCAAAUUCCGCCAGGCGGCCACGGCUAUGUUCGGCUCCUAGCAUCUGACUCCUCCCAGUUGGAAGGAGCAAAAGGCGGAAGGCCACUUAAGAGGGAAACUGCUGAGGCUCUCCGGCUGCCCAAAGCCGUAGAACUUCACCAACUUUGGGGACUACUAACGGGGGGAUAAACCCUGGGUAGCCUCAUCCACACCCCAGCAGAUUUCAAGACAACGAGGCUAGCCUAGCCCCUCGGUCCGACUGGUCGCAAGGCCGGCCCACGCGGCCGGCUGGUGCUAACGGGCUGCCUCCUAGAAGGUGGCUCACCCCAGAAGGCGGCAAGGGCAUGGGCCGACUCCUGCCAGGUGGCCCAUCGCCUCCUCGACAAGACAUGUCAUGGCAAUAAUAUCACCUGCCACCCCUGAAUCCCGGAUGAAACGUGGCCACAGUGCGGACGUACCAGGCGGACACACCUCGCCUGGCACAACAUUGUAGCCAUGUGGCCCAUGACGAUGCCUACGUCGGGCAGGGCCAUGCCCCCACGAUGGACGGUCGGUAUGGCCCGUAGGCGGCAGGCCCCACCUCCCCGCGUAUCCCCAGAAGGCGGCAAGGCCUGAGCAGGCGGCCUCAAGGGGAGGCCGAUUCCUAGCAAGUGGCCGCCCCUCCCCUUGGAGUCUGUGCACCAUUAACCAGAAGUGACGUGGUGUGGCUACAGUGAUCGCCCGCCAGGCUGCGGCACUGUAGCCGUGCGCCCCCCGACCAAGCUACCGUCAUCAGAGGCCAGGCUACAGUGCGGCCUGGUCCACCUGGCCCACAGGCGGUGGGCCCUACCUGUCAGCUGAAUCCAUGGUAGUCGGCAGGGCCCACCAGGCGGUAGGCCCAGGCUGUCGGCACAGAAGUCGGAGCAUAGAGACACUGAUGGCCGGGUCCUAUGACCAGCCAGAUUACCAUUGUACCCCUGGAGGGUAGGCCUAUAUAAACCCCCCAGGGUCACCCAUGCAAAGGGUUCAGCCCUUAGAUCAUCUUACACCCACAUAGCUAGGGAGAAGUAGAUCUAGUUUGUCUUCUUCUUCCUCUAGCCCGAACAGCUCAGGGAGCAACCUUGUAGCCCACUGUUGAUCAUAGUGAUGCGGAGACCCCGCAGAGCAGGAUUAGGGGUGUUAUCUCCACGGAGAGCCCCGAACCUAGGUAAGAUUGGGCGUCGUUUUUGCCUACUCCCGCUUCUAGAUCCCGGCAACGUUUUAUUGACCCCCUAUAUGAUUAGCCACCCGUUGGCAUAUGUCGAGGAAAUACCACGACACAUACGUCAGGGAAGAUUUAGACUAAGUUAACUUUCACACACUUUUGUUUAAUGAAAUAUAUUAAAAAUAUAAUAAAUGUGUUCUGGUUUAAAAGAAAAGUAAUCCAAUUGGCAUUAAAAUCAUCCUUGAUUCAAUUCAUGUUUAAAAUGUAUUUUAACAUGGGAGACAUACAAUUGGAUGACCGGCUUCUAAUUACUACUAGUAUGGGAUUCUAAAAGAAUUAUUACUAAUAUGUGCGGUCUUGAUGGAUAACGUGUCUGUUUUAGAGCAUCUACAACCGUAUAUGACAAAUAUGACCCUCAGGCGUCUGCGGACGCACGUCCGCGGGCACUGACCGGUCAGUCAUCAAAUUUGCUAGACUGCAUCCAGACACCUUAUACAAAAAUUCUUAAAUCCAUACAAAAGCAUGCAAAGAAAAAACAUAUGUAUUACAUAGAUCAACUAGCCUAGUCCUCGUCGAAAAUGUUGACUAUCUCCGUGCCCGGCUCCUGGUACAUGGACGGCAGCUCUCACUCCGGCUUCUCCGGCUACUCCGCUUCGGCCUCCUCCUCUAUCUCUGCAUCGAGUUUGGUGAAGAGUGCGUCGGUCACCGUCCGCUCUUGCCAGAGAAACUGUUGGUUGGCCUAGACACAGGCCUCAUCCUGGAUGGACUCCAGGAUGGCCUACUGCUCCGCCAUCUCCGCGGCUUGGGUGACGGUGAACCCCGCCUCCGCAUCCUCUAUGUUGAAGCCCGGAGCAGGUUGCUCCGCCUCGUUCUCCUCCGAAUCUGCCACCGGCUCCGGCGAGUCCGGAGGCAGCCCGGCAGCGAUGCGGGCGGCGCGCCUCGCUCGGAUCUUCUCCAUGAUCCGAUACUGGCGCUCUGGCAUGAGCAUAGCUUAGGUGGUGAUUUUCUGCCGGACCAUGGCGAUGCCAGAGAGCGUUGGGAGAGCAGGACAGAGGAGGUGGAUGGGCUCGGGUUGCGGCGCAAAGAGGAAGGAGGUGGAUGGGCUAGGGUUGGUGGACGCCGCCGGCUUAAAUAGCCGGAUUUGGCCUCGGGCGGCGAGCCGGAGUGGCGCCACGUGAUGUUCACAUCGGACUGCCGAGUUUUCGCGAAUUCCGCGUGGGACCCCAACGUCACUUGUACGUGACAGACGCGCUUGGGUGGCAUCAUAUUCGCCCCAUAUUUAAGCUAAAUAUUAAGUGUGCCGGUCAGCCCGGAUAUUUAAGCCCCGUUUUAGAUGUCCGGCUGGAUCAUAUUUUUAUGACCGGUGAGUGAUCGGAUAGGUCAUGUGAACGUUUGAGACCGGUUUGGGACAUCGAAGUGUAGAUGCUCUUAUUGGUCCGUGGAGAUGCCCUCGUCCCGGGUGUGAAUGUGGGCUGCAAACCACGGCGCCGGUGCGGCAGAGUGGGAAAAGGUGGGGAAAUGAGCGUGGAGGGCCCUCCAACUUGUGAAACGCGGUCAAGACGGUCGGGACUCGCCUACUUUUCUCUGUACGGCCAUGACGGGUAAGCCAUGGGCUUAGCCUGUAGCCACAGAUCGGCACUGUUUCCGCAAUAGAUGAAAGCACUGUUCACCAAGUCAGUGUCAACCUGUGGCUGUUCAGCAGUCACUGUCAGUCUGUUGACGAGCAGCAACCUGUCUCUACGCUACGCUAUUAAACCGCGGUCCGCUCGGUCGCUCUCUAUCCUAUCUCCCGCACCAUCUUCCUCCUCCGAUUCAGAAGCAAAUCUAUGCGGGUCUGGAUGACGCCCGAACGUGAAGAGCUAGCUAGCUAGCGACGAAGGGCACGCACGCAUGCACGACCGGCGCAGCUUGGCACCUAAGUUGCGCGGCGCGCGAGCCCGACGAGCAAGAAAAAGGCAACGGCCGGCGUGUUUCAGGCUUCCGGCGUAUUUUAGCUUUUCAUUUCGUUCUGCUGGAAGAUAUCUGUUGGACGAUGCAGAUUGGAAUUCGCUCUCCUUACUUUUCUUGUUCUUGUCAGUGACGGACCAGGGACCGAGGUUUGCCGGGAUAACCGGCGACGAGAAAGCACGGUUGCGCUGCUUCCACUGGCCACUACGCAGGAGAGGUAGCCUGCAUCCUCUCGCCGGAGACCCGGGCCUGCCGCUCAUGCUUACCGGCCCAGUGGUGGAUCCAUCACUGGUUCUUGUUUGUACGUAUUUUGUACUGAAUCAGUAUCGAUGGGAAUACCAUUAUUCCAGCUGCAUAUACUGCAUGUUGAACUGGUUCUCCUAUUUGCCAUGUAUACCAGAUGCCAGGCUUGAGCCAUGCAAGAUCCAGCAAGCGCUACUCAGAUGUUCACCCGAAGCUAGCUAGCCCCCUUGAUGUUGAGGUAACGUCGUCAGUAAGUUAUUACUAGCUAAUACAGACUAUAUAGCUGUACAUCAUCAUGUCAAGUGGGAGCAUGUUAAAAUUUACCUUAGAUCUUUUAUAAGUCAGGCCUACGGAUAGUCAGGUCUUGGGUUUUUUUUAGGAAAAAUACAAACGCAGACGCUCAUACAUACGUACAUAUACCCACCCUAAUGAACGUAUACAUGCUUUGUACUUCCGAUGAACUUUGAUAAUAGAUUUGUAUCUUUUUCGCAAAAAAAAUGAACGUACAUACGCACACCCUAUCACUGUGAGCAUCUUCGAGAGACUGAGUCGUCACAGACGCUUUCAUAGUCAACGGAAACGUCUCCUCCCACUGAACGCACCCCCCGGAAGGCUUAAAAUAAAUCAGAAAAAUGCGAGCAUCAGUGUCAAGUCUAGGACGUGAACAUUGAUGAGCUGAGUAUAUCACUGCCCUCCGAACCAUCCAACCCCAAGUUGGUUCGCAGUCAGGUCUUUGGUUAAAAGACAUAUCUCUUGGUGAAACGAUGUCUAGGUUCACCCUUAGUGAAAUGAUGUUUUUUCGUAAAAGCACAUGUUAGAAAAGAAAAUGAAAAGAAGCACAAGAAUUGUUAGACUAACAGGUUACACAUUUUACUUUUUAACUUCCAAUAAGCGUCACCGUCGAAAUUGCCUUAAGUAAUCAAGAAAACUAAUGUAUCAAAAUUUAUAUCAAUCUAUAGAGAUACAAAAAUAAACUCAUUUAAAAAUUAAUUUAGUGAGUGAAAUUAAAAAUAAUACCUGCAACAAAGCUUUCAUUAGCCCUCAUAUUUCGGCACCCACUGCUACAUCACCAAUGCAACAUUCCUAUUAUUGGGUAUUGUAGUGCAAAGUUUUGGCUAGUGGGCUGCUGGUAAUUUGGAUAAGUCAAAAAUGCUAUAAGUUAAAAAAUCAGUUUUACAUGCAUGAUUAUAGAUAAUUUUUACAUAUCUAAAAAAUCAUUAAAUAAUAUGAUGGUUUGUUGACUAAGAAGACAAAACAAAACAAAAUAAUGGCCAAACUAACAAGGGAGGCCCAUUUUUAUAAAUUAUAUUCAUCGUAUAUUAAUAAUAUGUAUUACCGAAACUCGUAUGCACAUACUACAGACUUAUACGUAUAAAUACACAUUGUUUCAGAAUUCUUGGAGGUGCCAAAAUAAAGCACAAAAUAAUGACAUCAUCUAUUAUUCUGCUAAAGUUUCUGGUGCGGCAUAGAGACAUUUUUAUAUUGUCUUCAUCCAAACAAAAUGUAUUUCACGUUUAAGAUCUUAUGUAAUUUGCUCUCUUUAUUACUAGAGAUCCAGCCUGGCAUGAUGGCCUCGAUCCUUACAUAUAAAGUACAAGUACAAUAAUAGUAGUAAGGGGGUGUUUGGUUCAGGGACUUUUUAGUCCCAGAGACUAGAAAAAGUCCCUAAAAAGUCCCUAGGAACCAAACGGGAGGGACUUUUUCUACAUGGACUAAAAAAAGGCUCUACUAGAGAGUCUUUUUUGAUUAGUCCCUGGGACUACAAAAAGUCCUAGGACUUCUGAACCAAACACCCCCUAAAUUCGUUAAAUCACAUACUUUCAAUUGACAAACUACCAAGUAAAAACAUAUUUAUAAAUCUUUAUAAAAAAUAUCUUUUUUUGAUAAAAGAUUGACACCUUCCAUAUUAUUGGGUUAAUGCGGGGUAUCAGAGGACAAAAAUUAAUGGAGUUGAGCUGCUGCUGGGGUAGCAGCUUAGAGCAUCUACAACCGGGCCCUCAAACAUAACAAACAGUCCGAUCGCUGUCCAGACAGGAGAGAGAGAAAAAAAGGCACUCAACUGGACCCCCCACUUUGUCCUCAUAUAACCGGGCAAUCCAAAAAUCCCCAUAUCCACAUCAAAUAUAGAGAGGAUAGGGAUGUCCGGGCAGUCCUCAAUGUAGGAUGCGACCCACCCCGGAUCAUCUUUUCUCUUUCUCUCUUCAUCCUCAUCAAUCACAUUUUUUUUGACCGGACAAUAUGAUGAGGAUGUAGGCGACAUGGUUGCAUGCGUGCAUAAAAGGAGGAUAAAAACGGACAUGUCCGCAGACGUUGGGGAUCGAUAUUAGUCAAUCAUGGUUGUAGAUGCUCUUAACAGAAGCCCAAAAAGAUAGCAACAAGGUGAGGGCAUGUACAAUGGUGCUAUCUUAGGAGUGCCACGUAGGAUAGAUGGUGAGGUGGAGGAGAGAGAACUCAUAAGAAAAGGUUUGUCUUCUCUUAUUUAAGAGAAGACAAGAGGUGACCUCUUAGCACAAUAUGUCUCACCAUAUUUUUAGGAAUUGCUAGUUAUUUAAGAUAAGGCUAAGAGAUGAUCCAUUGUAGACAAAUUUUUAUGUCAUCUCUAAAUCACAUGCAAAACUUAAGAUAAGACUAUCUUAUCAACCAUUGUUCAUGCCCUGAUGCCUGUCGAAUUAGGUCCACCACUCGCAUUAUUAUGCCAACGUAGACACCAACACCUCGUUCCUCUCUUUGCUCAGCGGAAGUCGCUGUUCUAAAAGAAAAACAUUUUGUAAGGAGCACAGUAGUUAACUAAAUUUGGAAGUACGUACAUAGUUAUAGUUACCAGGUUUGUUUCUAAAGGUACGAAAGUCCAAGACUAUGGCGUGACUAAUCACAAAAUACGGUGGUUCCCGUUAGACUGCGGCUAAAACAACUUUGUGAAUUAAGCUCGUCUGACGUCCAAUCACAACCAUGAUUUCCCUAAGAUAAAUCCAAAUAUGAAACGCAGUAACACAAGUGAAUAUAAUGUGGCCAGCGUCCUUAACCGCCACGCUAUAGACAAAGCCUUUUCCCAAACCAUUUUCUGUUUUGAAGCCGCCACCUAACGAGGUACCAAAGAAAUUAAUCUUUAUUAUUUAUAGAAAAGGGGCUAAAUUCUGACUUUAGCGAAGGAAGCCCUUAGGUUUACAACAGAGGUUCAAAACAGAAACAAUACAUGUCUAGCACAAAGGCCGCGAAAACACAUAUGAUGCGAUACAAACCCUCAAAAGGGCCCUUGGCUCAACAGCCGCAACACAUACACACACCCAAACACCAAAGGAGCCGCGACGGUGAUGACCAUCAUUGUUCGGGGCGCUACUUCUUGAGUGCUGAAACGUGUAUGGUAAGUUGUCGAGAAAGAGCAUCAAGGGUCGACGGGUCCUUGGUCUUGCUGAGGUGCCUCCAGAACUGUAGAAAACAGUCAUUUUUAUACCAGUCAGCUGGAUGUUUAAUAAAAAUACCUUCAUUUGGGGCUUUAUUAGGAUCUGCCACAAUGCGCACGCAAGGGCAGUGAACCUAACCCAAUUGACUCGCCAGGUAUUGAGGGAUGUGAAAGUCAAUAGUCGUAGCAACCUUGUCCAUACUUAGCAAACUACAUGUUUUUUUUUUUGCGGGGGUAGCAAAGUGCAUUCUUGUUCAUACCUAGAGUGUAUUCUACCCUUAUUAUUGGCGUACUCCCUCCCUCCAAAUAUAUAGGGCAUAAUACCGUUUUUUAUGUUGCCUUUGACCACUUAUUAGAGCAAUAAUAUAUGAAGUGUAUGUCACAAAAAGUAUACCGUCAAAUUUGUACGUGAAAGAAGUUUAUAAUGAUACAAUUUUUAUAUCAUACAUCUCAUAUAUUAUAAUCUUAUCAAUGGUCAAAUGCAACAUCAGAAAACAUAUUAGACCCUAUAUAUUUGGUUGGAGGAACUAUCAUGAUUUAAAUUUUUCUAGGAUUCUCUUGGACUAAAAGUCAGUUGACUCAGUAUCUUUUCAUAUUUUUUGGAGAAUGGAACAAAUGUGUUCGAGGAAAUUUACUAACCAUGUUCGAUUAGCCUUGGGUGAAUGCAAAGCCACUUAUGCCGAUGAUGGCAACUAAUGGCCCGAUGGAGGAGCAUAGAACGACCCUUCCAAACGAGAAACGGCGCCUGUUGCCGUUUGAGGAGCGGGAUAGCCAGACGGCGGUGGAGACCUCUAUGGCCCCUGCAACGAAGAUGGCAGCAAGGGUGAGGUAGUAGGCGUUCUUGUUGCGGCCGAAGACCACUCCGCUAGCCGGCUUGUAGAGCACUGUUGUUGUGACCAAGCUCAGAGUAAGCAAGCCCACUACCCACAGUGCUAGGGCCAGGUUAUUUGCUGGAGGCACUCUAGUCGGCACGUUGGCAGGGUCAUCAACAAGCACUCCUCCAAAUUCUAGGUCUAGGUUGUUGUCGUCACGGGCCUGCACAAUGGAAUUAAGCAGUGUCACAUCGUAAGCACAGCAUAUGCGGAUGAAGAAAAUGACAACAUUGGUAAAAACAUGAAGCAGUGUUUCACGUUAUACUUUUCUUUUUCUUUUCCAUGAGAACACGGCCAGAUUUCGAUUCAACGGUACAAGCUAGUUAUGUUAUACACAUCAUCAAGCAUGUUUCAAGAAAAUGUACGUGACAGCAUUCAUGUAGAACAAUCAUCAAGCAUGUUUCUAAAAGAUGGUACGAAGAGAUAAACAUUUAUCUUGAAUGUUAUACUUGCACCAGUGUUGCCUACAGACAUGGAAAGACAUGUGCUGGAGAGGGUACUGUACUCCUGCAGCUGAUCUGAUCGCCGUCAAGAUCUUGAAGCUCAACGAGGAGACAAGACAAUUUGGAAAAUCUAUCAGGAAUCUGGCGUGAUUCGAGCAUCCACAUGUGUGCGGUAUUUUUGGGUAGAAACUGAGCAAAUUUAUUUUGUGCAAUAUGAUGUCCACCAGCUGACUCCAUCCCAUACCCGCACAUGUCCCACCACCUUUCUCUCUAGUCACGUUUUUUUUUUUUGGCGCAUCUUCUGUCUAGUCACGUUACUAUAUAUGCACGCAUACUCCCACACCUCUCUCCCAUAUAUAAGCUAGUAUUUUAUUUCCUAGUGAUAUUUUAAUUGAUUGAUAUAUUUUUAACAAAAAAACCAUUUUUGAAACUUCUUGUAUAUUUGAAUUCCUACCAACAAGAUUUUUAGAACAAAACCGAUCUUAAAUACUUUAUAAACAAUUUUAAUUUCAUUAUUUAUAUCUGAUUCAAAUUAAAUGAAAUACUUUACAUUUUGAAAAUGGUUCAUAUACAUUUCACACAAUUCAAUUACUUCACACAGUUCAAGAAAAUAUUCACGUAUUUCCGUUAUUUCACAUAUUACAAAAAGUAUUGCACAAACAUAUUUUUAUUUAUUUCACCCAAUUUCAGUCACACAUUUUAGAAAUAUCUCAAUUACUUCAAUAAAUUUUUAACACGUAUUUAAAUUAUUUCAAGCACAUUUCAGAAAAUUGUUCACUUACAUUUCAGGCACUUUUUAUUAUUUCAUAUACAUUUCACACACAUUUCAAUUAUUCUAGAGAGCACUUAACACAUAUUUCAGUCAUUCAACCAGUUUCAGAUAAUAUUUACAACAUAUAGUUGACCGAAUUAUGGUUAAAACAUUGGAAUUGACAGAUGAUUAUUUUAGAAAUACUCCAAUCUAUUACAUUAUUAAAACAAGAGACAAAUAGACUACCACAUUCGUUCAGAUGUGCUAAUAUUAUUUGCAAUGUCUGAUUAGAAAAACAGUGGCUAAGAUUUAAAGUUUUUAUGUAAGAUGCUAACAUGUAUGUAACAACAUAUUGGACCAUCAUAUUGUCACAUGUAUGCAUAUGUAUUAAGUACAUGCACGGAAAGAUGCACAUAGGUCUAGAUAUAAUUGACAAGGCUAGGCUAGCGACUAGUCAUGACUACGUACGGGAUUCAAACUUUAAUGGCUGAGAUUUAAAACGUAAAGUUACAUGUAACAUUUUCUCUGAAGCAAGUUACAUGUAACUUGAGAUGCCACGUACAUAUAACUUGAUAAGGCAUGUAUACAAAUAGUGCGAAAAUAUACCAAACACGCUGCACACGCAAGUACAUAUAUAAUCAGUCCAACUCCAAAUCCUAUACCAGCCAGCCAUUCCAUUUCAUCUACUAAACGGGAGAUAAAAAGGAAAUUAUAAAUCAGGCACUUAAUCGAAUGUGCUCGGCAAUUGCAUCCAGCCCAAACCAGUCGAUUAACCUAGGAAAAUGGAACUGGCUAAAUGCAUGCGAUGAUAUCAUCUCUGAUGUCAUUGGUUAAUUUUUUUGCGGGUAAAUCAGCUAACUAUUAUAAAAAUGUGGUUAAAUCAGUUAAUUAUUAUUGCUAUUUUUGUUUAUUUUUCAUCUACUUUGCAAAUAAUAUAAUCAUAUAUCGAUGCCUCCCAUCAGAUAUAUGGUUUAUACGUAGUAAACAAAUUAUUUUGUGGGUAGAUAAAACAAAUAACUCUAUUUCAUAUAUUUUUACACAAAGGAAUUUGAUUAAAAUAUGUGAAGUCAUGAAUAAUAUUCUUAUGCAGAGGAAAUUCAACCUUAAAGUAGAAUGCAGAAUUAGAAUUAAAUGAGCAACCUAAUAAGGACCAUUUGAUAUCGCAAAGCAUAUACUGGCAUAGAUCUAAUAUUAACGCAUCACUCCGUAUGUAAACAUCGCCAUGAAUGUUUUAAUUUAUUUAGGAAAAGGCAUCCAUGUGAGUAGAAAACAGUCGAUCAUACACAUGGUUUAUGAUGUCCAUAAAUAAUGAAAUGAUAUAUUAUGUACAGUCGAAUAGGUCACACAUCUAAUAAGACCAUUUCAUAGUCGGAUCGGAUAGGAUAUGGACAUGUAGUACAACUGAUAAUAUACUGUGUAUUAUAAUUUUUCAGAAUAUCAAUAACACAUACAAUUACAUUACAUAUAUGAAAUUUGAAGCAAGAAAUUAAUGAUAGCAGCAAACUAACUUGUGUAAUAAAUGAUGAUCAUAUUUGGUUCGUUUGAAAACACAAUGUAAACGACAAUCAAGAGGGAUCUGUAUAUGCAAUUUACACGACAAAUGAUACAUGGAAUAAAAAAAAUGCCGUACGUAUCAACGCAACAUUCCUAAGAUGUAUUGAAAUCGUGUGUUGAUUGCAACCAUGACAUCAGUAAUAAAUGUGUAUUAGAGCAUCUGCAUAAAUGCUUUGGGAAAUAUAAGAAAAAAGUUCAAUUGAAGUAGAAUGCAGAUGAGUGGAAACAUUCAUUUAUUUUUUUAUUACUGGUAGAUCAGGUUCAUGGUCACUAAAUGUGAUUGGCAUGUGGAUUAGGAAUGACCUACCAGUAUAUGUGCCCAUUCAUAUAGUAUAGAGGUCAUGCAUGAUACUUAUCCAAUAGGAAGAAUUACUGAAACAGUGCCAAUAUGCAUGCAAUGCCUGCCAGCUAGCAUGGCAUGCAAGCGAAGGAAUGGGGUGUUGUGGAAACAACAAUAAAGUUUUUGAAUUCAGCCAAAAAAAAAGAUUGGAGCACAUAUCGUGUAGAAUAUGUUAAUUUAGUUGUUAUAAAGAAUACAAAGUGAGCAAACCACGCGGGGAAAAUUAGAAACAACAAAAUGUAAGCCUAGAUUGUUAGGUGACUUAGCAAAAUUAGGUGACAAUAUCACAAAUUAUGAGGCGGACAAUAAAUGUUUAUAUCUUAUACAUGACUACGCAUUCUCUCUCGCAGAUAUUUAAAAGACAUUGUAAUGAGAAGUUAUAUCCUUAGCUUCUCACCCACUAUUCAGAUAAGUUACAAAAAUGUAACUCAAGAAAACCUUGCGCCUUCAAAGUUUUUAAACAUUACCUCUCAAUAUAUUACAAACUAAUAUCACUAUUGUUUUAUUCAGCAUGGAUGAUUUUCUGUAGUCUCAUCAUUCAUAGUUCUAUAAAAAAGUCAAAUAUACCAUAUAAUAUAUCAAAUAAAGCAAUAUUGUUGAUGAUGUAGAUUUUUUUUUUGAUGAUAUAGAAAACUAGCCACGCAAAUGCGUGGGUAACUCCGCUAUUUCAAUCAAAUUUCACAAAAAGUUCACCAACUUCAACUAUUGAAGUAAUUACAUGUUUUUAAAAUGUACGGAAAUGUUAUUAUGAUUUUUGAAAUGAAAAUAUUUGAAAAUUUAGUUUAAUUAAAUAAUUCAAUUCCAAAUAUUUUUUGCAUGAAUUUCAGCUGGUUGAAAAAUGAAAUUUAAACUAGUUUGAAAUAUCUCAAAGAUUGAUCUUGUUAUAAAGGUCUUAUCGGAAGAAAUUUAAGUAUAUAAAAAUCAUUAAAUACAAUUUUAUUUAAAAAUAUGAAGCGUCUAAAAUUUUAAAGAAGGCCAUGCAUGCACUUGUUCAUAGUAGAAGGUUAGUGAGUGGUGAGGGAAAGAGCAUCUCGCGUGAGUUGGGUCCACAUUCGAAGUUCAAAUACUGCACUAUUAAAAUUGCCAAAUUAUACACCCCCUCAUUUNNNNNNNNNNNNNNNNNNNNNNNNNNNNNNNNNNNNNNNNNNNNNNNNNNNNNNNNNNNNNNNNNNNNNNNNNNNNNNNNNNNNNNNNNNNNNNNNNNNNNNNNNNNNNNNNNNNNNNNNNNNNNNNNNNNNNNNNNNNNNNNNNNNNNNNNNNNNNNNNNNNNNNNNNNNNNNNNNNNNNNNNNNNNNNNNNNNNNNNNNNNNNNNNNNNNNNNNNNNNNNNNNNNNNNNNNNNNNNNNNNNNNNNNNNNNNNNNNNNNNNNNNNNNNNNNNNNNNNNNNNNNNNNNNNNNNNNNNNUGUGUGUGUGUGUGUGUGUGUGACAAAGUUUAUUGAGUAAGCUAUAUAGACUUCUCAAAUACUAAAUGCAUGUAAUAUAAAAAACAUUUCAUGAGGAAUUUAAUGAUACUGCUUUCAUACUGCGGAUGUUGAUUUUUUUUUAAACUUGAUCAAACAUACACAUCUUUGACUUUUAGAAAACAAAAUAUGCAGUACAUUACGGAAUGGAGGGACUAUAGAAGCAUGUGUAUUGUGUUUGUUGAGAGCUGGCCGGAAUGUAUUGGUUGGAGAGGGAGUCUGUGCCAUAUGGCGACUCGCUAGGAAUAUGGUUGUUAAGACACGAGAUAACUCAUUAAUUGGCUUUUUUUAAUGUGCUUCUCUAUUGAUUCUAAAAAUAUUUCUUUCAUAUUUGACACUAGGUAAAAAAAAUCGUAAUUUGACACUUCCUUCAAUUUUCCCAUACAACGGUGUUAAGUGGGACGAGACAAGAUGGUUUUAUCCUUUGGUUCAGUAUGUAAUUAAAAUUACUUGACAAAUUCUCUAUUUGAUUAAAAUGUACUUACUUCGUUCUGAAAUGUAGUGCAUGUUUUGCUUUCUAAAAGUCAAGCAUAGAUAUGCUUGAAUUUUUUUGAAUAAGCUACAUAGACAUCUAAAUUACUAAAUAAAUAUAAUAUAAAAAUACAAUUCAUGAUGAAUCUAAUGAUACUAAUUUCAUAUUGUGUUGAUACUCCAUCAGGUUGGGUUUAUAAGUCAAAGGUCGAUUUUUAGGUCUUCAAUUUAAUAAGAAAACAUGUAUUAUAUACUAUAAAAAAUAUCUUUAGGUGAGUUGUCGGAUGUAAUUUAAACCGUAUAAUUUUUGUGUCAUGUUAUACAUUUUUAUUAGUCAAAUUCAAGACCUAGAAACCCGCGCCCGGCUUAUAAACCUAACUAUAGGGAGUAUUUUUUGUUCUUUAAACUUGAUCAAACAUACACGUCUUUGACUAUUAGAAAACAAGAUAUGCACUACAUUUCGGAUCAAAGGGAGUAUAGAAGCAUGUGUAUUGUGUAUGUUGAGAGCUGGCCAGAAUGUAUUGGUUAGAGAGGGAGCCCGCGCCAUAUGGCGUCUCCGCUAGGAAUAAGCUCGUUGAGAUACGAGAGAGCUUAUUGGUUGGCCCUUUUUAAAAUGUGUUUCUCUGUUUGACCGACCGUAAAAACAUUUCUUUCCUAUUUGACACUAGGUAAAAAAAUGUGUUCCUAAUUCGACACUUCCGUGAAUUUUUCCAUACAACGUUCUUAAGUGGGACGAGGAAACACGGUAUCCAUGGUGCAGUAUGUAAUCAAAAUUACUUUGAGAAAUUCUCUAUUUGAGACUAGAUUAAAAUGUUCCAAAUAUUCAGGCAUAUGAAUUAAAUUUAGUGAGCAAAGACCAAUCAGAAGCGUACGUGCAUAGCUAGCACACCGUGUCGUAUAUCUGUUGAGAACGUUUACUGGUCGCUGAUGGCCAAAGCUAGCUAGCAAAACGAUCAAGCCGAUCUAUCGAGCUACCCGCUGCCGGAAACACACAAAACGCGCGGAUGCUAGCUUAACUGAGACAGACACGUCUCGUCUGCAGUGGACGCUUUCUUCGUUCCUUCUCCUCGCCGGCCGUCGCGUACGAGGAAUUUUUUGGAACACUUAAAUUUGAUAUUUUCUGUUUUUCAAAGUGGGACUAUAGGAGCAUGUUAGUGUUGGUAUCAACUGACACUUCCCCGAACGGUGACCUCAUGCUCCCCGCAACGUCCCGUGGGACUAAGUAAACUGUACUGAUACAUAUGCUCCAUACCACUAGUAGAAAACAGGGCUUUGGUCACAACUCAAUGUACACAUUAGUCCCGGUUGCAUCACGAACCGGGACUAAUGUGAGCAUUAGUCCCGGUUCGAGCGGCUAAGCCGUCGGGAAGGCAUUAGUCCCGGUUCAAAUGAGACCUUUAGUCCCGGUUUGAGACACAAACCGGGACUAAAGGGUGCGAUGCCCAUUAGUUCCGGUUCGCUCUCAAACCGACUAAAGGGUGUGAUGCCCUUUAGUCUCGGUUUGUGUCUCAAACCGGAACUAAAGGUUCAAACUGUANNNNNNNNNNNNNNNNNNNNNNNNNNNNNNNNNNNNNNNNNNNNNNNNNNNNNNNNNNNNNNNNNNNNNNNNNNNNNNNNNNNNNNNNNNNNNNNNNNNNNNNNNNNNNNNNNNNNNNNNNNNNNNNNNNNNNNNNNNNNNNNNNNNNNNNNNNNNNNNNNNNNNNNNNNNNNNNNNNNNNNNNGAUAAAAACUUCAAAAAUUAAAAUCCUCGAGAUGUAGUUAUGUUACUACAUCUACUAGUUAGGAAAAUUAAAAAACUUAAAUUUGGACAUGUUGUGCAAAAAAAUGUUAUGAAAAAGUCAAACGGCCAUAUUUUUUGCAUACAAUGUCGGAAAAAAACGCAUAAUAUAUAAAAAAACAGCACGAAAAUCCACAUCCGAUUUUGACAGCCAUAGGCUUGUUUGCAAAUUUUUAGAAUCCUCAAAUUCUAAAAGGAAAAAAAUAUAUGCUCAAAUUUCAGCUUUUUUGACUUUUCAUUAAAUCUGGUUAAACUAUGGUCAAACUACUUAUUCAAGAAAUAUUAGUGUUAAUAAAUAAUUAUUUUUAGUUUUUUGGACUUUUGGUCCAACUAUGAUCAAAUCUGGUCAAACUACUUAUUCAAGAAAUAUUAGUGUUACUAAAUAAUUAUUGUUUUUUAGAAUAAUAGUUUCAAACUCAAACGGUGUAACAUGUGACUUCAUGCUCAACUCCAACUCCUAAGGGUUAAUAGGAUUGAUAGCUUAAUAUUGUCAGGAAAAUAACAAGUGGAGACUUGGAAAUAAGGUGGAAUAGAACUCGAAAGUUAAGCGUGCUCAGGCUGCUGUAGUGAGAGGAUGGGUGACCGACCGGAAAGUUAGACGAUUUGGAAUGAAGAGGGAUGAUUAGAGAUUAGAGAUUAAAUUGAGCAGUGAUGAGGGGUGAUUAGAGAUUAAAUACAAAUAAUUUAGAAAUUUGAAAAUCGAGAAAAAAAUCUAUUUUUUUAUAAUUUUUAUUUUCAAAAAAGUUUCUUUAGUCCCGGUUGGUGACUAAAGGUCGAGCUCCAGACAGCGACCACGUGGAGGGCAUUUAGUCCCAGUUCAUAACACAACCGGGACUAAAGGUGGGGGCCUUUAGUACCGACGCUUUAGUCCCGGUUUCGGAACCGGAACAAAUGGGCCUUAUGAACCGGGACAAAUGAGCCUUUUUCUACUGGUAGUACACACGUACUACACGUAUGCGCAUUGAUCACGUCGACCUCUCUGCGCACUCGGUGCGGCAGCUCUAUGUUGUCGGCUGUGUAGUUGCCAGUCCAUGCAUGCAUAAUUACUUUGUGUUAGCUGGGCUCAAACAAAAAAAUAUUAUUGUUUACUACUCCCUCCAUUUUAAAAUAUAGUGUGCUCGCGUUUUCGGAGGUCCAAUUUUGACCAUAAAUUUAACUAACGAGACCGACUGUGGCGGGAGAAAAAAUUAUAUAAUUGAAAACUUUUUUUGAAUAUAAAUUCACUGGUAUAACUUUUGCUGCCGCGGUCGGUCUGGUUGGUUAAAUUUAUGGUCAAAAUUGAAGCACAAAAAUAAAGGAAGCACUAUAUUUUGGAACGGAGGGAGUAUAUGUUGGAGCUGGCAGAUUCUCUUAUGUACCUCACCUACUUUUGGCUUGCUGACAUGUCGGCUGACUCUUUUUUUUUGCGGGUGACAUGUCGGCUGACUUGUCAGACCGGGUGGCAUAUAUUAUAUACAGUUACUAAGCUCCCUGGAAAUAAGCUCUGCUAGUGAAUCUAGGGGGUGUGAAAAAGUGCAUGGGUCCUUGGUGACAGUGGGUGAGACGUGUUGGUGGGCAGCUCGGUCCUUGCGUUUCCAGUUUACUCGUGAACAUAAGCAGUUGACCAGCUGGUCCCUUGCACGUCGGUUUGUCUAGUGAAGAAAGAAAAAGACCGUUACCACACCCAGCCAAUAAAAGACUCUCGACGGGCAAACCUGAUUGAACAGAGAAAAUGUGAGGAAUAAAUUAGGAUGUGUCUAUUAUUAACUAAAAUGUUAGGAAUAAAUUAGGAUAUUUUUAUAUUAUGAGACGGAGGGGGUAUUAAUUAAUGAAUCAUCAUUCAUGUGUCCAAUCCUAAGUAGCGAUGUUCCUUUUUCUUUUAACAUGUAACUGCCAUCGCUUGGAGGCAGCUGCCCCUAUGUAUAUAUACCUUUUCUAUCAAUGGAAUUAGAGAGGUUAGUCCCCCCCCCCCACCACCACUUCUCUCACUCUUACUUGCAUAUUUCAGAUAUAUGUUCUUUUACUUUUGUUUAAAUUUUCAGUUUUAUUUUUGUUUUUUGUUGCUAUUCACAAAUAUUUCUUUUCAAAACAAGUGUGAUCUUUUUUUAAACAUCUCACUAACUACUUUUAAAUCUCAUGAAAAUUUCUCCAAAAUGUGAACAUUUAUUAGUAGAUAAAUCAAUACGUUUUAGAUUGUAUGAAUUUUGAAAUGUGUGCACAAAUUUUAAGUAAUACAUGAACACGGUUUGUAACUUUUUAUUGACAUGAACAUGGUUUGUAACUAUAUGAUCAGGUUUCCAAUGGACGGAUAUUUUUAAAGCAUGGGCACUUUCCAAAAAUAAACAACUAUUUAAAUUUAUGACCAUUUUUAAAAAUGUACGAACAUAUCAUGUGACACUUUAUAAAAUAUCAUGAACCUAUUUCAAAAUAUACAAUCAUAUUUUUAAAAAGUAGAUGAACAUUUUUUAAAGUUCCUGGACAUUUUCUAAAACACCUUUUGAAAUUACUUGCACAUUUUCUUAGAACUUCAAUAAGAAAACACACGUAAAAAUAAUAAAAGAAAUGAAAUCUAGCCAACCUAUACUAAUGGAUCAGCCCAAUAUAUAAAGUAGCGGGCGGAGCCUUGCCAUUGGACUCCAUAAGAGUCCUAUAUAUGCUAGGUGCUGGUGUGCUAUGUGCCUCGGGGGGAGGGUGUAUGGGAUGACAUGAUCAGUUAUCAUAGUGGUUAGGGCUUGAGUGAAUUUCAUCGAAAAUACGUGAUGUAUGUAACUAUCGUUAUCUUUCCCCUUAAGUUUAAACCAUGCCUCCAGUAAAGUCAAGGAUGGCCCCAUCGCAAGGAAAAACACCAAGCCUAGCAUAAUUAAUGCCUGAAACCCAGCGCCAUAUCAUGGUACAUCCACGAAAAAAAUAGAACCCAUAAAAGAAGAACGUGCAGCAAAGCGCGCGACAACUUCUAGUACAUCAGAAAAUCCACAACAUUUUUUGCCCGACGAGAUGGUGGAAGCUUCCUUUCUACCGAUAGAGACAUUAUAAAGGAAAAGCAAAGCAACCCAAACAACACAUACGAAUCGGGAUGCAACAAGGUCAGGUAGUUAGCUAAGUCAAAUAAGUAUAUAGGAGUAUAAUGAAGCUAGCAGAAUACUUCGUCUCUUUUUAGAACGCGUAUAAAAUUUGUCUAAAGUCACAUUUUAUGAAGUUUGAUCAAUUUUAUUGGAAUAUGAACACUCAGUAUACAAAACAUAUUAGAUGCAUCAUUAAAUUAAUUUUCAUAUUGUAUGACUUUAGUAUUGCAGAUGUUGAUAUUAUUUAAUAUAAAUUUGAUCAAUCUUGACGUAGUUUGGCUUCAAACUAAAUCUUACAUGCAGAGUAAAUAGAAAUGGAGGAAGUAUCUUUAUUUAUCUAUCUCGGCAAAACUCCCCACAAAAUAAAAAUAUGAAAAAAAAUCUCGGCGGAACAAGUCUCGUGAGAGAUUCGAGGAAUGCAUGUAAAUUCAACUUUGUUCAUUUCAUAAGAUGUGGCCGACCGACGAUUGCAACCAUAUAUUAAUGGCAGAGCCCAACCAAACUAAAGACGUGAUCUCCCUUUUUUUAUCCAAACAUUGAAUUGAAAAUACAACUAAACCUUAAACCUUUGGACAUCUUUGAUUCGCAGGAAUUUUAAAACGCGUGAACAAGAAAAGUAUAGGAUUGAAGUGGCAUGUCCAAUUGAAUCUUAGAGGGUAGCAGAAUGUGUUUGAUGCGACAUGAAAGACAAAGAAAUUGUAAACAGUUGUUGGAGUGUUAGGUUUCAUAAGAAAUGUAGUACAAAUGAUUCCUUAGGGAAAAGAAUCUUAUAAGAUCCAAUCCUAUGAAUAAAACAAUCAAUAUAGAAAAAAAUCAUCAAAAGUCCUAUGAAAUUGCUUUAAAUCAAAGGUACCCUUAAUUGAGCUCUAACAAGGACACCCGUUACAUGAAAUUGUGUGACCUGAAACCAAAUAUCAGAUGAAAAGAAAUCCAUGGUUCGAUUCAUGUAGGAACCCCCUCCCCCCUCCCCCCAAAAAAAACAAAAAUUCAUGCAUCAUUCAUGCCAGUCCCAAAAUAAACAGACCAACUUUACACGAAAAUUAAAUAUAAUAAUUAUAUUUCACAAAAGUACCCUAGAAAGUUAGGAGAAAAACCAAAUUAAGGGAAAACAAACGAAGAGAACCAUGUACAGAAGAAAAGAAAAGGCAGAAACGGUGUCGCGGGACCAAACACAUAACACAUCGAGAAAAAAAAGAAACUUGAACAACGCAGGACGCUCACAAAACGCACAAACGCUCAUCCCACUAACAAACACAUGCACCCUACCCUAUUAUCGCCUCACAACAUUUUUUGCCAUCUGAGAUGGUGGAAGCUUCCUUUCCGCCGAUAGAGACCAGAUUAAGGAAAAGCGAAGCAACCCAAACAACACACAUACGAAUACGUAUGCAACAAGGUCGGGUAGUUAGCUAAGUCAAAUAAGUAUAUAGGAGUACUUCGUCUCUUUUUACACCACGUAUAAAAUUUGUCUGAAGUCAAACUUUAUAAAGUUUGAUCAAUUUUAUUGGAAUAUGAACAUUCACAAUACAAAACCUAUUAGAUGCAUCAUUAUAUUAAUUUUCAUAUUAUAUGACUUUAGUAUUGUAGGUGUUGAUAUUACUUAAUAUAAAUUUGGUCAAUCUUAACGUAGUUUGGCUUCAAACAAAACCUUAUUUGUGGAGUAAAUAGAAACGGAGGAAGUAUCUUUCUUUAUCUAUCUCGGCAAAACUCCCCACAAAAUAAAAAUAUGAAAAAAAAUCUCGGUGGAACCAAUCUCGAGAGAGAUUCAAGGAAUGCAUACAAUUUCGUCUUUGUUCAUUUCAUAAUAUGUGUCCGACCGACGAUUGCAACCAUAUAUUAAUGACAGAGCCCAACCAAACUCAAGAUCCGAUCUCCCCUUUUUUUUAUCUAAACAUGGAAUAGAAAAGACAACUAAACCUUAAACCUUUCGACCUCUUUGAUUCGCAGGAAUAUCAAAAUGCAUGAACAAGAAAAAUAUAGGAUUGAAGUGGCAUGUCCAAUUGAAUCCUAGAGGAUAGCAGAAUGUGUCUGAUGCCACAUGAAAAGCAAAGAAGUUGUAAACAGUUGUUGGAGUGUUAGGUUUCGUAAGAAAUGUAGUACAAAUGAUUCCUUAGGAAAAAAUUCUUAAAUGAUCCAAUUCUACGAAUCAAACAAUCAAUACAGAAAAAAUUCAUCCAAAAUCCUAUGGAAUUGCAUUAAAUCAAAGGUACCCUUAGUGCGCGCUCUAACAAGGACAUCGGUUACAUGAAAUUGUGUGACCUGAAACCAAAUAUCAAACUAAAAGAAAUACAUGGUUGGAUUCAUGUAGAGAGACCGGGGCGAUAGAUCUUGAGUGAAGAAAUCAUUACAGACACCUCGUAGUUGACCGAUACACCAUACCACAGAAAUAUUAGUGUUGGAAACACUGAAAUGAAUCUAGAAAAUAUGUGAGCACCCAUGCAACUCUAGAACUUAAACCCGGUGUAUCAGUUCCAUCACAAGAAAUAUAACUAUCUAAACUAUACUUAGGGCCUCUUUGAUUCAUAGGAUUUUGAAAAUAUAGGAAUAGGAAAAGUAUAGGGUUGGAGUGGCAUGCCCACUUGAAUCCUAUAAGAUUAACAAUGAGUGUUUGAUGCCACAGGAAAAACAAAGGAAUUGUAAAAAGUGAUUGGAGUGGAUGUUAGAUAUCCUAUGAAAUGUAGUACAAAAGAUUCCAUAUGAAAAAUUCCAAAGGAUCCAAUCCUAUGAAUCAAAGGACAAACAUAGAAAAAAUACUAAGAGUUUCAAUCCUCCAGAAAUCCUAUAAAAAUUCCUUCGAAUCAAAGGAGCCCUUAGUUUGCAAUUUUAAUUUGAACUUUAACCGAAGCAGCACAUGCGACACAUUGAAAAUAAUAACAUGUGAACCAAAUAUCAAAUCAGUACAAACAGAAAUACUCAAUUGUGGGAAUCACCAAAAGUAAAACACAAACAUCAUAGGGACCGAUGCGAAAUAGCAAAGGUAAACUUAUGCCAACUUUCCCUGAAAAGUUAUAAAGCGUCCAACUAUAACUAGAAUGAAUAUCAAUCUCGAUCGAUCCAUUUCACCUGCGCCUCAGAGCUGUGACUGAUGUCGUCCCUGUUGUCAUGGACCCGGAAGCCGGUCAUUAUCAGAUAGGCCAACUGCAUGCCACACCACAACAUAUAUAAAUAAAGAGAUUCAAUCAUCCAUCGAAUAGAGUGUACUAUGUGUUUGCUUUGGCGUCUGAUCCGGCCAUACAUAGCAGAUGCCGCAGUCGGCGACGGGGAUGGAGACGUGGUUGUCACUGCUCGGCCGGGCCAACGUGUUGUUGUCGAGGUUGGCUACCACGGCGCGUACCGCCCGCUCCAAGAGGUUCUCGGCUGUGGUCACGGGCUCCGGCGAGGGCAGGCGCCUUCUGCAGAAAAGAAAAAAACACGCGUACGGGAGGGACUCAGAUCUGCUGUAUACAUGCUCGAGAAAUUAAGCUAAGCUUUAGUGUCAGUGCGGUGUGUGCUUACCCGGUGGACAUGAGGUCGAGGCUGCCGUACUCCAUCUCGACCUCGCCCGCCGUCGGGAGUUGGUGCUGCUCAGUGGCCAUGGGAUGAUGGAUCGAAGUGAAGAGCAGUCCUGUCUUGUGCCCGGGGGUAGGAGGAGGGAGGGGGAAGAGUGUUGUGCCGAUCGGCUGGAGGGAAGGGUGGAUGGAGCUUUUAUAGGCGGGCUGGGGGCUAGCUAGCACCCCCACUGCACCGUGAACAGUGCACCGACAGUGCACUGUACACGAUGAACGUGGUCUGGACGCACAGGCAAUAGCUCACCCGUCCAUCGUGGCUCACACGUCUGUUGGAUGGAUGGAUGCGAUAAUGUGGCUGGGCCACUCGUGGGUGGCUAAUGUGUGUACUAUAGAGACAGGAAGCGCGUGGUGGGUAGCGGGCCACUCGUGGGUGGCUAAUGUGUACUACUCUCUCUGACUGGGUAUGUGCACCGCUCAGGUAUGUGCACCGCUCGAGGGGAAUGUCCCUCCGCAUGAGGCAGAUGCAUUACAACAAAUGUAAUUUCCGCCUAGCCUCCAUAGACCUAUAGUGCACAACAGCGGGGGCAGUGUAUAAAUACCUUUCAUCUUGAUGAUUCGACGUAAGUCUCCAAAGAAGUAUAAAUACAACAGCGGGAAUAUACAAUUUUGCUGUAUUUCUCUACUGUUUCCCCUCUCUUACAAAUGCAUUCAGACUUCGUGGUAUCAAAGCUUACAUUCAUGAUAAUCCUGAUGUGGAUGCUGCAAGUGGGGUGCCUAGGAAAGAAAGUGAGAAAUAUUGCAAAUCUCUGCCAAGCUUGAUUGGAGACUUUUUCCUGGAUGCUUUAAGCCCACACUCGACGUCUGGUCUAGGACAACUAGGAUACAUCCCAUCACCAUGUGACUCUAAUAUACUUGAUGUAUUAAAUCUAUCAUCAUCCUUGCCAUCACUUUCCACACUAGUAGAAAAAGGCUCAUUUGUCCCGGUUCAUGAGGCCCAUUUGUCCCAGUUGUCGAACCGGGACUAAAGGGUCGGUACUAGAAGCCAACACGUUUAGUCCCGGUUCGCCAAGGAACCGGGACAGAUGGGGCUCCACGUGGCCGCUGCGGCUUGCCCAGGCAGGAGGCCCUUUUGUCCCGGUUGCUGCCAUCAACCGGGACCAAAAGGCUUCCANNNNNNNNNNNNNNNNNNNNNNNNNNNNNNNNNNNNNNNNNNNNNNNNNNNNNNNNNNNNNNNNNNNNNNNNNNNNNNNNNNNNNNNNNNNNNNNNNNNNNNNNNNNNNNNNNNNNNNNNNNNNNNNNNNNNNNNNNNNNNNNNNNNNNNNNNNNNNNNNNNNNNNNNNNNNNNNNNNNNNNNNNNNNNNNNNNNNNNNNNNNNNNNNNNNNNNNNNNNNNNNNNNNNNNNNNNNNNNNNNNNNNNNNNNNNNNNNNNNNNNNNNNNNNNNNNNNNNNNNNNNNNNNNNNNNNNNNNNNNNNNNNNNNNNNNNNNNNNNNNNNNNNNNNNNNNNNNNNNNNNNNNNNNNNNNNNNNNNNNNNNNNNNNNNNNNNNNNNNNNNNNNNNNNNNNNNNNNNNNNNNNNNNNNNNNNNNNNNNNNNNNNNNNNNNNNNNNNNNNNNNNNNNNNNNNNNNNNNNNNNNNNNNNNNNNNNNNNNNNNNNNNNNNNNNNNNNNNNNNNNNNNNNNNNNNNNNNNNNUGGGGGUUUUGUAUGGUUAAUUUAGGGGUUUCAUAUAUUGUGUUAGCUAGUUAAUAGAGAGAAGUGUCAUCUCUUAUCUUCGUGAUUGGUCGAGGCUAUGUACUAUAUGUAUAGAGAGGACUCGACACGCUAGCUAGCUAGUAAGCAAACGAAGGAAACCAAGUACGGAAGAUCGUCAUGAACAUAUACAGAGAGAAGUGAUCGACCUCUCCUUCUCCGAGAGAUUGGUCGAACAACAAGUUUUCGUAUAUCUAUCUGACGCUACUAGCUACACAUAUACAAUAUAAUAUCUAUUACAAUCCUUAAAAAUCUGAAGUCAAGUGCCACAUGGUAUUCUCCGGCUUUGUUGAUGACGUGGUCAAGAAAGAAUCCCGCCAAUUCCUCCUGAAUUGCAUUUAUGCGAUCAUGUGGUAGGAGCUCAUCCCGCAACUGCCAGAUCUAAAUCGAAGAAGAGGGUCAAUACAUGUGUAUGAAUGAAACUCAACACAAAUGAUGGUAAUAAAAUACAAUUGCGAAUAUUUUUGCUUACGCACUUGAUAUUGUUUUUCAGUGUAGCCCCGCUGAUUCUUGGGCGUCUCGUUGUAGAUGAACUCGCAAACGUAGUAUCCACAGAAAUUAUUUCCUUAUUCCUGCCACAAGCACUUUACAAGAAAUAGAGGUCAAUCAAAUUGAUAAGCAAGCAUGCUAAAUGCUAUUGAUGAAACUAGCUACAAUCAAUGGGAGAUGCACAGAACUAGGUAGUAGUACUUACUUUCAGUUGUUUAAAUGUCAGCUUGGUCAGCAGUCCCGGAGAAAUUGCGGUGAACUUUUUCCAAACUCUGCCAGACAAAGAAAAUAAUUACUUGAUAUCAGGAAAUGAACAAAGUUGCCGAUAUGGUGCGAUAAUGAUUGAUUGAACUUACUUCUGGAGCAUUCCAGUCAUGUCCGCAUACUCCUUGGGGUCUUUUCGUCUCGAGUCUAAGACGGUUACUUCUCCCUUCUCAAGCUUAAUCACUAGGAGAAUAAAGUGGAAGCUGCGCACGCAUGCACAACUCAUCAGUUACAUGACUAUAACCUCGAGUAAUAAGGGAAACCGAUCGAAUAUGCACAAGACAGUAACACUCACUUGAAGUUGUAAGGAAAGAGUAUUUUAUCUUUGGUUUGAUUUUUGAGCAACGAUCUGAGCAAGUUGUCCUCGGUCUCUUCGGCCUUUUUUUGACCGUGUAUUCAUGUACGAUAUUUGGGUUAAUGAACCCAAUGUCAUAGAUUUGUGCUUUUCUGCAUCCAACGAUCUUCAAUCUGCAUAAUAUAGUGAGGAUAAUUAUAUAUACAUGCAAAGAAAGAGCUGAGCUAUAUAUAGAGAGACUUAAUUAGAGAAAGUAGUACUUACAAACAGUAGCAAGACACAAGUGAUUUGUGGAGGGCCUUUUCAUUGUAGAACUAGAAAAACUCGUCAAAAUCAACAGUUAACAGUUCUUGGCCAAUGAAGUCGUGGUCCUCUUUGAUCAGCAUCGACAAAGCAUCCUUCCCAGACUCUCUGCAGGUUUUCAUGUACCAGUCAUGGAAUCUUCGCAUCAUCGUUGUUAGAGUAAGAGUAUCUUUGACGAGAGGCUUCCAUAAUGGUAUUUGAAUUCGUCCACCUCCAUUGUUUCAAAUUCUACAUCGUCGGGCAGGUAAUCACCAAUAGUGAAAUCGUGCAGCAGCGGCUGAUUUGCGAUNNNNNNNNNNNNNNNNNNNNNNNNNNNNNNNNNNNNNNNNNNNNNNNNNNNNNNNNNNNNNNNNNNNNNNNNNNNNNNNNNNNNNNNNNNNNNNNNNNNNNNNNNNNNNNNNNNNNNNNNNNNNNNNNNNNNNNNNNNNNNNNNNNNNNNNNNNNNNNNNNNNNNNNNNNNNNNNNNNNNNNNNNNNNNNNNNNNNNNNNNNNNNNNNNNNNNNNNNNGUUGGGGAAUUUUCUUCCCACUUCUUCGUUCUUUUAACCUUUUGUCAGUUGAAGUACUUCCCGACUGGCGCGCUUCUUGCACUAUCUUUUUAAGAUAGCGGAGAAGGCUGUUAUCCGGCGAACGCAGUGGUGCUCGCUGCAGGGCAUCCAAAGUGCGCUUCGCUUUCACCAGAUCUAUCUUCUCCUCCGGAGGUGGAUGUUUGUUAGCUCUUACCGCUUGAAAGAAGUCGUUCACUUGGCCUUGAACGACCUGCUCGUUUUCCUCCACGGUCAUCUCGUAUGGUAACUUCUCUAGAGGCUUGAGAGACGAUGGACCGAAUCUGAUUGCCUCCCUCCUCUAGCUGUACUGCUAGAUGCCGGAGCAGCCGGAGCGGCUGCGUAUGUCUUCUUUCGUUGCCUAAGAGGCGGAGCAGCUGGAGGCGGACUGCUACGACGCGCCGGAGCAGCCGGAGCGGCGGCGUCUGUGUUCCGCCGUCGCUUAUGAGGCGACGAAGGAGGAGGCGGGCUUCUCGGACGCGCCGGAGCAGGCGGAGAAGGAGGCGGAGUACUGCCGCCCUCACGCGCCAAAGCAGGAGGCGGAAUGCCCUGAUCACUCGCCGGAGGAGGAGGAGGUGGAGGAGGCGGAGUGUGCAGCUGACUCGCAGGAGGCGUGAAGUUCAGAAGCUUGAUGUGCUCCUUUCGCCAUAGACACGGAAUCUUCAUAGCAAGACCCAGCUGAGUCUCCCCAUCACCUGUAGGGUGCUCAAGCUGCAGCACCUCAAAUCCCUCCGUUAUUUCGUCCACCAUCACAACAGCAUAGCCUUAUGGAAUCGGACGACAGUGAAAAGUUGCUCUGGGUGAAGGAGGGAACACAGAGCCGACAGUCGCCUUGACUUUGAGCUGAAGCCAUUGCGUCAUAAGGUGGCACUGGUGUGAAUCCGUGAUAAAAUCCACGGGGUAGCUAGGACCCGUCAAGUCAGGCUGCUGAACAAGCUCGGUGGAAGCCACGCUGCUUCUCCGUUGAGAUGGCAGGGUAGCUUCUGUGGUAGCUUCUUGGGCAGGAUCUUGCAGCUGGUUCUCAACAUCUCGUCGUUCCUCUAGCUUUCAUAUCCUUGCCUUAAGCUACUGCAGUACGCUCUGCUCCACUUUCCACCUCAUCUCUUGGGUUUUGUAACCGCCUGCGUCGGGAAACCCAACCUUCCACGCAACGGAGCCUGGCAUGCCUCGUGUUCGUCUAGGGUGCUCAGGAUUCCCGAGGGCCUUGUGAGCUCGUCGUUCGCUCUGUCGGGAACGAACGUCCCUUCCUGCGCUUCCUUGAUUGCUUUUUGAAGCUUCGUGAUGGGUGUUGCAAGUUUCUCGUCCAUCCAACAACACUUCCCUGUUUCAGGGUCCAAAGUUCCCCCAACCUUGAAGAACCAAGUCCUUGAACUAUCUGGCCAGUGUAAUGUCUCUGGUUCGACCCCUUUAGCAAUCAGGUCCUGCUCAGCCUUGUCUCACAACGGCUUGGCUUUGAGGUAGCCACCUGACCCCGUGCAAUGGUGAUGCUCCUUCUUAUCAAAAUUUAUCUUGUUAAUCGCUCACAUCUUCUUACUCCUCUCCGAUGUCUUGUGGGCCACAAAUGCGGGCCAUUGAUCUCUUAUCUUCUCAAAUCGGCCAAUGAAUUCUGGAGUCUAGUUUGUGUCGACAUACAUUGAUUUCAACUCAUUCGUCCACCUCCUGAAUAGACCUGCCAUCUUCUUGAGAGCAUGAGACUUGAUCAAGGCUCUAUAACUGGCUUCUCUGGAUCCUCAUCUUUCGGUAGGGUGAAAUUUACCUUCAGCGCGGUCCAAAGAUCAGCUUUCUGUCUAUCUUCGACAAAAGAUACUUGAAGCUCUUCCUGCUUAGGCUGAUUCCAUUGCUCGAUGCUGGUCGAGAUCAUGUCCCUAAAAAGAACCCCGCACUGAGCAGAAAAUGCUUCCUUGGUCCGGAGGGGUUUAAUCGGUUGGCCAUUACGCGCGAUUUCUGUGAUCGUGAACCUUUCAUCCGGGCGCAACUUUUUCUUCGGGCCUCGUCUUGUUACCGAAGUUUUGCUCGAUCCGGAGGGCUAUAAAAGAAGAAAGAAGUGUUAAUAUAUGUACAUACCAAAAAAAUUAAUGCAUCAAUUAUCUAGUCAGCACAGGCUUACAUACAUAUAUAUAUAUAUAUAUGUAUGUAUACCUCGCCGGACUUUGCAACAGCUGAUCCCGACUCUGCUCGGUCAUCGGAGCCGUCAUCACGAUCGUUUGAGCCACCUUCAUGAUCAUGACUUUUCUCCUCCAUUGUUUGAUCACCGUAGCCUGCUUCCUCUCCUUUCUCUCCUGCUUCCUCUCCUUCCAGACCUUCUUCGAUGUCAUUGAGAAACGACAUGACAUCACAUUCGUCGCGGAUUAUGUCCCCCAAUAUCUCUUCUUGUUCGAAGUCUCUUUGUUGAUCCAUAGUUUCUGCAAAUAUGACAACAUGAUAAUUAAUAUGAAAACAUGAGAGAUGGAUAUAUUAAUAGUGGCAAACAUAGACCCCUCGGCGAUCCUCGACCCUCGACCCCUCGACGACCCNNNNNNNNNNNNNNNNNNNNNNNNNNNNNNNNNNNNNNNNNNNNNNNNNNNNNNNNNNNNNNNNNNNNNNNNNNNNNNNNNNNNNNNNNNNNNNNNNNNNNNNNNNNNNNNNNNNNNNNNNNNNNNNNNNNNNNNNNNNNNNNNNNNNNNNNNNNNNNNNNNNNNNNNNNNNNNNNNNNNNNNNNNNNNNNNNNNNNNNNNNNNNNNNNNNNNNNNNNNNNNNNNNNNNNNNNNNNNNNNNNNNNNNNNNNNNNNNNNNNNNNNNNNNNNNNNNNNNNNNNNNNNNNNNNNNNNNNNNNNNNNNNNNNNNNNNNNNNNNNNNNNNNNNNNNNNNNNNNNNNNNNNNNNNNNNNNNNNNNNNNNNNNNNNNNNNNNNNNNNNNNNNNNNNNNNNNNNNNNNNNNNNNNNNNNNNNNNNNNNNNNNNNNNNNNNNNNNNNNNNNNNNNNNNNNNNNNNNNNNNNNNNNNNNNNNNNNNNNNNNNNNNNNNNNNNNNNNNNNNNNNNNNNNNNNNNNNNNNNNNNNNNNNNNNNNNNNNNNNNNNNNNNNNNNNNNNNNNNNNNNNNNNNNNNNNNNNNNNNNNNNNNNNNNNNNNNNNNNNNNNNNNNNNNNNNNNNNNNNNNNNNNNNNNNNNNNNNNNNNNNNNNNNNNNNNNNNNNNNNNNNNNNNNNNNNNNNNNNNNNNNNNNNNNNNNNNNNNNNNNNNNNNNNNNNNNNNNNNNNNNNNNNNNNNNNNNNNNNNNNNNNNNNNNNNNNNNNNNNNNNNNNNNNNNNNNNNNNNNNNNNNNNNNNNNNNNNNNNNNNNNNNNNNNNNNNNNNNNNNNNNNNNNNNNNNNNNNNNNNNNNNNNNNNNNNNNNNNNNNNNNNNNNNNNNNNNNNNNNNNNNNNNNNNNNNNNNNNNNNNNNNNNNNNNNNNNNNNNNNNNNNNNNNNNNNNNNNNNNNNNNNNNNNNNNNNNNNNNNNNNNNNNNNNNNNNNNNNNNGACAAAAUUACAUCAUCAUAUAUCAUCAAACAAAAUUACGUCAUCAUCAUCAUAUAUACAUCUAAAAAAGUUUUCAUAUAUCAUCAUCAUCAUCAUCUAGUACAAAAAAUUGACCAAGCUAGUUUUCAUAUAUCAUCAUAUAUAUCAUCAUCAUCUACUACAAAAACAUCUAACAACAUCUAUAUAUAAAAACAUCUAAACAACAUCUAUAUACAAAGACAUCUAACAACAUCUAUACAUGUAUAUAUACUACAGAAAAUUGACCAAAUACAUCUAAAAAACAUGUAAAAAGAUCUAAAAAUAGCAUCUAAAAACAUCUAAAAGCCAUGGCAGAGGGGCACGGCGGCGGCGCUGGCGCCGGCGCCGGCGGGGUAGGGUAAGGGCGCAGAGGUGCGGGACAGGGCAGGGGCGCGGGAGCAGGCUGGUGCUCACAGGGGGCGGCGAGGCACAAUGGGCGGCGUGUUGGGGCGGGCAGGGGCGCGGUGAUCGGCGAGGUCGUCGGGGCAGAGGGUGUCAAUGGCAGCGGCGGCGAUGUUGAGCAGCCCAACGACGUCGGUGGCGGCGGCGACAUCGACAUUGAGCAGCCUGAUGGCGUCGGUGGCGGCGGCAACAGCAAGGUGGAGCAGGUGCGUCGGGCUACGACGACGACAAGGAGGAGCAGGGGCGUUGGGGAGAAGAAGUGAUGGAUUUCGUCGAAACUGCUAAGUGCUUUCUUAUAUACCCGAGGCAUUGGUACCGGUUCGUGGCACCAACCGGUACCAAUGCCCCCCUUUGGUACCGAUUGGUGCCACCAACCGGGACCAAAGGUCUCUUUUCAGCAGCUCAAAGGGCGGGAAACCGAGGCCCUUGGUCCCGGUUGGUGGCGCCAACUGGUACCAAAGGGUAGCAUUGGUACGUGUUGGUACCACGAACCUGUACCAAUGCCCCCCUUUGGUACCGGUUGGUGCCACCAACCAGGACCAAAGGCCUCGUGCUGCCCGUGGCCAAAACAUUUAAUCCCACCUCGCUAGUUGAGAUGGGUGCGUAGUGGUUUAUAAGCACCACUGCCGCACCCCUCUCGAGCUCCUCUCCAUUGCAGGCUUUGGGCCUAAUCUGACAAUGCUAUGGCUGAUGGGCCUACUGGGCCUUCUGCGGGCCUGAAUCCUGACCCAUGGUUUGGUUUCUAGUCGUAUUCAGGCCAUGGUGGCCGAGUAGGUAGCAUUUUUUUCCAGUUUUUUUUUGGUUUUUUGCAUUAUUUAUUUUCUUUUUUUGCUUUAUCUUUACUUCUUUUUUAUUUUAGGUAAUAAAAAUUAUAAACUUUCUGUUAGUGCCAUUUGUUUUCCAAUUUGAAUAGUUUAAAUUUCAAUUUUUUAAAAUUUGUGUGAAUUACUAGUUUUUAAAUAACUUUACUAUAAAAAUAGAUUUUUGAGUGAUUCUUUUUCCUGCUAUUUAAUAUUACUGUGUUCUAUCAUUAUAUUCAAAAACAGAUUUUGUUAUUUUAGUUUCUAACACAAAAAUUCUUUAUGAUAAUUCUUUUUGCUAUUAAAGUUUCUAACAAAAAAAUUUCUUUAUGAAAAUUCUUUUUGUUUUUAAUGUUUUGAACAGAAAAUACUUUGAUAGUUUUGGUUGCAUAAAUUUUAUAUAAUUUUAGUUUCAAUAAUACUAGAGAUUUAUAAAAGUUUUUUGAGUUGAUUCCUUUUGUUAUUGGAGUUUUAUAAAAUCUUUUUAGUUGAUUCUUUUUACUGUUGAAGGAUAUUAUAGUUUUGUUUUAGUUGAUCAUAACAUAAUAUUUUAAUUUAUUAUUUUUAGUUCAUUAUUUUUGCUAUUAGUUCAUUCUUUUUGCUAUUAGUUCAUUAUUUGGGCUAAAUGACCCUGAAAUUGAAAAGCACUACAAAUGAACUCUGAAAAGGUUGAAAGUUGACAUGGUAUCAUCAUUUCACCCACAUAGCAUGUCUAAAAAGUUGAGAGGGUUACGGCAAAACCUGGAUGCACUUUGUGUGCAAAAUGGACAAUCUCUCUCGAAGUAUCUGGGUUUCGGACGGAAAUUCAUGUGUUACAAAGGGAUUCCAUUUUUUUGAACUUAUUUGAAUUCCAGACUUUUUGUGUGUUCAAAAUGCACCAUUCAAAGCCACAUCAUCAUUUUUUCAACCCUCUCUCACUUCAUUUGGUAUUUUUCAUGCUUGUAUUGAUUUUUUUACCUAAAUGACCCUUAAAUUGAAAAGCACUACAAAUGAACUCUGGAAAGGUUGAAAGAUGGCACGAUAUCAUAAUUUCACCCACAUAGCAUGUGCUAAAAAUUUGUGAGGGUUACGACAAAAACUGGAUGCACUUUGUGUACAAAACAGACAAUCUCUUUGGAAGUAUCAGGGUUUCGGACGAAAACUCAUCUGUUACAAAGGGAUUUCGUUUGUUCACAUGUAACUGCAGUGAUAUUCUAGAUCAAAGGCAUCAUCAUAAUAGUUGUUGAUAGAAAGUCUUCACUUUGUCUUCGCUUGUGUCCUUUGCUUAUUGCACCGUAACCAUGGAUAAUCUUCAUCGUUUAACAGGGUGCUUGGGUCAGCCUUGACUUUGAAGGGAGGAAUUUCAUGAAACUUUUCACAAUCUUCAGACAUGUCUGUCUUGCCCUCCAAUCCCACGAUUUCUCUUGUUCCUGAAAGAACUAUGUGGCGCUUUGCCGCAUUGUAUGAUGUAUCCGCUUCCUUAUCUUUUCUUUUGCUCGGUUUGGUAGACAUGUCCUUCAUAUAGAAAACCCGCGCCACAUCAUUGGCUAGGACGAAUGGUUCGUCUGUGUACCCCAGAUUGUUCAGAUCCACUGUCGUCAUUCCAUACCGUGGGUCUACCUGUACCCCGCCUCCUGACAGAUUGACCCAUUUGCACUUAAACAAAGGGACCUUAAUAUCAUAUCCAUAGUCAAGUUCCCAUAUGUCCACUAUGUAACCAUAUAUAAUAUGUGUCCUUUCCCCUCUUGGUUGCUGCAUCAAAGCAGACACCACUGUUUUGGUUGGUGCUCUUUUGAUCUUGGGUGAUCGUGUAAAAUGUAUUCCCAUUCAUCUCGUACCCCUUGUAAGUCAUUACGAUCGAAGAUGGUUCCCUCGCCAACGAGUACAGGUCAUCAAAAACGGUGUUGUCACCCCUGAGACGUGUUUGGAACCAACUGCCAAAACUCCUGAUGUGUUCACAUGUAAUCUAGCAGUCACACUGGUCCAGAUGUUUCAAGUGCAGAAUGUUCUUGUGUUCAUCGACAUACGGGGUCACCAAGGUAGAAUUCUGUAGAACUGUGUAGUGUGCUUGAGACCAAGAAUGCCCAUCCCUACAUACUAUUGAGUCCCCUCCUAGCGUGCCUUUUCCACCUAGUAUCCCUCAUACCGCAAUUGAGGGAGACCUAUCUUCUUAAGGUUAGGAAUGAAGUCAACACAAAACCCAAUGACAUCCUCUAUUUGAUGGCCCAUGGAGAUGCUUCCUUCUGGCCUAGCGCGGUUACGGGCAUAUUUCUUUAGAACUCGCAUGAACCUCUCAAAGGGGAACAUAUUGUGUAGAAAUACAGGGCCAGAACGACAAUCUCGUCGACUAGAUGAACUAGGACAUGCAUCAUGAUAUUGAAGAAGGAUGGUGGGAACACCAGCUCGAAACUGACAAGACAUUGCGCCACAUCACUCCUUAACCUUGGUAGGAUUUCUGGAUCGAUCACCUUCUGAGAGAUUGCAUUGAGGAAUGAACAUAGCUUCACAAUGACUAAUCGAACGUUCUCCGGUAGAAGCCCCCUCAAUGCAACCGGAAGUAGUUGCGUCAUAAUCACGGGGCACUCAUGGAGACUUUAGGUUCCAGAACUUUUUCUCUGCCAUAUUUAUUAUUCCCUUUAUAUUUGACAAGUAGCCAGACGGGACCUUCAUACUGAGUAGGCAUUCAAAGAAGAUUUCCUUCUCUUCUUUGGUAAAAGCGUAGCUGGCAGGACCUUCAUACUGCUUUGGAGGCAUGCCAUCUUUUUUGUGCAAACAUUGCAGGUCCUCCCACGCCUCCGCUGUAUCUUUUGUCUUCCCAUACACGCCCAAGAAGCCUAGUAGGUUCAUGCAAAGGUUCUUCAUGACGUGCAUCACGUCGACUGAAGAGCGGACCUCUAGGUAUUUCCAGUAGGGUAGGUCCAAAAAUAUAGAUUUCUUCUUCCACAUGGGUGCAUGUCCCUCAGCGUCAUUCAGAACAGAUAGUCCGCCGGGACCCUUUCCGAAGAUUAUUUUUAAAUCAUUGACCAUAGCAAGUACGUGAUCACUGGUACGCAUGGCGGGCUUCUUCCGAUGAUCUGCCUCGCCUUUGAAAUGCUUGCCUUUCUUUCGACAUUGAUGGUUGGUCGGAAGGAAUCGACGAUGCCCCAGGUACACAUUCUUCCUGCAUUUGUCCAGGUAUCUACUUUCGGUGUCAUCUAAACAGUGCGUGCAUGCGUGGUAUCCAUUGUUUGUCUGUCCUGAAAGGUUACUAAGAGCAGGCCAAUCAUUGAUGGUGAAAAACAACAAUGCAUGCAUGUCAAAUUCCUCCUAUUUGUGCUCAUCCCACACACAUACACCGUUUCCAAUCCAUAGCUAUAGAAGUUCUUAAACUAAUGGCCUUAGGUACACAUCAAUGUCGUUGUUGGGUUGCUUAGGGCCUUGGAUGAGAACUGGCAUCAUAAUGAACUUCCGCUUCAUGCACAGCCAAGGAGGAAGGUUAUAGAUACAUAGAGUCACGGGCCAGGUGUUGUGAUUGCUGCUCUGCUCCCCAAAAGGAUUAAUGCCAUCCGCUCUUAAACCAAACCAUAUGUUCCUUGCGUCACCUGCAAACUCCACCCAGUACUUUCUCUCGAUUUUUCUCCACUGUGACCCAUCAGCGGGUGCUCUCAACUUCUCGUCUUUCUUACGGUCCUCUCUGUGCGAUCGCAUCAACUUGGCAUGCUCUUUGUUUCUAAACAAGCGUUUCAACCGUGGUAUUAUAGGAGCAUACCACAUCACCUUGGCAGGAACCCUCUUCCUGGGGCACUCACCGUCAACAUCACCAGGGUCAUCUUGUCUGAUCUUAUAUCGCAAUGCACCGUAUACCGGGCAUGCGUUCAAAUCCUCAUAUGCACCGCGGUACAGGAUGCAGUCAUUAGGGCAUGCAUGUAUCUUCUGCACCUCCAAUCCUAGAGGGCAUACAACCUUCUUUGUUGCAUACGUAUUGUCGGGCAAUUUGUUAUCCUUUGGAAGCUUCUUCUUCAAUAUUUUCAGUAGCUUCUCAAAUCCUUUGUCAGGCACACCAUCCUCUGCCUUCCGCUGCAGCAAUUCCACUACGGUACCGACCUUUGUGUUGCCAUCUUCGCAAUUGGGGUACAAACCUUUUUUGUGAUCCUCUAGCAUGCGAUCAAACUUCAGCUUCUCCUUUUCACUUCCGCAUUGUCUCCUUGCAUCAACAAUGACCCGACGGAGAUCAUCAUCGGGCACAUCGUCUGGUUCCUCUUGAUCUUCAACAGCUUCCCCCGUUGCAGCAUCACCGUAUCCAGGGGGCACAUAGUUGUCAUCGUCCUCUUCUUCUUCGUUGUCUUCCAUCAUAACCCCUAUUUCUUCGUGCUUGGUCCAAACACUAUAGUGUGGCAUGAAACCCUUAUACAGAAGGUGGGUGUGAAUGGUUUUUGAGUCAGAGUAAGACUUUGUAUUCCCACAUAUAGGGCAUGGACAACACAUAAAACCAUUCUUCUAGUUUGCCUCAGCCACUUUGAGAAAAUUAGGCACGCCCUUAAUGUACUCGGAGGUGUGUCUGUCACCGUACAUCGAUUGCCGGUUCAUCUGCGUGCAUUAUAUAUAAUUAAGUGUGUCAAAAACCAUUACAGAACAUCACGAAUAGAUAAUUAAGUGACAAAAUUGAUAGAAGUUCAUCAUCACAUUAAAACCAAAGUACAUACAUAGUUCUGAUUGAACAACAUAUAGCUCUCCAGAGCAUCUAAUUAAUUAGACUAUACAUUGAAACUAUGUAAACCAUUUCAAUGCAAUAACAAAUGUGAUCAUAAUCGCAAACAAGGUAACAAUUGAUCUAACAGCAUAAUGAUACCAAGCCUUGGUAUGAAUGGCAUAUUUUCUCAUAUUUCUAAUCUUCAAGCGCAUUGCAUCCAUCUUGAUCUUGUGAUCAUCGACGACAUCCGCAACAUGCAACUCCAAUAUCAUCUUCUCCUCAAUUUUUUAUUGUUUCCUUCAAGAAAUUGUUUUCUUCUUCAACAAAAUUUAACCUCUCUACAAUAGGGUCGGUUAGAAUUUCCGGUUCACAUACCUCCUACAUAAAUAAAAUCUAUGUCACGUUGGUCGGUAUAAUUGUCAUAAACAAUAAAUGAACCAGAUAGUUAUAAAAGAUAAUAUAUACCACAUCUGAAUCAUAGACAGGACGAGGGCCGAUGGGGGCGGAUACCAAAACCAUCGCACUACAUAAUAAGAAGCAAUACUAAGAAAAAGAAAAUUAUACAAGUAUCUAUCUAAACAUACAACUAAGAAUAUUUUUCCUUUCAGAAAUAAGAUAAGAACAAGAGGCUCACCACGGUGGUGCCGGCGACGAGAUCGGCACGGGCGAUCGACGGCGGUGAAGACGGGGACGGGACAUGACAUACCGCUCAACCUAGAAAAAUAUUGAGGAAAAUGGAGCUUGGAGGUCGAGCUUGGGGAGGAGAAAGCUUAAGUAGUGUGGCUCGGGCAUUCCAUCAAACACCUCAUGUGCAUAGGAGGUGAGCUAGAGCACCACAAAACCCUCACCUCGCCGGCCAGAAAAAACAGAGCAGUGUGGAGUGCUCUACUCGCCGGCGAGGGGGUAUAUAUAGGCACAUCAUUGGUCCCUGUUCGUGGCUUGAACCGGGACUAAACGACACCCUAUGGUACCGGUUCAAGCCACCAACCGGGACCAAUGUUGGUGGGCCAGGAGCGAGGCCCAUUGGUCCCGGUUCAUCCCACCAACCGGGACCAAAGGGGCCAGACGAACCGGGACCAAUGCCCCCACGAGGCCCGGCAGGCGCCCUGGCCUCACGAACCGGGACCAAUUCCCCCAUGGGUCCCGGUUCGUAACUGAACCGGGACUAAUGGGCUUAUCUGGCCUGAACGAAAGCCAUGUUUUCUACUAGUGUCAUACAGUACGUACAUUAUAACCAGGCUCAUAUUUAUGAAUUGACAUAUCUGUAUUUAAACCUACAAUGUAAUUAUUAAUUAACACAAUCCCUUAUAUGCGCAAAUACAAAGUUAUUAGUAGAAAUAAGACUUUUACCGUUUCUCUUUGUCCACUUUCUUUCCCCUUGAAUGCUACUUCCAACAUUUGAUUCAACUAUUUCAAUACGAUGUCUCUUCCAAGAACUUGUAUUGUUACAUAUUGAAGCUUUAUCUCUAAUACCAAGAAUAUAUCAUAAACAUUGAGAGUAAAAGACACAACAAAAAGCUGCCUACAACAAAUAUUACCUUUUGAAGCUACAUGAACACUACUCGCCACAGAAACUUCUGUCAAAAUACUCUUGGGAACUUGCUAAACUGAAAAUGAAACAAAAAAAGAAUUGAAAUAUGAAAGAUUAUAUAAUAUCAAUAAUUUAAACUAAAAUAUAAUACAUAAUACCAUGUUUCCUGUGAUACAUGUUGGCUUAUUUGCCCAUUCAUGCAGACAUUCAGAUGACCUUGUUUCAGUACAAUACAUGCAAAAAAAAUCUAACGGCGAGAACACUUUAUCUAUAAAUCAAAUAUCUUGUAUCAUUAUAUGAUUCUUAUUGAUAUUCACUCAUGGAUUCUUUUAGCGUGCCUCAGCUUGACUUCUUGAGUUACAGAAUGUUUCACCUUCAAACAUGGUAUAGACUGUAAAAUAAAUAAACUAUAACUAUAAGACCGAACAUUUUGGAUAAGUAUCAUUUAUGUGAUCAUUGGACUUUCCAUUCAAAAUACGCUGUGAAAUUGUAGCAUCUAAGCACUACUCUAUAUUCUCCGAAACAACUUCAACACUUUUCAUAUUUACAUUUGUAUUGAAUGAAUUCUUUGGAAAAUAGUGCUUUCAGUGCAAAGACUGUCGUUUUGAAUUUCAGUUUCAAUCACUGAAUAUUAGUCUUUACAACAACAAAAUUGGAAUUGUGAUAAUAAUUUAGAGCUUCAAUUAGUAUAAUUUCACAUUAGGUUUGCUGUAAUAUUAGUACUUAUGAAUAUUUAAUCUACAAAAAAUCAAAUCAACACAAAUAGUUAAGUUUCUUUAACAUAUUAUUGGCAAUUCAAUUCUAUAGCACUAAAUUUCAGACCAAAGUAACCUAAAUCACUCUUUGUACAUAAGUAACAUGUUGUCACUGUUUUUGUUCAAACUGUAAUAUUUUGGAAUAUAAUAUUUCAGUAUGUAGAACGUCAAUAACUCCAACAAUGCCACAACCGCAAGAUUCAAGCAAUAUUAGUAUCGACAACAAAAGAUGAGUACAACAACACAAAGUCAAAAACAUAAACAUGAUGAAUAAAAUUCAAGUACUAAUAUGGUUAUUGUUCUAACGGUUCCAAACACUAGCACAUCACAAUGCUUUCAAUAUGACAAAUUAAGUUAAACUAAUAAAGAAACACACACAUGUCCUACUUUAAGUUUAAGUUUCAUUAAAAGUAACUUAACUUUAAACCUUCAAAAAUCAAGUUUUAGGUGAUGUUACUUAUUUGAACACAUUUUAAAAACAUAUAUCUAGUGCCGUUAUUUUCACCUACAUUGUAAUAUUCCAACUCAUACUAUUUCACAUUAGACAGACUCAAUAUGUCUGUCUAAUAUGUCAUACAGAUUCUGUAUUGUAAGAUCCCGUAUUCAUAUACAAGUUUUGCACAAAUUCAUAUUUAAAUGGUCAAACAUUACAAUUUUGCAUCAAAUAUGCCCACCAAUUGUAAUAUAAAACAAAUUGAGCGUGCAUACCAACUGUGACAGCUAUGCACGCAGUCACCAGCAUAUGGUCCCACAUAUAAGAAGCCACGUCACCCACAUAUGGACCUGCUUGCCAGCAUCCAUGUCAACACUAAAUUUGGCCCACAUGUUAGAAUGAUUAACUGAUCAAACGACACAUCAUCACAGAAAAAAUGUUGGCCGGUCGCACAUGUAUGUAGCCACAUCAGCAUCUUCUGGGUUCAUUUGUCCGCAGUGUUGUGAUGUCUACUAUGCAACUUAUUCUUGUAGACUCGUGUUGGGCCUCCAAGCAUAGAGUUUUGUAGGACGGUAGAAAUUUUCCUCAAGUGGAUGACUAAGGUUUAUCAAUCCGUGGGAGGCGUAGGAUGAAGAUGGUCUCUCUCAAACAACCAUGCACGCAAAUAACAAAGAGUCUCUCGUGUUCCCAACACACCCAAUACAAUGGUAAAUUCUAUAGGUGCACUAGUUCGGUGAAGAGAUGGUUAUACAAGUGUAAUAUGGAUUGUAGAUAUAGGUUUUUGUAAUCUAAAAAUAUAAAAACAGUAAGGUAGCAAGUAGUAAAAGUGAGCAAAAACGGUGUUGCAAUACUUGAAAAUAAGGCCUAGGGUUCAUACUUUCACUAGUGCAAAACCUCUCAACAAUGAUAAAAUAAUUGGAUCAUAUAACGAUCGCUCAACGUGCAACAAAGAAUCACUCCAAAGUUUCUAUCGCGGAGAAGAUAAGAUGAAAUUGUUUGUAGGGUAUGAAACCACCUCAAAGUUAUUCUUUCCAAUCAAUCUUUUGAGCUAUUCCUAUAAGUGUCACAAACAACCCUAGAGUUCAUACUAAAAUAACACCAUAUGACACGCAUCAAUCAAUCCUAAUGUCACCUAGAUACUCCAAUGUCAUCACAAGUAUCCGUGGGUUGAUUAUAUGAUGUGCAUCACACAAUUUCAGAUUCAUAAUACUCAAUCCAACACACAGAACUUCAAAGAGUACCCCAAGAUUUCUAUCGGGGAAAGGAAUAUGAAAACGCGCAUCAACCCCUAUGCAUAGAUUACCCCAAUGUCACCACGGGAAUCCGCAAGUUGAUAACUGAAACAUACAUCAAGUGUAUCAAUAGAACAUUCCAUUUUCACCAUGGAUAUCCCAUCGCAAUACAUACAUCAAGUGCUCUCACAUCCAAAAGAUUCAAUCCGACAUAACAAAACCUCAAAGGAAAAUAUUCAAUUCAUUACAAGAAGGUAGAGAAGGAAGAACACCAUAAGAUCCAAAUCUAUUAACAAAGCUCACGGUACAUCAAGAUCGUGCCAAAUCAAGAACAUGAGAGAGAGAGGGGGGAGGGAGAGAGAGAGAGAGAUCAAACAAAUAGCUACUGGCACAUACCCUCAGCCCCGAGGGUGAACUACUCCCUCCUCAUCAUGGUGGCCACCAGGAUGAUGAAGAUGGCCUCUGGUGAUGAUAUCCCCCUCCGGUAGGGUGCCGCAAUGGGGUCGCGAUUGGUUUUUCGUGGCUAUAGAGGCUUGCGGCGGCGAAACUUUUCAUCUCGGGUUCUUUUCGAGGUUUUUGGUAUUUAUAGGAAUUUUUUGUGUCGUUCUGAUGUCAAGAGAGUGCCCGAGGGGCCCACAAGCUCGAGGGCACUCCUUAGGGGAGUUGGCAUUGUUGGGGAACGUAGUAAUUUCAAAAAAUUUCCUACGCACACGCAAGAUCAUGGUGAUGGUAUAGCAACGAGAGGGGAGAGUGAUGUCCACGUACCCUCGUAGACCGCAAACGGAAGCGUUAACACAACGCGGUUGAUGUAGUCGUACGUCUUCAUGAUCCGACCGAUCCAAGCACCGAACGUAUGGCACCUCCGAGUUCAGCACACGUUCAGCUCGAUGACGAUCCCCGGGCUCCGAUCCAGCAAAGCUUCGGCGAUGAGUUCCGUCAGCACGACGGCGUGAUGACGAUGAUGAUGUUCUACCGGCGCAGGGCUUCGCCUAAACUCCGCGACGAUAUGACCGAGGUGGAAUAUGGUGGAGGGAGGCACCGCACACGGCUAAGAAACGAUCCGUAGAUCAACUUGUGUGUCUGUGGGGUGCCCCCCCCCCCCCGCCCCCGUAUAUAAAGGAGCAAGGCGGGAGGGGGCGGCCGGCCUAGAAGGGGCGCGCCAAGGGGAGUCCUACUCCCACCGGGAGUAGGACUCCCUCCUUCCUUGUUGGAGUAGGAGAAGGGGGGAAAGAGGGGGAGAGGAGGAAGGAAAGAGGGACUGCACCCCUUGUCCAAUUCGGACCAGAGGGGGGCUGCGCGCCUCCUUCCCUUCGGCCUCUCUCCUCAAUUCCCGUAUGGCCCAAUAAGGCCCAUAUACUCCCCGGCGAAUUCCCGUAACUCUCCGGUACUCCGAAAAAUACCCGAAUCACUCGGAACCUUUCCGAAGUCCGAAUAUAGUCGUCCAAUAUAUCGAUCUUUACGUCUCGACCAUUUCGAGACUCCUCGUCAUGUCCCCGAUCUCAUCCGGGACUCCGAACUCCUUCGGUACAUCAAAACUCAUAAACUCAUAAUAUAACUGUCAUCGAAACCUUAAGCGUGCGGACCCUACGGGUUCGAGAACUAUGUAGACAUGAGCUAGAACUAUUCUCGGUCAAUAACGCAAUAGCGGAACCUGGAUGUCCAUAUUGGUUCCUACAUAUUCUACGAAGAUCUUUAUCGGUCAAACCGCAUAACAACAUAUGUUGUUCCCUUUGUCAUCGGUAUGUUACUUGCCCGAGAUUCGAUCGUCAGUAUCCAAUACCUAGUUCAAUCUCGUUACCGGCAAGUCUCUUUACUCGUUACGUAAUGCAUCGUUCCGUAACUAACUCAUUAGCUACAUUGCUUGUAAGGCUUAUAGUGAUGUGCAUUACCGAGAGGGCCUAGAGAUACCUCUCCGACAAUCGAAGUGACAAAACCUAAUCUCGAAAUACGCUAACCCAACAUGUACCUUUGGAGACACCUGUAGUACUCCUUUAUAAUCACCCAGUUACGUUGUGACGUUUGGUAGCACCCAAAGUGUUCCUCUGGCAAACGGGAGUUGCAUAAUCUCAUAGUUAUAGGAACAUGUAUAAGUCAUGAAGAAAGCUAUAGCAACAUACUAAACGAUCAAGUGCUAGGCUAAUGGAAUGGGUCAUGUCAAUCACAUCAUUCUCCUAAUGAUGUGAUCCUGUUAAUCAAAUGACAACUCUUUUGUCCAUGGCUAGGAAACUUAACCAUCUUUGAUUCACGAGCUAGUCAAGUAGAGGCAUACUAGUGACACUAUGUUUGUCUAUGUAUUCACACAUGUAUUAUGUUUCCGGUUAAUACAAUGCUAGCAUGAAUAAUAAACAUUUAUCAUGAAAUAAGGAAAUAAAUAAUAACUUUAUUAUUGCCUCUAGGGCAUAUUUCCUUCAGUCUCCCACUUGCACUAGAGUGAAUAAUCUAGUUCACAUCAUCAUGUGAUUUAACACCAAUAUUCAUAUCUGUAUAUGAUUAACAUCCAUAGUUCACAUCCUUAUGUGAUCAACACCCAAAGGGUUUACUAGAGUUAAUAAUCUAGUUCACAUCGCUAUGUGAUUAACACCCAAAGAGUAUUAAGGUGUGAUCAUGUUUUGCUUGUGAGAGAAGCUUAGUCAACGGGUCUGUCACAUUCAGAGCCGUAUGUAUUUUGCAAAUAUUCUAUGUCUACAAUGCUCUGCACGGAGCUACUCUAGCUAAUUGCUCCCACUUUCAAUGUGUAUCCAGAUUGAGACUUAGAGUCACCUGGAUCGGUGUAAAAGCUUGCACCGAUGUAACUCUUUACGAUGGGCUCUUUUAUCACCUCCAUAAUCAAGAAAUACUUCCUUAGUCCUCACUAAGGAUAUUCUUGACCGAUGUCCAGUGAUCUACUCUUAGAUCACUAUUGUACUCCCUUGUCAAAUACAGAGCAAGGUAUACAAUAGGUCUGGUACAUAGCAUAGCAUACUUUAUAGAACCUAUGACUGAGGCAUAGGGAAUGACUUUUCAUUCUCUUUCUACUUUCUGCCAUGGUCUGGUUUUUGAGUCUUGCUCAACAUCAUACCUUUGUAUCAUAGGCAAGAACUCUUUCUUUGACUGUUCCAUUUUGAACUACUUCAAAAUCUUGUCAAGGUAUGUACUCAUUGAAAAAACUUAUCAAGUGUUUUGAUCUAUCUCUAUAGAUCUUGAUGCUCAAUAUGUAAAUAGCUUUACUGAGGUCUUUCUUUUAAAGAACUCCUUUCAAGCACUCCUUUAUGCUUUGCAGAAUAAUUCUACAUUAUUUCCGAUCAACAAUAUGUCAUUCACAUAUACUUAUCAGAAAUGUUGUAGUGCUCCCACUCACUUUCUUGUAAAUACAGGCUUCACUGUAAGUCUGUACAAAACUAUAUGCUUUGAUCAACUUAUCAAAACAUAUAUUCCAACUCUGAGAUGCUUGCACCAGUCCAUAGAUGGAUUGCUGGAGCUUGCACAUUUUGUUAGCACCGUUAGGAUUGCCAAAACCUUCUGGUUGUAUCAUAUACAACACUUCUUUAAUAAAUCCAUUAAGGAAUGUAGUUUUGACAUCCAUUUGCCAAAUUUCAUAAAAUGUGGCAAUUGCUAACAUGAUUCGGACAGACUUUUAAGCAUCGAUACGAGUGAGAAAAUCUCAUUGUAUUCAACACCUUGAACUUUGUCAAAAACCUUUUUUCGACAAGUCUAGCUUUGUAGAUAGUAACACUACUAUCUGUGUCCGUCUUCCUCUUGAAGAUCCAUUUAUUUAACAUGGCUUGCUGAUCAUCGAGCAAGUCAAUCAAAGUCCAUACUUUGUUCUCAUACAUGGAUCCCAUCUCAGAUUUCAUGGCCUCAAGCCAUUUCGUGGAAUCUGGGCUCAUCAUCGCUUCCUCAUAGUUCGUAGGUUCAUCAUGGUCUAGUAACAUGACUUCCAGAACAGGAUUACCGUACCACUCUGGUGCGGACCAUACUCUGGAAGACCUACGAGGUUUUGUAGUAACUUGAUCUGAAGUUUCAUGAUUAUCAUCAUUAGCUUCCUCACUAAUUGGUGUAGGAAUCACUGGAACUGAUUUCUGUGAUGAACUACUUUCCAAUAAGGGAGAAGGUACAAUUACCUCAUCAAGUUCUACUUUCCUCCCACUCACUUCUUUCAAGAGAAACUCCUUCUCUAGAAAGGAUCCAUAUUAAGCAACAAAGAUCUUGCCUUCGGAUCUGUGAUAGAAGGUGUACCCAACAAUUUCCUUUGGGUAUUCUAUGAAGACGCACUUCUCCGAUUUGGGUUUGAGCUUAUCAGGAUGAAACUUUUUCACAUAAGCAUCGCAGCCCCAAACUUUAAGAAACGACAACUUGGGUUUCUUACUAAACCACAGUUCAUAUGGUGUCGUAUCAAUGGAUUUAGAUGGUGCCCUUUUAACUUGAAUGCAGCUGUCUCGAAUGCAUAACCCCAAAACAAUAUUGGUAAAUUAGUAAGAGACAUCAUAGAUCGCACCAUAUCCAAUAAAGUACGGUUACGAUGUUCGGACACACCAUAACGUUGUGGUGUUCCAGGUGGCGUGAGCUGUGAAACUAUUCCACAUUGUUUUAAUUGAAGACCAAACUCAUAACUCGAAUAUUCGUCUCCGCGACCAGAUCGCAGAAACUUUAUUUUCUUGUUACGAUGAUUCUCCACUUCACUCUGAAAUUCUUUGAACUUUUCAAAUGUUUUAGACUUGUGUUUCAUUAAGUAGAUAUACUCAUAUCUGCUCAAAUCAUCUUGUGAAGGUCAGAAAAUAACGAUACUCGCCACGAGCAUCAAUACUCAUUGGAUUGCAUACAUCGAUAUGUAUUAUUUCCAAUAAAUCAGUAGCUCGUUCCAUUGUUCCGAAGAACGGAGUUUUAGUCAUCUUGCCCAUAAGGCACGGUUCGCAAGCAUCAAAUGAUUCAUAAUCAAGUGAUUCCAGAAACCCAUCAGUAUGGAGUUUCUUCAUGCGCUUUACACCGAUAUGACCCAAACGGCAGUCCCACAAAUAAGUUGCACUAUCUUUAUUAACUCUGCAUCUUUUGGCAUCAAUAUUAUGAAAAAUAUGUGUAUCACUACGAUCGAGAUCCAACAAACUAUUUUCAUUGGGUGUAUGACCAUCAAAGGUUUUAUUCAUUUAAACAGAACAACAAUUAUUCUCUGAUUUUAAAUGAAUAACUGUAUUACAAUAAAUAUGAUCAAAUCAUAUUCAUGCUCAACGCAAACGACAAAUAACAUUUAUUUAGGUUCAACACUAAUCCCGAAAGUAUAGGGAGUGUGCGAUGAUGAUCAUAUCAAUCUUGGAACUACUUCCAACACUCAUCGUCACUUCCCCUUCAACUAGUCUCUGUUUAUUCUGUAUCUCCUGUUUCGAGUUACUAAUCUUAGCAACCGAACAAGUAUCAAAUACUCAGGGGUUACUAUAAACACUAGUAAGGUACACAUCAAUAACCUGUAUAUCAAAUAUAACCUUGUUCAGUUUGCCAUCCUUCUUAUCCACCAAAUAUUCAGGGUAUUUUCAUUUCCAGUGAUCAUUUCCUUUCCAGUGUAAGCACAUAGUUUCAGGCUUUGGUUCAGCUUUGGGUUUCUUCGUGGGAGUGACAACUUGCUUGUCAUUCUAGUUGAAGUUCCCCUUUUUUUUCCUUUGCCCUUUUCUUGAAACUAGUGAUCUUGUCAACCAUCAACACUUGAUGCUCUUUCUUGAUUUCUACCUUCGUCAAUUUCAACAUCACGAAGAGCUUGGGAAUUGUUUUCGCCAUCCCUUGCAUUAUAGUUCAUCAUGAAGUUCUACUAACUUGGUGGUGGUGACUAGAGAAUUCUGUCAAUCACUAUCUUAUCUGGAAGAUUAACUCCCACUUGAUUCAAGCGAUUGUAGUACCCAGACAAUCUGAGCACAUGCUCACUAGUUGAGCGAUUCUCCUCCAUCUUUUAGCUAUAGAACUUGUUGGAGACUUCAUAUCUCUCAACUCGGGUAUUUGCUUGAAAUAUUAACUUCAACUCCUGGAACAUCUCAUAUGGUCCAUGACAUUCAAAACGUUUUUGAAGUCCCGAUUCUAAGCCGUUAAGCAUGGUGCACUAAACUAUCAAGUAGUCAUCAUAUUGAGCUAGCAAAACGUUCAUAACGUCUGCACCUGCUCAUGGAAUAGGUCUGUCACCUAGUGGUGCAUCAGGGACAUAAUUCUUCUAUGCAGCAAUGAGGAUAAACCUCAGAUCACGGACCAAGUCCGCAUCAUUGCUACUAACAUCUUUUCAACUUAGUUUUUCUCUAGGAACACAUAUAAAAACAUAGGGAAGCAAAAACAUAGGGAAGCAACAACGCGAGCUAUUGAUCUACAACAUAAUUUGCAAAAUACUACCAGGACUAAGUUCAUGAUAAAUUUAAGUUCAGUUAAUCAUAUUACUUAAGAACUCCCACUUAGAUAGACAUCCCUCUAAUCCUCUAAGUGAUUACGUGAUCCAUAUCAAGUACACCAUGUCCGAUCAUCACGUGAGAUGGAGUAGUUUCAACGGUGAACAUCAAUAUGUUGAUCAUAUCUACUAUAUGAUUCACACUCGACCUUUUGGUCUCCGUGUUCCGAGGCCAUAUCUGUAUAUGCUAGGCUCGUCAAGUUUAACCCGAGUAUUCCGCGUGUGCAACUGUUUUGCACCCGUUGUAUUUGAACAUAGAGCCUAUCACACCCGAUCAUCACGUGGUGUCUCAGCACGAAGAACUUUCGCAACGGUGCAUACUCAGGGAGAACACUUCUUGAUAAUUAGUGAGAGAUCAUCUUAAAAUGCUACCGUCAAUCAAAGCAAGAUAAGAUGCAUAAAGGAUAAACAUCACAUGCAAUCAAUAUAAGUGAUAUGAUAUGGCCAUCAUCAUCUUGUGCUUGUGAUCUCCAUCUUCGAAGCACCGUCGUGAUCACCAUUGUCACCGGCGCGACACCUUGAUCUCCAUCGUAGCAUCGUUGUCGUUACGCAAUCUAUUGCUUCUACGACUAUCGCUACUGCUUAGUGAUAAAGUAAAGCAAUUACAGGGCGUUUGCAUUUCAUACAAUAAAGCGACAACCAUAUGGCUCCUGCCAGUUGCCGAUAACUUCGGUUACAAAACAUGAUCAUCUCAUACAAUAAAAUAUAGCAUCACGUCUUGACCAUAUCACAUCACAACAUGCCCUGCAAAAAAAAGUUAGACGUCCUCUACUUUGUUGUUGCAAAUUUUACGUGGCUGCUAGGGACUUUAGCAAGAACCAUUCUUACCUACGCAUCAAAACCACAAUGAUAGUUCGUCAAGUUAGUGCUGUUUUAACCUUCGCAAGGACCGGGCGUAGCCACACUCGAUUCAGCUAAAGUGAGAGAGACAGACACCCGCCAGCCACCUUUAAGCACAAGUGCUCGUAAUGGUGAAACCAGUCUCGCGUAAGCGUACGCGUAAUGUCGGUCCGGGCCGCUUCAUCUCACAAUACCGCCGAACCAAAGUAUGACAUGCUGGUAAGCAGUAUGACUUGUAUCGCCCACAACUCACUUGUGUUCUACUCGUGCAUAUAACAUCAACGCAUAAAACCUAGGCUCAGAUGCCACUGUUGGGGAACGUAGUAAUUUCAAAAAAAUUCCUACGCACACGCAAGAUCAUGGUGAUGGUAUAGCAACGAGAGGGGAGAGUGAUGUCCACGUACCCUCGUAGACCGCAAACAAAAGCGUUAACACAACGCGGUUGAUGUAGUCGUACGUCUUCACGAUCCAACCGAUCCAAGCACCGAACGUACGGCACCUCCGAGUUCAGCACACGUUCAGCUCGAUGACGAUCCCCGGGCUCCGAUCCAGCAAAGCUUCGGGGAUGAGUUCCGUCAGCACGACGGCGUGAUGACGAUGAUGAUGUUCUACCGGCGCAGGGCUUCGCCUAAACUCCGCGAUGAUAUGACCGAGCUGGAAUAUGGUGGAGGGGCGCACCGCACACGGCUAAGGAACGAUCCGUAGAUCAACUUGUGUGUCUAUGGGGUGCCCCCCGCCCCCGUAUAUAAAGGAGCAAGGCGGGAGGGGCGGCCGGCCUAGAAGGGGCGCACCAAGGGGAGUCCUACUCCCACCGGGAGUAGGACUCCCUCCUUCCUUGUUGGAGUAGGAGAAGGGGGGAAAGAGGGGGAGAGGAGGAAGGAGAGAGGGACUGCACCCCUUGUCCAAUUCGGACCAGAGGGGGGCUGCGCGCCUCCUUCCCUUCAGCCUCUCUCCUCAAUUCCCGUAUGGCCCAAUAAGGCCCAUAUACUCCCCGGCGAAUUCCCGUAACUCUCCGGUACUCCGAAAAAUACCCGAAUCACUCGGAACCUUUCCGAAGUCCGAAUAUAGUCGUCCAAUAUAUCGAUCUUUACGUCUCAACCAUUUCGAGACUCCUCGUCAUGUCCCCGAUCUCAUCUAGGACUCCGAACUCCUUCGGUACAUCAAAACUCAUAAACUCAUAAUAUAACUGUCAUCGAAACCUUAAGCGUGCGGACCCUACGGGUUCGAGAACUAUGUAGACAUGACCUAGAACUAUUCUCGGUCAAUAACCAAUAGCGGAACCUGGAUGUCCAUAUUGGUUCCUACAUAUUCUACGAAGAUCUUUAUCGGUCAAACCGCAUAACAACAUAUGUUGUUCCCUUUGUCAUCGGUAUGUUACUUGCCCGAGAUUCGAUCGUCAGUAUCCAAUACCUAGUUCAAUCUCGUUACCGGCAAGUCUCUUUACUCGUUACGUAAUGCAUCAUUCCGUAACUAACUCAUUAGCUACAUUGCUUGCAAGGCUUAUAGUGAUGUGCAUUACCGAGAGGGCCCAGAGAUACCUCUCCGACAAUCGGAGUGACAAAACCUAAUCUCGAAAUACGCCAACCCAACAUGUACCUUGGAGACACCUGUAGUACUCCUUUAUAAUCACCCAGUUACGUUGUGAUGUUUGGUAGCAUCCAAAGUGUUCCUCCGGCAAACGGGAGUUGCAUAAUCUCAUAGUUACAGGAACAUGUAUAAGUCAUGAAGAAAGCAAUAGCAACAUAAUAAACGAUCAAGUGCUAGGCUAACGGAAUGGGUCAUGUCAAUCACAUCAUUCUCCUAAUGAUGUGAUCCCGUUAAUCAAAUGACAACUCUUUUGUCCAUGGCUAGGAAACUUAACCAUCUUUGAUUCACGAGCUAGUCAAGUAGAGGCAUACUAGUGACACUAUGUUUGUCUAUGUAUUCACACAUGUAUUAUGUUUCCGGUUAAUACAAUUCUAGCAUGAAUAAUAAACAUUUAUCAUGAAAUAAGGAAAUAAAUAAUAACUUUAUUAUUGCCUCUAGGGCAUAUUUCCUUCAGGCAUGCCCCCAGGGCUUGUGGCCUUCUUGUCCACUUCCUGGUCCAACUCCGAUGCUUCGGAGGUCUCUUUUAGUCCAUAAAAAAUCGCCAUAAAUUUUUAGCCCAUUUCGAAAACUUCUAUUUCUGCACAAAAAACGACAUCAUGGUAGUUGUGCUGAAAACAGCGUUAGUCUGGGCUAGUUCUAAUCAAAUCAUAGCAAAAUCAUAUAAAAUUGUUGUAAACAUGACAUGAAUACUUCAUAGAUUAUAGAUACAUUGGAGACGUAUCACGUUGAAUUGUCAAAAAUGACGCCCGACUUAUUACUAACGGGGCCGUCAGUGAUAAAACCAACGGCAAACCCACAUGGAAGCUGCCACAUCAGCUACUGCAAGCCCUAGUUAUCAGAAUCUUUGACCAGUCAAACCCACGGAUCUAUUACUGCUAACGGAUUAUCUUCAGCUAAAAACGAUCUUAGGUAAUAGAUUAGCCUAUUAUAGGUGACAGUCUAGGCCGUCACUGAUACGUCUUCAUCAUAUCUACUUUUCCGAACACUUUUGCUCUUGCUUUGGACUCUAAUUUGCAUGAUUUGAACGAGACUAACCCGGACUGCCGCUUUUUUCACCAGAACUACCAUGGUGUUGUUUUUUUGCAGAAAUAAAAGUUCUCAGAAUUGGAGGAAACUUCUUGGAGCUUUUUUAUGGAAUAUAUAAAAAAUACAGGAGCCAAGACUUAGAGGAGGGGAACCACUAGUGACCCACGAGCCACCACGGCACGCCCUGGUGCCUCGCGGGGCCUACGUGGCUUGAUACAUCUCCAUAGUAUCUAUUUUUCCAAAAACUUUUGCUCUUAUUUUGGACUCUAAUUUGCAUAAUUCGAAUGAAACUAACCCGGAUUUACGCUGUUUUCAGCAGAAUUGCCAUGGUGUUGUUUUUGUGCAGAAAUGAAAGUUCUCGGAUUGACCUGAAAAUUUAUGGAGAAUAUUUAUGGAAUAUAUAAAAAAAUACUGGCGGAAUAAAAUACUAGAGGUGGGCCACCCAGGAGCCACAAGCUCAGGGGGAGCGCCCACCCCCCGAGGGCGUCCUAUGAGCUUGUGGGCCCCCUGAACCUCUGACAACCCUAACUCCAACUCCAUAUAUACCUAUUCACCAAGAAAAAAAAUCAGAGAGAAGGAUUCAUCGCAUUUUAUGAUGCGGAGUCGCCGCCACCUCCUGUGUUCACUAGUGCAGAAUCGGGCUAUUGUCCCGGUUUGUAAGGGCCUUUAGUGCCGGUUUUGCAACCGACAGUAAAGGGUGGGAACUAAAGCCCCCCCCCCUUUAGUCCCAGUUCAUCACGACCUGGUACUAAAGGCCCACCACAUGGCACUAGCCCACGCCGGGGGCUAGGGGCCGGUUAGUAACACCAACCAGGACUAAAGGAAAAUUUUUAAUUUUUUUUUAUUUUUUUGAUUUUUUUUCUGAUUUUCAAAUUUCUAAAUUAUUUUACAAUUUAAUCUCUAAUCACCCCUCAUACUGCUCAAGUGUGGAGCACUCAUUCCAAAUCAUCUAACUUCCUGGCCGGUCACCCGUCCUCUCACUACUCCAGCCUACGCACGCUUAACUUCCGAGUUCUAUUUCCCAUAGUUUCUAAGUCUGCACUUGUUGUUUUCCUGACAAUAGUAAGAUUUCAAUCCUAUGAACCCUCAGGAGUUUAGCUUGAGCAUUAAGUCACAUGUUUCACUGUUUGAGUUUGAAACUAUUAUUGCAAAAAACAAUAAUUAUUUAGUAACAGUAAUAUUUCUUGAAUAAGUAGUUUCACCAUAGUAUGACCAGAUUUGACCAUAAUUCAAGAAAACUAAAAUAAUUAUUUAGUAACACUAAUAUUUCUUGAAUAAUUAUUUAGUAACAAUAAUAUUUCUUGAAUAAGUAGUUUGACCAGAUUUAACCAAAACUGAAAAAAAACUUAAAUUUGAGGAUAACUUUUUUCCUUUCAGAAUUUGAGGAUUCUAAAAAUUUGCAAAAUGGCCUACGGCGGUCGAAAUUGAAACUGGCUUUUCGUGCUGAACAUUUUGAUAUAUAUACAUUUUUUCGACAUCGUAUGCAAAAGUUAUAGUCGUUUUACAUUUUCAUAACACUUUUUUGCAAAACAUGUCGAAAUUUAUGUUUUUAAAUUUCCCUAACUAGUAGAUGUAGUAACAUAACUACAUCUCGAAGGAUUUUAGUUUUUGAAGUUUUUAUCAUUUUCUUUUUUUUAACUGAAAUGGCGAUACCCGGGGGGUAGAGUUUGAAAAUUGCCCUUUAGUCCUGGUUUGUGUAUUCAACCGGGACUAAAGGUUAGACCCCUUUAGUCCCGGUUUGUGACACAAAUCGGGACUAAAGGAAUAACCUAUAGUCACAAACCGGGACUAAAGGGGCUCGUGGGGCCCUGCCCUGACGCUAGCCUGCCACCACCCCUUUAGUCCCGGUUUGUGACACAAACCGGGACUAUAGGUACACCACGAACCGGGACUAAUGAUGCCAUAAUCAAACAGGGAUUAAUGGGCACAUUAGUAUCAGGUCGUAAUCAAACCGGGACUAAUGAGGUGAACGUAAGGUCGUUUUUCUACUAGUGGUUCUUCAUCGGGAGGGCUGAUCUGGAGUCUGUUCGGGGUUUUGGAGAGGGGAAUUCAUCGCCGCUAUCAUCAUCAACCUUCAUUCACAUCCAAUUUCAUGAUGCUCACUAUCGGGAGUGAGUAACUCCUUCCUAGGCUUGCUGGACGGUGAUGGGUUGGAUGAGAUUUAUCAUGUAAUCGAGUUAUUUUUGUUAGGGCUGAUACGUCUCCAAUGUAUCUAUAAUUUUUUGUUGUUCCAUGCUAUUAUAUUAUGAUUCUUGGAUAUUUUCAAUCAUUUUAUAGUCAUUUUAUAUCAUUUUUUGGUACUAACCUACUGACAUAGUGCCGAGUGACACUUGUUGUUUUCUGCAUGUUUUUUACAUUGGAGGAAAUCAAUACCAAACGGAGUCCAAAUGCAGCGAAACUUAUUGUGGAUAUUUUUGGGCCAGAAGACAUCCAAUGGGCCAGGAACGCACCUAAGGGGAGCUCCGAGGGGAGCACAACCCACCAGGGCACGCCUGGGGGCCCAGGCAUGCCCCGGUGGGUUGUGCCCUCCUCGUUGGCCUCCCGCACCGCCUAUUUGCUCUAUAAAUACCCCAAUAUUCCAGAAACCCUAGGGGAGUCGACGGAAAUCAAUUCCAGCUGCCGCAGAGUCCAAAAACACUAGAUCCAAUCUAGACACCAUCUCGAAGGGGUUCAUCAUGUCCAUUGGUGCCUCUCCGAUGAUGCGUGAGUAAUUCUUUGUAGACCUACGGGUCCGUAGUUAGUAGCUAGAUGGCUUCCUCUCUCUCUCUUUUGAUUAUCAAUACAAUGGUAUCUUGGAGAUCCAUAUGAUGUAAGUCUUUUUGCAGUGUGUUUGUUGGGAUCCGAUGAACUUUGAGUUUAUGAUCUGAUCUAUGUUUUUAUCCAUGAAAGUUAUUUGAGUCUUCUUUGAUCUCUUAUAUGCAUGAUUGAUUAUAGCCUCAUAUUUCUUCUCCGAUAUUUGGGUUUUUUUGGCCAACUUUAUCUAUUUAUCUUGCAAUGGGAAGAGCUGCUUUUUGAUGGGUUCGAUCUUACGGUGCUUGAUCCCAGUGACAGAAAGGGAAAUGACACGUAUGUAUCAUUGCUAAUAAGGAUAACAAGAUGGGGUCUAUUUCUACAUAAAUAGAUCUUGUCUACAUCAUGUCAUCGUUCUUAUUGCAUUACUCUGUUUUUCCAUGAGCUUAAUACACUAGAUGCAUGAUGGAUAGCGGUCGAUGUGUGCAGUAAUAGUAGUAGAUGCAGGCAGGAGUCGGUCUACUAAUCUUGGAUGUGAUGCCUAUAUAAUGAUCAUUGCCUGGAUAUCGUCAUGAUUAUUUGAAGGUCUAUCAAUUGCCCAACAGUAAUUAUUUUCCCACCGUUUGCUAUUUUUCUUGAGAGAAGCCACUAGUGAAACUUAUGGCCCCCGGGUCUCUUUUCAUUAUAUUUUCCUUUGAUUUUAUUUUCAAAUCUAUUAAACCAAAAAUACAAAAAUAUCUUGCUGCAAUUUAUUUAUUUUGCGAUCUAUUUAUCCUAUGUACCACAAUUGUCUCACGUUAUCUUGCCUACUUGAGGCGCCGUACCCGAAAGGGAUUGACAACCCCUUUAACACAUUGGGUUGGGAGUAUUUGUUAUUUGUGUGCAGGUGCUGUUUACGUGGUGUUAGGAGGUUCUCCUACUGGUUUGAUAACCUUGGUCUCAUCACUGAGGGAAAUACCUACCGUCGCUAUACGGCAUCAUCCCUUCCUCUUUUGGGAAAUACCGACGUAGUUCUACCAGACAUCAAGGGCUUGAUCCCUAGUAUCCACUAUGUUCUGAUAUUGAUGUUGUUAUGACUUUGCUAUGCUUAAUGCUUGUCACUAGGGCCUGAGUGUCAUGAUUUCAAACCUGAACCUAUUAUGUUUUCAUAAAUAUAUGUGUGUUCUUCAUCCUGUCUUGCAAGUUAUAUGCACCUAUUACGUGUUAUGAUCCGCAUACUGCAAAGUGACAAUAGUUGGGAUUCUUUCUAGUGAUUACCGUAGUUUGAGGAGUCCACAUAUUUACUAAGUGCUAAUGCUUUGUUCUGGUUCCCUAUUAAAAGGCGGCCUUAAUAUCCCUUAAUUGCCUUAUGGACCCCGCUGCCACGGGAGGGUAGGACAAAAUAUGUCAUGCAAGUUCUUUUCCACAAGCACACAUGACCAUGUAUGGAAUACAUGCCUACUUUACAUUAAUGAAUUGAAGCUAGUUCUGUGUCGCUCUAGGUUAUAACUACUACAUGAUGAAUACCAUCCAACCAAUUAUCCAUUGUUGAUCCAAUGCAUAUGCUUUUAAUAUAUAGAUCUUUGCUAAGUUACUUUCGUUGUUUCUACUGUUAUGAUCACUACAAAAUUGCUACGGUUUCUGCUACUAUCAUUACCAAUACUAUCAAAUUGCCAUACUAGUUUUCUACUGAUCACCUUCCUGUAGAUAUUAAGUCUUUCAGGUGUGGUUGAAUUGACAACUCAACUGCUAAUACUUGUGAAUAUUCUUUAGCUCCCCUUGUGUCGAAUCAAUAAACUUGGGUUGAACACUCUACCAUCGAAAACUGUUGCGAUCCUCUAUACUUGUGGGUUAUCAACACCUUUUUCUGGCGCCAUUGCCGGGGAGCAUAGAUCUAUUUGCUGAGUCACUUGAGAUUUAUAUCUAUUGAUCAGUAUGAAGAAUCUUAAAGAUACCAGAACCAAGAUCGUUCCCUCUAAGAUGAGAGGAAGUAAGGAAUUAUCAUCUAGCUCUGCACUUGAUCCACCUUCUGUUUUGAGUAAGGUUGCGGCACCACCACCUGCUAUUAAUCCCUGACUUGGCGCAAGUAAUUGAUGGUACUACUUCUACUAUUAAUGAUACUUAUGAUGAUGCUAGUACUUUGCUUGAUAAGACUAUGCCACUUGGUGAAUUUCGUGAUGACCUACUUGCUAGAGCUAAAGAAAUUGAGAAUGCUAAAAUUGAUGAAAUUAUUGAAACUGAAAUGUUUGAAACACCUAUUAGACCUAGCUCUCCUAGAUAUGAAUUGUCUGAUAUACCUAAGGGUUAUGUUAUGGAUGGAGAGGCAGCUAGGGGUUUUCUUGUUUGCAAGGAUAGAGAUGACCUUAAGAAAUUACUAGUCAAAUUGAAAUAAAAAUCUUUGAAUGCUAGAAUGAAAUAUGAUCAUAAGUUUGCUACUUCACCUAUAUUUGUUACUAAUAAGGAUUAUGAAUUCUCUGUCUAUUUUGAGUUAAUUACUUUGGUUGAAUCCCAUCCUUUCCAUGGUUAUAGAUCUGAAACUGCUGUGGCACAUCUUACUAAACUGAAUGAUAUAGCCAUACUAUUUGCUCAUUAGUAAAAAAAUCGCUACUACUAUAUUCUUAAGUUAUUUCCUUUAUCAUUAAAGGGUGAUGCUAAGAUAUGGUUUAAUUCUCUUGCUCCUGGUUGUGUGUGUAGUCCCCAGAUAUGAUAUAUUACCUCUCUGAAAAAUAUUUUCUUGCUCAUAAGUAACAAGCUGCUUUACUGGAAAUGUUGAACUUUGUGCAAAUUAAAGAAGAGAAUCUCCCUCAAGCUUGGGGGAGGCUUCUCCAAUUACUUAAUGAUUUUCCUGAUCAUCCUCUCAGAAAAAAUGAAAUACUUGAUAUCUUUUAUAAUGGACUAACCGAUACUUCUAGGGACCACGUAGAUAGUUGUGAUGGUUGUGUUUUUAGGGAACAAACUGUUGAACAAGCUGAAGAAUUAUUGUCUUGCUCCUCCUGCUCGUGGCGCCAUGCAAUUAGCCUCUCGUGGAGCUCACGGUUGGCGGCCGACGCCUGCUCGAAGAGGAGGUUGCUGAGCUCGUCGUCCCGCCGGUGACGCGUGUCCCUCUCCUGCUGCUCGCGCGCAGUGCACUUGUUGAGCGCCACCUCGAAGGCAUCCGCGUCCGGGCCAACGAGGUAGUCCCACAGCCCGAUGAUGCCCUGUCCGCGCGGGCGCUCCUCCCCCGGCUCGAUCUUGACGGCGGGGAGGUCACCGGACUCCCUCUCCCUCUUCACCGGCAUUAGCCCCGCUCAUGAAGAGCUCCCCCUGCCAGAGUGCCUCACACGGCAAAGGUCGUACUCCUCUGUCUCGCGGCAGAGGAGGGAAUCCGCCACCGACAGCCCAUACUUGGUGUAACGCUUGGCCGAGCGCUCACUAGUAGAAAACAGGUCUUUGGUUCGGGCCUGGCCAGCCCAUUAGUCCCGGUUCAGGAACGAACCGGGACCCAUGGGGAAAUUCGUCCCGGUUCGUGAGCCCAGGGGGCCUCCGGGGACUCGUGGGCAUUGGUCCCGAUUUGUGUGGACCCAUUUGUCCUGAUUCCAGGCACGAACCGGGACUAAUGGUCCUCGCUCCUGGCCCACAGCCAUUGGUCUCGGUUCAUGGCUUGAACCGGGACAGAAUGCUGGGAUUUAGUCCUGGUUUCUACCACGAACCGGGACAAAUGAGUUGCCUAUAUAUACCCCCAUCGCCACAACAGAGCACUCCACAGUGCUCUAUUUUUUCUGGCUGGCGAGGGGAGGGCAUUCGGCUGCUCUAGCUCACCUCCUAUGCACAUGAGGUGUUCGAUGAAAUGUCCGAGCCACACUAGUUAAUCUUUGUCCUCUCGAAACUCGACCUCCAAGCUCCAUUUUCCCAGAGAUUUGUCUAGGUUUAGCGGUCCAUCAUGUCCCGUCCCCGUCUUCACCGGCUUCGAUCGCCCGCGCCGAUCUCGUAGUCGGCACCACCGUGGUGAGCCUCUUGUUCUUAUCUUCUUUCUAAAAGAAAAAAAAUCUUAGUUCAGAUAGAUACUUGUCUAAUUUUCUUACUUUUAUUAUUCCUUGUUAUUAUAUAGUGCGUUGGUUUUGGUAUCCGCCCCCGUCGGCCCUCGUCAUGUCUAUGAUUCGGAUGUGGUAUAUAUUAUCUUUUGAUAACUAUUUGGUUCAUUUAUUGUUUAUGACAAUUAUGCCGACCAACGUGACAUAGAUUUUAUUUAUCUACGAGGUGGUUGAACCGGAAAUUCCAACCGACCCUAUUGUCGAGAGGUUAAAUUUAGUUGAAGAAGAAAACAAUUACUUGAAGGAAAAGAUAAAUAAAAUUGAGGAGGAGAAGAUGAUAUUGCAGUUGCAUGUUGCGGAUGUCGUCGAUGAUCACAAGAUAAAGAUGGAUGCAAUGCGAUUGAAGAUUAGAAAGAUUAGAAAAUAUGCCAUUCAUACCGAGGCUUGGUAUCAUUAUGCAGUUGGAUCAGUUGUUACCUUGGUUGAGAUUAUGAUCGCAUUUGUUGUUGCAUUGAAAUAUUUUUCAUAAUUUCAAUGUAUGGUUUAAUUAGAUGCUAUGGAGAGCUAUAUGUUGUUCAAUGAGAACUAUGUAUGUACUUUGGUUUUAAUGUGUUGAUGAACUUCUAUUAAUUUGAUCACUUGUCUAUUCAUGAAAAGGUUGAAAAUUGAUGAUCUGGCUUUGAACUUCAAAAGAGAUUGUCUGUUUUGUACACGAAGUGCAUCCAGUUUUUGCCGUAACCCUCUCUACUUUCUUGCACAUGCUAUGUGGGGAACUUAUGAUACCAUGCCAACUUUCAACCUUUUCAGAGCUCAUUUCAAAUGCUUUUCAAUUUCAUGGUCUCAUAACUCAAAGUAAUCGGUAAAUGCAUGAAAAAUAACAAAUGAAGUCAGAAAGGGUUGAAAAUUGAUGAUGUGGCUUGUGCAUUUUGAACACAGAAAAAAUAUGGAGUUCAAAUAAGUUCAAAAAAAUAAAUCCCUUUGUAACAGACGAGUUUCCGUAUGAAACCCUGAUACUUCGAAAGAGAUUGUCCGUUUUGUACACGAAGUGCAUCCAGUUUUUGCCGUAACCCUCUCUACUUUCUUGCACAUGCUAUGUGGGUGAAAUGAUGAUACCAUGCCAACUUUCAACCUUUCCAGAGUUCAUUUCAAAUGCUUUUCAAUUUCAUGGUCUUAUAGCUCAAAAUAAUCAGUAAAUGCAUGAAAAAUAACAAAUGAAGUCAGAAAGGGUUGAAAAUUGAUGAUGUGGCUUUGAAUGGUGCAUUUUGAACACAGAAAAACUAUGGAGUUCAAAUAAGUUCAAAAAAAUGAAAUCCCUUUGUCACAGACGAGUUUCCGUAUGAAACCCUGAUACUUCGAAAGAGAUUAUCCAUUUUUGUACACGAAGUGCAUCUAGUUUUUGACGUAACCCUCUCUACUUUCUUGCACAUGCCAACUUUCAACCUUUUCAGAGUUCAUUUAAAUGCAUUCCAAUUUCAUGGUCUUAUAGCUCAAAAUAAUCAGUAAAUGCAUGAAAUAUAACAAAUGAAGUCAGAAAGGGUUAACAAUUGAUUAUGUUGAAUGGUGCAUUUUGAACACAGAAAAACUAUGGAGUUCAAAUAAGUUCAAAAUAAUGAGAUCCCUUUGUAACAGACGAGUUUCCGUAUGAAACCCUCAUACUUCGAAAGAGAUUGUCCGUUUUGUACAUGAAGUGCAUCCAGUUUUUGUCAUAACCCUAUCUACUUUCUUGCACAUGCUAUGUGGGUGAAAUGAUGAUACCAUGCCAACUUUCAACCUUUUCAGAGUUCAUUUCAAAUGCUUUUCAAUUUCAUGGUCUUAUAGCUCAAAAUAAUCAGUAAAUGCAUGAAAAAUAACAAAUGAAGUUAGAAAGGGUUAAAAAUUGAUGAUGUGGCUUUGAAUGGUGCAUUUUAAACAAAGAAAAACUAUGGAGUUCAAAUAAGUUCAAAACAAAUGAAAUCCCUUUGUAAUAGACGAGUUUUCGUAUGAAACCCUGAUACUUUAAAAGAGAUUGUCCAUUUUGUACACGAAGUGCAUCUAGUUUUUGCCGUAACCCUCUCUACUUUCUUGCACAUGCCAACUUUUAACCUUUUCAGAAUUCAUUUCAAAUGCUUUUCAAUUUCAUGGUCUUAUAGCUCAAACUAAUCAGUAAAUGCAUGAAAAAUAACANNNNNNNNNNNNNNNNNNNNNNNNNNNNNNNNNNNNNNNNNNNNNNNNNNNNNNNNNNAUGAUGUGGCUUUGAAUGGUGCAUUUUGAACACAGAAAAACUAUGGAGUUCAAAUAAGUUCAAAAAACUGAAAUCCCUUUGUAACAGAUGAGUUUCCGUAUGAAACCCUGAUACUUCAAAAGAGAUUGUCCGUUUUGUACACGAAGUGCAUCCAGUUUUUGCCGUAACCCUCUCUACUCUCUUGCACAUGCCAACUUUCAACCUUUUCAGAGUUCAUUUCAAAUGCUUUUCAAUUUCAUGGUCUUAUAGCUCAAAAUAAUCAGUAAAUGCAUGAAAAAUAACAAAUGAAGUCGGAAAGGGUUGAAAAUUGAUGAUGUGGCUUUGAAUGGUGCAUUUUGAACACAGAAAAACUAUGGAGUUCAAAUAAGUUUAAAAAAAUGAAAUCCCUUUGUAACAGAUGAGUUUCGGUAUGAAACCCUGAUAACAAAUAUGAAAUCCCUUUGUAACAGACGAGUUUCCGUAUGAAAUCCCUUUGUUUUAGAGUUCAUAAAUAACUUUUUUUACAAACUUUAAUAGCAAAAAGAAUUAUCAUAAAAUAAAAUAAAUAAGUAAUUUGAAACAAAAUAAUAUAAACUUUGAUAAAAUAUAUAAGUAGAAACAAAAUAAUAUAAACUUUGAUAAAAUAUAUAAAAAUUAUGAAACUAAAAUUGUCAAAGUAUUUUUUGUUCAAAACAUUAUAAGCAACCUCUAGUAUUAUUGAAACUAAAAUUAUAUAAAAUUGACGCAACUAAAAUUAUCAAAGUAUUUUCUCUUCAAAAUCAUUAAAAGCAAAAAAGAAUUUUCAUAAAGAACUUUUUUUGUUAGAAACUUUAAUAGCAAAAAGAAUUAUCAUAAAAUAAAAUAAAUAAGUAAUUACAAACAAAAUAAAAUAAAAUAAAUAAGUAUUUUGUUGUAUGUGGAAACAAAAAAAUAAAGCAAAAAAGAAAACAAAAAAGCUGGGGAAAAAUAAAAAAAUGUCACCUACUAGGCCACCACGGCCUGAAUACGACUAGAAACCAAACCAUGGGUCAGGAUUCAGGCCCGUAGAAGGUCCAGUAGGCCCAUCAGCCAUAGUAGUGUCAGAUUAGGCCUAAAGCCUGCAAUGGAGAGGAGCUCGAGAGGGGUGUGGCAGUGGGGCUUAUAAACCACUGCGCGCCCCUCUCAACUAGUGAGGUGUGACUANNNNNNNNNNNNNNNNNNNNNNNNNNNNNNNNNNNNNNNNNNNNNNNNNNNNNNNNNNNNNNNNNNNNNNNNNNNNNNNNNNNNNNNNNNNNNNNNNNNNNNNNNNNNNNNNNNNNNNNNNNNNNNNNNNNNNNNNNNNNNNNNNNNNNNNNNNNNNNNNNNNNNNNNNNNNNNNNNNNNNNNNNNNNNNNNNNNNNNNNNNNNNNNNNNNNNNNNNNNNNNNNNNNNNNNNNNNNNNNNNNNNNNNNNNNNNNNNNNNNNNNNNNNNNNNNNNNNNNNNNNNNNNNNNNNNNNNNNNNNNNNNNNNNNNNNNNNNNNNNNNNNNNNNNNNNNNNNNNNNNNNNNNNNNNNGUGGCACCAACUGGGACUAAAGGGUGCAUUGGUCCCGGUUGUGCCACGAACCGGUACCAAUGCCAUUGGUAUAUAAGAUAACACUUUCCAGUUUCGACCAAAUCCCCCACUUCUUCUCCCCCGACGCCCCCUGCUCCUCCUCGUUGUUGUCGCGGCCCGACGCCCCUGCUACACCUUGCUGUCACCGCUGCCAUCGACGCCAUCAGGCUGCUCACCAUCGCCGUCACUGACGCCCCUGCCCCUGCUCCUCCUCGUCGUCGUCGCCGCCCGACGCCCCUGCUCCACCUUGUCGUCGCCGCCGCCACCGAUACCGUCGCCAUCGCUGCCGCCACCGACGCCCCUGCCGGCCAUGACACGCCGCCCACCGUGCCCUGCCGCCCCCUGUGAGCACCAGCCUGCUCCCGCGCCCCUCCCCUGUCCCACGCCCCCGCGCUGCCCCGCCGGCGCCAGUGCCGGCCCCUCCGCCGUGCCCCUUCACCCCUGUGCCAUGCUACUAUUAGAUUUUUAGAUGUUUUUUAGAUGUUUUUAGAUGCUAUUUUUAGAUGUUUUUGCAUGUUUUUUAGAUUAUUUUAGUUUAUGUUUAGUUUAGUUUUAAGAUUAGGAAAAUUUUCAGAUGUGUAGUUAUAUUUAUUUAUAUGUGUAGUUAAUUUAGAUGUUGUAAUUUGUUCAUAAAAAUUGUGCACUUUUGUAUAAAAACUUUAUUUUUUCAUAUGUACGAAAGUGUAGAGUGAAAACGAAAACAAACAUAUAAGAAAAAACAAAGGAAAAAAUGAAGAAGGAAAAGAAAACCGCCUGGCUCGGCCACCACUGCAUUUUCAUAAAGUGUUUCCACCGCAUUUACAUGAGGGGGACGUCGGAAAAAAUAAGAAGAGGAAGAAGAAAAAAAGAGGAGAAGAGGAAGGAAUAGAGGAGUGGAAGACUUUUUUCUUCUACUCCUCUAUUCCUUCUUCUUCUCCUCUUUUUUUUCUUCUUCUUUUUUAUCGCGAACUAGGGCAGAGGGUCGAGGGUCGGGAACUAGGGCAGAGGGUCGAGGGUCACCCUCUCGACCAUGAUAACUUAUACCACGGGAGCACCCCCCGGCCCUCUCGCGUGACCAAAACUCUCGAGGACACCCAAACCCUAAAAAAAUGAUGUCGGUCUCCUACCCCCUCCCGCCGCACCCCUACCCGACAAACUCUCUCGAGGCCACCCAAAUUUACCAAUUUAAAAGAGCAUUGUCGUCAAGGCCACCUGAAACCCUUGAAGCGUUGUCGAGGCCACCCCAAACCCUUGAAGCGUUGCCGAGGCCACCCCAAACCCUAGAGAAGUAGCGUCGAGGCCACUAAUAUGAUUCCUUAUUGUGAUUAGCUAGCUAGUUCUAUGUUUGCCACUAAUAUAUCCAUCUGCCUUGUUUGAAUAAUAAUUGCCAUGUUGUAAAUGUUGGGGAACGUAGCAGAAAUUCAAAAUUUUCCUACGUGUCACCAAGAUCUAUCUAUGGAGAAACCAGCAACGAGGGGAAGGAGAGUGCAUCUACAUACCCUUGUAGAUUGCUAAGCGGAAGCGUUCAAGUGAACGGGGUUGAUGGAGUCGUACUCGUCGUGAUCCAAAUCACCGAUGACCAAGUGCCGAACGGACGGCACCUCCGCGUUCAACACACGUACAGCCCAGUGACGUCUCCCAUGCCUUGAUCCAGCAAGGAGAGAGGGAGAGGUUGAGGAAGACUCCAUCCAGCAGCAGCACAACGGCGUGGUGGUGGUGGAGGAGCGUGGCUAGAAGAGGAGGAAGAAGAGACGCAGGGCUGCACCAACGAGAGAUCGAAUCACGUGUUAUGGGCAGCCCUAUGCCUCACUAUUUAUAGGGGAGAGGGAGGAGGGUGCGCCCCCCUCUAGGGUUCCCACCCCUAGGGGGGGCGGCAGCCCUAGAUGGCAAAGGGGUUGGUGGCCAAGAGGGCAGAGGAGAGGGAGGCGCACCAAUAUGGGCCCUAAGGCCCAUAUCCCCUUAGGGUUUGCCCCCUUUCCACCUCUUAGGCGCCAUGUGCCCUUGUGGGAGGCGCACCAGCCCACUAAGGGGCUGGUCCCUCACCACUCUUGGCCCAUGCAAGCCUCCGGGGUUGGUGGCCCCACUUGGUGGACCCCCGGGACCCUCCCGGUGGUCCCGGUACGUUACCGAUAAACCCCGAAACUCUUCCGGUGACCAAAACAGGACUUCCCAUAUAUAAAUCUUUACCUCCGGACCAUUCCGGAACUCCUCGUGACGUCCGGGAUCUCAUCUGGGACUCCGAACAACAUUCGGUAACCACAUACAAACUUCCUUUAUAACCCUAGCGUCAUCGAACCUUAAGUGUGUAGACCCUACGGGUUCGGGAGACAUGCAGACAUGACCGAGACGUUCUCCGGUCAAUAACCAACAGCGGGAUCUGGAUACCCAUGUUGGCUCCCACAUGUUCCACGAUGAUCUCAUCGGAUGAACCACGAUGUCAAGGACUUGAUCAAUCCCGUAUGCAAUUCCCUUUGUCUAGCGGUAUUGUACUUGCCCGAGAUUCGAUCGUCGGUAUACCGAUACCUUGUUCAAUCUCGUUACCGGCAAGUCUCUUUACUCGUUCCGUAACACAUCAUCCCGUGAUCAACCCCUUGGUCACAUUGUGCACAUUAUGAUGAUGUCCUACCGAGUGGGCCCAGAGAUACCUCUCCGUUUACACGGAGUGACAAAUCCCAGUCUCGAUUUGUGCCAACCCAACAGAUACUUUUGGAGAUACCUGUAAUGCACCUUUAUAGCCACCCAGUUACGUUGUGACGUUUGGUACACCCAAAGCAUUCCUACGGUAUCCGGGAGUUGCACAAUCUCAUGGUCUAAGGAAAAGAUACUUGACAUUAGAAAAGCUUUAGCAUACGAACUACACGAUCUUUGUGCUAGGCUUAGGAUUGGGUCUUGUCCAUCACAUCAUUCUCCUAAUGAUGUGAUCCCGUUAUCAACGACAUCCAAUGUCCAUAGCCAGGAAAUCAUGACUAUCUGUUGAUCACAACGAGCUAGUCAACUAGAGGCUCACUAGGGACAUAUUGUGGUCUAUGUAUUCACACGUGUAUUACGAUUUCCAGAUAAUACAGUUAUAGCAUGAAUAAAAGACAAUUAUCAUGAACAAGGAAAUAUAAUAAUACUUUUAUUAUUGCCUCUAGGGCAUAUUUCCAACAGUAAAUAUUUGCAGAAACUAUGGAGCACCCCCGAGACGAAGCAACAAAAGCGAUGUUGGGGGACAUAAUCGCAAAUGGAAGUGAUGUCGUCUUGUCGUUUCUCAACGACAGCGAUGGUCUGGAAGGACAGGGUGAAGAAGAAGGCUAUGAUUAUGAUGGCUCCGAUGUCCCAAUGCCGGUACAAGAAGGAGACCGUGAUGACGGCUUCGGUGAACCAAUGCCGGUACAAGAAGGAGACCGUGAUGAUGGCUCCGGUGACCCAAUGUCGGUACAAGAAGGAGACUGUGAUGAUGGCUCCGGUGACCGAACCGAGUCCGGCCAGGUAUAUAUAUUAGUUAAGCAUGUGUUGACUAGCUAAUUGAUGCAUACAUUGUUUUCGUAUGUACACAUAUUAAUUAACUCUCGUCUUUCUUCUUUUUUCUAGCCCUCCGGAUCGAGCACAACUUCGGUAAAGAGAUGAGGCCCAAAGAAAAAGUUGUGCUCGGAUGAAAGGUUUGAGAUCACAGCAAUCGCACACGAUGGCAAGCCGAUUGAACCCAUCUGGAAAAAGGAAGCAUUUGCUUAUCAGUGCAGGGUUCUUGUUAGGGACAAGAUCCCAAUCAGUAUCCACCAACGGUUAAAGCCUAAUAAUGAAGACCCUGAGGUGUCUUAUGUCUCCGAUAUGCAGAAAGAUGAUCUUUGGACAACGCUUAAGGAAAAAUUCACCCUACCGCUAGAGGAGGAUCCGGAGAAGCCAGUUAAAGAGCAAUUGAUCAAGUCUCAUGCUCUUAAGAAGAUGGCAGAACUAUUCAGGAGGUGGAAGAAUGAGCUGAAAACAACGUUUGUUGACGAAGAUCUGACACCAGAAUUCACCGGCCGGUUUGAGAAGAUCAGACAUCACUGUCCCGCAUUUGUGGCCCACAAGACAUCGGACAAGAGUAAGAAGAUGUCAACAACAAACAAGAAAAAUGCUGCGAAGAAGAAGCAUCACCAUCGCACGGGGUCAGGUGGCUACCUCAAAGCCCGACUGUUGUGGGCCAAGGCUGAGAAUGGCCUGAUUGAUAAAGGGGUCGAACCAAAGACAUUGAACUGGCCAGACCGUUGCCGGACUUGGUUGUUCGGGGUUGGCGGAACCUUGGACCCUGUAUCAGGGAAGUGUGUUUGGACGGACGAGCAACUGCGAAUACCCAUCACGAGGCUUCUAGAGUAUAUCGAGGCAGCGCAGCAAGGGAAGUUCGUUCCAGACAAAGAGAAGUACGAGCUCACAAUGGCCCUCGGGAAUCCUGAGCACCCAAGACGGACACGAGGCAUGCCAGACUCCGUUCCGUGGAAGGCUGGGUUUCCGGACGCGGGGGGUUACAAAUGCCAGGAGAGGAGGAAGAAAGUGGAGCAUAGCCAACUGCAGGCGAUGCACGCAAGGGUACAAGCGAUAGAGGAAUGAGAAGCAAAUCGCAGCAAACGACCUGCCGAAGGUUCCCCUGAAGCUACCCCGCCAUCUCAGUGGAGAAGCAGCGUGGCUUCCACCGAGCAGCUUCAGCUGGAUCCUGUCUUCACGGCUCCUGCUAGCUACCCCGUGGAUGCUAUCACGGAGUCUCGACAUUGCCACCUUAUGACGCAAUGGAUGAAAUUGAAAGUCAAGGCGGUUGUUGGCUCUGUUUUACCUACUGAACCUGGCGCAACCUACCACUGCCGGUCAAUUCCAGAAGGAUAUCCUAGGGUGAUGGUGGAUGAAAUAACAGACGGAUUUGAGGACCUCGAGCUUGACCACCAUACAGGUGAAGGGGAGAUUUGGCUAGGUUCUUCUCUGAAGACUCCAUGCCUAUGGCGGAAGGAGCUCAUCAACCUUCUGAACUAGACGCCUCCGCCUCCUCCUCCUCCUCCGGCGAGUUAGGUCACUCCGCCUCCUCCUCUGCCUCCUCCUCCGGCAAGUGAUCAGGGCACUCAGCCUCCUUCUCCGGUGCGUGGCUGCACUCCGCCUCCUUCUCUGCUUGCGCUAGCGCGCCGAGCAACCAGCCUCCUCCUUCUCCGCCUGUGCCAGCGCGCCCGAGCAGCCAGCCUCCUCCUUCUCUGCAUUGUCAACAAGGGGGGGAGAGACCCGCCGCCGCUCCAGAUGCUCCGGCGCGUCGUAGUCCUUCUCCUGCGCCUCGUAAGAAAGGAAAGACAGUCGCAGCCGCUCCAUCUGCUCCGUCGUCUAGCAGUACAGCCAGAGGUGGGAGGCAAUACAGAUUCGGUCCUUCUCUGAAGACUCCAGAGAAGUUACCAUACGAGAGGAGCCUGGAGGAAAACUCGAAGAUUGUGCGAGCCCAAGUGAAGAACUUCUUUGAAGGGGUGAAAGCAAAGAAACAUCCACCUCCGGAGGAGAAGAUAGCUCCGGUGAAAGCGAAGCGUACUCUGGCUGCCCUGAAGAAACCACCAAAGUCUCCGCCGAAAGGCAACUAUGCGCACAUUAUUGAAAAGUCAUUUAUCGAAGUGGGGCGGUCGGGAAGUACUGUCAGUGAUCAAAGGUAGCAGAACGACGAGCUGGGAAAAGAAUUGCCCAGCUCGGCGAACAAGAGAACCAAUCGUUCCCCCCGCUCCAGGUGUCUAGCGUCGUCGCUAAUGAUCCGGGAAUGGUGCCCGGUUAUAACGAUCUUGGAGAUUACCUGCCCGACGAUGUACAUUAUGAUUUCUUGGAGGUGGACGAACACAAAUACGAGUACAGGAAGCCUCUCGUCAAACAUGAAAGAUCUCUAACAACGAUGAUGCGAAAAUUCCAUGAUUGGUACAUGAAAAACUACAAAGAGUCUGAGGGGAGGAAUAUUUUGACGCUGGGAGUUAAAGUGGAGAAUUACCUCAUUGGAAUUGAGCUGUUGAAUGUUCCAUUUGAGGAGUUCUUCCAAUUUUUCAAUCAAAAGGCCCUUGAUAAAUUAACGGUCACUUGCUACUGUCUGUAAGUAGUACUACUUCUGUCAUUAAGUCUUUAUAUGUAGGUCAGCUCUUUCAUUGCAUGUAUUUUUAAUUAUCCUCACUAUAUUAUGCAGAUUGAAGAUUGCCGAAUUGAAGAAAAGACAAAUCGGUGAUAUUGGGUUCAUUAACACAAAUCUCAUAGAUGCAUAUAUGGUUGAAUUUCAGGCCAGAGAUACCGAGGCCAAGCUGCUACAAUCGUUUGUAUUAAAUCAAAACAAAGCUAUAAUACUCUUUCCUUACAAUUUCAAGUGAGUGUUACUGUCUUGUGCAUAUUCGGUUUCCCUUAUUAGUCAAGGUUAUAGUAAUGUAAUUGAUGAGUUAUGCAUGCGGGCGCAGGUUCAACUAUAUUCUCCUAGAGAUUAAGCUUGAGCAGGGACUAGUAACCGUCUUAGACUCGAAACGAAAAUAUCCCAAGGAGUAUGCGGACAUGACUGAAAUUCUAGAGAAGUAAGUUAAAUCAAUCAUUAUGGCACCAUAUCGGCAACUUUGUUCAUUUCCUAAUAUCAAGUAAUUGUUUUCUUUGUCUGGCAGGGUUUGGAAAAAAUUCACCUCAAAAACUCCGGGAUUGCCGAAGAAGUUGCAAUUUAAACACCCGAAAGUAGGUACUAUAGUAGCAUGUUCCACGCAUCUCCUAGUGAUUCAAGGGCUAGCUUCAUCAAUACCAUUUAGCAUGCUUGCUUAUGAGUGUGAUUGACCUCUAUUUCUUGUAAAGUAGUUGUGGCAGGAACAAGGGAAUGAUUACUGUGGAUACUACAUUUGCGAGUCCACCCGCCACACGACCUGUGAGCGGGGCUACUCGGACAAACAAUAUGAAGUGCGUAAAUAAUAAUAUUCACAAUUUUAUUUUAUUAUCAUCAUUUGUUGAGUUUCAUUUAUUCAUAUAUAUGUAUUGACCCCCUUUUUCAAAUUAGAUAUUUCGGAUGCGGGAUGAAUUCCUACCACCAGAUCGAUUGCGAGCAAUUCAAGAGGAAUUGGCGGCAUUCUUUCUUGACCACGUGAUCGAUAAAGACAGAGAAUACCAUGUGGACCCUGAGUUCACAUAUAAUUAUGAGAUUAUAUUGUAAGAGAUAAUUAUAUUGUAUAUAUGUCGAACUUGUUGUUCGACCAAUCUCUCAGAGAAGGAGAGGUGGUCAAUAUCACUUCUCUCUGUAUGCAUAUGUUCAUGACGAUCUUCUGUUUCCUUCAUUUGCUUACUAGCUAGCGUGUCUAGUCCUCUCUAUACGUAUAGUACGUAAUGUCGACCAAGCACGGAGAUAAGAGGACACUUCUCUCUAUUAAUUAGCUAGCUAACACAAUAUAUGAAACACCUAAAUUAACCCCCCAACCCCCCCCCCUUUAAAAAAACAAAAACCCCAGCCCGAAAUGCUGACGCGAGGAUGCCUAUUGGUCCCGGUUGGUGUCACCAACCGGGACCAAAGGCCCCACAGCCUGGGCUGGCCGCAUCGGCCACGUGGAGGCCCAUCUGUCCCGGUUCAUGUAAGAACCGGGACUAAAGGCCAAGGGCAUUAGCAACGACCUUUUAGUCCCGGUUCCCAAACCGAGACAGAAGGCUCUUACGAACCGGGACAAAUGGCCCUUUUUCUACUAGUGGCUUGCACGCCGCGUCGGAGGUGACGCAGCGUUUGCGCUCCGGGUCUUGGCCGCCACCACUUCGGCCAGAGCUCCAGAUCCUCGCGGAUUGGGGCAGGGCGCGGAGUGACUUCUCACGGGUGACAAAAAAUGGAGAGGGCGAUGAGUGAGACGCGGCGAUGGGGGAUAGGGUUUCGGCCCAUAUCCGGACGGCAAGCCCGUAGAUAUAUUGCGUUGGGGGGCGAUUUGCGGGCCACCGUAAAUAUUUUAUGGGCCGAACUAUACGGGCUCUGUUCUGGCUCAAAAAUCGGGCCAAACCCAUAUAGUCGCCGGGUUUUUACCAUUUGCGCGAGUAUACGGAUCUGCUAGAGUUGCUCUUACCAUACUAGAACCGUACGAGAGCCUUGCAUAACUAUUGUUUUCCCUAAUUCUACUAUUAUUAUCCAUUGUGAGUGAAAUUGAGGAGAUGUUAAAAGUUGAUAGGGAGAUCUUAGUUACUCUUAUUAGCCGUACUAAAAAUAAAGUUAAUCAUAGCCUAGCUGCCUACGGGCGUUGUACUCCGCGGACUGCGGUGUGAUUACGAGGAGGUACAGAUGAAAUUGUGAACCUGUGCAAGGAUGAUGCACCACCUUAAGUAAUGAGAUUUUCCUUUCCACCCGCAAAAGAAAAACUGCGCCAAAAAAUAUCUGCAAGAGAUUCGGUCUCAGCAAAACCGCGUUCCUACAACCGGCUGAUCGAACUCUGCCGUGCAGAGAGCGAAACCACUUUGAGAAUUAAACUAUAUUUUCAACAUACCAAAUCCAAAUGGUAGGACCCCGGCAGUGGCGGAGCUAUGUGUGCUCCUGGGGUGGCUUGGCCCCCCAGCCUUGGCAAAAAGUGUGAAGAAAAUUUUUUAAAGGGCGUAGAUGAGUAUAAAUUUAGUAUUUGGCCCCCUCAUGUCUGGAUGAUUUUUCAUUUGCCCCCCUGAACUUCCUCCCUAGCUCCGCCAGUGGACCCCGGUUCACUGCAUCUCCCUCAUUACAACCUUUGCACAUGCCUAGGUUGUACGUUUGGAUGCGAGGCAAGGGGCAGCUCUAGCCUAAGCGCCAUUUGGUCAGCAUUGUGGAAGCACUCUAUCCCUCGGCUACCAGAAAACCUUAGCCAGUAUCCGAAUAACUAGCCUUGCUUCUAGCUGCUCUUGCCGGAGCGGGCAAGAUAAUUCCGGUCGGUGAGCUAGCUAUCCAAACGCGUACGUACUUGCUUGCCUAAUGCCUAAUGUCGACCGGAGGCGUUUAUGAUCCAUUUGGCUGGAGGCCAAGGAUUGAGAGUUAGUUUGGCAACAACAACAAAAAAUUUGUGGAUCGACGGCGGUUUCGUCUGAAUGAAAUCGGAGGGACGGGCCCCUAGUUUGUUUUUCUGUUAUAUAUAUAAAAAAUACACUAUGACGGUCGGCUCAAGCGAGUUCACUUUAGUUUUGCUCCCAUUGCUCCAUCAGUCCAAUAAUCAAUCAAUCAGUAAGUGCUUCUUCACGUGCGUGCAUAUCUGCGUAGAGCGUACUUGAUGCAUCAUCACGGUCAUCCUACUUAUGCCCUAAAUCCACUUUGGCCGUGUUGUCUCUGUCGCCUUUUCCUUGAUCGAUCAUCACGGCCUUUUGCGCUGUCACUGUCGUGUUAGUGAUUUUCACGAUCCUUGUACAGCUUCCCUAGUUACGUUCGACGUGCCCCAGCCGCAUGCCUUGCAAGCGGUCUUUCCUAGCAAGUUCCUUCUCACUUGACUUGACUCCAGGCUCCAGGUCUCGUCUUCCAGUCGGUUGACGGUUCGGUCCCACUCUUUUGAAGCCUUGUACCUGCGCGAGGAAGAGGAAGAGAGAGGGGUUCACGGGCGGCGGAGGAGAUCUUCACCGGCGGCGGCGGGACGUGGACGCGCGGCUCGGCAGCGCUGCGCGUGCGGCGUGGGUGACGGAGCGAGGUGAGGGGAUCAGGAGGAGGCAGCAGCAUGGUGGCCGGGUACCUCCUAUUUGAACAGAGAAGAUUCGGGUGCACGGGUCGACCUUAAUUACCUUCGGUAGUACCUUUGCACUUGACCUGUUGCGCGCUUUUGCUCAUAGUGCGCUGCGGAUCCGUGUCGCAUCUAGUCAGCUAUCAAAUCGUCUCCAGCUGCUAGCUGGCUAUAUAUAUGGAACAGUGAGACAGCACUGUAUACCAUGGAGACACAGCGAGAGGCGGGCACCUAACGUACCAUCCGAUUGGCGCAGCGAGAUGCGGCAGGGAACCGGCGCGGUGCUGCUGUAGCGAGCAAGGAGGAAUUGGCAACUUGGCAUCACGUCGCAUCGGUCGAUCGCGCGCGUAGAUGUUCAGAUGCAAAUUGCGUUCCUUUGGCCCCGUCACAUCUUGCUGCGGGUCAAUCAAUCUAGCCUGUCCAGUCGCUCGCGUCGCACGAUCUCGUCAUGCGUGAAACCGUCUAGCCGGCCAGCUAGCUCAUCAACAUUUUUUUUCAGAAACUUUCAAUUUCAAUCAUGAAACUACAACGCCGACCCUCAAACAUUCGACGACCGUCCGAAUCGCACUGUCCGGACUAUGGAAGCCAUCCAACGCGAUUCUGUAUCAGUCUGUGACGUGAUCUGGACGUGUUUUCUUUCACAAACUGGAGACAAAAAGGAGAGAUUUGUAGAAGUUCGGACCGUUCCAAAGGCCACUUCUAACCGCUCUGGCCCACCAAGACCAUUCCCGUCCCGUGCACGCUUCCCUCACAAUGCUAGCUGCCCAAAUUCAUGCAUACCUCUGUAGAACAUAUCGCUCCACAUUGAAGGCGGCUUAGAAGAACGGACGUGACCUCUCACUGGCUCCUUCAUUGAAGCGGCGCGCCGGCCAUGGGCGCCUCCCGCUACACGCCCGGCUAAACACGCCUCCCAGCCCGCAUUCAAACAUCUCCAUUAAAUCCACAUGAAAGUCGAGAAACCUACUCCGGCCACACGUCCGUUCAGGAGCAGGCCGGCAUUAAAUUCAACGUCGGCCGAGCUCCUCCCACCCACCUUCUAUUUAAAUGAGGCCAGAUGCCGGACAAAAAUCGCACCACUCUGCCGCUCUCUAUCUCCUUUUUCACCAUUUUUCUCCACUCUUCCGAUGGCAUACGACGUGUCGGAAGAGCUGCUCUCCAGCAUAAAAGCCGGUUGGGUCACCCGCUGAGCAAGGCAGCUCGCUGCUCCACCUCCCUCACUUAGCCCGACGGAGCUAGUUGCCGCCCCAAGCCGGUGCAUGGUUCAACAGCUCACCGCUCAAAACCAACUGACAGAGGAGUGGCGAAUUGCUCCAUCCCACGACGAGGAGCACGACAGCACGGGCAUCGUCGCUGCUGUCGACGACACCGCGUCGUCCCGCGCCUCCCAUGUCUGUGGCCGCGCCAACCGUUCCUGCGCCCACGCCUACCGUGCAUGCGCCCGCGCCUCCCGUGUUUGCGGUCGCGCCAUGCAGGCAAAGACAGAAGUCGGGUGCACGGAGAUCGACUAGUCGAUGGCCAGCGCGUCCGUGUUCACCGGCAUCAUCGAGGAGAAGUAGAACACGGGAGACCGCCGCCACUUGGGUUCCAUGAAGGCCACCGCCGAGGCGACGCCGGCGUAAAAUAGCAGGUAUCUUUCCCGGUUCUUCUUCCCCGCAGACCAUUGUCAACCUCGCAUGGGCUCCCCGCAUGGGCUCUACUAAAGCUGAGUCGUCCCCUUUCCCUCCCGCUGGAGCAUCAACCAAGGGUUUACUCCAAUGAGCGGAAAGCGAGCCGUCCUUUGCAUUGAAGUAUAUAUCUCCGAGGCUCCCGGCAGUCCGGUGAUUAGGUUGUCGAACAUGAGGAAGGCAAAGGGAUAUAUGAACGACCAUUUAGAUUAGGUAUUAAUUGUCGGAAAAACUAUUUUCCAGUCGACCCGAAACUAACAAUAGAUCCGCACUGAUCGAACUGUCAUCCCGUAAUCCACGCGCUGGGGCAAGAAAAAUAAAUGCUUGGAAAUGAGGAUCGAAGCCACGACCGCUUGAAAUAUGUUGCAUCAAGCUACCCAGCUCAUUCGACAUUAGUUGUUGUUAACACGGUCCAGAUCUUUCCUUUACCACAGUUAGGUAGUUUUUUUACCACAUUGAGUGUGACGUGAGAAAAAUGUUUUUAUUUUGCUUUUUUUAUGUGAGAAAGCUUCCCACCACGAGAGUGGCGUUUGGGCACAUGGGAGCAUAUGCUCUUGGAUUUUAAAAUGGGUUUUAAACAUAUUUUAAAAUGUCACAAAAUUCUAACAAAAUGAUUCUCGCAUACAUCUUGACAUUCUAUGUGCAUACAAACCCGUUUCGUGAAAAACCGACAACUUUUGUGUCAUGUGCAAAAAAAGACAAAAAAUAGUGUUAAAAUAGGAUUUUCAUUGGACAUUUUUUGUCCUUUCUACACAAGGCAUAUAAGAUGGCGUUUUUUCACAAAACUCGGCAUGCAUACACAUAAUGUUGAGAUGUGCGCGUUAAAUUUGUGUCGGAUUCUUUUGACAUUUUGAAAUAUAUUUUCCGAUGGCAGGAGCAUAUGCUAACAUGUGCCAAAGUGAAUUUCCGUCCCACCACGCCAUUCUUCAUGUUAGACAUAGGAAGGUUACCUUUUUGACCCACUUUGACUAUUGCAUUAGUACAUACUUUUUUCAGUUUUUUGGGCUCGUUUUUUGCGCAACUUUAGUCCUAUACCUCACGUUUAUAUGCAUGUUCAUCAAUUUUGCUCCCGCGUGCAAAUUCUCACUAACUUUUUUCCAUCGACUUUUGUGUCAACAACUUUUUUCACCAAUUAUAAAUUACCCCCGUAUUGCUUCUGGCCAUCCGUCAUUUAAAUUACCCCGGAAGUUGUCAUAAAUUGCCCAUUAUGCCACCCGUAAGUAAAACGAUUAGGUUUUAUUUUAAAAUCACUGCUGGACUCAGUUCUUAUAGCAUGAACACUGAUGUAACACAAGCACAUGGACAGCCCAUGGUUAAGGCGCUCUGUGGUAAGCGCGCCUCCUAUGUUGAGCCCCAAAAAAAAUUGACAUAACUUCCUAUAGGUUAGUUUUUGUAAGCUAUACAAAAAUGAUAAAUGCCUAUUUUGCUUUCAUACACAACUAUGUUUAUUCUUUGUACCACGGUACUGGUUAUGAUAAACACCGGUACGCUAGGUCAAGACGAGACACAUCAUUCAUCAGUCUAGCUCUGCCAGGGUCCAUCAAUGCAGUUUGCUCAACCAAUUCUUUUUUUCGUUGUGGCGUAUUAGGAAAUCAAAUCGUGAUCCGACCAUCACAUUUUUAGUUUUUGAAAUGACUUUUUAGAAGUCCCUUAUUUCAUCAUGACAUCCCUUAGACAUAGUUUGUGAAAUGAUAUUUCAAAAGUCCUUAUCUUAUCCUGGCAUUUGAUUUAGACUUUUUUAUAUCUACCACACCUGCAUAAUCUCUCGUUGCAACGCACGGGCAUAUUUGCUAGUAGAACUAAUAAAGGAAGUAUGUUACAAUUUUCAUUAUUCUUUUUGUCUGGAAAAAACUAUCGAUCUAUUCAUCAUCGAGUUGUACAAAUAACACUAAAAAUAAAAAUUACAUCCAUGCCCGUAGAUCACCUAGCGACUGUUGGAGUUGUGUCGAAUAUUUUGUAUAAUGUAGAUUGCAAUUGAAGUUGGAGUCGCAUGGUGUGUAGACAGGGUAUGUUGUAGUGUCCUAGUAGGACUCUUAUAUCCUAGACCUCCUAUGUAAUGUGAGAUAGACACAUGAUGUAAUCUAUGCCAACGUAAUAGAACAGGCACACAUCGGGAGCCAGCAGUUGAAGUGCUGUAUUGUGACGGUGUCACAGGGAGUGCACCCAUUAUCAUAUGCCUCGGGGAUGUAGUAAUAUAGAUGAACCUCUCGUUAGCAAAUACCUAUGGUGUGCCUCGUGUGAUUGCUUGGUCUUUGACAGAUCAACUACGUGCCUCGGUUUAUUCUAACCAGUGAUAUUAUGAGGUAGGUUCUUCGGAUGUGGAGGUUUAGCAGAAUUCGAUGAGAUGGAUGGUUGGUCCUGGACAUCAGUCGAUGCUUGGCGAGGAAAUUCUACACUGGAUUAGAAGCAAUUGGAAAUAGGUGGCUACCGGUGAGGUACAUUUUGCAGCCGGCAGCGUGUUCUGUGCGAGGGCUUGUGGCGAGAUCGGUUCAAUACGAUGGGACGCAUGCAAGCAUCGUAGUGCGAGGCAGAGAGCAACAAGUUAAGAGCGCUCCUUCGGAAGUCUCACAAUUAUGAACGUCAUUUGGCGUGCUCUCAGCCGCCGCCACGUGUUGCACUUUGGACGCUCCCUUUGGACUUUGUUUUCUUAUUUUUCCGCAUGUGUUUUCAGAUUUUUAAACUUUUUUUACUUUGUGGUUUUUCACCGGUCUUCAGGCUUUUGGACCAAAUUCUUUUUACAAAAAGAAAUUUACUUUCUGCGCGAAAAAUGCUUUUUUUCUUUCGUGAGAGGCACAACCAUGCCUCUUUAUUUCUUCCGCGUGAGGCACAAUUUUAUUUCCACGAGAGGCACGGUUUUUGCUUUUGCGAGAGGCACGGCCGUGCCUCUUGGAAACGAAAAAAAAUGUGUUUUCAGUUUUUUUCCUUUCGCGAGAGGCACGGUUUUGCUUCCGCAAGAGGCACAGCCGUGCCUCUCGUAAAUAAAAAAACAUGUUUACUAUUUUUUUCCUCCAUGAAAUGCAUAGUUGUGCUUUCGUGAGAGGCACUGGUGUGUCUCUCAAAAACGAAAAAAAACGUGUUUUCUGUUUUUUUUCGUCCGCAAGAGGCACGGUUGUGAUUUCUCAAGAGGCACGACCGUGCCUCUUUCGAAAAGAAGAAAAACGUGCUUCCAGUUUGAUUUUUUUCGUCAACAUGCGAUCUAGUUUUGAAAAUCUUGACGCGAGGAAUCAAAAUAUCGAAUAAUGAAAACAGUUCGAGAUUUGGACGCACGGUUUAAAAGAUAAGACGUUUUAAUAAACGUAUCUAAAAAAAGAGAAAACUCUCAGGUUACGACAAGUGACACACACAAUGUGUCAUUUAUCACAACGUGAGAACAUGGGAGUCAUCAUCGCAAGGAGUACUACUCAGGGCGAGAAAGCUAGUCGGAUCGAACGAGAUGGCUGAAGCGGAUCGAUCCAGUAGAUCGCAUGCACAUGGCGGCCAUGAAAAAGAUGCAAAAUAAAGAGGAGCCGAAGCGAUUUACGCUAGUACCGCUGUCUGCGACGUGGCCAACUUAAUGUACAUAGUGAGCGUAGUGAACGUAUAUGUGCAUUUUUUUUAAAGUGUAUAUUUAGAAAAAGUGCGAACAUUUUUCAAAUGACUGAACAAAUUUUUGUAGAGUUCCAAAAAAAUAGAAAAUAUGAACAUAUUUCAAAAUCCGUGAAUAUUUUUUUAAUACACGACCAUCUUUUGAUCUAUGAACAAUUUCUGAAAAAUGAAAAUUUUUGUUUACUAAAAACACUAGCAAUCUUUGAAAAAUUAGAACACAUCUUGAAAUUCUAAUAAAAUUAUAAAAUGAGAUCAAAAAUAAAUAUUCCGAACAAUUUUUCAAAACACCAACAAUUUUUAAAACUCUGAAAAUUUUGAAAAGUGAACAAAUUUUGUAAUUACGGACAUUUAUUGAAAUUGGAACAAUUUUUAGAAUUCUGAAUAUGUUUUGAAAAUCUGAAGAAAAUAUGAUUCUUUUUUUUGAAAUGCAACAAACAUUUUGUUAAUACAGUAACAAUUUAAGGGCUGGCAGGCUGGCCCAGGCAGGGCGGCCGAGGCGCGGACGUGUGGGCGCUGGGCUACACAGCGAUUUGCGGGCGCACCUUAUAUCUCGCCUUCAGCGAGUCUGGCUUUGGACUCAAUAAAGGAGCGACUGAGCUGGGCCGGCCCACUAGUGCGGGGUGCCACAGCCUCUUUUUUUCUGAAAUGUUAUAUUUUACUUUUUUUCUAGUUUUUUUAAAACAUUCGAAAUAUGUAUAUGAAAAAACUUUUCAAAAAACAUUUUAAAAAUAAUUACAAAGUAUUUGAAAAAUAUUGAACUAUUACUUAAAAAAUGUUGGAACAAGUAUGUAAAAAAAUAUUGAUCAUGUAUAAAAAAAAAAUGAUCAAGUAUUUGAAAAAAUGGUGAACAAGUAUUUGAAAACAUGUUGAUCAUGUAUAUGAAAAAAUAUUGAUCAAGUAUUUAAAUAAUUAUUUAAAAAAUAUUUAAAAUAUAUUGACCACGUAUUUGUAAACAUAUUCAUCAUGUAUAUUAGAAUAUAGAAUGAAAAAAAAGGAACAAAGAAAAAAGAAAAAGAUGAAAACCCGAAAUAAACAAAAUAGAUCAAAAGAAAAGGAAAAUGAAAAUAAUGAAGAAACAAAUGAAAAAACCCAGAGUAGAAAAAAAACAAAAUAAUAACAAAAAAUCAGAGAAAAAAAAAGAAAGGGACAUUUACAUUUGUGCCCUUAAAUCGAACCCACUACUCAAAUUUACAGCUAAUUUUGAAGUGUGUUAAAAUUUGUUCUUCUAGCAUUUGUUCUUCUUAUAGAAAUGUCCUUCCGUACCAUUGCCUGGCUAGCUGGCUUUGACCGUUUAUUAGACAUUUUCUGGACGUUGUUGCCCAUACCGAAUUAACUCACUGACAUGCGGGGCCACUUUAAAAAAAUAUAAAGAAAAUACUCUUUCUCUCACCCCCCCUCUCUCUCACUCACUUACAUGUGGGGCCCAACCAGAAUAAUAAAGAUAAAAAACUUUCUCUCACAACUUCUCUCUCCCUGACAUGUGGGCCAUGGGACCCAAUGCCAGAGUGAACAAUGGUCCACACAUGCCCGGUCGUGAGCGGCUGUUCACCGGCGGCUGCGUUCGCCGGCGGCUCGCCAUAGGCAGCCGAAAUACCGCGAGAGGAGGGGCGAGGCAUGCGGUGUAGCUGCGCGAGGCACGCCAGAUACGUUGGGCACGACAAGGGUAGGCGGGCGAGCGCACGGCUAUCCAGCCGAGGUCGAUCAUGGCGGCCGGCUUCGGCCAGGGGGCAUCGGGCAUGGAAUCGGACGGGGGAAGAUUCGGGUGGAGCUACGCGCGCGUGGGGAAGGAUAUGACGGUCGCGACCAUGUCGGCGUGGACACCAGCAAGUUGCAGGCUCGAGAAGAACCACUAGGUCGUCAACGGCGGGCGACGGGGGAACUGGUCGAGGUGGCACAUGCUGGAGAUUGCUUGGAACGAGGGAGAGAACGGCAGAAGCUUUGAGAUUACUCCAUCUCCACGGAUAUGAAGAAACAGACUAUGGAGUCCUGUGCUCGCAAGGGGAGGAGAUCGGGGUGCGGUGGUGCAGUGCCGGAGGCGAGGAAGACGAGAAGGGCGCGGCUAAUUUGGGAAGUUUGCCGACAAUUAAUUCUACAGGAACACUAUAGAGGAGAAGCAAAGCUAAUGAGCAAGACUUUGAGGCGCAGGGUGGCCGUUGUCCGUGAAAACGAUGGAGGUGGCGGUCAUCGGAGUACUGUGUCGUGACAAGGCAGUGUUGGAAUUUGCUAGUAGGCCUUUGGCUUAAAGGCCAACUAAAAGUCUGAAAUUCUCUUGACCCAUUCAUGCAUAGCUAGUGAGUGGUGUGAGUGGGACUAAAGCUUAGUUCCACCCCGGAAGUUGAGUGAGACUUGCACCUUCUUAUAAGGUGGGCUCUUCUACCAGUUGUAUGAGCAUGAGAAGAGGAAACCAACACGCGCGCUCCUCCUUCUCGCUCGCCUUGCCACGCCCCGGGUUGCAGGAAUGAGCCCAAGACGGAGCUAUGCACGUCAUCUAUAUUUUUGCUGCUCGGGAAAUAUUAAUAAGUCAUUAAUUAAUAAUUAAUGGAUGCGUUAAUUACUCGGCCGUUUCCGAUUCUUUUGGAUCGUAGGGCUGUUACUUGGACGUAGAGUUUUCUCCAUGACCUAACCGGCUCACAUUAUAUAGUCAGGCAGACGUCUACCCUAGCCGCCGCCACAUCAUAUGGUUUCGCACCCCCAUUCCAUAUCAUUGCGCCGCCACGCAAGUCUUCUCCAUCUCUUCUUUCGGCGUGCACCGCGAGAAGGGACAGCAGGCCUCCGGAACCCCGCCUCUUAUGAUCCUGCACAGGAGAGGGGCGAUCAGGUUUUUGGGGAGCGCACUCGCGCGACUGCUGGCAGCGACGAUUGCACCAAUGGCUUCUUCCCUGACCUCGGCAACCUCUUCUCAACAACAUGGGCGAUAACAUCAACGGUGCCGCCCCGUUUCACCGUAUGUGAUUUUGUCCUUCUUAUUUGAGAUCGUGCUAGAAUUCAUGUUUCUAGUUUGCGUCGUAGAUUCGAUCUGUUCAUCUACUAUGCUAAUCCGCAUGAUUAAUUUAGUCUAUGUUAUUACUGUCAUGAUUUAUUUAGUGCUCAUUCGGAUUAAAUCCGGUAAUAAUUUGCUCAUAUAGUCAACAGGCAGAAGGAGGAAAAGGAAUUGUCGUGGUAUUGUUGGGAGGCUUCAUGAGGUUUUCUCGGAGCUGAGGGAGCGGAAGGGUCACCGGAGCUCGUCAGCACGGCCGGUUGAGGAUGAAACGGUCUGAACUUAGGCGAGGAGCCUCGCCGGAUGAUGGCGGAGCUCGGGCACGUGUGCUCAAGGUCAAUGGAGGUGUGUGGCCGCGUGCACAGCUCACGGCGGCCAGCAGACGCUGCGAGCUACUUCGUGCACGACCUGAUGGCAAGGUACAGGGAGCAAGGGUGGUGCACGUGCUCUGUUUUUUUCCUUGAAGUGGGUCCUACAUGUAAGUGACAAAUAGAGAGGUGAUAGAUAGUUCUUUUCUUUUUUAGACGAGGGGGCCCACGUGUAAGUGACAUACGCAGCGAGGGGCAAAAAUGUCAAAAAAAGGUGAGACACCGGUCAAAGCCUUUUGACUUGAGGAAAACGGCACGGAAAGGCAUUUUUAUAAAAUGCACUUAACGGCAGAGGUGAUAAAUUGGAACAUGCUUCGAAAUUAAAGGCAAAUGUGAACAGUGGGUUUGAGUUAGGGUCACAAGUGUAAAUGUCCCAAUAAGAAAAGCUAACAAAAAAGAAAAGAAAAGGGUAAAAGCCUAGAGAAAACAUAAUGAAAAUGAAGAAAACGAAACGAAAAGAAAAACCCAGUAAAAAUAGGAAAAGUAAUGAACUUGUGUGAAAACCGGCUCGCUUUCUUUCUAGUAGGUCAUGUCCUACCUAAUACCUAAUGUACACUAAGCCGAAGCUGGUGCAGUGGCUAGCGUGUGAUUGAUCCUCCUGGGCACAACAUUUUUUACACUUUUUUUAUGGAAAAACUGCACUAACAGGCCGGGCCGAUACUAUAGCCCCUCGCUGCGAGAGAUCCGUUCGUCUCCCUUACUACUCUAUAUUUCUGAAAAAAAUGCAUUGACAGUCCGACCUGAUACUGUAGCCCCUCACUACGAGAGAUCCGUCCAUCUUGUUUAAAGAGAGAAAUAGCGCGCGGGGCGAUUUUCUGUGUUCAGGCAAGCAAGGCCUAGGUGCCGGAGGCGGGCCUGGUGCUUGGGGCACGGAGGCUGCCUGCAAGAGCUGCUGAAUGACGUGUUGUGCAUAGCCGAAAAGAAAGAAAAGAAAAAGACAAGAUUUUGUUUGAAAAAUAGGGGUUGGCACAGGGACCGAACAAGAGAGAUAAGUUAGAACCGUCCUUAAAGCCGCACAAAAACUGUGCUAGUUUCUUUUUUGCUCACGUACUCUGUUUUGUCUCAGUUUUAGUCCAGGGCAACUUUGAAGCUUAUCUUAGGGUGGUAGCCAGAAAAAUGUGUUAAAGACCUUAUUAAGAAGUGAAGAAGAAUAGACGUCUCCCGUUUUUGUUUCUUCAACUCUAUGCCUACACUGUUACGUUAUUGAUGGAUUAGCUUCAAUUGAUGUAACUGUACACUUUCUGGUAGGUCUGAGAUGCGACUGAGCCAGAUCGAUCCUGAGCUAGCUACUUGUCUCCCUUAAGUCUUACAGCUAGACAAAUGCACUGGACUACAAAGAGGAAAUUCCUGUAGGUUCGUAAUGCAUCUGUUUUUGUUCUGGCAUUCACACCAAUCAUAAAACAGUGUUUGUUAGUAGCGAACGUAUAUCAAACCAUCAUUUUUCUUCUAAUUACACUUGUAAAAGCAUUGAUGCAUCUACGUCGCUUAAUUUUAUUUCCAAAUAAUAACGCCUACACGUGUGGCAUAUUUGCACAUCGUCUACACGUCUUGAUCCACGUUGAUUAUGUUUUAUACGAAUCCUAAAGAAAUUUGAGUGCCACAUAGGCAUAGCGUGUUGUGUGGGCGUUAGAGCGCUCGCCCACACGACCCACAGCGCGCGGUUGCCAGCUGCGCCUUGUGGGCGAACCAGUUCCCGCCCACACAGUCACCAAUCAGUCCACGCGCGUGUUGAUGAACUGCUCUUCGCCCACACGACGCUCAUACGGUGAUAGAUGGCAACUGCAGUUGCGCGUAUGACAACUAUUUGUUUGACCACAUGUGGCAAGUAGUUAAUCAUACACGGCAACUAUGGUUUAACUGCACGCGGCAACUAACAUAAAAUGAACAUGGCAACUAUAGUUAACCAAAACAGAGAGAGUUGCCAUGCUUUUACAACUAAAUUUGCCUCGGAUAGCAACUAAAGCAUCAUCCCGUGGGUAACCAACGUAGUUGUGCCAGAAUGUGUGUGCAUUAUUGUUUCAUCCCACACGCGCGGAAUAGGGUUCCGAUUGCGGGCAUACUCAUCGCGCUUGCGUUUUGACGCGUCGCGGGGAACCAAGAGCCAUUCAACGUACGGCACGUUUCUGGGAUACGCCACCGGUCUGACAGUAAAAGGUAGCGUUGAUGAACUGGUUUCAAGCUGUGCUGAUCAGUUCUGCUGUUACUAAUAUAACAUGGCAUCUUGCUGCUCUCGGUCGAUGUUCUGUCAUCUCUGAAAAAUAUCAUUAUCACCUGUUUUAUUUCCCCGUCUUUUCUGCGCUUUGAUGCGCAGCCUGCUCUGUUGCACAUCGAUCCUGGCGUGUGACUGGUUUCGUCGCCGUUCACUCUCCGUGGAAUGGAGAAGUGAAAGCGGGCAAGUAAGCCUGUCUACUUCGUCCCUUUUGUCUAGUCCUGGGAUCAGAGAAAAUAACUGGCAAUCUGCAUCAGCCUGGUUUUGAGACGCGACUUGUUUGCCACGACUGUUUUGCGUUGGCAGCUACUGCAGUUGGUUGUACUUCUUCUGAUUUCUUCUGAUUAUAUUUAUGCAAGACACAUUACGAGUGCCAGCUGUGCUGUAACUUUAUUUGCGAGGCACAGCAACUGGAUUGUUGUCGAUACAAGGGAAAACAGAAACUAGUAUCAGUGCUUUUGUAUUUCGAAACCUGUUACUGAUAUAUCGUGGCAUCUUUUUGCCCUCGAUCGAUGUCCUGGCAUGACAGGCUUUGUCGCUGUUCACUCUCCAUAGAGUGGGGAUGUGAAAUCGGUAAGUAAGCCUAUUUACCUAGUCGCCGUUCAUUUGUUCACCAAGUCGCGAGACAGCGGGAGGAAGGAGACGAAGGUCCCAAACGUCAGACCAAAAAGGUGGACUAGGGCUCGCCCUAGUUGUGCUCUCGGGUAUUUUCAGUUACUAGUAGGAGUAAGAGCAUCUCGAGCCGUUGGCCUCUCAGGGCGCGUAAAAUCGUCGUUUGGGGGCGAGCCGACGCAAAAAACGGCCUGUGGCCGAGUUGGUUCCCAGUCGCCGCCCCACGGCUGCCCCCGGACAGCGUCUAGUUUUUUUUUAAAACUUAUUUGGAGAAGUUCGCAUAAACUUGGCUAAAAUUCGGCAAACUUGGCAUAUAUUAGACAUGUUCGCGGUCUUACAUAGCAAAUUUAUAUUAAAAAAUGCUAACUAAGGGGCGAAGAAGUCGGUGAACACGGAGUAGUCGCCAUCGUCGCUGCCAUCCUCGCCGCCGUCGGCGGCGGCCUUCUCCUCCUUGACGCGGCCGCCCCUGCUGGACCCCUGGCCAGCGUCGCCAAGGUGGACCGGUGGCGGUGGUGGUGCGUCGUUGUCGUCGCUGUCCUCCAGGACGACGACGCCUCCUUCGUCGCGGCCCCAGCGGCGCUGCUCGAAGCGCUGCAGGGCGGCGCGCUGGCGCUCCAUCCACAUUUUGAGGUAGUCCUGGCGUGCCCACUUCAGGGCCGCCUCGUCGUCGAGCUCCACGCAGUGCUCCGUCUUCACGGCGGGAAGCCCCGGCUCCGUCUUCACGGCGGCGAGCCCUGGCUCCGUCUUUGGCUUGACGAAGCGUGGAGGAGCCAACGAGGAGGCGCGCCUGCCGCCCUUGUUUAUGACGAUGACGGCACUGCGAGUGCGCCGCCCGAGCGGCGUCUCCGCUGCGGGCUCGGCCUUAACACCGAGCAAUGCCGGAGAGCCGGAGGAGUGGGAAAAAGAGCGCGAGGAGGAGUGCGAGGAGGAAGACGAGGAGGAGCCAAACUCCUGGGCAUCCAUUGCCCGGUGCGCCGGCGGGGGGCGGCCGCCGUGGGAGGGUAGGUCAGCGGCGGUUCGUUGCCGCCCUCGAGGUACGCCAACACACCGUCGAGCGUGCGGCCGGGGGUGCCCCACCACACGCGGCGGCCCUCGCUGUUCUUCACGCCGCCCACCACCGGUGCCCCGUUGGUGGACGCCAUCCUUAGCUCCUGUCAGCGCUUGAAGUACGCCGCCCACGGCUCGUGGUUGUCGGCGGCGUAUUGGGGGAGGGCGAGCUGCUCGUCGGUGAGGGAGGCGCGCACGCGAUCGAUCUCGGCGGCGAAGUAGGCGGAGCGCNNNNNNNNNNNNNNNNNNNNNNNNNNNNNNNNNNNNNNNNNNNNNNNNNNNNNNNNNNNNNNNNNNNNNNNNNNNNNNNNNNNNNNNNNNNNNNNNNNNNNNNNNNNNNNNNNNNNNNNNNNNNNNNNNNNNNNNNNNNNNNNNNNNNNNNNNNNNNNNNNNNNNNNNNNNNNNNNNNNNNNNNNNNNNNNNNNNNNNNNNNNNNNNNNNNNNNNNNNNNNNNNNNNNNNNNNNNNNNNNNNNNNNNNNNNNNNNNNNNNNNNNNNNNNNNNNNNNNNNNNNNNNNNNNNNNNNNNNNNNNNNNNNNNNNNNNNNNNNNNNNNNNNNNNNNNNNNNNNNNNNNNNNNNNNNNNNNNNNNNNNNNNNNNNNNNNCGGCCCGGCACGCAUGUCCGGCAGCGCCGGGAUGUUGGCCUCGAAGAGGAGCCACAACUCCCACUCGUGGAGCGAGCGGCGGCCGAAGCCAUUGGCCCCCGCCGCGUCGCCGGGGAAACGCUCGGCCAUUGGGUGCCGGAGUGAGGGAGAGGGCAGGAAGAAGUGUCGGCGGCGGCGCAAGGGAGAGGGAGAGCUCGGCGGCUAGGGCUGGUCUGGCCAGAGGCGAGGGAGGCUAUCAGCUUAUAUAGCCGCGCCGCGCCGCCCGUGUGUACGCGUGGCGGGACGAGAGGCGUCGACGCGCCGCCCCGUGACGCGCCGCCCGUGAGGAAUCAAUGGCAAGGCUGACCGGCGGCUGCAGCGCGGCAGCCCUGGCAUUGACUCCCGCGGGAACCGAGGCGAUGUGGACGACGAAGCGUCCAUCUCGCUGACUCGGCGAGCCCGCGCCUUUUUCGUGCCAAAACACUCGCCCCGGCGCCCCCAGCGCAUCGGGUUCGGCCUGGGUCCGCCGGCGCUGAUUUCGGCCCACGCCGGCGAAAAAUAAGCUUCUGGGAAUGCGACUGGGCCGUUUUUUCGGUACCGGCGUAAAAAAAUCGCCUGGGAAGGUCGUUGUGGAGGCGCGGCUGGAGAUGCUCUAAGAAGCAUUGCAAAUUGCUCCCUUUGUUCAAUCUGUAUAUAUGUAGUCCAUAUUAAUAUAUCCAAAACAUUUUAUAUUUGUGAAAGAAGGGAGUAACUAAUAGUAAUGCAACAAUUUCAGGGGAGCCCAGUCAGCAGCUAACUAAAUGUGCUGGAUGAGACUGGAGAAAUGCAUAAACGAUUUACACAUGAUAGAACUACUCUUUUCUUGUUAAGGAAUGAAAGAAUGGAUGAUUUUGUCUGUUCGGAACAAAACCCAAUAUUCAUCCAGUUAGACGUUGUUCUGAAUUCUGACGCUUUUGAAAGUUUUCUCGCAGAAAUAUGUGUGUUUAUUCCAGUUGUAUCAUUAGCAAACCAAGGUUGUAUAUAUUGUAGCACGAAGAAUGUUUGGUUGAUUCGUUCAGGCGAAUCAGGUUCGUGGCUAACUGCCAAAGUCACGGCUGUUUCUGCCUUUGAUGCAGACAAGUGAUUCUACACGGUAAGUCCUCGUUUGACAUGGAGGGAUUCAGGAGGAUUUGAGGUGUGGGGAUUGGAGGGGAUUUGGUGAAUCCCUCUCCCUCCACCCAAUCUCCUCAAUUCCCCUUGCAUCCAAUCCCCUUCCUGAAAAAACUCGUUUAGUAGGUGGAGAGUGGAGGAGGCGUGCGCUGCCGCUACCCUCGAGGUUCUGCUUUCUCAAGGCCCUUGACUAGAGUUCUGAACCGCGCGGGUACGAGGGGAUUGGAAGGGAUCGGAGGGGGUUGGGCUGUGCAAACCCCAUCUAUCAAAUGGGCCGACGAGGUUUCGUGGGGCUUCUGGCCCUCCCAGGGUUCAUCCUAUCCAAACCUCCUGAAUCCUCCUGCGUCAAUCGAGGCCGAAAGGAAAAGCUGAAAGCUCUCUUGUCUCGUGUGUUUCUCUUCUUUUGCACCUUGUCGAAAAACAGCGUGCACCAGGGACGCUCGAUUCCAUUGUAGGCAUCAGUUCACUCUAUCAUGCUAUAGGGAACCAGCACUAUCUUCUCCUUUUUCUUUUAGGUCGUAAACGCAAGUCAUUUGAUACAUUCACAUAGGACUUACAUAAUCGGUAUGUUGCGACGGAACUGGGCGCACACGAUGAAAUAUAUAGAUAUUCCUAUGGUAGAUUUAUCAGUAUCAGUGUGGAGCUAAAGUGUUUGAUGUUCUGUAUGAAUGGUUUGGUCUGAACAAUAAAGCCGACCACCUAGGAUCUACUUUUGGGCUUUUUUGUAUAUAUACUAGCAAAAGGGCCCGUGCGCGGGAGAUUUUCUUUUUAAUCUUGAAUGGCCAUGAUCACAUUUUUUUGCAUAACCAAGAUACACUAUCACUAUCAAUUUCGGGAAAUCAUGUACAUCUUUUAAACUUGUGAACAUCUUUCCAAUUCAUGAACAAUUUUACAAAUUUUCAAAUAUAUUCUAAAAUCAAGAACAAAUUUUGAAAUUCACGAACAUGUUUUUCAUUUACCGAACACUUUUUGAAAUGCAUGAUCAUUUUUUGAAUCAACGAACAUUUUAUGAAUGAAUAAACUAUUUUAUAAGUCGCGAACAGUUUUUCAAAUAUUUGGAUAUUUCCCCAUUCAUGAACAUUUUAUGAAUUGGUGAAAUUCAAUUUUAUUAACAUAUUUUUAUACACGAAUUUUUAAAAAGUCUUCAAUGUUUUUUUAUUUCAUGAACAUUUGUUUUCAAAAUUUCGAAUAUUUUUUGUGUCAGAUUAUUUUAAUAAAAUUGCAACCUUUUUUGAAUACACAAACAUUUUAUGAUUUAUUAAAACUUCAUUUCAAAAUUAUUAUUUUUAACUUUAAAAUAUUUUUUGUAUUCCGAAAUUAGUUAAAGUAGAAAAAAAGGAAAAGAAAGAUAAAAAGGGAAAUAUUAAAAACAGGCAGCCGGGACAUGGGCCGGCCCAUUUGGCGGGCCGUGCCUUCUCCGAAUGCGCAGAGCCCAGUCUAGGAGGUGCCUACUACAUGGGCCAGUCCAGACGGGGAAACACCAAAAUAAAAGUCCAGACGAUUUCUCAAAAACAAAAAAAGUCCAGACGGGGAUUCCCCUGUGGAGCUCCUAAUCGGCGCGUUCGGCGCCGUGGUAGCAAACCGGCGCCUACUGGCAACCCAAGUAGGCCGGCCCGCGGACGAAAGCAAGCAGUUAACGUCUCGCGAGAAAAACCGUAAAAAUACGCCGGAACGAGGACUCGAACUCGCGCGGGUAAACUGUAGGUCUUUUCAGCUAGCCAACACAUCACCAUAACUCUGGUGACUUGCAGCAAACGUGAAUCAUUAAGAACCAUAACAGCCGCACUAUUUAUUACGCAUUUUUGAAAUAUUCCUUUUUUUAACAGUCGUUUUUUUAAUGAAAAAAUUUCAUCAAAUUUGAAAGAAGUUCAUUGAUUCCGAAAAAAAGUUCAUCAAAUUUGGAAAAAGAGUUCAUCGAAUUUGAAAAAAGUUCAUCGAUUUUUAAAAUUGUUCAUUGAUUUCGAAGAAAGUUUAUUCAAUUCGAAAAAAGUUCAUCGAUUUUGAAAAAAAAGUCCAUCAAUUUUGAAAAAUGUUCAUCAAAAUUGAAAAAAGUUCAUCAUAUUUGGAAAAAAAUCAUCAAAUUUGUAAAAAAAGUUCAUCAACUUUUUAAAAAUAUAUUCUAAUUUGAGAAGUUCAUCCAUUUAGGAAAAAAAGUUCACGAAAGUUGACAAAAAUUCACGCAUUAAAGAAAACAAAAAAGAAUGAACAGAAAAAGAUAAAAGAACAAAACGAACUUAAGAACUAAAUAAAUGAAGAAACGGAAAUUUACAUGCAGAAGCUGAACCUUGGCGUGAUGGUUAGUGUAUAAUCCUCUCAGUGAAUGGGUCGCCCGUUCGAUACCAUCUGCCCGCGUAUUUUUUACGUCUCUGGAAACAGAGAAACAAUUACAAAGUGGACCUAGCCCAGUGAACGUGGCAGCAGGCGCCCGUUAGCGGAAUACACACUAACGGGCGCCUUCAGCGCCAAAUAGGAAAUGCCCUCCCCUGUGUGAAACAUUUGUAUCACCUAUACGUGACGUUUGCGGGUAAUUUCUAUGACGUACCAUAAGAAGAAAUAGCCCCUUUAUACUAGCAAACGGGUCCGUGCGUUGUAAUGGGAGAAAAAAAAGAAUCUCCAAUGGCCAUGACCAUAUUUUGCUGCAUCACCGAGAUACCCUAUCACUCUCAAUUUUGUGAAAUCAUGAACAAUUUUUGCAAUCACGAACAUAUUUUUAAACUCUUACACAUAUUUGAAAUCAUAAACAUUUUUCAGAUUCAUGAACACUUAUACAAAUUUUAGAACAUUUCUGAAAUCAAGAACAUUUUCGGAAUUGAUGAACAUUUUAUAGUAUUUGCAAACAUUUUUUAAAAAACUUGAACAUCUUUAUAAACAAUUUUUUUAAUCAACAAACAUUUUUAUGGAAAUUGGUGGAACAAUUUUAGAAAUUCACGAACAUUUUUUGAUUUAACGAACAUUUUUUGAAAUACAUGAUCAGUUUUUGAAUUAGUGAACAUUUUCUGAAUGACUAAACUAUUUUGUAAGGCACCAAUAGUUUUUGAAUUUUAGGAUAUUUUCCCAUUCAUGAACAUUUUUCUGAACUGGUGAUUUGUUUUUCAAUUUCAUUAAUAAUUUUUGAUACACGAAANNNNNNNNNNNNNNNNNNNNNNNNNNNNNNNNNNNNNNNNNNNNNNNNNNNNNNNNNNNNNNNNNNNNNNNNNNNNNNNNNNNNNNNNNNNNNNNNNNNNNNNNNNNNNNNNNNNNNNNNNNNNNNNNNNNNNNNNNNNNNNNNNNNNNNNNNNNNNNNNNNNNNNNNNNNNNNNNNNNNNNNNNNNNNNNNNNNNNNNNNNNNNNNNNNNNNNNNNNNNNNNNNNNNNNNNNNNNNNNNNNNNNNNNNNNNNNNNNNNNNNNNNNNNNNNNNNNNNNNNNNNNNNNNNNNNNNNNNNNNNNNNNNNNNNNNNNNNNNNNNNNNNNNNNNNNNNNNNNNNNNNNNNNNNNNNNNNNNNNNNNNNNNNNNNNNNNNNNNNNNNNNNNNNNNNNNNNNNNNNNNNNNNNNNNNNNNNNNNNNNNNNNNNNNNNNNNNNNNNNNNNNNNNNNNNNNNNNNNNNNNNNNNNNNNNNNNNNNNNNNNNNNNNNNNNNNNNNNNNNNNNNNNNNNNNNNNNNNNNNNNNNNNNNNNNNNNNNNNNNNNNNNNNNNNNNNNNNNNNNNNNNNNNNNNNNNNNNNNNNNNNNNNNNNNNNNNNNNNNNNNNNNNNNNNNNNNNNNNNNNNNNNNNNNNNNNNNNNNNNNNNNNNNNNNNNNNNNNNNNNNNNNNNNNNNNNNNNNNNNNNNNNNNNNNNNNNNNNNNNNNNNNNNNNNNNNNNNNNNNNNNNNNNNNNNNNNNNNNNNNNNNNNNNNNNNNNNNNNNNNNNNNNNNNNNNNNNNNNNNNNNNNNNNNNNNNNNNNNNNNNNNNNNNNNNNNNNNNNNNNNNNNNNNNNNNNNNNNNNNNNNNNNNNNNNNNNNNNNNNNNNNNNNNNNNNNNNNNNNNNNNNNNNNNNNNNNNNNNNNNNNNNNNNNNNNNNNNNNNNNNNNNNNNNNNNNNNNNNNNNNNNNNNNNNNNNNNNNNNNNNNNNNNNNNNNNNNNNNNNNNNNNNNNNNNNNNNNNNNNNNNNNNNNNNNNNNNNNNNNNNNNNNNNNNNNNNNNNNNNNNNNNNNNNNNNNNNNNNNNNNNNNNNNNNNNNNNNNNNNNNNNNNNNNNNNNNNNNNNNNNNNNNNNNNNNNNNNNNNNNNNNNNNNNNNNNNNNNNNNNNNNNNNNNNNNNNNNNNNNNNNNNNNNNNNNNNNNNNNNNNNNNNNNNNNNNNNNNNNNNNNNNNNNNNNNNNNNNNNNNNNNNNNNNNNNNNNNNNNNNNNNNNNNNNNNNNNNNNNNNNNNNNNNNNNNNNNNNNNNNNNNNNNNNNNNNNNNNNNNNNNNNNNNNNNNNNNNNNNNNNNNNNNNNNNNNNNNNNNNNNNNNNNNNNNNNNNNNNNNNNNNNNNNNNNNNNNNNNNNNNNNNNNNNNNNNNNNNNNNNNNNNNNNNNNNNNNNNNNNNNNNNNNNNNNNNNNNNNNNNNNNNNNNNNNNNNNNNNNNNNNNNNNNNNNNNNNNNNNNNNNNNNNNNNNNNNNNNNNNNNNNNNNNNNNNNNNNNNNNNNNNNNNNNNNNNNNNNNNNNNNNNNNNNNNNNNNNNNNNNNNNNNNNNNNNNNNNNNNNNNNNNNNNNNNNNNNNNNNNNNNNNNNNNNNNNNNNNNNNNNNNNNNNNNNNNNNNNNNNNNNNNNNNNNNNNNNNNNNNNNNNNNNNNNNNNNNNNNNNNNNNNNNNNNNNNNNNNNNNNNNNNNNNNNNNNNNNNNNNNNNNNNNNNNNNNNNNNNNNNNNNNNNNNNNNNNNNNNNNNNNNNNNNNNNNNNNNNNNNNNNNNNNNNNNNNNNNNNNNNNNNNNNNNNNNNNNNNNNNNNNNNNNNNNNNNNNNNNNNNNNNNNNNNNNNNNNNNNNNNNNNNNNNNNNNNNNNNNNNNNNNNNNNNNNNNNNNNNNNNNNNNNNNNNNNNNNNNNNNNNNNNNNNNNNNNNNNNNNNNNNNNNNNNNNNNNNNNNNNNNNNNNNNNNNNNNNNNNNNNNNNNNNNNNNNNNNNNNNNNNNNNNNNNNNNNNNNNNNNNNNNNNNNNNNNNNNNNNNNNNNNNNNNNNNNNNNNNNNNNNNNNNNNNNNNNNNNNNNNNNNNNNNNNNNNNNNNNNNNNNNNNNNNNNNNNNNNNNNNNNNNNNNNNNNNNNNNNNNNNNNNNNNNNNNNNNNNNNNNNNNNNNNNNNNNNNNNNNNNNNNNNNNNNNNNNNNNNNNNNNNNNNNNNNNNNNNNNNNNNNNNNNNNNNNNNNNNNNNNNNNNNNNNNNNNNNNNNNNNNNNNNNNNNNNNNNNNNNNNNNNNNNNNNNNNNNNNNNNNNNNNNNNNNNNNNNNNNNNNNNNNNNNNNNNNNNNNNNNNNNNNNNNNNNNNNNNNNNNNNNNNNNNNNNNNNNNNNNNNNNNNNNNNNNNNNNNNNNNNNNNNNNNNNNNNNNNNNNNNNNNNAGAAUUCAUUUCGACAUGUCCACUUGGUUUUGUUGUGAUGAAUUUACUAACAUCCACACACCGUUGCAGAGAUUAAUCGAUCAAAUUAUUUCCGAGGCAUGGCAGAGGGCUGUCGCAAUUUCAGGGCGUUUGUUCUUCCUGUAGUUUUGCUUUAGUUGAUGUUUAGGUCGUGUUCAGGGCGUUGGCUUUUCUUCCUGUAGCUUUGAUGUUUCAGGUCGUAUUCAUGGUCUGUUUCUUUUUCCUCUCAAUCUGUUGUGUUCUUGUAGGCUUAUUUGGACUGAACUGCUUCAGGUCAUGUAAACGGUAAACCUUCUCUAUUCUAUUUGUAUUUUUUGGUUUGUGAAGCAAGUACCACAACAUGCCAUGAUGGACCAGUCAGCCAAAUUUAACCCCCCUAUACUUCACAUUAGUUGAUGUUCUUUUUAUCUAUGUGGAGAAGGAACUUGAUCAAAAUCGAGGCCAGUUGCAGAUCUGUUUUCUAUGCAGAAAAUAUUUUAUCUAUGGUUGACAGGAUGUUUAUCUUCAUCAUUGACCAUCUCCUUUACCACUUUUACAGACCGUACAUGUCACUAUUUAUCCUAGCAAAUGAUUCAUGGAAUGCAUCAUAAACUCAUAGCAAGAUAUCUUUUGGCGCUGAUAGUAACAUCCGGACAGGAAAAAAAUUGAGUAUGGUGAAAGAUAUGGUAAUCUAUUGUCUAAGAAUGUAGUCUCUUAUGANNNNNNNNNNNNNNNNNNNNNNNNNNNNNNNNNNNNNNNNNNNNNNNNNNNNNNNNNNNNNNNNNNNNNNNNNNNNNNNNNNNNNNNNNNNNNNNNNNNNNNNNNNNNNNNNNNNNNNNNNNNNNNNNNNNNNNNNNNNNNNNNNNNNNNNNNNNNNNNNNNNNNNNNNNNNNNNNNNNNNNNNNNNNNNNNNNNNNNNNNNNNNNNNNNNNNNNNNNNNNNNNNNNNNNNNNNNNNNNNNNNNNNNNNNNNNNNNNNNNNNNNNNNNNNNNNNNNNNNNNNNNNNNNNNNNNNNNNNNNNNNNNNNNNNNNNNNNNNNNNNNNNNNNNNNNNNNNNNNNNNNNNNNNNNNNNNNNNNNNNNNNNNNNNNNNNNNNNNNNNNNNNNNNNNNNNNNNNNNNNNNNNNNNNNNNNNNNNNNNNNNNNNNNNNNNNNNNNNNNNNNNNNNNNNNNNNNNNNNNNNNNNNNNNNNNNNNNNNNNNNNNNNNNNNNNNNNNNNNNNNNNNNNNNNNNNNNNNNNNNNNNNNNNNNNNNNNNNNNNNNNNNNNNNNNNNNNNNNNNNNNNNNNNNNNNNNNNNNNNNNNNNNNNNNNNNNNNNNNNNNNNNNNNNNNNNNNNNNNNNNNNNNNNNNNNNNNNNNNNNNNNNNNNNNNNNNNNNNNNNNNNNNNNNNNNNNNNNNNNNNNNNNNNNNNNNNNNNNNNNNNNNNNNNNNNNNNNNNNNNNNNNNNNNNNNNNNNNNNNNNNNNNNNNNNNNNNNNNNNNNNNNNNNNNNNNNNNNNNNNNNNNNNNNNNNNNNNNNNNNNNNNNNNNNNNNNNNNNNNNNNNNNNNNNNNNNNNNNNNNNNNNNNNNNNNNNNNNNNNNNNNNNNNNNNNNNNNNNNNNNNNNNNNNNNNNNNNNNNNNNNNNNNNNNNNNNNNNNNNNNNNNNNNNNNNNNNNNNNNNNNNNNNNNNNNNNNNNNNNNNNNNNNNNNNNNNNNNNNNNNNNNNNNNNNNNNNNNNNNNNNNNNNNNNNNNNNNNNNNNNNNNNNNNNNNNNNNNNNNNNNNNNNNNNNNNNNNNNNNNNNNNNNNNNNNNNNNNNNNNNNNNNNNNNNNNNNNNNNNNNNNNNNNNNNNNNNNNNNNNNNNNNNNNNNNNNNNNNNNNNNNNNNNNNNNNNNNNNNNNNNNNNNNNNNNNNNNNNNNNNNNNNNNNNNNNNNNNNNNNNNNNNNNNNNNNNNNNNNNNNNNNNNNNNNNNNNNNNNNNNNNNNNNNNNNNNNNNNNNNNNNNNNNNNNNNNNNNNNNNNNNNNNNNNNNNNNNNNNNNNNNNNNNNNNNNNNNNNNNNNNNNNNNNNNNNNNNNNNNNNNNNNNNNNNNNNNNNNNNNNNNNNNNNNNNNNNNNNNNNNNNNNNNNNNNNNNNNNNNNNNNNNNNNNNNNNNNNNNNNNNNNNNNNNNNNNNNNNNNNNNNNNNNNNNNNNNNNNNNNNNNNNNNNNNNNNNNNNNNNNNNNNNNNNNNNNNNNNNNNNNNNNNNNNNNNNNNNNNNNNNNNNNNNNNNNNNNNNNNNNNNNNNNNNNNNNNNNNNNNNNNNNNNNNNNNNNNNNNNNNNNNNNNNNNNNNNNNNNNNNNNNNNNNNNNNNNNNNNNNNNNNNNNNNNNNNNNNNNNNNNNNNNNNNNNNNNNNNNNNNNNNNNNNNNNNNNNNNNNNNNNNNNNNNNNNNNNNNNNNNNNNNNNNNNNNNNNNNNNNNNNNNNNNNNNNNNNNNNNNNNNNNNNNNNNNNNNNNNNNNNNNNNNNNNNNNNNNNNNNNNNNNNNNNNNNNNNNNNNNNNNNNNNNNNNNNNNNNNNNNNNNNNNNNNNNNNNNNNNNNNNNNNNNNNNNNNNNNNNNNNNNNNNNNNNNNNNNNNNNNNNNNNNNNNNNNNNNNNNNNNNNNNNNNNNNNNNNNNNNNNNNNNNNNNNNNNNNNNNNNNNNNNNNNNNNNNNNNNNNNNNNNNNNNNNNNNNNNNNNNNNNNNNNNNNNNNNNNNNNNNNNNNNNNNNNUCUGCAGCUCUGCCACCGCCCCGCACGCCACCGCCGCCCCGCAGCUCCGCCACCGCCCUGCACGCCACCGCCGCCCCGCAGCACCGCCCGGCUCCGUCCGCCACCGCCCCGGCCGCACGCCGCUCCACCGCUCUCUGACGGCGCCGAAGAGGACGCCGAAGGGCAAGUCGGGCUUCUUCGGCAUGAGGCAUAAGCCCUCGGUAACUGGGGUGUGGAGUUCACCGACGCCAGAAGGCGUUGGUGGAUCGGCACGUACCCUCUGCCAACGAGGCCGCGCGUGCCUACGGCGUGGCGGUGUGGCGUGCCGAGAGGCCUCGGUCGCACCUCAACUUUCCAGAGAUCGAGAGUCAGGCGGUAGCGGAGAUGCUUGUGCCAGAGGGCAUCAACAUGAAGGAGAUCACGAAGAAGAAGAAGAAGAAGACGAAGAAGCCGUCGGUUGUUGUCAGUGCUGGCGAGACCGAUGAGGAGGCGAUGGCGAGGUUUGCUCGGGAGCAUCUGGAGUACGUCCAGGCCGAGCUGGAGCACUACUGAAAGCGUGAGGUGGAGCAGAAGAAGAAGGGGCCGAAGAAGGAGGACGAGGCUGGUCCCUCGACGGUGAUCCCCAUCGAGUCGUCUUCCGAGGAGGACUGGGCAGACUACGAGGAGGAGGAGGAGGAGGAGGAGGAGGAGGAGGAGGGGUGCGACGACCCGACGAAGGAGGAGUUCUGGGAGCAGUUCCGUAGCUCAGAUUAGGAGUAGUUUUUUAUGUAGUAGUUUGAAUAAGUAGUAGUGUUGAAGUUGAUGUAUGAAACUAUGUUGAAUUUGAUGUUUGAACUAUGUUGAAUGGACUAGUAGUAUGUCGUUUUACAUCUUCAUUUUGGACCAUCUAUUGGAGUUGCUCUUUUGGACCAUCAAUUUGGACCAUCUGUUGGAGUUGAAUUUUUUUCGGAGCUCCAAAACGCACUUUUUGACGGUCCAAAUUUUACAUCUCCGGUUUUGGACCGCCAAAUUUUGGACCAUCUAUUGGAGAUGCUCUAAGAAAGCUCGCACAAUCGCUUGUGUCAUCCUUAAUCUAUGGCCACUCUAAUUUUUCCGGCCAGGCCUUCCCUGUGGUACCGAGCAAGGCAUAUUUGCUAGUACGCCUGGAGGAAAUGCCUUUGAUUAGGGCAUCUCCAACGGCGACCAGUAAUCCACGGACAGGGGAUCAGUCAGUGGAUACGGAUAUAGGAAUCGGCCAUCCAACUCUGUCCGCAUAUAUUUCGAACACUUUAAAAAAAACCCGGAGGAAAUUCAUGCAAACACAGUGGAUUCCAUACAAACCGGACAAAAACGUUUACAUUUUGGACAUAUUUUUUAACUAAAAACUCUACAGCCGGCGCCGGCGACGAUGAAUAUCCACUCCGGCGACAUGGAUACCCUUGACUAGUCUACUGCCGGCCGCAGCGGAUCUCCAAUGUCGUCCCCAUGUCCGGCAGCUGUGAGCCCUACAGGUAUAUGCUUCAACGCAAAGAGCAGCUCGCCUCCCUACCACUCAUCGGAGUGGAACAACCAACUGAUGCUUCUGCCAGUGGGGACGUGUUCCUACGCUACACAGGUCAGAGUUGGUUUUGGGUUGGGAACGACGGUGGCCUGCUAGAGGGCAAGACACCGGCUGUGUACGCUGGUGUCACCUCGGUAUGGCAUUCAUGAGACCCAAGCGACAGCUUCUCCUCGACGAUGGUGGUGAGCGCAGACGUGUUGGACACCACCUCAUCGAUGUCCAUGUAGCCCGCUUCUUUCUCUAUAGGAAGGACGCGGUGACGCGCGUUUUGACAUCGGAUGACGCGCUCACAUGCACGGGAGGGGCGGUACGACAUGGCACCAUCAAUGGCAGCCAUGAUGCCCGUGCCACCGUGCUCCCUCUCAGUGCUGACCUGGAGUAACUCGCCACUCCUCAGCUCAUGACCUGCGGGCUUGACGGGCCACCUAGCCAUUGUUUAUGUCAGACAACUCUUUUUCCUGCUCAUUAGAUGCCAUGGAGAAAACGGUUCAAGGAGAAAAAUGGUGAGUGGAGGUGUGAUGCGGUUCUUGCUCGACAUCUGACAUUGUUUAAAUAGCGAGGGGACACGAGGAGUCAACCGGCGUUCUGUUUAAUGCCAGCCGGCUCACGAACGGACAUGUGGCUGGAGUAAUUAUCCUGGCACACGCGCGGGUUUAAUGGUGGAAGGCGGGCAGUCUGGAGGAAUGAGGCAGGAUGUGUGUUUAGCCGGCGUGCAGCGGAGCGGUACCCUUGGCGUGCGUGGGGCAGUACCCAGAGGCAUGAAUGCGGGCAGCUGGCGCAGAGCGGGAACACAUGCGUGCGAGAGAGGAGGGGGUUUGGUGGGCACGGGUGGUCAGAAGUGCGCGGUCGUGGGUGUUGUCCGGACGCGUGCAAAGCCCCCCUCCUCCAUGUGUUGUCUCCUUGCGGGAGAAAGUACGUCCGGACUGCCCCGUGGACCGAUACAAGCCCGCAUUAUUUGGCACAACACGUCCGGACCAUGUGGUCCGGAUGGUUGUGGACGGUUUAAUUGAGGGUCGGUGUUGGAGAUGAUUUAGAGUUUAUGAAUCCAUUGUGUUUUUCUAAUCAUAAAAGAGCACUUAUAAUAAGUUAUAAGGAAAGACACGUAUAUAUGUUAGGUUCAGACUCCAGCUUUCCUCUUAUAUAUGUUUUUUUUUCUGAUCCGACUGAUUCCAAUAGAGAGCCUAGCGUUGUUUUUCUAGAAACUCGAGGGAUAAGGAGACAUGCAUACACGUUCUUCCAAGCAAAUCACAUCCAUUCUUUUUAACUCAUUUUUUCUUGUUUUAAUAAUAUAAUAAAUCAUUUGUAUUUUUUAUCUCGAACAGUUGAAGUGUAAUUCCUAUUGUAAUCUAAGGAUAAUGUUUGGAUUUUACUUUCAAAUAUUUGAAAUGGCCAUGAUGGAAUCACAUCCAUUUAUUUUAUUAUUAUUUGAAUUUGAUCCAAAAGAUAAAUAAUGAGUAGACGUCCUGAAAACUUUUCUGAGAACUUUGCUAAUCAAAAGACAAAAAAGGUUUUAAGAACUGAAGCAAACCACGAAUUUUACUCUCUAUUUUACUAAAGCAAGUGGCUGCUAUUUAGGUCUAGUAAGUACCAAAUUGACCAACAACCUUUUUUCCAAAUUGGAAGGAAUGCAGUUCUCAGCUCUCACCAUGGUGAUUAUAUAAUCUGGAUUUUCGAGCUGUAGCUAGUCAACUUAUGUUAGUGGCAUAUGUACCCUAGUGUUGGUCACUGGGAAUGGACGAAGCCAUGAGUGAAGGAACAGGAAAUGACAGAAGUACGAUUUGUAGAAUUUCAAAACUCAAACUAUCUAGUUUUAUGGAGUGAUAUGAAAUAAGCAAAACCAACUGCUAAUAAAAAUGUAAAAUUAAACGAUAUAUUUAGAAAUGUGAUUGUGAAGUCAUUGUCACAAAAUAUGACCUCACUAAAAAUGAACAUUCAACCUUAUUUUCAGAAGUUUGCAUACAAAUUCCAUGUAAAUUAUGGUAGUGCCCAUAAACAAAUAAACCAUAAUCGUGCUUGAUCUACCAUGAAACUUACUACCUUGUCUAUACUCUUGAAAGGACAAAAAAUGCUGAUGCAAUGCCACCUCGCUAGAUAUAUACUUUUGUCAUGUCCAGAGAUUUCCUGCACCAUGAACAAAAAUGCCACCGCAAUAAUAGUCGUUCUUUUGCGACAAAAAAAUACUGAAUUUGGACAGCAAUGCCUGCACAACUACUAUCUGUACACCAUGCAUGCACCCAUGUAUAUCAGUAAUACAUAUUAUAAGCUUGUGAACAUUGGUUUCAAAGUAGUGAUACCAAUAGUACGUCAUCCAGUGAUGGCCAGUCGCAGUACCUAGAUGCCACUUCGGUGCCUGGUUUCAAAGUCGCAAGUUCAUGGCAGGGAAAGCAAUCAUGUGUCUAGAGUAGAGACUUAAAAAAAGACCCAUGCCAUGUAGAUGGAUCAGAUAAUUAUGCCAAUCCUGAUUUUUCAGUGCAAAUCCAGUUCUGAAACUUCCACCUGAUCAGUUGCUCCCAAAAUGGGCUAUACAGUUAACCAAAAUGAAUUUUGCUCCUAACACCAUAGUUUGUUUCCAACGAUCACUAGAGCGAGCUUCACCAGAGUGAUGUGGGUUUGAUUAAGUACCUGAGCUGGUGUUGUACAUGCAUAUAUGUUAUGUUCACCGCUCCUACCGGAUGCCCGCCGCCGAACUCACCAUCCGUUCUACACAAGCAACAAAACCGAUUGGAUUAGCUAUUUCGGUUGUUACUUGUAUAGUCUGGUGGAAUGAUCAGUUCCAGUAUUACGCCAUGGCGGCAUCUUUUAUAUGCAAUAUACUGUGAACUGAAUUUUCUGUUAGUGAAGUUGACAGAACAGAGUACUACAGGGUAGAGGGGUAGAGCAUGCAAGUGGUGAUUGUUGUGUGGUUUGUGCGUUAGUUAUGUGUGAACCGGGCGUCGAGGUAGCGUUGGCUGGUCAUCUGCAGCUCAUAGGCGCACGAGCACAGCGGUGGCACGCCCACCACCGCCUCCAUUGCCCGCAAGGACGCCACCUAGCCGCCGCCGUAUUUGGAGAAGAAGCAACAAGCAGUGUGGCCGCUGCCAUGGCCGACGCCAGACCUGGUCGAUCUCCCACUUCUGUAUUCGAGAAAAAAAGAUCUCCCUCUUCUCUUGUGAUGAGAUGGGGAAGAGAUGGUGAGAUAUGAGGUCGAUGGCUUUGGGGAGAGGAUACGGGUGGACGCCGGCAGUGAGGCGGCGUGAGGAAGACGAGGUGGUUGGCGGUGGCGACGCGUGAGGGGAGGGGAAGGGAGGGGUAGCGGUGCAUGGAGGGGAGUGGGUGUGCGGCGUGCCUAGUUCACGAGAGAGGAGAGAGGUCGUCAAGGGAGCGAUCCAUGGGAGUUUUUUUUCCUUCUGAGCGAGCCUAGUUAGGCUCUCUGCAGCGUCUAGGCCCAAUGCACCACAUGUCUUCAAAUUGGCCACCAGUAGCAGCCCAUAGAACAGACAGGGCCAGUUUGCAAAUUUUAAAACAUAAGUUUUUUAGCGCCCAAGAAAAACAGAACACAUAUCUUUCCAAACAUAAUGAACUAUAGGUACCACAAAAAAAAACCAUAAUGAAUUAUAGGUUGUUACAAGAACUCAUGCCAUCCAGCUGCCUCCCGCCGACCCUGCCAACAUUGUUGUAGCUGCACUCGCAAGCGUUACCAUAGGUGAUCAUUUGCAUGAUUUCGCGUAAAACAAAAUAAGAUCUACAAACGGAUAGAAGCUACACAUACCUUGGCAUGCACACACAUUGCAAGCCAUACUAAGGUGAUAAGUGUUAAUAACUUGUACAACAUAUACAACAGUUAAGAUAAGUAAAAGCAAUUUGAUGAGUCAUGGUCUAUCAAAGCAAGCUUUAUUACUACUCUAAUCUAUCUUAACAGGUCACACAUGAUUACAAUCCUUUUUGUGUGCAAGUCAAGCUUAUCUAGUUUACACGUAACAACUUGUAGAACAUUACACAAUUGAUGUUUGCUAAUAACUUCUAGAAAGCUAAAACACUUGACAUGUAAAAAGAAUUUGAUGAGUCAUGACCUACUAAAUCAAGUUACAUUACUAGUCUCAUCUAUCUUAACAGGUCACACAAGAUUACAAACUAAGUUCUGUGCAAGCAAUGCUUAUCUAGUUUACACAUAACAACUUGCAAAACAUUACAAACUUAGUUUCAAAAAAAAUUAGGCAAUCUAGAUUAGUGUUUGAGUUGUAAAGUGAAUAAGAUGAGUCAUGUGUGUUAUCACAACUUUUUGGUGGUGGAAUGAUAGUGCCACCAAGCACAACAUACCAAAUUAUGAUUUUAGGAAGCAUCCAAGCACUUUCCAGACAAGCAAAUGCCAAUUGUGAAGGAGAUGAUGCCAUGACAGCUAUAAAUAGGCAUGUAGCAUGAUGAUCAUCCUUCCUCAUCCAUCAUUCUCAUAAGUAGAGUGCAUCAUUCAAGCCAAGCAAGCAGUGGUCAAUACAAAUCCACCAUGAAGACCUUUCUCAUCCUUGCCCUCCUUGCUAUCGUGGAGACCACCACCACAACUGCAGUUAGAGUUCCAGUGCCACAAUUGCAGCCACAAAAUCCAUCUCAGCAACAACCACAAGAGCAAGUUCCAUUGGUGCAACAACAACAAUUUCUAGGGCAGUAACAACAACAAUUUCCAGGGCAACAACAACCAUUUCCACCAUAACAGCCAUAUCCGCAGCCGCAACCAUUUCUGCCACAACUACCAUAUCCGCAGCCGCAACCAUUUCCACCACAACAAUCAUAUCCACAACCACAACCACAAUAUCCGCAACCACAACAACCAAUUUCGCAGCAACAAGCACAACAACAACAACAACAACAACAACAACAACAAAUCCUUCAACAAAUUCUGCAACAACAACUGAUUCCAUGCAGGGAUGUCGUCUUGCAACAACCCAACAUAGCACAUGCAAGCUCACAAGUAUUGCAACAAAGUUACCAACUGUUGCAACAAUUAUGUUGUCAGCAACUGUGGCAGACCCCCGAGCAGUCACGGUGCCAAGCCAUCCACAAUGUCAUUCAUGCUAUUAUUUUGCAUCANNNNNNNNNNNNNNNNNNNNNNNNNNNNNNNNNNNNNNNNNNNNNNNNNNNNNNNNNNNNNNNNNNNNNNNNNNNNNNNNNNNNNNNNNNNNNNNNNNNNNNNNNNNNNNNNNNNNNNNNNNNNNNNNNNNNNNNNNNNNNNNNNNNNNNNNNNNNNNNNNNNNNNNNNNNNNNNNNNNNNNNNNNNNNNNNNNNNNNNNNNNNNNNNNNNNNNNNNNNNNNNNNNNNNNNNNNNNNNNNNNNNNNNNNNNNNNNNNNNNNNNNNNNNNNNNNNNNNNNNNNNNNNNNNNNNNNNNNNNNNNNNNNNNNNNNNNNNNNNNNNNNNNNNNNNNNNNNNNNNNNNNNNNNNNNNNNNNNNNNNNNNNNNNNNNNNNNNNNNNNNNNNNNNNNNNNNNNNNNNNNNNNNNNNNNNNNNNNNNNNNNNNNNNNNNNNNNNNNNNNNNNNNNNNNNNNNNNNNNNNNNNNNNNNNNNNNNNNNNNNNNNNNNNNNNNNNNNNNNNNNNNNNNNNNNNNNNNNNNNNNNNNNNNNNNNNNNNNNNNNNNNNNNNNNNNNNNNNNNNNNNNNNNNNNNNNNNNNNNNNNNNNNNNNNNNNNNNNNNNNNNNNNNNNNNNNNNNNNNNNNNNNNNNNNNNNNNNNNNNNNNNNNNNNNNNNNNNNNNNNNNNNNNNNNNNNNNNNNNNNNNNNNNNNNNNNNNNNNNNNNNNNNNNNNNNNNNNNNNNNNNNNNNNNNNNNNNNNNNNNNNNNNNNNNNNNNNNNNNNNNNNNNNNNNNNNNNNNNNNNNNNNNNNNNNNNNNNNNNNNNNNNNNNNNNNNNNNNNNNNNNNNNNNNNNNNNNNNNNNNNNNNNNNNNNNNNNNNNNNNNNNNNNNNNNNNNNNNNNNNNNNNNNNNNNNNNNNNNNNNNNNNNNNNNNNNNNNNNNNNNNNNNNNNNNNNNNNNNNNNNNNNNNNNNNNNNNNNNNNNNNNNNNNNNNNNNNNNNNNNNNNNNNNNNNNNNNNNNNNNNNNNNNNNNNGUUCACAAGUUCACCCCUAAUUAUAUAUAUUAAGCAUUAGUUAGAUGUUUAUGUGCAUUAAUCUAAGGAUAACAAAAUGAAUCUGAAACUUGAAUUUAAUUAAAGUAUUUUCUUGGACUUUCAAAUUGAGCAUUGAUAGUGAGGACUAUCCACAUCCUUGGCUUGCCCUUGAUCAAUUAUUUCCAAAGAAGCAUUCAAUUCAUCAGUCACUUACAUUGAUUUUUGUGGCUUGUACUUCUCCUCAACAUGAGUAUCUUCAUUGCAGCUACUCCAAAUCUGCCACAUAACUGAAGCAUUAAUAGUGCUCUUCCUUGCAUCAAGGAAAUAUGGAUCGAAGAUAUCUCUUGACCAUGUUUUCGGGUGCAACCUUGGGAGUUUUAUGUCAAAAUAUUCUCAAGAAGAAUCCAAGAAUAAACUUGCAUGCUCACGUGUGAAAAGGGCAUAUGAAGUAACAUUUCCUCACCAAGGCCACACAUAGGGCACACACAUAACCCCAUCACAUGCCUUUUUAGUUAUGCAUAUGAAGGUAGGAUAUUUUUCAUUACUCUGCACCAAAAUACUCUUAACUUGGAUUGUACCCUAAGCUUUCGUUGCCUUUUACAUUUUUCUUCCCCAUUAGAUGAACUAGAUAGUCCAGCUACCACACGAUACCUUGUGUUCAUCUCGGCUCUGUACAACAAUUGAACAGAAGAAAUGUCAUUUCUUUACCAUACCCAUGACCAAAUGUUCUCUGCUACUCCCUCCGUCCCAAAAUACUGCCAUCCAUGUCGACAACAAUGAGUCAUAUAGGACCGCUAUGCCUCUGUUGAAGGAGGUGGUGGAGCGAUCCGGAGAUUAUUCUGCCAUCCAUGUUGAGUAAAACCUCACUGGCCACUUGCUGCAACCGCAUACACACCGCCAUAAACAACGGUUGGUACUCAGUUCGGUGUAGCAUACACCAUGUAGGAAGCGAGUGCUUACUCCUAGUUACUGAAUUAUUGUUAGACUAUGUAUAGCUUCUGUACCUAUGUACGUAUAUGGUACAUAUUGUAACACAACCAUUAUAUAUAAUGAGAUAAGCCACCCCUAGAGGGUUGUGCUGGUUCCCCAAAACUUAUUGUCUUACAUGGUAUCACGCUAGGUUACGAUCGCUUCCGCUUCUAAACCCUAAUACCCGCACCGCCGCCGCAGCCGCCGCCGCCUUCACCGCCGCCGCCGCGCCACCGAUCGCGCCGCCGCCAUCUCGGGCGCCGCCAUCACCGGUUCCACUGCUGCGGGCUUCCUCCCGGCCUCUCUUGCGGCUCUGCUCAACCUCCCGCUCGAUGCCGUCUCUGUUCCGGCUCCGAUCGGGACAAGGAGCAUCGGCUCCGUCUUCUCCACGCCGCCGGCGCCCUCGCUUGGGCGUGACCUCGUGGUCCACACCGCGGCGCCGCCGUCCGCUGCGGACUCCGCAGGCGUCGUCCCGCCGCUCCUGCCGCAAGCGGAUCACACUGCCCCACUGGCGGGGUUGGCGGCGUCCGCCCCGGCCGCGGGCCUUGCGGCGUCCGCACCGGCCGCGAGCUUUGCGGCGCCCGUCCUGGCUGCGGUCCCGCCUUCUCCCGCAUCGGCUUCGGUGCCUCCGGCUGCCUCCAUGGUGUUUGCACCCCAGGCAGCCUCCUCGAUGGGAUUGUCUUCGCCGCCGCCGUUUCACUUCGGUCAUCUCAUCACCAUCAAGCUCUCCGCCGACAACUACAUCUUCUGGCGUGCGCAGGUUCUCCCGCUCUUGGGGAGUCACUACCUGCUAGGCUACGUCGACGGAUCGCUUCCCUGCCCACCCGCGCUGGUAGACAGCGUGCACGGUCCGGUCUACAAUCCGGCCCAUCGCGUCUGGACGGGGCAGGACCAGGCGAACCUCUCCUCCAUCCAGGGGUCGCUCUCGCCGGCAGUUGCCGGCCUUGUUGUCUUCGCGAAGACGUCUCAUGAGGCAUGGACCAUCCUUGAGCGCACCUUUGCAGCGCAGUCCCAGGCUCGUGUCUCUGCACUCCGUCGUCAGCUUGGAGAGUGUCAGAAGCUUGACUCCACUGCCACUGAGUUCUACAACAAGGUCAAGGGCCUCGCCGACACAUUGGCCUCCAUUGGACAGCCCCUCACCGACUCCGAGUUCAACUCGUUUAUUGUCAAUGGUCUUGAUGAGGAGUAUGAUGCCUUAGUCGAGAUCAUCAACGAGCGGGGCAACUCGACACCCAUGCUGGCACACGAGGUUUUCUCUCGGCUCCUUCUCACUGAGCAACGGGUCGAGACUCGCCGCACCAGGGGCACUGGCUCCCUCUCGGCCAACGCCGCCACCAAGGGUGGCCGCUCUUCUUCAUCACCCCGGUCUCCCUUGGGGCUGCCACCGUCGCCCGCCUCGGCCCCCCCACCUACUGCGACCUUACCGGGGGCUGGCGGUCCAUGUGUGUGUCAGCUUUGUGGCCGCGAUGGGCACUGGGCCUCCAAGUGUCAUAAGCGCUUCCAGCGAAGCUUCCUUGGUCUUGGCAAUGACGGCAAAGAUACACGCAACAAUGCCCGUCAGGUCGCCAUGGCUGAUCGUCCCGCGCCGCAGAAGCAACAGGGACACACUCAGUCCUACUCCAUUGAUCCACACUGGUACAUGGACUCUGGGGCGACAGAGCAUCUAACCAGCGAGAUGGGGAAGCUUCACACUCGUGAACCCUAUCAUGGCUCCGACAAGAUCCACACCGCCAAUGGAGCAGGUAUGCACAUCUCUCAUAUUGGUCAAGCAUCUCUUCUCACUAGACAUGCCAAUAGGAGUCUUCAGCUUCGCAAUGUUCUUCGAGUUCCAUCUGUGAUCCGUAAUCUUCUUUCAGUUCCUAAACUCACACGUGAUAAUAAUGUGCUUUGUGAAUUUCACCCUUUUGAUCUUUUUAUUAAGGAUCGGGGCACGAGGGACAUUCUUCUUAGUGGGCGGUUGUGCCAGGGCCUCUACCGUCUGGAGCAUCCUGGUGUCGCUCGUGUUUUCAGUGGAGUUCGGGUCUCUCCGUCACAGUGGCAUGCUCGUCUUGGUCACCCGGCCACACCUAUUGUCCGUCAUAUUUUGCGUCAUCAUGAGCUUCCUAGUUUGUCUAGUCAUAAAGAUGUAGCAGUGUGUGAUGCUUGUCAGCAGGGGAAGAGUCAUCAACUUCCUUUUUUGGAGUCCAGUCGUGAGGUGAAACAUCCUUUAGAACUUGUGUUUUCAGAUGUAUGGGGUCCUGCUCAGACUUCUGUCAGUGGUCAUAAUUACUAUAUCAGUUUCGUUGAUGCUUAUAGUCGCUUUACCUGGCUUUACCUUAUUAAACGCAAAUCUGAUGUGUUUGAUAUUUUUGUUCAGUUUCAAAAACAUGUUGAACGUCUUCUCAAGCACAAAAUUGUUCAUGUACAGUCAGACUGGGGGGGCGAGUAUCGCAACCUCAACUCUUUCUUUCAGUCGCUUGGGAUAGCUCAUCGUUUAGCAUGUCCACAUACACAUCAGUAGAAUGGUUCAGUCGAACGUAAGCAUCGUCAUAUUGUUGAAGCUGGUCUUACUCUUUUGGCCCAUGCAUCUGUUCCGUUUCGGUUUUGGAGUGAUGCUUUCACCACUGCAUGCUUUCUCAUCAACCGUACUUCUACUCGUGUUUUAAACAUGAAGACUCCCAUUGAGGUUCUCCUUAAUGAACAACCUGAUUAUACCUUUCUCAAGGUAUUUGGGUGUGCUUGCUGGCCGCAUCUUCGUCCAUAUAACAAGCGCAAGCUUGAGUUUCGUUCUAAGAAGUGUGUUUUUCUUGGCUAUAUCUCUCUUCAUAAAGGUUACAAAUGUCUUCAUGUUCCCACUAAUCGUGUCUAUAUAUCUCGGGACGUCGUGUUUGAUGAGCAUGUUUUUCCCUUUGCCAACCUUCCUGUGUCCACUGUCGAACCACCAUCCCUGCAUUCAUCCUCUGUUGCUUCUGACCAAUUUGAUGAUGUUGCAUACUCUCCUUUGCUGUUACCUAACCAUGGUGCAGGAACCGGACGUGGAGCUCGUUUGGAGCUGUUGGAGGAUUCACCAUCAUCAUCGUCGUCUUCUGGUGGGCACGUCGAUCGCCCUAUGUUGCAUGGCAUCGAUUCGCGUGCCCAUGCAUGGUCACCCGACGAGCCCGUCGCGCCGAGCAUCUCCACUGCUCGGUCCGUUUCGCCAGCGGCCGCCGAGUCGCCCGCGGCUCGGCCCGUCACGCCGUCUUCGCCUGCGGCUCGGCCCGUCACGCCGUAUUCGCCCGCGGCUCGGGUCCUCACGUCGCCUUCAUCAGCGGAUCGGCCCGCGACACCGGCCGCGCCACGGCCCACUAUGCCGAGCUCGCCAUCGGCCCGGUCUGUGAUGCCGGAGUCGCCAGCUGCUUCGUCUGCUCUGCCGGUUUCGCCGGUGGGUCGGCCUUCUUCGCCAACCGAGUCCGAGGCUACCGUGACUGGCUCCUCGUCACCGGCUGACUCGUCAACAUCGCCGUCCUCCAGCCCGUUGCAGGCUGCUCCGUCGACCUCGGUGGUUCCUGUGUCCCGACCACAUACACGCAGUCGCAGUGGCAUUUUCAAACCUAAGGAACGUAAGGAUGGUACGGUUGUUUGGUUGGCUGCUUGUUUGGCUGCUGCUGUUGCGGAUCCAUCUUCUGAGCCUCGCUCAUAUCAGGCUGCCCUGCGCAUUCCACAUUGGCGAGAGGCUAUGGAGCAGGAGUUUCAUGCUCUUCUUCGUAACAAGACAUGGACUCUCGUUCCUCCACCACCACGGGUAAAUGUUAUUGACUCAAAAUGGGUAUUCAAAGUGAAGAAGCAUUCGGAUGGAUCUAUUGAGCGUUACAAAGCGCGACUUGUUGCUCGCGGUUUUCGGCAGUGUCAUGGUCUUGACUAUGAGGACACCUUCAGUCCUGUCGUCAAGCCUACCACUAUUCGGCUUCUUCUCUCCAUUGCUGUUUCUCGUGGUUGGUCACUUCGUCAACUUGAUGUGCAGAAUGCUUUUCUAUAUGGAUUUUUGGAGGAAGAGGUUUAUAUGAAACAGCCGCCUGGUUUCUCUGAUCCUGAUCGUCAUGACUAUAUCUGUCGUCUUUCCAAAGCACUAUAUGGUUUGAAGCAAGCUCCUCGUGCCUGGCAUGCCCGCCUUGCCUCUGCCCUUCGUGCUCAUGGGUUUGUGCCGUCUACUGCUGACACUUCGUUAUUUCUUCUACAGAAGUCAGAAGUCACUAUGUAUCUUUUGGUAUAUGUCGAUGAUAUUAUCCUUGUCAGCUCUUCUCAGUAUGCUGCUGAUGCUCUUGUCUGCUCUCUUGGUGCUGAUUUUGCGGUCAAAGAUCUUGGGAAGCUUCACUACUUUCUUGGAGUUGAGGUCACUUCUCGUGCUACUGGUCUUGUCCUUACGCAGAAGAAGUACUCCUUGGAGUUGUUACAGAGAGCUGGCAUGCUGAAGUGCAAACCGACCACCACACCCAUGUCGUCUACCGACAAGAUAACAACUGUUGAUGGUGAGCUUUUGUCUCCUGCGGAUGCCACAGAGUACAUGAGCAUUGUUGGUGGACUUCAGUACUUGACGAUCACGAGACCAGAUAUCUCUUAUGCUGUUAACAGGGUUUGUCAGUAUCUUCAGGCUCCCAGAGAUACUCAUUGGGCUGCUGUUAAACGCAUUCUUCGUUAUGUUCAGUUCACCCUGACAUUUGGUAUGCAUAUUCGGCCGACUUCCUCUCGGGUCCUUUCGGCCUUCUCUGAUGCAGAUUGGGCUGGUAGCCCAGAUGACAGGCGAUCCACGAGGGGUUAUGCAGUAUUCUUUGGCUCUAAUUUGAUCGCCUGGAGUGCUCGGAAACAGGCUACUGUGUCACGUAGCAGUACUGAAGCUGAGUACAAGGCUGUGGCUAAUGCUACUGCAGAGAUUAUUUGGGUGCAGUCUUUGCUUCAGGAGUUGGGUUUGUCUCAACCACAACCUCCUAUUCUUUGGUGUGAUAACAUCGGUGCUACAUACCUUUCUGCAAAUCCAGUAUUUCAUGCCCGAAUGAAACACAUUGAAGUUGACUAUCACUUUGUACGGGAACGUGUAUCACAGAAGCAACUCCAGAUCAAGUUUAUCUCAUCUAAGGAUCAACUUGCAGACAUCUUCACUAAGCCUUUACCGCUGCCACAGUUUGAGGCUUGUAGGCGCAAUCUUACCCUUCUCAGUUCUUUAGAAAGUGGCUAAGAUUGAGGGAGGGUGUUAGACUAUGUAUAGCUUCCGUACCUAUGUACGUAUAUGGUACAUAUUGUAACACAACCAUUAUAUAUAAUGAGAUAAGCCACCCCUAGAGGGUUGUGCUGGUUCCCCAAAACUUAUUGUCUUACAAUUAUGUACACCAAAUAAACCCAGUUACACGUAGUUAAUGACAAAGUUGAUGCUUGCUACGCAGAUGUGUAGUACAAAUCAAGAAGUGCAAGAUAAAAAGAUGCUGGUCCUUGAUUCGUUGUUGAUCCUCAGCAUGCCAUCAUCAACUUGUAGUUAAUUAUCAUACAAAUUGGCUCUUUCAUAGAGUUGGAGGCUAGCUCCUUGGAUCAGCACGCGCUUAAACACAAAGAAGACGUAUAUGUAUUCUCUCCGGAGUUCAACUCUUGAUUGGCCAGCAAAAAUGGUCCGACCGGGUAGAGGAAAGGCAUGUUUGCUAGUACGCCUGGAGGAAAUGCCUUUGAUUAGGGCAUCUCCAACGGCGACCAGUAAAUUUUCUCCCACAUUCGUCCACGGACAGGGGAUCAGUCCGUGGAUACGGAUAUAGGAAUCGACCAUCCAACGCUGUCCACAUAUAAUUCGAACACUUUUUUAAAAAAAUCGGAUGAAAUUCAUGCAAACGCAGUGGAUUCCAUACAAACCGGACAACAACGUUUACAUUUUGGACAUAUUUUUUAACUAAAAACUCUACAGCCGGCGCCGGCGACAACGAAUAUCCACUCCGGCGACAUGGAUACCCUUGACUAGUCUACUGCCGGCCGCAGCGGAUCUCCAAUGUCGUCCCCAUGUCCGGCAGCUGUGAGCCCUAGAGGUAUAUGCUUCAACGCAAAGAGCAGCUCGCCACCCUACCACUCAUCGGAGUGGAACAACCAAUUGAUGCUUCUGCCAGUGGGGAAGGGUUCCUACGCUACACAGGUCAAAGUUGGUUUUGGGUUGGGAACGGUGGUGGCCUGCCAGAGGGCAAGACACCGGUUGUGUACGCUGGUGUCACCUCAAUAUGGCAUUCAUGGGACCCAAGCGACAGCUUCUCCUCGACUAUUGUGGCGAGCGCAGACGUGUUGGACACCACCUCGUCGAUGUCCAUGCAGCCCGCUUCUUUCUCUGUAGUCAGGACGCGGUGACACGCGCUUUGACAUCGGAUGACGCGCUCACAGGCACGGGAGGGGCGGUACAACAUGGCACCAUCAAUGGCAGCAAUGAUGCCCGUGCCACUGUGGUCCCUAUCAGUGUCGACCUGGAGCAACUCGCCACUCCUCGGCUCGUGACCGGCGGGGUUGACGGGCUACCAAGCCAUUGUUUAUGCGAGACAACUCUUUUUCCUGCUCAUCAGAUGCCAUGGAGAAAACUGUUCAAGGAGAAAAAUGAUGAGUGGAGGUGUGAUGCAGUUCUUGCUCGACAUCAGACAUCUAUCUAUUAUAUAAUUAAAACGAUAGAAAACGAACGGUUAAGAUUAAUCGUUCUAAAGUUAAGAAAAAACAACGGUGGAGAUUUACAGCACAUAUGUUUUUUUUUUGAAAAUUAAAGCAUAGAUGUUUGAACCACGCGCAUUACACGUACAUGUACAAGACCAAAACAGACGUACAUGUACCAGACCAAAACAGACGACCCGUCAAACAUAGUACGAUUGACUGAUCUCCGUAAAGAAUACGUCCAAUAAGGAAGGAGGCCUGAUUGAUUUCUAACUGGAACACGCACAACUAACCUGAUGUAUUUCUUAUUAAAACACACAAACAACUUGAUUUCCAGCAAGAAUACAAACGUGUAAGCUGAGAACUGCACACCUCAGCCCGGCGAACACUCCAGGCCGCCGUGGCACGUCCCGGAGAAGAUUGAACGCAUAUAGCAACAACAUAUCUGUACACGGCAAUAUCGGAAGCACAUCGGCGAACACUUGAGGCCGCCGCCACACGUCGAUUGCAGGCAUAACAACAACAAAUCUAGACGCGGCAAUGUCGGAUGCACAUUGGCGAAAAGUCGAACACUCAACGCCACCAGCGCACAUCCCGGAGAUCAAAGGCGCAACAGCAACACAUCUAUACGCGGCAAUGUCAGAGGUACAUCAGUGAAUACUGCAUCGCCACACGUCCUCGAGAUCUUACGCAUGGCAACAACAAAUCUAUACGUGGCAACGUUGGAGGCACGUGGGCCGGUGAAUCGAAGGCGGGAUAGCAACACAUCCAAUGCAAAGCUCAAGAUGCCGGGACUCCCAACAGAUCAAAGUCAUGACAGCGUUAUCAUCAACUUUGUACAAUAUGUCUCCACGUACUACCUAUAUAUAUGUUAUGAAUAAAAAAAUAAUUUCAAAUUUCGUUUGAAGGUAACAACGAUACGAUGUACAGAGCCAAAAGGAGAGAGUAGAGCAAUACGUGCAUCUUUUUUUGUUGUUGAGAGAAGAAUAAACUCACGUGCAUCUAAGCUACCGAUGUCUCAACCCUAGCCUAAAAAAAGUUGCCGAGUGUCUGCAUCUACGGAUUGGACGCUAGACUUUGUAUUAUUCUUUUAUGUUAGCAUACGUUGAUAGAUUGGUGCAAAUAAGUUUGAUGUCAAAAAACUAUAGCAAGCACAUAGCUCAAAACUAAAUGAUUGACCCAACAAAACAAAAUAUUACAUAAAUGUUACUGUCGCUUUAAGCUAGAGAAUCUGCACAUUUGAUCAGGGGUCAAUCGAAGGACAAACGUUUGCGGGUAAUUUCUAUGACGUACCAUAAGAAGAAAUAGCCCCUUUAUACUAGCAAACGGGUCCGUGCGUUGUAAUGGGAGAAAAAAAGAAUCUCCAAUGGCCAUGACCAUAUUUUGCUGCAUCACCGAGAUACCCUAUCACUCUCAAUUUUGUGAAAUCAUGAACAAUUUUUGCAAUCACGAACAUAUUUUUAAACUCUUACACAUAUUUGAAAUCAUAAACAUUUUUCAGAUUCAUGAACACUUAUACAAAUUUUAGAACAUUUCUGAAAUCAAGAACAUUUUCGGAAUUGAUGAACAUUUUAUAGUAUUUGCAAACAUUUUUUAAAAAACUUGAACAUCUUUAUAAACAAUUUUUUUAAUCAACAAACAUUUUUAUGGAAAUUGGUGGAACAAUUUUAGAAAUUCACGAACAUUUUUUGAUUUAACGAACAUUUUUUGAAAUACAUGAUCAGUUUUUGAAUUAGUGAACAUUUUCUGAAUGACUAAACUAUUUUGUAAGGCACCAAUAGUUUUUGAAUUUUAGGAUAUUUUCCCAUUCAUGAACAUUUUUCUGAACUGGUGAUUUGUUUUUCAAUUUCAUUAAUAAUUUUUGAUACACGAAAUUUUUAAAACAUGAUGAACAAUUUUUUAUUUGCCAAAAAAAUGUUUUUAAAAUUUUGAACAUUUAUUUUGUAAAUAAUUGUUUUUUACAAAAUAUCGAAUGUAUUUUGAAUCCACAAACAUUUUAUGAUUUAUGAAAAUUUUAUUUCAAUAUUCUCAUUAUUUAAAUUUUCGAAACUUUCUUAAAUCCCAAAUUAUUUAUAGCAUAAAAAGACGAAAACGGAAAAGAAAAAUGAAAAUAGAAAACCAAAUUCAAAAAACAGGCCAGCCUGAAAAGUGGCCAGCCUAAACGGGCGUGCAGCGUCUUCUCCCAGCCUGCAGAGAGCAUUAUAGGAGGCCCCAACUGCAGGGCCGGCCCAGAUGAGGGAAUUCCCCUGUGUGAAACUUCUUUUUAUCACUUAUAUGUGGCAUUGAACUCGUGAAGCAUGCGCUAUCCCAUCCAGCUGGCCGUGAUGUCUGGCUCGGUCAACUAGACAGACUUUCUUUCGUCCCUGUAAACGUUUUGAUGAUAUAAAAAAUGCUUAGGAGUUUUUCUAAAAAAAAACUUAUAAGUGACAUUGGUGGGUAAUAUUUUGCAACUUUAGAGGUAAUUCCCAUGACAUACCACCAGAAGCGCAAUAGCCCAUUUACUAUUAUUAGGUACUCUUUUUUCCUUGUGGGGCUUUAGAAAUGAGAGAAUUUGAAUAUAGUAACUCUCGGAAACUCUUAUUGGAUGAGAGAGAUUUAAUAUGUUAUUGGCGUGGGUUCUACCAACUAAUAUAAGAAGUAUUUGAUUGGAUAAACAAACAAUUUCCUUUAAUCGACAAACAUUUUUAUGAAAAUUGGUGGAAUAACUUGUGAAAUUCAAAAAUAUUUUUUUUUCAUUUAACAAACAUUUUUAACUUAACGAACAUUUUUGAAAUACAUGAUCAUUUUUUGAAUCCGUGAACGUUUAUGAGUGAGAAAACUAGUUUGUAAGUCAUGAGCAGUUCUUGAAUUUUUAGUAUAUUUUUCCGUUCAUGAACAUUUUUCGAAUUGAUGAAAUUUUGUUCAAUUUCAUUAACAGAAUUUAGUACACAAACCUUUUUAAAAAAUCAUGAACAUUAUUUUUUCCAAAAAAGCAAAAUUUGUUUUUUACAAAAUUGUGAUUUUUUUUUUGAAUCCACAAACAUUUUAUAAUUUAUGAAAAAUUUAUUUCAAAAUACGCAUUUUUUUAAUUUUCGAAAUUUUGUGAAAUCCCAAAUUAUUUAAAGUAGAAAAAACAAAAAGAGAAAAGAGAAAGGAAUAAUAGAAAACAAAGUUAAAAAAAAUAGGCCGACCGAACAUGCGCCGGCCCGAACGGGCGCGCUACAUCUUCUCCCAGCGUGUAGAAACGGAGUAUAGGAGGUCCCUACUACAUGGGCCGGCCCAAGCGGAAGACUUCUCUGCGCGACGCCGCAUUGUGCCACCUGCAUCUGUGGAGGCCCGAACUUGGCAAGACGCCAACCAUGGCAGGAGACUGGGACCAGCCACUCCUGGGCUGAUCCGGCGACUCCCAGGCCCACCCCUGCCACUACGGCGGCACCGCGGGGUAGCCUACAAGCCCAUCCACGAUGAUGCCUGAUUAGAAGGAUACAUGGAUAUCCUCAAAAAAAAAAAAGAAGGAUACAUGGAUAUACAAAAGGAAAGGUCCAUGUUGUCCCUUAAGCAAUCUAUAAUACCUAAAUAGUUCAUCCCCACUAUGUUAUUUCUCUUGACAUGCAGCCUAUCCAACUCAUCACGCCUGCCACAUCAGCAUUCUAUUAGUGUCUUGCGUAGAAGAAACCACUACAACAACCGUGCCACAUAAGCUUUUAGUUACUGGCUAAGGGACCCACCACAACCUGGUCUUACAAGCGUGUGUUUUUGCUGUUACCACUGCAGGAGAGCUGGAACGCUCGCUACCUUCCCCGACUCGCUUUAUUGCCUCCCCUUCACUUUUUGCACUUGGGCUUCUUCCAUUGAUCCAGCCCAAAGAAAAGAAUAGAUAGCCCAUGCCGUUACUCGCUGCUGCGUGAGUCCUCCUCGUUGGCGCCUUAUGCGCUGCUUUUGCAUGCUGGCGCUCACGUCCCAGCUCACUUGGGCCGCCCCAUUUAGCUAGAUCGACUCCCUUCCUUCGAUCGUUUUUCGAUCGCUCGACAAACAGAAACCUCGCUGCUCGCUGGUUCGAUUCAACUGACAGGUUGAUCGUUCAAUUCAGUUGUCCGUUAAACAUUUGAUCAAUUCACAGUUGACCGUAUGGACUUUUCAAAAAGAAUAAAGAAACAUCAUUUUCAAAAAAUAAUUCCUCAAUUUGAAAAAGUUCAUCGAUUUUCAUAAAUAGUUUAUCAAAUUUUGGAAAAAGUUCACAAAAUUUGGAAAAGUUCAUCGAUUUUGAAUAAAAAGUUCAUCAUGUUUCAAAAAAGUUCACUGAUUUAAAAAAUANNNNNNNNNNNNNNNNNNNNNNNNNNNNNNNNNNNNNNNNNNNNNNNNNNNNNNNNNNNNNNNNNNNNNNNNNNNNNNNNNNNNNNNNNNNNNNNNNNNNNNNNNNNNNNNNNNNNNNNNNNNNNNNNNNNNNNNNNNNNNNNNNNNNNNNNNNNNNNNNNNNNNNNNNNNNNNNNNNNNNNNNNNNNNNNNNNNNNNNNNNNNNNNNNNNNNNNNNNNNNNNNNNNNNNNNNNNNNNNNNNNNNNNNNNNNNNNNNNNNNNNNNNNNNNNNNNNNNNNNNNNNNNNNNNNNNNNNNNNNNNNNNNNNNNNNNNNNNNNNNNNNNNNNNNNNNNNNNNNNNNNNNNNNNNNNNNNNNNNNNNNNNNNNNNNNNNNNNNNNNNNNNNNNNNNNNNNNNNNNNNNNNNNNNNNNNNNNNNNNNNNNNNNNNNNNNNNNNNNNNNNNNNNNNNNNNNNNNNNNNNNNNNNNNNNNNNNNNNNNNNNNNNNNNNNNNNNNNNNNNNNNNNNNNNNNNNNNNNNNNNNNNNNNNNNNNNNNNNNNNNNNNNNNNNNNNNNNNNNNNNNNNNNNNNNNNNNNNNNNNNNNNNNNNNNNNNNNNNNNNNNNNNNNNNNNNNNNNNNNNNNNNNNNNNNNNNNNNNNNNNNNNNNNNNNNNNNNNNNNNNNNNNNNNNNNNNNNNNNNNNNNNNNNNNNNNNNNNNNNNNNNNNNNNNNNNNNNNNNNNNNNAGAAUUCAUUUCGACAUGUCCACUUGGUUUUGUUGUGAUGAAUUUACUAACAUCCACACACCGUUGCAGAGAUUAAUCGAUCAAAUUAUUUCCGAGGCAUGGCAGAGGGCUGUCGCAAUUUCAGGGCGUUUGUUCUUCCUGUAGUUUUGCUUUAGUUGAUGUUUAGGUCGUGUUCAGGGCGUUGGCUUUUCUUCCUGUAGCUUUGAUGUUUCAGGUCGUAUUCAUGGUCUGUUUCUUUUUCCUCUCAAUCUGUUGUGUUCUUGUAGGCUUAUUUGGACUGAACUGCUUCAGGUCAUGUAAACGGUAAACCUUCUCUAUUCUAUUUGUAUUUUUUGGUUUGUGAAGCAAGUACCACAACAUGCCAUGAUGGACCAGUCAGCCAAAUUUAACCCCCCUAUACUUCACAUUAGUUGAUGUUCUUUUUAUCUAUGUGGAGAAGGAACUUGAUCAAAAUCGAGGCCAGUUGCAGAUCUGUUUUCUAUGCAGAAAAUAUUUUAUCUAUGGUUGACAGGAUGUUUAUCUUCAUCAUUGACCAUCUCCUUUACCACUUUUACAGACCGUACAUGUCACUAUUUAUCCUAGCAAAUGAUUCAUGGAAUGCAUCAUAAACUCAUAGCAAGAUAUCUUUUGGCGCUGAUAGUAACAUCCGGACAGGAAAAAAAUUGAGUAUGGUGAAAGAUAUGGUAAUCUAUUGUCUAAGAAUGUAGUCUCUUAUGANNNNNNNNNNNNNNNNNNNNNNNNNNNNNNNNNNNNNNNNNNNNNNNNNNNNNNNNNNNNNNNNNNNNNNNNNNNNNNNNNNNNNNNNNNNNNNNNNNNNNNNNNNNNNNNNNNNNNNNNNNNNNNNNNNNNNNNNNNNNNNNNNNNNNNNNNNNNNNNNNNNNNNNNNNNNNNNNNNNNNNNNNNNNNNNNNNNNNNNNNNNNNNNNNNNNNNNNNNNNNNNNNNNNNNNNNNNNNNNNNNNNNNNNNNNNNNNNNNNNNNNNNNNNNNNNNNNNNNNNNNNNNNNNNNNNNNNNNNNNNNNNNNNNNNNNNNNNNNNNNNNNNNNNNNNNNNNNNNNNNNNNNNNNNNNNNNNNNNNNNNNNNNNNNNNNNNNNNNNNNNNNNNNNNNNNNNNNNNNNNNNNNNNNNNNNNNNNNNNNNNNNNNNNNNNNNNNNNNNNNNNNNNNNNNNNNNNNNNNNNNNNNNNNNNNNNNNNNNNNNNNNNNNNNNNNNNNNNNNNNNNNNNNNNNNNNNNNNNNNNNNNNNNNNNNNNNNNNNNNNNNNNNNNNNNNNNNNNNNNNNNNNNNNNNNNNNNNNNNNNNNNNNNNNNNNNNNNNNNNNNNNNNNNNNNNNNNNNNNNNNNNNNNNNNNNNNNNNNNNNNNNNNNNNNNNNNNNNNNNNNNNNNNNNNNNNNNNNNNNNNNNNNNNNNNNNNNNNNNNNNNNNNNNNNNNNNNNNNNNNNNNNNNNNNNNNNNNNNNNNNNNNNNNNNNNNNNNNNNNNNNNNNNNNNNNNNNNNNNNNNNNNNNNNNNNNNNNNNNNNNNNNNNNNNNNNNNNNNNNNNNNNNNNNNNNNNNNNNNNNNNNNNNNNNNNNNNNNNNNNNNNNNNNNNNNNNNNNNNNNNNNNNNNNNNNNNNNNNNNNNNNNNNNNNNNNNNNNNNNNNNNNNNNNNNNNNNNNNNNNNNNNNNNNNNNNNNNNNNNNNNNNNNNNNNNNNNNNNNNNNNNNNNNNNNNNNNNNNNNNNNNNNNNNNNNNNNNNNNNNNNNNNNNNNNNNNNNNNNNNNNNNNNNNNNNNNNNNNNNNNNNNNNNNNNNNNNNNNNNNNNNNNNNNNNNNNNNNNNNNNNNNNNNNNNNNNNNNNNNNNNNNNNNNNNNNNNNNNNNNNNNNNNNNNNNNNNNNNNNNNNNNNNNNNNNNNNNNNNNNNNNNNNNNNNNNNNNNNNNNNNNNNNNNNNNNNNNNNNNNNNNNNNNNNNNNNNNNNNNNNNNNNNNNNNNNNNNNNNNNNNNNNNNNNNNNNNNNNNNNNNNNNNNNNNNNNNNNNNNNNNNNNNNNNNNNNNNNNNNNNNNNNNNNNNNNNNNNNNNNNNNNNNNNNNNNNNNNNNNNNNNNNNNNNNNNNNNNNNNNNNNNNNNNNNNNNNNNNNNNNNNNNNNNNNNNNNNNNNNNNNNNNNNNNNNNNNNNNNNNNNNNNNNNNNNNNNNNNNNNNNNNNNNNNNNNNNNNNNNNNNNNNNNNNNNNNNNNNNNNNNNNNNNNNNNNNNNNNNNNNNNNNNNNNNNNNNNNNNNNNNNNNNNUCUGCAGCUCUGCCACCGCCCCGCACGCCACCGCCGCCCCGCAGCUCCGCCACCGCCCUGCACGCCACCGCCGCCCCGCAGCACCGCCCGGCUCCGUCCGCCACCGCCCCGGCCGCACGCCGCUCCACCGCUCUCUGACGGCGCCGAAGAGGACGCCGAAGGGCAAGUCGGGCUUCUUCGGCAUGAGGCAUAAGCCCUCGGUAACUGGGGUGUGGAGUUCACCGACGCCAGAAGGCGUUGGUGGAUCGGCACGUACCCUCUGCCAACGAGGCCGCGCGUGCCUACGGCGUGGCGGUGUGGUGUGCCGAGAGGCCUCGGUCGCACCUCAACUUUCCAGAGAUCGAGAGUCAGGCGGUAGCGGAGAUGCUUGUGCCAGAGGGCAUCAACAUGAAGGAGAUCACGAAGAAGAAGAAGAAGAAGAAGACGAAGAAGCCGUCGGUUGUUGUCAGUGCUGGCGAGACCGAUGAGGAGGCGAUGGCGAGGUUUGCUCGGGAGCAUCUGGAGUACGUCCAGGCCGAGCUGGAGCACUACUGAAAGCGUGAGGUGGAGUAGAAGAAGAAGGGGCCGAAGAAGGAGGACGAGGCUGGUCCCUCGACGGUGAUCCCCAUCGAGUCGUCUUCCGAGGAGGACUGGGCAGACUACGAGGAGGAGGAGGAGGAGGAGGAGGAGGAGGAGGAGGAGGAGGAGGAGGGGUGCGACGACCCGACGAAGGAGGAGUUCUGGGAGCAGUUCCGUAGCUCAGAUUAGGAGUAGUUUUUUAUGUAGUAGUUUGAAUAAGUAGUAGUGUUGAAGUUGAUGUAUGAAACUAUGUUGAAUUUGUUGUUUGAACUAUGUUGAAUGGACUAGUAGUAUGUCGUUUUACAUCUUCAUUUUGGACCAUCUAUUGGAGUUGCUCUUUUGGACCAUCAAUUUGGACCAUCUGUUGGAGUUGAAUUUUUUUCGGAGCUCCAAAACGCACUUUUUGACGGUCCAAAUUUUACAUCUCCGGUUUUGGACCGCCAAAUUUUGGACCAUCUAUUGGAGAUGCUCUAAGAAAGCUCGCACAAUCGCUUGUGUCAUCCUUAAUCUAUGGCCACUCUAAUUUUUCCGGCCAGGCCUUCCCUAUGGUACCGAGCAAGGCAUGUUUGCUAGUACGCCUGGAGGAAAUGCCUUUGAUUAGGGCAUCUCCAACGGCGACCAGUAAUCCACGGACAGGGGAUCAGUCAGUGGAUACGGAUAUAGGAAUCGGCCAUCCAACGCUGUCCGCAUAUAUUUCGAACACUUUUUAAAAAAAACCGGAGGAAAUUCAUGCAAACACAGUGGAUUCCAUACAAACCGGACAAAAACGUUUACAUUUUGGACAUAUUUUUUAACUAAAAACUCUACAGCCGGCGCCGGCGACGAUGAAUAUCCACUCCGGCGACAUGGAUACCCUUGACUAGUCUACUGCCGGCCGCAGCGGAUCUCCAAUGUCGUCCCCAUGUCCGGCAGCUGUGAGCCCUACAGGUAUAUGCUUCAACGCAAAGAGCAGCUCGCCUCCCUACCACUCAUCGGAGUGGAACAACCAACUGAUGCUUCUGCCAGUGGGGACGUGUUCCUACGCUACACAGGUCAGAGUUGGUUUUGGGUUGGGAACGACGGUGGCCUGCUAGAGGGCAAGACACCGGCUGUGUACGCUGGUGUCACCUCGGUAUGGCAUUCAUGAGACCCAAGCGACAGCUUCUCCUCGACGAUGGUGGUGAGCGCAGACGUGUUGGACACCACCUCAUCGAUGUCCAUGUAGCCCGCUUCUUUCUCUAUAGGAAGGACGCGGUGACGCGCGUUUUGACAUCGGAUGACGCGCUCACAUGCACGGGAGGGGCGGUACGACAUGGCACCAUCAAUGGCAGCCAUGAUGCCCGUGCCACCGUGCUCCCUCUCAGUGCUGACCUGGAGUAACUCGCCACUCCUCAGCUCAUGACCCGCGGGCUUGACGGGCCACCUAGCCAUUGUUUAUGUCAGACAACUCUUUUUCCUGCUCAUUAGAUGCCAUGGAGAAAACGGUUCAAGGAGAAAAAUGGUGAGUGGAGGUGUGAUGCGGUUCUUGCUCGACAUCUGACAUUGUUUAAAUAGCGAGGGGACACGAGGAGUCAACCGGCGUUCUGUUUAAUGCCAGCCGGCUCACGAACGGACAUGUGGCUGGAGUAAUUAUCCUGGCACACGCGCGGGUUUAAUGGUGGAAGGCGGGCAGUCUGGAGGAAUGAGGCAGGAUGUGUGUUUAGCCGGCGUGCAGCGGAGCGGUACCCUUGGCGUGCGUGGGGCAGUACCCGGAGGCAUGAAUGCGGGCAGCUGGCGCAGAGCGGGAACACAUGCGUGCGAGAGAGGAGGGGGUUUGGGUGGGCACGGGUGGUCAGAAGUGCGCGGUCGUGGGUGUUGUCCGGACGCGUGCAAAGCCCCCCUCCUCCAUGUGUUGUCUCCUUGCGGGAGAAAGUACGUCCGGACUGCCCCGUGGACCGAUACAAGCCCGCAUUAUUUGGCACAACACGUCCGGACCAUGUGGUCCGGAUGGUUGUGGACGGUUUAAUUGAGGGUCGGUGUUGGAGAUGAUUUAGAGUUUAUGAAUCCAUUGUGUUUUUCUAAUCAUAAAAGAGCACUUAUAAUAAGUUAUAAGGAAAGACACGUAUAUAUGUUAGGUUCAGACUCCAGCUUUCCUCUUAUAUAUGUUUUUUUUCUGAUCCGACUGAUUCCAAUAGAGAGCCUAGCGUUGUUUUUCUAGAAACUCGAGGGAUAAGGAGACAUGCAUACACGUUCUUCCAAGCAAAUCACAUCCAUUCUUUUUAACUCAUUUUUUCUUGUUUUAAUAAUAUAAUAAAUCAUUUGUAUUUUUUAUCUCGAACAGUUGAAGUGUAAUUCCUAUUGUAAUCUAAGGAUAAUGUUUGGAUUUUACUUUCAAAUAUUUGAAAUGGCCAUGAUGGAAUCACAUCCAUUUAUUUUAUUAUUAUUUGAAUUUGAUCCAAAAGAUAAAUAAUGAGUAGACGUCCUGAAAACUUUUCUGAGAACUUUGCUAAUCAAAAGACAAAAAAGGUUUUAAGAACUGAAGCAAACCACGAAUUUUACUCUCUAUUUUACUAAAGCAAGUGGCUGCUAUUUAGGUCUAGUAAGUACCAAAUUGACCAACAACCUUUUUUCCAAAUUGGAAGGAAUGCAGUUCUCAGCUCUCACCAUGGUGAUUAUAUAAUCUGGAUUUUCGAGCUGUAGCUAGUCAACUUAUGUUAGUGGCAUAUGUACCCUAGUGUUGGUCACUGGGAAUGGACGAAGCCAUGAGUGAAGGAACAGGAAAUGACAGAAGUACGAUUUGUAGAAUUUCAAAACUCAAACUAUCUAGUUUUAUGGAGUGAUAUGAAAUAAGCAAAACCAACUGCUAAUAAAAAUGUAAAAUUAAACGAUAUAUUUAGAAAUGUGAUUGUGAAGUCAUUGUCACAAAAUAUGACCUCACUAAAAAUGAACAUUCAACCUUAUUUUCAGAAGUUUGCAUACAAAUUCCAUGUAAAUUAUGGUAGUGCCCAUAAACAAAUAAACCAUAAUCGUGCUUGAUCUACCAUGAAACUUACUACCUUGUCUAUACUCUUGAAAGGACAAAAAAUGCUGAUGCAAUGCCACCUCGCUAGAUAUAUACUUUUGUCAUGUCCAGAGAUUUCCUGCACCAUGAACAAAAAUGCCACCGCAAUAAUAGUCGUUCUUUUGCGACAAAAAAAUACUGAAUUUGGACAGCAAUGCCUGCACAACUACUAUCUGUACACCAUGCAUGCACCCAUGUAUAUCAGUAAUACAUAUUAUAAGCUUGUGAACAUUGGUUUCAAAGUAGUGAUACCAAUAGUACGUCAUCCAGUGAUGGCCAGUCGCAGUACCUAGAUGCCACUUCGGUGCCUGGUUUCAAAGUCGCAAGUUCAUGGCAGGGAAAGCAAUCAUGUGUCUAGAGUAGAGACUUAAAAAAAGACCCAUGCCAUGUAGAUGGAUCAGAUAAUUAUGCCAAUCUUGAUUUUUCAGUGCAAAUCCAGUUCUGAAACUUCCACCUGAUCAGUUGCUCCCAAAAUGGGCUAUACAGUUAACCAAAAUGAAUUUUGCUCCUAACACCAUAGUUUGUUUCCAACGAUCACUAGAGCGAGCUUCACCAGAGUGAUGUGGGUUUGAUUAAGUACCUGAGCUGGUGUUGUACAUGCAUAUAUGUUAUGUUCACCGCUCCUACCGGAUGCCCGCCGCCGAACUCACCAUCCGUUCUACACAAGCAACAAAACCGAUUGGAUUAGCUAUUUCGGUUGUUACUUGUAUAGUCUGGUGGAAUGAUCAGUUCCAGUAUUACGCCAUGGCGGCAUCUUUUAUAUGCAAUAUACUGUGAACUGAAUUUUCUGUUAGUGAAGUUGACAGAACAGAGUACUACAGGGUAGAGGGGUAGAGCAUGCAAGUGGUGAUUGUUGUGUGGUUUGUGCGUUAGUUAUGUGUGAACCGGGCGUCGAGGUAGCGUUGGCUGGUCAUCUGCAGCUCAUAGGCGCACGAGCACAGCGGUGGCACGCCCACCACCGCCUCCAUUGCCCGCAAGGACGCCACCUAGCCGCCGCCGUAUUUGGAGAAGAAGCAACAAGCAGUGUGGCCGCUGCCAUGGCCGACGCCAGACCUGGUCGAUCUCCCACUUCUGUAUUCGAGAAAAAAAGAUCUCCCUCUUCUCUUGUGAUGAGAUGGGGAAGAGAUGGUGAGAUAUGAGGUCGAUGGCUUUGGGGAGAGGAUACGGGUGGACGCCGGCAGUGAGGCAGCGUGAGGAAGACGAGGUGGUUGGCGGUGGCGACGCGUGAGGGGAGGGGAAGGGAGGGGUAGCGGUGCAUGGAGGGGAGUGGGUGUGCGGCGUGCCUAGUUCACGAGAGAGGAGAGAGGUCGUCAAGGGAGCGAUCCAUGGGAGUUUUUUUUCCUUCUGAGCGAGCCUAGUUAGGCUCUCUGCAGCGUCUAGGCCCAAUGCACCACAUGUCUUCAAAUUGGCCACCAGUAGCAGCCCAUAGAACAGACAGGGCCAGUUUGCAAAUUUUAAAACAUAAGUUUUUUAGCGCCCAAGAAAAACAGAACACAUAUCUUUCCAAACAUAAUGAACUAUAGGUACCACAAAAAAAACCAUAAUGAAUUAUAGGUUGUUACAAGAACUCAUGCCAUCCAGCUGCCUCCCGCCGACCCUGCCAACAUUGUUGUAGCUGCACUCGCAAGCGUUACCAUAGGUGAUCAUUUGCAUGAUUUCGNNNNNNNNNNNNNNNNNNNNNNNNNNNNNNNNNNNNNNNNNNNNNNNNNNNNNNNNNNNNNNNNNNNNNNNNNNNNNNNNNNNNNNNNNNNNNNNNNNNNNNNNNNNNNNNNNNNNNNNNNNNNNNNNNNNNNNNNNNNNNNNNNNNNNNNNNNNNNNNNNNNNNNNNNNNNNNNNNNNNNNNNNNNNNNNNNNNNNNNNNNNNNNNNNNNNNNNNNNNNNNNNNNNNNNNNNNNNNNNNNNNNNNNNNNNNNNNNNNNNNNNNNNNNNNNNNNNNNNNNNNNNNNNNNNNNNNNNNNNNNNNNNNNNNNNNNNNNNNNNNNNNNNNNNNNNNNNNNNNNNNNNNNNNNNNNNNNNNNNNNNNNNNNNNNNNNNNNNNNNNNNNNNNNNNNNNNNNNNNNNNNNNNNNNNNNNNNNNNNNNNNNNNNNNNNNNNNNNNNNNNNNNNNNNNNNNNNNNNNNNNNNNNNNNNNNNNNNNNNNNNNNNNNNNNNNNNNNNNNNNNNNNNNNNNNNNNNNNNNNNNNNNNNNNNNNNNNNNNNNNNNNNNNNNNNNNNNNNNNNNNNNNNNNNNNNNNNNNNNNNNNNNNNNNNNNNNNNNNNNNNNNNNNNNNNNNNNNNNNNNNNNNNNNNNNNNNNNNNNNNNNNNNNNNNNNNNNNNNNNNNNNNNNNNNNNNNNNNNNNNNNNNNNNNNNNNNNNNNNNNNNNNNNNNNNNNNNNNNNNNNNNNNNNNNNNNNNNNNNNNNNNNNNNNNNNNNNNNNNNNNNNNNNNNNNNNNNNNNNNNNNNNNNNNNNNNNNNNNNNNNNNNNNNNNNNNNNNNNNNNNNNNNNNNNNNNNNNNNNNNNNNNNNNNNNNNNNNNNNNNNNNNNNNNNNNNNNNNNNNNNNNNNNNNNNNNNNNNNNNNNNNNNNNNNNNNNNNNNNNNNNNNNNNNNNNNNNNNNNNNNNNNNNNNNNNNNNNNNNNNNNNNNNNNNNNNNNNNNNNNNNNNNNNNNNNNNNNNNNNNNNNNNNNNNNNNNNNNNNNNNNNNNNNNNNNNNNNNNNNNNNNNNNNNNNNNNNNNNNNNNNNNNNNNNNNNNNNNNNNNNNNNNNNNNNNNNNNNNNNNNNNNNNNNNNNNNNNNNNNNNNNNNNNNNNNNNNNNNNNNNNNNNNNNNNNNNNNNNNNNNNNNNNNNNNNNNNNNNNNNNNNNNNNNNNNNNNNNNNNNNNNNNNNNNNNNNNNNNNNNNNNNNNNNNNNNNNNNNNNNNNNNNNNNNNNNNNNNNNNNNNNNNNNNNNNNNNNNNNNNNNNNNNNNNNNNNNNNNNNNNNNNNNNNNNNNNNNNNNNNNNNNNNNNNNNNNNNNNNNNNNNNNNNNNNNNNNNNNNNNNNNNNNNNNNNNNNNNNNNNNNNNNNNNNNNNNNNNNNNNNNNNNNNNNNNNNNNNNNNNNNNNNNNNNNNNNNNNNNNNNNNNNNNNNNNNNNNNNNNNNNNNNNNNNNNNNNNNNNNNNNNNNCCAUGCAGGGAUGUCGUCUUGCAACAACCCAACAUAGCACAUGCAAGCUCACAAGUAUUGCAACAAAGUUACCAACUGUUGCAACAAUUAUGUUGUCAGCAACUGUGGCAGACCCCCGAGCAGUCACGGUGCCAAGCCAUCCACAAUGUCAUUCAUGCUAUUAUUUUGCAUCAACAACAACAACAACAACAACAACAACAACAACAACAACAACAACAACAACAACAACAACAACAACAACCGUCGAGCCAGGUCUCCUACCAGCAGCCUCAGCAACAAUAUCCAUCAGGCCAGGGCUCCUUCCAGCCAUCUCAGCAAAACCCACAGGCCCAGGGCUUUGUCCAACCUCAGCAACUGCCGCAGUUCGAGGAAAUAAGGAACCUAGCGCUACAGACGCUACCAGCAAUGUGCAAUGUCUACAUCCCUUCAUAUUGCUCGACCACCAUUGCGCCAUUUGGCAUCAUGAGUACUAACUGAGAAGAGAAGAACUCUAUUACUAGAUAUAUGAAACACCGUUUUCUUAAAACAUGGUUUGGUCGUUGUAGCGGUGAAAAAUAAAGUGACAUGCACUAUCAUGUAAGAACCCGAACUAGACUAUUUCAAACUUGGAAAUAAAAGACAAACACAGGUCUUGUCUACAUAUGAUUGUUUGUUUGAGUUCCAUUCAUGUACCCGUUCACAAGUUCACCCCUAAUUAUAUAUAUUAAGCAUUAGUUAGAUGUUUAUGUGCAUUAAUCUAAGGAUAACAAAAUGAAUCUGAAACUUGAAUUUAAUUAAAGUAUUUUCUUGGACUUUCAAAUUGAGCAUUGAUAGUGAGGACUAUCCACAUCCUUGGCUUGCCCUUGAUCAAUUAUUUCCAAAGAAGCAUUCAAUUCAUCAGUCACUUACAUUGAUUUUUGUGGCUUGUACUUCUCCUCAACAUGAGUAUCUUCAUUGCAGCUACUCCAAAUCUGCCACAUAACUGAAGCAUUAAUAGUGCUCUUCCUUGCAUCAAGGAAAUAUGGAUCGAAGAUAUCUCUUGACCAUGUUUUCGGGUGCAACCUUGGGAGUUUUAUGUCAAAAUAUUCUCAAGAAGAAUCCAAGAAUAAACUUGCAUGCUCACGUGUGAAAAGGGCAUAUGAAGUAACAUUUCCUCACCAAGGCCACACAUAGGGCACACACAUAACCCCAUCACAUGCCUUUUUAGUUAUGCAUAUGAAGGUAGGAUAUUUUUCAUUACUCUGCACCAAAAUACUCUUAACUUGGAUUGUACCCUAAGCUUUCGUUGCCUUUUACAUUUUUCUUCCCCAUUAGAUGAACUAGAUAGUCCAGCUACCACACGAUACCUUGUGUUCAUCUCGGCUCUGUACAACAAUUGAACAGAAGAAAUGUCAUUUCUUUACCAUACCCAUGACCAAAUGUUCUCUGCUACUCCCUCCGUCCCAAAAUACUGCCAUCCAUGUCGACAACAAUGAGUCAUAUAGGACCGCUAUGCCUCUGUUGAAGGAGGUGGUGGAGCGAUCCGGAGAUUAUUCUGCCAUCCAUGUUGAGUAAAACCUCACUGGCCACUUGCUCCAACCGCAUACACACCGCCAUAAACAACGGUUGGUACUCAGUUCGGUGUAGCAUACACCAUGUAGGAAGCGAGUGCUUACUCCUAGUUACUGAAUUAUUGUUAGACUAUGUAUAGCUUCUGUACCUAUGUACGUAUAUGGUACAUAUUGUAACACAACCAUUAUAUAUAAUGAGAUAAGCCACCCCUAGAGGGUUGUGCUGGUUCCCCAAAACUUAUUGUCUUACAUGGUAUCACGCUAGGUUACGAUCGCUUCCGCUUCUAAACCCUAAUACCCGCACCGCCGCCGCAGCCGCCGCCGCCUUCACCGCCGCCGCCGCGCCACCGAUCGCGCCGCCGCCAUGUCGAGCGCCGCCAUCACCGGUUCCACUGCUGCGGGCUUCCUCCCGGCCUCUCUUGCGGCUCUGCUCAACCUCCCGCUCGAUGCCGUCUCUGUUCCGGCUCCGAUCGGGACAAGGAGCAUCAGCUCCGUCUUCUCCACGCCGCCGGCGCCCUCGCUUGGGCAUGACCUCGUGGUCCACACCGCGGCGCCGCCGUCCGCUGCGGACUCCGCAGGCGUCGUCCCGCCGCUCCUGCCGCAAGCGGAUCACACUGCCCCACUGGCGGGGUUGGCGGCGUCCGCCCCGGCCGCGGGCCUUGCGGCGUCCGCACCGGCCGCGAGCUUUGCGGCGCCCGUCCUGGCUGCGGUCCCGCCUCCUCCCGCAUCGGCUUCGGUGCCUCCGGCUGCCUCCAUGGUGUUUGCACCCCAGGCAGCCUCCUCGAUGGGAUUGUCUUCGCCGCUGCCGUUUCACUUCGGUCAUCUCAUCACCAUCAAGCUCUCCGCCGACAACUACAUCUUCUGGCGUGCGCAGGUUCUCCCGCUCUUGGGGAGUCACUACCUGCUAGGCUACGUCGACGGAUCGCUUCCCUGCCCACCCGCGCUGGUAGACAGCGUGCACGGUCCGGUCUACAAUCCGGCCCAUCGCGUCUGGACGGGGCAGGACCAGGCGAACCUCUCCUCCAUCCAGGGGUCGCUCUCGCCGGCAGUUGCCGGCCUUGUUGUCUUCGCGAAGACGUCUCAUGAGGCCUGGACCAUCCUUGAGCGCACCUUUGCAGCGCAGUCCCAGGCUCGUGUCUCUGCACUCCGUCGUCAGCUUGGAGAGUGUCAGAAGCUUGACUCCACUGCCACUGAGUUCUACAACAAGGUCAAGGGCCUCGCCGACACAUUGGCCUCCAUUGGACAGCCCCUCACCGACUCCGAGUUCAACUCAUUUAUUGUCAAUGGUCUUGAUGAGGAGUAUGAUGCCUUAGUCGAGAUCAUCAACGAGCGGGGCAACUCGACACCCAUGCUGGCACACGAGGUUUUCUCUCGGCUCCUUCUCACUGAGCAACGGGUCGAGACUCGCCGCACCAGGGGCACUGGCUCCCUCUCGGCCAACGCCGCCACCAAGGGUGGCCGCUCUUCUUCAUCACCCCGGUCUCCCUUGGGGCUGCCACCGUCGCCCGCCUCGGCCCCCCCACCUACUGCGACCUUACCGGGGGCUGGCGGUCCACGUGUGUGUUAGCUUUGUGGCCGCGAUGGGCACUGGGCCUCCAAGUGUCAUAAGCGCUUCCAGCGAAGCUUCCUUGGUCUUGGCAAUGACGGCAAAGAUACACGCAACAAUGCCCGUCAGGUCGCCAUGGCUGAUCGUCCCGCGCCGCAGAAGCAACAGGGACACACUCAGUCCUACUCCAUCGAUCCACACUGGUACAUGGACUCUGGGGCGACAGAGCAUCUAACUAGCGAGAUGGGGAAGCUUCACACUCGUGAACCCUAUCAUGGCUCCGACAAGAUCCACACCGCCAAUGGAGCAGGUAUGCACAUCUCUCAUAUUGGUCAAGCAUCUCUUCUCACUAGACAUGCCAAUAGGAGUCUUCAGCUUCGCAAUGUUCUUCGAGUUCCAUCUGUGACCCGUAAUCUUCUUUCAGUUCCUAAACUCACACGUGAUAAUAAUGUGCUUUGUGAAUUUCACCCUUUUGAUCUUUUUAUUAAGGAUCGGGGCACGAGGGACAUUCUUCUUAGUGGGCGGUUGUGCCAGGGCCUCUACCGUCUGUAGCAUCCUGGUGUCGCUCGUGUUUUCAGUGGAGUUUGGGUCUCUCCGUCACAGUGGCAUGCUCGUCUUGGUCACCCGGCCACACCUAUUGUCCGUCAUAUUUUGCGUCAUCAUGAGCUUCCUAGUUUGUCUAGUCAUAAAGAUGUAGCAGUGUGUGAUGCUUGUCAGCAGGGGAAGAGUCAUCAACUUCCUUUUUUGGAGUCCAGUCGUGAGGUGAAACAUCCUUUAGAACUUGUGUUUUCAGAUGUAUGGGGUCCUGCUCAGACUUCUGUCAGUGGUCAUAAUUACUAUAUCAGUUUCGUUGAUGCUUAUAGUCGCUUUACCUGGCUUUACCUUAUUAAACGCAAAUCUGAUGUGUUUGAUAUUUUUGUUCAGUUUCAAAAACAUGUUGAACGUCUUCUCAAGCACAAAAUUGUUCAUGUCCAGUCAGACUGGGGGGGGCGAGUAUCGCAACCUCAACUCUUUCUUUCAGUCGCUUGGGAUAGCUCAUCGUUUAGCAUGUCCACAUACACAUCAGCAGAAUGGUUCAGUCGAACGUAAGCAUCGUCAUAUUGUUGAAGCUGGUCUUACUCUUUUGGCCCAUGCAUCUGUUCCGUUUCGGUUUUGGAGUGAUGCUUUCAUCACUGCAUGCUUUCUCAUCAACCGUACUCCUACUCGUGUUUUAAACAUGAAGACUCCCAUUGAGGUUCUCCUUAAUGAACAACCUGAUUAUACCUUUCUCAAGGUAUUUGGGUGUGCUUGCUGGCCGCAUCUUCGUCCAUAUAACAAGCGCAAGCUUGAGUUUCAUUCUAAGAAGUGUGUUUUUCUUGGCUAUAGCUCUCUUCAUAAAGGUUACAAAUGUCUUCAUGUUCCCACUAAUCGUGUCUAUAUAUCUCGGGACGUCGUGUUUGAUGAGCAUGUUUUUCCCUUUGCCAACCUUCCUGUGUCCACUGUCGAACCACCAUCCCUGCAUUCAUCCUCUGUUGCUUCUGACCAAUUUGAUGAUGUUGCAUACUCUCCUUUGCUGUUACCUAACCAUGGUGCAGGAACCGGACGUGGAGCUCGUUUGGAGCUGUUGGAGGAUUCACCAUCAUCAUCGUCGUCUUCUGGUGGGCACGUCGAUCGCCCUAUGUUGCAUGGCAUCGAUUCACGUGCCCAUGCAUGGUCACCCGACGAGCCCGUCGCGCCGAGCAUCUCCACUGCUCGGUCCGUUUCGCAAGCGGCCGCCGAGUCGCCCGCGGCUCGGCCCGUCACGCCGUCUUCGCCUGCGGCUCGGCCCGUCACGCCGUCUUCGCCCGCGGCUCGGGUCCUCACGUCGCCUUCAUCAGCGGAUCGGCCCGCGACACCGGCCGCGCCACGGCCCACUAUGCCGAGCUCGCCAUCGGCCCGGUCUGUGAUGCCGGAGUCGCCAGCUGCUUCGUCUGCUCUGCCGGUUUCGCCGGUGGGUCGGCCUUCUUCGCCAACCGAGUCCGAGGCUACCGUGACUGGCUCCUCGUCACCGGCUGACUCGUCAACGUCGCCGUCCUCCAGCCCGUUGCAGGCUGCUCCGUCGACCUCGGUGGUUCCUGUGUCCCGACCACAUACACGCAGUCGCAGUGGCAUUUUCAAACCUAAGGAACGUAAGGAUGGUACGGUUGUUUGGUUGGCUGCUUGUUUGGCUGCUGCUGUUGCGGAUCCAUCUUCUGAGCCUCGCUCAUAUCAGGCUGCCCUGCGCAUUCCACAUUGGCGAGAGGCUAUGGAGCAGGAGUUUCAUGCUCUUCUUCGUAACAAGACAUGGACUCUCGUUCCUCCACCACCACGGGUAAAUGUUAUUGACUCAAAAUGGGUAUUCAAAGUGAAGAAGCAUUCGGAUGGAUCUAUUGAGCGUUACAAAGCGCGACUUGUUGCUCGCGGUUUUCGGCAGCGUCAUGGUCUUGACUAUGAGGACACCUUCAGUCCUGUCGUCAAGCCUACCACUAUUCGGCUUCUUCUCUCCAUUGCUGUUUCUCGUGGUUGGUCACUUCGUCAACUUGACGUGCAGAAUGCUUUUCUACAUGGAUUUUUGGAGGAAGAGGUUUAUAUGAAACAGCCGCCUGGUUUCUCUGAUCCUGAUCGUCAUGACUAUAUCUGUCGUCUUUCCAAAGCACAACUAACCUGAUGUAUUUCUUAUUAAAACACACAAACAACUUGAUUUCCAGCAAGAAUACAAACGUGUAAGCUGAGAACUGCACACCUCAGCCCGGCGAACACUCCAGGCCGCCGUGGCACGUCCCGGAGAAGAUUGAACGCAUAUAGCAACAACAUAUCUGUACACGGCAAUAUCGGAAGCACAUCGGCGAACACUUGAGGCCGCCGCCACACGUCGAUUGCAGGCAUAACAACAACAAAUCUAGACGCGGCAAUGUCGGAUGCACAUUGGCGAAAAGUCGAACACUCAACGCCACCAGCGCACAUCCCGGAGAUCAAAGGCGCAACAGCAACACAUCUAUACGCGGCAAUGUCGGAGGUACAUCAGUGAAUACUGCAUCGCCACACGUCCUCGAGAUCUUACGCAUGGCAACAACAAAUCUAUACGUGGCAACGUUGGAGGCACGUGGGCCGGUGAAUCGAAGGCGGGAUAGCAACACAUCCAAUGCAAAGCUCAAGAUGCCGGGACUCCCAACAGAUCAAAGUCAUGACAGCGUUAUCAUCAACUUUGUACAAUAUGUCUCCACGUACUACCUACAUAUAUGUAAUGAAUAAAAAAUAAUUUCAAAUUUCGUUUGAGGGUAACAACAAUACGAUGUACAGAGCCAAAAGGAGAGAGUAGAGCAAUACGUGCAUCUUUUUUUUUUUGUUGAGAGAAGAAUAAACUCACGUGCAUCUAAGCUACCGAUGUCUCAACCCUAGCCUAAAAAAAUUGCCAAGUGUCUGCAUCUACGGAUUGGACGCUAGACUUUGUAUUAUUCUUUUAUGUUAGCAUACGUUGAUAGAUUGGUGCAAAUAAGUUUGAUGUCAAAAAACUAUAGCAAGCACAUAGCUCAAAACUAAAUGAUUGACCCAACAAAACAAAAUAUUACAUAAAUGUUACUGUCGCUUUAAGCUAGAGAAUCUGCACAUUUGAUCAGGGGUCAAUCGAAGGACAAACGUUUGCGGGUAAUUUCUAUGACGUACCAUAAGAAGAAAUAGCCCCUUUAUACUAGCAAACGGGUCCGUGCGUUGUAAUGGGAGAAAAAAAAGAAUCUCCAAUGGCCAUGACCAUAUUUUGCUGCAUCACCGAGAUACCCUAUCACUCUCAAUUUUGUGAAAUCAUGAACAAUUUUUGCAAUCACGAACAUAUUUUUAAACUCUUACACAUAUUUGAAAUCAUAAACAUUUUUCAGAUUCAUGAACACUUAUACAAAUUUUAGAACAUUUCUGAAAUCAAGAACAUUUUCGGAAUUGAUGAACAUUUUAUAGUAUUUGCAAACAUUUUUUAAAAAACUUGAACAUCUUUAUAAACAAUUUUUUUAAUCAACAAACAUUUUUAUGGAAAUUGGUGGAACAAUUUUAGAAAUUCACGAACAUUUUUUGAUUUAACGAACAUUUUUUGAAAUACAUGAUCAGUUUUUGAAUUAGUGAACAUUUUCUGAAUGACUAAACUAUUUUGUAAGGCACCAAUAGUUUUUGAAUUUUAGGAUAUUUUCCCAUUCAUGAACAUUUUUCUGAACUGGUGAUUUGUUUUUCAAUUUCAUUAAUAAUUUUUGAUACACGAAANNNNNNNNNNNNNNNNNNNNNNNNNNNNNNNNNNNNNNNNNNNNNNNNNNNNNNNNNNNNNNNNNNNNNNNNNNNNNNNNNNNNNNNNNNNNNNNNNNNNUGCAGCCCGCUUCUUUCUCUGUAGUCAGGACGCGGUGACACGCGCUUUGACAUCGGAUGACGCGCUCACAGGCACGGGAGGGGCGGUACAACAUGGCACCAUCAAUGGCAGCCAUGAUGCCCGUGCCACUGUGGUCCCUCUCAGUGUCGACCUGGAGCAACUCGCCACUCCUCGGCUCGUGACCGGCGGGGUUGACGGGCCACCUAGCUAUUGUUUAUGCGAGACAACUCUUUUUCCUGCUCAUCAGAUGCCAUGGAGAAAACUGUUCAAGGAGAAAAAUGGUGAGUGGAGGUGUGAUGCAGUUCUUGCUCGACAUCUGACAUCUAUCUAUUAUAUAAUUAAAACGAUAGAAAACGAACGGUUAAGAUUAAUUGUUCUAAAGUUAAGAAAAAACAACGGUGGAGAUUUACAGCAUAUAUGUUUUUUUUUUUUGAAAAUUACAGCAUAGAUGUUUGAACCACGUGCAUUACACGUACAUGUACAAGACCAAAACAGACGUACAUGUACCAGACCAAAACAGACGACCCGUCAAACAUAGUACGAUUGACUGAUCUCCGUAAAGAAUACGUCCAAUAAGGAAGGAGUCCUGAUUGAUUUCUAACUGGAACACGCACAACUAACCUGAUGUAUUUCUUAUUAAAACACACAAACAACUUGAUUUCCAGCAAGAAUACAAACGUGUAAGCUGAGAACUGCACACCUCAGCCCGGCGAACACUCCAGGCCGCCGUGGCACGUCCCGGAGAAGACUGAACGCAUAUAGCAACAACAUAUCUGUACACGGCAAUAUCGGAAGCACAUCGGCGAACACUUGAGGCCGCCGCCACACGUCGAUUGCAGGCAUAACAACAACAAAUCUAGACGCGGCAAUGUCGGAUGCACAUUGGCGAAAAGUCGAACACUCAACGCCACCAGCGCACAUCCCGGAGAUCAAAGGCGCAACAGCAACACAUCUAUACGCGGCAAUGUCGGAGGUACAUCAGUGAAUACUGCAUCGCCACACGUCCUCGAGAUCUUACGCAUGGCAACAACAAAUCUAUACGCGGCAACGUUGGAGGCACGUGGGCCGGUGAAUCGAAGGCGGGAUAGCAACACAUCCAAUGCAAAGCUCAAGAUGCCGGGACUCCCAACAGACCAAAGUCAUGACAGCGUUAUCAUCAACUUUGUACAAUAUGUCUCCAGGUACUACCUACAUAUAUGUUAUGAAUAAAAAAAUAAUUUCAAAUUUCGUUUGAAGGUAACAACGAUACGAUGUACAGAGCCAAAAGGAGAGAGUAGAGCAAUACGUGCAUCUUUUUUUUUUGUUGAGAGAAGAAUAAACUCACGUGCAUCUAAGCUACCGAUGUCUCAACCCUAGCCUAAAAAAAGUUGCCGAGUGUCUGCAUCUACGGAUUGGACGCUAGACUUUGUAUUAUUCUUUUAUGUUAGCAUACGUUGAUAGAUUGGUGCAAAUAAGUUUGAUGUCAAAAAACUAUAGCAAGCACAUAGCUCAAAACUAAAUGAUUGACCCAACAAAACAAAAUAUUACAUAAAUGUUACUGUCGCUUUAAGCUAGAGAAUCUGCACAUUUGAUCAGGGGUCAAUCGAAGGACAAACGUUAUUAGUCAGGUUGCUCACAAAAAUAAAAACAUAUUUUUCAUUAUGUGAAUAAAGAAUAAAACUAAAUUUAUAUCUGCAGUUCAAAAAUAUGAGUAAAAAUAAAUAGAAAAUUAUUUUUAUCAUAUUAGAUUCAGAAAUGGGAUUUACAUAUAAAUUAUACUGAACAUGAAAUACAAUAAUAAAAUUUAAAAAAUCAAAUUACCGUCAGAUUAAAAUGAAACUUGAUGCAAAUGAAUGGACAAAAAAAGUCACUCUUGGGUCAAUUUUCACAGCUAUUUUAUGAGUAUCUUUGCUUACAUGAAUCUCGAUGAGAGAAUCAGAUAGUUCUGAUCGAUCGUUGAAUGCUAAUUUCACAGUUGUCCGAGAAAUAGCAAUACCAAAAUGUUUAUUACUAACUAUAUAUAAAUAACAUUUUGUCAAAGACGAACGUACCAAUCAUAUUACCCACAUACGAGUAGGAAAUUCCCACCAAAGUUUGAUCAUGUUUCCUCGAGAUGCAUACGUUACCUAUAAUAUUUUUUGUAAAUUAAACUAUAUAUCAACGACAAUGUCAGAAAAAUAAACUAAGUAAUAUCUGUUUCCCUACAUUGGAAAAUAUUGGUAUAGAAUAUAAUAAUAUAUAUAAUUGAACAUGUGGGUGAAGGAAAGAAAAAAGGUUAAGCAAGAAGGUUAGGAGCAAAUUUAUUGCAAGUGCGCGAAUAACCAUUUUAGCUAUUCUAAAAAUCACAUUUCAAUUCAAAAGAACAUAUUCAUCAUCAGAAAAAAAGCUACUCUGUGCUCGAGUGAGAGAAAAUCUAGCAAUUUCCACACCAUUAAAAAAUAGGUUGUCUUAGACUGGACAGCAGCGAAAUAGUAAGGAACAUAGUUUCAUUUUGUUGGCAAUGACUUCUAGAGUAAUAUGAGUGGAAGGACAAAUGCAUAGGGAUGAGAUGGAAAGGGAUUGGGAAAGCUGGCAACCAACAGCUACAAAUCGUGAGACUCCUAGAAAAUUUCAAUGGGACACCAAGUUUAAUAAUUUUUUCUAAAUAUAACUUCUCUAUGUAAAUACUCAUGUAGCAGCUAACCAAAAUCAUCAUGAGAAAAAAACUACACUUUGCUCGAGGGAGAGAAAAUCUAGCAAUUUCCACGCCAUUAAAAAAUUAGGUUGUUUCAGACUGGACAGCAGCGAAAUAGUAAAUAACAUUGUUUCAUUUUCCUGGGAAUGACUUCUAAAGUAAUAUCACGGCAAGGAUGAAUGCAUAGGGAUGAGAAGGAAAGGAAUUGGGAAAAAGCUGGCAACCAACAACUACUAAUUGUGAGACUUUUAGAAAAUUUAAAUGGAACCCCAAGUUUAAUAAUGUUUUCUAAAUAUAACUUCUCUAUAUAAAUAAUCAUGUAGCAGCUAACCAAAAAAAGACAUUAAUUUUUUAGCAAGUCUAGCCGCGCAAAUGCGCGGGUUACAUUGCUAGUUGUUUAAAUAGCGAUGGGACACGAGGAGCCAACCGGCGUUCUGUUUAAUGCCAGCCGGCUGACGAACGAACAUGUGGCUGCAGUAAUUAUCCUGGCACACGCGCGGGUUUAAUGGUGGAAGGCGGGCAGUCUGGAGGAAUGAGGCAGGAUGUGUGUUUAGCCGGCGUGCAGCGGGGCGGUACCCUUGGCGUGCGUGGGGCGGUACUGGAGGCAUGAAUGUGGGCAGCCGGCGCAGAGCGGGAACACGUGUGUGCGAGAGAGGAGGGGGUUUGGGUGGGCACGAGUGGUCGGAAGCAGUCGUGGGUGUUGUCUGGACGCGUGCAAAGCCCCCCUCCCCCAUGUGUUGUCUCCGGUUUGCGGGAGAAAGUACGUCUGGACUGCCCUGUGGACCGAUACAAGCCCGCAUUAGAUGGCACAACACGUCCAGACCAUGUGGUCCGGAUGGUUGUGGACGGUUUAAUUGAGGGUCGGCGUUGGAGAUGCCUUAGAGUUUAUGAAUCCAUUGUGUUUUCCUAAUCAUAAAAAAUCACUUAUAAUAAGUUAUAUGGAAAGACACGUAUAUAAGUUAGGUUCAGACUCCAGCUUUCCUCUUAUAUAUGUUUUCUUUUCUGAUCCGACUGAUUCCAAUAGAGUGAGCCUAGCGUUGUUUUUCUGGAAACUCGAUACACGUUCUUUCAAGCAAAUCACAUCCAUUCUUUUUAACUAAUUUUUUUCUUGUUUUAAUAAUAUAAUAAAUCAUUUGUAUUUCUUAUCUCGAACAGUUGACCUGUAAUUCCUAUUGUAAUCUAAGGAUAAUGUUUGGAUUUUACUUUCAAAUAUUUGAAAUGGCCAUGAUGGAAUCACAUCCAUUUAUUUUAUUAUUAUUUGAAUUUGAUCCAAAAGAUAAAUAAUGAGUACACGUCCUGAAAACUUUUCUGAGAACUUUGGUAAUCAAAAGACAAAAAAGGUUUUAAGAACUGAAGCAAACCACGAAUUUUACUCUCUAUUUUACUAAAGCAAGUGGCUGCUAUUUAGCUCUAGUGAAUACCAAAUUGACCAACAACCUUUUUUCCAAAUUGGAAGGAAUGCAGUUCUCAGCUCUCACCGUGGUGAUUAUACAAUCUGGAUUUUCGAGCUGUAGGUAGUCAACUUAUGUUAGUGGCAUAUGUAACAUAGUGUUGGUCACUGGGAAUGGAUGAAGCCAUGAGUGAAGGAACAGGAAAUGACAGAAGUAUGAUUUGUAGAAUUUCAAAACUCAAAAUAUCUAGUUUUAUGGAGUGAUAUGAAAUAAGCAAACCAACUGCUUAUAAAAAUGUAAAAUUAAACGACAUAUUUAGAAAUGUGAUUGUGAAGUCAUUGUCACAAAAUAUGACCCCACUAAAAAUGAACAUUCAACCUUAUUUUCAGAAGUUUGCAUACAAAUCCCAUGUAAAUUAUGGUAGUGCUCACAAACAAAUAAACUAAAAUCGUGCUUGAUCCACCAUGAAACUUACUACCUUGUCUAUAUUCUUGAAGAGCUCAAAAAAUGCUGAAGCAAUGCCACCUAGCUAGAUAUAUACUUUUGUCAUGUCCAGAGAUUUCCUGCACCAUGAACAAGAAUGCCACCGCAAUAAUAGUCGCUCUUUUGCGACAAAAAAAAUACUGACUUUGGACAGCAAUGCCUGCACAACUACUAUCUGUACGCCAUGCAUGCACCCAUGUAUGUCAGUAAUACAUAUUAUAAGCUUGUGAACAUUGGUUUCAAAGUAGUGAUACCAACAAUACAUCAUCCAGUGAUGGCCAGUCGCAGUACCUAGAUGCCACUUCGGUGCCUGGUUUCAAAGUCGCAAGUUCAUGGCAGGGAAAGCAAUCAUGUGUCUAGAGUAGAGACUUAAAUAAAGACCCAUGCCAUGUAGAUGGAUCAGAUAAUUAUGCCAAUCCUGAUUUUUCAGUGCAAAUCCAGUUCUGAAAUUUCCACUUGUUUAGUUGCUCCCAAAAAGGGCUAUACAGUUAACCAAAAUGAAUUUUGCUCCUAACACCACAGUUUGUUUCCAACGAUCAAGAGAGCGAGCUUCACCAUAGUGAAGUGUGUUUGAUUAAGUACCUGAGCCGGUGUUGUACAUGCAUAUAUGAUAUGUUCACCGCUCCUACCGGAUGCCCGCCGCCGAACUCACCAUCCGUUCUACACAAGCAGCAAAACCGAUCAGAUAAGCUAUUUCGGUUGUUACUUGUAUAGUCUGAUGGAACGAUCAGUUCCAGAAUUACGCCAUGGCGCCAUCUUUUAUAUGCAAUAUACUGUGAACUGAAUUUUCUGUCAGUGAAAUUGACAGAACAGAGUACUACAGGGUAGAGGGGUAGAGCAUGCAAGUGGUGAUUGUUGUGUGGUUUUUGCGUUAGUUAUUUGUGCACCGGGCGUCUAGGUAGCGUUGGCUGGCCAUCUGCAGCUCAUAGGCGCACGAGCACAGCGGUGGCACGCCCAGCACCGCCUCCACUGCCCGCAAGGACGCCACCUAGCCGCCGCCGUAUCUGGAGAAGAAGCAGCAAGCAUGUAAGAGUUUGUCCGUGGACGCUCUAUGGAUCGACCUGAUCGAUCACUCGUUUUGUGCAUGCACCACCACACAUGGCUGAACCGAGCAUCCUCCUGGCGGCGCCCAGUGAGACCGUCCUCGCAGCGGCCACGGCUCGAUGGUUCGCCCCCGUGUGCACGGUACAUGCCGCAGCCUGCAGUCAAAACAGAGCGCGUAGAAGGUGAAGGCAAGGGGAGCUGGUGUGCUGGGAGGGAGACUCCUGGAGCUAGGGAGCACGCCGACGCCAUUGCUCAAGGUGCAAGUUUGUUUCAAUCUUCAAUCCUGCUCGCUGUUGAUUCUGGUUACAGUAAAUUUUAGCUAGAUAUGGUGUAACCUAAGUGUUAUGCCUAGUCUUAAUCUAUCUAUCUAUCCAAUCUUCUAUUCGGCGAGGUGGCUGCGCCUGUGGCAGAUGUGGCCGCUGCCAUGGCCGGCGCAAGACCUGGUCGAUCUCCCUCUUCUGUAUUUGAGAAAAAAAAAUCUCCCUCUUCUCUUCUGAUGAGAAGGGGAAGAGAUGGUGAGAGAUGAAGUCGACGGCUUUGGGGAGAGGAUACGGGAGGACGCCGGUAGUGAGGCGGCAUGAGGAAGACAAGGUGGUUGGCAGCGGCGACGCGUGAGGGGAGGGCAAGGGAGGUGUAGUGGUGCAUGUUGAGGAGUGGGUGUGCAGCGUGCCCAGUUCUCGAGGGAGGAAGGAGGUCGUCAAGGGAGUGAUCCAUGGGAGUUUUUUUUUCCUUCUGAGCGAGCCUAGUUGGGCUCUCUGCAGCGUCUAGGCCCAAUGCACCACAUGUCUUCAAAUUGGCCACCAGUAGCAGCCCAUAGGACAGACAGGGCCAGUUUGCAAAUUUUAAAACAUAAGUUUUUUAGCGCCCAUGAAAAACAGAACACAUAUCUUUCCAAACAUAAUGAACUGUAGGUACCACCAAAAAAACCAUAAUGAACUAUAGGUUGUUACAAGAACUCAUGCCAUCCCACAGCCGCCCUCCCACCCUGCCAACAUUGUUGCAACUGCACUCGCAAGCGUUACCAUAGAUGAUCAUUUGCAUGAUUUCGCGUAAAACAAAAUAAGAUCUACAAACGAAUAGAAGCUACACAUACCUUGGCAUGCACACACAUUGGAAGCCAUACCAAGGUGAUAAGUGUUAAUAACUUGUACAACAUAUACAACAGUUAAGAUAAGUAAAAGCAAUUUGAUGAGUCAUGGUCUAUCAAAGCAAGCUUUAUUACUACUCUAAUCUAUCUUAACAGGUCACACAUGAUUACAAUCCUUUUUGUGUGCAAGUCAAGCUUAUCUAGUUUACACGUAACAACUUGUAGAACAUUACACAAUUGAUGUUUGCUAAUAACUUCUAGAAAGCUAAAACACUUGACAUGUAAAAAGAAUUUGAUGAGUCAUGACCUAGUAAAUCAAGUUACAUUACUAGUCUCAUCUAUCUUAACAGGUCACACAAGAUUACAAACUAAGUUCUGCGCAAGCAAUGCUUAUCUAGUUUACACAUAACAACUUGCAAAACAUUACAAAUUUAGUUUCAAAAAAUUAGGCAAUCUAGAUUAGUGUUUGAGUUGUAAAGUGAAUAAGAUGAGUCAUGUGUGUUAUCACAACUUUUUGGUGGUGGAAUGAUAGUGCCACCAAACACAACAUACCAAAUUAUGAUUUUAGGAAGCAUCCAAGCACUUUCCAGACAAGCAAAUGCCAAUUGUGAAGGAGAUGAUGCCAUGGCAGCUAUAAAUAGGCCUGUAGCAUGAUGAUCAUCCUUCCUCAUCCAUCAUUCUCAUAAGUAGAGUGCAUCAUUCAAGCCAAGCAAGCAGUGGUCAAUACAAAUCCACCAUGAAGACCUUUCUCAUCCUUGCCCUCCUUGCUAUCGUGGCGACCACCACCACAACUGCAGUUAGAGUUCCAGUGCCACAAUUGCAGCCACAAAAUCCAUCUCAGCAACAACCACAAGAGCAAGUUCCAUUGGUGCAACAACAACAAUUUCUAGGGCAGCAACAACAACAAUUUCCAGGGCAACAACAACCAUUUCCACCACAAUAGCCAUAUCCGCAGCCGCAACCAUUUCUGCCACAACUACCAUAUCCGCAGCCGCAACCAUUUCCACCACAACAAUCAUAUCCACAACCACAACCACAAUAUCCGCAACCACAACAACCAAUUUCGCAGCAACAAGCACUACAACAACAACAACAACAACAACAACAACAACAAAAACAAAUCCUUCAACAAAUUCUGCAACAACAACUGAUUCCAUGCAGGGAUGUCGUCUUGCAACAACCCAAUAUAGCACAUGCAAGCUCACAAGUAUCGCAACAAAGUUACCAACUGUUGCAACAAUUAUGUUGUCAGCAACUGUGGCAGACCCCCGAGCAGUCACGGUGCCAAGCCAUCCACAAUGUCAUUCAUGCUAUUAUUUUGCAUCANNNNNNNNNNNNNNNNNNNNNNNNNNNNNNNNNNNNNNNNNNNNNNNNNNNNNNNNNNNNNNNNNNNNNNNNNNNNNNNNNNNNNNNNNNNNNNNNNNNNNNNNNNNNNNNNNNNNNNNNNNNNNNNNNNNNNNNNNNNNNNNNNNNNNNNNNNNNNNNNNNNNNNNNNNNNNNNNNNNNNNNNNNNNNNNNNNNNNNNNNNNNNNNNNNNNNNNNNNNNNNNNNNNNNNNNNNNNNNNNNNNNNNNNNNNNNNNNNNNNNNNNNNNNNNNNNNNNNNNNNNNNNNNNNNNNNNNNNNNNNNNNNNNNNNNNNNNNNNNNNNNNNNNNNNNNNNNNNNNNNNNNNNNNNNNNNNNNNNNNNNNNNNNNNNNNNNNNNNNNNNNNNNNNNNNNNNNNNNNNNNNNNNNNNNNNNNNNNNNNNNNNNNNNNNNNNNNNNNNNNNNNNNNNNNNNNNNNNNNNNNNNNNNNNNNNNNNNNNNNNNNNNNNNNNNNNNNNNNNNNNNNNNNNNNNNNNNNNNNNNNNNNNNNNNNNNNNNNNNNNNNNNNNNNNNNNNNNNNNNNNNNNNNNNNNNNNNNNNNNNNNNNNNNNNNNNNNNNNNNNNNNNNNNNNNNNNNNNNNNNNNNNNNNNNNNNNNNNNNNNNNNNNNNNNNNNNNNNNNNNNNNNNNNNNNNNNNNNNNNNNNNNNNNNNNNNNNNNNNNNNNNNNNNNNNNNNNNNNNNNNNNNNNNNNNNNNNNNNNNNNNNNNNNNNNNNNNNNNNNNNNNNNNNNNNNNNNNNNNNNNNNNNNNNNNNNNNNNNNNNNNNNNNNNNNNNNNNNNNNNNNNNNNNNNNNNNNNNNNNNNNNNNNNNNNNNNNNNNNNNNNNNNNNNNNNNNNCAUAUGAAGUAACAUUUCCUCACCAAGGCCACACAUAGGGCACACACAUAACCCCAUCACAUGCCUUUUUAGUUAUGCAUAUGAAGGUAGGAUGUUUUUAAUUACUCUGCACCAAAAUACUCUUAACUUGGAUUGUACCCUAAGCUUUCGUUGCCUUUUACAUUUUUCUUCCCCAUUAGAUGAACUAGAUAGUCCAGCUACCACACAAUACCUUGUGUUCAUCUCGGCUCUGUACAACAAUUGAACAGAAGAAAUGUCAUUUCUUUACCAUAUCCAUGACCAAAUGUUCUCUGCUACUCCCUCCGUCCCAAAAUACUGCCAUCCAUGUCGACAACAAUGAGUCAUAUAGGACCGCUAUGCCUCUGUUGAAGGAGGUGGUGGAGCGAUCCGGAGAUUAUUCUGCCAUCCAUGUUGAGUAAAACCUCACUGGCCACUUGCUCCAACCGCAUACACACCGCCAUAAACAACGGUUGGUACUCAGUUCGGUGUAGCAUACACCAUGUAGGAAGCGAGUGCUUACUCCUAGUUACUGAAUUAUGUACACCAAAUAAACCCAUUUACACGAAGUUAAUGACAAAAAAGUUGAUGCUUGCUACGCAGAUGUGUAGUACAAAUUAAGAAGUGCAAGAUAAAAAGAUGCUGGUCCUUGAUUCGUUGUUGAUCCUGAGCAUGCCAUCAUCAACUUGUAGUUAAUUAUCAUACAAAUUGGCUCUUUCAUAGAGUUGGAGGCUAGCUCCUUGGAUCAGCACGCGCUUAAACACAAAGAACACGUAUAUGUAUUCUCUCCGAAGUUCAACUCUUGAUUGGCCAGCAAAAAUGGUCCGACCGGGUAGAGGAAAGGCAUGUUUGCUAGUACGCCUGGAGGAAAUGCCUUUGAUUAGGGCAUCUCCAACGGCGACCAGUAAAUUUUCUCCCAUAUUCGUCCACGGACAAGGGAUCAGUCCGUGGAUAUGGAUAUAGGAAUCGGCCAUCCAACGUUGUCCGCAUAUAUUUCGAACACUUCUUUUAAAAAAUCGAAUGAAAUUCAUGCAAACACAGUGGAUUCCAUACAAACCGGACAAAAAUGUUUACAUUUUGGACAUAUUUUUAACUAAAAACUGUACAGCCGGCGCCGGCGACGACGAAUAUCCUCCGGCGACAUGGAUACCCUUGACUAGUCUACUGCCGGCUGCAGCGGAUCUCCAAUGUCAUCCCCAUGUCCGGCAGCUGUGAGCCCUAGGUAUAUGCUUCAACGCAAAGAGCAGCUCGCCUCCCUACCACUCAUCGGAGUGGAACAACCAACUGAUGCUUCUGCCAAUGGGAAAGGGUUCCUACGCUACAUAGGUCAGAGUUGGUUUUGGGUUGGGAACGGUGGUGGCCUGCCAGAGGGCAAGACACCGGCUGUGUAUGCUGGUGUCACCUCAAUAUGGCAUUCAUGGGACCCAAGCGACAGCUUCUCCUCGACUAUUGUGGCGAGCGCAGACGUGUUGGACACCACCUCGUCGAUGUCCAUGCAGCCCGCUUCUUUCUCUGUAGUCAGGACGCGGUGACACGCGCUUUGACAUCGGAUGACGCGCUCACAGGCACGGGAGGGGCGGUACAACAUGGCACCAUCAAUAGCAGCAAUGAUGCCCGUGCCACUGUGGUCCCUAUCAGUGUCGACCUGGAGCAACUCGCCACUCCUCGGCUCGUGACCGGCGGGGUUGACGGGCUACCAAGCCAUUGUUUAUGCGAGACAACUCUUUUUCCUGCUCAUCAGAUGCCAUGGAGAAAACUGAUCAAGGAGAAAAAUGGUGAGUGGAGGUGUGAUGCAGUUCUUGCUCGACAUCAGACAUCUAUCUAUUAUAUAAUUAAAACGAUAGAAAACGAACGGUUAAGAUUAAUCGUUCUAAAGUUAAGAAAAAACAACGGUGGAGAUUUACAGCAUAUAUGUUUUUUUUUGAAAAUUAAAGCAUAGAUGUUUGAACCACGCGCAUUACACGUACAUGUACAAGACCAAAACAGACGUACAUGUACCAGACCAAAACAGACGACCCGUCAAACAUAGUACGAUUGACUGAUCUCCGUAAAGAAUACGUCCAAUAAGGAAGGAGGCCUGAUUGAUUUCUAACUGGAACACGCACAACUAACCUGAUGUAUUUCUUAUUAAAACACACAAACAACUUGAUUUCCAGCAAGAAUACAAACGUGUAAGCUGAGAACUGCACACCUCAGCCCGGCGAACACUCCAGGCCGCCGUGGCACGUCCCGGAGAAGAUUGAACGCAUAUAACAACAACAUAUCUGUACACGGCAAUAUCGGAAGCACAUCGGCGAACACUUGAGGCCGCCGCCACACGUCGAUUGCAGGCAUAACAACAACAAAUCUAGACGCGGCAAUGUCGGAUGCACAUUGGCGAAAAGUCGAACACUCAACGCCACCAGCGCACAUCCCGGAGAUCAAAGGCGCAACAGCAACACAUCUAUACGCGGCAAUGUCGGAGGUACAUCAGUGAAUACUGCAUCGCCACACGUCCUCGAGAUCUUACGCAUGGCAACAACUAAUCUAUACGUGGCAACGUUGGAGGCACGUGGGCCGGUGAAUCGAAGGCGGGAUAGCAACACAUCCAAUGCAAAGCUCAAGAUGCCGGGACUCCCAACAGAUCAAAGUCAUGACAGCGUUAUCAUCAACUUUGUACAAUAUGUCUCCACGUACUACCUACAUAUAUGUUAUGAAUAAAAAAAUAAUUUCAAAUUUCGUUUGAAGGUAACAACGAUACGAUGUACAGAGCCAAAAGGAGAGAGUAGAGCAAUACGUGCAUCUUUUUUUUUUGUUGAGAGAAGAAUAAACUCACGUGCAUCUAAGCUACCGAUGUCUCAACCCUAGCCUAAAAAAAGUUGCCGAGUGUCUGCAUCUACGGAUUGGACGCUAGACUUUGUAUUAUUCUUUUAUGUUAGCAUACGUUGAUAGAUUGGUGCAAAUAAGUUUGAUGUCAAAAAACUAUAGCAAGCACAUAGCUCAAAACUAAAUGAUUGACCCAACAAAACAAAAUAUUACAUAAAUGUUACUGUCGCUUUAAGCUAGAGAAUCUGCACAUUUGAUCAGGGGUCAAUCGAAGGACAAACGUUAUUAGUCAGGUUGCUCACAAAAAUAAAAACAUAUUUUUCAUUAUGUGAAUAAAGAAUAAAACUAAAUUUAUAUCUGCAGUUCAAAAAUAUGAGUAAAAAUAAAUAGAAAAUUAUUUUUAUCAUAUUAGAUUCAGAAAUGGGAUUUACAUAUAAAUUAUACUGAACAUGAAAUACAAUAAAAAAAUUUAAAAAAUCAAAUUACCGUCAGAUUAAAAUGAAACUUGAUGCAAAUGAAUGGACAAAAAAAGUCACUCUUGGGUCAAUUUUCACAGCUAUUUUAUGAGUAUCUUUGCUUACAUGAAUCUCGAUGAGAGAAUCAGAUAGUUCUGAUCGGUCGUUGAAUGCUAAUUUCACAGUUGUCCGAGAAAUAGCAAUACCAAAAUGUUUAUUACUAACUAUAUAUAAAUAACAUUUUGUCAAAGACGAACGUACCAAUCAUAUUACCCACAUACGAGUAGGAAAUUCCCACCAAAGUUUGAUCAUGUUUCCUCGAGAUGCAUACGUUACCUAUAAUAUUUUUUGUAAAUUAAACUAUAUAUCAACGACAAUGUCAGAAAAAUAAACUAAGUAAUAUCUGUUUCCCUACAUUGGAAAAUAUUGGUAUAGAAUAUAAUAAUAUAUAUAAUUGAACAUGUGGGUGAAGGAAAGAAAAAAGGUUAAGCAAGAAGGUUAGGAGCAAAUUUAUUGCAAGUGCGCGAAUAACCAUUUUAGCUAUUCUAAAAAUCACAUUUCAAUUCAAAAGAACAUAUUCAUCAUCAGAAAAAAAGCUACUCUGUGCUCGAGUGAGAGAAAAUCUAGCAAUUUCCACACCAUUAAAAAAUAGGUUGUCUUAGACUGGACAGCAGCGAAAUAGUAAGGAACAUAGUUUCAUUUUGUUGGCAAUGACUUCUAGAGUAAUAUGAGUGGAAGGACAAAUGCAUAGGGAUGAGAUGGAAAGGGAUUGGGAAAGCUGGCAACCAACAGCUACAAAUCGUGAGACUCCUAGAAAAUUUCAAUGGGACACCAAGUUUAAUAAUUUUUUCUAAAUAUAACUUCUCUAUGUAAAUACUCAUGUAGCAGCUAACCAAAAUCAUCAUGAGAAAAAAACUACACUUUGCUCGAGGGAGAGAAAAUCUAGCAAUUUCCACGCCAUUAAAAAAUUAGGUUGUUUCAGACUGGACAGCAGCGAAAUAGUAAAUAACAUUGUUUCAUUUUCCUGGGAAUGACUUCUAAAGUAAUAUCACGGCAAGGAUGAAUGCAUAGGGAUGAGAAGGAAAGGAAUUGGGAAAAAGCUGGCAACCAACAACUACUAAUUGUGAGACUUUUAGAAAAUUUAAAUGGAACCCCAAGUUUAAUAAUGUUUUCUAAAUAUAACUUCUCUAUAUAAAUAAUCAUGUAGCAGCUAACCAAAAAAAGACAUUAAUUUUUUAGCAAGUCUAGCCGCGCAAAUGCGCGGGUUAUAUUGCUAGUUGUUUAAAUAGCGAUGGGACACGAGGAGCCAACCGGCGUUCUGUUUAAUGCCAGCCGGCUGACGAACGAACAUGUGGCUGCAGUAAUUAUCCUGGCACACGCGCGGGUUUAAUGGUGGAAGGCGGGCAGUCUGGAGGAAUGAGGCAGGAUGUGUGUUUAGCCGGCGUGCAGCGGGGCGGUACCCUUGGCGUGCGUGGGGCGGUACUGGAGGCAUGAAUGUGGGCAGCCGGCGCAGAGCGGGAACACGUGUGUGCGAGAGAGGAGGGGGUUUGGGUGGGCACGAGUGGUCGGAAGCAGUCGUGGGUGUUGUCCGGACGCGUGCAAAGCCCCCCUCCCCCAUGUGUUGUCUCCGGUUUGCGGGAGAAAGUACGUCUGGACUGCCCUGUGGACCGAUACAAGCCCGCAUUAGAUGGCACAACAUGUCCGGACCAUGUGGUCCGGAUGGUUGUGGACGGUUUAAUUGAGGGUCGGCGUUGGAGAUGCCUUAGAGUUUAUGAAUCCAUUGUGUUUUCCUAAUCAUAAAAAAUCACUUAUAAUAAGUUAUAUGGAAAGACACGUAUAUAAGUUAGGUUCAGACUCCAGCUUUCCUCUUAUAUAUGUUUUCUUUUCUGAUCCGACUGAUUCCAAUAGAGUGAGCCUAGCGUUGUUUUUCUGGAAACUCGAUACACGUUCUUUCAAGCAAAUCACAUCCAUUCUUUUUAACUAAUUUUUUUCUUGUUUUAAUAAUAUAAUAAAUCAUUUGUAUUUCUUAUCUCGAACAGUUGACCUGUAAUUCCUAUUGUAAUCUAAGGAUAAUGUUUGGAUUUUACUUUCAAAUAUUUGAAAUGGCCAUGAUGGAAUCACAUCCAUUUAUUUUAUUAUUAUUUGAAUUUGAUCCAAAAGAUAAAUAAUGAGUAGACGUCCUGAAAACUUUUCUGAGAACUUUGGUAAUCAAAAGACAAAAAAGGUUUUAAGAACUGAAGCAAACCACGAAUUUUACUCUCUAUUUUACUAAAGCAAGUGGCUGCUAUUUAGGUCUAGUGAAUACCAAAUUGACCAACAACCUUUUUUCCAAAUUGGAAGGAAUGCAGUUCUCAGCUCUCACCGUGGUGAUUAUACAAUCUGGAUUUUCGAGCUGUAGCUAGUCAACUUAUGUUAGUGGCAUAUGUAACAUAGUGUUGGUCACUGGGAAUGGAUGAAGCCAUGAGUGAAGGAACAGGAAAUGACAGAAGUAUGAUUUGUAGAAUUUCAAAACUCAAAAUAUCUAGUUUUAUGGAGUGAUAUGAAAUAAGCAAACCAACUGCUUAUAAAAAUGUAAAAUUAAACGACAUAUUUAGAAAUGUGAUUGUGAAGUCAUUGUCACAAAAUAUGACCCCACUAAAAAUGAACAUUCAACCUUAUUUUCAGAAGUUUGCAUACAAAUCCCAUGUAAAUUAUGGUAGUGCUCACAAACAAAUAAACUAAAAUCGUGCUUGAUCCACCAUGAAACUUACUACCUUGUCUAUAUUCUUGAAGAGCUCAAAAAAUGCUGAAGCAAUGCCACCUAGCUAGAUAUAUACUUUUGUCAUGUCCAGAGAUUUCCUGCACCAUGAACAAGAAUGCCACCGCAAUAAUAGUCGCUCUUUUGCGACAAAAAAAAUACUGACUUUGGACAGCAAUGCCUGCACAACUACUAUCUGUACGCCAUGCAUGCACCCAUGUAUGUCAGUAAUACAUAUUAUAAGCUUGUGAACAUUGGUUUCAAAGUAGUGAUACCAACAAUACAUCAUCCAGUGAUGGCCAGUCGCAGUACCUAGAUGCCACUUCGGUGCCUGGUUUCAAAGUCGCAAGUUCAUGGCAGGGAAAGCAAUCAUGUGUCUAGAGUAGAGACUUAAAUAAAGACCCAUGCCAUGUAGAUGGAUCAGAUAAUUAUGCCAAUCCUGAUUUUUCAGUGCAAAUCCAGUUCUAAAAUUUCCACUUGUUUAGUUGCUCCCAAAAAGGGCUAUACAGUUAACCAAAAUGAAUUUUGCUCCUAACACCACAGUUUGUUUCCAACGAUCAAGAGAGCGAGCUUCACCAUAGUGAAGUGUGUUUGAUUAAGUACCUGAGCCGGUGUUGUACAUGCAUAUAUGAUAUGUUCACCGCUCCUACCGGAUGCCCGCCGCCGAACUCACCAUCCGUUCUACACAAGCAGCAAAACCGAUCAGAUAAGCUAUUUCGGUUGUUACUUGUAUAGUCUGAUGGAACGAUCAGUUCCAGAAUUACGCCAUGGCGCCAUCUUUUAUAUGCAAUAUACUGUGAACUGAAUUUUCUGUCAGUGAAGUUGACAGAACAGAGUACUACAGGGUAGAGGGGUAGAGCAUGCAAGUGGUGAUUGUUGUGUGGUUUUUACGUUAGUUAUUUGUGCACCGGGCGUCUAGGUAGCGUUGGCUGGCCAUCUGCAGCUCAUAGGCGCACGAGCACAGCGGUGGCACGCCCAGCACCGCCUCCACUGCCCGCAAGGACGCCACCUAGCCGCCGCCGUAUCUGGAGAAGAAGCAACAAGCAUGUAAGAGUUUGUCCGUGGACGCUCUAUGGAUCGACCUGAUCGAUCACUCGUUUUGUGCAUGCACCACCACACAUGGCUGAACCGAGCAUCCUCCUGGCGGCGCCCAGUGAGACCGUCCUCGCAGCGGCCACGGCUCGAUGGUUCGCCCCCGUGUGCACGGUACGUGCCGCAGCCUGCAGUCAAAACAGAGCGCGUAGAAGGUGAAGGCAAGGGGAGCUGGUGUGCUGGGAGGGAGACUCCUGGAGCUAGGGAGCACGCCGACGCCAUUGCUCAAGGUGCAAGUUUGUUUCAAUCUUCAAUCCUGCUCGCUGUUGAUUCUGGUUACAGUAAAUUUUAGCUAGAUAUGGUGUAACCUAAGUGUUAUGCCUAGUCUUAAUCUAUCUAUCUAUCCAAUCUUCUAUUCGGCGAGGUGGCUGCGCCUGUGGCAGAUGUGGCCGCUGCCAUGGCCGGCGCCAGACCUGGUCGAUCUCCCUCUUCUGUAUUUGAGAAAAAAAAUCUCCCUCUUCUCUUCUGAUGAGAAGGGGAAGAGGUGGUGAGAGAUGAAGUCGACGGCUUUGGGGAGAGGAUACGGGAGGACGCCGGUAGUGAGGCGGCAUGAGGAAGACAAGGUGGUUGGCAGCGGCGACGCGUGAGGGGAGGGCAAGGGAGGUGUAGUGGUGCAUGUUGAGGAGUGGGUGUGCAGCGUGCCCAGUUCUCGAGGGAGGAAGGAGGUCGUCAAGGGAGUGAUCCAUGGGAGUUUCUUUUCCUUCUGAGCGAGCCUAGUUGGGCUCUCUGCAGCGUCUAGGCCCAAUGCACCACAUGUCUUCAAAUUGGCCACCAGUAGCAGCCCAUAGAACAGACAGGGCCAGUUUACAAAUUUUAAAACAUAAGUUUUUUAGCGCCCAUGAAAAACAGAACACAUAUCUUUCCAAACAUAAUGAACUGUAGGUACCACCAAAAAAACCAUAAUGAACUAUAGGUUGUUACAAGAACUCAUGCCAUCCCACAGCCGCCCUCCCACCCUGCCAACAUUGUUGCAACUGCACUCGCAAGCGUUACCAUAGAUGAUCAUUUGCAUGAUUUCGCGUAAAACAAAAUAAGAUCUACAAACGAAUAGAAGCUACACAUACCUUGGCAUGCACACACAUUGGAAGCCAUACCAAGGUGAUAAGUGUUAAUAACUUGUACGACAUAUACAACAGUUAAGAUAAGUGAAAGCAAUUUGAUGAGUCAUGGUCUAUCAAAGCAAGCUUUAUUACUACUCUAAUCUAUCUUAACAGGUCACACAUGAUUACAAUCCUUUUUGUGUGCAAGUCAAGCUUAUCUAGUUUACACGUAACAACUUGUAGAACAUUACACAAUUGAUGUUUGCUAAUAACUUCUAGAAAGCUAAAACACUUGACAUGUAAAAAGAAUUUGAUGAGUCAUGACCUAGUAAAUCAAGUUACAUUACUAGUCUCAUCUAUCUUAACAGGUCACACAAGAUUACAAACUAAGUUCUGCGCAAGCAAUGCUUAUCUAGUUUACACAUAACAACUUGCAAAACAUUACAAAUUUAGUUUCAAAAAAUUAGGCAAUCUAGAUUAGUGUUUGAGUUGUAAAUUGAAUAAGAUGAGUCAUGUGUGUUAUCACAACUUUUUGGUGGUGGAAUGAUAGUGCCACCAAACGCAACAUACCAAAUUAUGAUUUUAGGAAGCAUCCAAGCACUUUCCAGACAAGCAAAUGCCAAUUGUGAAGGAGAUGAUGCCAUGGCAGCUAUAAAUAGGCCUGUAGCAUGAUGAUCAUCCUUCCUCAUCCAUCAUUCUCAUAAGUAGAGUGCAUCAUUCAAGCCAAGCAAGGAGUGGUCAAUACAAAUCCACCAUGAAGACCUUUCUCAUCCUUGCCCUCCUUGCUAUCGUGGCGACCACCACCACAACUGCAGUUAGAGUUCCAGUGCCACAAUUGCAGCCACAAAAUCCAUCUCAGCAACAACCACAAGAGCAAGUUCCAUUGGUGCAACAACAACAAUUUCUAGGGCAGCAACAACAACAAUUUCCAGGGCAACAACAACCAUUUCCACCACAACAGCCAUAUCCGCAGCCGCAACCAUUUCUGCCACAACUACCAUAUCCGCAGCCGCAACCAUUUCCACCACAACAAUCAUAUCCACAACCACAACCACAAUAUCCGCAACCACAACAACCAAUUUCGCAGCAACAAGCACAACUACUACAACAACAACAACAACAACAACAACAACAACAACAACAACAACAAAUCCUUCAACAAAUUCUGCAACAACAACUGAUUCCAUGCAGGGAUGUCGUCUUGCAACAACCCAAUAUAGCACAUGCAAGCUCACAAGUAUCGCAACAAAGUUACCAACUGUUGCAACAAUUAUGUUGUCAGCAACUGUGGCAGACCCCCGAGCAGUCACGGUGCCAAGCCAUCCACAAUGUCAUUCAUGCUAUUAUUUUGCAUCAUCGUCAUCAACAACAACAACAACAACAACAACAACAACAACAACAACCGUCGAGCCAGGUCUCCUACCAGCAGCCUCAGCAACAAUAUCCAUCAGGCCAGGGCUUCUUCCAGCCAUCUCAGCAAAACCCACAGGCCCAGGGCUUUGUCCAACCUCAGCAACUGCCGCAGUUCGAGGAAAUAAGGAACCUAGCGCUGCAGACGCUACCAGCAAUGUGCAAUGUCUACAUCCCUCCAUAUUGCUCGACCACCAUUGCGCCAUUUGGCAUCAUGAGUACUAACUGAGAAGAGAAGAACUCUAUUACUAGAUAUAUGAAACACCGUUUUCUUAAAACAUGGUUUGGUCGUUGUAGCGGUGAAAAAUAAAGUGACAUGCACUAUCAUGUAAGAACCCGAACUAGACUAUUUCAAACUUGGAAAUAAAAGACAAACACAGGUCUUGUCUGCAUAUGAUUGUUUGUUUGAGUUCCAUUCAUGUGCCCGUUCACAAGUUCACCCCUAAUUAUAUAUAUUAAGCAUUAGUUAGAUGUUUAUGUGCAUUAAUCUAAAGAUAACAAAAUGAAUCUGAAACUUGAAUUUAAUUAAAGUAUUUUCUUGGACUUUCAAAUUGAGCAUUGAUAGUGAGGACUAUCCACAUCCUUGGCUUGCCCUUGAUCAAUUAUUUCCAAAGAAGCAUUCAAUUCAUCAGUCACUUACAUUGAUUUUUGUGGCUUGUACUUCUCCUCAACAUGAGUAUCUUCAUUGCAGCUACUCCAAAUCUGCCACAUAACUGAAGCAUUAAUAGUGCUCUUCCUUGCAUCAAGGAAAUAUGGAUCGAAGAUAUCUCUUGACCAUGUUUUCGGGUGCAACCUUGGGAGUUUUAUGUCAAAAUAUUCUCAAGAAGAAUCCAAGAAUAAACUUGCAUGCUCACGUGUGAAAAGGGCAUAUGAAGUAACAUUUCCUCACCAAGGCCACACAUAGGGCACACACAUAACCCCAUCACAUGCCUUUUUAGUUAUGCAUAUGAAGGUAGGAUGUUUUUAAUUACUCUGCACCAAAAUACUCUUAACUUGGAUUGUACCCUAAGCUUUCGUUGCCUUUUACAUUUUUCUUCCCCAUUAGAUGAACUAGAUAGUCCAGCUACCACACGAUACCUUGUGUUCAUCUCGGCUCUGUACAACAAUUGAACAGAAGAAAUGUCAUUUCUUUACCAUACCCAUGACCAAAUGUUCUCUGCUACUCCCUCCGUCCCAAAAUACUGCCAUCCAUGUCGACAACAAUGAGUCAUAUAGGACCGCUAUGCCUCUGUUGAAGGAGGUGGUGGAGCGAUCCGGAGAUUAUUCUGCCAUCCAUGUUGAGUAAAACCUCACUGGCCACUUGCUCCAACCGCAUACACACCGCCAUAAACAACGGUUGGUACUCAGUUCGGUGUAGCAUACACCAUGUAGGAAGCGAGUGCUUACUCCUAGCUACUGAAUUAUGUACACCAAAUAAACCCAUUUACACGAAGUUAAUGACAAAAAAGUUGAUGCUUGCUACGCAGAUGUGUAGUACAAAUUAAGAAGUGCAAGAUAAAAAGAUGCUGGUCCUUGAUUCGUUGUUGAUCCUGAGCAUGCCAUCAUCAACUUGUAGUUAAUUAUCAUACAAAUUGGCUCUUUCAUAGAGUUGGAGGCUAGCUCCUUGGAUCAGCACGCGCUUAAACACAAAGAACACGUAUAUGUAUUCUCUCCGAAGUUCAACUCUUGAUUGGCCAGCAAAAAUGGUCCGACCGGGUAGAGGAAAGGCAUGUUUGCUAGUACGCCUGGAGGAAAUGCCUUUGAUUAGGGCAUCUCCAACGGCGACCAGUAAAUUUUCUCCCAUAUUUGUCCACGGACAAGGGAUCAGUCCGUGGAUAUGGAUAUAGAAAUCGGCCAUCCAACGUUGUCCGCAUAUAUUUCGAACACUUCUUUUAAAAAAUCGAAUGAAAUUCAUGCAAACACAGUGGAUUCCAUACAAACCGGACAAAAACGUUUACAUUUUGGACAUAUUUUUAACUAAAAACUCUACAGCCGGCACCGGCGACGACGAAUAUCCUCCGGCGACAUGGAUACCCUUGACUAGUCUACUGCCGGCUGCAGCGGAUCUCCAAUGUCAUCCCCAUGUCCGGCAGCUGUGAGCCCUAGGUAUAUGCUUCAACGCAAAGAGCAGCUCGCCUCCCUACCACUCAUCGGAGUGGAACAACCAACUGAUGCUUCUGCCAAUGGGAAAGGGUUCCUACGCUACAUAGGUCAGAGUUGGUUUUGGGUUGGGAACGGUGGUGGCCUGCCAGAGGGCAAGACACCGGCUGUGUACGCUGGUGUCACCUCAAUAUGGCAUUCAUGGGACCCAAGCGACAGCUUCUCCUCGACUAUUGUGGCGAGCACAGACGUGUUGGACACCACCUCGUCGAUGUCCAUGCAGCCCGCUUCUUUCUCUGUAGUCAGGACGCGGUGACACGCGCUUUGACAUAGGAUGACGCGCUCACAGGCACGGGAGGGGCGGUACAACAUGGCACCAUCAAUGGCAGCCAUGAUGCCCGUGCCACUGUGGUCCCUCUCAGUGUCGACCUGGAGCAACUCGCCACUCCUCGGCUCGUGACCGGCGGGGUUGACGGGCCACCUAGCUAUUGUUUAUGCGAGACAACUCUUUUUCCUGCUCAUCAGAUGCCAAUAAGGAAGGAGGCCUGAUUGAUUUCUAACUGGAACACGCACAACUAACCUGAUGCCAACUAAUCAGAUGCCAAUAAGGAAGGAGGCCUCAACUUAGCUAUAGGAGGUGAAGGCAAGGGGAGCUGGUGUGCUGGGAGGGAGACUCCUGGAGCUAGGGAGCACGCCGACGCCAUUGCUCAAGGUGCAAGUUUGUUUCAAUCUUCAAUCCUGCUCGCUGUUGAUUCUGGUUACAGUAAAUUUUAGCUAGAUAUGGUGUAACCUAAGUGUUAUGCCUAGUCUUAAUCUAUCUAUCUAUCCAAUCUUCUAUUCGGCGAGGUGGCUGCGCCUGUGGCAGAUGUGGCCGCUGCCAUGGCCGGCGCUAGACCUAGUCGAUCUCCCUCUUCUGUAUUUGAGAAAAAAAAAUCUCCCUCUUCUCUUCUGAUGAGAAGGGGAAGAGAUGGUGAGAGAUGAAGUCGACGGCUUUGGGGAGAGGAUACGGGAGGACGCCGGUAGUGAGGCGGCAUGAGGAAGACAAGGUGGUUGGCAGCGGCAAUGCGUGAGGGGAGGGCAAGGGAGGUGUAGUGGUGCAUGUUGAGGAGUGGGUGUGCAGCGUGCCCAGUUCUCGAGGGAGUAAAGAGGUCGUCAAGGGAGUGAUCCAUGGGAGUUUUUUUUCCUUCUGAGCGAGCCUAGUUGGGCUCUCUGCGGCGUCUAGGCCCAAUGCACCACAUGUCUUCAAAUUGGCCACCAGUAGCAGCCCAUAGAACAGACAGGGCCAGUUUACAAAUUUUAAAACAUAAGUUUUUUAGCGCCCAUGAAAAACAGAACACAUAUCUUUCCAAACAUAAUGAACUAUAGGUACCACCAAAAAAACCAUAAUGAACUUUAGGUUGUUACAAGAACUCAUGCCUUCCAACAGCCUCCCUCCAACCCUGCCAACAUUGUAGCAGCUGCACUCGCAAGCGUUACCAUAGGUGAUCAUUUGCAUGAUUUCGCGUAAAACAAAAUAAGAUCUACAAACGAAUAGAAGCUACACAUACCUUGGCAUGCACACACAUUGCAAGCCAUACUAAGGUGAUAAGUGUUAAUAACUUGUACAACAUAUACAACACUUAAGAUAAGUAAAAGCAAUUUGAUGAGUCAUGGUCUAUCAAAGCAAGAUGCAUUACUACUCUAAUCUAUCUUAACAGGUCACACAUGAUUACAAUCCUUGUUGUGUGCAAGUCAAGCUUAUCUAGUUUACACGUAACAACUUGUAGAACAUUACACAAUUGAUGUUUGCUAAUAACUUCUAGAAAGCUACAACACUUGACAUGUAAAAAGAAUUUGAUGAGUCAUGACCUACUAAAGCAAGUUACAUUACUAGUCUCAUCUAUCUUAACAGGUCACACAAGAUUACAAACUAAGUUCUGCGCAAGCAAUGCUUAUCUAGUUUACACAUAACAACUUGCAAAACAUUACAAACUUAGUUUCAAAAAAUUAGGCAAUCUAGAUUAGUGUUUGAGUUGUAAAGUGAAUAAGAUGAGUCAUGUGUGUUAUCACAACUUUUUGGUAGUGGAAUGAUAGUGCCACCAAACACAACAUACCAAAUUAUGAUUUUAGGAAGCAUCCAAGCACUUUCCAGACAAGAAAAUGCUAAUUGUGAAGGAGAUGAUGCCAUGUCAGCUAUAAAUAGGCCUGUAGCAUGAUGAUCAUCCUUCCCCAUCCAUCAUUCCCAUAAGUAGAGUGCAUCGUUCAAGCCAAGCAAGCAGUGGUCAAUACAAAUCCACCAUGAAGACCUUUCUCAUCCUUGCCCUCCUUGCUAUCGUGGCGAUUGAGGGAGUCCUGGAUAAGGGGUAUCUGGACAGCCGGACUAUAUUCAUCGUCCGGACUAUAGAAGCGUCAAGACACAAGACUCAAGACUUCGGCUCGUGUCCGGAUGGGACUCUCCUUUGCGUGGAAAACAAGCUUGGCGACCCGGAUAUUAUGUUUCCUUCCUUGUAACCGAGUCCAUGUAAACCCUAGCUCUCCGGUGUCUAUAUAAACCGGAGAGCAUGGUCCUUACAAGGCCGACCACAAUUACAAUCAUACCAUCAUAGGCUAGCUCUUAGGGUUUAGCCUCUACAAUCUCGUGGUAGAUCUACUCUCGUAUUCCACAUAUCUUCAAUAUCAAUCAAGCAGGAAGUAAGGUUUUACCUCCAUCGAGAGGGCCCGAACCUGGGUAAACAUUGUGUCCCUUGCUUCCUGUUACCAUCAUCCUAAGACGCACAGAUUGGGACCCCCUACCCGAGAUCCGCCGGUUUUGACACCGACGUUGGUGCUUCCAUUGAGAGUUCCUCUGUGUCAUCGCUUCGAGGCUUGAUGGCGUCUUCAAUCGUCAACAACACGGUCCAGGGUGAGACUUUUCUCCCCGGACAGAUCUUUAUGUUCGGCGGCUUCGCACUGCGGGCCAAUUCAUUUGGCCAGUUGGAGCAGAUCGACAGCCUCGCCCCUGGCCACCAGAUCAGGUUUGGAAACUUGAACUACACGACAGAUAUCCGCGGAUACUUGAUCUUCGACGGAUUCGGGCCUGCGCCAGGAGUGCCGGAUAGCCACGACGAGCACGGCCUAGACCUGCUGUCGGAUAGUGCCCGGGACAUUAUCCCCGAAGCAGCCUUGGAUCUAAAUUCAGGACAGGUUGCGGCGCCUAUGGACGGAGGGCUGGACCCCGCUCCGCAGGCCGCACGCUUAUCGGCGGUGGAGCCGAACACUGGCCCCCCCUGUAACCCCGGACCCCCGGACUCAUAUCCGGAUGUUGGUCCUGGUCCGCUCACUCUCGAGCCAGCCGAGCCAGGUUGGGCUCCGGUAAUGGAGUUUACCGCUGCGGACAUCUUUCAGCACUCGCCCUUUGGCGACAUGCUGAGCUCAUUGAAGUCUCUCUCUUGGUCAGGAGACUCUGGGGCGAACUAUGUCCGACCCGAGUGGGAAGCAUGCGAUGAAGGAAUUCGGCGCCCACCCACCACCCACUUCAUUGCCACGAUCAAAGAAUUAGCCGACGUGCUCAACUCCGGAGACAUCGAUGGUAUGGACGACGAUGCAGGAGAGGCUCCAGAACACCUGGAGCGCGGGACUACUACCUUGUCACACGACAUAUACAUGGUAGAUACGCCCAAUAAGGACGGCAACCCGAACGAUAAAACACCCGGGCAAAAGCCAAAGAGGCGGUGCAGACGCCGCUCAAAGUCUAGCAAUGGCAAAAAUAGAGACAAGAGCGCAAGAAGGGUUGAUAUACCCGCAAACUCUGAAAGCAAUAAUGACCACAUGGACCCAACGAUGGAGCAGGACGAGCCAGGUCACACCAAAUAAAGUUCGGAGAAAAUACCCGAUCACAACGAUCCGGAGGGACGAGCUCAUGAUGCCACCCCAGAACAGGAAGACAAUCUGGACAACGAUGCAUUCAUCAUCCCGGACGAACAAGUGGAACGAGACAACCUCCACAGAAAGCUUAUGGCCACCGCAAGAAGUCUAGAAAAGCAGAAGCAACGGCUCAAGGCUGCACGGGAAAAGCUAAGUCGCAGAUGGAACAGGGUGCUAGACACCGAAGAAAGAUAUGGCGAUGACCGUCAUACGAAAAGCUAUCCGAAGCGCAAGCUGCUGCCAGAAUUCGACGAUGCGGCCGUUCCGCCAAAAGAAAAUUCGACCAAGAAACCAGACGUACCGCCUCACAACCAUAAUAGAGCGGCCGUGGACACUGCGCACGAUCCACGCGGGCAUCCGAAUAAAAAGACCGGUGCAGCCAGGUCCAUAUAUGGAUCUAGAAGACACACCCCAACGCAGAACUAUGGUCACCCAAACAUUCAUAAAAGCCAGAUACCAGUUCGGAAUCAACCCCGGACACAACAACAGCCAACUACAUGCCACAACGCGUCCAGAUACAGAGGGGCUGCUUACCACCUGUGCUUCACCGAAGAAGUACUGGACCAUGAAUUCCCACAAGGAUUUAAACCUGUGAACAUAGAAGCAUACGCCGGCACGACAUACCCAGGGGUCUGGAUCGAGGAUUUUAUCCUACAUAUUCACAUGUCUCAUGGGGAUGACCUCCACGCCAUCAAAUACCUUCCCCUCAACUUGAAGGGACCAGCUAGACACUGGUUGGAAAGCCUCCCCGAAAACUCAAUUGGGAGUUGGGAGGUGAAAGGAUCGAUAUAGUUGGGGGGGGGGGUGAAUAGGAAACUAACAAUUUUUAAGCUUUUCUUUACCAAUUUAAACUUUGCAUCAAAAUAGGCUGUCUAGAUAUGCAACUAUGUGAGCAACCUAUAUGAUGGAAUAACAACUAGCACAUAAGCAAGCAAUGGAUACAACACAAGUAAGCUUGCAAAAGUAAAGGCAUGAAAUAACCAAGAGUGGAGCCGGUGGAGACGAGGAUGUGUUACCGUAGUUCCUUCCUUUUAAGGGGAGGUACGUCUCCAUUAGAGCGGUGAGGAGGCACAAUGCUCCCCAAGAAGCCACUAGGGCCACCGUAAUCUCCUCAUGCCCUCACACAAUGCGAGAUGCCGUGAUUCCACUAUUGGUGCCCUUGAAGGCGGCGACCGAACCUUUACAAACAAGGUUGGGGCAAUCUCCACAACUUAAUUGGAGGCUCCCAACGACAGCAUGAAGCUUCACCACAAUGGACUAUGGCUCCGAGGUGACCUCAACCGUCUAGGGUGCUCCAACACCCAAGAGUAACAAGAUCCGCUAGGGAUUAGUGGGGGGAAUCGAAUAUCUCUUGGUGGAAGUGUAGAUCGGGGCCUUGUCACCCAAUCCCGAGCAAAUCAACAAGUUUGAUUGGCUAGGGAGAGAGAUCGGCCGAAAAUGGAGCUUGGAGCAACAAUGGAGCUUAGGGAUGGAAGAGGUGGUCAACUAGAGGUAGGAGACACACCUUUUAUAGUGGAGGACAACAUCCAACCGUUAUCCACUUAGACCAGCCUGCGACAUGUGGUACUACUGCUCCAGGAGCGCGGUAUUAUCGCAAGGCCAUGCGGUACUACCGUGGGAGACCACGGUACUACCGUGGCAGCUACAGAGAUUAUAAGACAAGCAGUACUACCGCGAGCGCGGUACUACCGCUCCCACCUGCGGUACUACCGCGAGGCAGGUAAGUCCUAGUCUGGAAACGGCACGGAUGAAUAAAAAUACAUCCGUGCCUACUUCCGUGGUCAAAGAGACGAUGCAAACAUCCGUCACGGUACUACCGUGCACAAGGCGCGGUACUACCGUGUGUGCGCAGAUGUAAAAAAUUACAUCCGCCCCUACUACCGUGAAGCAACGGCACUAGGCCAGGGAACCACGGUACUACAGCUCGGGGGGAGCGGUACUACCGUGGGCACCCACGGUACUACCGCCCUCAACGUGUGGUACUACCGUGUGGGCGCGGAUGUAAAAAUUUACAUCCGCGCCUACUACCGCGAGGCAGCGAUACUUGGCCAGGGAGCGACGGUACUACGACUCCGAAUGAGCGGUACUACCGUGGGCUCCCGUGAUACUACCGCACAUGGGCACGGUACUACCGCAAGUGCUUGCGGUACUACCGCUCCAGGGAGCAGUACUACCGCAAGCUCAGCAACAGUAGUCCAGACACUCACAUAGAGGAUAGAUGGGGAAUGCUCCAAAGUGCAAGGGAAAGGAGGAGACAAGGAAGGAAACGUGUACGUGAUGAUUCCACCCGAACCUUUCUGACGUGGACCCCCUCUUAAUAGUACGGCUCUCCAACGACUCAAAUCCACCAAAAAGAAACAUAGAAAUACGCCGUCUUCAAUAGUCUUCGAGGGGCACCGAACCGUCUUGUGCCUAGCGAUGAAGCAACUGAGAAACUCAAGGCACACGAUUAGUCCGCUAAAGCAUUGUCAUCAAUCACCAAAACACUUAGGGAUAAAAAUGCCCUUACAAUAUCCCCCUUUUUGGUGGAUGACAAUACGGGAUUUUCACAAGGGAAAAAAUAAUGAGCAUAGGCAAACCCCUCCUCUCUAAAAUGUAGACGGGCUCCCCCUAGAUGUGUGCAAUCUAGAUGGAUGCUUUGGACUGCACAACACACUAGCUAGGAUUAACACUCCCCCUAUAUUUUAGAGACAAGGCAUGUAAGACUAACAAUCUAAGUAAGUGCAUAAACAAAGGUAGCACAAUAUAACACUAGCUCACUAAGAUAGGUAGAGUGCAUAUGUCUUACACCAUAUGAGGGACAAACUAAACCAAAUCAACCGAAACAACCGAAACGAGGUUCAAAUGAGACACGCAAACACACGAAACACGACACACGACUCACAAAUCCCUACACUCUCUCCUCCUUUGGCAUCGAGACGCCAAAAAGGCAGAGAGGACACCUACACACAAGUGGUGGCUCAAGCAGAGAAAUCAUCCCAAUGAUCCUCUUCAGACCCGGCAGCAAGAAUGGUCUCCUCGACGUCCUCCUUAGAAUCAGUCCACUUGUAGCCUUGUUUCUCCAUCCACUCAACCUCUGGAGUAAUGUGAUCCUCAGACCCACCAGACACGUCCUCUCCAUACAGCUUCAGAAUCUUCUUGUCAUGGCGACGACUCUCCUUGGAUGCCACGUGAGUCCUGUACUGCCCCUUAGCUUGUAUGCAUAAAAGAGUCUUCAUCUUGUCCUUCAGCUUCUUGGCCCACAAGGGCAUAGAGGAACUAUGGGAAGACCCAGCAGCACGGUUAGCAGCAACAUCCUCUGCUUCAGCCUCAUCCUCAUCAACAACCCUCUUAGCAGUAGUCGCCUCAGCACGAGUAGUAGUGUUGGCCCAUUUGGACUUGACACGGAGACUGAUGGGAUCAUGCCGAAUCCAGUCAGGAGCAAGGAACUCAUCACCAGGGUACUGCUUCGCCCAAGUCUUGGAGAUCAACAGAAACAUGUAUGGUCCAUAGAUAGGCACCUUGCUGUUGAACACCGCAAACCGAAGCUCACACCACAUGAUGUGUGUGACAUCAAGUGGCUGAGUCUGAGAUACGCGAGCCUCCUCGCAGAGGAGCAUCAUAUCCACCAUAUAGGCAUGGACCUUGUCCUUGUCACCAAUGCGAGGGAACAGAGAGUUGCGGAAGAUGCGAUACAUGAUAUCCAGAAAAGAGUUGAGCAUCCACGUUGACUUGCUAUUGGCAAGCACCUUCUCAACAUAGAACGGCUGAAGCUUGUCCUUGUUCGCAGACUCAGAAUUGGCAUGGGGGCGAACACCCACUGGUGAGUUGAGCCCGUCAUCAGGAACCUGGAGCAGAUCCAUGAACUCCUUCCAGGUAGCAGUCAACUGACGACCAUUGGUCGUCCAGGUCAUCCUCCGCUCCUCCCCAGGGUGAAAGAACACUGAGGCAAAGAACUGACAAAUAAGCUCAGGGUCAUAGUCAAGAUGGAAAGAGAUCACAUGCUCAAUAUCAAACUGCUCCACCAAAUCCAGAGCUUCUCCAAAGUACUCACGAUACAUAUCCUUCCUCAGGUGAUGCAUGUCUAUCCACCUGACAUCCACAUAGGUAUUUUGCUUGUUCUUGAUGACAUCCAGAUAGGUGAGAGUCUGCUGCUUGUUCGAAAACAACUCACAGCCUCUAACGGUAGCACGAGGAAUCACAUACGGGUUGAGCUGCCUGAGACGGAUGUACUCAGAUUGGGGUAUCUCGUCCAUGCCCUUAGCGGGUUCCUUGUGCUUGCUAGCGGUGGCCUUGACAUGGCGCUUGGGGGCAGAGGAGGAGCCCUCUGGUGCAUCACUUGGAUUGCACAGACGCUUGGAGCCAGUGUCACGACUGGGAUUGGAACGACGAGAGCCACCACCUGAGACACAAAAUGCAAAACACCCACGACAGGCAAAAAGGAUCAAUGCAAAGACCACGGCAAAGCACAAGAACCACAUAGGAAGUAUACGUGAAAGUUUCCAUGAGAUAGAUGGGAUCCACGGUAGUACUGCCGGAUGCGGUGGUACUAAAAUUUUAGUACCGCUCCAAGUCGCAGUAGUACCGGGGUGGGAGCGGUAGUAAAAUUUUAGUGUCGUAGCGUGCACGGUAGUACCGCGCCUGACGGGCGGUAGUACCAGACAAGCGGUAGUACCGCAUAGGUGGCGCGGUAGUACUGCACCGCGUCAGAUCCAAACCAAAGUUUGAAUCUGAGAAGAACCGCGAAACCACGGCGGUACUACGGUUGAUCAAAUCUAGCACAGGACAAAAAGACAAGUAUAAUCCCUACACGAUACUACUCUCCUACAGCCUACUCUUGCAUAGAUUUAGCCUAAAAUCUCAAGAACACACAAGUCUUCCCCACAAACCUAGAGGCAAAGAAAACAACAAAAGCGAGAGGGAGUUGGGAAAAGACCCUUGCCCAUGGCAAGAGCACGUGGUGGGGAAUGAUCCCACCGAACGGAAUCGCAGGAGAGCAGCCGGAGGCGGAGAUCCGGCGAAGGACCCCGGCCCCGUUCUUGAGCGAGGGAGAGAGAGACGAAGUGGGAAACUGAUGAAUGGGUAUGGGGGAGUUGGAACUCCCCCUCCCCAUCCUUAUCCCCACGCGUCAAAGAUGUCGCGGUAGUACCGCACAUCAUCACGGUAGUACCGCUUGGGUGGAACUACCGCACCGAAGCAGUAGUACCGCUCUCCCAGGCGGUAGUAAAAAAUUACUGCCGCGUGGGGCGGUAGUACCGAGAUCUCCACACGCGUAGUACCGUAGCAUGCUGCGGUAGUACCGUGAGCUCAAGAAAAAGCAGGUUUCAACACAAAAGAGGUCUUUGCAAGGAAACUUUUAGCACAAGAGACACCACAAGAACACGCACAACCCAAAGGCAGAAAGACAACAAGAAGCAACCACGCAACACACCCUCUCAAAAAGCGAGGGCGGUGGCCGGAGCCACCUAUGUUUGAGUCAGUUUGUAUGGCACCGCAAAGAAUUAUCCUUGGGCCCAUGACCGAAACUCAUCUUUGAAGCACAAGUUCCAUAAAAAAUGGUUAAUGUGACAGAGUUGAUCGAUUUAUGCAUAAUGGGGGAGGGAGGGUUCAUUGAGAGAACGGUACUCCCCCUAUGUCCAUGCCCACACCUAAACUAGACAACAAGUUGAGUGAGGUGGGGUGUGCACAGGCUCAAGUCACAUUGCUCGAACCAAUGAUAUUUAGCUCAUGCCUUAACUCGCGAAAUCGUGCUUCAUCAAAGGGCUUCGUGAAAAUAUCUGCAAGGUUAUCAUGAGUGUUGACAUACUUGAGCUUGAUCUCCCCUCGCCUACUGUGAUCCCGGAUGAAGUGAUACCGAAUCUCAAUAUGCUUCGUCUUGAAAUGUUGCACCGGGUUGAGAGAAAUCUUGAUGGCACUUUCAUUGUCACACCAAAGAGGCACUUUGUCACAAAUGACACCAUAUUCCUUUAAAGUUUGCCUCAUCCAUAAGAGUUGUGCACAACAACUACCGGCCGCCACAUAUUCCGCUUCGGUGGACGAGAGAGACAAACAACUUUGCUUCUUGGAAGACCAACUCACCAAAGAGCAACCAAGAAAUUGGCACCCUCCAGAAGUGGACUUCCUAUCCACCUUGUCUCCCGCCCAAUCGGAAUCCGUAAAUCAUUCAAGCUUGAAGUUAGCUCCUCUUGGGUACCAUAGGCCAAAGUUUGGGGUAUGAGCCAAAUAUCGAAAGAUUCGCUUGACCGCCACAAAGUGGCUUUCCUUUGGUGCGGCUUGAAACGGUGCACACAUUCCCACACUCAACAUGAUAUCUGGUGAUGCACAAAGGUAAAGCAAGGAUCCAAUCAUAGAGUGAUAUACCUUUUGAUUCACCGCUUUACCAUUGGGAUCAAUGUCAAGUUGGCACUUGGUGAGCAUUGGAGUAGAGGCCGGAUUGACAUCACUUAGCUUGAAUCUCUUAAGCAUGUCUUGAGUGUAUUUGGCUUGGUUGAUGAAGGUACCUUCUCUUUUUUGUUUGAUAUCAAAACCAAGGAAGAACUUUAACUCUCCCAUCGAAGACAUCUUGAACUCAGAGGUCAUGAGAGCGGCAAAUUCUUCAUUGAAAGCAUUGUUAGGGGAACCAAAGAUAAUGUCAUCAACAUAUAGUUGGCACACAAACAACUCCCCUUUUACCUUCUUAGUAAAAAUAGUGGGACCGAUUUGCCCAACUUCAAAUCCACGAUCUUGUAACAACUCGGUAAGGUGGUCAUACCACGCACAUGGGGCUUGUUUAAGGCCAUAGAGUGCCUUAUCGAGUUGAUACACAUGAUCCGGGAAGUAAGGAUCCUCGAACCCGGGGGGUUGCUUGACAUAAACCAACUCAUUAAUAGGACCAUUAAGAAAAGCACUUUUCACAUCCAUUUGUUGUAACUUAAAGUUGUGAUGGGAAUCAUAAGCAAUCAACAAACAAAUGGAUUCAAGGCGAGCAACAGGAGCAAAGGUUUCACCGUAGUCGAUACCGUCGACUUGGGAGUAGCCUUGUGCUACCAAUCUUGCCUUGUUGCGAAUGAUGUUCCCAUGAGCGUCUUGCUUGUUCUUGAAAAUCCACUUGGUUCCAAUGACAUUAUGGUUCCCCGACGGCCGUGGCACCAAUCUCCACACCUUGUUGUACUCGAAGUUGUUAAGUUCUUCAUGCAUGGCAUUGAGCCAAUCUGAAUCUUCGAGCGUCUCAUAGACCUUUUGGGGUUCAACACAAGAGACAAACGCGUGAUGUUCACAAUAGUUUGCUAAUUGUCUACGAGUGCUUACCCCCUUUCUUAGGCUUCCAACCACAUUCUCCAUAAGAUGGCCUUUGGUGGUGAGCUUGGAAGCAAUCUUUGCGGCACAACGCUCUAGUUCCUCCUCGGAUGUGGAGGAAGGAGGAUCAACUUGAUUAUCUUGAGCGCCGUCUUGAGCUUGUUCGAGAUCUUGAUCUUGCUCUUGAUCUUGAACUUGCUCAAGGGGGAAAACUUGACCUUGGGCAUCAUUUGGUGGAUCACCACCAUCUUGAGUUUGAUCUUGCCCUUGGUCUUGUUUAUGAGGUUGCGAGCCUUCACUUUGUUGUUCGGAAGCAUGUGGGUCUUGGGGAGGUGAUGGCUCCACUUGAGUGGAGCAUUGUCCUUCUCCUUCGGCCACAAGGGGUUCCUCAAUGGGUAGAAUAUGACCAAUACCCAUUCUUCUUAUGGCUUGGGGAGGAAUUUCAUCACCUACAUCACAAGUACCACUUUGCUCCACUUGGGAGCCGUUAUUUUCGUCAAACUCCACGUUACACGUCGCCUCAAUGAGUCCGGUGGACUUGUUGAGAACACGGUAAGCAUGAGAGUUUGUAGCAUAACCAACAAAUAUGCCCUCAUAAGCUCUAGCCUCAAAUUUAUACAAACGGACACCCUUUUUGAGAAUGAAACACUUACACCCGAACACCCGGAAGUACUUGAGAUUGGGCUUGUUACCGGCGAGGAUUUCAUAAGGAGUCUUGUUCAAGCCUUUGCGGAGAUAGAGCCGAUUUGAUGCAUGACACGCGGUGUUGAUGGCUUCGGCCCAAAAGUUGUAUGGAGACUUGAACUCCGCCAUCAUGGUCCUUGCCGCAUCCAUCAACUUCCGGUUCUUCCUCUCCGCAACACCAUUUUGUUGAGGGGUGUAUGGAGCUGAAUAUUGAUGCUUGAUCCCCUCAUCACUAAGGAGCUCGUCCAAGGUGUAGUUCUUGAACUCGGUGCCGUUGUCACUUCUUAUUGUCAAGAUCUUUGCAUCAUGUUGUCAUUGAGCUUCAUUUGCAAAGUCGAUGACGGUUUGUUGGGUUUCACUCUUCCUCUUGAAGAAAUAUACCCAAGUAUAUCUUGAAUAAUCAUCCACAAUCACCAAGCAAUACUUUAUUCCCCCAAGACUAUCAAAGGAUGGAGGCACAAAGAGGUCCAUGUGAAGGAGCUCCAAGGGUCUCUUCGAGUAGAUGAUAGUCGUGGGAGGGUGAGCCGUCUCAUGAAGCUUUCCUUCGAUACAAGCACUGCAAGCAUGAUCUUUGGCAAAACUAACAUUUUUUAGUCCACGGACAUGGUCCCCCUUGAGAAGACUUUGCAAAGAUCUCAUAUUGACGUGGGCUAAACGGAAAUGCCAAAGCCAUCCCACAUCAACUUUAGCCAUUAGGCAUGUCGCGGUCUUAGUGGGUCGCUCCGAAAAGUUAAUCACAUAGAGACCGUUCUCGACAUGCCCAACAAAGGCUACUUUAAGAGUCUUGCUCCACAAUAGGGCCACGGUAUCAACAUCAAAGAAGGUGGCAAAGCCCAUGAGUGCGAGUUGACGAACGGAAAGUAAAUUGUAUGCAAGGGACUCAACAAGCAUGACUUUCUUGAUCGUUAGAUCAUGAGAAAUGACAACCUUGCCAAGACCCAAUACCUUAGAAUGUGAGGCAUCACCCCACUCGACAUUUUUGGGCAUAGAUGGGAUCUUUUGCACGUCCACCACCAAGUCCUUGCUCCUGGUCAUAUGAUUUGUUGCUCCACUAUCGAGCAACCAUGAUCCCCCACCAGAAGCAAACACCUACAAGAGAUCAAUGCUUGGUUUAAGGUACCCAUUGAGUAAUGGGUCCUUUGAUGUUAGUAACAAGGGUCUUAGGAACCCAAAUAUACCAUUCAAUGUACUCAUAAGAAGAACCAACAAAUUUAGCAUAAACAUGCCCAUCACUAGCACGGCACAACACAUAAGAAGGGUUAAAGUCGCCGACUUUGUUGGGAGAGGUGACUUUGCCCUUUUUGGCAUCACCACUCUUUGCAGUGUUCUUCUUCUCCUUAGGAGUACCCUCUCCCUCCUUCACAAAAGUUUUCUUAAGCGGGGGAGGUCGUUUGAUCUUGUCAUUCUUCUUCUGGUUCUUCUUCUUGUUCUUGGACUUGGGUGAGAACCCACCUCCCUCCUUUGCCACAACUUCAUUUUGAUUGCUCAAAAGGUCAUUUAGGUUCUUCUCACCUUGUAUGCAUGACACAAGGACUCUCUCGAGUUGUUCCUUCAACUUGGCAUUCUCCUCCACAAGAUGCACAUGCUCACAACACGGGUCAGUAGCAUUUGCGUUAUCAAUUAAGAUUAAGUGAGGAAAGGUGGCCUUCUCCUUGGUUAGCUUAACUUGGAGUUGAGCAUGAGACUUCUUGAGGUUAGUAUGAGCACCCUUCAAGACCUUGUGGGCCUUGUCAAGCACAUCAAACUCCUCCUUGACUCUAGCAUGAUCAACCCCAAGUUUAGCCUUCUUGGAAGUCAGCACACGAGACACAACAAGAGCAUGAUCGAGAUCUUCCUUUAACUUGGCAUGGUCAUCGUUUUGUGACUCCUCAAGAGCCAAACGAUGCCCACACUCUUCCUCAAGAGCAUUAGAGAGAUCCGAUAUCUCAUCGACAUAGUCAUGACUAUGACCUUCCAUCUUAGAGAUGGUUUCUUUGUGAGCCUCGAUCAUGUCAUUGGCUUCACCAAGUUGUUCCAAGAGAGCAACAAAGUGCUUCUUGGAUUUGCCCUUGAGCUUACUCAUAAAGGACUCAAAAUCAUUUACCUCCUCAUUAGACCCCUAACCAUCAUCAAUCCCAACCGUCAAACAAGGAUUAGGAAUAAUGGUGGUUUUGAUGUUGGGGGUUACCUUGUUGGUGGCUUUAGCCAUGAGGCACUUGGCGGUGAUGUUCUCGUUGGGUGAAUCGAAGAGAGACACCCGGGAGUUGUGGCAAUGGCAACGGAUGCCAUGGCCAUUGAUUCACUAUCUUCAUCAUCAUCGUCAUCCUCACGGUACUCCUCUUGAACCACCAACCCUUGAGUAGGAGUCUUCUUGGUGAAGUUGUUCUUGUUGGGGAAAGACUUGGCUUUGUCUCUCCGGAUGAGCUUGCCACCAUUGUCUUCCCGCUUCUCGUAAGGACAAUCCGCAACAAAAUGGCUCACAUUGCCACAGUUGAAACAAGUUCUAACUCGUUGCUUGCUCUUGAAGCCACUUGAGUUGUUCUUGUUGAAAUUGGGUCUUGAGUUCUUCUUGCUCCAAAAUUGCCUUGAAGCGAGAGCCAUGUGCUCGUGAUAAUCAUAUUUUGUAUCUUCGGUAUUGCUCUCCUCAUCUUCCUCUUCUUCCUCUUCUUCCACAAUAACCUUGGCCUUCAAGGCAAGGUUGGGCUUCUUUGCUCCUUGAGACCGGAGCACCGCAUUAUCGGCGGUCUUGUCCAAGAUGCUCAUUGCAACGAACUCAUCCAACACUUAACUUGAGGUCAUGGAGUGGAAGUCCGGCCUUUGACGAAUGACGGAGGACAUGGACUUGUUGUAGGGCAUCAUGGCCUUGAGAAACUUGCGUUUGAUCCAAUUGUCAUACGUGUCCUUGCUCCCAUGAUCUCGGAGCGAGACCGCAAGUUUGGUUACUCUCCGAAAGAGCUCACGAGGUUCUUCAUCUUCCUUCAUAGCAAACUCAUCGGCUUCAUCUUGCACUACUUCAUAGUUGGAGCAUUGAAUGCUCGCGCUUCCCCAAUAAAGAGACACAACGCACCGCCUCGCGUCUUUGGCCGUGGAGUAGGGUCGAAGAUGAGGGAGAUCUUUGGGGAGAAUUGCUUCUUGGUUGAUGAAGAGAGCAUUCUCAUUGAAUUGAUUAUCCACGGCUUCUUGAGGGGUGAAGUUGCUUGGGUCAUGUGGAUAGAAACCUUCUUCAAUGAUUCUCCAAAGAUUAGUAUUCACAUGCUUUAAAUGACGCUUGAAGCGAUACACCCAAGAAUCAAAAUCCUCAUUUUUCACAAUCUUAGGAGGAGGACCGACAUGAUUUAAAUGAGUAGACGGAAUCGGUCCACCAUAAGUUGGAGGUUCCACAUGGGCAAAGAUGCCGGAACCAUUUUUACCGCUUGUAGAAGGACCCUUUUCACUGUUAGCUUCCCCUUGUCGGAGGUAGCAUCCGUCACCUUGUUAGCGGGAUCACCCACUUUCAUCAGCGAGGUGGACAAUUUAAGUCCUUCUAAAAAUUUAGUAAACAUGCUUUCAACCUUGGUCCUCAUGGAGUCUUUCAAUGUGUCUAGAGCCACAUUGAAUUCCUCACGAGAGACCGAGGUUCCCCCAUCGGCCAUAGACGAGGUAGGAUUCACGCCGGAGUGCUCUUCCACAACGUCUAUGGCGUCAACCAUACUCUUCGGACGGCAAAGUCCUUAAUAAAGAGACGAAGCUCUGAUACCAAUUGAAAGGAUCAAUAUAGUUGACUAGAGGGAGGGGUGAAUAGGCAACUAACAAUUUUUAAGCUUUUCUUUACCAAUUUAAACUUUGCAUCAAAAUAGGUUGUCUAGAUAUGCAACUAUGUGAGCAACCUAUAUGAUGCAAUAACAACUAGCACAUAAGCAUGCAAUGGAUACAACACAAGUAAGCUUGCAAAAGUAAAGGCACGAAAUAACCAAGAGUGGAGCCAGUGGAGACGAGGAUGUGUUACCGAAGUUCUUUCCUUUUAAGGGGAAGUACGUCUCCGUUAGAGCGGUGUGGAGGCACAAUGCUCCCCAAGAAGCCACUAGGGCCACCGUAAUCUCCUCACGCCCUCACACAAUGCGAAAUGCCGUGAUUCCACUAUUGGUGCCCUUGAAGGCGGCGACCGAACCUUUAUAAACAAGGUUGGGGCAAUCUCCACAACUUAAUUGGAGGCUCCCAACGACAACACGAAGCUUCACCACAAUGGACUAUGGCUCCGAGGUGACCUCAACAGUCUAGGGUGCACAAACACCCAAGAGUAACAAGAUCCGUUAGGGAUUAGUGGGGGGAAUUGAAUAUCUCUUGGUGGAAGUGUAGAUCGGGGCCUUGUCACCCAAUCCCGAGCAAAUCAACAAGUUUGAUUGGCUAGGGAGAGAGAUCGGCCGAAAAUGGAGCUUGGAGCAACAAUGGAGCUUAGGGAUGGAAGAGGUGGUCAACUAGAGGUAGGAGACACACAUUUUAUAGUGGAGGACAACAUCCAACCGUUAUCCACUUAGACCAGCCUGCGACAUGCGGUACUACUGCUCCAGGAGCGCGGUACUACCGCAAGGCCACAUGGUACUACCGUGGGAGACCACGGUACUACCGCGGCAGCUGCAGAGACUAUAACACAAGCAGUAUUACCGCGAGCGUGAUACUACGCUCCCACCUGCGGUACUACCGCGAGGCAGGUAAGUCCUAGUCUGGAAAUGGCACGGAUGAAUAAAAAUACAUCCGUGCCUACUUCCGUGGUCAAAGAGACGAUGCAAACAUCCGUCACGGUACUACCGUGCACAAGGCACGGUACUACCGUGUGUGUGCGGAUGUAAAAAAUUACAUCCGCCCCUACUACCGUGAAGCAACGGCACUAGGCCACGGAACCACGGUACUACAGCUCGGGGGGAGCGAUACUACCGUGGGCACCCGCGGUACUACCGCCCUCAACGUGCGGUACUACCGUGUGGGCGCGGAUGUAAAAAAUUACAUCCGCGCCUACUACCGCGAGGCAGAGGUACUUGGCCAGGGAGCCACGGUACUACGACUCCGAAGGAGCGGUACUACCGUGGGCUCCCACGGUACUACCGCGCAUGGGCACGGUACUACAACAAGUGCCUGCGGUACUACCGCUCCAGGGAGCAGUACUACCGUAAGCUCAGCAACAGUAGUCCGGACACUCACAUAGAGGAUAUACGGGGAAUGCUCCAAAGUGCAAGGGAAAGGAGGAGACAAGGAAGGAAACGUGUACAUGAUGAUUCCACCCGAACCUUUCCGACGCGGACCCCCUCUUAAUAGUACGGCUCUCCUACGACUCAAAUCCACCAAAAAGAAACGUAGAAAAACACCAUCUUCAAUAGUCUUCGAGGGGCACCAAACUGUCUUGUGCCCAGCGAUGAAGCAACUGAGAAACUCAAGGCACACGAUUAGUCUGCUAAAGCAUUGUCAUCAAUCACCAAAACACUUAGGGAUAAAAAUGCCCUUAUAGGAGGAACUCGAAAACGCUUUCAGGGCCAAUUUUCAAGGGACUUAUGUCUGGCCUCCGGAUGCAGACGAUCUAAGUCACAUAAUCCAACAGCCCGGAGAGUCCGCCCGCAAGCUUUGGAACAGAUUCCUCACUAAGAAGAAUCAAAUUGUCGACUGUCCGGACGCUGAAGCCUUAGCGGCUUUCAAACACAGCAUCCGUGACGAAUGGCUCGCCGGCACCUCGUCCAAGAAAAGCCUGCCUUUACGGGCCAACCAGCUAUCCUCACCCGCGUAAAAGCGGGUUAUAAGGCUUGUUAAGGCUGCCAUUGUCCUGAUUCAGGGGCUCUCGACCUGGUCAGCAAAAGAAGCCAUUGAAAGGCAGUAAAGACGGAUCGUCCGGUCUGAACAGAGUCUUGGACAGACUAUGCCAAAUUCAUGGCACCCCGGAGAAACCUGCAAACCACACCCAUAGAGAGUGCUGGGUUUUCAAGCAGGCCGGCAAAUUAAAUGCCGAACACAAGAGGAGGGACACACCAAACGAAGAAGAGGAUGAACCCCACCAGCCGAACACCGGGGUACAGAAAAAAUUCCCGCUAGAGGUUAAAACAGUCAACAUGAUCCAUGCGACUCGCACAUCCACGAGAGGGCAUAAAACACUCGCCCAUAGAAGCACACGAUGUAGAGCCCGUCGUACCCACGUCUCACUACUGGAUGUCUCGUCCGAUCACAUUCGAUCACACGGAUGACCGAACUAGUAUUCGGCACGGAGGAUCACAGGCCUUGGUGCUUGACCCACUAAUCGAUGGAUACCGUCUCACCCGCGUCCUCAUGGACAGCGGCAGUGGUCCCAAUUGAAUAUACGAGGAUACUGUCCGCAGAAAGGGGAUAGACCCAUCCAGAAUUAAACAAAGCAACAUCACCUUUGAAGGGGUGAUACCAGGCGUUGCAGCCUGCGCCAGGGGCUCCGUCGUGCUAGAAGUAACAUUCGGCUCCCCAGGCAACUCCAGAAGCGAAGAGAUGCUCUUCAAUAUCGCACCCUUCCAAAGCAGCUAUCACGCAUUGCUAGGAAGAACGACCUUCGCCUGCUUCAACGCACUGCCACACUAUGGCCACCUUACACUCAAGAUGCCCGGUCCCCGUGGCGUCAUCACUGUUAGCAGAAUCAUAAAGCGCCAUUCAUGCGCAGAGGAAUAUGCGACGGCCCUGGCGGCCGGACUAUAAGCGGCCUCCAGUUUUUAGAAAACAUGAUUGGUCAUUAUGACCACAGACACGGUUAGACGAGUCCGUUAGCCCGGAUAAAUUCAAACAGGGCACUGUAUAUAUAAUCCCGUAAGGGAAACCAGGCGCUGUUUAUAUUUAAUACAGCCCCACGCUUGGCUCGACCUUAUUGGCAGGCCAAUAGUUUACACUCUUAUUAUUAAUCGCAUACUUACGAUGCAGCCUCCUGUGAGUUUUUCUUUUUUACAGACAACGUUCGCGCGAUACCCUUCCAGGAUACGGCACAAUAGAGACAAAGGCGCAGACGUGCAACAGGGCCUUGUGCAACAGGUUUCUUUUUAGAUUAAGCCCCUGUGUAAUCCUUUUCUACUGCCUCUUGUUGUUUAACCAUCCCAUGGGUUCUCUACCCACAGAGGAUACUGCCAUUUUUGGCAUUUGGCCACGGCAGACUAAAAUGCACGUACCUAGAAAUAAAGGGCUUAAAAUAGGCUCUUGUCAGCCUAUCUUCUUUUACAAAAUACCGAAUACCCUCGGGAGUGUUCAGCGUCACGAGUUUGACCAUAUAUGCAUCAGCUCCGAAUCAUGUCUUAGGUCAAAAUGUUGGGUUUGCCCGGCUCCUGGGUAGGCCGCCUUAUGUUUCGCUAUCAUCCGGCUAAGGCAGGCCAAAGGAGAACUACUGCGAUUGUGCCCUGGUUAUUCCGGAUGAGCGCCUCAGUAGAGAAAGCCGAAAACUGACCGUCAUGAUGCAGCGAGAGACUGUUCAACCACUCGAAGACUCACCGGAAUCCCUAAAGAUUCCUUCGCCUUAACGAAGGGCCGUUUUUCGGCCAUGUACACAUGCGCCCAUAUUUGGAUGCACGUAGAGGUACCAGGGGCUACAUAGUCCCCACCAUUAGACUCCCAUGGCUAAGCGAAAGUGUUACAGCUAUAUAGUCUGAUUGCCUAGUUCAGCGUGCGAUCACCUCCUUAACGGACCAAGACGUUGGAUCAAGUGUGCUUAUGCAUAUUUUUUCGCCAACACCCCCGCAUUAUCCGCGAGGGGGCUGAAGCCAACGACUGCUAUCUUUCAGACUACUUAUACAUAUAAGAAUAGCCGCAAAGGGAGGACAAUCAUACUUCCGGGCAAAAGUAUAAACAUAGCCUCAUAAUUAAACUAAACAUUGUUUUCUACAAUGAUUCGACUUAUCACUCGAAUAAAACACUCUUCGAGCACUGCGCCUCUAUCAGGCGGGCACCUUCUGUGACUUGCGCCAAGUAGUGCUCGGCCGGAUGUUGGCCUCCCGACGGAUCCUGGCUUGCUAUUACAGUGGCCUCCAUAUCCGUCCAGUAGGCUUUAACGCGGGCUAGAGCCAUCCGCGCACCUUCUAUGCACGCCGACCUUCUCAGGGCGUCAAUCCAGGACACCGCUCCAAGGAAUUGUUGCACUAAACCAAAGUAGCUGUCCGGCUUAGGCCCCUUCGGCCAAAGAUGGUCUAUUACAGACCGCAUUGCCAGUCCGGACAGCCUGUGGAUCUCCGCCAUAGCAGCCACCUUCUCAUUCAGUGGCAGCUGGCGAGUAGGAGCAUUAAACUGCGACCAGAAAAGCUUCUCCACUUCUUCAUCGCCUUGACCCUCGAAGAACUUGGCAGCGUCAGCUGUACUAUUCACCAAAUCCGCAUAUGCGUCCGCAGGACUCAUGCGACCCGCCAGGGGAGCAUACUUCGGAUCCAAGAACUUCGUCCGCAACAAGUACGAGCCCCCAGCCACGAUUUUGUCAGUUUGUUGGAGCUCCUCCCACAUACUCCGGAUCUCGGUCCGCAUCUCCUUGGCGGCAUUACUUGCCUUGUCCAGCUCGGCCGAACUAGCCUUAUUCUCCUUUUCAAGGAGUGCGUACCGGUCGGCGGCAUUUUUUAACUCUUCAGCCAUUUCGUCUAUCUUUUCCUCUCUUCGGCGAUGAGCAGCCUAUUCGGCUCUCAACUCUUCGACCGCCUUUAGGGCAGCCGCAUUGCUAGCCCGAGCUUGUUCCUUGGCUUGAGCAAGUUCCACCCUCAGGGCCUUCACGGCAGCAGCACCAUCUGCAGUGCACACGUAUUGCAUUAAUAUUAUGCCUUUUGGCAUCUUCGUAUACAUUAUAAUAAAAACCAAGCACAUACCCUGGGACUCCUCUAGCCGUUUAUUCACCAGCGUUAUAUCGGCAUCGAUUGAUCCGAUUUGCCUCCUUAGCUCGACAACUUCAACAGACUGGUCGGCUGCCGGAUCCUUGUAUACCUGCGCACAUGUACGACGCAACCAUUAGUAUAUGAUCCACCGUUUGCCGCUUAUGGCGGGCAACCAGAGUCUCAGGGGCUACUAUCUAUAGGGAGCACACCUAGCGCGUGCUUCAUAACCAAAAAGUUGUGCAUUUUUUCACUACAUACCUCAAAGCCUUUGAGUAGGCUUGUAAAUGCCUCAUUCAAGCCGCCGGUAGCGGAUGAAAUCUUCGUGAGCACCGUGCUCAUUAAAGAGUGGUGCUCCUCCGAGAGUGCGGCUCACUCUAGACGGCCCGUCAGUACGUCCGGCCGGACAUUAAAUUGCGCCGGACCCUUCUCCUCACCCCCCGUGGGAGCCAAACGCUCCGGGCUUAGGGCAGCUGACGUACUAGCCUCCGGCUUUGGCAGAUCCAGACUCCUCCGUGACGACACCUCCGUGUCGCCCGCUUCAUGAGGCGGAGAGCUGGGUGGAGUCUCGCUCUCCAUCAUCUCCGGACGAAGGUCCCCCGAAGACGAACUCUGUUGAGAAGAGCUACUCGCCGGACAACAAAAGGCGAAGUCCUGGUUAUGGAUCUCGGAGUAACGCUACACCUUCGAAUUGAUGAAUAACUUACGGCUCGGUCGAGGGCUGGCCCGUUGGUGGGCAUGACGUGGUGAGGGCGCCCGUCGCGGCAGAACCCCUUGGAGAUGUUUUCUUCCCUUGCUUGGGCGUCUCCGCCUCCAAAUCUUCGGAGGCGGCCCUUUUCCUCCCGCGUGGGGAGGAGGCUUUGACCUCCCCUUCCCGGCUAUCCUCCAUAGGAGGGGUAGCGACUUCCCCGGUCUGGAUGUGCAGCGCGUGAAGUUCAACUUCACUGCCCUUCCCUUCGCCUUUCCCUGUAGGAAUUUUGCUGAGCGCCCGAUCCAGCAUCUUUGCAAUGGUUGGACCAGGCGGGCCUUCAGGAAGUGGCGCCGGACACCUGAUUCUCUUCGCCUUGGCGAGCCAUUCCUGGCCGCGGAGGGAUUGUCAGAAUAACAGUUAUGAUAAAUAUAAAUGAAGUGUCCGGCUUUAAGGUUACUUACUUGGGCAUCUAGGCGAUUGCAGCUUAGGCCCGCAUCCUCGGUGGUGUCCGGACACUUUACUUGUGGUCCAAAGAAUAAUUUACAGAUCCCUUCGAGCUUCAGGCCGAAGAAGUGCUUAAUAGUCCACGGACCCUCCGGAUUAAACUCCCACAUCCGGAGAGGUCGACAUUUGCACGGCAACAUCCGCCGGACUAUCAUCACCUGCAUUAUGCUGACAACAUUUAUGUCCCUCUCAAUAAGCUCCCGGAUACGAUUCUGCAGUUCUGGCACAUCGCCAGCAGGCCCAUAAUUCCGUCCUUCGUCGGUCCAAGACGCUAACUGUGACGGAGGGCCCGAGCGGAACUCGGGGGCAGCUACCCACUUUGUGCCUCUGGGAGCAGUGACAUAGAACCAUCUCCGUUGCCAUACAUCAGACACUUCCGGAAAAGAACCCUCUGGCCAUGGGGCAUCGGCAUUCCUGCUUCUUAUGGCGCCUCCGCACUCCGCAUGUCACCCCUCGAUCAUCUUCGACUUCACAUUGAAGGUCUUUAGCCAUAAGCCGAAGUGUGGGUUGACGUGGAGAAAAGCUUCGCACACAAUAAUGAAAGACGAGAUAUGGAGGAUGGCGUCUGGAGCCAGAUCAUGGAAAUCCAAGCCAUAGUAGAACAUGAGCCCCCUCACAAAGGGGUCGACGGUGAGGCCUAUGCCUCGGAGGAAGUGAGGAGUAAACACGAUGCUCUCAUUGGGCUCCGGCAUGGGGAUGACUUGCCCCGGAGCAUGAAGCCUAUGCUGGAUAUCAGCAGUCAGGUAUCCGACCUCCCUAAGCUUCGCAAUAUCCUCCUCCUGAAUCGAGAAGGCCACCCACCGGCCAGCUGCGUCGGAUCCGGACAUACUGGAGGAUCUGGGGGGCUGGAGCUUAGGUUUUUUGGCGAUGGAGCUCGAGGUAUGAGAAGGAGCGGAGAGGUGGAGAUGAGGCAUAGGCCUCGACCCCUUUAUAAAAGGGAUGAAUACCAAGAGUCCUCAGCGUGGCCGCUUGAGACUUGUCUAAAACACGGAAUUAUACCAACCAUCGCCGUGGGGUCGCAUAUGCCCAUAUUGAUGAAGGAUCCCGUAUUAACAGGGACACGAUCUCUGCUUUGACAGGAUGUGCCGAUAAAACCGGCUCGCAACGCGAGUCGAGGUGGAGCAGGAAGCGCUGGUUCGUGUUGGACCAGGUCAUGAUGCAAGGGCACAAUGUACGAAGAUUGCCAGCAGAACGGAUUUAUGCUAAGGGUAUGUGAAGAUCAUCUUGUAGAUCCGGACACGACCUACGUGUUUGAUAAUCACCUUGGAGUAUUCGGAGGAGGAACCCGCCUUGCAAUGCCGAAGACAAGACUGCACGCCGGACUCAUCAUCAUUGAAGCCUGGUUCAGGGGCUACUGAGGGAGUCCUGGAUAAGGGGGUAUCCGGACAGCCGGACUAUAUUCAUCGUCCGGACUAUAGAAGCGUCAAGACACAAGACUCAAGACUUUGGCUCGUGUCCGGAUGGGGCUCUCCUUUGCGUGGAAGACAAGCUUCGCAAUCCGGAUAUUAUGUUUCCUUCCUUGUAACCAACUCCAUGUAAACCCUAGCUCUCCGGUGUCUAUAUAAACCGGAGAGCAUGGUCCUUAGAAGGCCGAUCACAAUUACAAUCAUACCAUCAUAGGCUAGCUCUUAGGGUUUAGCCUCUACGAUCUCGUGGUAGAUCUACUCUUGUAUUCCACAUAUCUUCAAUAUCAAUCAAGCAGGAAGUAGGGUUUUACCUCCAUCGAGAGCGCCCGAACCUCGGCAAACAUUGUGUCCCUUGCUUCCUGUUACCAUCAGCCUAAGACACACAGAUCGGGACCCCCUACCCGAGAUUCGCCGGUUUUGACACCGACAGCGACCACCGCCACAACUGCAGUUAGAGUUCCAGUGCCACAAUUGCAGCCACAAAAUCCAUCUCAGCAACAACCACAAGAGCAAGUUCCAUUGGUGCAACAACAACAAUUUCUAGGGCAGCAAUAACCAUUUCGACCACAACAACCAUAUCCACAGCCGCAACCAUUUCCUCCACAACUACCAUGUCCGCAGCCGCAACCAUUUCCACCACAACAAUCAUAUCCACAACCACAACCACAGUAUCCGCAACCACAACAAACAAUUUCGCAGCAACAAGCACAACAACAACAAUGACAACAACAACAACAAAUCCUUCAACAAAUUCUACAACAACAACUGAUUCCAUGCAGGGAUGUCGUGUUGCAACAACCCCGAGCUGUCACGGUGCCAAGUCAUCCACAAUGUCGUUCAUGCUAUUAUUCUCCAUCAACAACAACAACAAAAACAACAACAACAACAACAACCGUCGAGCCAGGUCUUCUACCAGCAGCCUCAGCAACAAUAUCCAUCAGGCCAGGGUUCCUUCCAGCCAUCUCAGCAAAACCCACAGGCCCAUGGCUUUGUCCAACCUCAGCAACUGCCACAGUUUGAGGAAAUAAGGAACCUAGCGCUACAGACACUACCAGCAAUGUGCAAUGUCUACAUCCCUCCAUAUUGCUCGACCACCAUUGCGCCAUUUGGCAUCGUGAGUACUAACUGAGAAGAGAAGAACUCUAGUACUAGAUAUAUGAAACACCGUUUUCUUAGACCAUGGUUUGGUCGUUGUAGCGGUGAAGAAUAAAGUGACAUGCACUAUCAUGUAAGAACCCAAACUAGACUAUUUCAAACUUGGAAAUAAAAGACAAACACAGGUCUUGUCUGCAUAUGAUUGUUUGUAUGAGUUCCAUUCAUGUGCCCGUCCACAAGUUCACCCCUAAUUAUAUAUAUUAAGCAUUAAGUAGAUGUUUAUGUGCAUUAAUCUAAAGAUAACAAAAUGAAUCUGAAACUUGAAUUAAAUUGAAGUAUUUUCUUGGACUUUCAAAUUGAGCAUCGAUAGUGAGGUCUAUCCACAUCCUUGGCUUGCCCUUGAUCAAUUUUUUCCAAAGAAGCAUUCAAUUCAUCAGUCAAUUACAUUGAUUUUUGUGGCUUGUACUUCUCCUCAACAUGAGUAUCUUCAUUACGGCUACUCCAAUUCUCCCACAUAACUGAAGCAUUAAUAGCGCUCUUCCUUGCAUCAAGGAAAUAUGGAUCGAAGAUAUAUCUUGACCAUGUUUUUGGGUGCAACCUUGGGAGUUUUAUGCCAAAAUAUUCUCAAGAAGAAUCCAAGAAUAAACUUGCAUGCUGACGUGUGAUAAGGGCAUUAGAAGUAACAUUUCCUCAGCAAGGACACACAUAGGGCACACACAUAACCCCAUCACAUGCCUUUUUAGUUAUGCAUAUGAAGGUAGGAUGUUUUUAAUUACUCUGCACCAAAGUACUCUUAACUUGGAUUGUACGUUAAGCUUUCAUUGCCUUUUCAAUUUUUCUUCCACAUUAGAUGAACUAGAUAGUCCAGCUACCACACGAUACCUUGUGUUCAUCACGGCUCUAUACAACAAUUGAACAGAAGAAAUGUCAUUUCUUUACCAUACCCAUGACCAAAUGUUCUCUGCUACUCUCUCCGUCCGAAAAUACUGCCAUCCAUGUCGACAACAAUGAGACAUAUAGGACCGCUAUGCCUCUGUCGAAGGAGGUGGUGGAGCGAUCCGGAGAUUAUGCUGCCAUCCAUGUUGAGUAAAAACCUCACUGGCCACUUGCUCCAAUCGCAUACACACCACCAUAAACAACGGUUGGUACUCAGUUCGGUGUAGCAUACACCAUGUAGGAAGCAAGUGCUUACUCCUAGUUACUGAAUUAUGUACACCAAAUAAACCCAUUUACACGUAGUUAAUGACCAAAAAAAGGUGAUGCUUGCUACGCAGAUGUGUAGUACAAAUUAAGAAGUGCAAGAUAAAAAGAUGCUGGUCCUUGAUUCGUUGUUGAUCCUCAGCAUGCCAUCAUCAACUUGUAGUUAAUUAUCAUACAAAUUGGCUCUUUCAUAGAGUUGGAGGCUAGCUCCUUUGAUCAGCACGCGCUUAAACACAAAGAACACGUAUAUGUAUUCUCUCCGGAGUUCAACUCUUGAUUGGCCAGCAAAAAUGGUCCGACCGGGUAGAGGAAAGGCAUGUUUGCUAGUACGCCUGGAGGAAAUGCCUUUGAUUAGGGCAUCUCCAACGGCGACCGGUAAAUUUUCUCCCACAUUCGUCCACGGACAGGGGAUCAGUCCGUGGAUACGGAUAUAGGAAUCGGCCAUCCAACGCUGUCCGCAUAUAUUUCGAACACUUCUUUAAAAAAAUCGGAUGAAAUUCAUGCAAACACAGUGGAUUCCAUACAAACCGGACAAAAACGUUUACAUUUUGGACAUAUUUUUAACUAAAAACUCUAUAGCCGGCGCUGGCGACGACGAAUAUCCUCCAGCGACAUGGAUACCCUUGAAUAGUCUACUGCCGGCUGCAGCGGAUCUCCAAUGUCGUCCCAUGUCCGGCAGCUGUGAGCCCUAGGUAUAUGCUUCAACGCAAAGAGCAGCUCGCCUCCCUACCACUCAUCGGAGUGGAACAACCAACUGUUGCUUCUGCCAGUGGGGAAGGGUUCCUACGUUACACAGGCCAGAGUUGGUUUUGGGUUGGGAACGGCGGUGGCCUGCCAGAGGGAAAGACACCGGUUGUGUACGCUGGUGUCACCUCGGUAUGGCAUUCAUGGGACCCAAGCGACAGCUUCUCCUCGACGAUGGUGGCGAGCGCAGACGUGUUGGACACCACCUCGUCGAUGUCCAUGCAGCCCACUUCUUUCUCUGUUGGCAGGACGCGGUGCCACACGUUUUGACAUCGAAUGACGCGCUCACAAUCACGGGAGGGGCGGUACGACAUGGCACCAUCAAUGGCAGCCAUGAUGCCCGUGCCACCGUGCUCCCUCUCAGUGCGACCUGGAGCAACUCGCCACUCCUUGGCUCGUGACCGGCGGGCUUGAUGGGCCCCCUAGCCAUUAUUUACGCCAGACAACUCUUUUUCCUUCUCAUCAGAUGCCAUGGAAAAAACUGUUCAAGGAGGAAAAUGAUGAGUGGAGAUGUGAUGCGGUUCUUGCUCGAAAUCUGACAUUGUUUAAAUAGCGAGGGGACACGAGGAGCCAACCGGCGUUCUGUUUAAUGUCAGCCGGCUCACGAACGGACAUGUGACUGGAGUAAUUAUCCUGGCACACGCGCGGGUUUAAUGGUGAAAGGCAGGCAGUCUGGAGGAAUGACGCAUGAUGUGUGUUUAGCCGGCGUGCAGCGGGGCGGUACCCUUGGCGUGCAUGGGGCGGUACUCGGAGGCAUGAAUGCGGGCAAAGGUGUUGUCAGAAGCGGUCGUAGGUGUUGUCUGGACGCGUGCAAAGCCCCCCUCCCCCAUGUGUUGUCUCCGGUUUGCGGGAGAAAGUACAUCCAGACUGCCCUGUGGACCGAUACAAGCCCGCAUUGGAUGGCACAACACGUCCGGACCAUGUGGUCCGGAUGGUUGUGGACGGUUUAAUUGAGAGUCUGCGUUGGAGAUGCCUUAGAGUUUAUGAAUCCAUUGAGUUUUUCUAAUCAUUAAAAAACACUUAUAAUAAGUUAUAAGAAAAGACACGUAUAUAUGUUAGUUUCAGACUCCAGCUUUGCUCUUACAUAUGCUUUUUUUCUGAUCCGACAGAUUCCAAUAGAGUGAGCCCAGCGUUGUUUUUCUGGAAACUCGAUACACGUUCUUUCAAGCAAAUCACAUCCAUUCUUUUUAACUCAUUUUUUCUCGUUUUAAUAAUAUAAUAAAUCAUUUGUAUUUUUUAUCUCGAACAGUUGACGUGUAAUUCCUAUUGUAAUCUAAGGAUAAUGUUUGGAUUUUACUUUCAAAUAUUUGAAAUGGCCAUGAUGGAAUCACAUCCAUUUAUUUUAUUACUAUUUGAAUUUGAUCCAAAAGAUAAAUAAUGAGUAGACGUCCUGAAAACUUUUCUGAGAACUUUGGUAAUCAAAAGACAAAAAAUGUUUUAAGAACUGAAGCAAACAACGAAUUUUACUCUCUAUUUUACUAAAGCAAGUGGCUGCUAUUUAGGUCUAGUAAAUAGCAAAUUGACCAACAACCUUUUUUCCAAAUUGGAAGGAAUGCAGUUCUCAGCUCUCACCAUGGUGAUUAUACAAUCUGGAUUUUUGAGCUGUAGCUAGUCAACUUAUGUUAGUGGCAUAUGUACCAUAGUGUUGGUCACUGGGAAUGGACGAAGCCAUGAGUGAAGGAACAGGAAAUGACAGAAGUACGAUUUGUAGAAUUUCAAAACUCAAACUAUCUAGUUUUAUGGAGUGAUAUGAAAUAAGCAAAACCAACUGCUAAUAAAAAUGUAAAAUUAAACGAUAUAUUUAGAAAUGUGAUUGUGAAGUCAUUGUCACAAAAUAUGACCUCACUAAAAAUGAACAUUCAACCUUAUUUUCAGAAGUUUGCAUACAAAUUCCAUGUAAAUUAUGGUAGUGCCCAUAAACAAAUAAACCAUAAUCGUGCUUGAUCUACCAUGAAACUUACUACCUUGUAUAUACUUUUGUCAUGUCCAGAGAUUUCCUGCACCAUGAACAAAAAUGCCACCGCAAUAAUAGUCGUUCUUUUGUGCACCGGGCGUCGAGGUAGCGUUGGCUGGCCAUCUGCAGCUCAUAGGCGCACGAGCACAGCGGUGGCAUGCCCACCACCGCCUCCAUUGCCCGCAAGGACGCCACCUAGCCACCGCCGUAUUUGGAGAAGAAGCAACAAGCAUGUAAGAGUUUGUCCUUGGACGCUCUAUGGAUCGACCUGAUCGAUCACUCGUUUUGUGCAUGCACCACCACACAUGGCUGAACCGAGCAUCCUCCUGGCGGCGCCCAGUGAGACCGUCCUCGCAGUGGCCACGGCUCGAUGGUUCGCCCCCGUGCGCACGGUACGUGCCGCAGCCUGUAGUCAAAUCAGAGCGCGUAGAGCACUAUCGGUGAGAUCGAAGGAGAGGAAUAUCAAAAUGGAAACUUAGCUAUAGGAGGUGAUGGCAAGGGGAGCUGGUGUGCCGGGAGGGAGACUCCAGGAGCUAGGGAGCACGCCGACGCCAUUGCUCAAGGUGCAAGUUUGUUUCAAUCUUCAAUCCUGCUCGCUGUUGAUUCUGGUUACAGUAAAUUUUAGCUAGAUAUGGUGUAACCUAAGUGUUAUGCCUAGUCUUAAUCUAUCUAUCUAUCCAAUCUUCUAUUCGGCGAGGUGGCUGCGCCUGUGGCAGAUGUGGCCGCUGCCAUGGCCGGCGCCAGACCUGGUCGAUCUCCCUCUUCUGUAUUUGAGAAAAAAAAAUCUGCCUCUUCUCUUCUGAUGAGAAGGGGAAGAGAUGGUGAGAGAUGAAGUCGACGGCUUUGGGGAAAGGAUACGGGAGGACGCCGGUAGUGAGGCGGCAUGAGGAAGACAAGGUGGUUGACAGCGGCGACGCGUGAGGGGAGGGCAAGGGAGGUGUAGUGGUGCAUGGAGAGGAGUGGGUGUGCAGCGUGCCCAGUUCACGAGGGAGGAAAGAGGUCGUCAAGGGAGUGAUCCAUGGGAGUUUUUUUCCUUCAGAGCGAGCCUAGUUGGGCUCUCUGCGGCGUCUAGGCCCAAUGCACCACAUGUCUUCAAAUUGGCCACCAGUAGCAGCCCAUAGAACAGACAGGGCCAGUUUGCAAAUUUUAAAAAAUAAGUUUUUUAGUGCCCAUGAAAAACAGAACACAUAUCUUUCCAAACAUAAUGAACUAUAGGUACCACCAAAAAAACCAUAAUGAACUUUAGGUUGUUACAAGAACUCAUGCCAUCCAACAGCCUCCCUCCAACCCUGCCAACAUUGUUGCAGCUGCACUCGCAAGCGUUACCAUAGGUGAUCAUUUGCAUGAUUUCGCGUAAAACAAAAUAAGAUCUACAAACGAAUAGAAGCUACACAUACCUUGGCAUGCACACACAUUGCAAGCCAUACUAAGGUGAUAAGUGUUAAUAACUUGUACAACAUAUACAACACUUAAGAUAAGUAAAAGCAAUUUGAUGAGUCAUGGUCUAUCAAAGCAAGAUGCAUUACUACUCUAAUCUAUCUUAACAGGUGACACAUGAUUACAAUCCUUGUUGUGUGCAAGUCAAGCUUAUCUAGUUUACACGUAACAACUUGUAGAACAUAACACAAUUGAUGUUUGCUAAUAACUUCUAGAAAGCUACAACACUUGACAUGUAAAAAGAAUUUGAUGAGUUAUGACCUACUAAAGCAAGUUACAUUACUAGUCUCAUCUAUCUUAACAGGUCACACAAGAUUAAAAACUAAGUUCUGCGCAAGCAAUGCUUAUCUAGUUUACACAUAACAACUUGCAAAACAUUACAAACUUAGUUUCAAAAAAUUAGGCAAUCUAGAUUAGUGUUUGAGUUGUAAAGUGAAUAAGAUGAGUCAUGUGUGUUAUCACAACUUUUUGGUAGUGGAAUGAUAGUGCCACAUAACACAACAUACCAAAUUAUGAUUUUAGGAAGCAUCCAAGCACUUUCCAGACAAAAAAAUGCCAAUUGUGAAGGAGAUGAUGCCAUGGCAGCUAUAAAUAGGCCUGUAGCAUGAUGAUCAUCCUUUCCCAUCCAUCAUUCUCAUAAGUAGAGUGCAUCGUUCAAGCCAAGCAAGCAGUGGUCAAUACAAAUCCACCAUGAAGACCUUUCUCAUCCUUGCCCUCCUUGCUAUCAUGGCAAUUGAGGGAGUCCUAGAUAAGGGGUAUCCGGACAGCCGGACUAUAUUCAUCGUCCGGACUAUAGAAGCGUCAAGACACAAGACUCAAGACUUCGGCUCUUGUCCGGAUGGGACUCUCAUUUGCGUGGAAGACAAGCUUGGAGAUCCGGAUAUUAUGUUUCCUUCCUUGUAACCGAGUCCAUGUAAACCCUAGCUCUCCGGUGUCUAUAUAAACCGGAGAGCAUGGUCCUUACAAGGCCGACCACAAUUACAAUCAUACCAUCAUAGGCUAGCUCUUAGGGUUUAGCCUCUACGAUCUCGUGGUAGAUCUACUCUUGUAUUCCACAUAUCUUCAAUAUCAAUCAAGCAGGAAGUAGGGUUUUACCUCCAUCGAGAGGGCCCAAACCUGGGUAAACAUUGUGUCCCCUGCUUCCUGUUACCAUCAGCCUAAGACGCACAGAUUGGGACCCCCUACCCGAGAUCCGCCGGUUUUGACACCGACAUUGGUGCUUCCAUUGAGAGUUCCUCUGUCUCGUCGCUUCGAGGCUUGAUGGCGUCUUCAAUCGUCAACAACACGGUCCAGGGUGAGACUUUUCUCCCCGGACAGAUCUUUGUGUUCGGCGGCUUCGCACUGCGGGCCAAUUCACUUGGCCAGUUGGAGCUGAUCGACAGCCUCGCCCCUGGCCACCAGAUCAGGUUUGGAAACUUGAACUACACGACAGAUAUCCGCGGAUACUUGAUCUUCGACGGAUUCGGGCCUGCGCCAGGAGUGCCGGGUAGCCACGACGAGCACGACCUAGACCUGCUGUCGGAUAGUGCCCGGGAUAUUAUCCCCGAAGCAGCCUUGGAUCUAAAUCCAGGACAGGUUGCGGUGCCUAUGGACGGAGGGCUGGACCCCGCUCCGCAGGCCGCACGCUUAUCGGCGGUGGAGCCGAACACUGGUCCCCCCUAUAACCCCGGACUCCCGGACUCAUAUCCAGCUGUUGGUCCUGGUCCGCUCACUCUCGAGCCAGCCGAGCCAGGUCAGGUUCCGGUAAUGGAGUUUACCGCUGCGGACAUCUUUCAGCACUCGCCCAUUGGCGACAUGCUAAGCUCAUUGAAGUCUCUCUCUUGGUCAGGAGACUCUGGGCCGAACUAUGUCCGAUGCGAGUGGGAAGCAGGCGAUGAAGGAAUUCGGCGCCCACCCACCACCCACUUCAUUGUCACAAUCAAAGAAUUAGGCGACGUGCUCGACUCCGGAGACAUCGAUGGUAUGGAUGACGAUGCAGGAGAGGCUCCAGAACCCCUGGAGCGCGGGACUACUACCUUGUCACACGACAUAUACAUGGUAGAUACGCCCAAUAAGGACGGCAACCCGGAUGAUAAAACACCCGGGCAAAAGCCAAAGAGGCGGCGCAGACGCCGCUCAAAGUCCAGCAAUGGCAAAAAUAGUGACAGGAGCGCAAGAAGGGUUGAUAUACCCGCAAACUCUGAAAGCAAUAAUGACCACAUGGACCCAACGAUGGAGCAGGACGAGCCAUGUCACGCCAAAUCAAGUUCGGAGAAAAUACCCGAUCACAACGAUCCGGAGGGACGAGCUCAUGAUGCCGCCCGAGAACAGGAAGACAAUCUGGACAACGAUGCAUUCAUCAUCCCGGACGAACAAGUGGAACGAGACAACCUCCACAGAAAGCUUAUGGUCACCACAAGAAGUCUAGAAAAGCAGAAGCAACGGCUCAAGGCUGCACAGGAAAAGCUAAGUCGCAGAUGGAACAGGGUGCUAGACACCGAAGAAAGAUAUGGCGAUGACCGCCAUACGAAAAGCUAUCCGAAGCGCAAGCUGCUGCCAGAAUUCGAUGACGCGGCCGUUCCGCCAAAAGAAAAUUCGACCAAGAAACCAGACGUACCGCCUCACAACCAUAACAGAGCGGCCGCAGACACUGCGCACGAUCCACGCGGGCAUCCGGAUAAAAAGACCGGUGCAGCCAGGUCCAUAUAUGGAUCUAGAAGACACACCCCAGCGCAGAACUAUGGUCACCCAAACGUUCAUAAAAGCUAGAUACCAGUUCGGAAUCAACCCCGGACACAACAACAGCUGACUACAUGCCACAAUGCGUCCAGAUACAGAGGGGCUGCUCACCACCUGUGCUUCACCGAAGAAGUACUGGACCAUGAAUUCCCACAAGGCUUUAAACCUGUGAACAUAGAAGCAUACGCCGGCACGACAGACCCAGGGGUCUGGAUCGAGGAUUUUAUCCUGCAUAUUCACAUGUCUCAAGGGGAUGACCUCCACGCCAUCAAAUACCAUCCCCUCAACUUGAAGGGACCAGCUAGACACUGGUUGAAAAGCCUCCCCGAAAACUCAAUUGGGAGUUGGGAGGUGAAAGGAUCGAUAUAGUUGACUAGAGGGGGGGGGGUGAAUAGGAAACUAACAAUUUUUAAGCUUUUCUUUACCAAUUUAAACUUUGCAUCAAAAUAGGCUGUCUAGAUAUGCAACUAUGUGAGCAACCUAUAUGAUGCAAUAACAACUAGCACAUAAGAAAGCAAUGGACACAACACAAUUAAGCUUGCAAAAGUAAAGGCACGAAAUAACCAAGAGUGGAGCCGGUGGAGACGAGGAUGUGUUACCGUAGUUCCUUCCUUUUAAGGGGAAGUACGUCUCCGUUAGAGCAGUGUGGAGGCACAAUGCUCCCCAAGAAGCCACUAGGGCCACCGUAAUCUCCUCACGCCCUCACACAAUGCGAGAUGCCGUGAUUCCACUAUUGGUGCCCUUGAAGGCGGCGACCGAACCUUUACAAACAAGGUUUGGGCAAUCUCCACAACUUAAUUGGAGGCUCCCAAUGACAGCACGAAGCUUCACCACAAUGGACUAUGGCUCCGAGGUGACCUCAACCGUCUAGGGUGCUGAAACACCCAAGGGUAACAAGAUCCGCUGGGGAUUAGUGGGGGGAAUCAAAUAUCUCUUGGUGGAAGUGUAGAUCGUGGCCUUGUCACCCAAUCCCAAGCAAAUCAACAAGUUUGAUUGGCUAGGGAGAGAGAUCGGCCGAAAAUGGAGCUUGCAGCAACAAUGGAGCUUAGGGAUGGAAGAGGUGGUCAACUAGAGGUAGGAGACACACCUUUUAUAGUGGAGGACAACAUCCAACCGUUAUCCACUUAGACCAGCCUGCGACAUGCGGUACUACUGCUCCAGGAGCGCGGUACUACCGCAAGGCCACACGGUACUACCGUGGGAGACCACGGUACUACCGCGACAGCUGCAGAGACUAUAACACAAGCAGUACUACCGCGAGCGCGGUACUACCGCUCCCACCUGCGGUACUACCGCGAGGCAGGUAAGUCCUAGUAUGGAAACGGCACGGAUGAAUAAAAAUAGACGAUGCAAACAUCCGUCACGGUACUACCGUGCACAAGGCGCAGUACUACCUUGUGUGUGCAGAUGUAAAAAAUUACAUCCGCCCCUACUACCAUGAAGCAACGACACUAGGCCAGGGAACCACGGUACUACAGUUCGAGGGGAACGGUACUACCGUGGGAACCCACGGUACUACCGCCCUCAACGUGUGGUACUACCGUGUGGGCGCGGAUGUAAAAAAUUACAUCCGCGCCUACUACCGCGAGGCAGUGAUAAUUGGCCAGGGAGCCACGGUACUAUGACUCCGAAGGAGCAGUACUACCGUGGGCUCCCGCGAUACUACCGCACAUGGGCACAGUACUACCGCAAGUGCUUGCGGUACUACCGCUCCAGGGAGCAGUACUACCGCAAACUCAGCAACAGUAGUCCAGACACUCACAUAGAGGAUAGAUGGGGAAUGCUCCAAAGUGCAAGGGAAAGGAGGAGACAAGGAAGGAAACGUGUACGUGAUGAUUCCACCCGAACCUUUUGGACGCGGACCCCCUCUUAAUAGUACGGCUCUCCUACGACUCAAAUCCACCAAAAAGAAAUGUAGAAAUACGCCGUCUUCAAUAGUCUUCGAGGGGCACCGAACCGUCUUAUGCCUAGCGAUGAAGCAACUGAGAAACUCAAGGCACACGAUUAGUCCGCUAAAGCAUUGUCAUCAAUCACCAAAACACUUAGGGAUAAAAAUGCCCUUACAAUAUCCCCCUUUUUGGUGGAUUGAUGACAAUACGGGAUUUUCACAAGGGAAAAAAUAAUGAGCAUAGGCAAAACCCUCCUCUCUAAAAUGUAGACGGGCUCCCCCUAGACGUGUGCAAUCUAGAUGGAUGCUUUGGACUACACAGCACACUAGCUAGGAUUAACACUCCCAUUAUAUUUUAGAGACAAAGCAUGUAAGACUAACAAUCUAAGUAAAUGCAUAAACAAAGGUAGCACAAUAUAACACUAGCUCACUAAGAUAGGUAGAGUGCAUAUGUCUUACACCAUAUGAGGGACACACUAAACCAAAUCAACCGAAAUAACCGAAACGAGGUUCAAAUGAGACACGCAAACACACGAAACACGACACACGACUCACAAAUCCCUACACUCUCUCCCCCUUUGGCAUCGAGACGCCAAAAAGGCAGAGAGGACACCUACACACAAGUGGUGGCUCAAGCAGAGAAAUCAUUCCAACGAUCCUCGUCAGACCCGGCAGCAGGAAUGGUCUCCUCGACGUCCUCCUUAGAAUCAGUCCACUUGUAGCCUUGUUUCUCCAUCCACUCAACCUGUGGAGUAAUGUGAUCCUCAGACCCACCAGACACGUCCUCUCCAUACAGCUUCAGAAUCUUCUUGUCGCGGCGAAGACUCUCCUUGGAUGCCACGUGAGUCCUGUACUACCCCUUAGCUUGUAUGCAGAAAAGAGUCUUCAUCUUGUCCUUCAGCUUCUUGGCCCACAAGGGCAUAGAGGAACUAUGGGAAGACCCAGCAGCACGGUCAGCAGCAACAUCCUCUCCUUCAGCCUCAUCCUCAUCAACAACCCUCUUAGCAGCAGUCGCCUCGGCACGAGUAGUAGUGUUGGCCCAUUUGGACUUGACACGGAGACUGAUGGGAUCAUGCCGAAUCCAGUCAGGAGCAAGGAACUCAUCACCAGGGUACUGCUUCGCCCAAGUCUUGGAGAUCAAUAGAAACAUGUAUGGUCCAUAGAUAGGCACCUUGCGGUUGAACACCGCAAACCGAAGCUCACACCACAUGAUGUGUGAGACAUCAAGUGGCUGAGUCUGAGAUACGCGAGCCUCCUCGCACAGGAGCAUCAUAUCCACCAUAUAGGCAUGAACCUUGUCCUUGUCACCAAUGCGAGGGAACAGAGAGUUGCGGAAGAUGCGAUACAUGAUAUCCAGAAAAGAGUUGAGCAUCCACGUCGACUUGCUAUUGGCAAGCACCUUCUCAACAUAGAACGGCUGAAGCUUGUCCUUGUUCGCAGACUCAGAAUUGGCAUGGGGGCGAACACCCACUGGUGAGUUGAGCCCGUCAUCAGGAACCUGGAGCAGAUCCAUGAACUCCUUCCAGGUAGCAGUCAACUAACGACCAUUGGUCAUCCAGGUCAUCCUCCGCUCCUCCCCAGGGUGAAAGAACACUGAGGCAAAGAACUGACAAAUAAGCUCAGGGUCAUAGUCAAGAUGGAAAUAGAUCACAUGCUCAAUAUCAAACUGCUCCACCAAAUCCAGAGCUUCUCCAAAGUACUCAUGAUACAUAUCCUUCCUCAGGUGAUGCAUGUCUAUCCACUUGACAUCCACAUAGGUAUUUUGCUUGUUCUUGAUGACAUCCAGAUAGGUGAGAGUCUUCUGCUUGUUCCAAAACAACUCACAGCCUCUAACGGUAGCACGAGGAAUCACAUACGGGUUGAGCUGCCUGAGACGGAUGUACUCAGAUUGGGGUAUCUCGUCCAUGCCCUUAGCGGGUUCCUUGUGCUUGCUAGCGGUGGCCUUGACAUGGCGCUUGGGGGCAGAGGAGGAGCCCUCUGGUGCAUCACUUGGAUUGCGCAGACGCUUGGAGCCAGUGUCACGACUGGGAUUGGAACGACGAGAGCCACCACCUGAGACACAAAAUGCAAAACACCCACGACAGGCAAAAAGGAUCAAUGCAAAGACCACGGCAAAGCACAAGAACCACAUAGGAAGUAUACGUGAAAGUUUCCAUGAGAUAGAUGGGAUCCACGGUAGUACUGCCGGAUGCGGUGGUACUAAAAUUUUAGUACCGCUCCAAGUCGCAGUAGUACCGGGGUGGGAGCGGUAGUAAAAUUUUAGUGUCGUAGCGUGCACGGUAGUACCGCGCCUGACGGGCGGUAGUACCAGACAAGCGGUAGUACCGCAUAGGUGGCGCGGUAGUACUGCACCGCGUCAGAUCCAAACCAAAGUUUGAAUCUGAGAAGAACCGCGAAACCACGGCGGUACUACGAUUGAUCAAAUCUAGCACAGGACAAAAAGACAAGUAUAAUCCCUACGCGAUACUACUCUCCUACAACCUACGCUUGCAUAGAUUUAGCCUAAAAUCUCAAGAACACACAAGUCUUCCCCACAAACCUAGAGGCAAAGAAAACAACAAAAGCGAGAGGGAGUUGGGAAAAGACCCUUUCCCAUGGCAAGAGCAUGUGGUGGGGAAUGAUCCCACCGGACGGAAUCGCAGGAGAGCAGCCGGAGGCGGAGAUCCGGCGAAGGACCCUGGCCCCGUUCUUGAGCGAGGGAGAGAGAGACGAAGUGGGAAACUGAUGAAUGGGUAUGGGGGAGUUGGAACUCCCCCUCCCCAUCCUUAUCCCCACGCGUCAAAGAUGUCGCGGUAGUACCGCACAUCAUCACGGUAGUACCGCUUGGGUGGAACUACCGCACCGAAGCGGUAGUACCGCUCUCCCAGGCGGUAGUAAAAAAUUACUGCCGCGUGGGGGCGGUAGUACCGAGCUCUCCAUACGCGUAGUACCGUAGCAUGCUGCGGUAGUACCAUGAGCUCAAGAAAAAGCAGGUUUCAACACAAAAGAGGUCUUUGCAAGGAAACUUUUAGCACAAGAGACACCACAAGAACACGCACAACCCAAAGGCAGAAAGACAACAAGAAGCAACCACGCAACACACCCUCUCAAAAAGAGAGGGCGGUGGCCGGAGCCACCUAUGUUUGAGUCAGUUUGUAUGGCACCGCGAAGAAUUAUCCUUGGGCCCAUAAUCGAAACUCAUCUUUGAAGCACAAGUACCAUAAAAAAUGGUUAAUGUGACAGACUUGAUCGAUUUAUGCAUAAUGGGGGAGGGAGGGUUCAUUGAGAGAACGGUAGUCCCCCUAUGUCCAUGCCCGCACCUAAACUAGACAACAAGUUGAGUGAGAUGGGGUGUGCACGGGCUCAAGUCACAUUGAUCAAACCAAUGAUAUUUAGCUCAUGCCUUAACUCGCGAAAUCGUGCUUCAUCGAAGGGCUUCGUGAAAAUAUCUGCAAGGUUAUCAUGAGUGUUGACAUACUUGAGCUUGAUCUCCCCUCGCCUAAUGUGAUCCCGAAUGAAGUGAUACCGAAUCUCAAUAUGCUUCGUCUUGAAAUGUUGCACCGGGUUGAGAGAAAUCUUGAUGGCACUUUCAUUGUCACACCAAAGAGGCACUUUGUCACAAAUGACACCAUAUUCCUUUAAAGUUUGUCUCAUCCAUAGGAGUUGUGCACAACAACUACCGGCCGCCACAUAUUCCGCUUCGGUGGACGAGAGAGACACACAACUUUGCUUCUUGGAAGACCAACUCACCAAAGAGCAACCAAGAAAUUGGCACCCUCCGGAAGUGGACUUCCUAUCCACCUUGUCUCCCUCCCAAUCGGAAUCCAUAAAUCCUUCAAGCUUGAAGUUAGCUCCUCUUGGGUACCAUAGGCCAAAGUUUGGGGUAUGAGCCAAAUAUCGAAAGAUUCGCUUGACCGCCACAAAGUGGCUUUCCUUUGGUACGGCUUGAAACCAUGCACGCAUUCCCACACUCAACAUGAUAUCUGGUCUAGAUGCACAAAGGUAAAGCAAGGAUCCAAUCAUAGAGUGAUAUACCUUUUGAUCCACCGCUUUACCAUUGGGAUCAAUGUCAAGUUGGCACUUGGUGGGCAUUAGAGUAGAGGCCGGAUUGACAUCACUUAGCUUGAAUCUCUUAAGCAUGUCUUGAGUGUAUUUGGCUUGGUUGAUGAAGGUACCUUCUCUUCUUUGUUUGAUCUCAAAACCAAGGAAGAACUUUAACUCUCCCAUCGAAGACAUCUUGAACUUAGAGGUCAUGAGAGCGGCAAAUUCUUCAUUGAAAGCAUUGUUAGGGGAACCAAAGAUAGUGUCAUCAACAUAUAGUUGGCACACAAACAACUCCCCUUUGACCUUCUUAGUAAAAAGAGUGGGACCGAUUUGCCCAACUUCAAAUCCACGAUCUUGUAACAACUCGGUAAUGUGGUCAUACCACGCACGUGGGGCUUGUUUAAGGCCAUAGAGUGCCUUAUCAAGUUGAUACACAUGAUCCGGGAAGUAAGGAUCCUCGAACCUGGGGGGUUGCUUGAUAUAAACCAACUCAUUAAUAGGACCAUUAAGAAAAGCACUUUUCACAUCCAUUUGUUGUAACUUAAAGUUGUGAUGGGAAGCAUAAGCAAUCAACAAACGAAUGGAUUCAAGGCGAGCAACAGGAGCAAAGGUUUCACCGUAGUCGAUACCGUCGACUUGGGAGUAGCCUUGUGCUACCAAUCUUGCCUUGUUGCGAAUGAUGUUCCCAUGAGCGUCUUGCUUGUUCUUGAAAAUCCACUUGGUUCCAAUGACAUUAUGGUUCCCUGACGGCCGUGGCACCAAUCUCCACACCUUGUUGUACUCGAAGUUGUUAAGUUCUUCAUGCAUGGCAUUGAGCCAAUCUGAAUCUUCGAGCGUCUCAUAGACCUUUUGGGGUUCAACACAAGAGACAAACGCGUGAUGUUCACAAUAGUUUGCUAAUUGUCUACGAGUGCUUACCCCCUUUCUUAGGCUUCCAACCACAUUCUCCAUAAGAUGGCCUUUGGUGGUGAGCUUGGAAGCAAUCUUUGCGGCACGACGCUCUAAUUCCUCCUUGGAUGUGGAGGAAGGAGGAUCAACACAAGAGACAAACGCGUGAUGUUCACAAUAGUUUGCUAAUUGUCUACGAGUGCUUACCCCCUUUCUUAGGCUUCCAACCACAUUCUCCAUAAGAUGGCCUUUGGUGGUGAGCUUGGAAGCAAUCUUUGCGGCACAAUGCUCUAAUUCCUCCUUGGAUGUGGACGAAGGAGGAUCAACUUGAUUAUCUUGAGCGCCGUCUUGAGCUUGUUCGAGAUCUUGAUCUUGCUCUUGAUCUUGAACUUGCUAAGGGGGAAAACUUGACCUUAGGCAUCAUUUGGUGGAUCACCACCAUCUUGAGUUUGAUCUUUCCCUUGGUCUUGUUUAUGAGGUUGCGGGCCUUCACUUUGUUGUUCGGAAGCGUGUGGGUCUUGGGGAGGUGAUGGCUCCACUUGAGUGGAGCAUUGUCCUUCUCCUUCGGCCACAAGGGAUUCCUCAAUGGGUAGAAUAUGACCAAUACCCACUCUUCUUAUGGCUUGGGGAGGAAUUUCAUCACCUACAUCACAAGUACCACUAAGCUCCACUUGGGAGCCGUUAUUUUCGUCAAACUCCACGUUACACGUCUCCUCAAUGAGUCCGGUGGACUUGUUGAGAACACUGUAAGCAUGAGAGUUUGUAGCAUAACCAAAAAAUAUGCCCUCAUAAGCUCUAGCCUCAAAUUUAUACAAACGGACACCCUUUUUGAGAAUAAAACACUUACACCCGAACACCCAGAAGUACUUGAGAUUGGGCUUGUUACCGGUGAGGAUUUCAUAAGGAGUCUUGUUCAAGCCUUUGCGGAGAUAGAGCCGAUUUGAUGCAUGACAUGCGGUGUUGAUGGCUUCGGCCCAAAAGUUGUAUGGAGACUUGAACUCCGCCAUCAUGGUCCUUGCCGCAUCCAUCAACUUCCGGUUCUUCCUCUCUGCAACACCAUUUUGUUGAGGGGUGUAUGGAGAUGAAUAUUGAUGCUUGAUCCCCUCAUCACUAAGGAACUCAUCCAAGGUGUAGUUCUUGAACUCGGUGCCGUUGUCACUUCUUAUUGUCAAGAUCUUUGCAUCAUGUUGUCAUUGAGCUUCAUUUGCAAAGUCGAUGACGGUUUGUUGGGUUUCACUCUUCCUCUUGAAGAAAUAUACCCAAGUAUAUCUUGAAUAAUCAUCCACAAUCACCAAGCAAUACUUUAUUCCCCCAAGACUAUCAAAGGAUGGAGGCCCAAAGAGGUCCAUGUGAAGGAGCUCCAAGGGUCUCUUCGAGUAGAUGAUAGUCGUGGGAGGGUGAGCCGUCUCAUGAAGCUUUCCUUUGAUACAAGCACUGCAAGCACGAUCUUUGGCAAAACUAACAUUUGUUAGUGCACGGACAUGGUCCCCCUUUAGAAGACUUUGCAAAGAUCUCAUAUUGACGUGGGCUAAACGGCAAUGCCAAAGCCAUCCCACAUCAACUUUAGCCAUUAGGCAUGUCGCGGUCUUAGUGGGUCGCUCCGAAAAGUUAAUCACAUAGAGACCGUUCUCGACAUGCCCAACAAAGGCUACUUUAAGAGUCUUGCUCCACAAGAGGGCCACGGUAUCAACAUCAAAGAAGGUGGCAAAGCCCAUGAGUGCGAGUUGACGAACGGAAAGUACAUUGUAUGCAAGGGACUCAACAAGCAUGACUUUCUCGAUCGUUAGAUCAUGAGAAAUGACAACCUUGCCAAGACCCAAUACCUUAGAAUGUGAGGCAUCACCCCACUCGACAUUUGUGGGCAUAGAUGGGAUCUUUUGCACGUCCACAACCAAGUCCUGCUCCCGGUCAUAUGAUUUAUUGCUCCACUAUCGAGCAACCAUGAUCCCCCACCAGAAGCAAACACCUACAAGAGAUCAAUGCUUGGUUUAAUGUACCCAUUGAGUAAUGGGUCCUUUGAUGUUAGUAACAAGGGUCUUAGGAACCCAAAUAGACCAUUCAAUGUACUCAUAAGAAGAACCAACAAAUUUAGCAUAAACAUGCCCAUCACUAGCACGGCACAACACAUAAGAAGAGUUAAAUUCACCGGCUUUGUUGGGAGAGGUGACUUUGCCCUUUUUGGCAUCACCACUCUUCGCAGUGUUCUUCUUCUCCUUAGGAGCACCUUCUCCCUCCUUCACAAAAGUUUGCUUAAGCGGGGGAGGUCGUUUGGUCUUGUCAUUCUUCUUCUCGUUCUUCUUCUUGUUCUUGGACUUGGGUGAGAACCCACCUCCCUCCUUUGCCACAACUUCCUUUUGAUUGCUAAAAAGGUCAUUUAGGUUCUUCUCACCUUGUAUGCAUGACACAAGGCCUCUCUCGAGUUGUUCCUUCAACUUGGCAUUCUCCUCCACAAGAUGCACAUGCUCACAACACGGGUUAGUAGCAUUUGCGUUAUCAAUUAAGAUUAAGUGAGGAAAGGUGGCCUUCUCCUUGGUUAGCUUAACUUGGAGUUGAGCAUGAGACUUCUUGAGGUUAGUAUGAGCACCCUUCAAGACCUUGUGGGCCUUGUCAAGCACAUCAAACUCCUCCUUGAGUCUAGCAUGAUCAACCCCAAGUUUAGACUUCUCGGAAGUCAGCACACGAGACACAACAAGAGCAUGAUCGAGAUCUUUCUUUAACUUGGCAUGGUCAUCGUUUUGUGACUCCUCAAGAGCCAAACGAUGCCCACACUCUUCCUCAAGAGCAUUAGAGAGAUCCGAUAUCUCAUCGGCAUAGUCAUGACUAUGACCUUCCAUCUUAGAGAUGGUUUCUUCGUGAGCCUCGAUCAUGUCAUUGGCUUCACCAAGUUGUUCCAAGAGAGCAACAAAGUGCUUCUUGGAUUUGCCCUUGAGCUUACUCAUAAAGGACUCAAAAUCAUUUACCUCCUCAUUAGACCCCUUACCAUCAUCAAUCCCAACCGUCAAAGAAGGAUUAAGAAUAAUGGUGGUUUUGAUGUUGGGGGUUACCUUGUUGGUGGCUUUAGUCAUGAGGCACUUGGCGGUGAUGUUCUCGUUGGGUGAAUCGAAGAGAGACACCCGGGGAGUUGUGGCAAUUGCAACGGAUGCCAUGGCCAUUGAUUCACUAUCUUCAUCAUCAUCGUCAUCCUCACGGUACUCCUCUUGAACCACCAACCCUUGAGUAGGAGUCUUCUUGGUGAAGUUGUUCUUGUUGGGGAAUGACUUGGCUUUGUCUCUCCGGAUGAGCUUGCCACCAUUGUCUUCCCGCUUCUCGUAAGGACAAUCCGCAACGAAAUGGCUCACAUUGCCACAGUUGAAACAAGUUCUAACUCGUUGUUUGCUCUUGAAGCCACUUGAGUUGUUCUUGUUGAAAUUGGGUCUUGAGUUCUUCUUGCUCCAAAAUUGCCUUGAAGCGAGAGCCAUGUGCUCGUGAUAAUCAUAUUUUGUAUCUUCGGGAUUGCUCUCCUCAUCUUCCUCUUCUUCCUCUUCUUCCACAAUAACCUUGGCCUUCAAGGCAAGGUUGGGCUUCUUUGCUCUUUGAGAUCGGAGCACCGCAUUAUCGGCGGUCCUGUCCAAGAUGCUCAUUGCAACGAACUCAUCCAACACUUAACUUGAGGUCAUGGAGUGGAAGUCCGGCCUUUGACGAAUGACGGAGGACAUGGACUUGUUGUAGGGCAUCAUGGCCUUGAGAAACUUGCGUUUGAUCCAAUUGUCAUACGUGUCCUUGCUCCCAUGAUCUCGGAGCGAGACCACAAGUUUGGUUACUCUCCGAAAGAGCUCACGAGGUUCUUCAUCUUCCUUCAUAGCAAACUCAUUGGCUUCAUCUUGCACUACUUCAUAGUUGGAGCGUUGAAUGCUCAUGCUUCCCCAAUAAAGAGACACAACGCACCGCCACGCGUCUUUGGCCGUGGCGUCGGGUCGAAGAUGAGGGAGAUCUUUGGGGAGAAUUGCUUCUUGGAUGAUGAAGAGAGCAUUCUCAUUGAAUUGAUUAUCCACGGCUUCUCGAGGGGUGAAGUUGCUUGGGUCAUGUGGAUAGAAACCUUCUUCAAUGAUUCUCCAAAGAUUAGUAUUCACAUGCUUUAAAUGACGCUUGAAGCGAUACACCCAAGAAUCAAAAUCCUCAUUUUUCACAAUCUUAGGAGGAGGACCGACAUGAUUUAAAUGAGUAGACGGAAUCGGUCCACCAUAAGUUGGAGGUUCCACAUGGGCAAAGAUGCCGGAGCCAUUUUUACCGCUAGUAGAAGGACCCUUUUCACUGUUAGCUCCCCCCUUGUCGGAGGUAGCAUCCGUCACCUUGUUAGCGGGAUCACCCACUUUCAUUAGUGAGGUGGACAAUUUAAGUCCUUCUAGAAAUUUAGUAAACAUGCUUUCAACCUUGGUCGUCAUGGAGUCUUUCAAUGUGUCUAGAGCCACAUUGAAUUCCUCAUGAGAGACCGAGGUUCCCCCAUCGGCCAUAGACGAGGUAGGAUUCACACCGGAGUGCUCUUCCACAACGUCUGUGGCGUCAACCAUACUCUUCGGACGGCAAAGUCCUUAAUAAAGAGACGAAGCUCUGAUACCAAUUGAAAGGAUCAAUAUAGUUGACUAGAGGGAGGGGUGAAUAGGCAACUAACAAUUUUAAGCUUUUCUUUGCCAAUUUAAACUUUGCAUCAAAAUAGGUUGUCUAGAUAUGCAACUAUGUGGGCAACCUAUAUGAUGCAAUAACAACUAGAACAUAAGCAUGCAAUGGAUACAACACAAGUAAGCUUGCAAAAGUAAAGGCACGAAAUAACCAAGAGUGGAGCCAGUGGAGACGAGGAUGUGUUACCGAAGUUCUUUCCUUUUAAGGGGAAGUACGUCUCCGUUAGAGCGGUGUGGAGGCACAAUGCUCCCCAAGAAGCCACUAGGGCCACCGUAAUCUCCUCACGCCCUCACACAAUGCGAAAUGCCGUGAUUCCACUAUUGGUGCCCUUGAAGGCGGCGACCGAACCUUUAUAAACAAGGUUGGGGCAAUCUCCACAACUUAAUUGGAGGCUCCCAACGACAACACGAAGCUUCACCACAAUGGACUAUGGCUCCAAGGUGACCUCAACCGUCUAGGGUGCUCAAACACCCAAGAGUAACAAGAUCCGUUAGGGAUUAGUGGGGGGAAUCGAAUAUCUCUUGGUGGAAGUGUAGAUCGGGGCCUUGUCACCCAAUCCCGAGCAAAUCAACAAGUUUGAUUGGCUAGGGAGAGAGAUCGGCCGAAAAUGGAGCUUGGAGCAACAAUGGAGCUUAGGGAUGGAAGAGGUGGUCAACUAGAGGUAGGAGACACACAUUUUAUAGUGGAGGACAACAUCCAACCGUUAUCCACUUAGACCAGCCUGCGACAUGCAAUACUACUGCUCCAAGAGCGCGGUACUACCGCAAGGCCCCGCGGUACUACCGUGGGAGACCACGGUACUACCGCGACAGCUUCAGAGACUAUAACACAAGCAGUAUUACCGCGAGCAUGGUACUACCGCUCCCACCUGCGGUACUACCGCGAGGCAGGUAAGUCCUAGUCUGGAAAUGGCACGGAUGAAUAAAAAUACAUCCGUGCCUACUUCCGUGGUCAAAGAGACGAUGCAAACAUCCGUCACGGUACUACCGUGCACAAGGCACGGUACCACCGUGUGUGUGCGGAUGUAAAAAAUUACAUCCGCACCUACUACCGCGAGGCAGCAGUACUUGGCCAGGGAGCCACAGUACUAUGACUCCGAAGGAGCUGUACUACCCUGGGCUCCCACGGUACUACCGCGCAUGGGCACGGUACUACCGCAAGUGCCUGCGGUACUACCGCUCCAGGGAGCAGUACUACCGCAAGCUCAGCAACAGUAGUCCAGACACUCACAUAGAGGAUAUACGGGGAAUGCUAGAAAGUGCAAGGGAAAGGAGGAGACAAGGAAGGAAACGUGUACGUGAUGAUUCCACCCGAACCUUUCCGACGCGGACCCCCUCUUAAUAGUACGGCUCUCCUACGACUCAAAUCCACCAAAAAGAAACGUAGAAAAAUGUCGUCUUCAAUAGUCUUUGAGGGGCACCGAACCGUCUUGUGCCCAGCGAUGAAGCAACUGAGAAACUCAAGGCACACGAUUAGUCCGCUAAAGCAUUGUCAUCAAUCACCAAAACACUUAGGGAUAAAAAUGCCCUUAGAGGAGGAACUCGAAAACGCUUUCAGGGCCAAUUUUCAAGGGACUUAUGUCCGGCCUCCGGAUGCAGACGAUCUAAGUCACAUAGUCCAACAGCCCGGAGAGUCCGCCCGCAAGCUUUGGAACAGAUUCCUCACUAAGAAGAAUCAAAUUGUUGACUGUCCGGACGCCGAAGCCUUAGCGGCUUUCAAACACAGCAUCCGUGAUGAAUGGCUCGCCGGCACCUCAUCCAAGAAAAGCCUGCCUUUACGGGCCAACCAGCUAUCCUCACCCGCGUAAAAGCGGGUCAUAAGGCUUGUUAAGGCUGCCAUUGUCCUGAUUCAGGGGCUCUCGACCUGAUCAGCAAAAUAAGCCAUUGAAAGGCAGUAAAGACGGACCGUCCGGUCUGAACAGAGUCUUGGACAUACUAUGCCAAAUUCAUGGCACCCCGGAGAAACCUGCGAACCACACCCAUAGAGAGUGCUGGGUUUUCAAGCAGGCCGGCAAAUUAAUUGCCGAACACAAGGGGAGGGACACACCAAGUGAAGAAGAGGAUGAACCCCACCAGCCGAACACCGUGGUACAGAAAAAAUUCCCGCCAGAGGUUAAAACAGUCAACAUGAUCCACGCGACUCGCACAUCCACGAGAGGGCAUAAAACGCGCGCCCAUAGAAGCACACGAUGUAGAGCCCGUCGUACCCACGUCUCACUACUGGAUGUCUUGUCCCAUCACAUUCGAUCGCACGGACGACCGAACUAGUAUUCGGCACGGAGGAUCACAGGCCUUGGUGCUUGACCCACUAAUCGACGGAUACUGUCUCACCCGCGUCCUCAUGGACAGCGGCAGUGGUCCCAAUUGAAUAUAUGAGGAUACUGUCCGCAGAAAGGGGAUAGACCCAUCCAGAAUUAAACAAAGCAACAUCACCUUUGAAGGGGUGAUACCAGGCGUUGCAGCCUGCGCCAGGGGCUCCGUCAUGCUGGAAGUAACAUUCGGCUCCCCAGGCAACUCCAGAAGCGAAGAGAUGCUCUUCAAUAUCGCACCCUUCCAAAGCAGCUAUCACGCAUUGCUAGGAAGAACGACCUUCGCCUGCUUCAACGCACUGCCGCACUAUGGCCACCUUACACUCAAGAUGCCCGGUCCCCGUGGCGUCAUCACCGUUAGCAGAAUCAUAAAGCGCCAUUCACGCGCAGAGGAAUAUGCGACGGCCCUGGCGGCCGUACUAUAAGCGGCCUCCAGUUUUUAGAAAACAUGAUUGGUCAUUAUGACCACAGACACGGUUAGACGAGUCCGUUAGCCCGGAUAAAUUCAAACAGGGCACUGUAUAUAUAAUCCCAUAAGGGAAACCAGGCGUUGUUUGUAUUUAAUACAGCCCCACGCUUAGCUCGACCUUAUUGGCAGGCCAAUAGUUUACACUCUUAUUAUUAAUCGCAUACUUACGAUGCAGCCUCCUGUGAGUUUUUCUUUUUUACAGACAACGUUCGCGCGAUACCCUUCCAGGAUACGGCACAAUAGAGACAAAGGCGCAGACGUGCAGCAGGGCCUUGUGCAACAGGUUUCUUUUUAGAUUAAGCCCCUGUGUAAUCCUUUUCUACUGCCUCUUGUUGUUUAACCAUCCCAUGGGUUCUCUACCCACAGAGGAUACUGCCGUUUUUGGCAUUUGGCCACGGCAGACUAAAAUGCACGUACCUAGAAAUAAAGGGCAUAAAAUAGGCUCUUGUCAGCCUAUCUUCUUUUACAAAAGACCGAAUACCCUCGGGAGUGUUCGGCGUCACGAGUUUGACCAUAUAUGCAUCAGCUCCGAAUCAUGUCUUAGGUCAAAAUGUUGGGUUUGCCCGACUCCUGGGUAGGCCGCCUUAUGUUCCGCUAUCAUCCGGCUAAGGCAGGCCAAAGGAGAACUACUACGAUUGUGCCCUGGUUAUUCCGGAUGAGCACCUCAGUAGAGAAAGCCGAAAACUGGCCGUCAUGAUGCAGCGAGAGACUGUUCAACCACUCGAAGACUCACCGGAAUCCCUAAAUAUUCCUUCGCCUUAACGAAGGGCCGUUUUUCGGCCAUGUACACAUGCGCCCAUAUUUGGAUGCACGUAGAGGUACCAGGGGCUACAUAGUCCCCACCCUUAGACUCCCAUGGCUAAGCGAAAGUGUUACAGCUAUAUAGUCCGAAUGCCUAGUUCGGCGUGCGAUCACCUCCUUAAUGGACCAAGACGUUGGAUCAAGUGUGCUUAUGCAUAUUUUUUCGCCAACACCCUCGCAUUGUCCGCGAGGGGGCUGAAGCCAACGACUGCUAUCUUUUAGACUACUUAUACAUAUAAGAAUAGCCGCAAAGGGAGGACAAUCAUACUUCCGGGCAAAAGUAUAAACAUAGCCUCAUAAUUAAACUAAACAUUGUUUUCUACAAUGAUUCGACUUAUCACUCGAAUAAAACACUCUUCGAGCAUUGCACCUCUAUCAGGCGGGCACCUUCUGUGACUUGCACCAAGUAGUGCUCGGCCGGAUGUUGGCCUCCCGCCGGAUCCUGGCUCGCUAUUACCGUGGCCUCCAUAUCCGUCCAGUAGGCUUUAACGUGGGCUAGAGCCAUCCGCGCACCUUCUAUGCAUGCCGACCUUCUCAGGGCGUCAAUCCAGGACACCGCUCCAAGGAAUUGUUGCACUAAACCAAAGUAGCUGUCCGGCUUAGGCCCCUUCGGCCAAAGAUGGUCUAUUACAGACCGCAUUGCCAGUCCGGACAGCCUGUGGAUCUCCGCCAUAGCAGCCACCUUGUCAUUCAGUGGCAGCGGGCGAGUGGGAGCAUUAAACUGCGACCAGAAAAGCUUCUCCACUUCUUCAUCGCCUUGACCCUCGAAGAACUUGGCAGCGUCAGCUGUACUAUUCGCCAAGUCCGCAUAUGCGUCCGCAGGACUCAUGCGACCCGCCAGGGGAGCAAACUUCGGAUCCAAGAACUUCGUCCGCAGCAAGUAUGAGCCCCCAGCCACGAUUUUGUCAGCUUGUUGGAGCUCCUCCCGCAUACUCCGGAUCUCGGUCCACAUCUCCUUGGCGGCAUUAUGUGCCUUGUCCAGCUCGGCCGAACUAGCCUUAUUCUCCUUUUCAAGGAGUGCGUACCGGUCGGCGGCAUUUUUUAACUCUUCAGCCAUUUCAUCUAUCUUUUCCUCUCUUCGGCGACGAGCAGCCUGUUCGGCUCUCAACUCUUCGACCGCCUUUAGGGCAGCCGCAUUGCUAGCCCGAGCUUGUUCCUUGGCUUGAGCAAGUUCCGCCCUCAGGGCCUCCACGGCAGCAGCACCAUCUGCAGUGCACACGUAUUGCAUUAAUAUUAUGCCUUUUGGCAUCUUCCUAUACAUUAUAAUAAAAACCAAGCACAUACCCUGGGACUCCUCCAGCCGUUUAUUCACCAGCAUGAUAUCGGCAUCGAUUGAUCUAAUUUGCCUCCUUAGCUCGGCAACUUCAACAGACUGGUCGGCUGCCGGAUCCUUGUAUACCUGGGCACAUGUACGGCGCAGCCAUUAGUAUAUGAUCCACCGUUUGACGCCUAUGGCGGGCAACCAGAGUCUCAGGGGCGACUAUCUAUAGGGAGCACACCUAGCACGUGUUUCAUAACCAAAAAGUUGUGCAUUUUUUCACUACAUACCUCAAAGCCUUUGAGCAGGCUUGUAAAUGCCUCAUUCAAGCCGCCGGUAGCAGAUGAAAUCUUCGUGAGCACCAUGCUCAUUAAAGAGCGGUGCUCCUCCGAGAGUGCGGCUCGCUCCAGAUGGCCCGUCAGUACGUCCGGCCGGACAUUAAAUUGCGCCGGACCCUUCUCCUCGCCCCCCGUAGGAGCCAAACGCUCCGGGCUCAGGGCGGCUGACGUACUAGCCUCCGGCUUCGGCAGAUCCAGACUCCUCCGUGACGACACCUCCGUGUCGCCCGCUUCAUGAGGCGGAGAGCUGGGUGGAGUCUCGCUCUCCAUCAUCUCCGGACGAAGGUCCCCCAAAGACGAACUCUGUUGAGAAGAGCUACUCGCCGGACUACAAAAGACGAAGUCCUGGUUAUGGAUCUCGGAGUAACACUUCACCUUCGAAUUGAUGAAUAACUUACGGCUCGGUCGAGGGCUGGCCCGUUGGUGGGCAUGACGUGGUGAGGGCGCCCAUCACGGCAGAACCCCUUGGAGAUGUUUUCUUCCCUUGCUUGGGCGUCUCCGCCUCCAAAUCUUCAGAGGCGGCCCUUUUCCUCCCGCGUGGGGAGGAGGCUUUGACCUCCCCUUCCCGGCUAUCCUCCAUAGGACGGGUAGCGACUUCCCCGGUCUGGAUGUGCAGCGCGUGAAGUUCAACUUCACUGCCCUUCCCUUCGCCUUUCCCUGUAGGAAUUUUGCUGAGCGCCCGAUCCAGCAUCUUUGCAAUGGUUGGACCAGGCGGGCCUUCAGGAAGUGGCGCCGGACACCUGAUUCUCUUUGCCUUGGCGAGCCAUUCCUGGCCGCGGAGGGAUUGUCAGAAUAACAGUUAUGAUAAAUAUAAAUGAAGUAUCCGGCUUUAAGGUUACUUACUUGGGCAUCUAGGCGAUUGCAGCUUAGGCCCGCAUCCUCGGUGGUGUCCAGACAAUUUACUUGUGGUCCGGAGAAUAAUUUACAGAUCCCUUCGAGCUUCAGGCCGAAGAAGUGCUUAAUAGUCCAGGACCCUCCGGAUUAAACUCCCACAUCCGGAGAGGUCGACAUUUGCACGGCAACAUCCGCCGGACUAUCAUCACCUGCAUUAUGCUGACAACAUUUAUGUCCCUCUCAAUAAGCUCCCGGAUACGAUUCUGCAGUUCUGGCACAUCGCCAGCAGGCCCAUAAUUCCGUCCUUCGUCGGUCCAAGACGCUAACUGUGACGGAGGGCCCAAGCGGAACUCGGGGGCAGCUACCCACUUUGUGCCUCUGGGAGCAAUGACAUAGAACCAUCUCCGUUGCCAUACAUCGGACACUUCCGGAAAAGAACCCUCUGGCCAUGGGGCAUCGGUGUUCCUGCUUCUUAUGGCGCCUCCGCGCUCCGCAUGUCACCCCUCAAUCAUCUUCGACUUCACAUUGAAGGUCUUUAGCCAUAAGCCGAAGUGUGGGUUGACGUGGAGAAAAGCUUCACACACGAUAAUGAAAGACGAGAUAUGGAGGAUGGCGUCUUGAGCCAGAUCAUGGAAAUCCAAGCCAUAGUAGCACAUGAGCCCCCUCACAAAGGGCCUCGGAGGAAGUGAGGAGUAAACACGACGCUCUCAUUGGGCUCCGGCAUGGGCAUGACUUGCCCCGGAGCAUGAAGCCUAUGCUGGAUAUCAGCAGUCAGGUAUCCGACCUCCCUAAGCUUCGCAAUAUCCUCCUCCUGAAUCGAGGAGGCCACCCACCGGCCAGCUGCGUUGGAUCCGGACAUUCUGGAGGAUCUGGGGGGCUGGAGCUUAGGUUUUUGGGCGAUGGAGCUCGAGGUAUGAGAAGGAGCGGAGAGGUGGAGAUGAGGCGUAGGCCUCGACCCCUUUAUAAAAGGGAUGAAUACCAAGAGUCCUCAGCAUGGCCGCUUGAGACUUGUCUAAAACACGGAAUUAUACCAACCAUCGCCGUGGGGUCGCAUAUGCCCAUAUUGAUGAAGGAUCCCGUAUUAAGAGGGACACGAUCUCUGCUUUGACAGGACGUGCCGAUAAAACCGCCUCGCAACGUGAGUCGAGGUGGAGCACGAAGCGCUGGUUCGUGUUGGACCAGGUCAUGAUGCAAGGGCACAAUGUACGAAGAUUUCCAGCAGAACAGAUUUAUGCUAAGGGUAUGUGAAGAUCAUCUUGCAGAUCCGGACACGACCUACGUGUUCGAUAAUCACCUUGGAGUAUUCGGAGGAGGAACCCUCCUUGCAAUGCCGAAGACAAGACUGCAUGCCGGACUCAUCAUCAUUGAAGCCUGGUUCAGGGGCUACUGAGGGAGUCCUGGAUAAGGGGGUAUCCGGACAGCCGAACUAUAUUCAUCGUCCGGACUAUAGAAGCGUCAAGACACAUGACUCAACACUUCGGCUCGUGUCCGGAUGGGACUCUCCUUUGCGUGGAAGACAAGCUUCGCGAUCCGGAUAUUAUGUUUCCUUCCUUGUAACCGACUCCAUGUAAACCCUAGCUCUCCGGUGUCUAUAUAAACCAGAGAACAUGGUCCUUAGAAGGCCGAUCACAAUUACAAUCAUACCAUCAUAGGCUAGCUCUUAGGGUUUAGCCUCUACGAUCUCGUGGUAGAUCUACUCUUGUAUUCCACAUAUCUUCAAUAUCAAUCAAGCAGGAAGUAGGGUUUUACCUCCAUCGAGAGUGCCCGAACCUGGGUAAACAUUGUGUCCCUUGCUUCCUGUUACCAUCAUCCUAAGAUGCACAGAUCGGGACCCCCUACCCGAGAUUCGCCGGUUUUGACACCGACAGCGACCACCGCCACAACUGCAGUUAGAGUUCCAGUGCCACAAUUGCAACCAGAAAAUCCAUCUCAGCAACAACCACAAGAGCAAGUUCCAUUGGUGCAACAACAACAAUUUCUAGGGCAGCAACAACAACAAUUUCCAGGGCAGCAAUAACCAUUUCGACCACAACAGCCAUAUCCGCAGCCGCAACCAUUUCCUCCACAACUACCAUGUCCGCAACCGCAACCAUUUCCACCACAACAAUCAUAUCCACAACCACAACCACAGUAUCCGCAACCACAACAAACAAUUUCGCAGCAACAAGCACAACAACAACAAUGACAACCACAACAACAAAUCCUUCAACAAAUUCUACAAAAACAACUGAUUCCAUGCAGGGAUGUCGUCUUGCAACAACCCAACAUAGCACAUGCAAGCUCACAAGUAUCACAACAAAGUUACCAUCUGUUGCAACAAUUAUGUUGUUAGCAACUGUGGCAGACCCCCGAGCUGUCACGGUGCCAAGUCAUCCACAAUGUCGUUCAUGCUAUUAUUCUCCAUCAACAACAACAACAAAAACAACAACAACAACAACAACAACAACCGUCGAGCCAGGUCUUCUAGCAGCAACCUCAGCAACAAUAUCCAUCAGCCCAGGGCUCCUUCCAGCCAUCUGAGCAAAACCCACAGGCCGAUGGCUUUGUCCAACCUCAGCAACUGCCGCAGUUUGAGUAAAUAAGGAACCUAGCGCUGCAGACACUACCAGCAAUGUGCAAUGUCUACAUCCCUCCAUAUUGCUCGACCACCAUUGCGCCAUUUGGCAUCGUGAGUACUAAUUGAGAAGAGAAGAACUCUAGUACUAGAUAUAUGAAACACCGUUUUCUUAGACCAUGGUUUGGUCGUUGUAGCGGUGAAGAAUAAAGUGACAUGCACUAUCAUGUAAGAACCCGAACUAGACUAUUUCAAACUUGGAAAUAAAAGACAAACACAGGUCUUGUCUGCAUAUGAUUGUUUGUAUGAGUUCCAUUCAUGUGCCCGUUCACAAGUUCACCCCUAAUUAUAUAUAUUAAGCAUUAAGUAGAUGUUUAUGUGCAUUAAUCUAAAGAUAACAAAAUGAAUCUGAAACUUGAAUUAAAUUGAAGUAUUUUCUUGGACUUUCAAAUUGAGCAUUGAUAGUGUGGUCUAUCCACAUCCUUGGCUUGCCCUUGAUCAAUUUUUUCCAAAGAAGCAUUCAAUUCAUCAGUCAAUUACAUUGAUUUUUGUGGCUUGUACUUCUCCUCAACAUGAGUAUCUUCUUUACGGCUACUCCAAUUCUCCCACAUAACUGAAGCAUUAAUAGCGCUCUUCCUUGCAUCAAGGAAAUAUGGAUCGAAGAUAUAUCUUGACCAUGUUUUUGGGUGCAACCUUGGGAGUUUUAUGUCAAAAUAUUCUCAAGAAGAAUCCAAGAAUAAACUUGCAUGCUCACGUGUGAUAAGGGCAUUAGAAGUAACAUUUCCUCAGCAAGGCCACACAUAGGGCACACACAUAACCCCAUCACAUGCCUUCUUAAUUAUGCAUAUGAAGGUAGGAUGUUUUUAAUUACUCUGCACCAAAAUACUCUUAACUUGGAUUGUACCUUAAGCUUUCAUUGCCUUUUCAAUUUUUCUUCCACAUUAGAUGAACUAGAUAGUCCAGCUACCACACGAUACCUUGUGUUCAUCACGGCUCUAUACAACAAUUGAACAGAAGAAAUGUCAUUUCUUUACCAUACCCAUGACCAAAUGUUCUCUACUACUCUCUCCGUCCGAAAAUACUGCCAUCCAUGUCGACAAAAAUGAGACAUAUAGGACCGCUAUGCCUCUGUCGAAGGAGGUGGUGGAGCGAUCCGGAGAUUAUGCUGCCAUCCAUGUUGAGUAAAAACCUCACUGGCCACUUGCUCCAACCGCAUACACACCACCAUAAACAACGGUUGGUACUCAGUUCGGUGUAGCAUACACCAUGUAGGAAGCGAGUGCUUACUCCUAGUUACUGAAUUAUGUACACCAAAUAAACCCAUUUACACGUAGUUAAUGACCAAAAAAAGGUGAUGCUUGCUACGGAGAUGUGUAGUACAAAUUAAGAAGUGCAAGAUAAAAAGAUGCUGGUCCUUGAUUCGUUGUUGAUCCUCAACAUGCCAUCAUCAACUUGUAGUUAAUUAUCAUACAAAUUGGCUCUUUCAUAGAGUUGGAGGCUAGCUCCUUUGAUCAGCACGCGCUUAAACACAAAGAACACGUAUAUGUAUUCUCUCCGGAGUUCAACUCUUGAUUGGCCAGCAAAAAUGGUCUGACCGGGUAGAGGAAAGGCAUGUUUGCUAGUACGCCUGGAGGAAAUGCCUUUGAUUAGGGCAUCUCCAACGGCGACCGGUAAAUUUUCUCCCACAUUCGUCCACGGACAGGGGAUCAGUCCGUGGAUACGGAUAUAGGAAUCGGCCAUCCAACGUUGUCCGCAUAUAUUUCGAACACUUCUUUAAAAAAAUCGGAUGAAAUUCAUGCAAACACAGUGGAUUCGAUACAAACCGGACAAAAACGUUUACAUUUUGGACAUAUUUUUAACUAAAAACUCUACAGCCGGCGCCGGCGACGACGAAUAUCCUCCGGCGACAUGGAUACCCUUGAAUAGUCUACUGCCGGCUGCAGCGGAUCUCCAAUGUCGUCCCCAUGUCCGGCAGCUGUGAGCCCUAGGUAUAUGCUUCAACGCAAAGAGCAGCUCGCCUCCCUACCACUCAUCGGAGUGGAACAACCAACUGAUGCUUCUGCCAGUGGGGAAGGGUUCCUACGUUACACAGGCCAGAGUUGAUUUUGGGUUGGGAACGGCGGUGGCCUGCCAGAGGGCAAGACACCGAUUGUGUACGCUGGUGUCACCUCGGUAUGGCAUUCAUGGGACCCAAGCGACAGCUUCUCCUCGACGAUGGUGGCGAGCGCAGACGUGUUGGACACCACCUCGUCGAUGCACUAGUAGAAAAUGGAGCUUUAAAACCGGUUUGUAAGGGCCUUUAGUGCCGGUUAUGGAACCGGCACUAAAGUGUGGGCACUAAAGCCCCCCCCCUUAGUACCGGUUCGGCACGAACCGGCGCUAAAGUGCCACCACGUGGCGUGAGCUCGCGCCCUAGUAUGGGGGACCUUUAGUGCCGGUUGGUGUUACCAACCGGUACUAAAGGUUUUUUUUUUUUGAAUUUUUUUUUUGAAAAUUUUGGAAUUUUUUUUUGAUUUUUGAUUUUUCUGAAUUAUUUGAUUAUUUAGUCUCUAAUCACCUCUCUUAACUGCUCAAGUGUGGAUCACUCAUUCCAAAUCAUCUAACUUCCCGACCGGUCACCCAUCGCUCUCACUAAUCCAGUCCGAGCACGCUUAACUUUCAGGUUCUAUUCUCCUUCGUUUCCGAGUAUGCACUUGUUGUUUUCCUGACAAUAGUAAGAUGUCAAUCCUAUUGACCCUCAGGAGUUUAGCUUGAGCAUGAAGUCACACAUUUCACCGUUUGAGUUUGAAACUAUUAUUCUAAAAAAACAGUAAUUAUUUAGUAAUGCUAAUAUUUCUUGAAUAAGUUUGACCAUAGUAUGACCAUAGUUUGACCAUAGUUUGACCAAAAUUCAAAAAAUUAAAAUAAUUAUUUAGUAACACUAAUAUUCUUGAAUAAUUAUGUAGUAACAUUAAUACUUCUUGAAUAAGUAGUUUGACCAAAUUUAACCAAAUUUUUUAAAAAAACUGAAAUUUGGCCAUAUCUUUUUUUCCUUUUCGAAUUUGAGGAUUCUAAAAAAUUCCAAACAGGCCGUAUGCGGUCUCCAUUGGAUGCGGAUUUUCGUGCUGAAUUUUUUGAUAUAUUAUACGUUUUAUUCUGACAUUGUAUGCAAAAGUUAUAGCCGUUUUACAUUUUUCCCUACACUUUUUGCAAAACAUGUCCAAAUUUAAGUUUUCAAAUUUUCCUAACUAGUAGAUAUAGUAAUAUAACUACCUCUCGAAGGAUUUUAUUUUUUGAAGUUUUUAUCAUUUUCUNNNNNNNNNNNNNNNNNNNNNNNNNNNNNNNNNNNNNNNNNNNNNNNNNNNNNNNNNNNNNNNNNNNNNNNNNNNNNNNNNNNNNNNNNNNNNNNNNNNNNNNNNNNNNNNNNNNNNNNNNNNNNNNNNNNNNNNNNNNNNNNNNNNNNNNNNNNNNNNNNNNNNNNNNNNNNNNNNNNNNNNNNNNNNNNNNNNNNNNNNNNNNNNNNNNNNNNNNNNNNNNNNNNNNNNNNNNNNNNNNNNNNNNNNNNNNNNNNNNNNNNNNNNNNNNNNNNNNNNNNNNNNNNNNNNNNNNNNNNNNNNNNNNNNNNNNNNNNNNNNNNNNNNNNNNNNNNNNNNNNNNNNNNNNNNNNNNNNNNNNNNNNNNNNNNNNNNNNNNNNNNNNNNNNNNNNNNNNNNNNNNNNNNNNNNNNNNNNNNNNNNNNNNNNNNNNNNNNNNNNNNNNNNNNNNNNNNNNNNNNNNNNNNNNNNNNAGUACCGGUUCGUGGCACGAACCGGUACUAAAGGCUUGUCCCCUUUAGUACCGGUUCGUGGCACGAACCGGUACUAUUUGUUAGACCUUUAGUACCGGUUCGUGGCACAAACCGGUACUAAAGGGGCUCGUGGGGACCCGGCCUGACGCCAGCCUGCCACUACCUCUUUAGUACCGGUUCGUGGCACGAACCGGUACUAAAGGCUCAACACGAACCGGUACUAUUGAUCGCAGCCACGAACCGACACUAUUGAUCAUAUUAGUGCCGGUUUUUUUACAAACCGGCACUAAUGUGCUUCACAUUUGACCCUUUUUCUACUAGUGAUGUCCAUGCAGCCCACUUCUUUCUCUGUAGGUAGGACGCGGUGACACACGUUUUGACAUCGAAUGACGCGCUCACAAUCACGGGAGGGGCGGUACGACAUGGCACCAUCAAUGGCAGCCAUGAUGCCCGUGCCACCAUGCUCCCUCUCAGUGCCGACCUGGAACAACUCGCCACUCCUCGGCUCGUGACCGGCGGGCUUGAUGGGCCCCCUAGCCAUUAUUUAUGCCAGACAACUCUUUUUCCUUCUCAUCAGAUGCCAUGGAAAAAACUGUUCAAGGAGGAAAAUGGUGAGUGGAGGUGUGAUGCGGUUCUUGCUCAAAAUCUGACAUUGUUUCAAUAGCGAGGGGACACGAGGAGCCAACCGGCGUUCUGUUUAAUGCCAGCCGGCUCACGAACGGACAUGUGACUGGAGUAAUUAUCCUGGCACACGCGCGGGUUUAAUGGUGGAAGGCGGGCAGUCUGGAGGAAUGACGCAGGAUGUGUGUUUAGCCGGCGUGCAGCGGGGCGGUACCCUUGGCGUGCAUGGGGCGGUACCCGGAGGCAUGAAUGCGGGCAAAGGUGUUGUCAGAAGCGGUCGUAGGUGUUGUCCGGACGCGUGCAAAGCCCCCCUCCCCCAUGUGUUGUCUCCGGUUUGCGAGAGAAAGUACAUCCAGACUGCCCUGUGGACCGAUACAAGCCCGCAUUGGAUGGCACAACACGUCCGGACCAUGUGGUCCGGAUAGUUGUGGACGGUUUAAUUGAGGGUCUGCGUUGGAGAUGCCUUAGAGUUUAUGAAUCCAUUGAGUUUUUCUAAUCAUUAAAAAACACUUAUAAUAAGUUAUAAGAAAAGACACGUAUAUAUGUUAGGUUCAGACUCCAGCUUUGCUCUUACAUAUGCUUUUUUUCUGAUCCGACAGAUUCCAAUAGAGUGAGCCCAACGUUGUUUUUCUGGAAACUCGAUACACGUUCUUUCAAGCAAAUCACAUCCAUUCUUUUUAACUCAUUUUUUCUUGUUUUAAUAAUAUAAUAAAUCAUUUGUAUUUUUUAUCUCGAACAGUUGACGUGUAAUUCCUAUUGUAAUCUAAGGAUAAUGUUUGGAUUUUACUUUCAAAUAUUUGAAAUGGCCAUGAUGGAAUCACAUCCAUUUAUUUUAUUAUUAUUUGAAUUUGAUCCAAAAGAUAAAUAAUGAGUACACGUCCUGAAAACUUUUCUGAGAACUUUGGUAAUCAAAAGACAAAAAAGGUUUUAAGAACUGAAGCAAACCACGAAUUUUACUCUAUUUUACUAAAGCAAGUGGCUGCUAUUUAGGUCUAGUAAAUAGCAAAUUGACCAACAACCUUUUUUCCAAAUUGGAAGGAAUGCAGUUCUCAGCUCUCACCAUGGUGAUUAUACAAUCUGGAUUUUGGAGCUGUAGCUAGUCAACUUAUGUUAGUGGCAUAUGUACCAUAGUGUUGGUCACUGGGAAUGGACGAAGCCAUGAGUGAAGGAACAGGAAAUGACAGAAGUAUGAUUUGUAGAAUUUCAAAACUCAAACUAUCUAGUUUUAUGGAGUGAUAUGAAAUAAGCAAAACCAACUGCUAAUAAAAAUGUAAAAUUAAACGAUAUAUUUAGCAAUGUGAUUGUGAAGUCAUUGUCACAAAAUAUGACCUCACUAAAAAUGAACAUUCAACCUUAUUUUCAGAAGUUUGCAUACAAAUUCCAUGUAAAUUAUGGUAGUGCCCAUAAACAAAUAAACCAUAAUCGUGCUUGAUCUACCAUGAAACUUACUACCUUGUCUAUACUCUUGAAAGGACAAAAAAUGCUGAUGCAAUGCCACCUCGCUAGAUAUAUACUUUUGUCAUGUCCAGAGAUUUCCUGCACCAUGAACAAAAAUGCCACCGCAAUAAUAGUCGUUCUUUUGCGACAAAAAAAUACUGAAUUUGGACAGCAAUGCCUGCACAACUACUAUCUGUACACCACGCAUGCACCCAUUUAUAUCAGUAAUACAUAUUAUAAGCUUGUGAACAUUGGUUUCAAAGUAGUGAUACCAAUAGUACGUCAUCCAGUGAUGGCCAGUCGCAGUACCUAGAUGCCACCUCGGUGCCUGGUUUCAAAGUCGCAAGUUCAUGGCAGGGAAAGCAAUCAUGCGUCUAGAGUAGAGACUUAAAAAAAGACUCAUGCCAUGUAGAUGGAUCAGAUAAUUAUGCCAAUCCUGAUUUUUCAGUGCAAAUCCAGUUCUGAAACUUCCACCUGAUCAGUUGCUCCCAAAAUGGGCUAUACAGUUAACCAAAAUGAAUUUUGCUCCUAACACCAUAGUUUGUUUCCAACGAUCACUAGAGCGAGCUUCACCAGAGUGAUGUGGGUUUGAUUAAGUACCUGAGCUGGUGUUGUACAUGCAUAUAUGUUAUGUUCACCGCUCCUACCGGAUGCCCGCCGCGGAACUCACCAUCCGUUCUACACAAGCAGCAAAACCGAUUGGAUUAGCUAUUUUGUUUGUUACUUGUAUAGUCUGGUGGAAUGACCAGUUCCAGUAUUACGCCAUGGCGGCAUCUUUUAUAUGCAAUAUACUGUGAACUGAAUUUUCUGUUAGUGAAGUUGACAAAACAGAGUACUACAGGGUAGAGGGGUAGAGCAUGUAAGUGGUGAUUGUUGUGUGGUUUGUGCGUUAGUUAUGUGUGAACCGGGCGUCGAGGUAGCGUUGGCUGGUCAUCUGCAGCUCAUAGGCGCACGAGCACAGCGGUGGCACGCCCACCACCGCCUCCAUUGCCCGCAAGGACGCCACCUAGCCGCCACCGUAUCUGGAGAAGAAGCAACAAGCAUGUAAGAGUUUCUCCUUGGACGCUCUAUGGAUCGACCUGAUCGAUAACUCGUUUUGUGCAUGCACCACCACACAUGGCUGAACCGAGCAUCCUCCUGGCGGCUCCCAGUGAGACUGUCCUCGCAGCGGCCACGGCUCGAUGGUUCACCCCCGUGCGCAUGGUACGUGCCGCAGCCUGCAUUCAAAACAGAGCGCGUAGAGCACUAUCAGUGAGAUCGAAGGAGAGGAAUAUCAAAAUGGAAACUUAGCUGGUGUGCUAGGAGGGAGAUUCUUGGAGCUAGGGAGCACGCCGACGCCAUUGCUCAAGGUGCAAGAUUGUUUCAAUCUUUAAUCCUGCUCGUUGUUGAUUCUGGUUACAGUAAAUUUUAGCUAGCUAUGGUGCAAACUAAGUGUUAUGCCUAGUCUUAAUCUAUCUAUCUAUCCUAUCUUCUAUUCGGCGAGGUGGCUGCGCCUGUGGCGGAUGUGGCCGCUGCCAUGGCCGGCGCCAGACCUGGUCGAUCUCCCUCUUCUGUAUUUGAGAAAAAAGAGAUCUCCCUCUUCUCUUCUGAUGAGAAGGGGAAGAGAUGGUGAGAGAUGAAGUCGACGGCUUUGGGGAGAGGAUACGGGAGGACGCCGGCAGUGAGGCAGCGUGAGGAAGACUAGGUGGUUGGCGGCGGCGACGCGUGAGGGGAGGGGAAGGGAGGGGUAGCGGUGCAUGGAGAGGAGUGGGUGUGCGGCGUGCCCAGUUCACGAGAGAGGAAAGAGGUCGUCAAGGGAGCGAUCCGUGGGUGUUUUUUUUCCUUUUGAGCGAGCCUAGUUGGGCUCUCUGCGGCGUCUAGGCCCAAUGCCCAUAGAACAGACAGGGCCAGUUUGCAAAUUUUAAAACAUAAGUUUUUUAGCGCCCAUGAAAAACAGAACACAUAUCUUUCCAAACAUAAUGAACUAUAGGUACCACCAAAAAAACCAUAAUGAACUAUAGGUUGUUACAAGAACUCAUGCCAUCCAACAGCCUACCUCUGACCCUGCCAACAUUGUUGCAGCUGCACUCGCAAGCGUUACCAUAGGUGAUCAUUUGCAUGAUCUUGCGUUAAACAAAAUAAGAUCUAAAAAUGAAUAGAAGCUACACAUACCUUGGCAUGGACACACAUUGCAAGCCAUACUAAGGUGAUAAGUGUUAAUAACUUGUACAACAUAUACAACACUUAAGAGAAGUAAAAGCAAUUUGAUGAGUCAUGGUCUAUCAAAGCAAGCUGCAUUACUACUCUAAUCUAUCUUAACAGGCCACACAUGAUUACAAUCCUUUUUGUGUGCAAGUCAAGCUUAUCUAGUUUACACGUAACAACUUGUAGAACAUUACACAAUUGAUGUUUGCUAAUAACUCCUAAAAAACUACAACACUUGACACGUAAAAAGAAUUUGAUGAGUCAUGACCUACUAAAGGAAGUUACAUUACUAGUCUCAUCUAUCUUAACAGGUCACACAAGAUUACAAACUAAGUUCUGCGCAAGCAAUGCUUAUCUAGUUUACACAUAACAACUUGCAAAACAUUACAAACUUAGUUUCAAAAAAUUAGGCAAUCUAGAUUAAUGUUUGAGUUGUAAAGUGAAUAAGAUGAGUCAUGUGUGUUAUCACAACUUUUUGGUGGUGGAAUGAUAGUGCCACCAAACACAACAUACCAAAUUAUGAUUUUAGGAACCAUCCAAGCACUUUCCAGACAAGAGAAUGCCAAUUGUGAAGGAGAUGAUGCCAUGGCAGCUAUAAAUAGGCAUGUAGCAUGAUAAUCAUCCUUCCUCAACCAUCAUUCUCAUAAGUAGAGUGCAUCGUUCAAGCCAAGCAAGCAGUGGUCAAUACAAAUCCACCAUGCCCUCCUUGCUAUCGUGGCGACCACCGCCACAACUGCAGUUAGAGUUCCAGUGCCACAAUUGCAGCCACAAAAUCCAUCUCAGCAACAACCACAAGAGCAAGUUCUAUUGGUGCAACAACAACCAUUUCUAGGGCAGCAACAACAACAAUUUCCAGGGCAGCAAUAACCAUUUCGACCACAACAGCCAUAUCCGCAGCCGCAACUAUUUCCUCCAAAACUACCAUAUCCGCAGCCGCAACCAUUUACACCACAUCAAUCAUAUCCACAACCACAACCACAGUAUCCGCAACCACAACAAGCAAUUUCGCAGCAACAAGGACAACAACAACAACAACAACAAAUCCUUCAACAAAUUCUGCAACAACAACUGAUUCCAUGCAGGGAUGUCGUCUUGCAACAACCCAACAUAGCACAUGCAAGCUCACAAGUAUCUCAACAAAGUUACCAUCUAUUGCAACAAUUAUGUUGUCAGCAACUGUGGCAGACCCCCGAGCUGUCACAGUGCCAAGUCAUCCACAAUGUCGUUCAUGCUAUUAUUCUGCAUCAUCAAUAACAACAAAAACAACAACAACAACCGUCGAGCCAGGUCUUCUACCAGCAGCCUCAGCAACAAUAUCCAUCAGGCCACGGCUCCUUCCAGCCAUCUCAGCAAAACCCACAGACCCAGGGCUUUGUCCAACCUCAGCAACUGCUGCAGUUUGAGGAAAUAAGGAACGUAGCGCUGCAGACACUACCAGCAAUGUGCAAUGUCUACAUCCCUCCAUAUUGCUCGACCACCAUUGCGCCAUUUGGCAUCGUGAGUACUAACUGAGAAGUGAAGAACUCUAGUACUAGAUAUAUGAAACACCGUUUUCUUAGACCAUGGUUUGGUCAUUGUAGCGGUGAAGAAUAAAGUGACAUGCACUAUCAUGUAAGAACUCGAACUAGACUAUUUCAAACUUGGAAAUAAAAGACAAACACAGGUCUUGUCUGCAUAUGAUUGUUUGUUUGAGUUCCAUUCAUUUGCCCGUUCACAACUUCACCCCUAAUUAUAUAUAUUAAGCAUUAAGUAGAUGUUUAUGUGCAUUAAUCUAAAGAUAACAAAAUGAAUCUGAAACUUGAAUUUAAUUGAAGUAUUUUCUUGGACUUUCAAAUUGAGCAUUGACAGUGAGGACUAUCCACAUCCUUGGCUUCCCCUUGAUCAAUUAUUUCCAAAGAAGCAUUCAAUUCAUCAGUCAAUUACAUUGAUUUUUGUGGCUUGUACUUCUCCUCGACAUGAGUAUCUUCAUUACGGCUACUCCAAUUCUCCCACAUAACUGAAGCAUUAAUAGCGCUCUUGCUUGCAUCAAGGAAAUAUGGAUUGAAGAUAUAUCUUGACCAUGUUUUUGGGUGCAACCUUGGGAGUUUUAUGUCAAAAUAUUCUCAAGUAGAAUCCAAGAAUAAACUUGCAUGCUCACAUGUGAUAAGUGUUGGAAAUGUGCCCUAGAGGCAAUAACAAAAGGAUUAUUAUUAUAUUUACUUGUUCAUGAUAAUUGUCUUUUAUUCAUGCUAUAAUUAUAUUAUCCGGAAAUCAUAAUACAUGUGUGAAUACAUAGACCGCAAUACAUCCCUAGUAAGCCUCUAGUUGACUAGCUCGUUGGUCAAUAGAUAGUAAUGGUUUCCUGACUAUGGACAUUAGAUGUCGUUGACAAUGGGAUCACAUCAUUAGGAGACUGAUGUGAUGGACAAGACCCAAUUCUAAGCAUAGCACAAGAUCGUGUAGUUCGUUUUUGCUAGAGCUUUUCCAAUGUCAAGUAUCUCUUCCUUAGACCAUGAGAUCGUGUAACUCCCGGAUACCGUAGGAGUGCUUUGGCUGUACCAAACGUCACAACGUAAUUGGGUGACUAUAAAGGUGCACUACAGGUACCUCCGAAAGUGUCUGUUGGGUUGACACGGAUCGAGACUGGGAUUUGUCACUCCGUAUGACGGAGAGGUAUCACUGGGCCCACUCGGUAGUGCAUCAUCAUAAUGAGCUCAAAGUGACCAAGUGUCUGGUCACGGGAUCAUGCAUUACGGUACGAGUAAAGUGACUUGCCGGUAACGAGACUAAAUGAGGUAUUGGGAUACCGACGACCGAGUCUCGGGCAAGUAACAUACCGACUGACAAAGGGAAUAGUGUACAUGGUUGCUUGAAUCCUCGACAUCGUGGUUCAUCCGAUGAAAUCAUCGAGGAACAUGUGGGAGACAACAUGGGUAUCCAGAUCCCGCUGUUGGUUAUUGACCGGAGAGCCGUCUCGGUCAUGUCUGCAUGUCUCCCGAACCCGUAGGGUCUACACACUUAAGGUUCGGUGACGCUAGGGUUGUAUGAAUAUGAGUAUGCAGCAAACUGCAAGUUGUUAGGAGUCCCGGAUGAGAUCCCGGACGUCAUGAGGAGUUCCGGAAUGGUCCGGAGGUAAAGAUUUAUAUAUGGGAAGUCUUAUUUUGGUCGCCAGAAAAGUCUCGGGCAUUAUCGGUAUUGUACCGGGAGUGUCGAAAGGGGCCCGGGGGUCCACCGGGGGGUCCACCUGCCCCGGGGGGACACAUGGGCUGUAGGGGGUGCGCCUUGGCCUAUAUGGGCCAAGGGCACCAGCCUCAAGAGGCCCAUGCGCCAAGGAGACUUGGAGAGGGGAGAGUCCUAAAAGGGGAAGGCACCUCCGAGGUGCCUUGGGGAGGAUGGACUCCUCCCCCCUCUUGGCCGCACCCCUUCCUUGGAGGAAGGGGCAAGGUUGCGCCCUCCCCCCUCUCUUGCACCUAUAUAAAGGGAGGGGAGGGAGGGGUGGCCGCACCCAUAAGCCCUGGCGCCUCCCUCCUCCCUGAAACACCUCCUCCUCCUCCCGUAGUUGCUUAGCGAAGCCCUGCCGGAGUUCUGCUGCAUCCACCACCACGCCGUCAUGCUGCUGGAUCAUCAUCAAUCUCUCCUUUCCCCUUGCUGGAUCAAGAAGGAGGAGACGUCAUCCGCACCAUACGUGUGUUGAAUGCGGAGGUGCUGUCCGUUCGGCACUAGGUCAUCGGUGAUCUGAAUCACGGCGAGUACGACUCCAUCAACCCCGUUCCAUUGAACGCUUCCGCACGCGAUCUACAAGUGGUAUGUAGAUGCAAUCACUCUCCCAUGACUCGUUUCUAGAUGAAAUCAUAGAUGGAUCUUGGUGAAACCGUAGGAAAAAUUUUAAUUUUCUGCAACGUUCCCCAACAGUGGCAUCAUGAGCUAGGUCUAUGCGUAGUUCUCUAUUGCACGAGUAGAACACAAUUUUGUUGUGGGCGUAGAUCUUGUCAACUUGCUUGCCGCUACUAGUCUUUUCUUGCUUCAGCGGUAUUGUAGGAUGAAGCGGCCCGGACCGACCUUACACGUACGCUUACGUGAGACAGGUUCCACCGACUAACAUGCACUAGUUGCAUAAGGUGGCUAGCGGGUGUCUGUCUCUCCUACUUUAGUUGGAGCGGAUUAGAUGAAAAGGGUCCUUAUGAAGGGUAAAUAGAAGUUGACAAAAUCACGUUGUGGUUAUUCGUAGGUAAGAAAACGUUCUUGCUAGAACCCAAUUGCAGCCACGUAAAAGAUGCAACAACAAUUAGAGGACAUCUAACUUGUUUUUGCAGCAAUUGUCAUGUGAUGUGAUAUGGCCAGAAGUUGUGAUGAAUGAUGAAUGAUAUAUUAUGAUGUAUGAGAUCAUGUUCAUGUAAUAGGAAUCACGACUUGCAUGUCGAUGAGUAUGACAACCGGCAGGAGCCAUAGAAGUUGUCUUUAUUUUUCUAUGACCUGCGUGUCAUUGAAGAACGCCAUGUAAAUUACUUUACUUUAUUGCUAAACGCGUUAGCCAUAGAAGUAGAAGUAGUCGUUGGCGUGACAACUUCAUGAAGACACGAUGAUGGAGAUCAUGGUGUCAUGCCGGUGACGAAGAUGAUCAUGGAGCCCCGAAGAUGGAGAUCGAAGGAGCUAUAUGAUAUUGGCCAUAUCAUGUCACUACUUUAUAUAAUUGCAUGUGAUGUUUAUUAUGUUUAUGCAUCUUGUUUACUUAGAACGACGGUAGUAAAUAAUAUGAUCCCUUAUAACAAUUUCAAGAAAGUGUUCCCCCUAACUGUGCACCGUUGCUAAAGUUCGUCAUUUCGAAGCACCACGUGAUGAUCGUGUGUGAUAGAUCCUUACGUUCACAUACAACGGGUGUAAGACAGAUUUACACAUGCAGAACACUUAGGGUUAACUUGACGAGCCUAGCAUGUACAGACAUGGCCUCGGAACACAAGAGACCGAAAGGUCGAACAUGAGUCAUAUGGAAGAUACGAUCAACAUGGAGAUGUUCACCGAUGAUGACUAGUCCGUCUCACGUGAUGAUCGGACACGGCCUAGUCGACUCGGAUCGUGUAACACUUAGAUGACUAGAGGGAUGUCUAAUCUGAGUGGGAGUUUAUUAAAUAAUUUGAUUAGAUGAACUUAAUUAUCAUAAACUUAGUCUAAAGUCUUUGCAAAAAUAUGUCUUGUAGAUCAAAUGGCCAACGCUCAUGUCAACAUGAACUUCAACGCGUUCCUAGAGAAAACCAAGCUGAAAGAUGAUGGCAGCAACUAUUCGGACUGGGUCCGGAACCUGAGGAUCAUCCUCAUAGCAGCCAAGAAAGAUUAUGUCCUAGAUGCACCGCUAGGUGAAGCACCCAUCCCAGAGAACCAAGAUGUUAUGAACACUUGGCACUCACGUGCUGAUGAUUACUCCCUCGUUCAGUGCGGCAUGCUUUACAGCUUAGAACCGGGGCUCCAAAAGCGUUUUGAGAAGCACGGAGCAUAUGAGAUGUUCGAGGAGCUGAAAAUGGUUUUCCAAGCUCAUGCCCGGGUCGAGAGAUAUGAAGUCUCCGACAAGUUCUAUAGUUGUAAGAUGGAGGAAAACAGUUAUGUCAGUGAGCACAUACUCAAAAUGUCUGGGUUGCACAACCGCCUGUCCCAGUUGGAGAUCAACCUCCCGGAAGAGGUGGUCAUUGACAGAAUCCUUCAGUCGCUCCCACCGAGCUACAAGAGCUUUGUGUUGAACUACAAUAUGCAGGGGAUGGUGAAGACCAUUCCUGACGUAUUCUCAAUGCUGAAGUCAGCAGAGGUUGAAAUCAAGAAAGAACAUCAAGUGUUGAUGGUCAAUAAGACCACUAAGUUCAGGAAAGGGUAAGAAGAACUUCAAGAAGGACGGCAAAGAUGUUGCCGCGCCCGGUAAGCUAGUUGCCGGGAAGAAGUCAAAGAAUGGACCCAAGCCUGAGACUGAGUGCUUUUAUUGCAAGGGGAAGGGUCACUGGAAGCGGAACUGCCCCAAAUACUUAGCGGACAAGAAGGCCGGCAACACUAAAGGUAUAUGUGAUAUACAUGUAUUGAUGUGUACCUUACCAGUACUCGUAGUAACUCUUGGGUAUUUGAUACCGGUGUCGUUGCUCAUAUUUGUAACUCACAGCAGGAGCUGCGGAAUAAGCGGAGACUGGCGAAGGACGAGGUGACGAUGCGCGUCGGGAAUGGUUCCAAGGUCGAUGUGAUCGUCAUCGGCACGCUACCUCUACAUUUACCUACGGGAUUAGUUUUAAACCUCAAUAAUUGUUAUUUAGUGCCAAGUUUGAGCAUGAAUAUUGUAUCUGGAUCUCAUUUAAUGCGAGAUGGCUACUCAUUUAAAUCUGAGAAUAAUGGUUGUUCUAUUUAUAUGAGAGAUGUGUUUUAUGGUCAUGCCCCGAUGGUCAAUGGUUUAUUGUUAAUGAAUCUCGAACGUAAUGUUACACAUAUUCAUAGUGUGAAUACCAAAAGAUGUAAAGUUGAUAACGAUAGUCCCACAUACUUGUGGCACUGCCGCCUUGGUCACAUUGGUGUCAAGCGCAUGAAGAAGCUCCAUACUGAUGGACUUUUAGAGUCUCUCGAUUAUGAAUCAUUUGACACAUGCGAACCAUGCCUCUUGGGCAAAAUGACCAAGACUCCGUUCUCCGGAACAAUGGAGCGAGCAACCAACUUAUUGGAAAUCAUACAUACUGAUGUGUGUGGUCCAAUGAGCAUUGAGGCUCGUGGAGGAUAUCGUUAUGUUCUCACUCUCAUUGAUGACUUGAGUAGAUAUGGGUAUGUCUACUUGAUGAAACACAAGUCUGAGACCUUUGAAAAGUUCGAGGAAUUUCAGAAUGAAGUAGAGAAUCAACGUGACCGAAAGAUAAAAUUCUUACGAUCGGAUCAUGGAGGAGAAUAUUUAAGUCACGAAUUUGGUGCACACUUAAGAAAAUGUGGAAUCGUUUCACAACUCACGCCGCCUGGAACACCUCAGCGUAACGGUGUGUCCGAACGUCGUAAUCACACUCUAUUGGAUAUGGUGCGAUCCAUGAUGUCUCUUACCGAUUUACGGCUAUCAUUUUGGGGAUACGCUCUAGAGACAGCUACAUUCACUUUAAAUAGGGCACCGUCUAAAUCCGUUGAGACGACACCGUAUGAAUUAUAGUUUGGGAAGAAACCUAAGCUGUCGUUUCUAAAAGUUUGGGGAUGCAAUGCUUAUGUCAAGAAAUUACAACCUGAAAAGCUCGAACCCAAGUCGGAAAAAUGUGUCUUCAUAGGAUACCCUAAGGAAACCAUUGGGUAUACCUUCUACUUAAGAUCUGAGGGCAAGAUCUUUGUUGCCAAGAACGGAUCCUUUCUGGAAAAGGAGUUUCUCUCGAAAGGAGUAAGUGGGAGGAGAGUAGAACUUGAUGAAGUACUACCUCUUGAACCGGAAAGCAGUGUAGCUCAGGAAAAUGUUCCUGUGGUGCCUGCACCAACUGGAAAGGAAAUUAAUGAUGAUGAUCAAGGUACUUCGGAUCAAGUUUCUACUGAACUUCGUAGGUCCACAAGGACACGUUCCACACCAGAGUGGUAUGGCAACCCUGUCCUUGAAAUCAUGUUGUUAAACAACGGUGAACCUUCGAACUAUGAAGAAGCGAUGGCGGGCCCAGAUUCCAACAAAUGGCUUGAAGCCAUGCAAUCCGAGAUAGAAUCCAUGUAUGAAAACAAAGUAUGGACUUUGACUGACUUGCCCGAUGAUCGGCGAGCGAUAGAAAACAAAUGGAUCUUUAAGAAGAAGACAGACGCGGAUGGUAAUGUCACCAUCUAUAAAGCUCAACUUGUCGCUAAGGGUUAUCGGCAAGUUCAAGGAAUUGACUACGAUGAGACUUUCUCUCCCGUGGCGAAGCUUAAGUCCGUCCGAAUCAUGUUAGCAAUUGCCGCAUACUAUGAUUAUGAGAUAUGGCAGAUGGACGUCAAAACGGCAUUCCUUAACGGUUAUCUUAAGGAAGAGUUGUAUAUGAUGCAGCCAAAAGGUUUUGUCGAUCCUAAGAAUGCUAACAAAGUAUGCAAGCUCCAGUGAUCCAUUUAUGGGCUGGUGCAAGCAUCUCGGAGUUGGAACAUUCGCUUUGAUGAGAUGAUCAAAGCGUUUGGGUUUAUGCAGACUUAUGGAGAAGCCUGCGUUUACAAGAAAGUGAGUGGGAGCUCUAUAGCAUUUCUCAUAUUAUAUGUAGAUGACAUACUUUUGAUGGGGAAUGAUAUAGAAAUCUUGGACAGCAUUAAGGCCUACUUGAAUAAGUGUUUUUCAAUGAAGGACCUUGGAGAAGCUGCUUACAUAUUAGGCAUCAAGAUCUAUAGGGAUAGAUCGAGACGCCUCAUAGGUCUUUCACAAAGCACAUACCUUGAUAAGAUUUUGAAGAAGUUCAAAAUGGAUCAGUCCAAGAAAGGGUUCUUGCCUGUAUUGCAAGGUCUGAGAUUGAGCUCGGCUCAAUGCCCGACCAUGGCAAAGAUAAAGAAGAGAUGAGCGUCAUCCCCUAUGCCUCAGCCAUAGGAUCUAUUAUGUAUGCCAUGCUGUGUACCAGACCUGAUGUAAACCUUGCCGUAAGUUUGGUAGGAAGGUACCAAAGUAAUCCCGGCAAGGAACACUGGACAGCGGUCAAGAAUAUCCUGAAGUACCUGAAAAGGACAAAGGACAUGUUUCUCGUUUAUGGAGGUGAUGAAGAGCUCGUCGUAAAGGGUUACGUCGACGCUAGCUUCGACACAGAUCUGGAUGACUCUAAGUCACAAACCGGAUACGUAUUUAUGUUGAAUGGUGGAGCAGUAAGCUGGUGCAGCUGCAAGCAGAGCGUCGUGGCGGGAUCUACAUGUGAAUCGGAGUACAUGGCAGCCUCGGAGGCAGCAUGAAGCAAUAUGGAUGAAGGAGUUCAUCACCGACCUAGGAGUCAUACCCAAUGCGUCGGGGCCGAUCAAACUCUUCUGUGACAACACUGGAGCUAUUGCCCUUGCCAAGGAGCCCAGGUUUCACAAGAAGACCAGGCACAUCAAGCGUCGUUUCAACUCCAUCUGUGAAAAUGUUCAAAAUGGAGACAUAGAUAUUUGCAAAGUACAUACGGAUCUGAAUGUCGCAGAUGUCACGACCGGUUUUCCAAUAAAAUAUUUAUUGAGAAACCAAUCUUUUGAGUCCAGUAUGAGAGAAAUCCUCCUCACUGGUAGACAAAUUCUUGAUGCAAUAAGCCAGUAGCAUAGGAUAUAUUACAGGGUUGAGCUAGGGCUGCUCAACAAAUUAUUACAAGCGCGCCAAUAAUUAUACAUAAUGGCGGAUAUAACACAAUGGUGUGGUGGCAUACUACUGACUCGAGGAUAAAGUGAUGGUGGAAUAACACAGUGGGGAGUGUGAUAACACGACUCUCAAACUGGCAUCUCAUCGAGUUUCGAGGUGAGGCUCGAUAAAUUUAUUCGGGUUGCGGAAGCGGAUAUAAUACAGUGACCAAAUCUAGGGUCGCACGAGACUGACUGGGAUUACUCUAGGCGUCGGACUCGCUAUCGAACUCUUCAUCCAUGAGAUCGCCUUCGUCAGCAUCUGGCCAAAUCAACAAGCCAGUGAGUACUUUGAAAGUACUCGCAAGACAGUUCGGAUGUAAGAUAUAACAAAUGCAUGCAUGAAUGCGUCAUGAUUAAUUCGCCAAUGUACAUUCAGAAAUUAGCAUAAUGAGGUAAGUAAAAGGGAAACGGCGGUAGUCCGCCUUAAAUCCCAUGAAACAUAAAUGAAGACCGAUCGGGUGUCUGAAGCGACGCCUCGAAAGGUGAACAAAUAAAUAUAAGGAAAUGAUGCCACAGUCGGGCGUCUUAGAGACACCACAUAAAGGGCUUUAAAAGAAAUGCCACAGUCGGACGUCGGGGCGACAUCACAGAAAGGGCUUUAAAAGAAAUACCACAGUCGGGCGUCUUAGCGACACCACAUAAAGGGCUUUAAAAGAAAUGCCACAGUCGGACGUCGGGGCGACAUCACAGAAAGGGCUUUUAAAAGAAAUACCACAGUCGGGCGUCUUAGCGACACCACAUAAAGGGCUUGAAAAGAAAGUAAAAUACAAUUAUGCCACAGUCGGACGUCUGAGCGACAUCGCAGAAAGGGCUUUUAUUCACAAGUAAAUAAUACUCAUAAUAUACAUUCAAUUUAUGAGAAUAAAUGGGUUAGUCCAUUCACUGAAAUAAUCAUUUAACCGGACUUAGCACUCAGGCGAUUCACCGGAGUCUCUGUCAUCAAAACUGAAAUUUUGAUCAGGAUAAGAUAAUAUCGAUCUUGGACAUGGAUAGAUGAUUUGGAGGAAAUAUAUGACUCUGCAGAGUUUGUACAAAUUUUUUCCCACAGCCAACCGAUUUCCGUAGUCCCGAAGGACUAGUUCCGUUUACGGUUUUUCGGGAGAAAACACAGCUAUCCAGUACACACCCAUCCUACCUCUCGAUGCCAGGACUCACCCUAGACAUCGUCCAAGAAAAACUUUUGAGACGGGGAGAUCACAAUCUCGAAUAGCAUGGGAUCAAAUUUAUAUACGCGCGCUCUAAGGGGUGCCCCCCUCUCGGUCCCAACCGGAAACACCCAUGCCCCCUAACCGGAUGACUGGCUUUAAUCCAGGGCCAUGGAACCAUCAUCACGGCCUCUCCUUUGUGGUGUGUACCAGGAAGCGGUUUACAACUUACUAAGCCAUAUUCCUUACGAAAAAUCUGUGGUAGUACAAGGAAGGAAGAAUGGAAGGAACUGGAAUGAUACGAGUUGACAUUGAAGUCACAUAGUCUGGCAUAAGCCUGGCAUGCUACAACACUGCCAUCUUACCCAUCCUCAUGCCAACACAUGGCCAUGCAUACUCACAUCCAUCCACUUAUGGAUCAUCGAACUCACUUACCUCAACAUUGCAUAAAAUAACGUUCUUCGGUAUGCUCAUCAACAUGCCAUGAAACUAACUAAAUGCAAAACAUGCCAAGACACUCAUCAUAUCAAAAGUUCAAACAUGCUUGCCUGGUUCAGAGUAGUCGGAGCCUAGCUCGGUGAAGUUCGCGGCUCCGUCACCUCCUUCGGUAUCUACGGUAUAAAGAAAAUAUAUGCGCUAUCGUAAAUACCAAGGGGUGCACAAAAAGUAUUCCAAAUAUUUUUCAAAUAAAUCUGGUAAAAAACUAGACAAAAUUUUAAAGAGAACAGAAAAAGAAUCAAUCAAAAAUACCUUUCUGUUUAAAAGUUAUAAAGGUUUUUUUCCAGGGACUCAUCUGUAAUGAAACAGAAAGUUCCCAGGGGCUAGCUUAUGAAAACAGAAAACGCUUCGGCAGAAACUACGCCAGCCCAAAAGGGAAAGCGCAUUUGGCAGAAGGCGUUUUCAGAAAACGCUUCGUUUAGAAAGGACAGAGAGGCUGACAGCGGGUCCCGCCUGUCAGGUUUGAAUAUAUGAACGGGCGGCAGAUUUCGCCGGUGCCCGAGAGACGCGGUGGUCGCCGACGGCGAUCCACGGCGAGGCAGGGGGAUUGGAGGGUACCUCCGUGUUCAGGGCACCUUCCCGCGUCGGUUGGUGGUGGUGGUGGUGGUCGCCGGCGAGUACCACGUCGACGGCGAGCUUUGCUCCGGCGGACGGCGGCUCGGGUGGUCAAGGGACUCAUCGGAGAGAGCUGCGAAGGACAAAUUGAUGCUGGCGUUAGCUUACUGGGUGCUAGAGGGAGUAACUGACGGGGUUUGGGCGCCGGAGACGGCCUCACCGGAGCGAAUCGUGGUGGAGGCCGAGGCGGAUCGGGGCGGCCGGAGUUGGGGGAGGAGACCUCCUCGAGGUCCUCCGGGUGGCUUGGCAGAGCUUUGGUGAGGUGUAGAGGUGGUGCGUGCUCGAGGGUGAGCUCGGGGGCCCUUUUUAUAGGCGGCCCGAGGCGGUGGCCGUGAACGGGGGUCUCCGGUGAAGAUUACGGCGGCGCAGGGCUUGGUCGGGGGUAAUUAGGGAGUUGUGCGUCGUCGUUGAGGUCCACCGGUUCCAUUUAGGUGCUAAUCGGGCUGGGAUUUGGUGCUAUGGGCGAGUUCGAUAGAACGGGGCGGCGCGGGCCCGUCGGCGGCAGUGAGCACGUUCCGUGCUUGCCGGGCCACGGCGACGGUGCCACGGGCAUGCGCUGGCAUGCAUGAGGCCACGCGGAGAGCAGAGGGGCGUUGGGCGGCGCCGAACGGCAUUGAACCGCCGUUCCGUCCCCUGUCGGCUGCCACGGGGGUUCGGCCGCCGCAAGACACGCCGGCGCGGGCGGCCAGGGGCGCCACCGACGCUGGGAAGACGCCAAGCGCGCGUGCGGGGAUGCUGGCCAGGGAGAAGAAGCCGCGUGCAACGCGCCAAGCGCACUGUCAACGCGUGAGUGAAGCUGACGGACGAAAAACGACACUGAAGUCUGAAUUUUCUGAAAAUGAACAGCAACAGCGCAAGCAAGGUGUUCGACAGAAUGAAUUUGGCCUCUGGGGAUUUUUCCUUGAGCUGAAACUUGGUGGAGUGGCUACUCAUUGCUCCAGUAGGCUGCAUGAUUUUUGGUGGAAUUUUUGGAGGAGUGUAGAUAUGAAUUUCACCAAAUUUGGCAAAUCUGGUCCAAACUUGCAGAGACUGAAUUUUGAAAAAUUUGAAAAGAGAAGGAGUGGAUCAAGAUGGUUCUGGGUUGUGGGUAUAAAGGACUUUCCAGGAGGGUUGGUUUGAGGUCAAAACUCAACUGAAAAAGGGUACUUGCUUUGAAAAACUCUCAGGCUCCAAAUAAUUUUCAGAAAUGAUUUGAGGGGAAAAAUAAUUAUAAUAAAAUCCAAAACUUGCUUGGAUUAGUUGGGACAGAGAACUUAGGUUGAUUACAAGGAGGAGGGGAGGUUUUGGAGGGGUUUUAUCACAUGGGCAAAAUACAAAGUCAUGGGUGGUUUUCAAGAUAUGAAAAUCCCAAAUUUUCAUAGAGUUUCUUUUUAAAAGAAAAAGAUUAAACUCCCAAAAUAAUUUGAGAGGGAACCAACAGAGAAGAAGUUUCAAAAGAUCAAACACCAUAGCUUGAAGAAAAAUAAAAACCUUGCCAAAGAAAAGGAAGUUUUUAAGAGGAAGGUUUUCUGGAAAAAUUUUAAAUGCCCUCUUUUAAAAUCCAACAAAGUUUUUGAUGAAAACCAAAUUAGAAUUUUGGAGUGUCACAGCAGAUCCGUUGACUAAACCUCUUUCGCGAGCAAAACAUGAUCAACACCAGAACUCUAUGGGUGUUCGAUUCAUCACAAUGUAACUUGAUUAUUGACUCUAGUGCAAGUGGGAGACUGUUGGAAAUAUGCCCUAGAGGCAAUAAUAAAAGGAUUAUUAUUAUAUUUCCUUGUUCAUGAUAAUUGUCUUUUAUUCAUGCUAUAAUUGUAUUAUCCGGAAAUCAUAAUACACGUGUGAAUACAUAGACCACAAUACAUCCCUAGUAAGCCUCUAGUUGACUAGCUCGUUGGUCAAUAGAUAGUCAUGGUUUCCUGACUAUGCACAUUAGAUGUCGUUGACAAUGGGAUCACAUCAUUAGGAGAAUGAUGUGAUGGACAAGACCCAAUUCUAAGCAUAGCACAAGAUCGUGUAGUUCGUUUUUGCUAGAGCUUUUCCAAUGUCAAGUAUCUCUUCCUUAGACCAUGAGAUUGUGUAACUCCCGGAUACCGUAGGAGUGCUAUGGGUGUACCAAACGUCACAACGUAACUGGGUGACUAUAAAGGUGCACUACAGGUAUCUCCGAAAGUGUCUGUUGGGUUGACACGGAUCGAGACUGGGAUUUGUCACUCCGUAUGACGGAGAGGUAUCACUGGGCCCACUCGGUAGUGCAUCAUCAUAAUGAGCUCAAAGUGACCAAGUGUCUGGUCACGGGAUCAUGCAUUACGGUACGAGUAAAGUGACUUGCCGGUAACGAGACUGAAUGAGGUAUUGGGAUACCGACGAUCGAGUCUCGGGCAAGUAACAUACCGACUGACAAAGGGAAUAGUGUACGGGGGUGCUUGAAUCCUCGACAUCGUGGUUCAUCCGAUGAAAUCAUCGAGGAACAUGUGGGAGCCAACAUGGGUAUCCAGAUCCCGCUGUUGGUUCCGUCUCGGUCAUGUCUGCAUGUCUCCCGAACCCGUAGGGUCUACACACUUAAGGUUCGGUGACGCUAGGGUUGUAUGAAUAGGAGUAUGCAGCAAACUGAAAGUUGUUCGGAGUCCUGGAUAAGAUCCCGGACGUCAUGAGGAGUUCCGGAAUGGUCCGGAGGUAAAGAUUUAUAUAUGGGAAGUCUUAUUUUGGUCGCCGGAAAAGUUUCGGGCAUUAUCGGUAUUGUACCGGGAGUGCCGAAAGGGGUCCGGGGAUCCACCGGGGGGGUCCACCUGCCCCGGGGGGGCACAUGGGCUGUAGGGGGUGCGCCUUGGCCUAUAUGGGCCAAGGGCACCAGCCCCAAGAGGCCCAUGCGCCAAGGAGACUUGGAGAGGGGAGAGUCCUAAAAGGGGAAGGCACCUCCGAGGUGCCUUGGGGAGGAUGGACUCCUCCCCCCCUCUUGGCCGCACCCCUUCCUUGGAGGAAGGGGCAAGGCUGCGCCCUCCCCCCUGUCUUGCACCUAUAUAAAGGGAGGGGAGGGAGGGGUGGCCGCACCCAUAAGUCCUGGCGCCUCCCUCCUCCCUGAAACACCUCCUCCUCCUCCCGUAGUUGCUUAGCGAAGCCCUGCCGGAGUUCUGCUGCAUCCACCACCACGCCGUCGUGCUGCUGGAUCAUCAUCAACCUCUCCUUUCCCCUUGCUGGAUCAAGAAGGAGGAUACGUCAUCCGCACCGUACGUGUGUUGAACGCGGAGGUGAUGUCCGUUCGGCACUAGGUCAUCGGUGAUCUGAAUCACGGCGAGUACGACUCCAUCAACCCCGUUCCAUUGAGCGCUUCCGCACGCGAUCUACAAGUGGUGUGUAGAUGCAAUCACUCUCCCAUGACUCGUUGCUAGAUAAACUCAUAGAUGGAUCUUGGUGAAACUGUAGGAAAAAUUUUAAUUUUCUGCAACGUUCCCCAACAAUAAAGGCAUUAGAAGUAACUUUUCCUCAGCAAGGCCACACAUAGGGCACACACAUAACCCCAUCACAUGCCUUUUUAGUUAUGCAUAUGAAGGUAGGAUGUUUUUAAUUACUCUGCACCAAAAUACUCUUAACUUGGAUUGUACCUUAAGCUUUCAUUGCCUUUUCAAUUUUUCUUCCACAUUAGAUGAACUAGACAGUCCAGCUAGCACAUGAUACCUUGUGUUCAUCACGGCUUUAUACAACAAUUGAACAGAAGAAAUGUCAUUUCUUUGCGAUACCCAUGACCAAAUGUUCUCUGCUACUUUCUCCAUCCGAAAAUACUGCCAUCCAUGUCGACAACAAUGAGACAUAUAGGACCGCUAUGCCUCUAUUGAAGGAGGUGGUGGAGCGAUCCGGAGAUUAUGCUGCCAUCCAUGUUGAGUAAAAACCUCACUGGCCACUUGCUCCAACCGCAUACACACCACCAUAAAUAACGGUUGGUACUCAGUUCGGUGUAGCAUACACCAUGUAGUAAGCGAGUGCUUUCUCCUAGUUACUGAAUUAUGUACACCAAAUAAACCCAUUUACACGUAGUUAAUGACCAAAAAAAGGUGAUGCUUGCUAUGCAGAUGUGUAGUACAAAUUAAGAAGUGCAUGAUAAAAAGAUGCUAGUCCUUGAUUCGUUGUUGAUCCUCAGCAUGCCAUCAUCAACUUGUAGUUAAUUAUCAUACAAAUUUGCUCUUUCAUAGAGUUGGAGGCUAGCUCCUUUGAUCAGCACGCGCUUAAACACAAAGAACACGUAUAUGCAUUCUCUUCGGAGUUCAAUUCUUGAUUGGCCAGCAAAAAUGGUCCGACCGGGUAGAGGAAAGGCAUGCUUGCUAGUACGCCUGGAGGAAAUGCCUUUGAUUAGGGCAUCUCCAACGGCGACCAGUAAAUUUCUCCCACAUUCGUCCACGGACAGGGGAUCAUUCCGUGGAUACAGAUAUAGGAAUCGACCAUCCAACGCUGUCCGCAUAUAUUUCGAACACUUAUUUUAAAAAAUCGGAUGAAAUUCAUGCAAACACAGUGGAUUCCAUACAAACCGGAGAAAAACGUUUACAUGUUGGACAUAUUUUUUAACUAAAAACUCUACAGCCGGCGCCGGCGACGAUGAAUAUCCACUCCGGCGACAUGGAUACCCUUGACUAGUCUACUGCCGGCCGCAGCGGAUCUCCAAUGUCGUCCCCAUGUCUGGCAGCUGUGAGCCCUAGAGGUAUAUACUUGAAUGCAAAGAGCAGCUCGCCUCCCUACCACUCAUCGGAGUGGAACAACCAACUGAUGCUUCUGCUAGUGGGGAAGGGUUCCUACGCUACACAUGUUAGAGUUGGUUUUGGGUUGGGAACAGCGAUGGCCUGCCAGACGGCAAGACACUGGCUGUGUACGCUGGUGUCACCUCGAUAUGGCAUUCAUGGGACCCAAGCGACAGCUUCUCCUCGACGAUGGUGGCGAGCGCAGACGUGUUGGACACCACCUCGUCGAUGUCCAUGCAGCCCGCUUCUUUCUCUGUAGUCAGGACGCAGUGACACGCGCUUUGACAUCGGAUGACGCGCUCACGGGCACGUGAGGGGAGGUACGACAUGGCACCAUCAAUGGCAGCCAUGAUGCCCGUGCUACCGUGGUCCCUCUCAGUGCCGAUCUGGAGCAACUCGCCACUCCUCGGCUCGUGACCGGCGGGCUUGACGGGCCCCCUAGCCAUUAUUUAUGCCAGACAACUCUUUUUCCUGCUCAUCAGGUGCCAUGGAGAAAAUUGUUCAUGGAGGAAAAUGGUGAGUGGAGGUGUGAUGCGGUUUUUGCUCGACAUCUGACAUUGUUUAAAUAGCAAGGGGACACGAGGAGCCAACCGGCAUUCUAUUUAAUGCCAGCCGGCUCACGAACGGACAUGUGGCUGGAGUAAUUAUCCUGGCACACGCGCGGGUUUAAUGGUGGAAGACGGGCAGUCUGGAGGAAUGAGGCAGGAUGUGUGUUUAGCCGGCGUGCAGCGGGGCGGUACCCUUGGCGUGCGUGGGGCGGUACCCGGAGGCAUGAAUGCGGGCAGCUGGCGCAGAGCGGGAACACGUGCGCACGAGAGAGGAGGGGGUUUGGGUGGGCACGGGUGGUCAGAAGCGGUCGUGGGUGUUGUCCGGACGCGUGCAAAGCCCCCCUCCCCCAUGUGUUGUCUCCGGUUUGCGGGAGAAAGUACAUCCGGACUGCCUCGUGGACCGAUACAAGCCCGCAUUGGAUGGCACAACACGUCUGGACCAUGUGGUCUGUAUGGUUGUGGACGGUUUAAUUGAGGGUCUGCGUUGGAGAUGCCUUAGAGUUUAUGAAUCCAUUGUGUUUUUCUAAUCAUAAAAAAACACUUAUAAUAAGUUAUAAGGAAAGACACGUAUAUAUGUUAGGUUCAGACUCCAGCUUUCCUCUUACAUAUGCUUUUUUUUCUGAUCCAACAUAUUCCAAUAGAGUGAGCCCAGCGUUGUUUUUCUGGAAACUCGAGGGAUAAGGAGACAUGCAUACAUGUUCUUUCAAGCAAAUCACAUCCAUUCUUUUUAACUCAUUUUUUGUUUUAAUAAUAUAAUAAAUCAUUUGUAUUUUUUAUCUCAAACAGUUGACGUGUAAUUCCUAUUGUAAUCUAAGGAUAAUGUUUGGAUUUUACUUUCAAAUAUUUGAAAUGGCCAUGAUGGAAUCACAUCCAUUUAUUUUAUUAUUAUUUGAAUUUGAUCCAAAAGAUAAAUAUUGAGUAGACGUCCUGAAAACUUUUCUGAGAACUUUGGUAAUCAAAAGACAAAAAAGGUUUUAAGAACUGAAGCAAACCACGAAUUUUACUCUCUAUUUUACUAAAGCAAGUGGCUGCUAUUUAGGUCUAGUAAAUAGCAAAUUGACCAACAACCUUUUUUCCAAAUUGGAAGGAAUGCAGUUCUCAGCUCUCACCGUGGUGAUUAUACAAUCUGGAUUUUCGAGCUGUAGGUAGUCAACUUAUGUUAGUGGCAUAUGUACCAUAGUGUUGGUCACUGGGAAUGGACGAAGCCAUGAGUGAAGGAACAGGAAAUGACAGAAGUAUGAUUUGUAGAAUUUCAAAACUCAAACUAUCUACUUUUAUGGAGUGAUAUGAAAUAAGCAAAACCAACUGCUUAUAAAAAUGUAAAAUUAAACGAUAUAUUUAGAAAUGUGAUUGUGAAGUCAUUGUCACAAAAUAUGACCCCACUAAAAAUGAACACUCAACCUUAUUUUCAGAAGUUUGCAUACAAAUCCCAUGUCAAUUAUGGUAGUGCUCAUAAACAAAUAAACCAAAAUCGUGCUUGAUCCACCAUGAAACUUACUACCUUGUCUAUAUUCUUGAAAAGCUCAAAACAUUCUGAUGCAAUGCCACCUUGCAAGAUAUAUACUUUUGUCAUGUCCAGAGAUUUCCUGCACCAUGAACAAGAAUGCCACGGCAAUAAUAGUCGCUCUUUUGCGACAAAAAAAAUACUGACUUUGGACAACAAUGCCUGCACAACUACUAUCUGUACACCAUGCAUGCACCCAUGUAUGUCAGUAAUACAUAUUAUAAGCUUGUGAACAUUGGUUUCAAAGUAGUGAUACCAAUAAUACGUCAUCCAGUGAUGGCCAGUCGCAGUACCUAGAUGCCACUUCGGUGCCUGGUUUCAAAGUCGCAAGUUCAUGGCAGGGAAAGCAAUCAUGUGUCUAGAGUAGAGACUUAAAAAAAGACCCAUGCCAUGUAGAUGGAUCAGAUAAUUAUGCCAAUCCUGAUUUUUCAGUGCAAAUCCAGUUCUGAAACUUCCACUUGACCAGUUGCUCCCAAAAUGGGCUAUACAGUUAACCAAAAUGAAUUUUGCUCCUAACACCACAGUUUGUUUCCAACGAUCACGAGAGCCUGAAGUGGGUUUGAUUAAGUACCUGAGCCGGUGUUGUACAUGCAUAUGUGAUAUGUUCACCGCUCCUACCGGAUGCCCGCUGCCGAACUCACCAUCCGUUCUACACAAGCAGCAAAACCGAUCGGAUAAGCUAUUUCGGUUGUUACUUGUAUAGUCUGAUGGAAUGAUCAGUUCCAUAAUUACGCCAUGGCGCCAUCUUUUAUAUGCAAUAUACUGUGAACUGAAUUUUAUGUCAAUGAAGUUGACAGAACAGAACAGGGUAGAGGGGUAGAGCAUGCAGGUGGUGAUUGUUGUGUGGUUUAUGCGUUAGUUAUGUGUGUACCUGACGUCGAGGUAGCGUUGGCUGGCAAAUUGCUGCUGAUAGGCACACGAGCACAGCGGUGGCACGCCCAGCACCGCCUCCACUGUCCGCAAGGCCGCCACCUAGCCGCCGCCGUAUCUGGAGAAGAAGCAACAAGCAUGUAAGAGUUUGUCCGUGGACGCUCUAUGGAUCGACCUAAUCGAGAACUUGUUUUGUGCAUGCACCACCACACAUGGCUGAACCGAGUAUCCUCCUGGCGGCGCCCAGUGAGACUGUCCUCGCAGCAGCCACAACUCAAUUGUUGGCCGCCGUUCGCACGGUACGGUGCAGCAACCUGCAGUCAAAACAGAGCGCGUAGAGCACUAUCGGUGAGAUCGAACGAGAGGAAUAUCGAAAUGGAAACUUAGCUAUAGGAGGUGAAGGCAAGGGGAGCUGGUGCGCUGGGAGGGAGACUCCUAGAGCUAGAGAGCACGCCGACGCCAUUGCUCAAGGUGCAAGUUUGUUUCAAUCUUCGAUCCUGCUCGCUGUUGAUUCUGGUUACAGUAAAUUUUAGCUAGCUAUGGUGCAAACAAAGUGUUAUGCCUAGUGUUAAUCUAUCUAUCUAUCCUAUCUUCUAUUCAGCGAGGUUGCUGCGCCUGUGGCGGAUGUGGCCGCUGCCAUGGCCGGCGCCAGACCUGGUCGAUCUCCCACUUCUGUAUUCGAGAAAAAAAGAUCUCCCUCGUCUCUUGUGAUGAGAUGGGGAGAUAUGAGUUCGACGGCUUUGGGGAGAGGAUACGGGUGGACGCCAGCAGUGAGGCGGCGUGAGGAAGACGAGGUGGUUGGCGGUGGCGACGCGUGAGGGGAGGGGAAGAGAGGGGUAGCGGUGCAUGGAGGGGAGUGGGUGUGCGGCGUGCCUAGUUCACGAGAGAGGAGAGAGGUCUUCAAGGGAGCGAUCCAUUGGAGUUUUUUUUUCCUUCUGAGCGAGCCUAGUUGGGCUCUCUGCGGCGUCUAAGACCCAAUGCACCACAUAUCUUCAAAUUGGCCACCAGUAGCAGCCCUUAGAACAUACAGGGCCAGUUUGCAAAUUUUAAAACAUAAGUUUUUUAGCGCCCAUGAAAAACAGAACACAUAUCUUUCCAAACAUAAUGAACUAUAGGUACCACCCAAAAAACCAUAAUGAUCUAUAGGUUGUUACAAUAACUCAUGCCAUCACAUAGCCUCCCUCCGACCCUGCCAACAUUGUUGCAGCUGUACUCGCAAGCGUUACCAUAGAUGAUCAUUUCCAUAAUUUCGUGUAAAAAAAUAAGAUCUACAAGCGAAUAGAGGCUACACAUACCUUGGCAUGCACACACAUUGCAGGCCAUACUAAGAUGAUAAGUGUUAAUAAUUUGUACAACAUAUACAACACUUAAGAUAAGUAAAAGCAAUUUGAUGAGUCAUGGUCUAUCAAAGCAAGCUACAUUACUACUCUAACCUAUCUUAACAGGUCACACAUGAUUACAAUCCUUUUUGUGUGCAAGUCAAGCUUAUGUAGUUUACACGUAACAACUUGUUGAACAUUACAUAAUUGAUGCUUGCUAAUAACUUCUAGAAAACUACAACACUUGACAUGUAAAAGGAAUUUGAUAAGUCAUGACCUACUAAAGCAAGUUACAUUACUAGUCUCAACUAUCACAGGUCACACAAGAUUACAAACUAAGUUCUGCGUAAGCAAUACAUAUCUAGUUUACACAUAAAAACUUGCAAAACAUUACAAACUUAGUUUCAAAAAAUUAGGCAAUCUAGAUUAGUGUUUGAGUUGUAAAGUGAAUAAGAUGAGUCAUGUGUGUUAUCACAACUUUUUGGUGGUGGAAUGAUAGUGCCACCGAACACAACAUACCAAAUUAUGAUUUUAGGAAGCAUCCAAGCACUUUCCAGACAAGAAAAUGCCAAUUGUGAAGGAGAUGAUACCAUGGCAGCUAUAAAUAGGCAUGUAGCAUGAUGAUCAUCCUUCCUCAUCCAUCAUUCUUACAAGUAGAGUGCAUCAUUCAAGCCAAGCAAGCAGUGGUCAAUACAAAUCCACCAUGAAGACCUUUCUCAUCCUUGCCCUCCUUGCUAUCGCGGUGACCACCGCCACUACUGCAGUGAGAGUUCCAGUGCCAUAAUUGCAGCCACAAAAUCCAUCUCAGCAACAACCACAAGAGCAAGUUCCAUUGGUGCAACAACAACAAUUUCUAGGGCAGCAACAACAACACUUUCCAGGGCAGCAACAACCAUUUCCACCACAACAGCCAUAUCCGCAGCCGCAACCAUUUCCACCACAACUACCAUAUCUGCAGCCGCAACCAUUUCCACCACAACAAUCAUAUCCACAACCACAACCACAGUAUCCGCAAUCACAACAACACUACAAAAAAAAUACACUUCCAUGAUGAUACGUGUUUGUCAUAGUAGGUCGCGUUUUUUGUCAUGCAUGUACAUCCAUGACAAUUUUAUUAUAGAAUCAAGAUAGUCAUACAUGUGCUGUCGUAGAAGUGUUCCAUGACAUUACCAAAAUUAUCAUCACGGAAGUUUCCACUUCCAUGAUGAUAAAUCGCGCGUCACAAAAGUGCUUUCGUCAAGGUUGACCGACAUGUGACAUCCACCAUAACGGAACGCCGUUAACCUAUCGGGUCGGGUUUUGGAUCUGAUAACCUGUUAACAGCCCUGACCAAUGGGGAGUUUCCACGUGUAAAAUAAUCAUUGGCUGGAGGAGACACGUGUCAGCUCCGCGUCGGCACAUGUGUCACUCAUCCAAUGGGCGAGACGCACCUAUGAUAUGUUGACACGUGGACCGUCCCAUCAAGUUUAAAUGGGCCAGCCCAACUAAAGGCCCACAAGAUUUUACGGACCAUAAUGGGUCGGCCCAGCUAAAGGCCCACGAGAUUUUGCAGACCAUAAUGGGCUGGCCCAGCUAAAGGCCCACAAGAUUUUGCGGGCCAUAAUGGGCCGGCCUAGGUAAAGGCCCACAAGAUUUUUGUGUGCCAUAAUGGGCCGGCCCAGGUAAAGGCCCACAAGAUUCUUGCGGAUCAUAAUGGGCCGGCCCAUCUAAAGGCCCACGAGAUUUUGCCAACAUUAAUGGGCCGGCCCAGCUGUAGGCCCACAAGACUUUCAGGACCCUAGUAGGCCGACCCAUUAACUGGCUGCCAUGUUUUGGGCCAAAUGCCGGCCCAUAUUUGAUCUGGUCCAUUAAUGGCCUGCCACGUUUCGGGCCUAAUAAUGGCCCAUAUGAGAUCCAGCCCGUUAAAAGCCUACCACUUUCUAGGCCAAAUUAUGGCCCAGAUCAGGUUCGGCCCUUUAAAAGGCUUUGGGCUAAAUUAUGACCCAUAUCAGAUUCGGCCCGUCAACUGGACGCUAUGCUUUUGGACCAACUUGCUAAAGGCCCAUUUAGUAAUUCGGCCUGAUAUUAGUUUCAGCCUGUUAAGGGCCCGUUUAACAUUUCGGCCCUAUAUUAAUUUCAGCCUGUUAAAAGCCCGUCAUAUAAUUGUGCCUAACUACGGCCCGGUUUGCAUUCGGCCUGCUCACAGCCGAUAUCUGAUUGGGCCAAACAAGGACCGAGACAAUUUUGGCUGUUAAAAGCCCGUGAUUUGAUUCGCACAAUCAUGGGCCGGGGUUCAUUUCGGGCUGCUGCCAGCCCGUGAGCUGUUCGGCACAUUUCAGGCCCAACCUACUUCUCAGUCUCCUAAAAGUACAUUGAGUUUUCUUGCAAAAAGAGGGUCGGGGGUUACUCGGCCUAUUAAAGGCCCGAAUCUACUAGUGGUCGGGUUUACUUUUGGCCUUUUAACGGACCAAGAUGACGGGGCCAAUGAUGCGGUUCAUACAUCGUGAUUGCAUGACGGCCCGAUUAUGUACCGUAAUUUUACCGUUUGUCCGGUUUACUGCGAAGACAGGAUGUAUAUACAGUAAAAUAACUGUAGCAUCGUGAAUAAGAAAAAACCUAGACUAUACAAUAAAGAAAUUACGGUAUAUUACAUCCACUGGGCAUCAAAGUACGCCACUAUGAUAAUAAAGCACAAGCAGACAUCAGAUUACAUACACUGGGCAUCAAAGAUCGCCACCAGUGCAAAUAAACACGACGACAAAAUAAUAUACAAAACUGACAGCACUUCAAUAGAGUUCAAGAAAGGUUAGCCCUGCUGGGGAGCUGUAGCGCAAGCAGUUGAGCAAGCUGAUGAGACUGUUCUUGUUCAACACUUAUAUCUUCCUCACUCUGAAAGACAGAUGACAGGUUUUGCACAUAAAAGUAUCAGUGCUGACAAUUCAUCACAUUUGUUACUGGCGAAUCAAGUGACAUAGUUUAAAAUUGCAUUAACACAAUAUGGUAUUGUUCAGGUCAAGACAUGGCAGGAAAUGACAUUGUGAAGGAGUUGGCAGCUUCACGACACCAUUGGAUUACAGAUCAAGAACUCAUAAGUAUCAAUGGUUAGUGUGCUGUCAAUUUAUCCCAUUUCAGAUUGGCAAAUAAAGAGACGGUUUAAAUAAUAGUAGAAUGAUAUGACAUUGUUCAUAGUUAAGACAUUGCAGAAUAUGACACUGUGCUGUAGUGGGUAGCAAGGUUGUCAGAAUCGCGAUUCUGUUAUACGAUUCUACGACUUUACGAUCCAAAGUAACCCCUCUGAUUCUACGAUUUUACUUCAUAGAAUCUACGUUCCUACAAUCCUGAUAGUAAAGAUUCUAUGAUUUGCGAUCCUACCAUCGGAGCUCCGAUCCGAUUCAAAAUCACGAUUUUGACAACCUUGGUGGGUAGGUUCACCACACCACUGGAUUACGGAUGAAGAACAGAAGCAUACAUGCAGUGCAAAAGAAGAUCACUUGCUCUGUAUAGUUUAAUUUACAUGGUAUGAAGAAGGAACUUGGUUGUACAACUGAAAAUUAAAUUGAGAAGGAAAAAACUUUUGUUUAUGAACUACAUAAUAAACUUUAAACAUGCAAUUUGAUGCAAACACCAAAAAUAAACAGCUGUUGCAGUCAUUCCUAACCAAAUAUACACAACAAAGUUUGAAGGCUUGAGAAGGACAAACUUACAUUAUUGGUGAAGACAGGUUCUAUAAAGCCCUUGUCCAUNNNNNNNNNNNNNNNNNNNNNNNNNNNNNNNNNNNNNNNNNNNNNNNNNNNNNNNNNNNNNNNNNNNNNNNNNNNNNNNNNNNNNNNNNNNNNNNNNNNNNNNNNNNNNNNNNNNNNNNNNNNNNNNNNNNNNNNNNNNNNNNNNNNNNNNNNNNNNNNNNNNNNNNNNNNNNNNNNNNNNNNNNNNNNNNNNNNNNNNNNNNNNNNNNNNNNNNNNNNNNNNNNNNNNNNNNNNNNNNNNNNNNNNNNNNNNNNNNNNNNNNNNNNNNNNNNNNNNNNNNNNNNNNNNNNNNNNNNNNNNNNNNNNNNNNNNNNNNNNNNNNNNNNNNNNNNNNNNNNNNNNNNNNNNNNNNNNNNNUUUACCAUAGAAUCUUCUUCAUAAGCAUUGCCUUUAUUCUACAUUUUGCUAAGAGUAAAUAUAGAUGUGAUAAUAUAUGAAAAAAUUGAGAAUAUUUAAGAUAAGAUGAAGAUUGAUGCUACAUAACCAAGUAGCUAUAAAUGUAAGUGCAGCGAUACAGGCAAAAGGUAUAGCCAAGAGCAAUGCACAGCUAAACUUCUUCAGUACCAACCUUAUGGUAAGAGUAAAUAUAGAUCUGAUGUGUAGAAAAUGGAGGGCUAAGGAAAAUAAGAUGCAGAGUGAUGGUACAUGAACAACUACCUAUCAAUAUAAGUACACUGACAAAGGACAUCAUGUACUUACAAGAACAAUGCAGAGCUAAAAAAAUUUAUUGGCAUUGGAUAUAUUCUACACUGAUGUAACCAUUCAUACAGAUUAGAUAAUUUGGAGCGAACAAUUGAUAAGUAAGCUAUCAUGCAUACUGCUGUCAUAUAAUGAACCAGGUAUGUAUGCAAGUACAGUGAUACAGGACAACAAAUACUAACAAGAGCAAAGCAGCGGGCAGCAUAUUAGCGAUAUCCUGUCGUUCUUUUCAAACCGACAUUCUUCUACGAGCAGAUUUCCUGCAAAAAAGAUCCGUAAGGCACAUGCGGAAAAGUAGAAGUUCAAAUUAUCAUGUGAUUUCAUAGACAGUACCUCAUCCUGGGAACGAGACCAAUGCAUGAUGACCCACAAGUGUAGGGGAUAAUUGUAGCCUCUUUCGAUAAGUAAGAGUGUCGAACCCAACGAGGAGCUAAAGGUAGAACAAAUAUUCUCUCAAGUCCUAUCUGCCACUGAUACGACUCUACACACGCUUAGUGUUCGCUUUACCUAGAACAAGUAUGAAACUAGAAGUACUUUGUAGGUGUGAUAGGAUAGGUUUGCAAGAUAAUAAAGAACACUUAAAUAUAAACUAGGGGCUGUUUAGAUAAAGAAUCAAUAAAGUAAAUAUUAGUAGAUAGCUUUUUGUCACAAGAAAUUUAUUUGUCCCCAGGCAAUCGAUAACUAGACCGGUAAUCACUAUUGCAAUUCUAUUUAAGGGAGGGGCAUAAGCUAACAUACUUUCUCUUCUUAGAUCAUAUGCACUUAUGAUUGGAACUCUAGCAAGCAUCCGCAACUACUAAAGAUUCAUUAAGGUAAAACUCAACCAUAGCAUUAAAGUAUCAAGUCCCCUUUAUCCCAUACACAAACAAUCUACUUACUCGGGUCUGUGCUUCUGUCACUCACGCCACCCACUAUAAGCAAAUCAUGAACAUAUUGCAAACCCUACAACGGGGAUCCCUCACACUUGCGCGACACGGAGAGCACCAUAGUAUAGAACCAAUAAUAAAACAAGCAACUCAAACCAAUCACGAUCAUCAAUUAACCCAUAGGACAAAACGGAUCUACUCAAACAUCAUAUGAUAGCCAUACAUCAUUGGGAAAUAAUAUAUAGCGUUGAGCACCAUGUUGAAGUAGAGAUUACAGCGGGUAAGAGAGAGGUUACACCGCUGCAUAGAGGGGGGAAGAGUUGGUGAUGAAGGCGGUGAAUUUGUUGGUGAAGAUCGCGGUGAUGAUGAUGGCCUCCGGCAGCGCUCUGGCACCACUGGAAGCAAGGGGGAGAGAGCCCCCCUUCUUCUUCUUCUUCUUCCUUGACCUCCUCCCUAGAUGGGAGAAGGGUUUCCCCUCUGGUCCUUGGCUCCCAUGGCGUGGGAGGGGCGAGAGCCCAUCCGAGAUUGGAUCUAUCUCUCUGUCUCUCUCUGUUUCUGCGUUCUCAGAUUCUGCCCCUUCACCGUUUCUUUUAUAUCCGGAGAUCCGUAAUUCUGAUUGGGGUGAAUCUUUCGCCCAGAUUUUUCUCAUAAAAUUAGCUUUCUUGCGGCAAAAAAAGGGCAUCAACCGCCUUAUGGGUGGACCACGAGGGUGCCAGGAGCGCCCAGGGGGGAGGGCGCGCCCCUGUCUCGUGGCCACCUCGGACACCGUUUCACGUUGACUCUUCCUCCGGAAAAUCCCAAAUAUUCCAAAAUAAUUUUCUAUCUGUUUUUAUCCCGUUUGGACUCCGCUUGAUAUGGGGUUUCUGCGAAACAUAAAACAUGCAAUAGACAGGAACUGGCACUGUGCACUAGAUCAAUAUGUUAGUCCCAAAAAUAGUAUAAAAUGUUGCCAAAAGUAUAUGAAAGUUGAAUAAUAUUGGCAUGGAACAAUAAAAAAUUAUAGAUAUGACGGAGACGUAUCAGCAUCCCCAAGCUUAAUUCCUGCUCGUCCCCGAGUAGGUAAAUGAUAAAAAAGAUAAUUUUUGAUGUGGAAUACUACCUAGCAUAGUCUUGAUCAUAUGUCUAAUCAUGGCAUGAAUAUUAAGACACGAGUGAUUCAAAGCAAUAGUCUAUCAUUUGACAUAAAAACAAUAAUACUUCAAGCGUACCAAUAAAGCAAUCAUGUCUUUUCAAAACAACAUGGCCAGAGAAAGUUAUCCCUACAAAAUCAUAUAGUCUGGCUGUUGCUCUAUCUUCAUCACACAAAGUAUUUAAUCAUGCACAACCCCGAUGACAAGCCAAGCAAUUGUUUCAUACUUUAGUAAUCUCAAACUUUUUCAACUUUCACGCAAUACAUGGGCGUGAGCCAUGGACAUAGCACUGUAGGUGGAAUAGAAUAUGAUGGUGGGGGUUAUGUGUAGAAGAAAAAAAAGGAGAGAGUCUCACAUCAACUAGGCGUAUCAACGGGAUAUGGAGAUGCCCAUUAAUAGAUAUCAAUGUGAGUGAGUAGGGAUUGCCAUGCAACGGAUGCACUUAGAGCUAUAAGUCUAUGAAAGCUCAAACUGGAAACUAAGUGGGUGUGCAGCCAACUUGCUUGCUCAUGAAGACCUCGGGUGUUUGAGGAAGCCCAUCAACGGAAUAUACAAGCCAAGUUCUAUAAUGAAAAUUCCCACUAGUAUAUCAAAGUGAAAGCAUAGGAUACUCUCUCUAUGAAGAACAUGGUGCUACUCUGAAGCACAAGUGUUGUAAAAGGAUAGUAACAUUGCCCCUUCUCUCUUUUUCUCUCAUUUUUUUUAUUUUUAUUUUUUAUUUUUGGUGGGCUUCUUUGGCAUCUUUUUUUUAUUUGGGCUUCUUUGGCCUCUUUUAUUUUUCAUAAAGUCUGGAGUCUCAUGCCGACUUGUGGGGGAAUCAUAGUCUCCAUCAUCCUUUCCUCACCGGGGCAAUGCUCUAAUAAUGAUGAUCAUCACACUUUUAUUUACUUACAACUCGAUAUCUAGAACAAAGAUAUGACUCUAUAUGAAUGCCUCCGGCGGUGUACCGGGAUGUGCAAUGAUCUAGCGUAGCAAUGACAUCAAAAACGGACUAGCCAUGAAAACAUCAUGCUAGCUAUCUUACAAUCAUGCAAAGCAGUAUGACAAUGAAUGCUCAAGUCAUGUAUAUGAUGAUAAAAGAAGUUGCAUGGAAAUAUAUCUCGGAAUGGCUAUGGAAAUGCCAUGAUAGGUAGGUAUGGUGGCUGUUUUGAGGAAGAUAUAAUGAGACUUAUGUGUGAUAGAGUGUAUCAUAUCAUGGGGUUUGGAUGCACCGGCGAGGUUUUCACCAACUCUUGAGGUGAGAAAGGGCAAUGCACGGUACCGAAGAGGCUAGCAAUGAUGGAGGGGUGAGAGUGUGUAUAAUCCAUGGACUCAACAUUAGUCAUAAAGAACUCAUAUACUUAUUGCAAAAAUCUACAAGCCAUUGAAAAAAAAGUACUACACGCAUGCUCCUAGGGGGAUAGAUUGGGAGGAAAAGACCAUCGCUCGUCCCCGACCGCCACUCAUAAGGAAGACAAUCAAUAAGUAAAAUUAUGCUCCAACUUCAUCACAAAGCGGUUCACCAUAGGUGCAUGCUACGGGAAUCACAAACCUCAACACAAGUAUUUCUACUAAUCCACAAUCGCCCACUAGCAUGACUCUAAUAUCACCAUCUUUAUAUCACAAAACUAUUGCAAGGAAUCAAACAUAUCAUAUUCAGCAAUCUACAAGUUUAUGUAGGAUUUUAUGACUAACCAUGUGAAUGACCAAUUCCUGUCAUCUCUCUAAACAUAUAUAAGUGAAGCAAGAGAGUUUAAUUCUUUCUACAAAAGAUAUGCCCAUGCUCUAACAAAUAUAAGUGAAGCAAAAUAGCAUUCUACAAAUGGCAGUUUUCUAUGUGAAGAGAAACAGGCAAUCCAGACAUCAAAAGAUAUAAGUGAAGCACGUGAAGUAUUCUAUAAAACCAUACUCAAAAGAUCUAAGUGAAGUGCAAUGAGCAUUCUAUAAAUCAACCAAGGACGAUCUCAUACCAUCAUGGUGCAUAAAAGAAAAGUGAAAACUAAAUGCAAAAGACGCUCCAAGACCUGCACAUAUCGCACGAACGAAACGAAUCCGAAAACAUACCGAUACUUGUUGAAGAAAGAGGGGAUGCCUUCCGGGGCAUCCCCAAGCUUAGAUGCUCGAGUCUCCUUGAAUAUUUACUUGGGGUGCCUCGGGUAUCCCCAAUCUUGAGCUCUUUCCUCUCUUCCUUUUACUCAUAUUGAGACAUCCUCGAUUAGACACUUCAUCCACACAAAACUUCAACAGAAAACUCGGUAAGAUCCAUUAGUACAAUAAAGCAAAUCACUACUCUAAGUACUGUUGCAAACCAAUUCAUAUUUUUUUUCAUUGUGUCUACUGUAAUAUAACUUUUUCAUGGCUUAAAUCCACUGAUAUAAAUUGAUAGAUUCAUCAAAACAAGCAAACUAUGCAUCAAAAACAGAAUCUGUCAAAAACAGAACAGUCUAUAGCAAUCUGAACAUUCACCAUACUUCUGGUACCCCAAAAGUUCUACCAAAAUUAGGAAAAUUAAAAAAUUUCUACAGAAAGACAUUACAAAAAUAAUCAGAACCAUUUUACUUUCCAGUUAAAAAUGUAAAAUCGAGCAUUACAGUCAAAGUUUCUGUCCUGCACUGCACAAACCAACAAGCAUUGUAAACAUCUUAAAGGCAAACCUUGGCAAACUAUUUUUAUAAUAAAAUAGAAUUGUAAAAGGGGAUAAUUAUUUUUUAUGAAAAGUUUCUGUAAUUAAGAUUCACAAAGUUUCCGUGAGCAUGAACAAAGUUCAAGGCUAGCUCCCACUUCAACAAUGCUUGUCUUUCUCACUUUCACUUUCCUUUUUGAAAAGUUUUUAGGUUCCCCUCUUUAUUUAUUUUUGUUUUUAGACUAUAUAUAAGCACUCAACAUAAAUAAAUGACUCUCUAAAACUUCCGGGUUGUCUCCCUGGCAGCGCUUUCUUUAAAGGCAUUAAGCUAGGCAUAUAGUGCUCAAGUAAUGAAUCCACCCGGAUCCCAAGGUAUAUCAAAGCCAAUUUUAAUUAACAAUGAUUUGUAAUUUAGUAGUGAGCACAAAGUAACAUAUAUCAUGCAACAACGAAGUCUAACUCUCUUCCUAUGCAUAGGCAUGUCAUAAAAGAACAAUUCAUGCACACCAAGUAAAGGCCAAUGCAUAGUAUAAGCAGUUCUUGCAAUUUUAUCAUAUUGGAAACAUGGAGAGGUGGAGAUAUAGUUCCUCUCUCAUAAUAAUUGCAAGUAGGAGCAGCAAGCACAUGCAUAUUAUAUCUAUCAAAAUUAUCAUGUGUAGUAGUAAAACGCAACCCAUCAAUAUAAUCCUUAAUAAGGGCAAACUUCUCCGAUAUAGUGUAGUUGGGAGAAUUCAAAAAGAUAAUAGAACUAUCAUGCGUGGGUGCAAUAGCAACAAUUUCAUGUUUAACAUAAGGAACUAUAGAAAGUUCAUAUCCAUAAGCACAAUUCAUAUAUCUUGGCCACAAGCAUAGCAAGCAUCGUCAAAAAGGGAUAUUUCAAGAGAAUCAACGGGAUCAUGACAAUCAUCAUAGCAAUCAUCCUUCGGUAAGCACGAAGGGGAAUUAAACAAUGUAUGAGUUGAAGAGUUACUCUCAUUAGAAGGUGGGCACGGGUAGCUAAUCCGCUCUUCCUCCUUUUGUUCUUCGCUCUCCUCAUCAUCUUUUUCAUCCAAUGAGAUCACAGUUUCAUCAAUUUCCUCUUCCAUAGCUUCUUGCAAAAUAUUAGUCUCUUCUUGGAUAGUGGAAUAGUCCUCAAUAUAUAGUUUAACAUAGGCAUUAGAAGCAUAAUUAUCAUAGCAAUAUUCAAGUAUGGAAAAAUGUUCAGAUUUUUAGAGAGUAGCAUCAUACUUUUCAAUCAAAGAAGGAAUUUCAUAAGCACCCUUAAAAGCAACAAAUUCUUCAAUUUGUUGAACAUCACAGUAAUUAUAAACACCCUUAGCAUAUGAAGAUACGAUCCCAUUAUCAAUAACCUCACAUUGGUAGGUGCUACCUCUUGAGCACUGCGUUGGAUUUCCCCGAAGAGGAGAGGAUGAUGCAGUAAAGUAGCGUAAGUAUUUCCCUCAGUUUUUGAGAAGCAAGGUAUAAAUCCAGUAGGAGAUCACGCACGUGUCCCUCGUACCUACACAAAACGAUAGCUACUCGCAACCAACGCGAUUAGGGGUUGUCAAUCCCUUCACGGUCACUUACGAGGGUGAGAUCUGAUAGAGAUGAUAAAUAAUAUUUUUGGUAUUUUUGAUAGAUAGAUGCAAAGUGAAAAGUAAAAGGCAAAGUAAAAACAAAGCAAGUAAAUAAAGUAAUGGAGAUUGAUAUGAUGAGAGACCCGGGGGCCAUAGGUUUCACUAGUGGUUUCUCUCAAGAGCAUAAGUAUUCUACGGUGGGUGAACAAAUUACUAUUGAGCAAUUUAUAGAAAAGCGAAUAAUUAUGAGUAUAUCUAGGUAUGAUCAUGUAUAUAGGCAUCACGUCCGAGAUAGGUAGAUCGAAACGAUUCUGCAUCUACUACUGUUACUCCACUCAUCGACCGCUAUCCAACAUGCAUCUAGAGUAUUAAGUUAAAAAUAGAGUAACGCCUUAAGCAAGAUGACAUGAUGUAGAGGGAUAAAUUGAUGCAAUAUGAUAAAAAAACCAUCUUGUUAUCCUCGAUGGCAACAAUACAAUACGUGCCUGGCAACCCUUUCUGUCAUUGGGUAAGGACACCGCAAGAUUGAACCCAAAGCUAAACACUUCUCCCAUUGCAAGAACUACCAACCUAGUUGGCCAAACCAAAUGGAUACUUCGAAGAGACUUACAAAGAUAACUCAAUCAUAUAUAAAAGAAUUCAGAGAAGAUUCAAAUAUUAUUCAUAGAUAAGCUGGAUCAUAAACCCACAAUUCAUCGGUCUCAACAAACACACCGCAAAAAGAAGAUUACAUCGAAUAGAUCUCCACAAGAGAGGGGGAGAACAUUGUAUUGAGAUCCAAAAAGAGAGAAGAAGCCAUCUAGCUACUAGCUAUGGACCCGAAGGUCUGAAGUAAACUACUCACACUUCAUUGGAGAGGCUAUGGUGUUGAUGUAGAAGCCCUUCGUGGUAGAUGCCCCCUCCGCCGGAGCUCCGGAACAGGCCCCAAGAUGGGAUCUCGCGGAUACAGAAAGUUGCAGCGGUGGAAUUAGGUUUUUGGCUCCGUGUUUGAUCUGACGGGGGUACGUAGGUAUAUAUAGGAGGAAGGAGUACGUCGGUGGAGAAACAGAGGGCCCACGAGGCAGGGGGCGCACCCUCCACCCUCGUGACCGCCUCUCGCACUUCUUGGAGUAGGGUCCAAGUCUCCUGGAUCACGUUCGGUGAGAAAAUCACGUUCCCGAAGGUUUUAAUCCGUUUGGACUCUGUUUGAUAUUCUUUUUCUUUGAAAUACUGAAAUAGGCAAAAAUAGCAAUUCUGGGCUGGGCCUCCGGUUAAUAGGUUAGUCCCAAAAAAUAAUAUAAAAGUGGAAAAUAAAGCCCAAUAUAGUCCAAAACAGUAGAUAAAGUAGCAUGGAGCAAUCAAAAAUUAUAGAUACGUUGGAGACGUAUCAGGCAUCCCCAAGCUUAAUUCAUGCUCGUCCUCGAGUAGGUAAAUGAUAAAAAAAAUUGAUGCGGAGUGAUACUUUGGCAUAAUUUCAAUGUAAAUCUUCUUAAUUGUGGUAUGAAUAUUCAGAUCGGAAAGAUUCAAGACAAAAGUUCAUAUUGACAUAAAAGUAAUAAUACUUCAAGUGUACCAAUCAAAGCAAUCAUGUCUUCUCAAAAUAGCAUGGUUAAAGAAAGUUAUCCUGCCAUGCAACGGAUGCACUAGAGCUAUAAGUAUAUGAAAGCUCAACAAAAGAAACUAAGUGGGUGUGCAUCCAACUUGCUUGCUCACGAAGACCUAGGGCACUUUUUGAGGAAGCCCAUCAUUGGAAUAUACAAGCCAAGUUCUAUAAUGAAAAAUUCCCACUAGUAUAUGAAAGUGACAACAUAUGAGACUCUCUAUCAUGAAGAUCAUGGUGCUACUUUGAAGCACAAGUGUGGUAAAAGGAUAUUAGCAUUGUCCCUUCUCUCUUUUUCUCUCAUUUUUUUAUUUUUUUUAUUUUGGUGGGCUUCUUUGUUUUUUUUAUUUGGGCUUCUUUGGCCUCUUUUAUUUUUCAUAAAGUCCGGAGUCUCAUCCCGACUUAUGGGGGAAUCAUAGUCUCCAUCAUCCUUUCCUUACUGGGACAAUGCUCUAAUAAUGAUGAUCAUCACACUUUCGUUUUUUUUACAACUCAACAAUUACAACUCAAUACUUAGAACAAAAUAUGACUCUAUAUGAAUGCCUCCGGCGGUGUACCGGGAUAUGCAAUGAAUCAAGAGUGACAUGUAUGAAAGAAUUAUGAAGGUGGCCUUGCCACAAAUAUAAUGUCAACUACAUGUUCAUGCAAAAAGAAAUAUAACAAAAGUAAUGUAUGUCAUAUGAACGGAACGGUGGAAAGUUGCAUGGCAAUAUAUCUCGGAAUGGCUAUGGAAAUGCCAUGAUAGGUAGGUAUGGUGGUUGUUUUGAGGAAGGUAUAUGGUAGGUGUACGAUACCGGCGAAAAGUGCGCGGUAUUAGAGAGGCUAGCAAUGAUGGAAGGGUGAGAGUGCGUAUAAUCCAUGGACUCAACAUUAAUCAAAAGAACUCAUGCACUUGUUGCAAAAAUUUAGAAGUCAUCAAAAACCAAAGCACUAAACGCAUACUCCUAGGGGGAUAUAUUGGUAGGAAAAGACCAUCGCUUGUCCCCGACUGCCACUCAUAAGGAAGACAAUCAAUAACUAAAAUUGUGCUCCGACUUCAUCACAAAGAGGUUCACCAUACGUGCAUGCUACGGGAAUCACAAACUUCAACACAAGCAUUCUUUAAAUUCAUAAUCACCCCAACUAGCAUUGCUUUGAUAUUAUCACCUCCAUAUCUCAAAACAAUUAUCAAGCAUCAAACUUAUCUUACUAUUCAAUGCACUCAAAAGAAAGUUUCACAUAUCUUGAAUACCAAGUAUAUUAUCUUUAAGCAAAUUACAAUGCUAUUAAAUACUCUCAAAAUAAUCUAAGUGAAGCAUGAGAGAUCAAUAGUUUCUUUAAAACAAAUCCACCACCGUGCUCUAAAAGAUCUAAGUGAAGUACUAGAGCAAAAAUUAUUAUGCUCAAAAGAUAUAAGUGAAGCACUAUGAGCAAAACUAUCAAGCUCAAAAGAUAUAAGUGAGGCACAAUGAGCAAUAGUAUCAAGCUAAAAAUAUAUAAGUGAAGCACUAUGAGUGAAACUAUCAAGCUCAAAAGAUAUAAGUGAAGCACUAUGAGCAAAACUAUCAAGCUCAAAAGAUAUAAGUGAAGCACAUAGAGUAUUCUAGAAAAUUCCAAUUGGUGUAUGGCUCCCUCAAAAGGUGUGUACAUCAAGGAUGAUUGUGGUAAACUAAAAAGCAAAGACGCAAAUAAUACAAGACGCUCCAAGCUAAACACAUAACAUGUGGUGAAUAAAAAUAUAGCUCCAAGUAAAUUACCAAUGGAAGUAGACGAAAGAGGGGAUGCCUUCCGGGGCAUCCCCAAGCUUUGACUUUUUGGUGUCCUUGGAUUAUCUUGGGGGUUCCAUGGGCAUCCCCAAGCUUAGCUCUUGCCACUCUUUGUUCCAUAAUCCAUCAAAAGAAUUCACCCAAAACUUGAAUAAUUCACAACACAAAACUCAAUAGAAAUCUCGUGAGCUCCGUUAGUGAAAGAAAACAAAAGACUACUUUAAGGUACUGUAAUGAACUCAUUCUUUAUUUAUAUUGGUGUUAAACCCACUGUAUUCCAACUUCCUUAUGGUUUAUAAACUAAUUUAUUAGCCAUAGAUGCAUUGAAAUAAGCAAACAACACAUGAAAAACAGAAUCUGUCAAAAACAGAACAGUCUGUAGCAAUCUGUAACUAACUCAAACUUAUGGAACUCUAAAAAUUCUACCAAAAUUGGAAGUACUGGAAAAUUUGUUUAUUGAUGAGCAGCAAAAAUAAUCAAUGCAAAAUCACGUUUCUGUGAUUUAUUGAAUGUUUUCUCAUGAGCGCAAAGUUUCUGUUUUUCAGCAGAAUCAAAUCAACUAUCAUCGUAGCUUAUCCUAUAGGUUCUACUUGGCACAAACACUAAUUAAAACAUAAAACCACAUCUAAACAGAAAGAAGAAACAAAAUUUAACACUAAAUAGGAACAAAAACAAAGAACAAAAAAUAAAAUUGGGUUGCCUCCCAACAAGCGCUAUCGUUUAACGCCCCUAGCUGGGCAUAAAAGCAAGGAUAGAUCUAGGUUUUGCCAUCUUUGGUAGGCAAUUAUUCAAUGAGGCAUCUAUCUUUCUUAGAACUUUCUUUCUUUCCAGUAAUUAUCAAACUCUUAGGCACAAGAUCGAAAAAUUCACUCAUAGCAAAAGGUUCCUUAAUGAUGGCAAAAAGAUUGGGAUGAACACUUAUAGAUUUAAGAUCCGCAGUUUCCUUACUAGACGAUUCAUCCUUACUCUUAGGAACAUAAAUAAGCUUAGGUUUUUUAGUAGAAGAACUUGGAGUGUUUUGAAUGGAGGAAAAAGUGGUUCCCAAGUUGGUAAUUGGUACGUCCAUUUUGCAUCAUACUUUUAUGAUAAUAUUUAUUGCAUUAUGGGCUGUUAUUUCACGUUAUGUCACAAUACUUAUGGCUAUUCUCUCUUAUUUUACAAGGUUUAUAUGAAGAGGGAGAAUGCCGGCAGCUGGAAUUCUGGGCUGGAAAAGGAGCAAAUAUUGGAGGCCUAUUCUAUGCAACUCCAAAAGUCCUGAAACUCCACGGAAUACCUUAAAAUAAAUAAAGAAAAAUCGUGGCCAAAGAUGAAGGCCAGGGGGCCCACACCCUACUCACGAGGGUGGAGGGCGCCCCCCCCCCUGGGCGCGCCCCCCUACCUCGUGGGCCCCUGGUGGCUCUCCGGCGCCCAUCUUCUCCUAUAUGAAGUAUUUCGAUGAGAAAAAAAUAGAAGGCAACCUUUCGGGACGAGACUCCGCCGCCACGAGGCGGAACCUUGGCGGAACCAAUCUAGGGCUCUGGCGGAGCUAUUCUGCCGGGGACAAUUCCCUCCGGGAGGGGGAAAUCAUCACCAUCGUCAUCAUCAACGCUCCUCUCAUCGGGAGAGGUCAAUCUCCAUCAACAUCUUCACCAGCACCAUCUCAUCUCCAAACCCUAGUUCAUCUCUUGUAUCCAAUUCUUGUCUCCAAGUCCGGGAUUGGUGCUAGUAGUUUGCUAGUAGUGUUAAUUACUCCUUGUAGUUGAUGCUAGUUGGUUUAUUCGGUGGAAGAUCAUAUGUUCAGAUCCUUUAUGCACUUUAUUACCCCUCUGAUUAUGAACAUGAAUAUGCUUUAUGAGUAAUUACGUUUGUUCUUGAGGACAAGGGAGAAGUCUUGCUAUUAGUAGUCAUGUGAAUUUGGUAUUCGUUCGAUAUUUUGAUGAGAUGUAUGUUGUCUAGCCUCUAGUGGUGUUAUGUGAACGUCGACUAUAUAACACUUCACCAUUAUUUGGGCCUAGAGGAAGGCAUUGGGAAGUAAUAAGUAGAUGAUGGGUUGCUAGAGUGACAGAAGCUUAAACCCUAGUUUAUGCGUUGCUUCGUAAGGGGCUGAUUUGGAUCCAUAUGUUUCAUGCUAUGGUUAGGUUUACCUUAAUACUUUUGUUGUAGUUGCGGAUGCUUGCAAUAGAGGUUAAUCAUAAGUGGGAUGCUUGUCCAAGUAAGGGCAGUACCCAAGCACCGGUCCACCCACAUAUAAAAUUAUCAAAGUACCGAACGCGAAUCAUAUGAGCGUGAUGAAAACUAGCUUGACGAUAUUCCCAUGUGUCCUCGGGAGCGCUUUUCCUAUUAUAAGAGUUUGUCCAGGCUUGUCCUUUGAUACAGAAAGGAUUGGGCCACCUUGCUGCACCUUAUUUACUUUUGUUACUUGUUGCUCGUUACAAUUUAUCUUAUCUCAAAACUAUCUAUUACCACUUAUUUCAGUACUUGCAGAGAAUACCUUGCUGAAAACCGCUUACCAUUUCCUUUUGCUCCUCGUUGGGUUCGACACUCUUACUUAUCGAAAAGACUAUGAUAGAUCCCCUAUACAUGUGGGUCAUCAAGACUCUUUUCUGGCACCGUUGCCGGGGAGUGAAGCGCCUUUGAUAGGUGGAAUUUGGUAAGGAAAAAUUUAUUUAGUGUGCUGAAAUUUGCUGUCACUUGUUACUAUGGAAAGCAAUUGUCUGAGGGGCUUGUUCGGGGUAUCUUCACCCCGUCCAGCAGAGCAAAGAGUUGCUCCUCAACCUACUCAACCUACUGAACCUAUUGAAAAUGAAACUCCUUUUGAGAUUCCUUCGGGUUUGAUGGAAAAACUGCUAGCUAACACUUUUACAGGAGAUGGAACAAAGCAUCAUGAUGAACAUCUAUGCUAUGUGGAUGAUGUUUGUGGACUAUUUAAGCUUGCAGGUAUACCCGAUGAUGUUGUUAAGACGAAGGCUUUCCCUGUAUCUUUAAAGGGAGACGCAUUGACAUGGUAUAGGCUAUGUGAUGAUACGAGAUCAUGGAACUAUAAAAGAUUGAAAUUGGAAUUUCAUCAAAAGUAUUACCCUAUGCAUCUUGUUCAUCGUGAUCGCAAUUAUAUAUAUAAUUUUUGGCCUCGCGAAGGAGAAAGCAUCGCUCAAGCUUGGGGGGGGGGGCUUAAAUCAAUGUUAUAUUCAUGCCCCAAUCACGAGCUCGCAAGAGAAGUAAUUGUGCAAGAAAUUUAUGCUCGGCUUUCUGAUAACAAUCGCACCAUGCUCGAUACUUCUUGUGUUGGCUCUUUUAUGAUGAAGACUAUUGAAUUCAGAUGGAAUUUAUUGGAUAGAAUUAACCGCAACUCUGAAGAUUGGGACCUCGACGAAGGUAAGGAGUCAGGUAUGACACCUAAGUUUGAUUGUGUUAAAUCUUUUAUGGAUACCGAUAUUUUUCGUAAGUUUAGCACUAAAUAUGGACUUGACUCUGAGAUAGUAGCUUCUUUCUGUGAAUAUUUUGCUACUUAUGUUGAUCUCCCCAAGGAGAAGUGGUUUAAAUAUCAUCCUCCCAUAGAAGUAAAAGUAGCUGCACCUAUUAAAGUUGAAGAAAAGAUUGUCACUUAUAAUGAUCCUAUUGUUCCCAUUUCUUAUGUUGAGAAACUACCUUUCCCUGUUAGAAUGAAGGAUCAUGCUAAAGCUUCAACUGUUGUUUGUAAAAGCAAUAUUAGAACUUCUACACCUCCUGAGCAAGUCAAAGUACAACCUAAUAUUGCUAUUUUUAAAGAUCUCUUGUCUGAUAAUAUCGAUGGGCAUGUUAUUCAAUUCCAGGGUGAAACUGCUAGAAUUGCUAAACCUUGUGAUAAAGACAAACAUAGACAUGUGGUAGGCCUGCCUGUUAUUUCUGUUAAAAUAGGAGAUCAUUGCUAUCAUGGCUUGUGUGAUAUGGGUGCUAGUGUUAUACCCAUUGCCUUAUACGAAGAAAUUGCCCAUGAUAUUGCACCUGCUGAGUUAGAAGCUAUUGAUGUCACAAUUAAACUUGCCAAUAGAGAUACUAUUUCUCCAGUGGGAAUUGUUAGAGAUAUUGAAGUCUUGUGUGGGAAAACCAAAUACCCCGCUUAUUUUCUUGUUCUUGGUUCUCCGCAAGAUAGCUUUUGUCCCAUUAUAUUUGUUAGACCCUUCUUGAAUACUGUGAAUGCUAAGAUAGGCUGCAAAAAGAAUGUUGUUACUAUUGUCUUGGAUGAUAUGGUUCAUGAGUUUAAUUUCUCUAAAUUUAGUAAACAACAUCGCGAGGAAGAAUUGCCUAGUAAGGAUGAAAUUAUUGGUCUUGCUUAUAUUGCUGUACCUCCUAGUGAUCCUUUAGAGCAUUAUUUGCUAGACCAUGAAAAUGAGAUGUUCAUGAAUGAAAGAAGGGAAAUAGAAGAAGUAUUCUUUAAACAAGAACCUAUUUUGCAACACAAUUUGCCUGUUGAAAUCCUAGGGGAUCCUCCUCCACCCAAGGGUGAUCCCGUGUUUGAGCUUAAAUCGUUGCCUGAUAAUCUUAAAUAUGCUUAUCUUGACGAAAAGAAAAUAUAUCCUGUUAUUAUUAGCACUAACCUUUCAGAGCAUGAAGAAGAAAGAUUAUUGAAAACUCUGAAGAAGCACCGCGCCGCUAUUGGAUAUACACUUGAUGAUCUUAAGGGCAUUAGUCCCACUCUAUGUCAACAUAAAAUAAAUUUGGAAGCAGAUGUCAAACCAUUUUGUGAUCCUCAACGACAUUUGAAUCCUAAAAUGAAAGAAGUGGUAAGAAAAGAAAUACUCAAGCUUCUGGAGGCAGGUAUAAUUUAUCAUGUUGCUGGUAGUCAGUGGGUAAGUCCUGUCCAUUGUGUCCCUAAGAAGGGAGGUAUUACUAAUAUCCCUAAUGAUAAAGAUGAAUUGAUUCUGCAAAGAAUUAUCACAGGCUAUAGGAUGGUAACUGAUUUCUGUAAGUUAAAUAAGUCUACUAAGAAAGAUCAUUACCCCUUACCUUUUAUUGAUCAAAUGCUAGAAAGAUCAUGCAAACAUACACAUUAUUGCUUUCUAGAUGGUUAUUCCGGUUUCUCUCAAAUACCUGUGUCGGCUAAAGACUACUUUUACAUGCCCUUUUGGUACUUUUGCUUAUAGACGUAUGCCUUUUGGUUUAUGUAAUGCACCUGCUACCUUUCAAAGAUGCAUGAUGGCUAUAUUCUCUGACUUUUGCGAAAAGAUUUGUGAGGUUUUCAUGGACGACUUUUCCGUCUAUGGUUCCUCUUUUGAUGAUUGCUUGAGCAAUCUUGCUCGAGUUUUGCAGAGAUGUGAAGAAACUAAUCUUGUCUUGAAUUGGGAAAAGUGCCACUUUAUGGUUAAUGAAGGUAUUGUCUUGGGGCACAAAGUUUUUGAAAGGGGUAUUGAAGUUGAUAAAGCCAAGGUUGAUGCUAUUGAAAAGAUGCCAUGUCCCAAGGAGAUCAAAGGUAUAAGAAGUUUCCUUGGUCACGCUAGAUUUUAUAGGAGGUUCAUUAAGGACUUCUCAAAAAUUUCUCGACCUCUGACUAAUUUAUUACAAAAAGAUGUACCAUUUGUCUUUGAUGAUGAUUGUGUAGAAGCAUUUGAAAUACUUAAGAAAGCAUUAGUCUCUGCACCUGUUGUUCAGCCACCUGAUUGGAAUUUACCCUUUGAAAUUAUGUGUGAUGCUAGUGAUUAUGUUGUAGGUGCUGUUCUAUGGCAACGAGUUGAUAAGAAAUUGAAUGUUAUCCAUUAUGCUAGUAAGACUCUAGACAAUGCUCAAAGAAACUAUGCUCCAACCGAAAAGGAACUUUUAGCAGUUGUAUUUGCUUGUGAUAAAUUCAGACCCUAUAUUGUUGAUUCUAAAGUAACUAUUCACACUGAUCAAGCUGCUAUUAAAUAUCUUAUGGAAAAUAAGGAUGCAAAACCUAGACUCAUUAGAUGGGUUCUCUUGCUGCAAGAAUUUGAUUUGCAUAUUGUUGAUAGAAAAGGAGCUGAGAACCCCGUUGCAGAUAACUUAUCUAGGUUAGAGAAUGUUCUUGAUGACCCACUACCUAUUGAUGAUAGCUUCCCUGAUGAGCAACUAAAUGUCAUAAGCACUUCUCAUAGCACUCCAUGGUAUGCUAAUUAUGCUAAUUACAUUGUUGCUAAAUUUAUACCACCUAGCUUCACAUACCAACAAAAGAAAAAGUUUUUCUAUGACUUGCGACAUUACUUUUGGGAUGACCCACAUCUUUAUAAAGAAGGAGUAGAUGGUGUCAUUAGACGUUGUGUACCUGAGCAUGAACAGGAACAGAUCCUACACAAGUGUCACUCCGAAGCUUAUGGAGGACACCAUGCUGGAGAUAGAACUGCACAUAAGGUAUUGCAAUCUGGUUUUUAUUGGCCUACUCUCUUCAAGGAUGCCCAUAAGUUUGUUUUGUCUUGCGAUGAAUGUCAAAGAAUUGGUAAUAUUAGUAGACGUCAAGAAAUUCCUAUGAAUUAUUCACUUGUUAUUGAGCCAUUUGAUGUUUGGGGCUUUGAUUAUAUGCGACCUUUUCCUGCCUCUAAUGGAUACACACAUAUUUUAGUUGCUAUUGAUUACGUUACUAAGUGGGUAGAAGCUAUUCCAACUAGUAGUGCUGAUCAUAACACUUCUAAUAAAAUGCUUAAGGAAGUUAUUUUUUCGAGGUUUGGAGUCCCUAGAUAUUUAAUGACUGAUGGUGGUUCACACUUUAUUCAUGGUGCUUUCCGUAAGAUGCUUGCUAAAUAUGACGUUAAUCAUAGGAUUGCAUCUCCUUAUCACCCGCAGUCCAGUGAUCAAGUAGAGUUGAGAAAUAGGGAGCUCAAAUUAAUUUUGCAAAAGACUGUUAAUAGGUCUAGAAAGAAUUGGUCCAAGAAACUUGAUGAUGCAUUAUGGGCCUAUAGAACUGCAUAUAAAAAUCCUAUGGGUAUGUCUCCGUAUAAAAUGGUCUAUGGAAAAGCUUGUCACUUACCUCUCGAACUAGAACAUAAGGCAUACUGGGCUAUUAAAGAGCUCAACUAUGAUUUCAAACUUGUCGGCGAGAAGAGGUUAUUUGAUAUUAGCUCACUUGAUGAAUGGAGAACCCAAGCUUAUGCAAAUUCCAAGUUGUUUAAAGAAAAAGUUAAAAGAUGGCAUGACAAAAGGAUACAAAAGCGUGAGUUUAAUGUAGGUGAUUAUGUAUUGCUAUACCACUCCCGUUUAAGAUUUUUUGCAGGAAAACUUCUCUCCAAAUGGGAAGGUCCCUACGUUAUCGAAGAGGUCUAUCGUUUCGGUGCCAUAAAAAUCAACAACUUCGCAGGCACAAAUCCGAAGGUGGUAAACGGUCAAAGGAUCAAACACUAUAUCUCAGGUAAUCCUAUAAAUGUUGAAACUAAUAUUAUUGAAACCGUAACCCCGGAGGAAUACAUAAGGGACACUUUCCAACCCGCUUCAGACUCCGAAAAGGAAUAGGUAUGUGGUACGGUAAGUAAACCGACUCCAAAACAAUUUUUAAGGCAAUAUUUCUCCGUUUUGGAAUAUUUAGAAAAAUAGAAAAAUGGGUAGCAGUCCGGGGAGGACACGAGGCCUCCACGAGGGUGGAGGGCGCGCCCUACCCCCCUGGGUGCACCACCCUACCUUGUGAACACCUCGAGUGCCCUCCGGACUCCGUUUCCUUGCACGAUACGUAUUUUGGUCAGUAAAAAAUCAUUAUUUAUACUCCCGAAGGUUUUGACUCUCGCAUUACGCAAAUCUCCCCUGUUCUUGUUUCGAGUUGUUUCUCUGACAGGUCUAGAUCAUCACGACGACCCCAAGUGCUUCCAAGGACAAGUUCUUCGAGAAGGUGAUCAACCCUUACCUCGCGGAGGUGCUGCGACACCCUCAAACCAUUGAGAUGCGUGAUGGGUUGCUGCACAUCCGCGAUGCUGAGGGACCAAAGGGAACUGGAAGCGUGGAGUCGAGGCUUGAAACAAUGAAGCAACAAGUGUUCAAGUGUCAGGGAAUGGUGGAGCGUGGAAUCAACGCUACCCACAAGAUGCUCGCGGAGUUCACCAACAACUAUGAGCCGGAUGCCAAGAAGACCGAGGAGGUCAUCUUCAAGCUACAUGAGAAGAUCGAGCACCUCUAAGUCCAAAUCUAUGAUCUGCAAAACCAAAACUAUGAGUAUGAAUAUAGAUUCAAAAGGAUGAGUUUGGCUGCAGAUUUGAGGAUUCCGGAGACUCGAUCAUCCUUCUAUGAUGGUGAGCCUAUGCCAUGGAAGGUGGACGACAAGCUUGCAUCAUCAACAACACCUCCACCGCCAACAACAAAGAAUGAGACAUAAUCACAUGGGUAUGGGCACUCCCCUUGGUAACUGCCAAGCUUGGGGGAGGUGCCCUGGUAUCGUAUCACCAUCACAACUCCUAUCUUUACCGUUUUUCUUAGUUCGAUCCUAUUAGUAGUAUCUUGAUUUAGUAGAAUAAAGUCAUUGGCAUGAUCUAGUUUUGAGUUUUGCUUUACAAUCCUUCUUUGUAAUCGAGUCCGUUAGCUAUAUAAUAAAGAUUAGUGUUGAGUCAAGGGAUUGCUUAUCGUGCCAUGAUCUUGGGUGAAUAGAAGAAUAGAAUAAAAAGAAUCAAAGAGUUCAUAUUGAUCUUAGUGAAGGUAAUGAUUUCACAUAGAAAGAGUAUGAUGAUUAAAAGUGGUUGGGAGUUGGCAAAUAUAGCUCUGGUUCGUUGCAAUUAAUAGGAAGUAAUAAGGAAAGAGAGGUUUCACAUAUAGAUAUAUUAUCAUUGACAUCUUUUAUGAUUGGGAGCAAUCAUUAAAAUAUGACAUGCUAAAGAGUUGAGGUUGGACAAGGAAGACAACAUAAUGAGUUAUGUUUUCUUACAUCCGAGAUAAAGUAUGUUUCAUGGAUCAUCUACCUUGUUGAGCUUGCCUUUCCCCCUCUUGCUAGCCAAAUUCUCAGCACCAAGUAGAAAUACUACUUGUGCUUCCAAAUACCCUUAAACCAGUUUUGCCAUGAGAGUCCACUAUACCUACCUAUGGAUUGAGUAAGAUCCUUCAAGUAAGUUGUCAUCGGUGCAAGCAAUAAAAAUUGCUCUCUAAAUAUGCAUGACUUAUUAGUGCAGAGAAAUACUCUUUGUACGAACUUGUUGUGGACGCAAUAAAAGCGACGGACUGCAUAAUAAAGGUUCACAUACAAGGGGCAAUAUAAAGUGGUGUUCUUUUGCAUUAAGAUUUUGUGCAUCAACCCUAAACGUGCAUGACAACCUCUGCUUCUCUCUUCAAAGGGCCUAUCUUUUCUUUUCUCUACCUUAUGCAAGAGUCACGGUGAUCUUCACCUUUCUUUUUCAUUUUAUCCUUUGGCAAGCUCAGCAUGUUGGAAAGAGUAUGAUAUAUAUAUAUAUAUAUAUCUAAUUGGAUGUAGGGGAGCAUGAAUUAUUAUUGUUGACAUUACCCUUGAGGUAAGAGGUUGUGGGGCAAAACUACAAGCCCCUAUCUUUCUUUGUGUCUGACUAAAACUCCGUAACCACAAGUACCGCCUGAGUGCUAGCAAUUAUGAAGGACUAAGUGAUAGUUGAGUAUGUGGACUUGCUUUUAAUCUCUGACAUAGACUCUUUCUGAUGUUAUGGUAAAUUGCAAUUGCUUCAAUGACCAAGGGUAUAACUUGCUGGUGCUCAAUAAGGUUUCUGAUUCAUGCUUUGGCUUUGUGAAAAGAUCAUCACUUGAACAUGAGUAAUCAUAUGACAAAAUCUUUAUAUGUUGCCGUUAUGAAAUAAUCAUGAUGCCUUCAUGUCUGUAUUUUAUUUUUAUCGACGCCUCUACCUCUAAACAUGAGGACAUAUUUAUUGUUAUCGGCUUUUCCCUUGAGGACAAGCGAGGUCUAAGCUUGGGGAGUUGAUACGUCCAUUUUGCAUCAUGCUUUUAUGAUAAUAUUUAUUGCAUUAUGGGCUGUUAUUUCACGUUAUGUCACAAUACUUAUGGCUAUUCUCUAUUAUUUUACAAGGUUUAUAUGAAGAGGGAUUAUGCCGGCAGCUGGAAUUCUGGGCCGGAAAAGGAGCAAAUAUUGGAGGCCAAUUCUAUGCAACUCCAAAAGUCCUGAAACUCCACGGAAUACCUUAAAAUAAAUAAAGAAAAAUCGUCGCCAAAGAUGAAGGCCAGGGGGACCACACCCUACUCACGAGGGUGGGGGGCGCCCCCCUGGGCACGCCCCCUACCUCGUGGGCCCCCUGGUGGCUCUCCGACGCCCAUCUUCUCCUAUAUGAAGUCUUUCGAUGAGAAAAAAAUAGAAGGCAACCUUUCGGGACGAGACUCCGCCGCCACGAGGCGGAACCUUGGCGGAACCAAUCUAGGGCUCUAGCGGAGCUGUUCUGCCGGGGACAAUUCCCUCCCGGAGGGGGAAAUCAUCACCACCGUCAUCACCAACGCUCCUCCCAUCGGGAGAGGGCAAUCUCCAUCAACAUCUUCACCAGCACCAUCUCAUCUCCAAACCCUAGUUCAUCUCUUGUAUCCAAUUCUUGUCUCCAAGUCCGGGAUUGGUGCUAGUAGUUUGCUAGUAGUGUUAAUUACUCCUUGUAGUUGAUGCUAGUUGGUUUAUUCGGUGGAAGAUCAUAUGUUCAGAUCCUUUAUGCACUUUAUUACCCCUCUGAUUAUGAACAUGAAUAUGCUUUGUGAGUAAUUACGUUUGUUCCUGAGGACAAGGGAGAAGUCUUGCUAUUAGUAGUCAUGUAAAUUUGGUAUUCGUUCGAUAUUUUGAUGAGAUGUAUGUUGUCUAGCCUCUAGUGGUGUUAUGUGAACGUUGACUACAUAACACUUCACCAUUAUUUGGGCCUAGAUGAAGGCAUUGGGAAGUAAUAAGUAGAUGAUGGGUUGCUAGAGUGACAUAAGCUUAAACCCUAGUUUAUGCGUUGCUUCAUAAGGGGCUGAUUUGGAUUCGUAUGUUUCAUGCUAUGGUUAGGUUUACCUUAAUACUUUUGUUGUAGUUGCGGAUGCUUGCAAUAGGGGUUAAUCAUAAGUGGGAUGCUUGUCCAAGUAAGGGCAGUACCCAAGCACUGGUCCACCCACAUAUCAAAUUAUCAAAGUACCGAACGCGAAUCAUAUGAGCGUGAUGAAAACUAGCUUGACGAUAUUCCCAUGUGUCCUCGGGAGCGAUUUUCCUAUUAUAAGAGUUUGUCCAGGCUUGUCCUUUGCUACAAAAAGGAUUGGGCCACCUUGUUGCACCUUAUUUACUUUUGUUACUUGUUUCUCGUUACAAUUUAUCUUAUCUCAAAACUAUCUAUAUAAGUGAAGCACUAUGAGCAAAACUAUCAAGCUCAAAAGAUAUAAGUGAAGCACUAUGAGCAAAACUAUCAAGCUCAAAAGAUAUAGGUGAAGCACAUAGAGUAUUCUAGAAAAUUCCAAUUGGUGUAUGGCUCUCUCAAAAUGUGUGUACAGCAACGAUGAUUGUGGUAAACUAACAAGCAAAGACGCAAAUAAUACAAGACGCUCCAAGCAAAACACAUAACAUGUGGUGAAUAAAAUAUAGCUCCAAGUAAAUUACCGAUGGAAGUAGACGAAAGAGGGGAUGCCUUCUGGGGCAUCCCCAAGCUUUGACUUUUUGGUGUCCUUGGAUUAUCUUGGGGGUGCCAUGGGCAUCUCCAAUCUUAGGCUCUUGCCACUCUUUGUUCCAUAAUCCAUCAAAAGAAUUCACCCAAAACUUGAAAACUUCACAACACAAAACUCAAUAGAAAUCUCAUGAGCUCCGUUAGUGAAAGAAAACAAAAGACUACUUUAAGGUACUGUAAUGAACUCAUUCUUUAUCUAUACUACUAUAUAGUGUAUGAGUUUUGAAUUGUACAACAGAAUCAAUCCUGGCCGUUGGUCUCAUAAAUUUAACGGUUGGGAUUCAAAGGAUUCGCAGUGAACAGUAGCCCGCAGCUGCAUCUGCUGGUUUCUAGAAAAAUCGCGUCACAUCUCCUCUCUUCUCGUCAUGUUGCAUGUGCCAGUGCGUCAGGCAAACAGCCAAGACAGGGGCAGAGACAAGUGAACAUUAUUAGCCGCCUGUCAGCUAAUGGCCGCAGCUAAUUGCAUCAUUAGUCCAUAUAAAAUACAUUUAUAGAACCAACUACACCGAAUAUAAAGGAGACCAAAGCCCAGUAGCCCAUACAUGUAGGUGUGGUUAACUAUUGUUUUGCCCUUGGACAAUUGAUCGAUUCGAUCGCCUGGGCUACUACCCAGUGAAAUGUAAAUGAUCACCACAAUACCGAUUUUAUUAGCAGAAAAUCAUCACUUUAUAAUUCAUGUUAAUAUUUAUUUUUCUCCGAAUACAUUACAAAGUAAUAUAUGAUUUUCUUUUUCUUUUCAUAGAAUCAUAGGAACAAUACUGUUAAGACGUGCAUUGCACGUGUAUACCUAAUAGUUUAUAUUGGUGUUAAACCCACUGUACUCCAACUUCCUUAUGGUUUAUAAACUAAUUUAUUAGCCAUAGAUGCAUUGAAAUAAGCAAACAACACACGAAAAACAGAAUCUGUCAAAAACAGAAUAGUCUGUAGCAAUCUGUAACUAACGCGAACUUCUGGAACUCUACAAAUUCUACCAAAAUAGGACGUACUGGAAUUUUUUUUAUUGAUCAUCAGAAAAAAUAAUCAAUGCAAAAGAAUGUUUCUGUGAUUUAUUGAAUUUUUUCUCGUGAGCGCAAAGUUUCUGUUUUUCAGCAGAAUCAAAUCAACUAUCAUCGUAGCUUAUCCUAUAGGUUCUACUUGGCACAAACACUAAUUAAAACAUAAAACCACAUCUAAACAGAAAGUAGAAACAAAAUUUAACACUAAACAGGAACAAAAACAAAGAACAAAAAAUAAAAUUGGGUUGCCUCCCAACAAGCGCUAUCGUUUAACGCCCCUAGCUAGGCAUAAAAGCAAUGAUAGAUCUAGGUUUUGCCAUCUUUGGUAGGCAAUUCUUCAAUGAGGCAUCUAUCUUUCUUAGAACUUUCUUUCUUUCCAGUAAUUAUCAAACUCUUAGGCACAAGAUCGAAAAAUUCACUCAUAGCAAAAGGUUCCAUAAUGAUGGCAAAAAGAUUGGGAUGAACACUUAUAGAUUUAAGAUCCGCAGUUUCCUUACUAGACGAUUCAUCCUUACUCUUGGGAACAUAAAUAAGCUUAGGUUUUUUAGUAGACUAACUUGGAGUGUUUUGAAUGGAGGAAAAAGCGGUUCCCAAGUUUGUAAUGAUACCCUCUAGUUUAUCGAUACUUGUGGAAUCUAGAUUUAUUCUCUCGUUAACUAUGGGUUCUUUUUCUUUAAUAUUUUUCAAAGUCGUUCCUACCUUAGAUUCAUAUUGGGUAAUUUGAUUGUGGAUAUUUUUAUCAAGAUUUUCAAUUGAUUCAAUGGUAGCAACUUUAUUCUCAAUAAUUUCAAGUCUUUGCAUAACAUGCUCCAAAGUUAACAUAGUUCCAUUAAUAAAAGGAGGUGGUAAGCCAAAUAAAUCUAUUAAAGCAUUGUAAGAAUCAAAAGUAUGGCUACCCAAAAAAUUCCCUCCGGUAAUGGUAUGAAGGAUAUAUCUAAACCAAGGAUUAACACCUACAUAAAAAUUACGAAGAAGAACCAAAGUAGAUUGCUUCCUGGUAGAUCAAUUUUGAGCAUUGCAAAUUCUAUACCAAGCGUCUUUUAGAUUUUAUCCCUCCCUUUGCAUAAAAUUUAAAACUUCAUUCUCGGGAGAUAACGGAGAAGAUAGGAGGCUAGUCAUAAUGACAAGGUGAACGAACUAACACACGAGCAAGCAACAAAGCAAAUGAGAAAAAGGCGAAAGGGAAAGAGAGGAGGAGAUUGGGAAAGAGAGGGCGAAUAAAACGGUAAGGGUGAAGGGGGGAGAGGAAAACGAGAGGCAAAUAAUGUAAUGCGAUAGAUAGGGAUUGUGAUGGGUACUUGGUAUAGUUGACUUUUGCACAAACUCCCCGGCAAUGGCGCCAGAAAUUCUUCUUGCUACCUCUUGAGCACUGUGUUGGAUUUUCCCGAAGAUGAGAGGAUGAUGUAGUAAAGUAGCGUAAGUAUUUCCCUCAGUUUUUGAGAACCAAGGUAUCAAUCCAGUAGGAGAUCACGCACGAGUCCCUCGUACCUACACAAAAUGAUAGCUACUCGCAACCAACGCGAUUAGGGGUUGUCAAUCCCUUCACGGUCACUUACGAGGGUGAGAUCUGAUAGAGAUGAUAAAUAAUAUUUUUGGUAUUUUUGAUAGAUAGAUGCAAAGUGAAAAGUAAAAAGCAAAGUAAAAACAAAGCAAGUAAAUAAAGUAAUGGAGAUUGGUAUGAUGAGAAUAGACCCGGGGGCCAUAGGUUUCACUAGUGGCUUCUCUCAAGAGCAUAAGUAUUCUACGGUGGGUGAACAAAUUACUGUUGAGCAAUUGAUAGAAAAGCGAAUAAUUAUGAGUAUAUCUAGGUAUGAUCAUGUAUAUUGGCAUCAUGUCCGAGACAAGUAGAUCGAAACAAUUCUGCAUCUACUACUAUUACUCCACUCAUCCACCGCUAUCCAGCAUGCAUCUAGAGUAUUAAGUUAAAAACAGAGUGACGCCUUAAGCAAGAUGACAUGAUGUAGAGGGAUAAAUUCAUGCAAUAUGAUAAAAACCCCAUCUUGUUAUCCUCGAUGACAACAAUACAAUAUGUGCCCUGCAACCCUUUCUGUCACUGGGUAAGGACACCGCAAGGUUGAAGCCAAAGCUAAACACUUCUCCCAUUGCAAGAACUACCAAUCUAGUUGGCCAAACCAAACAGGUAAUUUGAAGAGACUUGCAAAGAUAACUCAAUCAUACAUAAAAGAAUUCAGAGAAGAUUCAAAUAUUAUUCAUAGAUAAGCUGGAUCAUAAACCCACAAUUCAUCAGUCUCAACAAACACACCGCAAAAAGAAGAUUACAUCGAAUAGAUCUCGACAAGAGAGGGGGAGAACAUUGUAUUGAGAUCCAAAAAGAGAGAAGAAGCCAUCUAGCUACUAGCUAUGGACCCGAAGGUCUGACGUAAGCUACUCACACUUCAUCGGAGAGGCUAUGGUGUUGAUGUAGAAGCCCUCCAUGGUAGAUGCCCCCUCCGGCGGAGCUCCGGAACAGGCCCCAAGAUGGGAUCUCGCGGAUACAGAAAGUUGCGGCGGUGGAAUUAGGUUUUUGGCUCCGUGUUUGAUCUGACGGGGGUACGUAGGUAUAUAUAGGAGGAAGGAGUACGUCGGUGGAGAAACAGAGGGCCCACGAGGCAGGGGGCGCGCCCUCCACCCUCGUGACCGCCUCUGGCACUUCUUGGAGUAGGGUCCAAGUCUCCUGGAUCACGUUCGGUGAGAAAAUCACGUUCCCGAAGGUUUUAUUCUGUUUGGACUCCGUUUGAUAUUCUGUUUCUUCGAAAUACUGAAAUACGCAAAAACAGCAAUUCAGGGCUGGGCCUCCGGUUAAUAGGUUAGUCCCAAAAAAUAAUAUAAAAGUGGAAAAUAAAGCCCAAUAUAGUCCAAAACGGUAGAUAAAGUAGCAUGGAGCAAUCAAAAAUUAUAGAUACGUUGGAGACGUAUCAGUAGGGAAGGUGUUUCUUAGGGUUUUCAGAACAACAAGUAACAUCAUAUAUUUCACAUAAAGUCUAGGCAUAGCAUUGCAAACGAUGAAUUUGAUCCAAUAAAAGUUUCCCCUUUUCAGAUAUACGGUGUCGCACAUAACAAGCAUGCUCAUCUAAAGAUUUUCCCUCAACUAAGCUAGUUGGGGUUUCAGCACGAGCACAAAGGGAUCAAAGAUGAUCCAAGUAAAAAGCUUCAGUAGUGUGAUAGAUUUUGAGUGGUUCUUCAACCAUUGGUGUAGUAGGUACAACUAAUUUUAUUGGUAUUUUGCGUUUCCUACCCAUAACUAAAGAUAGAAAACAACUAAGAACAGCAAAUAAAAAUUACUUAGUGAUAAAGAAAACAAGCACACACGAGAAUAUUCGCCCCACGCUAUGACUCCCCGGCAAUGGCGCCAGAAAAAGGUCUUGAUGACCCACAAGUGUAGGGGAUAAUUGUAGCCUGUUUCAAUAAGUAAGAGUGUCGAACCCAAGGAGGAGCUAAAGGUAGAACAAAUAUUCUCUCAAGUCCUAUCUCCCACUGAUACGACUCUACACACGCUUAGUGUUUGCUUUACCUAGAACCAGUAUGAAACUAGUAGUACUUUGUAGGUGUGAUAGGAUAGGUUUGCAAGAUAAUAAAGAACACGUAAAUAUAAACUAGGGGCUGUUUAGAUAAAGAAGCAAUAAAGUAAAUAUUAGUAGAGAGCUUUUUGUCACAAGAAAGUUAUUUGUCCCUAGGCAAUCGAUAACUAGACCGGUAAUCACUAUUGCAAUUCUAUUUGAGGGAGAGGCAUAAGCUAACAUACUUUCUCUUCUUGGAUCAUAUGCACUUAUGAUUGGAACUCUAGCAAGCAUCCGCAACUACUAAAGAUUCAUUAAGGUAAAACCCAACCAUAGCAUUAAAGAAUCAAGUCCCCUUUAUCCCAUACGCAAACAACCUACUUACUCGGGUCUCUGCUUCUGUCACUCACGCCACCCACCAUAAGCAAAUCAUGAACAUAUUGCAAACCCUACAGUGGGGAUCCCUCACGCUUGCGCGACACGGAGAGCACCAUGGGACAGAACCAAUAAUAAAACAUGCAACUCAAACCAAUCACGAUCAUCAAUUAACCCAUAGGACAAAACGGAUCUACUCAAACAUCAUAGGAUAGCCAUACAUCAUUGGGAAAUAAUAUAUAGUGUUGAGCACCAUGUUUAAGUAGAGAUUACAGCGGGUAAAAGAGAGGUUACACCACUGCAUAGAGGGGGGAAGAGUUGGUGAUGAAGGCGGUGAAGUUGUUGGUGAAGAUCACGGUGAUGAUAAUGGCCUCUGGCAGCGCUCCGGCGCCACCGGAAGCAAGGGGAGAGAGCCCCCCUUCUUCUUCUUCCUUGACCUCCUCCCUAGAUGGGAGAAGGGUUUCCCCUCUUGUAAUGGACGGCGGCAGGGGGGUAUCAGCUCCGGCAUGGUGGAGGAGGACGGCGGUGGAUGGGGUGGCGGACGUCGGCGGACGGAGGAGGCUGCGGUGGAGAGGGUGUUUUGGCGCCCAUGGAGUACGAAUGGGGGAAAAGGGAGGUAGAGAGGAAGGGGGGAACUAUGUAUUCACGGCACGCUUGUCUCAAAUGCGAGGAAAUUUACAAACUUAGCCCCCGUUUCAAAUUUCCUACAUCACAACAAUAUUAGUCGGUUGGGGAUAGGACGGUAAUCUCGCAUACACCGAAUAUUUGCCAGCGAGAGUUUGUUUUGGCGCCCACCGUGUAUGAAUAGAAUCGUGGAGGGAGUCGAUUUCGGCCGAGGACACAAUGUGUUUUGGUGCCCACCGUGUAUGAAUCCGGGUCAGAGGCGGUUACGUGACGUUUGGGCGAAAUUACAAACCUAGCCCUAUCGAAACCUAUAGAAAUCCAGCAGAUAGGCUUUGCGUGGCAGGGAUAGGAAGUAGUAAUUUCCAUCUCACAAAUUUUGGGUUCGGGCGGUUACUGCGACUUUCCCCGCUUUUUCAAAUUUUACAGAGUGCGCGUUUACCGUGCCAACUCAAUUCGAAUCCCGUUUGUAUUCUAUUUUUUUCGGGCGGGAUCCAUUUUCAAUUGGAAUUAAAUUCUAUAUACAUCAUUUUUUAUAUAUACUUUCAAAAGCACAACACCAUUUAUACAUAAAUAUGGUUUACAAAUGGCAUGAUCUCAGAUUCAUAAGGUUGUAUCCAUCAAUUUGGAUUUUCAAAUAUUUGAAACCACUUUAUGUUGAAAUCCAAUGUAUGUAUUCCUCGCUAACUUUCUCCAAUUAAUGUGUGUUUCAUGCUUGUUUUUUUACUUCUCAAACAUGUAUAAUGUGUUUCACACACGCAACAUAUAGUGUAAUCCCGUUUAGACAUUAAUUGCAUAUAAACCAUGCAUUGUUUCUAAUUAAAGAAUCUAUGGAUCACCAAUAUUGAUCAACUAUAUAACAUUACACGUGUGCCCAAAUUCAAAUGAAUAUGCAUGUUUCAUACACCAAUUUGCGUUAUGAUAUUAUCGAUGUCAUGAUCUCCAGUUUAAAUAUUUGAAUCCCCUUUAAUCCAGAUAUUCGUCUCAUAUAGCUAUCACUCAUGCUUAUAUAGGACUAUCUCUCUGGACCUAUACGCGUUCAUCGUCUCUCAGGUAUCUCUCGUGCUACCUGUAUGUCGACAAUGAUCUUUUAUCUUCGUAAUAACGGUACUCUCUCCCUCGACCUUCAUCACUCUAUCUCUGAUACCAACUUGUCACGCCCAAUAUGCGACCCUAUCCAAAAGGAACUCGAAGGUCCCACCAAGGAUAGACCCGCAUAUUGAAACGCUUUUGCAAGGUGGAUAUCAUUACAUCAACAUUACAUAAUAGAUGGGGAUACAUACAUACGGCAUACAAUGCCAUACGAAUACAACACCACAAUACAUCAGAGCAUCAUCCGACUACGGAUGAAACACAAACAGAAACUCAAACGACAUCCACCCUGCUAGCCCAGGCUGCCGACCUGGAACCUAUCCCCUGAUCGAAGCAGCAGAAGAAGAACUCCAAGACAAGCAAACAUCGCUCUCGCGUCAUGAACAUCGCGAAACCUGUACCUGCAACUGUUGUUGUAGUAAUCUGUGAGCCACGAGGACUCAGCAAUCCCAUUACCAUGGGUAUCAAGACUAGCAAAGCUUAAAGGGAAAGGAAGGGGUAAAGUGGUGAGGCUGCAGCAGAGACUAAGCAUAUAUGGUGGCUAACAUACGCAAAUAAGAGCGAGAAGAGAGCAAGCAGACCGGUCGUGAAACUAGCAAUGAUCAAGAAGUGAUCCUGAACUCCUGCUUACGUCAAACAUAACCCAGAAACCGUGUUCACUUCCCGGACUACACCGAGAAGAGACCAUCACGGCUACACACGCGGUUGAUGCGUUUUAAUUCGGAUCUGGUGUCAAGUUAUCUACAACCGGACAUUAACAAAUUCCCAUCUGCCUAUAACCGCAGGCACGGCUUUCGAAAGAUUAUACCCUGCAGGGGUGUCCCAACUUAGCCCAUGACAAGCUCUCGCGAUAAAUGAAGGAUAUACCUUCUCCCAGGAAGACCCGAUCAGACUCGGGAUCCCGGUUUACAAGACAUUUCGACAAUGGUAAAACAAGACCAGCAAAGCCGCUCGAUGCGCCAACAUCCUCAUAGAAGCUGCACAUAUCUCGUUCUCAGGGCAACACCAGAUGAGUCAAGCUACGAGUAAAACCAGCCCUCAAUUUGCCAAGAGGUGGCCCCGCAGGUUGCUCAGUUCGGACCAACACUUAGACAAGCACUGGCCCCGGGGGGGGGCUAAAAUAAAGAUGACCCUCGGGUUGGCCGACCCAAGGGAAAGGGAUAGGUGAUGGUGAGGCAAAUGGUAAAACCAAGGUUGGGCCUUGGUGGAGGAGUUUUAUUCAAAGCGAACUGCCAAGGGGGUCCCAUAAAUCACCCGACCGCGUAAGGAACGCAAAAUCCGGGAACAUAACACUGGUAUGAUGGAAACUAGGGCGGCAAGAGUGGAACAAAACACCAGGCAAAAGGCCGAGUCUUCCACCCUUUACCAAGUAUAUAGAUGCAUUAAAAUUAUAAGAGAUAUUGUGAUAUCCCAACCAAAAUCCUGUCCGCCAUGGAGUAAUCUUCAACUUCACCUGCAACUAGCAACGCUAUAAGAGGGGCUGAGCAAAAGCAGUAACAUAGCCAAACAAUGGUUUGGAUAGGGAAGGUGUCAAAGGUUAGAGGUUCAUGGCAAUAUGGGAUGGCUUGAUAAGCAGGUGAUAGGUAGCGCAGCAAAGCGAUAGAAUGAAGCAACUAGCAUAGCAAUGAUAGUAGUGAGAUCCAGGGUAGCGGUCAUCUUGCCUGAAAUCCCACAAGGAAGAAGAACGAGUCCAUGAAGAAGAUGAAGCCACGAAGACGAACCAAGCGUAGACGAACGAAUCCUCACGAUCGCAGCGAAACAGGAACUAUCGAGAAGAAGCACACAACACAGUAAACACACCACAAAUGAACAAGGCAUGAUGCACAACAAGCAUGAUGCAUGGCAAAGCUACAUGAAGCUACUCAUGGCAAGAGAUGAUGCAAACAAGAGCAACACACCAAGGCAAGUUUAAACGAGGCCGGGAACAACAUAUAACAAUUCCGGUAAGUCCUCAUAUGCAUAUUUCGAAGUUGGUCCAGAUCUGAAUAAACAUUAUGUUCUAGUUGUUAAACAACAAGUUAAGAUGCACAACGAUGAUCUACACGAGAUUCUAGUCAAGUUACAUAUAAAGUUCAUUUAGUUCGGAGCUACGGCCUAGAAGAUAUGAACAAAACAAGUUAAACAUGGCAUUGAUGCAAAAUGCAUUCAAACAUCAAGCAAACACCUCAAAACAAGGAUGCAACAUGAUAAUAUGAAACUACAUGCAAAAUCAAGCAAGUUUCAUAUAGAGCACACUCAAAACGGAGCAACGGUUCAACACACACACAUGAAACAAGUUAUAAGGACAAGUUGUCCAAAACAGCCACUAGGCAUGUUGCAAGCACCAAAACGACAUGCUACAACACCCCAACAUGAAAACAAAAGACAUGGGCAUGAUGUACAGGUAAAGCAUUACAAAACAUGAACACUGAGCUAUCUCUAGAAAUCACUAGAACAUGCUCAACCACACAUGGUAAGAUGGCAAGUAAUAACAAUUUCAGACUUUGCAUAAAAUAACAUCACGAUGCAAUGUUUAGAGCUAUCAAACAACAUGUUACAUGAACUUAUCAUGGCUAACAAAGGCAUGGCAUGAAUCUACUAAUUUCAUAGAUCAAAAGUCCCUUACUGACCAUAAGCGAAAAAGGAGCAGAAAAUAUGAUGGCACCCAUGUAAACAUAGCAAGUUAUUAUUACAGAUUCAUACAUGGCAGGAACAUAAUUAUGAAGGCAUGUAGAUGAGCUUGUGCAACUCACUACAGAUCAAUACAUGGCAUGGCAAGGCACCCAACAGUAAGAAGGCGUGUUUGUGAAGCUAAGCAUGGCAAUAGCAAGUUCAUAGGAUGCAUGGAUCACUAGCAAAACACAUGAUAACAACUGAACUUAAUGUUAACAGGCUGACAACAACAUUUUCAAGCAACUUUGGAGCAAGAUAUGAACAAGCUACAACAAGCUAUAAUUGCAACCACGGGCAUGGCUGGUUAGAUCAUGACAUGUAGAUCAAAACAUGUUUAGUGAUCAUCUCCAUAUUAUGCAUAGAAUGAUUAGUAGCAACAUGUUUAUAUAGCAUCAUGAAAUAACACAUUCAACCUAGCAAAAUAGCAACAGCGAGAACACUACUUAACAAGCUCGAUACACUCACCACAAGUCAUGGCAUGACAAGAUAAGCAUAGCAUCAUCAAGAAGACAUGUUUGUGUAACAAUCCAAAGCAAGAACAAGUCCAUAGCAUGCAAGGAUCAACUAUAGCAACCUUGGCAAAAUUGAAUAACAUGUAAACAAUCUGCCAGGAAACAUUUUGAAGAAAAAGUAGAGCACGAAAUGACAUGCUAAACUACUCCAUAAUUGCAAACAAGGGCAUGAAUGGAUAGAAAAUAACUUAUUGUUCAAAACACCCUUACUGAAGUAUCUCAAAAUAUGCAUGGAUCUCUCUAUAGCAACAUGUUUACAUGGCAUCAAAAUUAUAGCAGAACAGGGACUAAAAUCAGCAACAUCACGAUGCCUAGUUUGCAUGCUUGUGCUAGUCACCAUAUUGAUCACAAAAAUACAUCGCAUACACCCCUGUAAAGAUGGCAUGGCAUAGUUCAAAACACAUGUAGACAUCAACCUCAUAGGAUGCACACAUCAAUCAUGGCAAAAAUGACAAAAGAGCUCGUUCUGUUAACAGACAGCAGAAAACAUUAUGAAGCACUCUUGCAACGAUGAUUCAGGCAUCAAUAUAACCUAAAAUGAAUAUGAUGCAAUGGAAUGAAAUGAUGUGCUCGUUGGGACGAACAAUUUGACAUAUUACACGCACGAAACGGAGCUAUGGAUGCAGAGAUACAAUGCGAUGAACAUGGCAUGAAAAUUACAGAAAUCUGGGACUUAGCAGUUUCAGGAAAAAAAACAGGUGAGCGUCAAAUAACUACGAGACGCCCAGAGCGGGGAUUAGGGGGCUGCUCACCCUGGGCUCAGCCCACGAAGAGGAAGCAGGCCGGGGUGGAGGCUUGGCGGGCUGGGCCUUCACGGGGCCCACGCGGGGUCAACGCGAGCGGGCGGCGUCGUGUGGGAGGAGGCCGCUCCCGAGCGGGAUGACGGCGGCGCUAGCGGGGCUCCAGCAAGGCGGGGACGUCGGCGCAGGGUCAGCGGGCCCCGGAUCAGGCGGAGGCCGGCCGGAUCUGGGCGCCGGAGGAGGGACGGCGCCGGCGAGGGUCGCAGGCGGCGCCGGGCGGCGACUUGCGGGGCGGCGGCGAGGGACCUUGACGCGCGGAGGCGGCGGCGNNNNNNNNNNNNNNNNNNNNNNNNNNNNNNNNNNNNNNNNNNNNNNNNNNNNNNNNNNNNNNNNNNNNNNNNNNNNNNNNNNNNNNNNNNNNNNNNNNNNNNNNNNNNNNNNNNNNNNNNNNNNNNNNNNNNNNNNNNNNNNNNNNNNNNNNNNNNNNNNNNNNNNNNNNNNNNNNNNNNNNNNNNNNNNNNNNNNNNNNNNNNNNNNNNNNNNNNNNNNNNNNNNNNNNNNNNNNNNNNNNNNNNNNNNNNNNNNNNNNNNNNNNNNNNNNNNNNNNNNNNNNNNNNNNNNNNNNNNNNNNNNNNNNNNNNNNNNNNNNNNNNNNNNNNNNNNNNNNNNNNNNNNNNNNNNNNNNNNNNNNNNNNNNNNNNNNNNNNNNNNNNNNNNNNNNNNNNNNNNNNNNNNNNNNNNNNNNNNNNNNNNNNNNNNNNNNNNNNNNNNNNNNNNNNNNNNNNNNNNNNNNNNNNNNNNNNNNNNNNGGCGCGGGGAUCCGCGAGCUCCGGCGAUGGGGGAAGGCGCCGAAGUCGGGGACGGGGCAGGGCAGGAUUAUAUAUAUCGGAGAGUAGGAUUCUUUUACUCCUCAGCCCCUUCGUCGCUCUGGUGAGGUCUCCUGACGUAGAUGUUUUGACUGUCCUCUUCUCAAAUUUCACUAAAAAAAAUUAAGGAUCACGCGGGUAUCUUGGAAUCGUUCCGAUGGUUUUGUGACAAGAACAUUGUUCUUGGUGCCUCCUGUCUAUUAUGUGGCUUUGACCCGGGGAGUUGAGCUCCGAGGUGUUGUCAUCACAAUUUUAUCAUUGCAGUUCUGGAAUACCUGAGUUUUGCCGACAUUGAAAAUCUCUUUUAUGCAGUUGUUGGUGAGAUAACCUCGACGUCACCAGUACUUGGGAGUUCGGGAGUAUUGCCAUAACUCGUACAACGGAUGCUUUUCGAAGGUUGAGGUACACGAUUUCUGGAGUUUUCUUGGUUAUGUCACUACUAGGAAAAGGCCUACUAAUGGCGCACCUAAUUUGGCCAUUAAUGGCGCAUUAGUGGUGCUCCAUUAGUGCCACGCCAUUAGUAUAUUUUACUAAUGGUGCACCACUGGUGCGCCAUUAGUAUCUGGUAUACUAAUGGCGCACCAUUGGAUGCGUCACUAGUAUAUACAACAGUGCGCCAUUAGUAUGCCUCCCAGGGGGCCAUGUAUACCCAGGUGCUUUGGCAUACUAAUGGCGCACAAUAGCAAGAUGCGCCAUUAGUAACUUCGGCAUACUAAUGGCGCACUGUUUAAUGAUGCGCCAUUAGUAUCCUUUGGCAUACUAAUGGCGCACUGUGAAGUGAUGCGCCAUUAGUAUGAAUAUUAGGUUUUUUUUUAUUUUCUGUUUUUUGCACAGGUUACAAAAUGUAUAAUUGGACAAAAUAUAGACAGCACACAUCAACAACAGAUUCAUCGAAUACAAUAGAAGAUUAGUCUCUGAAUACAAUUCAUCAUAUUAGUCUCCGAAUUGAAAAGACCGAACAAAGAUAGAACAUUAUAUUACAAGUCUCGAGACCGCGAGUAGCGAGUUUGUCUUCACAUUACAAGUCGAUAUCGAUCAUCUAAACUACCGUCACAUAGAAGAGAGCUGCGGUCAUCACGAUGAGCAUCAUCACGAUGAAACUCGUCUUCAUCCGGUUCCUCCAACGCUCCCUCCCCUCUCCCGCUAGAUAGCGGGCGUAUCUAGAUUCGGCCUCGGCCCUAGUGGUGUACCCUUUGUAACUAUUACCGCUGAAUCGGUGAACCUGUCUCCAACACUCCUCCCAGUCGUCGUAGACUCCGGGAACCUUACCCUUGUACACGACAUACGACGGCAUCGCUAUGCACUAGCCAAACGAAACAUUAGUACCAAUUCACAGACAAUACAUAAGCAAUAUAUAAGUAUGCAACAGAACGAUCGGAAGAGAAAAGCAAGACAUUAAUAGCAUCGAUUACAUCUAAGUUGAACGACUCUCGAAACCAAAGAGACAUACUACAAGUUCAUUAAAGUUUAAUUACAACAUGAGCCAAUCGAUGUUUCAGAACUAGACACAGCAUCACUGCUUUCAACUCGACUCAAGGGACCGGAGCGUGGAUGAAGCCGCCGUCUAUCGUGGGAGUCAUGAAAGACCGGGCGUUGUCAGCCUGCAUUUGUAGCAUUGUGUCGAUGUCACUGUUGGACGGUUGAUUUCUGAGGUAGAACUGCCCCGAGGUACGAAGGACAUCUUGAUGGAUGAUUUCCGCAAACUCCGACUGGAUGCGAAAGAAUUCUUGUCUGAUGUCCGCGUCCUGGAUUGCCGACACGCUCGCGGCCCAAUCUUUGAGUUUACUCGGUAGCAGAAGUUGAUGAUGGUCCCGUACGAUCGCCCGCAUGUGAUGGAUGGCGUAGUAGGCACCCUUCUGACCGCCAGGCGGCUGCUUGACGCAGCAGAACAUCGUAUUGUGGGAGAACACGUGCUUGCCGUACUUACGAAUAGGCCUGGUGAAGGUGCCUCCAGAUUUGGCGUAGCUAGGGAGAACAUCAUCAAGAACCUUCUUGACAUUUGUGUAGUCUACGUUCGACUGACGGUCCGGGUCAAAAUACGUGGCCAUGGAAUAUUUGGGGCUUAGGAGGAUGAGCGUGCAAUGUGUGUCACUGCAGAAAACACGGAGUGUUAAAAGAAAAACGAUCGAAAUCUAAGAAUUCAUAUGUUACAGGCCGGUUGAGGAGAGGACUUACUCAGGAAAGUAAGGCACGAGGAAGUUAUCCUUAUCUUGGUUUGCCAGAAUGACGCCUUCGAGGUAAGAACUCGCGACUUGCCGGUCCCCAACGCUGCCCAAGAUCUUGGCACGCAUGUAGAUGGGGUCGACUAUCACGAUGUCCGGGGUCUUGUCGCGAAAAUAGCCGAACGAAGGUGUAGUGCAGCGGAUGAAGGUUCAUCAUAGCGUGGAUGUCAUCAAACCGCAGGAUGAUCGUACGCCCGAUGGAGUUAUCCACAAAGCCCUUGCCCUCUGGCACCUUGGCCGCGAAAACCGGGUAUGCCACAUCCUUCUCUCUGAGACGCCGCUUCUCCAAAGAAAGAACACUGUCAUGCAGACUCCGCAUAGCACCGGUUGCAGCAUUGAGCAUAUUUGUCGGUAGCAUCUCCCUACCCGCCACCCUCCUCGAGAUAUCCUCAGGUGAAGGUGGCCCGCCCUGAGCACGGAUCGUACUCGGUGCCGGCUGGCUCGCACCCUUGUUAGUCUUUCUUUUUCGUGCCUUCUUCUUCUCCUGUAAUGGGACCGAGUUCUGCUCACAUACCGCCUUCUUGAGUGUGUUUGGGCUGAUAAUAUUUCGCACCUCGCCUAUCUGAGGCUCGGUGAAGUCGGCAGCUGGAGGCGUCUCCUGAGAGCUGAACGGCAGACGACGCCUGUUGCAACUUGGCUUCUCCACGGUACCAGCUAGAUCGCGCACGUAUUUUGUUGGGUUGGGUUCUUGAGAAGGAGCCCCCAUGAAGUCGCCAUCGUACCCAUGUUCGGCAAAGUACUGAUCGACGUUGCCAAAUGUAUCGUCGUCGUCGUUGUUCUGAUCCUGUGCCAUAUGCAUGUUUGGAUCCAGUGGCAUAGGGAUGUCCGGCACCGUUGCGGCGGUCUUGCCAUGGGGCCGACUUGGCGCCGGCACGACUGGCGGUGUUGUCUUUGGGGUGGUGUCCCCCGCCCCCAAACGAAUCUGGCUCUUCGGCCAAAGCAGGGGCCAGCUCAGGCAGGCGCUGAGGGUCAUCACGUCAUCAUCGUCGGCCCCGACGGGUCGAAUCGGAGGUAACAACUCGUCACAGCCUGGCAGCACCCGAACCAGUUCAACCCUAAACAAGUUGGGUGGCAUCUGGGUACCGUGGAACAAGGGGUUGCCCGGUUGAACGAUUUUUCCCUUGGCGACAUCGACCAACUCGUUGUUCACGAAGUGCAGGAGAGUGCACAGAACGUCGGCGGCGCCCUGCGAAAACAUGUAGGGCGUCAGGGAUGCCCAGUCAACGGCAAGAAGAUGAAGUCCUCGACCGAGAGAGGCUUAAUUAGUUACCGUGAUGAUGGCGUCGAUCUCGGCUAAUGUCGAGGCACCGCCAACGGCGGGCGUGUAGUUGACGGAGGGGCCGCUUGCUGCAGAGGUGCCGGCCGGCGUACACCUGGGUGCAUUAAGCUCCCGUGCCGGCGUCGGAGACACCAAUGCCGCCUCCGUAGGAGACAACAAUGGCCCCGCCAUCGCAUUCUGCGAGUUGCUGGCCGUGAAGCUAGGAAUCAGGGGCGGCCCCUGUUGGCCGCCCGCAAUCCACGCACUCAACCCCUGGAUCAAGGUAGGAACAAUGGCGGUGAUCAUCGCUCCGAGUUGUUGUUGCACUUGCUCUUGGAAAAUCUCCAGAAUCCGCGCCACCUCUGCCUUGAGUUCUUGAACCUCGCGCACCUGGCUUUCCGAGCUGGUCUUUUUCUCCUUCCGCACACCAGCGGUAUAGUAUGACCCCCAUUUUGUCGACAAGCCUUUGCCGGCCACACGACUAGCUGAUGUCGGCUUACUGAGCUUAUCCUUGUUCUUCAUUACAUUCAAUGCCCUAUUUAGAGUGGUGUCCCAAGGGUUGCUCUUAGUCGACCCCGCGCUACUGCUUUCAGUCGCCUGCGGAAGGAAUGUGAACCAUUUCGAAAUUUGGCUUCAUUAAUUAGAAUGCAACCAUAUGGAGCUAAUUACGCGGGGGUGUAUUCCUUACCAGAACAAGCUCAAGCGCCCUGGUCUUCGGAUCCAUGGUAAGCUCCUUUGUUAGCGGGUCCUCCUUGUACCGGGCCCUGACAUAGUUCCUGGUCUGCUUAUUACCGCUGUAUUUCUCGAAGCGGGGCGGUAGGCCUUGCUCGGCAUGCUCCGCGUCCUCCUUGUCCCAUAUAGGCUCCGCCACUCUGUAACCGCCGGGACCGAGUUUGUGUUCCCCUAAGUUCAGCUCCUGCAUUUCUUUCCCCCACUGACUUGAUUGGGAGUUUGCGGUGCUCGAGCAAUUGAUCUUGAAGUCGUUGUAGUCAUCUUUGGUGAUCGAAGGAUUUUUCUCCUUGAUCUUCUCAUAACUCUCACCUUUCUCGAUCAUUCUCUUCACAUUGCUUUUCCAUGUAGACAGGGCCUUGCUCAUCUUCGUGAGGGCAGCAUUGUUCACUUUAUUCCCUUUGGGGCUUGUGUUUUCAAAAUCAGCGGGGAACUUGUAUCGUUCAUGCAGCUUCGUGAAGAGGAGGUUGCGCAAAUUCCCUCGGUCAGGAUGCCUCAGGUUCUCGGUGUUGAUCGAGACUGUGCUCCGGAGAAUGCACCCGAGCUGAAGCGAUUACCCCUUGACUAUUCGUUCGGGCGCCGUUGGAUUCCCGUCGGAGUCCAUUCAGUAACUUCCUCCUUGAGGGUGCGGAGCACGGUCGGGCGCCGGUCCUUCCGUUGCCUCUUCUGUUGGCUGCCAUCUGUGCGUGCGCCGCCAUCAUCAGUGGUGGCAUCCUCGGCGGCACCAUCAGUGGUGGCAUCAGUGGGGUCAUCCUCGGCGGUACCAUCAGUGGUCUCAGGAUCGGUGGGGAAGGCAGCGUCCUCAUACAAGUGAGGUUGUUCCUCCAUCUCCUGGGACAGCUCCCAGAAUGCCUUGCCACCCGAACCCCCGGCCUGAUCGUUGUUGGCCAUGUUUCUCUCUAAAUAGGAACAAAGUUUGGUCAAAAAGUUGGUUAUUGUCAAGGAAUAAGAUCAUGGUCUCAUCAUUUAGGGUUUGUCGACACCGAGGCAUCCUAAAAGCUAAGCUUUUAUCAUUGAGGGUUUUUCGACGCCGAGGCACCCUAAAAGCCUAAGCUUUCAUCAUUAGUCACAAGUACCCCGGCCCAUGCAUUAGUCACAAGUACCCCAUAUGUCCUAUUUUUAGCAAAGUCAUGCUAAAAUUCACGGAAAAUUUCAGCAUGACCUUUGCUGAAAAUUGGACAUAUGGAGUACCCGAAUUUGCUGGAACGGAAGUUAAUCGACAUUCCAGCAAACUCAAGGGCCUCUCGGGUGGACAAGGCAAAAAAGGCCUUCAUCACAACAUGGAAAAUACAUUGGCAUGUGAAGAGGUGAAACAAUAUAUGCAUCUCCAAGCAGUAUCAUUCAACAUUUUGGACAAACCACUACAAGCAAUACUGGAUCAGAAUGUUUUUUAUACAUAACUGCUAAAACCCUAGGAGUUAACCGAGCCACCAACAGAAUGUGGACUUAAAAAGAGAGAGUCACGGACAGUGACAUGAUACAUUUUCAUUUGACAAAAACAGCUUAAUUAGAAAACAUGUAAUGGGCUUCAGCCCAACAAGAAAUCGACUGACCCAAAAUAGGUGUCAAUCAAAAAACGUGCAACCCAAUACAGGACAGCACACACAACAGAAAAAAAAUCCUAGAACGUAUCUUGGAGCAGCAAUCAACGGUUAAAAAAUCGACUGACCCAAAAUGUAUAACUCAGUCAGCUAACAUGUAGCUAAAGUGUAGUAUUAUUUGUUCCUCCUGUAUCUCAUCAUGUGAUUUUUUCCCUUGCAAUUUUUGUACCUACAAGAUGUCAGCUAACAGUCUUUCAGUAUCUAAACAGAUGCAGCAACUAUGAUGUUGGUAUGAAACUGUCCUACAGGUCAGGUUUCAAACUGUUGACAAUAGAUGUGCAGAUCGAUAGAUUGUGUUAAAAUCAUUAACUUGCCUGGGCUGAUUUUGUAAUGGAUUAACUUGAUUUAAUGGCGUGCAGCUUCAGGGGCAGAUGGAAAUGUAUAGCUUAUGACAUAAUCGCAGAAACUCGGGCAACCCAUUUGCUUAUUUGAUAAAUCCUCCCCUGGUCCAGGCCACUAACGUGUCCAUUUCCUUAGCUCCUCCUCAUGACGUAGCAUUCUUAUUUAUUCCAUAUCCUUAAUUUUUACACUAACUGGGCCAGCGAGUCUUUGUUAGUUAAGUGUGCCAAUAUAUGUCUAUUUUUUUCUUGUCUUAACGACAUGACAAAUGAUACAUGAUUAGUGAGCUGAGUUGUGACCAAAGAUCAAAUUCUCUUGGUUAUAUGAUAUUCUACAUUGUCAGCAAAGGCGCAUGGGUAGUGUUUCCUAAAACUGGGUAAGUUCUCACACAAAAUUGUUCAUCCAUUACUUAGGUUUGCUUUUAUUCACAUUGUUCAGCCAUUACAUAGGUAGUCCCUGAUGCAUUUUCUUAAAUAUAUAUUCAGCUUAGUGCUAGGUUGGUCUUGAAGGAUUAAGCAGUGCCACAUUAAAUUACUUUUACUUCCCUGUAAACACCUUGGAUCCUACCUUCUUUAGAAACAAAACUGCACUACUUUUUCCUAGAGAAGCCCAAAUUUAAAGAAGUGUUUCUUUUCCAUGUUGUUUCUUCUACUGGUUGUCAGAGUCUUAUUCUUGAUUGAGAAAUUAUAAUGUGACAUUGUAGUUCGAAGGUAACUACGAAGUUUUGAGUGAUGUACAUUAGUUAAUGAUUUUGAGCUACUGGUGGGAAAAAAUCAAGGUUCGGCAUAUUGGACAGUAAAGCAUAUGUUUCAAGGUUCAGCUAUACUUUUCUAGGCUGUACAGUUUUUUUCUAACUUGAGAAACACCUGUCUUUGACAAACAUAAUUAGAUCAUAGGCUUUUUAAAGAAGAUACCAGGAACAUAUAAGUUUGACAUUCCCAAUAUUAUUUUCCAUUCCCUUGAGAUAAUAUUAUUUUUGCUAAUAUUCUUAGUAUACACAAUUUUGCCAUGAAAUACACACGAUAAGUCAGAGUAAUGCCAGUUGGCUGGUGCAGAUAUAAUGUUUGGUGGUUCGACUAUCCAUUUCUGGUGUUUGAGUAGAACCCUAUUAUUUCAGGUAGUCUCAGUGAAGCUAGAUGAAUGGACAGAUGAACAAGUUGAUUUUUUGACCGACUCGGGCGGAAAUGGCGCAGUAAACAGUACACCUUUCUCCUAAUACAUCAUACCAAGCAUGAGCAGGACGUGAGUAAUGGUGACACCAACGCAUAGGGGAGAGGGGGNNNNNNNNNNNNNNNNNNNNNNNNNNNNNNNNNNNNNNNNNNNNNNNNNNNNNNNNNNNNNNNNNNNNNNNNNNNNNNNNNNNNNNNNNNNNNNNNNNNNNNNNNNNNNNNNNNNNNNNNNNNNNNNNNNNNNNNNNNNNNNNNNNNNNNNNNNNNNNNNNNNNNNNNNNNNNNNNNNNNNNNNNNNNNNNNNNNNNNNNNNNNNNNNNNNNNNNNNNNNNNNNNNNNNNNNNNNNNNNNNNNNNNNNNNNNNNNNNNNNNNNNNNNNNNNNNNNNNNNNNNNNNNNNNNNNNNNNNNNNNNNNNNNNNNNNNNNNNNNNNNNNNNNNNNNNNNNNNNNNNNNNNNNNNNNNNNNNNNNNNNNNNNNNNNNNNNNNNNNNNNNNNNNNNNNNNNNNNNNNNNNNNNNNNNNNNNNNNNNNNNNNNNNNNNNNNNNNNNNNNNNNNNNNNNNNNNNNNNNNNNNNNNNNNNNNNNNNNNNNNNNNNNNNNNNNNNNNNNNNNNNNNNNNNNNNNNNNNNNAGACGAGGACGACGGGGCGGCGGGGCGGCGGCGUCGGGAGAGGAGAGGGCGGUGUUGGGGCGUCGGGGCGGAGACGAGGACGACGGGGCGGCGUCGAGGCGGCGUCGGGGCGGCGGGGCAGUGGCGUCGGGAGAGGGGAGGGGAAGGGGAUCGAGGGCGAGGGCGAGGGAGAGAGAGGGGAUAGGUUUGGGCCGGCCGGGAUAUGGAUGGGGGCGGCACAAUACUAAUGGCGCACCACACCACGGUGCGCCAUAAGUACAUCCAUACUAAUGGCGCACCUCGCCCUGGUGCGCCAUUAGUAUUUUUUUUUAUUUCUGCUCGAGCCAACAGGUUAUCUUCCACCUGACCUGAUCCACAUCAAGUUCCCUCUACUAGCUCGACUGGUCAGCAACCAGUUCUCACACCAGGAGGUCCUGGGUUCGAUUCCCAAGCUCCACAAUUUUUUUUAUGCAUCUAAAAUGUUGUUUGAUACUUAUUUGUGUUUAAAUAUGUUCAAACUUGUUUAAAUCAUCACAGUAAUAUAUUUUUUAUAAGACAGUAAUAAUUUUUUAAAAAUAUCAUCAAACAGUAAUGCCGGUGGAGNNNNNNNNNNNNNNNNNNNNNNNNNNNNNNNNNNNNNNNNNNNNNNNNNNNNNNNNNNNNNNNNNNNNNNNNNNNNNNNNNNNNNNNNNNNNNNNNNNNNNNNNNNNNNNNNNNNNNNNNNNNNNNNNNNNNNNNNNNNNNNNNNNNNNNNNNNNNNNNNNNNNNNNNNNNNNNNNNNNNNNNNNNNNNNNNNNNNNNNNNNNNNNNNNNNNNNNNNNNNNNNNNNNNNNNNNNNNNNNNNNNNNNNNNNNNNNNNNNNNNNNNNNNNNNNNNNNNNNNNNNNNNNNNNNNNNNNNNNNNNNNNNNNNNNNNNNNNNNNNNNNNNNNNNNNNNNNNNNNNNNNNNNNNNNNNNNNNNNNNNNNNNNNNNNNNNNNNNNNNNNNNNNNNNNNNNNNNGGUGUGCGGGGGGUCGGCGGCGGCGGUUGAGUAGCGGAAUCGAGGGUGCGGGGGGUCGGCGGCGGCGGCCGGUGGACCGGGGGGUGCUCGGCGGCGAGGGGGGCCGGAUCUGGCGAGGUGGGAUAGCGAUCGAGAUGGAGGGGGAUCGAGAUCGAGUGUCCAUGAAAUUUAAAAAUAUUCAUGAUAGUUCAAAAAGUGCCCAUGAAAUACAAUCGAGAAAUGAAGGCUACGAUUUAAAUACAAUCGAUCUUAGCUAGCUAUCUAUUCACAAUCUUCUUGCCCUUCUUUUUCUCAAAUGGAGUUCUUCUGUGGAACGGACGUCCAUUAGGUAGGGUGGUCCUGCUUCUUCUUGUGGUGUAUGCUGCUACUUCAUCAUCGUCGUCAUGUUCGAUCCUCAGGUCGCCGUACUUGUCGAAGUCUUGCUCAUUGGCUACUCCAUCCAUUCCGAUGAUCUUCCUUUUGCCUCUCCUCACGACAACACGACUGGGCUUUGGAGGGUCGGUAAUGAAGAAGCAUUGGUCCACUUGGGAAGCCAGUACCCAUGGCUCAUUUUUCGCGGUGACGUUUGCGCCCGCGGUCUUGGAUUUGGCUUCGGGUAUAACCAUGGUGGUGAAAUAUCGGUCUUCUUUUAGGACGCUCUUGGCCCAUCUGACACGGAACAUCGGCACCUUCUCUCCAGCUUAGCUCAGCUCCCAGAUCUCCUCGAUCCUUCCGUAGUAUCUAUCCUUGUCCUUACCGUUGUAGGAUUCCAUCGUUACCCCGGAGUUCUGAUAACCAUCGCUCUUCAUGUCCUUGUCCUCGGUGUAGAAUAUGUAGCCGUUGAUAUCGUACGCCUCAUAGGUCAUCAGGUUGUGCUCGGCGCCCUGUGACAAGGUGAAUAUGAGUUGUUCUUCCGCGGAAGAAUCUUCAUGUAAAGGGUACGACAGAAACUUCUGCUUGAACCAACACGUGAAACAUGAGUUGUGCUCUUUGAGUAUAUCUCCGUCCGUCCUCUGUUGGCCUCGGUCAUUGUACGUCUUCUCAAUAAAGGUUUUGUGCUCUACCACCCAAGUAUCGACCACGUCUAUGUGUUGUAGCGCGACUAGGUUUGCUCUUUCAAAGUCGGCGAGUCGACCCUCGAAGUCGACAUGCAUUUCGCGGCGACCCUCACGGUGACCCCAUCCAGCGAGCCUGCCGAGGUGCCUGUUGACGGGCAGACCAACGGGGUUCUCGAUGCCUAGAUAAUUCGUGCAGUAGGAGAUGCACUCUUCGGUCAGAAAGCCCCUGGCUAUACUUCCCUCUGGACGUGACAUGUUCCGAACGUAUCCUUUGAUGACACCAUUCAUCCUUUCGAACGGCAUCAUGCUGUGCAGGAACGUCGGCCCGAGUUGGAUGAUAUCCUCCACGAUAUGGACCAGCAGAUGCACCAUAACGUCGAAGAAUGCGGGCGGGAAGUACAUCUCAAGCUCGCAUAGUAUCACCACGAUCUCUUCCUGUAGCCUUCUGAGUUGCCUCACGCCAAUCGACUUCCGAGAGAUGACGUUGACAAAGUUGCAUAGGCCAAAUAGCGUUUCACGGACGUGCGCAUCCAUGAUCCCACGGAUUGCAACUGGAAGUAUCUGCGUCAUCAGCACGUGACAGUCGUGAGACUUCAUCCCGCUGAACUUCUGCUUUGCUGGGUCUAGGUAUCUGCUUAUCUUCCCCGCGUAACCGUAAGGAAGUUUUACUCCUAGGAGGCAGGUGAAAAACUACUCGAUCACCUCCUGACUUAGAGUGAAGCACGCGGGAGGGUAGUCAUUUCCGGUCUUCUUGGCCUUUUUGCCUUUGCGACGACUUUCUGUGUCCUGCUUCGCCUCAUCAUCAUCAUCAUCAUCAUCAUCAUCAUCAUCAUUAGCAUGAAGCUCCUGCCUGAUGCCCAUUGAUUUCAAGUCUGCCCUUGCUUUCGGCCCAUCUUUGGUCCUCUCUGGCAUGUUGAGCAGGGUACCAAGCAGACUCUCGCACACGUUCUUCGUGAUAUGCAUGACAUCAAGGCUGUGAGGCACACGGUGGAUCUUCCAGUACGACAAGUCCCAGAAAACAGACCUCGUUUUCCAUACCUUGAGCAGGGGCUCUAGCGCCUUUCGCUUCUUUCCCGGCUCUGGCGCCUUUUGCUUCUUUCCCGGCAGUGGGCAGUCUUUCCAAUUUUUGAACAACUUGUCUAUUUCCUCGCCGCUCCUCGUACACGGGCCUUUUCGGGGUUCGGUUUCACCAUCGAACAGAUCCGCACGUUUCCUCCACGAGUCAUCGUCGCGAAGCCACCUUCGAUGUCCCAUGAACACGGUUUUCGAAGACCCGGGAUCUCUAUCUAGCUGGCGAUACAUUGUGUCAUCCAUGCACCUUACGCAUCCAGAAAAUCCGUGGACUACCUGCCCCGCAAGAUAUCCGUAACCGAGAUAGUCGUGCACCGUCGUGAGCAGUGCGGCUCUCAUAGGGAAAUAUUCUUUCUCUGCGGCGUCCCACAUAUUGGCUGGCAUUUUCCACAGCGUGUCAAGCUCCUCUUUCAGCAGCCCCAGAUACAGAUUGAUGUCGUUCCCUGGUUGUUUCGGCCCUUCAAUUAGCAUACUCAUGUGAAUGUACUUCCUCUUCAUGCACAACCAGGGGGGAAGGUUGUACAUCCACACAAACACAGGCCAGGUGCUAUGUGUGCUUCUCUGGCUGCCAAACAGAUUGACUCCAUCGGUGCUCGCGCCCAGCACGAUGUUCCUUGGAUCGUUCCCAAAUUCUGAGUCUUCGAAGUUCAACGCUUGCCACUGGCUCGCAUCCUUAGGGUGACUCAGCAUCUUGUCUUUUUUAUCUAUCUCCGGAUCAUUUGCCUCAUCUUCUCGCUUCUUCUCCCCCCUAUCCACAUGCCAACGCAGGAGCUUUGCUACCUUAGGGUCCGCAAAAUACCGCUGCAGGCGAGGAGUGAUCGGAAAGUACCACACCACUUUUCGAGGAGCUUUCUUCCUCUUCUUGUAUCGAGUGACGCCGCACACCAGACAUAUGGUAGACUCCGCGUGCUCGUCCCGAUAAAUGAUGCAAUUGUUCAUGCACACAUGGUAUUUCAUGUGUGGUAAAUCCAGAGGACACACGAUUUUCUUCGCCUCCUCCAAACUGGUCGGGCACUUGUUCCCCUUGGGAAGACGUUCGUGCCAGAAUGACAUGUUCUCGUCGAAACAUGCGUCGGUCUUUUUGUGUUUUACCUUCAUCUCCAGAGCCAUGAGCGUUACUUUCAGGCGGGUAUCCUCGGGCCUGCAUCCUUCAUACAAUGGAGUAACCGCGUCUAACUCAAGUUGAUCCAUCUUGGCUUUCUCUCGGGCGGCAGCUCUUGCGUUAUCCGUUUGCUUGAGAAGCAGCUCUUGAAUAUGAGGGUCCUGCACCCAGCCCAUCGAUGGUCCAGCGUCGUCUGCUCCGCCGGCAUCAUCAUCUUCAUGAUCAUGCCCGUCGUCUGCUCCGGCAUCUUCCUCAUCAUCAUGUCCUGCAUCUUCUACAUGAUGACUGUGUACAGCAUCACCAUCGUGAUCAUCUCCUGGGGAUUCUUCGUCUUCUCGCCCGUCCGAGCCCCGGUGGUUGUCUUGCUGCCCUUCCUCAUUUCUUGCCCGGCCCCCAUGGACGACUUUGUAGUCAUCUUCAUCACCUUGCCACCGAUAGCCAUCCAUGAAACCACGCAAGAGCAGGUGGUCCCGCACCUGCCUGGAAUCCGGGUCCGCAAUAAGGCUCUUCAGCUUGCAUCUUCUACACGGAUAUCUUAUCUCUGUCUCGUUCUUUUGAAGCAUCUCGGCCUUCACGGACCUCAAAAACCUAUUCACGAUGCCUUCGGUCAUCGUGCGGACCAUGGUCGCCUGCGGGGUAGAGCAAAACGAUAUUUUAGAACCAAGAAAAAAUUUGGCAUGACUUUCCCUAAAAAUAGGACCAAAAAGAAUGCUUAAUGCCAAAAUUCUCGCUAAAACGGAAAUGAAUCAACAUUCCGGCAAAAUAUUGGCAACUAUCGCAUUUCAAAUACCGGUACACCUCCAAACACAAACACAUAUGCAACACCACAAACAUAUGCAACACCACGAACAUACAUAGAUCUAGCUAGGCCAUAAAAAGUGCAUGUGCACAUUGUUGUAGGGAGAACAACAUAAAUAUAGCUUCCCCCCUUACUUACCUAUCAAAACAAGGUAAUUUAACCACUUAAUUUGAAUGAAUCUAUGGUGGAAAUGAGGUGAAAAAGAGAAGGCACCCGAGACAAGGAGGAGGUGGAGAGAAUGAAGUGGGGAGAAAGAAAGUGUGGGUAGGAGAGGUUGUCCAAAAUAUCUUGUUGUUGCCCACUUACUAAUGGCGCACCAGCACUAAAUGCGCCAUUAGUAAUCCAGGUUACUAAUGGCGCACCUUCUCGUGGUGCGCCAUUAGUAGUUUUGCAAAAAAAAACAUACUAAUGGCACACUGUUCUACAGUGCGCCAUUACUUGUUUAAACUAGUAAUGGCGCACGGUUGUACAGUGCGCCAUUAGUAGUAUUGCAAAAAAAGGAAUAAAAAAUAUAAUAAAAAAACAACUUUAGUGGCGCACUUUCCGACGGGUGCGCCAUUACUAGUUACAACUAGUAAUGGCGCACUGUGCCUGAUGCGCCAUUAGUAUGUUUGGACAGGCGCACUAGUUCAAAAAAAAUUUUGAUACUAAUGGCGCACCUUGUGCCAGGUGCGCCAUUAGUAGUUUCAACUCUAAUGGCGUAUCUGAAGGUGGUGCGCCAUUAGUAUAUACUAAUGGCGCACCCCUUGUCUGGUACGCCAUUAGUGUCAAUCCCAUCUAUAGCCCUUUUUCUAGUAGUGUGUGUUGACGGAUGGAUACAGCUGGAUGUAGGUAUUGUUAGUUUGGGUGAGAUAUAUUGCUUCCGCUGUAUCCCCAACACCAGAUUGCAUAACCAGAAAGUUUCGGGAGUUUAUAGGUGGUAAUUCAAGUAGCUCCUAGAAUAUCUUUCUGACAGAUGCAUGGUAUGGGAUUGGGUAAAUCUCUAUCAUAUGUUUGAUUCCGGCUUAUUCUGCAAGCCAAAUCCUUUGUUUUGUUUUAUUUGUGGUAUUCAAGUUGCUUCAAUGUCAAGUGUUGAUUCCAUACCUUUCAAGCGGUGUUCUCAUAUUUCUAUGGGAGUACUAAUCCUUCUUGAUCACUGAGGUUGUCAUGUCAACUAUUUUCCAAACCGGCGUGCUUCUCUUCAAGUGGAUCCCAUCAUUUUUCCCAUCCGCAAGAUCAAUUCUAAGUUUUCUGAACGGUGUUUAUGCCACCUGCCCCAAGUUGUCUUUGUUUUUCCCCACCCUCCCACCCUUUUCUUCAAGGACUCAGAUUUCUUAAUCAUGUAUCCUUCUAUUUGUGGGAAGUCUCUUCAUUCUUUUCUGUCAAUGUUCUUAUCCGGUGAUUUCCCAAGAAGAUGCUCAACAGUUUUAAGUUCAUCAUCCUCCAUUGUUGUUUCUUCUCCGGUGGAUCCAAUUCAAGCUUUUGAUAUUCAUCAUAUUCUUUUCCUCGUUUCUAAUGCUUUCUCAUGCCGAUGCACCUCUUAAUCAUUCACUUCUUCCUAUUCAUUUGUCCUGGAGUGCUGAAGAUAUCUCGGAAGACUUGUGUUUCCAUUCUCAAUCCGUUCAAGAUAUUUUCGAGGUUGUUAUCUCAUUCAAGUCAUUUAAUUCAAUCGGUGCAAUCCCCCCUUUCAAUCUCGUUCAAUGGUGUUUUCUUUUGAGUGGGCCCUAACCCACUGGUCUUUUCCCAGGAUCUUACCUGACUCUUCGAAUUAUCAGGAGCGAUUCUCAAAUUCAUUUCCAAGUUGACGUAAGAAUGAAUUAUCAUCAAUCAAAUGUCUUUCUCCAAGAUUUUUCAAAUCAUUUCAUUGUUGGCUCAACCUCUUCGCUUUUCAUUCUCCCGGAGUAUCUCAAUAAUUUUGGUGCUAUUUCCCGUCGUCAUUUGAAGACCGAAGAAGAGUUUUUCCUCUAAAUCAUGUCCGUUCACUCGAAGAUUCGUGGUUCUAGCUUCAUGUUAUCAGUCUCGAAUUAUUCCAUUUGUCAGAUAUUCCUUUUCUCACCCAUCCGGAGUAUUUCAGGAGUUGAUUUCUAUUUCUUUUCACCGGAGGCCAUCGUUCCAGUUACCGUUAUCCAUUUAUCCCGGUGCUUCGUUCAAGUGUUCUUUAAUCAGCUCAUUAUCUCUUCAUUCUUUUGCAUCUAAAUCCCCUCUAACAUAUUUGUUCUUCUAAUUCUUCCCGGUGAUUCAUUCUCUUUCAUCAAUCAUUUUCUAAUUCUUACGGCGGUUCAUUCAGAUUCUUUUUCCUUUUUUAUCGUAUCAAUCCAUUCAUUCUUUCCAAUCGUACCGAUGGUUCAUGAAGACUUUCUCAAGUUUUGUGCUGUCACUUCUCAAUCCUUUUCAAGAAGAAUAAGUAGUAUGAAUAAUCCAUUGUUUCUCAUCAAUUUAAUUGGUGGAGGAUAAGCAUACAAUAAAUCUUAUUCUUAUUUCAUCCAAGUGAGUAAUCCCUUCCUUUGGAGUUUGUUCUUAAUGAAUAAAUUCUAGUUCCAAGUGUUUCCCAUCUUUUAUUUUCCGGAGUUCCAAGUUUUCUUGGUUAUAUCGUCGUAAAGCUCCAUCUAAAUCAUCGCAAGGCUUCACCUUGUGUUUUUCAACUUAUCUUUCUUUCUAUCAUCCUUUCAUUACCGGAGUUCUUCAUGGAGGCUCUACAUGGUGGUUCGUCAAGGAUUCUUUCAUUCUUCAAUUGUUCCUCAAGUUUUCUCUCGAAGCUAUGAUCCGUCAAGCCAUACUUCAAAAUAAACAUGGUGCUCAACACAUGUUUUGUUUUGAGGAGUUCAAGAAUUCUUCAUCUUGCAUUCCAAAGUGCAAUUAUUUCUACCUUAUCUUUUGAGGUGGUGUUAUGUCACUCUUGACAAUUUCAUUCAUGUUUCUUGAUUCAUAUGUUGUCAAGAAUGAGGUAGUUAAACCCAUCAACUCCUUCGAGCAUGAGUUCUUCUCAGUCCAUCAAUCUCUUCAUUGGAGUUAUCUUGUGUCAGAUUUCACUUAAAGCCUUCCCUAAGGAAUGUUGCUAUUUGUGGUGCUUAUCAAUGAUCCAAGUUUUCUCCUAUCCUCUCGGCGAAGGCAGUUUUCAGCUCUUCGUUGAUCUCAAACAAGCAAUUGUUUUUUGUUAGUGGCAGAAUUUCACCUCAAGUGUUGAAAUGUUUCAAUAAGCCCACUACAAGCUUAUUCGUUUCAUUGUUGGUUUCCCAACAACUCCGUUAUAACCUUUUUGGAAGGGUGUUUUCCAAGCUCAUUUGGGGCACAAGUUGGCAUUUUCUCCUCCAUCUGUUAUUCCAAUGAUCUAUCUUCUAUUCAAGUUAACCGGAGUGUUAUUCCGGAGGCAUUGUAAUGUCGCUCUCUUCACUCAUCUUCGCGAAUUGAGGAUCGUGUUCUUUUCAUGCUUAUCCAGUUAACCGGAGUGUUGUAGUCUCAUUCAAGUUCUUUCAUCUUAUCAAGUUUUGCUGCCUUCCUCUACCGGAGAGCUGUCUGAAAUCCUUCUUACCCCUUGUGCCAUUCUUUCAAUAGUUUCGGAGGUAGUGUGUUGUUUAUCUCAUCAAGUAUCAUCCCUUCUUCUCAAGUUCAUGUUCUAUUCCUUCCAUGUUCAACCGGAGUGCUGCCCAAAUUAUAUCAAUCUUAUUCCUUCUCCAUCUAGUUUUAACCGGAGUGGUUUCAAUAUCUAUCUCAUCACUAAACCUACAAGGUUCUCGAAUGUUCCUUGUUCCUCUUUUCUAACGGAGUGUUUUCAACUUUGUUCAUCUUUGUUGUUUUCUUUCUUCAUUUUGCUCAACCUCUCAAGGUUCUUUGGUUUCACUCGUUUGUCGAAGAAGCAACUUAGUUUUACCUCUUCUCUUCCUCUUCCGUUUCUCUCCGGUGCCAUCCUGGAUCUCGGGUCGAGAUCCUCUCGUAGUGGUGGAGUGUUGUAACGCCCCGGAUCCGAUGCGCCAGGUGUCAUUCAGUUAUUCGCCGUCGUUGCCAUGUCAUUUGCUUGCGUGUUGCAUUUUGUCAUGUCAUCAUGUGCAUUUCAUUUUGCAUACGUGUUCGUCUCAUGCAUCCGAGCCUUUUCCCCGUUGUCCGUUUUGCGAUCCGACACUCCUAUGCCCUCCGGCGUUCCCCUUUUCGUCUCCUGUUGUGAGUGGGUGUUAAACUUUCUCGAAAUGGCCCGAGGUUUGCCAAGCAGCCUUGGUAUAGCACCGGUAGACCGCCUGUCAAGUUUCGUGUCAUUUGGAGCUUGUUUGGUCUCCAAUGGUUAACCGGGUAACCGUAAAGCCCCUCUCUCUUUGCAGCCCAACACCCCUUCCAAAGUGGCCCAAAACCCAUCUAACUCCCCUCCAUGCUCUCGGUCGUUCGAUCACGAUCGUGUGGGCGAAAACCGCUCCUCAUUUGGACUCUCCUAGCUCCCUCUACCUAUAAAUAUGCCCCUCCCCCGAAAUUCGCGGAUCAAAUCCCCCCUAACCUAGCCCUCUCCUCCCCGCGCUGCCGGACAUGUCCAUCCGCGCCGGACAUGUCCGCCGGACACGUCGCUCCGGCCAAUCCCGUCGCGCCACAUCGCCUUCCCCGCCGCCUCAUCCAACCAGGAGCCACCACCUCAGCCCACGCCCGCAUCAUCUCUCUCCCCGCGCCGCCGCGGACCGCCCGGCCCACGGGAGGCCCGUCCCGGGCCGCGACCGGGCCCGAGCGCGCCCGUGCUCCGCCUCCGUCNNNNNNNNNNNNNNNNNNNNNNNNNNNNNNNNNNNNNNNNNNNNNNNNNNNNNNNNNNNNNNNNNNNNNNNNNNNNNNNNNNNNNNNNNNNNNNNNNNNNNNNNNNNNNNNNNNNNNNNNNNNNNNNNNNNNNNNNNNNNNNNNNNNNNNNNNNNNNNNNNNNNNNNNNNNNNNNNNNNNNNNNNNNNNNNNNNNNNNNNNNNNNNNNNNNNNNNNNNNNNNNNNNNNNNNNNNNNNNNNNNNNNNNNNNNNNNNNNNNNNNNNNNNNNNNNNNNNNNNNNNNNNNNNNNNNNNNNNNNNNNNNNNNNNNNNNNNNNNNNNNNNNNNNNNNNNNNNNNNNNNNNNNNNNNNNNNNNNNNNNNNNNNNNNNNNNNNNNNNNNNNNNNNNNNNNNNNNNNNNNNNNNNNNNNNNNNNNNNNNNNNNNNNNNNNNNNNNNNNNNNNNNNNNNNNNNNNNNNNNNNNNNNNNNNNNNNNNNNNNNNNNNNNNNNNNNNNNNNNNNNNNNNNNNNNNNNNNNNNNNNNNNNNNNNNNNNNNNNNNNNNNNNNNNNNNNNNNNNNNNNNNNNNNNNNNNNNNNNNNNNNNNNNNNNNNNNNNNNNNNCAAGUCGCCGCCCGGCGCCGCCUGUGACCCUCGCCGGCGUCGUCCCUCCUCCGGCGCCCAGAUCCGGCCGGCCUCCGCCGGACCUGGGGCCCGCCGACCCUGCCUCGUCGUCCCCACCUCGCCGGAGCCCCGCCAGCACCGCCGUCGUCCCGCUUGGGAGCGGCCUCCUCCCGCUCGACGUCGCCCGCUCGCGUUGACCCCGCGUGGGCCCCGUGAAGGCCCAGCCCGCCAAGCCUCCACCCCGGCCUGCUUCCUCUUCGUGGGCUGAGCCCAGGGUGAGCAGCCCCCUAAUGCCCGCUCUGGGCGUCUCGUAGUUAUUUGACGCUCACCUGUUUUUUUUUCCUGAAACUGCCAAGUCCCAGAUUUCUGUAAUUUUCAUGCCAUGUUCAUCACAUUGUAUCUCUGCAUCCGUAGCUCCGUUUCGUGCGUGUAAUAUGUCAAAUUGUUCAUCUCAACGAGUACAUCAUUUCAUUCCAUUGCAUCAUAUUCAUUUGAGGUCAUAUUGAUGCCUGAAUCAUCGUUGCAAGAGUGCUUCAUAAUGUUUUCUGCUGUCUGUUAACAGAACGAGCUCUUUUGUCAUUUUUGCCAUGAUUGAUGUGUGCAUCCUAUGAGGUUGAUGUCUACAUGUGUUUUGAACUAUGCCAUGCCAUCUUUACAGGGGUGUAUGCCAUGUAUUUUUAUGAUCAAUGUGGUGACUAGCACAAGCAUGCAAACUAGGCAUCAUGAUGUUGCUGAUUUUAGUCCCUGUUCUGCUGUUAUUUUGAUGCCAUGUAAACUUGAUGCUACAGAGAGAUCCAUGCAUAUUUUGAGAUACUUCAGUAAGGGUGUUUUGAACAAUAGGUUAUUGUCUAUCCAUUCAUGCCCUUGUUUGCAAUUAUGGAGUAGUCUAACUAUUUCCUGGCAGAUUGUUUACAUGUUAUUCAAUUUUGCCGAGGUUGUUGUAGUUGAUCCGGGUAUGCUAUGAUGUUGUUUAUUGCCAUGUAUAGCUUCUAUGACAUGUCUUCUUGAUGGAUGUAUGCUUAGUUUAUCAUGAAAUGCUCUGUAGUGAGUUGCACAAGCUCAUCAACAUGCCUUCAUAAUUAUGUUCCUGCCAUGUUUGAAUCUGUAUAAAACUUGCUAUGUUUACGUGGGUGCCAUCAUAUUUUCUGAUCCUUUGUGGCUUAUGGUCAGUAAGGGUCUUUUGAUCUAUGCAAUUAGUAGAUUCAUUCCAUGCCUUUGUUUGCCAUUAUAAGUUCCUGUAACAUGUUGUUUGAUAGCUCUAAACAUUGCAUCGUGAUGUUAUUUUCUGCAAAGUCUGAAAUUGUUAUUACUUGCAAUCUUACCAUGUGUGUUUGAGUAUGUUCUAGUGUUUUCUGGAGAUAGCCCAGUGUUCAUGUUUUGUAAUGCUUUACCUAUACAUCAUGCCCAAGUCUUUUUUUUAUGUUGGGGUGCUGUAGCAUGUCAUUUUGGUGCUUGCAACAUGCCUAGUAGCUGUUUUGGACAGCUUGUCCUUAUAACUUGUUUCAUGUGUGUGUGUUGAACCGUUGCUCCGUUUUGAGUGUGCUCUAUAUGAAACUUACUUGAUUUUGCAUGUAGUUUCAUAUUAUCAUGUUGCAUCCUUGUUUUGAGGUGUUUGCUUGAUGUUUGAAUGCAUUUUGCAUCAAUGCCAUGUUUAACUUAUUUUGUUCAUAUCUUCUAGGCCGUAGCUCCGAACUAAAUGAACUUUAUAUGUAACUUGACUAGAAUCUCGUGUAGAUCAUUGUUGUGCAUCUUAACUUGUUGUUUAACAACUAUAACAUAAUGUUUAUUCAGAUCUGGACCAACUUCGAAAUAUGCAUAUGAGGACUUACCGGAAUUGUUAUAUGUUGUUCCCGGCCUCGUUUAAACUUGCCUUGGUGUGUUGCUCUUGUUUGCAUCAUCUCUUGCCAUGAGUAGCUUCAUGUAGCUUUGCCAUGCAUCAUGCUUGUUGUGCAUCAUGCCUUGUUCAUGUGUGGUGUGUUUACUGUGUUGUGUGCUUCUUCUCGAUAGUUCCUGUUUUGUUGCGAUCGUGAGGAUUCGUUCGUCUACGCUUGGUUCGUCUUCGUGGCUUCAUCUUCUUCAUGGACCCGUUCUUCUUCCUUGUGGGAUUUUAGGUAAGAUGACCGCUACCCUGGAUCUCACUACUAUCAUUGCUAUGCUAGUUGCUUCGUUCUAUCGCUUUGCUGCACUACCUAUCACAUGUUUAUCGAGCCAUCCCAUAUUGCCAUGAACCUCUAACCUUUGACACCUUCCCUAUGCAAACCAUUGUUUGGCUAUGUUACCGCUUUUGCUCAGCCCCUCUUAUAGCGUUGCUAGUUGCAGGUGAAGUUGAAGAUUACUCCAUGGCGGACAGGAUUUUGGUUAGGAUAUCACAAUAUCUCUUAUAUUAUUAAUGCAUCUAUAUACUUGGUAAAGGGUGAAAGACUCGGCCUUUUGCCUGGUGUUUUGUUCCACUCUUGCCGCCCUAGUUUCCGUCAUACCGGUGUUAUGUUCCCGGAUUUUGCGUUCCUUACGUGGUCGGGUGAUUUAUGGGACCCCCUUGACAGUUCGCUUUGAAUAAAACUCCUCCAGCAAGGCCCAACCUUGGUUUUACCAUUUGCCUCACCACCACCUAUCCCUUUCCCUUGGGUCGGCCAACCCGAGGGUCAUCUUUAUUUUAGCCCCCCCGGGGCAGUGCUUGUCUAAGUGUUGGUCCGAACCGAGCAACCUACGGGGCCACCUCGGGGCAACUCGAGGGCUGGUUUUACUCGUAGCUUCACUCAUCCGGUGUUGCCCUGAGAACGAGAUAUGUGCAGCUCCUAUCGGAAUUGUCGGCGCAUCGGGCGGCUUUGCUGGUCUUGUUUUACCAUUGUCGAAAUGUCUUGUAAACCGGGAUUCUGAGUCUGAUCGGGUCCUCCUGGGAGAAGGUAUAUCCUUCGUUGAUCGCGAGAGCUUGUCAUGGGCUAAGUUGGGACACCCCUGCAGAGUAUAAUCUUUCGAAAGUCGUGCCUGCGGUUAUAGGCAGAUGGGAAUUUUUUAAUGUCCGGUUGUAGAUAACUUGACACCAGAUCCGAAUUAAAACGCAUCAACCGCGUGUGUAGCCGUGAUGGUCUCUUCUCAGCGGAGUCCGGGAAGUGAACACGGUUUCUAUGUUAUGUUUGACGUAAGUAGGAGUUCAGGAUCACUUCUUGAUCAUUGCUAGCUUCACGAUCGUUCCGCUUGUUCUCUUCUCGCUCUUAUUUGCGUAUGUUAGCCACCAUACUUGCUUAGUCGUUGUUGCAGCCUCACCACUUUACCCCUUCCUGUCCUUUUAAGCUUUGCUAGUCUUGAUACCCAUGGUAAUGGGAUUGCUGAGUCCUCGUGGCUCACAAAUUACUACAACAACAGUUGCAGGUAGAGGUUAUGAGAUGAUCAUGACACGAGAGCGAUGCUUGCUUGCGUUGAGUUCUUCUUCUGCUUCUUCGAUCAGGGGAUACGUUCCAGGUCGGCAGCCUGGGCUAGCAGGGUGGAUGUCGUUUGAGUUCCUAUUUGUGCUUCAUCCGUAGUCGGAUGUUGAUCUUAUGUAUUGUGGUGUUGUAUUCGUGUGGCAUUGUAUGCCUCUUGUAUGUAUCCCCAUCUAUUAUGUAAUGUUGAUGUAAUGAUAUCCACCUUGCAAAAGUGUUUCAAUAUGCGGGUCUAUCCUUGGUGGGACCUUCGAGUUCCUUUUGGAUAGGGCCGCAUAUUGGGUGUGACAAGUAUAUAUAUAUUGGGCGGGUCUAAGUAUAUCUCGCUCCCUGUUAUGUGUCUCUAACUAUGAUUCUCCAUGUGGAAUCUCUUUCUCUCACACAAACACAAAACUUUGUCUCCUGGGGUCUCAUUUCUCUCUACUAUUCCCAUGUGUGCCACUCGCACACCCCUCUUACAGAGAUGUAUUUCGCUCCUUAGAUAUGAGAACCUACGACUCUUCCUCUUAAAUAUCUCUUUCUCACACACAAACACAAACUCUGUCUCCCAGGGUCUCAUAUUUCUCCACUGUUCUCUUGUAUGUCGCUCACACACACUCUCUCUCCCUGGAGAUAUCUUGCGUUCCCUCAUAUUUCUCUCUAGCUAUCAAUCUCGUUGUGAAAUAUCUUUCUCUCUCACAGACACAAAACUCCGUCUCUCGGGAUCUCAUUUCUCUCUGAUAUCUGUUUGUAUGUGACUCGCAUGCACCCUCUCUCUAUCUCUCUCACACCCACACACAUAACUCAGCCUUCUAAUCCACUCGACUCCUAUCUCUAACACACACACUAGCUAGCAUAUUUAUCUCUCUAUUUAUCUGAUGCUCACCCUCACUCUUGCUUCCUAUCACACACACUACAUAUGUUUCUCUCUGCAUGCAGUCAAGUGCCCUCUUUUUAUCUUUCUCACACACACACACAUAUAUAACUUCACCCUCUAAACCACCCGGUGGUCAUCGCCAACACUCAAACUAGCGGAUGUCCCUCUAGCUAGCAUCUCCAUCUCUCUAUCUAUCUGUAGUUUCUCCGUCAACAUUUCUUUCUCGCACGGAGUCUUGCUUCCUAUCACCCACACUAUAUAUGUCUCUCCAUACAUAUGCAUUUAUAGGUUGAUCUCUUUUGCACAAUCGUAGUGCCUCACUCCCUCUGCUCGCCAUAGAUGCAUGCUCCAGACCACGCCACUAUCUCUUAAUGACAAAAAGACAUGCUCAAUUGUCGGGCAUUCUUCCCUGCAUUCUCACAUGCAUGCAUAUUGUCAUACCGAUCCGUCUCUCCCAUGUCGUUGAUCUUAUGACUUAUGUCUUCUUUCUUUUAUCUCGAUCAUGUGCGCGCACACACACACAUCCCACGUAUACAUGUAUACCUAUCACACAUGCACGUUCAAGGUCUCUAUGUCUCCAUACGUAGUUAAUUACCCUCAACCCUAACGCCACAUCGAAUCAUUCUCCUCUUGUGUACACAUAACUUCCGCCUGGAUGGGUAAAACACACACUCACACUUAACAAUCUCCUUCUAGCUACCCCCCUCUCACUCUUCCCCUAUAUCCCCGAAACCAAUAAGACCAUCCCUUUGUUUAAUUCUCGCCUACAUGCACCAUCGAUAUAUAGUAGUCUUCCUCGGUCUCUCACAAACAAACACAUUCUCUCGAUGUCGACUACUCUCACGCGCACACACCUUCUCUUCCCUCUCUACGGGCAUUUUCUCUCUCGCACCCCAUCGUUGGUGGCCUCUACCAUACACAUCACCUCUCUAUGAUGAAGCCAUGCACACUUACAUUACAUACGCCACCGAGAACCGCGCGACACACACACACACACACAAACAUACACACACACGCACGCACGCACACGCACCCACCCACCCACACACACACACACUAAGACUCCAUCUCUCUNNNNNNNNNNNNNNNNNNNNNNNNNNNNNNNNNNNNNNNNNNNNNNNNNNNNNNNNNNNNNNNNNNNNNNNNNNNNNNNNNNNNNNNNNNNNNNNNNNNNNNNNNNNNNNNNNNNNNNNNNNNNNNNNNNNNNNNNNNNNNNNNNNNNNNNNNNNNNNNNNNNNNNNNNNNNNNNNNNNNNNNNNNNNNNNNNNNNNNNNNNNNNNNNNNNNNNNNNNNNNNNNNNNNNNNNNNNNNNNNNNNNNNNNNNNNNNNNNNNNNNNNNNNNNNNNNNNNNNNNNNNNNNNNNNNNNNNNNNNNNNNNNNNNNNNNNNNNNNNNNNNNNNNNNNNNNNNNNNNNNNNNNNNNNNNNNNNNNNNNNNNNNNNNNNNNNNNNNNNNNNNNNNNNNNNNNNNNNNNNNNNNNNNNNNNNNNNNNNNNNNNNNNNNNNNNNNNNNNNNNNNACACUCUAAGACUCCAUCUCUCUCUCACACACACACACACACUAAGACGCCAUCUCUCCCCCCCUUCUCUCACACACACACACACACCCACACACACACACUAAGACUCCAUCUCACACACGCAUGCUUCUAGGUGGAGCAUUUGUUCCUACCACCCUUCAUCCAACUUUACCAGUAUGAUAAACAAUCACCUUAAUUUACUUGUAUAACAUGGACAAAUUCCACUUUACUUUAGUAGUCAGCAAACUUAUCAUCUGUACCCUUAUAAAAAACGAGUUAGCGAUGAUGGUGUGCCUGCCAUCUUGUAAUAUAGACCGUCUGAUCUAUAUCUGACGGAUAGAAAGCAAACUAUGAUAAUUUUACAAAAGAUACUCGCACCUCUCUCCACAUCCUUAUCUCCCACAACCUCAUUGCUCAGCAAUUAAAAAAGGAAGUCUCUGAAACAAUCUAGCAUGGUGGCUGCUGCCGCCUGCCGGCGUCGUCCACCCCCAUGCGUCUGCCCAUUCCGACCACCAGUCACCACCAUGCUCCACUCCUCCUCACCUGAUCUCUCAUCUUUCAUUUUGUCGAUGACAUUCUCGAGAUACCAGUUAUCCGAUAAAAUUCUCGAGAUAUCAUUAGUUUUUACACAUGAGAUUACUCCUGCAUGGGUCAAUCACAACAGGUGUUUUGGUAAAAAAAUGCAUAUUGAUGUUCAGUGAAAUGCACGAGCAUCUUGCUUGUAAUUAUAUAACGCAAAUCACGAGCAGGAAGUGACAUUUUUUUACACAACCACGUUAACAUAGCUACGUAAAUCACUAGCUAAAGUAAAUACCAUUAUACUUAUAUCCUGAUGCAAAAGGUUGAGUACAGGUCGGAAGAGUAGAGUCGCACACACGCACUCUGUCUCUCAGAAUCUCUCUCACACACACACCAGUUACGUGACGCCCACUUAAGCAGACACGUAUGUUAUAAUUUGUGCACCCGCGGGUACACGUGAUGCUGCAUAUUUAUUUAAGCCGGACGGCGAACCCAAACAGUAGCUGCAUUCAUUCCCCUCCUGGCGCCUCUUCUCUGGUCGCCGUCGCCCGGUAGCCAUGGCCCGACCGAAGGUAACAACAUAUGCCAUACUCCACGUCGGAGCGGCGUUUAAUAUGGAAAUUUUAGUGGUCAUGCAUGCAUCUUUUUGUGCUAGCACUCCUAUAUAAGGGUUGACCGGUCGCUUCCCGCGGACGUGUGCGGGUGGUGGAAGAGGAAGGAGAAGGGAAGAAGGCUGUGGAGUAACAUUUUUUACCACAAUUUCUUAGGAAAUUGAGUACAAUAAUUGAGUAGUUUUGCAAACUACCAGUACUACACCUGAAACGGUUAAAACCCCAUACUCCCUUGCCAGCGCGCUUCCCGCGUGAAACGGUCAGCAUUGCCCUGGAGUGUCAGUGCCGCAUUAAUGCCCGGCUAGAGCGGAGGCGACCUCUCACUGGCGCCGGCUUUGAAAUGGCGCGAUGGCCGAGAGAGCACGGCUUCCCGGUGCACGCGACUGCUCCGCGUCGAGACUGGCCAUAGGCCCUAUUUGGAUCCAUGGAUUAGAGUUAUUUUGAGCUAGUUGGGACUCAAAUAGCCCUAAAGUAUCCAAGCAUGAGGGUUUAAAUUGGAGCAAGUUGCACCGAACCCACCAAAAAAACUAUCCCACCAAAGAGGUGCUAACUGGAGAUAGUCCUCAUUGGGACCACUGAAAAAUCACUUUUCUCUCUCCAUCAAGUGCAUUUAUUGUCAUCUAACCCUGUCGCCCAAACACCUCUUUGGCUACAGUUAGUUCAGGGUUAGACAUGAGUUAGUCUAACCUCUAGCUAAGUUAGAGUAUCAAACAGGAGCAGUAUAGGACAUGCAAGUUGCUCAAAGCAUACAGUCAAAUUCGUACGUGAAAGGAUUUUUUUGUUUUUGAAAACGGAACGUGAAAGGAGUUUUUUUAGAAUGCUCUUGGCAUGUCACUAACAUGUGAUGAGUUAACCGACCUCAAUAGACGGCAAAAAUGCCAGCCCGCCACACUUUUAGAGAGUAGAGGAGGGAGAAACGAUAUAGGUUGCUGGAUUACUAGAGAUAGGUGUAGCACGGAAGCCAAGAAAUAUGGUGAUAGCGUGGGUUAGCCAUGUACUAGUAUGAUGUAACUACACUGGGCUGCCGUGUUUCGUACUCUUCCAGUCCACUGUGGGGAUGAUUGGUUGAUUUUAUAUCGCUGAAUAAUAUUAAAUAUUAUGAGUGCAGACACUCCACCACGAGGUUCCUUGCUCCUUCUCGGUCGUCGGGAAUCUAUGUUCUUCCACUCUAUUUUUUUACGUGAGCUUUGUUCAUCAUUUUGCCAACACGCAAGAUAUCUAGCAUGAAGGUGCACGUGUUAUGCAAGGAUCGUUCCAUCUAUAAGAAGAACACGUGGGACUGGAACUACGAGACGGACAUGUACCCAGAAGUGGACGUAAAAACCUGAGUAAUGUAGCGCAGUAAGUGAAGUAGAAAAGCACAAAUGGUAUGAACAUGCGUGGCAUAUAGGGUGUGUUUGGUUGCGUUCUCGUCUCAGCAUUGUUGUUCCCUCUUCAUGCAUGCUCAACUCAACACCCCUCUUCAUGCAUGCUCUCUUCAUGCAUGCUUCUAGUGUAUUUGUGCUAAACUAGUGUGGACUCAUGCACCCUCCAUACACUCUACCAAACACCCAAAAGUGGGUCGAGAAGGGAACUCUUGGGCGGCAUUUGUCUCUUACUACGUACUACCACUAAAUGUUGUACGUGCAAUGCACGGUGAUGUUAUGGAGUACGUGCCUAAGUACUCUACUACUACUAUAUUAGUUGGAGGCACAUAUUAACUUCUAUAUUUGUUUACGUGUAUGCCCCGAGACCUUCCAAUUAGACGUGUCUUUCUCUCCAGGUUGCACUUUGUAUCAUUCAUACCACUAAGUACUACUACAUGUGGUCUCCGACCCAGAAGUGGAAGAAGUGGAGACGCUCUACCACGCUGUUUUUUUUUUUGCGCUGGGCUCUACCAUGUUGUUCAUGUCCCACUCCUUUCGCUGACGUGUGGGACAUCCAGCACGUGCCGUGUUUGGCACUCUUUGUCGUAAGAGUUGAAACGCUAGCAUUCAUCAGAAAUAAAAAAUAAUUAUAAAUCAGCAGUGAUACUAUUUUUUUGAGAACCAAUCAGCAGUGAUACUAUACCACGCGGUUUCCUUGAUCCUCGAUAUCGGAAAGAAUACUUCCAUUCGCCAACAUGUGGGACGUCGACUAUCCUAGUCCACUUGCCAUGCAGGCAGAACUCCAAGGGAGAGUCACCCCGGUCGUCGCGCCGCAGUAACAAUGACUAAUGAGCCGUCAAAUCAUAGGCCCACUUCCCACUUUGAAGUUGCUCGGACGAAGGAACCAUCAUGACUUCAUUGAAUUCUGCUUCUUGAAGAAAACUACUGUACUAGUAGUACUGCUAGCUACAGUAGUUACUCCAACAGAGGCCUCCUUUGGUUCAUAGGAUAGGAAUUUUAUAGGAAUAUGAAAAUCAUAGGAAGUGAGCUGACAUACAUCUCAAUUCCUAUAGAGAAAGAGAUGCCAUUUGAUGCAUAGGAUAGGAAUUUUUCCAUUUAGUCUAGGCUAAUGUACUGGUAAUUUGCUCUAAAAACUACAAUAGUAACUAGUAGUACUGGUACAUGCUCAUACUCAGACACAGACACACACACUAACUACUAGUACUACUACUUCUCAUGUGCUGGCCAGACGCCGUCAUUCUCCUUCCCGGCUUUGCCGGUGACACCCCACCGUGCUUGGAUCUCCGCCGACCUCUCCGCAGCAGCGCGUGCGUUCUCUUCUUUCUUGCGGCGACGGGCCUCUAUUUUCUUGAGUGCUUUCUGACUUUUCCGCUCCCUCUGUGCGGCUUUGGCCGCCUCUUGCUCGACCGCCCAUUCAGCCUUGGCAUCUUCAAAUUCCUCCCACAUAGGCGUGAGGUCGUGAGCGGCGAUGAACUCGGCAUGGCGGGAUGCCAUCGCUUCCCUACCAUUUUGUGUGCAGUCAUGGGCGGCGAGGAACUCGGUGCGGCAGGAUGCCAUCACUGACUUACCGGUUAGUGUGCGGCGCGGUGGCAUCAACGAUGCUUGGUGAGAGCUCUGGGGUGGAGUGGCCGGACAACCGUAUAGUGUGUUGGUUUGUCAAGAGCUCAAGGACAAAGGACAAAGAAAAUUUGGAUUCCCCUUCAAUCCUGGUCAUUUAUUACCGAGUAAAAUGCAUUGCGGUCAUCGAACUUGUCUUGAUAGUUCACUUUGAUCAUUGUAUACGAACUAUGGUGAAUAUACGGUCACUGGCUCAGCGUAUAGCUCUGUAUUUGUCUGGUUGACCAGUAAAACAGUCCGCAUGCGCCUCAUCAGCUCGUGUUCUUUAUCUAUCUACGCGGGCCUACCUGUCAAUGGAGAAAGAAAUAUUGUAAAAACCAUGAGUUCACACUUUACCACCACGCCAGCGUCUGAUCGCCCUGGCCUACCAAAACCCCUUCCAUCGCUAGUGCGCGCUUCCCACCAGAAAUGGUCACCGUUUCUCCAGAACGUCAAUGUUGCAUUAACCGGACUUAACUGCAGGUGCAAUUGGUGUGUCACUGACAUGCGGGCCAGAUGCCCGUUGGGCCCACAUGUCAGUAACCCAAUGCAUCUGCAGUUAAGUCACUAAAGCAGCGUCCGCAUUCACGCCCGAUGAACCUACUCCGGCGCCAGUUGUCCAUCCGUCUGCCGCGGCUCAUUGCCAUUCGCUCACUAUAUUAACUUGAGCCCCAGCUCCCAGCCAUAGCCAAAGACCCACACUUAUUCUCCUCCGGUCCCUUCCUUCUGUCGGCACCACUCCAACCAUGGCCUCCUUGCGCUCCGAAGCUCUCUUGGACGUACUAUCGCAGGAGCAGACAAAGGACAUCGCCGGCUCCGCUCCGAGCGAGCUCCAAAGCUCUCUUCGAUGUACCCCCCCCCCCACCCCCCCGACAGCGAGGAAGAGUAGUACACGGUAGGUCGCUGAUGUCUACUACACAACCUUCUUCUUGUAGACGUUGUUGGGCCUCCAAGUGCAGAGGUUUGUAGGACAGUAGCAACUUUCCCUCAAGUGGAUGACCUAAGGUUUAUCAAUCCGUGGGAGGCGUAGGAUGAAGAUGGUCUCUCUCAAGCAACCAUGCAACUAAAUAACAAAGAGUCUCUUGUGUCCCCAACACACCCAAUACAAUGGUAAAUUGUAUAGGUGCACUAGUUCGGCGAAGAGAUGGUGAUACAAGUGCAAUAUGGAUGGUAGAUAAAGGUAUUUGUAAUCUGAAAUUAUAAAAACAGCAAGGUAACUAAUGAUAAACGUGAGCGUAAACGGUAUUGCAAUGAUAGGAAACAAGGCCUAAGGUUCAUACUUUCACUAGUGCAAGUUCUCUCAACAAUAAUAACAUAGAUAGAUCAUAUAACAAUCCCUCAACAUGCAGCAAAGAGUCACUCCAAAGCAACUAAUAGCGGAGAAAAAACAAAGAGAUUAUGGUAGGGUACGAAACCACCUCAAAGUUAUCCUUUUUGAUCUAUCUAUUCAGGAGUCCGUAGUAAAAUAACACAAAGCUAUUCUUUCCGUUCAAUCUAUCAUAGAGUUCAUACUAGAAUAACACCUUAAGACACAAAUCAACCAAAACCCUAAUGUCACCUUGAUACUCCAUUGUCACCUCAAGUAUCCAUGGGUAUGAUUAUACGAUAUGCAUCACACAAUCUCAGAUUCAUCUAUUCAACCAACACAAAGUACUUCUAAGAGUGCCCCAAAGUUUCUACCGGAGAGUCAAGACGAAAAUGUGUGCCAACCCCUAUGCAUAGGUUCAUGGGAGGAACCUGCAAGUUGAUCACCAAAACAUACAUCAAGUGGAUCACAUGAAUAUCCCAUUGUCACCACAGAUAAGAACGGCAAGACAUACAUCAAGUGUUCUCAAAUCCUUAAAGACUCAAUCCGAUACGAUAACUUCAAAGAGAAAACUCAAUCCAUUACAAGAGAGUAGAGGGGGGAGAAACAUCAUAAGAUCCAACUAUAAUAGCAAAGCUCGCGAUACAUCAAGAUCAUGCCAUAGAGAGAACACGAGAGAGAACACGAGAGAGAGAGAGAGAGAGAGAUCAAACACAUAGCUACUGGUACAUACCCUCAGCCCCGAGGGUGAACUACUCCCUCCUCGUCAUGGAGAGCGCUGGGAUGAUGCAGAUGGCCACCAGUGAGGGAUCCCCCCUUCGGCAGGGUGCCAGAACAGGGUCCCAAUUGACUUUUGGUGGCUACAGAGGCUUGCGGCGGUGGAACUCCCGAUCUAUUCUCGUUGUCGGUGUUUUUAGGGUAUAUGGGUUUAUAUAGGUGAAAGAAGUCGAUCGAGGGGUGCUCGAGGGGCCCAGGAGACAGGGGGCGCGCCCAGUAGGGGGGGCUCCUAUCUCCUGGCUUCCUCGAAACUCCCCUGGCUUGCACUCCAAGUUUCCUGGAUUUCUUAUGUUCCAAAAAUGAGUUUCCCGAAGGUUUCAUUCCAUUUGGACUCCGUUUGAUAUUCCUUUUCUUCGAAAUACUGAAACAGGCAAUAAAGCAACAAUAUGGGCUGGGCCUCCGGUUAAUAGGUUAGUCCCAAAAGUAAUAUAAAAGUGUAUAAUAAAGCCCAUAAUCAUUCAAAAUAGAUAAUAAAAUAGCAUGAAUGCUUCAUAAAUUAUAGAUACGUUGGAGACGUAUCAGUCGCCGCCGCUCUGGUCCCAGGAAGGACACCGCUACUCCACUAAGUUGACGCCAAGCUUUGUGGGGUAAACAUUGGCGGCCGAUUAGCCGCUUGACGGCAACAUGGAGGAAGAAAUCUUCAGAACCUUGUGCUCUAGAGGAGGAGGUUAUCGAGGCAGAUGAGGAGGAGGCAAAGGCAAUGGCCGGCUUUCUCGGCUUCAUGGCCGGACAUGGUAGUCGGGCGCCGGCGAUCAUUUAGAUUAGGUUUAAAGUACGUUUUAGUAUGGUUUGUGUGAAAUAUGUAAUGAAUAUCGUCCAGUUUGUAGGAAAAGUUUUUGAAAUGUAAUGAAUUUCAUCCGGUUAAUCUGAAAUUUUCUUUGUUUGCACGAAUUUCAUCCGGUUAGUUCAUAUAGUUGUCGAAAGGUAUGCGGGCGGCAUCGGAUGGCAUCCAUCAGUGUCCUCGGACAGAUGCCGGUGUAAAUUUGUGGGCCAGCACUGGAGAUGCCCUAACUAUCAUGCUAUAAUCGCUAACAGUGCUCCAUUAUUUGGCAGGGAACAAUUAUCCCUCGAUCAAAAUCAGAUCCGCGGUGUUUCGCACUCCUCCCGCGUAAGAGUGUAAACUCUUGCUUACAUAAAAAUGGAGCAAGUGGACGACACUGUAGCACGUCAUAUCACUCAAACUAGACCGCCUAAUGAACGGGAAAGCACCGCCCUCGUCAUUUUGUUAUGGAUUUCUAUUGAUCGAUCGCACGAAAAUGUUACGCUUCGCAUGUUCUAAAGGAAAAGGCGGCACACUUACGACUCGUACGCGUCGCACCCCCCGGGAUUGGCACUCACGAUAGUCCGGCUCGCACGCCGCUCACCAGAGGGGACACGCGUUGUCUUGCAAUUUCACUGACAUGUGGGACUGUAAUUGAAUAAACCGUCGAUAGCCAAAAUCUAAUCGCUCGGCGGGUGUCGGCUGAGAAGAGAGAAACGGGGGAGGGAGAAGAGAUCGCCCACCUGCCGCGCACAGACUCCAAGAAAUAUAUGGUGAUAAUGUGAGGUGGGCCAUGUUGGAGUCUGGACCGCUUCCGGAGCCCGCUCUGACCAGACGAGACUUGCCUGCUCACCCCGCGUGUGCCCAUCCAUGCUCCCACGUACGUGGCUUGAUUUGAUUGGAACAGAAUAAGGCGCAGCCCCACCCCCUAAAAAUCAGGGGGGAGAUGAUUAGAUUAGAAAGACAAAAGGAAAAAAGACAGCCGUAGGAUGAAGUGGGCUCACGGAUGGGAGCAUGGAGAGGGAGCAGGCAAGCCGGAUCCGCUCUGACCGCCCUGGCCCCUCAAGACGCCAGUUGUCCGCCGCAUGCAUGCAUAGCAAGUACUAAAAUAUUGGGCUAUAGGCCCGCUUAUGUGGAGGAGAGAGAGCCAUUGACAAAGUCAAGGAGUGGGCUCUGCAAGAGCCCGUCUCUACACGUGCUCCUAGGUAUAAAAAAAUAAUUCUAAAAAAAAGCAUAAAAUACAAUUGUGUCGAAAAAAAUAAAGAUAAAAAACAUUUGAGAGGAAAUAGAUAGAGAGAAAGUGAGAAAAAGUUCUAGUCUUAUAGCCAACCUUAUAGUCAACAGUAUGGUAGCAUUACAUGAGGAAGGAGGGAGUGGUGCACAUGCCAAGUUCACUGGGCUGCCGUGUUUCACACUCCUCCAUCGUAACAGUGGAAACAAUAGAUUUCAUCAAAAAUAAACAAUGAAUGCUCGUUGCUCGUCCUCUAUAUCGGAUUGAAUACUUUCAUUCACCGACAUGUGGGACGUCGACUAUCCUGGUCCACCUGCCAUGCACAAAAUUAUCCUGGUCUACCCGGUCGUAUCGCAGGCCCAACCUUUCCCACUGUAAGUUGUUCGGACGAAGGAACCAUCAUGACUUCAUUGAAUUCCUCUUCUUCAAUAAAACUUACUGUACCCGCAAUACUGCUACCACACGUGAAGACUGGACGGCACUGUACCACGUCAUAUCACUGAAACCCACUAGGCCAAACUAGCCUGCCUAGGUCGGGAGUACGUCUCUGCACUGCUAUGAUUUUGUGUUGUACGUCUCUGUACUUCUGCUAUGAUUUUCCUACCCUAUGAAACAAAUGAGGCCUGAAUGUAUCCGUGUCGACUAUUGUCUGAUCGAUCGCUAGGCCUACAACUUUAGGAGCUAGGGCUAUUGGUCGAUUGACAACGGAUAAGUAUAAGCGUACCACGAGCUCAUCAGCCCCAACGUUUCUCUUCGGUGAGUGUUUCGCAAGUACUAUAGCUCGCACAGUAGCUAGCCUAUUAACACCAAGAAUCAUCAAACAAGCCCUGCUGAUAUGAUAAACAGUGCAAACUUACAUCUAAGCAUGCCAUAUAUUACAUCAAAAGCUGGUGAGGAUACAUCUGUUUCCAUAACUCGGAGAGGGUUCGCAUGAUUCACUAUCAAACAAAAGUUGCAAGUACUGCCCACACAAGACAGUGCACUAGCCCUAAGAUGGUUUGAUAACAUGCAUCGCUCUGGUAAUUAAACACAGGGCAAUGCAAACUACUCUGAAGGAUUAGCGCGACCAACUAUUUCUUGUCAUCGGUCUCUCGGGCAAUGACCAUAGCACGGAUAGCGGCAUGGGAAUCGAUCUUUGGGGCGAUGUCCACAAGACUGACCGCGACAUCAGAAUCGAUCUCUGGGCGAUGUCCACAGGAUUGACAACGGCAUCGGAAUCGAUCUCCGGGGCGAUGCCAACAGGACGGACCGCGACAUCGAAAACAAUCUCUGGGGCCUUGUCCACAGGACGGGCCGUGACAUCGGAAUCAUCAAGGACGUCCACCAGCACCUGCACAACCCUAACAUAUUAGCAAGCACAUUGCAAAUAAUCAAAAACCACAACUAUGGUAAUAAGCCAUUGUUUUUUACCUUGUGCAGCUCACCGGGGGAUCUCAUCCCUCCGGGGGCCAUCUCCUCGUCCUCGAUGGGGGGCGAUCACCUUUCCAGGGGAAUACUUCUUCUCAACGGCGACUAUCUCCUCAAACUCGGCCUUGAGCCUCGCAUAGGUGGCCAUCAGAGUUUCUAGGGUAGGCACGGUGGGGCCCUUGCUGUUCUUCCAACUUUCAUGAGGAGUUCGUCCGCCUACGUCGUCAACUCUUUGUCCAGUGCUUGUUUCUUGGAGUUCUUCGUCUCCAUGGGUUGGCCCGCCAACAUGGUCAACUCGUUGGUCGGUGCUUGCUUCCUGGAGAUCGCUGUCUCCAGUGGGUUGUCCGCCGGUAACUUUUUGCCUAGUGCUCCAGGAUCCAUCAAUGAACUGACAAACAAAAAGAAAUCGAAAGGAAACCACAAUCGCAAUGAAAACGGGAAAAUAAUAGGCUGUGAGAAUCGGUCGGUGCUUCGCAAAAAGAAGAUUCUUGGAAUGAAAAUAUAGCAGCAUAACUGAUUCGCCCACCUUUCCUUCGUCGGUACAGAAGAAAAAUGGCAGAAGUGAGUCGCUUGGAGUGAGGUUUUCUGCAAGAAAGGGAAGAAAGGGCUUCGUCCAGUCCAACUUGGAGGCCACCUUACCACUGUUGGUAAAGGUGUGGGUUUUGUGAUAUGACGGGUCAUGACGGCCACACCAGGGUGACAGGUGAGUCUCGAUUGUAGCACCUCACUGUGAUUUGGUGGAUGGCACACGGGCCCGGAUGCUUUGAUGUCCCGCAUGUAGAUAGAGUGGCUAGUCAUAUAGGAGUGAUCAGUAUUGUGCACCGCGACCAAGGCGGAGAGGAAAACGAGAGAACUACGUAAUUAAUGCCCGAGUUUAAUUAGGGUAGUUUUGUAAAGUACAAGAUACAUUCCUCCAAUCGCAAAAUGCCUUGGUUCAUGAGAUUUGAGAUUUGAGCCCUAUAAACCGGAAGGGAGGGGGUACUGCAUGCGGUGUAGUCUAGUCACUUGUUGAAAUCUCUAGAAAGGCAAGUACUCCUUUCCGGUUUACAGGGUUAUACUAUUCCCUCCGUCUAGGUGUGUAAGUCACCUUACGAAAACCAAAUAGUCCCAAAACACUUAGGCGCGGUGCAUUAACUUCUACCUUGUUUCUUGUUUCUUGACAUAUCAACCAAUAAGAGAUGAGAGGUGUGCAUGCUUUUAAUUACUUGAGACUACCAAACACGACAUGCAGUGGCUAGUUCAUUUCAUGCAAUGCUAUUAAUUAGCAAAUAAACAUUGGUGACCCCAGGAGGAAACGGUGCUAAGCGCGUGUACCUAUGCAGAAUGAGUAUCAACCAAUGGAUGAUGGAGUUUAAUUGUUAAACAAUUCAAUGAGGGAAGCUUAGCUACAAAUUCAAUGACUUACUCACCUAGACGGAGGGAGUAGCAAGUACUACUACCUCCAUCCUAGUUUAUUGGUCCCCAUAGUAUUUAUGCCAAACUUUGACCAUAUAUUUAACUAAGUAAAUAAUAAUGCAUGCUAGCAAAAAUUAUAUCCCUGGAUUCGUAUUUGAACAUAGUUUUGAGAGAUAUUAUUUUUGGUUACAUGCAUUAACAUUUUUUUAGUUUAAUCUAAGGUCAGAGUUUUGCACAAAAUACUAAAGGGACUAAUAAACCCAGACGGAGGUAGUAGUACUACUGCAAUGGUGGGCUCAAAUAGCAAACAGGCUCUCAUGCAAGAGCUUGGCUACUAUAUGCGUGCUCCAAGGCACCACACCACGCGAACGUUCGCAACUGCCACGUUCGGGUUACGCUUGGCUCUUCGCCUCUUCGAGAAGAUGAACAAUGAUGUUACUCCUACUUCUACAAUAUUGAACACUGCUGCAUGUCUGUCCACCUCGUGCGGGAGGGAUAGCGUGUAGAGAAAGCUUCUAAUUACUGCUCCUGCCUUUGCGUCUAUGACAGGUGGGCCCAACAGGUGGUUGGCCCUCCUGUCAUGCAGCCAAAGGCAGGUGCAGUUAAGGCACCGGAGCUCAGUCCGCGAGGGAGAGGGCAUUCUAGUAAUCAAACUUGUCGGUCUUGUACGAGUUGAUGCGACACAUCAAAGCACUGCACUCGAUAUAAGUCUUUUUACACAUUUCAAAUGGACUACAACAUACGGAUGUAUGUAGACAUAUUCUGCUUCUUAUGUAGUCACUUUGUUGCAAUCUCUAAAAAUACUUAUAUUUGGAAACGUAGGGAGUACAACGCAUGUAUGCAUGCCGUGACUUUCCUUUUGAUACUUGCAUGUGUUGAUUUGAUGCACCUUGCCAAAUUUUAACUAUAAAUUUAACUAACCAAAUUUUCAUGCAUGUCACAAAAAAUUACGGGGCUGUUUGGAUUGUGACUAUGUUUGUAUUAUGUUGCCACAUUAUUUUUCCUACACUUGCCACACUUGCCAAACUUGAGUUGCUCAAAUUGUUAGACACACUUUGGCUUGCCUAAGGGAAUCUUGCCACAAUUUUUGUGUCUAUGACAUGUGGCGUUCACUGCUAAUAAAAAAAUUCUUUUCUUAGGUGUGGCUAAUAAAAAAGACUUAUAUUUAGGAAUGGAGGGAGUAAAAAAUAUAAAUUAUAAUGCAUGUUGGGGCAACCCACGUUUCCGCUAAUUUUAGCCGUGGGCUUGUUCACAAUUUUUACAAGGGGUGGUUGUUCAAUUAAUGGAGGGACUUGUAGUACCAGACUUGAACGACACAAAGUGCGACCUGCACACUGUAACACCACUUGGAACAAGCGGGUAGCUAUCUCAAAACACAAUCAACAACUAAAAAACGCGACAUGUCAUGUAGUACACAAUUUUAAACGAUUGUUUUGAUGGAGUGAAAAAGGAAAACUACCCACUACAUAUAUAUAGGCCGCAACCUCCCUGCUUGCUUGCUAGGGUUUCUCUAUUCACACAAUCUCAUCCUCUCCAUAUCUAAACAAGAUAGGGGUGGUAACACUGUCUUUCUCCCUUCAAAAAACACUGUCUUUCUAUCCUCACCGCUGGUUACAGAUCUGGACGUAUCCCCCUCCGCCGGUGAAGGGGAGGAGGGGCAGCGUUUAGCCCGUCGUCGACAGCGAGGGAAGAGACCCACUUUCGGCCGCAUCGUUAUCUCUGGCCGAGCGCCGGCGCGGGAGGUCCUCCGAUCCCUUCAUCGUUGCCUAUGGGCGGAUCCUGCCUACCGCCGACCACCUAUCCACAUCCCGACGACUUUCAGGUAUAUCUUCGUUCGAAACCGCCUUAGCUCUACUUGCCCAGCUUGCUACAUCGCUGCAUGUGCAUCAUUUUCUACCUCUCAGCCCCUCUCGAUCGGAUGGUCCAACGUCACGUAUUUUUUUCUUCUAUUGUUAGAGGUAAAGCUACUUCAUGGAGUCGAAUCUUGUACUCUGUCCAUCCGGAAAUACUUGUCAUUGAAGUGGAUGUAUCUAGAUGUAUUUUAGUUCUAGACACAUCCAUUUUGAUGACAAGUAAUUCCGGAUGGAGGCAGUACUUGGUUCAAACAAGAAAUAAAGUGGGGAUGGGGGAAUUUAGUAUGUACAUCGGACUUGGUACAAACAGGAAGGAAAGGGGGUGAAAGUAGUACAGACUGGUCAUCCAACCGGUCUCUUGGUUGAAAGGGGAAAUAUAGGGGUAACGUUGUACACAGUGGUAUGUCCAGGACUAGAUUUACUAUCCACACAUAGGAGUAGGUGGCUAGAGUGAACAAAAAUGGGACCAACCCAGAUAUGUUUCUUGGAUGUUUGUUUCUCAGUGCAACAAACUAUGAAUCACCACUUUAUGCCCUAUUUAGGUACAUGGUGCUGGACUGCUGGUGCACCCACUGUCCCAUGCCCUUAUACCAAAUAUUUAGUUGUUCUUAAUCUAAUGUCCCUGGUAAAAAUGAAGCGAUGCCACUGUUAUAAGCCAUGACAAGUCUAACUUAAUUAAUUAGGAGUACUUAAGUACCACAAUACAAUGAGCUGUAUCCCAGCCAGUGCUUUAACUCUGCUAGAAGUUCUUGAUAAUCUUUCGAUAUAAUCUCAGUACUGGUAAACAAGAGUGAUUUCAACCAUACAUUUGAAGUGCACAAAAAUAUAUACUAUUGUGUGAUUCCAUGAGUGCUUUAUCAUCUCUUAUGGGACUACAUGAAUAAGAUUUUUUUUCUCAGGUUGGUACGGGCCUAAGGCCUUCAUCCAUAUUAGUUUUUUUCAUCUCUAUUUGUAUCGUGCUACUGUCCUGAGAAACUCCUUUAUCUUUGCACGUUAAAGUUUUGCAACCUGUGAUAAAUGGCAAUGCUUUGAGUGUUGAGCUAAUUGGCACUGAUUAAAUAAACUAAUACCUCUCUUUAAACAAGACUACUAUGUUGCUAACUUUACCCAUUAAGAUAAUGAGGGUGCUUCGAUUUGUUAGUGUAUGUUUCAUUAACUAGUCCCACUAUUACAGUAAUCUCACUCUCUCAAUAUAUGUGCCAACAGGGAUGCUCGAAUUUGGUGGAACUGCACAAAAACUUUGGGUGCUUCAUUGCCUCGACAACUUCCGUCCUUUCCUGUCAGUCGCUAAUCUCGGCUUGCUUUCUUCCUUCGCUGUCAGUCGCUUCGCUUAUCUCGGCUUCCAGUCAAAGGAAAUAGUAAUUGAUAUGCUACCUCCCACAGGUUGGUACUGGUCUUUAUCCUAAUUAUUGUGCUUGUCAUGUAUUGGUAAUUUGGUAUUGUGCUACUGUUUGUCGAUUUUAUAAAGGAGUAACUUGGAGCCUGAACUCGCAGGCAAAUCAUUGCAUUUGGUGAUUUCGGUAGAACUGCACAAAAUGAUCGGAUGGACAAAUACUUAUGCUGCUGCUAUGUACUCCAAAGUUCACUCAGACAAGCAUUGAUGUUGACAAGAAGUGCCUAUAUUCAUUCGAGUAUCAACCCGCGUCAACCAGUUGUCAAACUCCCAAGUAUUAUUAGAGUGAACGCCAAAAAUAUUGCUUGGCACAUAGCCCAGAAGAACACAGUCCAGUUUUUGGUCCCAACUUGUGCCUUUUGGUUAUCGGCAGAUAUGGUAGCGAACUGUAUGGCAUGGAGUCCAAAGAUUCCAGAUAAGUUGGUUGACGCGUAUAUUCAUCUGGCACUUAAUCAGUUUGCACGCCAGGGAUGCUACAUUUCAGUUGAACUGCACAAAAAAAUUAGGUGGUUCAUUUUCUAAACCGCCUCCUUUCUCAUCUGCAAUGUAGAAUUUAGGCGAGCUACAUGACCAAGAUGAGCCAGUAAACUAGUUGGAUGAAAGUAGUGGCCAAGUUGAUCAAACCUCGCUCGGCACGAUGCCACUAUUUGAGAAUAAACCUACAAGCAAAGUUCAGAUUGUCUGUGCUGCCUCUUAUGUACUCAAAAGUUUACUCGUACAAGAAUUAAUUUUAGCAAAAAGUACCUCUGACUGAACACCAUUUACCAGUCUGUACCCUAGGUAAUUAAUGUUCGUCCAUGGAUCAUAUUGGUUGUGAUCUCAAUCAUUUGGAUGCAUAAACAUACUGAACAUGUGUAUAUCUGAAUCUUUUUGUGAAUUAUGUAUGAAUAUUGUCGUGUGAUCUAUCAAUCAUUUGGAUGCAUAGAUAUGCUGAGCUUGUGUAUAUAUGAAUCUUUUGAGUUGUUGAUAGUGAAUGUUGGCUAUGAAUAUGAACGUGUCCUGUGAACCUGUGUUUGAUACGAUUGUUUACCUUUUCUGUUGUAUAGGUGUGAAAACUUGUUAGUAUGCCUACUGUGGGGUAUGUGACGUGUGGGUGUCAACGGCACACCUUCUUCCCGAGAAGAAUUGCACCUGCUUUGUUAGGGUAGCAACGGCACAUCAGCUCUUUUUAAUCUUUUUUAUUACUCUGUCUUCCCCUCUCCCCCGCUCAACCCCCGUCGUAAUGUUUUCGGCCUCAAAACAAACAUAGUACUACGUUGUUUUUAGGGCUUGAUGAAAAAUCGAGUGCUGGUUUCUGUAGGUUGGCCCGCCCAGCAAAUGGGUUGCUGGUCCACCACGACGGACUAGGAGGCUAAAAAUACAAGUUGUAUGGUGCAGUGGCAAUUAAAAAAAUGCUAUCGAGAGCCAUCCACUGAAGAAAAAAUCGCUCCUGAUGUGCUUCUUCAGUCAUGCCAUCGGCCCCCUCUUUAAUCCAGUUCGCUCGGGGAUAUGGUAUCAUUUUUUUCUAGAGGGCGAACAAGUAUGAGCUAGACCUAAGUUUUGUAUUUUAACAUGUGUAGCCCACGACAUACGGAGAUAGUGGUUUCAACUAAUUUUUUAGGUCUAUACCGGCCUAUGGGCUUCUUCUUAAAGAUCGGUAGCCCAAUGUAUUUUUUUAAUAGAACACAGGUCUCUGUUCUAUUUAUCUAUAUUAAGAAUAAUAAUGAUGUAUCCAAUUUAUGUUUUCCCUUCUAACCACAUUAUAUAUAUAUUUAUAUUAUUAUUAUUAUCGUAUAUUUUAUAGAGACUUAUAUAUAUAUAUAUAUAUAUAUAUAUAUAUAUAUAUAUAUAUAUUAUAAAAACAUCCCAUGUGUUAUUAACUUAUAAACGUAAAUGUUUAACAGAAGUUGGCAAGGAAAAUUCUAGUUGUUUUUGACUCACAGGCAAGGAAAAUCCUGGUGAUUGCGUACAAAAGCUUGCGAAGAUUUUAAGGACCAAUUUAAUAAUAACACACUCAUUUUUAUUUUGAGCAAUAACACGUUAAUUUGUUAAUCUAUCUCUAAUUCUAAUAAUAAAGCACGGAUUGACUCCUUGGAUUCACCGUCACAAUACGCUUUCUUACUGUGAAUUUAUGUUUUCAGUUUUUUUCUUCAACGCGUAGGUGGUACUACUCUCUACUCCCUCCAUUCCUGGCGAAAAAUAAUACUCCCUCCAUUCCCUUAUACAAAGCCACAGACUCAAAUUACAGGUACCAAGAUAAAAUUUACUGUGAAUUUAUGUUUUCAGUUUUUUUCUUCAACGCGUAGGUGGUACUACUCUCUACUUCCUCCAUUCCCUUAUACAAAGCCACAGACUCAAAUUACAGGUAUCAAGAUAAAAUUUAAUGACGGUAUUUUUCAUAGUGGAGUACGACACAUAGAGCCGGCCCGUCAGCAGAUGACGUAGUACAAACUCGGUUGAAAAAGUAUAAUACGCCGCAAGCACUCGAACCCAGGAGCUCCCGCUAGACAGUCUUGAUUGCUAGCCAGUAGAAUAAACAACAUAUGAUAUUUGGUAAGAGCGCACUCCUAGAUAUGUAGGUCCUCCCUUCCGGUCAGGAAAAAAACAUACACACAUAAACGUGCAUGUAUCGUGCAAUCAAUCAGCCUCAACUAAAGCUUAAAAAAGCACCAAGUAAAAAAUAUGUACGCAUCUACUGACAGUAAAAAAAGACACACAUACACUUCUGCGUUGGACGAGCACAGCCAUGGCCCACGGCUGCCAUGCAUGCCGUCAACUGCUGGAAGAUUAAUCGGCCACGUAUCAUCAUGUGUCCAACUCAAACAUUUUCUUUUAUCUCUACCAUAUUACAAGUAAUAUGUGCACAUUAAACAUGUAUAACAGAUCUAUUCAAGCCAAACAUUAGUCUUUAAUCGAAUGACUUCCUAAUAAAGUUAGAAAAAAGAUUGGUUGUGAUUUUCACGUGUAAGGUGAAGGAUUAUUUCUUUCCUUUUUUUGAUACAUCCUUUUUAUUCCAUUUCAUCCGUUCGUUACCGGUAUCAUGUAGUUUUUGCUUCGUUUGGUAUGUUCGUUGUCGGUCCCUAAAAAAAAGCGAGCGUAGAGGGAUUGGAAGCAUGGUUGCGAGGACUCACGAACCAACUCAUCCAACCAAGGAUCCUGCAGACAGAGAGGGGGCUUUAGACCGUCUCGCCAUAGGUGGAAUUCAUUUACGGUUCGGAAACCUCCAUCAUGUAUGAUUCCUUUCUUAAAAAAUUCCUAUAUGUACAUUGUAGAACACGGUUGCGGACGUGCUGCGUCAUGGGUUGGAGCUCGAGCGGAAGGAGCGGGAGAUGGGGCUACUAGAGGACGUAAACGGGGAAGAUGGCGAUGAGGAUGAUAAGAUUGGGAAGGAGAGGGUGGAGAGAAGGUCAUGGGAAUCGAGCCACCACAAUCGACGACAUGUGCGGCACGCAACGCGCUGCCAUCAUGGCCUUGAUCCCGCCGAUCUGGUCACGCGUUAAAGCACGUCUCCUGCCUUAAACUAUCAUCCUGGAGAACCUUGCCGUCGAUCGGUCCACCGUUUUUGCCAUCAACGACCAUUGUUCCGCGACACAAUUCCUUAACCGAGGCAACCUUGAUCAUGACAACUGGUAUUUUUUUCCAUACCGACGCAUGAACAUUGUGUUUAUCAUGCCAGGGACAAGUUUUUUUCUUUCCCAUUGCAACACACGGACCUUGCCGUCAAUCGAUCCACCGUAUUUGCCAUCUACGACCAUUGUCCCACCACACAAUUCCUUAACCGACAGAACCUUGAUUCAUGACGGCUGGUAUUUUUUCCAUACCAAAACAUGAACAUUGUGUUUAUCGUGCCAGGGACAACUGUAUUUCUUUCCCGUUGCAACGCAUGGGCAUGUUUGCUAGUUAUAUAUAGAUAUAAUGUGCCUCUCCGGUUUAUUCUUUGAUAUUAAUUGCUUCUUCUAACAUAACGUUAUAUAUAUAACAAGCCCAGCUAAUUCAUUUAUUUCAAGGAAGUACAAAUGGGCUGGGAUUUCUUAGAAAACAUAAAUGGGCCUGAUUGACGCGAAAUUAUUUGUUCAUCCAGCCUAGCAAUUGGACUGUACAUUCUAGAAAACAUAGGUUAAAUAUAUGUCAUAUUUUUGCAGGCUAACAUGUGGGCCAAUAGGUCGAAGCCUACGCAGGGCGUUGUCAACUUGGUCAACAAAUGAUUGUGACAUCCACAGCCAUUGAAUUUAUAUCCAAUGGCCGGCAUGCACCUUCAAUCUCUCGUCUUCUUCCUCCAGCGUCGUGGGGACCGCCUGGUCCGGCCUCCAGCGGCUAGCGGCUCUGCUUAGCACGCAUCGCUGCGAAGCACUACCCCACCGCCGGCCAGGCUAUCCCUCCACCCCUCAACACCUCCUGUUAUUCUCCACCGAUUACAGCCCCACGCCGCACCAGAACCAGUUAUAAUCCUUCUCCUCCUCUCAAUCUGCGACUCCACGGUCGCGUCUUCCCAUCUCUGAGUCGUUCCCGUCCGGGGCCUCGCCGUCGUCCACCGCCUCGCUGCGCUCGGUGCAGCAUGGUCAACAAACGAGAGUCAUCAGAAGAGGACUGUAUGUGGAGAGCCUGACGGCUGGGACCCACGAGGUGCAUGGUCGCACGCAAGGAAAGUUCCUUCUUAUUAAGCUGAAAAAAAUGUUUCCUCCACCUGACAGCUGGGACCCACCGACUGUAUCUUCGCACGGAAGGAAGUGCCUCCUUGUUUUGCGAAAAAAAUUAUUCAUCCCAUUGACAGCUGGGACCCGUCAGAUUUGGUGGCUGACUUGUGGGCCUACUAAGCGGACGUGUACGCAGGGCUUUGUCAACUUAAUCAACAAAUGAUUCUAGCAGCUGGACCAUUGGAUGUUAAUCCAACAGCCGUGCUCCUUCUUCAACCUUUGUUCUUGCUCCUGUCUCCCGUGGGCUGCACCGCGACUGUGCUGCCGCGCACCCGAACCAGUCAAGUUUCUCACUCCUCUCCAGCUGCGACUCCACUGCCCCGUCUUCCCCAUUUUCGAGUAAUUCCAGUCUGGGGCGUCCACCGGCCUUGGUGCACUCGGCACGGUGUGGUCAACGCGGUCAACAACAGAGAGUCAUCAUAAGAUGAAUGUACGUGAGAGGCUGACAGUGGGGACGCACCACGCCCAUGGACGCAGUGGCGGAGCUUGACAAGAACCUAUGGGGGGCCAAUGUAAAAAACAUAGUGUUGUCGUGUUGCCCCUGUUUUACUCGUUUCCGGCAACACUGUAAAAGGUGAUCCAGUAGUUUAAGGUUGUAACUGAGCUGGGUAGAUGGCACUUAACAAAUUCAGUAGCCAAAUUCGUAUGGGGGGCGGCCGAGGACGAGGGGGUGGCCUGCUGCAGGCGGACAUCAGCGAGCAUUGGCCAGUGGCGAUCAGCCGAAGACGACCGUGUAUCAGGUGCACCCUUGUUCCCCCCUCACAAGUCACAACCUCCUCGGCGCGCUUGAAUCAAAGGCGAGUUUCUCCUUGGCAUCGGCCUCGAGUCAGUGUGGCGGCUUGGUUCCCGGAUGGAGCAGGCGGUUGAGGCUGUUGCACUCCUACCGUUGCACCCAGGUAGCCUUCUCACGCGGCUUUGUCUCUCUGUAACUGAAUUCUCCUAGUCUCUUGCGCUGUUAUAACAUGCACAAGAUUUGUGGAGUUAGCUGCGGUAGUAGUUGAGUUAGUGGCAGCACCUGCGAGUGCUUUGUACUGGUAUAUAUAUACUAGUGUUGGAAUUAAUACAAGUGUGGUUCCAAUCAUCUUGUGAUCUCCUUUCUUACAGAGGCGUGCAGCAGUGCCCGAGCAGCAAACGUGGUCGGGGAAAAGAGACGGAGACGAGCCUUGAGCAGGUUUGUGCGGCGCUUGUGCGGCCCUAAGCAGCGAGCGUGGUUGGCAAAAAGAUGAGCUUUGUGGCCUUCUGCGGGUAUGUCUACUACGUAGUAAAAUUAAAUAAGCAUUUGGGCUGGGGGGCCACAACCCCCUCAGUGUUGUACAUAGCUCCGCCGUUGCAUGGACGCAUGCAUGCAACGGAACGCGGCGUGGUCAACACGGUCAAGGAACGACUUCCCUCGGAAGUGUACUGAGAGGCUAACAGCUGGGUCCACGGCCGCAGCAAGGAAGUGCCUCCUUAUUACAUGGAAAUAAUGAUUCGUCCAUCUGACAGCAGGGACCCACUGGACGGGCCACCGUAUUUUGCAAAAAAAACAUUUCCCCCUAACUGCUAGGACCCACCUAAUGGGACACCGUAUUUCACGAAAAAACGUUCCCCCCGCUGUCAGCUCGGACCCACCGGAAGUGCCUCCUUAUUAAGCAGAAAAAAUGAAUACUCCCCCUGCUAGCUGGGACCCACCUUGGUGGGAGGCUGACUUGUGGGCCUACUAAGUUGACGGGGACGGAGGGCUUUGUCAACUUAGUCAAUAUGAACUAUUCUAGCUCCAGUGACCGUACGAUGUCCAUCUAACGGCUGUAGUGCUUCUUCAACCUCUGGUCUUCUUGCUCCAGCCGCCCAAAGCAGCUCCGGUCGUGCCGCGUGCUCCUGCCUCUCGUGGCCGACUGUGAUGCCGCGGAGGCCUCACUGCCCCCUACUACUCCUGCCGCUGGCCGGGCCAUCCCUCUACUCACCCACACCCCCUGCUAUUCUCCGGCAACGGCAGCCUCACACCGCAACCGAACGAGUGAACCCUCAUACUCCUCUACGCAUGGGCAUCCACUGACGCGUCUUCCCCGACUCCACGUCGUCCCCUUCCUAGGUCUCGCCGUCGUCCACCGCCCUGGUGCUCUCGACGCGGCGUGGUCAAUGUGGUCAAGGAACGACUUCCAUCGGAAGAGUACUGUAUGUGUAGAGGCUGACAGCUGGGUCCACGAUGGCCGCAAGUAAGUGCCUCCUUGUUACGCGCAAAAUAAUUAUUCAUCCACCUGACAGCAGGGACCCACCGGACGGGCCACCUUAUUUAAUGAAAAAAAACGUUUCCCCCCUAACUGCUGGGACCCACCAGCUACAUCUUCGCAUGCAAGGAAGUGCGUCCGGGCAAAAAAACGAUUCGCCCCCCGACUGCUGGGACCCACCAGCUACACCUUCGCACGCAAGGAAGUGCGUCCGGGCAAAAAAAACGAUUCGCCCCCCUGACUGCUGGGACCCACCAGCUACAUCUUCGCACGCAAGAAAGUGCCUGACAGUCGGGACCCACCUGGUCGAAGCAUACAUAGUGUUGUCAUUCUGGUCGCGUACGUGUAUGUACAUACUGGUCGAUGUAGAGGCGCGCACGUGUCAUAGUAGAGGCGCGGACGUAGCAUGUACACGUACAUACAGCGGCCAGUGUGCAAGAAAGAAAAUACGGCUACGUACGUACAUACGGACGGGGUCUCGAACGCCUACUCGCGCAUACGUACGGCCAGGGCUCGUGUACAUGGCUGGGUCGGAACGGAGAAACAGCGUCGUCGUCGUGUGCAUAGGGAUCCAACCGGCUGGGUCGGAAUGGAAUGUGUCGUCGUGUUCAUCGGGAGGGCUUGGAUGGAACAGGCAAUGGAAAAGAGGCCUGGCAUACCACAGAACGGAGGACACGGCCUUGUGUUUGACCGGCCACAUUCGAAAUGGGAUCCUGUACAUCGGGAGGGAUCUAGCGUACCGCAAAACAGAGGAAACGGACGUCCUACGGUCGAAACGGGGGUCCUAUUGAUCGGGAGGGGUGUGGCGUACCGCAAAACGGACGAAACGGACUUGUGUUGGAGCGCUACGGUCAAAAUGGGAGUCCUGUUCAUCGGGAGGGGUGUGGUGUACCGCAAAACGGGACUCCACGGGAUAUUGUUCAUCUCCACCAUCGACCUCCUCCAGCCUCCACAGCCUACUAUUCAUCGACCUUCGACCUCCUCCAGCCUCCACCUGCGACUGUUCAUCCACGGGCUCCUGUUCAUCCAGCCUCCACCGCGUGCUACUCCACUGGCUACUGUUCAACCACCCCUCUCCAUGGACUCGUGUUCAACCACCCCUCCACGGGCUACUGGUCAUCCACCCCUCCACCGUCUACUGUUCAUCUAGCCCUCCACGGGGUCGUCCUGUUCAUCCAGCCCUCCAUGGGUCCUGUUCAUCCAGCCCUAACCAGCUCGAUCGAUCGGGGUCCUGUUCAUCCAGNNNNNNNNNNNNNNNNNNNNNNNNNNNNNNNNNNNNNNNNNNNNNNNNNNNNNNNNNNNNNNNNNNNNNNNNNNNNNNNNNNNNNNNNNNNNNNNNNNNNNNNNNNNNNNNNNNNNNNNNNNNNNNNNNNNNNNNNNNNNNNNNNNNNNNNNNNNNNNNNNNNNNNNNNNNNNNNNNNNNNNNNNNNNNNNNNNNNNNNNNNNNNNNNNNNNCCAGAGGCAGCAUCGAUCGCCUUCAGUUAGCAGCAGUAGCAAAGGAAUCGCUCGAUCGGGUUCAGUUAACAGCCAUCGAUCGAUCGCUCGGGUUCAGUAACGCGUAGCCUGCAGUGCAAUCGCUCGGGUUCAGUUAGAGCCCAAUGCCUCACUCGGGUUCAGUUAGAGCCAACGCCUCGCACACACGCGCGUAUGUGUACUAGAGAAAUGUGCAUCGCUCGGCCCCCGACACCCACCGUAACCGGGAACUCCCCGAAAUUUUCCUCGCCCUCGCUUCUACCAUAGUUUUUCCAUCAUGGACGGCCCAAAGAAUGGCAUGCAGCUGCGUCUCCGGCCCGCCCAGGACGAAAAGCCCAUUUUCUGUCAUGAUUUUUUGUCAUAGAAGUAGGAGCCCACCAUAUCUAUGAUGAUACCGGGUUUUGUCACAAUUAUCGUCAUAGAAGUGUCAUAAGUAUGACAGAAUUUUUUUUCGUUCGGCCCAAAAUGUCACGGAUGUGUCUUUUUUUGUAGUGCAACCAAUUUCACAGCAACAACAACAACAACAACAACAACAACAACAACAACAACAACAACAACAACAAAUCCUUCAACAAAUUCUGCAACAACAAUUGAUUCCAUGCAGGGAUGUCAUCUUGCAACAACCCAACAUAGCACAUGCAAGCUCACAAGUAUCGCAACAAAGUUACCAACUUUUGCAACAAUUAUGUUGUCAGCAACUGUGGCAGACCCCUGAGCAGUCACGGUGCCAAGCCAUCCACAAUGUCGUUCAUGCUAUUAUUCUGNNNNNNNNNNNNNNNNNNNNNNNNNNNNNNNNNNNNNNNNNNNNNNNNNNNNNNNNNNNNNNNNNNNNNNNNNNNNNNNNNNNNNNNNNNNNNNNNNNNNNNNNNNNNNNNNNNNNNNNNNNNNNNNNNNNNNNNNNNNNNNNNNNNNNNNNNNNNNNNNNNNNNNNNNNNNNNNNNNNNNNNNNNNNNNNNNNNNNNNNNNNNNNNNNNNNNNNNNNNNNNNNNNNNNNNNNNNNNNNNNNNNNNNNNNNNNNNNNNNNNNNNNNNNNNNNNNNNNNNNNNNNNNNNNNNNNNNNNNNNNNNNNNNNNNNNNNNNNNNNNNNNNNNNNNNNNNNNNNNNNNNNNNNNNNNNNNNNNNNNNNNNNNNNNNNNNNNNNNNNNNNNNNNNNNNNNNNNNNNNNNNNNNNNNNNNNNNNNNNNNNNNNNNNNNNNNNNNNNNNNNNNNNNNNNNNNNNNNNNNNNNNNNNNNNNNNNNNNNNNNNNNNNNNNNNNNNNNNNNNNNNNNNNNNNNNNNNNNNNNNNNNNNNNNNNNNNNNNNNNNNNNNNNNNNNNNNNNNNNNNNNNNNNNNNNNNNNNNNNNNNNNNNNNNNNNNNNNNNNNNNNNNNNNNNNNNNNNNNNNNNNNNNNNNNNNNNNNNNNNNNNNNNNNNNNNNNNNNNNNNNNNNNNNNNNNNNNNNNNNNNNNNNNNNNNNNNNNNNNNNNNNNNNNNNNNNNNNNNNNNNNNNNNNNNNNNNNNNNNNNNNNNNNNNNNNNNNNNNNNNNNNNNNNNNNNNNNNNNNNNNNNNNNNNNNNNNNNNNNNNNNNNNNNNNNNNNNNNNNNNNNNNNNNNNNNNNNNNNNNNNNNNNNNNNNNNNNNNNNNNNNNNNNNNNNNNNNNNNNNNNNNNNNNNNNNNNNNNNNNNNNNNNNNNNNNNNNNNNNNNNNNNNNNNNNNNNNNNNNNNNNNNNNNNNNNNNNNNNNNNNNNNNNNNNNNNNNNNNNNNNNNNNNNNNNNNNNNNNNNNNNNNNNNNNNNNNNNNNNNNNNNNNNNNNNNNNNNNNNNNNNNNNNNNNNNNNNNNNNNNNNNNNNNNNNNNNNNNNNNNNNNNNNNNNNNNNNNNNNNNNNNNNNNNNNNNNNNNNNNNNNNNNNNNNNNNNNNNNNNNNNNNNNNNNNNNNNNNNNNNNNNNNNNNNNNNNNNNNNNNNNNNNNNNNNNNNNNNNNNNNNNNNNNNNNNNNNNNNNNNNNNNNNNNNNNNNNNNNNNNNNNNNNNNNNNNNNNNNNNNNNNNNNNNNNNNNNNNNNNNNNNNNNNNNNNNNNNNNNNNNNNNNNNNNNNNNNNNNNNNNNNNNNNNNNNACAACGACAACAACAACAACAAUAACAACAACAACAACAAUAACAACAACAACAACAACAACAACAACAACAACAACAACAACGGUCGAGCGAUGUCUCCUACCAGCAGCCUCAGCAAAAAUAUCCAUCAGGCCAGGGCUCCUUCCAGCCAUCUCAGCAAAACCCACAGGCCCAGGGCUUUGUCCAACCUCAGCAACUGCCCCAAUUCGAGAAAAUAAGGAACCUAGCAUUGCAGACGCUACCAGCAAUGUGCAAUGUCUACAUCCCUCCAUAUUCUCGACCACCAUUGCGCCAUUUGGCAUCGUCGGCACUAACUGAGAAGAGAAGAACUCUAGUACUAGAUAUAUGAAACACCGUUUUCUUAAACCAUGGUUUGGUCAUUGUAGCGGUGAAAAAUAAAGUGACAUGCACUAUCAUGUAAGAACCCGAACUAGACUAUUUCAAAGUUGGAAAUAAAAGACAAACACAGGUCUUGUCUGCAUAUGAUUGUUUGUUUGAGUUCCAUUCAUGUGCCCAUUCACAAGUUCACCCCUAAUUAUAUAUAUUAAGC
rnacentral:lncRNA from 1 species